rnacentral:lncRNA from 1 species
AGUACCAUGUGGUUUAAAGUGUAUCAAUUUAGUGUCAUAUGGUUUCAUUUUUAUCUUUUUAUUAUUGAUUUCACUAAUUUUUUUCAUUAAAUCAGUGACAAAAUAAGCUUUGUGUAUAAUUUAACAAAAUAUUAACGGAAAAGCUAACGAAAAGAUAAAAAUAAAACCACAGGACACUAACUUGAUACACUUUAAACCACAGAAUACUAAAAGUGAAAAAGUGCAAAACUACGGGAGUGGUACUUGAACAUGACCCUAAAAAAAAAGCACACAAAAAGUUGAGGUAUAUAUCCAUUUCAAAAUAUCAUAUAGUUGAGGGGCCUCUGCGCAUUUUUAAGAAGAGGGAGGGAGAUAGAAAGUGUUCUCUGAUGUGAAUUUUUAUUGGAGAAUAAAGAAGAAGAAGAAGAGACAGUGAAGUGGAUAUGAUUAACAAGCUUUGUCCAUCAAACAAAAAGAAGUGCAUUGUAUUUAUGAAUGGUCUAAUCCGUGUCUGCUUGUUGUGGUGAUCUUUGCCGUUUCAAUGUUAGUUAAUUUGCUACUACUCCUGAUAUAUUAAAUUAUUAUUACUAUUAUUAUUAUUAUUAUUAUUAUUAUUAAACUUUUGUACUUGGAUUGCUACAAUUUUUUAGGAGCUGUUGUUCUGUGGGCUAGCUAGGAAUACUACUCUGAACUUAAUUGCUUUUAAAUUAGUUGGAAUUUUCGCGUAAAACAGUAGAGAAGAAUAGAAAUUUGAUUGUUUGAGCUUACUGUUUGAUUAUUAUUAUUAUUAUUAUUAUUAUUAUUAUUAUUUGAGAAAGAGGUAGCACGCUACCCGCUUCAUUUAUUGGGAAUAUGAACUAGGCUACAGGGGUGAGACAGCCAAGACCUCAGGGAGGGGGGGGAAAAAAAAAAAAUGUGAUCUGCUUAAACCGAGGCCCGCCUUGCUGGAUUAAGUAGGUCCCACUCCUUCGUCAGCUGCUUAAACAUGUGUGUUUGAUUAUUAAUUAGAUCAUAUUUUAAUGCGUUCGCACCCCUAUGAUAAUGUUGAUUCAUAUUUUUUUAAGGAUGCAAAUUCGAGUACGGAUAUGUGUUGGAUGCUCAAUUUUCAUUACAAUAUCUGCUAAAAUAAUUUGAGAUGUGAGGAAUCAAACCCCACACCCUUUCAUAUAUGAGAGCUCUUUACCAUCUAAUCUACACCACCAAUUUUUUUUUUUUAUUUUUAUCACAAUAUAUGACUUAAUAAUAUAUAUUAAUUUUAGUAUAUCUGAAUCCGAAUCGGAAUUCGAAUUUAAAAUUUAAUAAUAUAUCUGUAUCUGAAUUCGAAAUCAAAAAUAUUGUAAAUAUAACAUCCGACUCCAAAUCCUAAUUCAACCGGAUGCACAAUUUUGACACAUUCGCGUCCGAUCAAAUCCGAUGUCAGAUUCGAUCGGAGUUUAUCCCGACCACUUUCACCCUAGCUAUUAGGGUAGAACUCCAACUAAACAAUUUUUUAAAAUGACUGUCCACAAAUAAGCUGUAUAGUUUAUUUGCAUAAUUUUACACACAUGUAUAACAAUUAAGAAUAAUCUAGAAUUAAUAGAAUACAAAUAUUAUCUUCUUAAUUAAUUUAUUUAACUUACUACAGUUGACAAGUUAAAUUGUUAUUCUUGCAUUCCAGGUGAAAAUCAAGCUUAAAAUAUUAAACCUAUUAGCUAAUUACUAUGUAAAAUAGCUGAUUUUUAAUUAACUAAGUUAAAAAUCCUGAGUUUGAAUUCUUAAUUCAAGUCCACGUCUUCGGUCUAGAUGCUGGAAAUGUUGAAAGUAAAAUAUAAAAAUUUGAAGUGACUAACCUUAGCCAAAUUGUCAAUAUUUUAAUUUGUUGUUAAAAUUCAGUUUUGUAGUCUAGAAAUUAUUUUUAGCAUUUAAUUUGCAUCAUCCAUUAAUUUUAUCUACGAAAGUAAUUUUUGGCAUAUGAAGACUCAUUUAUAUUAACUAUUACCAUGCAUUCUUAUGGUUUCUUUACCAAUUAGUAAUUUUAAUCACUUUAUUAGCUAAUUUGAAGUGCAAAAUUUUAAGCCAAAUAUAAUUAUUAUAAAGGCGAAAGUUCGGCCUUAUAUUAAUAUAGCAUCUUACUAUUUUAUGACUAAUUUGUAAAUUGUAGUGUUUUACUAUUUAUUUAGCGGCAGGUUAAUAUGCUGCUAUAAAGAUAUAUAAAAACAUAAAAGUAGAAGAGUGUAACAUUUCUAAUUUUAAAAAAUAAAAGUAAAAAUAUGUUAAACCAUAAAAGAGUAAUAACAUUAUUAUUAAGGAUGUUAAUUUGAAACUUCUCUUUGUACGCAAGUUAAGGGUGAUGAUGCAAUUUGGCGGGUUCUGACCAUAUAAACUCUGAUGUACCAAUGUUAAUAUAAAAUAUAUAUAUAUAUAUAUAUAUAUAUAUAUAUAUAUAUAUAUAUAUAUACUAUCUAGUACACCAUUUACACCCAAAGAUUCAUGGGGUGAUAAGUCGAUCAGUUUGGAUGUUAGUUAAACAAAAAGAAAAUGGUAAGAAAAAUGGAUUAUAAGGAUCAUAAAAUGUCCAGGGUGUAAACUUAAUUGCUCAUACAAUAAACUUAAUAAAAUUUAAAUUUCUAAGAAAAUCCUAACAAAAUUUAUAUUUUCUAUAUAUAUAUAUAGAGUUGGACUGGGCUACUAUUAAUAGCAAAAUCCCAUUGUUGCUACCAGUUUUUUAGCCUUUAGAUCAACUUUUUUCAUUAUUUUUAACCAUUGGAUUAAAUACUAUAACCAGUGGGGACCACUUAACUCUAACCGACUAAUUUCAUCCUGACCCUAUAAUUUUUCAUCCAAGGGUUAAAAAUUUUAUAGCAAAACGAACAUUUUACUAUUAAUAGUAUUCCAGCAUAAUUCUAUAUAUAUAUACAUAUAUGAGCUAGGCUGGUAUAUAUACUAUCGAUAGCACGGAGGCUUCCGUGCUAUCAAGUUGUUUUCAAUGAUGCGGCUUCCAAAUUGACGAUCGGCUCCGUUAGACUUGAUAUACACUAUUGAAAGUAUUUGGAAACAAAAUUUCAUAAUUUUUCGACAUCAUUUGGCAAGUGAUCAAAAGGUCUCAAAAUUGACAAUUUUAAUGGUAGAUUUGAUGCGUUUGUGAAUUUAACGGUGUAAAAUAAUCCAAAUUUGAUGAAAUUUUUAUAAAAAAUUCUUUUCACUAUUUAAAGUAAGAUCAGUACCUCUGAUCUCAAAUUCAAGUCUUUUAUCAUCAUAUUUUAUGAGAUUUUUAUUUUUCGCCGUUCAUUUUCAGACUACUCGUUUGAUAGGUAAAUUAUACUGAAAAAUUAUGAAAUUUUGUUUUCAAAUACUUUUAAUAGUGUAGAUCAAGUUUAAUGAAGCCGAUCGUCAAUUUGGAAGCCGCAUCAUCGAAAACAACUUGGUAGCACAGAGGCUUCCGUACUACCGAUAAUAUACCAGCCGGACUCUCUCUCUCUCUCUCUCUCUCUCUCUAUAUAUAUAUAUAUAUAGAGAGAGAGAGAGAGAGAGAGAGAGAGAGAGAGAGAGAGAGAGAGAGACAGAAAGAGUUCAGCUAUGGUGCUUCUAAAAGCAACCAAGCAUUUGUGGGCUUGUAAUUUUUUUACCGUUAGAUCUACUCCUCAGAUUAUUUUCAACCAUUAGAUUAUACUAUUCAACCACUCACCCACUCAACCCUAGAGGGCCCACUCAUCAUAACCACAUAUUUCUUAAUCCAAUGGCUAAAAAUCUAUAAAGCACCAAUAACUUGAUACUUUUUAAAAACAUAAGAGCUCAAUUAUAUAUAUUAUCAUAUAUAGUAGUAUAUAUAUAUAUAUAUAUAUAUAUUGUUUUAGUACGAGAAAAUGAACUGAUGUAACCCCUGGGCCUUUCCCGUUCAAGUUCCGAGGGUGGAAAACUGAACUUAACCUAAACAAGACCAAUCACUUGUCAUGAAUCAGGCUACAUCUACACAGUUUUGACUUUUGCCUUUCCUAGAAUUUCACGAACCAAAAAGAGAAAGAAAAAAAAAAAAGUACUCCUAAAUAAAUUUUAACCUGUUAAAAUUUAGAAUGUAAAAUUUAUAUUUAUAUCUUAAAUUUUAGUUAUAAAAAUAGUAUUGCUCAUUGUUUCUGUCUCUUUAUAUUGGUUAAACAUCACAUCAUACUGGUCCCAAAUGCGUGCGCGUCACUAUCUUUCAUCUUAUAAUAAUAUACACUAGUGAAGAAGUCCGCGUUUCGCAGUAGGUAAAAACUAUAUGAAUAAUUAAUAAUAAGAUAACAUCAAAUAUUCACUAGUAUAUCUUACUUGCCACGAUUACGAAAGGUCUCUCACUUUUGGUAGCGGAGAUGGAACCGACGACGUCUUCUCCAACAACGGGGAUAGUGAAAAUGACAACGAUCCCUUCGGCCGAGGCGGAAGGGGAAGACGUGCGCGCAUUAGUGAGAGAGGGAGGGAGAGAGAGCGGCGACGGUGUAUGGAAAAGAAUGAGAGAGAGAAUUGAUAAAUUAAUUGGAGACGAGGAGACGAAAAGGCUGGUGGAGAGGAUGUUUGAUAGUGGGAACGUUUAGAUGUAUUAAUUAAAUGUGCUAAUUGAAAGUUUGAUGAAGGAAAAAGAAAGAAUCAAAUGCUAGCUGGUGAGGAUUAAGGACAACUUGCUAUUAGAAAUUUGGCAAUGGUAACGUUUAAAUGUAUUAAUUAAAUAUAUUAAUUGAAAAUUUGAUGAAGGGAAUGAAAAGCAUCAAAUGAUAGUGAGAAUAAAGGACAACUUGCUACGUGGCAAAUUAGAGAUUUAUAUAAGUUAAUAAAUAUUAUAAUAAUUAAGACGCAUACCCGUUACUUACAUCUUGGGUCACCUUCCAAUUAAUAUAUAUUGUCCACUUAUUUAUAUUGCCAAGGAACUUUAAUUUUGCAUGCAAAGGUCUCUUAAAUUUAAUUUGUUGCCAUGUUUUCCUUCUUACAUAGAAUCUCUGACAAAUUAGGGUAAUCUAUCACUAAUUUGUUAUUUUCAGGGUUUGAAUUAUAAAACCCUCUUACAUUUUAUCCUGUAUCUCAAGUAUCUUCUAAAAAAAUUAAGCAAUAUCAAAUAGGUCUAAUAACUUGAGGAUUCCGUUAACUUCUUGACGAAAGCGUUAACGGUGAUGACAUGGCAAAAUUAUUUAACAUUAAAAAUACUUAAAUUCUCGCACAUAAAUGCUUUACACCGUCGCAAAAGUUAUACGAGUUUACUUGUCAAACGCAAAAUAUUAUUAGUCCUGUGUUGUCUUCUAUUUAUAAUUUUAGGUCUACUAAAAAGAUUUUUUUCUUUUUUUUUUUUUUUUGGAACAGCGUUAUUCGGAGCAACACUUCAUGGAAUAGGCAAAAUUAAUAGGCUAAAUUAUAAAAAAAUUUCUUGUUAAUACUUUCUUUUUACUUUUUCUUUUUGUCAUUUAAAAAUUUACACUUUGUCCUUUUAAAAAAUAAGAAAUGUUUACUUUGGCCCCAUGUCGUCUCUAUUCCAUUAGAGUCCUGUUUAUAUCCUAUUAUUAUAUAUUUUUUAUACACAAAAUACUAUCAGUCUCCUUCCUGCUGUCUCUUUCCUCGCCGCCCACGCCGCCUCACCCUACUCUGCCACCUCGCCCUCCUCCGCCGCCUCACUCUCAUCCACCCCUCCAUCUGCGCCCACACACACGCUCUCACGCUCCUUCGCCGUCUCACCCUCGCCCACCUCUUCGUCCAUACCCAUCCCGAUCUCCUCCCUAUCGUCGCCGAAAUGGAGGGAUGACGAGGGUGUAGGAGGAGCGGGAGAGCAGGUAGAGGAAAUGGAGUCAUUGCUGCGGUUGAGCGAGACGCAAAGAACGAAAGAAGAGACGAUGGUUGAGCAAGAUUGGGAAGAAGAUCGACCAUGAUGAGGGACAAUUUGAUUAUUUUAUCAUCACAAUUAAUACUGUACCUCCUAUGAAUAUUUUUUAUUUUUUAAGAGAAUAAAGUGUAAGUUUUUAAAUGAAAAAAAAAAAAAAUAUAGAUAUUGAUAAAGAAGUUUUAUGUAGUUUAGCGAAAUUAAUAAUAUAGAAAGAGGACCAUAUUUAUUGUUUAUUUUUAUUUCCUUGUUGGUGUGUGGUGCCGAAGAGGGUUGAAUUAAAUGUGCUGCUUUUUUGUAUGCCCACUUUUAAAGUUACAUGCACUUCCAGUAUACGGAUUAAUUGCUAAAAUAUGUUGAGGGUUGAUGUUGAUCUUUUAUCCAACGUUCUAGAAGCUGUAAAAACGAUAUAUAGCAUCAAUGAAAAAAAAAAAAUCCAAUGUAAAAAAAAAGCAAAAUACAUAAGUUUCCGCAUCAAAACUGGCUUACGUCCACGGGCAAAGAAAAAUAGCAAAUUUGGCUUAAGAAUCCUAUGAAGGAACAUGUGUAAUUCACGAUUGAAAUAAGAAUGAGAAAUAAAAUUUAAUUAUAUUAGAAAAAAAAAAGAAAUAAGGAAUCAUCUAAAAAUAUUUAGUUCAUUAUUGAAAUACUAAGAACACUGAGAGUGAGUUUUUGUUAAGAAAGAAAAAAGCAAUGAAGGGAAAGAGAGAGGUGUUUGCGAAAGAAAGUUUUGAAAUGAUUUAUUUUGAAAUGGACUAAUUUAGAAUUCAAAACCGAAUUCGAUCAUAAAUAGAUUGGGUUAUUCGUAUUCCAAAACAGAAUGAAAAUUAAAAUUUGAUUUCUGUAGAAUAAAUAAUAACUAUCGAAAUCAGUAAAUUUUAUUCUGAUUCUAAAAUCAAAGAUCCCUAAAUGUAUAGUAGAUCUGGAUAUAUACUGCCGUAUCAUAUUGUACAAAUAUUAUCAAAAAGGUACUUUUCAAAGCUGUAAAGCUAGAAUAUUUCUAGAAAUAAAUGGCAUUGUUUAAAUCUGCAUUAUUUCUGGUAAAUGAAUAUUCCGAUCAACAACGAUCGAAAUAUUUGAAUAUAAUUUAGACUUUUUUUUUUUUUGACUUUUGGUACACUUUGAAUAUAAUAUCAACACGACAUCGUAUCAAUGCCCUAAAGACAAAUGAAGGCAGAGUCAUGUUCUAAGCAACGUGCUCAACAAAUUAACUCGUUUCUGCUUCCGUACGUGGACGAGGGGCCGCAAUCCAACAGGCUGGUUUGUGAAUCGGCUUGUGUUCGACUCGAAAUGAGUUCGGAAUGGAAUCGCUCGUUCAGUAAACGAGCUAUACACGAGUUGCAUUUUUCAACUCGUUUAAUAAACGAGCCGAAUACGAGCUGGGAUCAGUUUGCUAGUGUUUGGCUCAAUAGCAGCUCGAAUAAAUAUAUAUAUAUAUAGAGAGAGAGAGAGAGAGAGAGAGAAAGAGAGAGUAGGGCUACUAUACUAUUAUGAGUAUUGGACCCUUCAUACUCAUAAGUUGUUUUUGAUGAUAGAGCUUCCGAAUUGACGAUCUACUCUGAUCUAAAGUAUUUGAAACUUCUAGAAAAUAAAUAUCGUAAUUUUUCGAAAUCAUAAUAAAGUCCAUCAAGCGGGCAUAAAAUGAACGGUCAAAAUCGAACGAUGUCUUAAAAAUGUAUGAUCGAAUCCUUCAAUUUAAGAUCGGAGUUAUUGAUUUUUAUCUAGGUAGUAAAUAGAAUUUUCUAUCAAAAAUUCAAUAUAUUCGGAUUCUUUUGCACCGUUAAACUGGCAAGUAUUUCAUACCGGUCGUUAAAAAUUGUCAAUUUUGUGAGCUUUUGAUCGUAAGGUAAAUGAUGUCGAAAAAUUAUGAAAUUUGAUUUUCAGAUGUUUCAAAUGCUCUAGAUAACGUUAACGGUGUGGAUCGUCGAUUCGGAAGCUCUAUUAUUGAAACAACUUAUGAGUACAAGGGCGAUCGUACUCAUAAUAGUAUAGUAGCAGGACAUAUUAUAUAUAUAUUUAUAUAAUAUAUAUAUAUUAUAAGGAAAAUAUAUUUAUAAUAUAUAUAUAAAAUUAGCUUGGAAUAUUUUAAAUUUUUAAAAGUAGUAAAACACAUUUUUUGCUAUCAAGUUUUUACCUUUGGAUGAAAAUUAGUCAGGGCUGCAGGGAAUGUAAAUAGUCGCGUUUUUAGAGUUGAGUGGUCCCUAGGCGUUGAGGUGGUCCCACUGGGUUAUAGUAUUUAAUCGAAUGGUGAAAUAAUUGAAAAGAGGACGUUACUGAUCAAAGCUCAAAAGAAUGGUGAGAGAAUAAUGGAAUUUUGCUAUAAUAGUAUAAGCCGCUCAGAUAUAUAUAUAUUAUUAUAAUAUAUAUAAUAUAUUUAUAUAUAUAUAUAUUAUAUUAUAUAUUAAUAUAUAUAUAUAUUAUAAUAUAUAAUUUAUAUUAGAGUUUGUUUGAAUACUUCGGUUAGUAAUAUGAGCUGUUUUUGACUACGAUCUGUGUUCUUCGGAUGAUAGGCUUUCUCAAUUGACAGAUCGGCUCGUUGAAAUGAUCUGAAGUGUUUUAGGAAAUCAUAAUUUCAAUCUUUUCGAAUCAUUUGUCUAAUUGAUAAUUAGAUCAAAAGGGUUUUCAAAAUUUGGUAAUUUUAAUGGUCGAUAAGAGGACGUUUUAUUCGUUUAAGGCGACUUAAAGAUAUCCAAUUCAAUCUUGAAUUUUUGUCUAGAAAGUUCUUUAAAAUAUUUAACCAAGAUCUAUAUUGCUUUUGAUCUUGAUUACAGCUCCUGAUUUAUCAUUUUUUUAAAGAGUAUUCCCAAUUUCAGGCCAUUCAUUUUUCUGUUAUCUUGAUGGAUUAAAAAAAUUAAUAUCGAAAGUGCAGUGAAAUUUGCUUUCUAGAUAGUUUAAAUGGUUUAGAUCAUAUUUUAAUGGAGUACGGAUCAGUGCAUUUUGGAAGCUCUUAUUCAUCAAAAACAAAUCGAGUAGUUUAACACGGCUGGUUUAUACCGAUAUAUUCUAGCUCAACUUAUAGUAUAUUUAUAUAUAUAUCUUAUAUAUAUAUAUUUAUAUUAUAUAUAGAGUCCGGGCUACCUAUAGCUAUUAAUAGCACUGAACGACUUGGUGCUACCAGAGUGUUACGCCGUCUAGAGUCUACUUUUUUCAUCAUUUUCACCAGAUUAGAUCAUACUAUUCAACCACACCCAAUAACCCUAAGGGCUUCACAUCAUGCCUACCGCGCACAUCUCUUAUUAUAAUGGCAAAAAAAUUGGUAGCACAAUAACUUUGGUGCUAUUAAUAGCAUAGUGUCAUAGUUCAGCUAUAUUUAUAUUAUAUAUAUAGUAUAUAUUAUAUAUAUAUAUGUAUAUAUAUAUAAUAUUUAUAUAUAUAUAAAAGUAAUAUAUAUAUAUAAUAUAUUUUUAUUAUUUGAUUUUUAGCCCAAUCUAAAUAAAAAGGCCAACUCAAUUAUAAAAAUGACUAUUUAUACGUAAUGUUUCAACCAUUAGAUCAAAAUCUAAUAUCUUAUAAAUUUAUUUUCUAUAUAUAUCUUUUUUGAUCACUACAACAGAACUAGGUUAUAGCGACACAUGUUUGGGACACUUCUGAGUAAGUGUCCCAUUUAUCCUAAAACUUAAAAAAAUAUCUACUAAUGCCUAAAUAGAAAGCCCAAUCCAACCAAAAAUAAAAAAUUACUCUACUUAACCCACCACAUCCAGUUCAUUUGGCCCGAUUACAAAUAGAAAAGAAAAAUCAAUUACCAUCUUUUCUUCUCUCUUCACUCAAUCCACUGAAAUUCUAGACGAAGAGCCUUUCCUGUCGUCCUCCUCCGCCACCGCAGCCAACGAGAUAGAGUUUCGGCGGUUGCUAAAUGCUUAAAUAAGUGUUGGUAAAUUAGCAGCACUCUUUUAGGUUAUAGCGACACUCUUUAACUGUCGCUAUAUACCUAGCGACCCCACAUAUAGCAACACUUUUUAAAAGUGUCGGUAAUUUUAGCUAGCAGCAUUUUUUUGACAUGUACCUACAUUUAAAAGUGUCGCUAUAGACCGUUUUUGUUGUAGUGGAUCUUUUUAAUUUGUUGUUCAUGAGCCAAUUCAUGUUUGGCUCAUUAAUUAACGAGUCAAACACGAGUUGAAUUUUUUGGCUCGAUACUAUAACGAGUCAGCUCGUGUUUGGCUCAUUGACACUCCUACGGUGGAUGACACAUUAACAAAUUACUACAUAAAUGCUCUAUUAAUUUAUAACUUUAUGUCUUACUUUAAAAAGUUGUUUGGUUAUAUAAAGUUGUUUGGUUAUAUGUAGUUAUAACUACUGUACAAUUACAACUACAUACAGAUUUAAAUUUGGUGUUUGAUUUAAUACAUUUCAAUUCAACUGUUGUAAUUAAAACUGUAUAAGGAGGCCCAACUGUAGUAGUUUAAACUACACUCAAAUUAGCCGUAAUUUCAACUGUAACAGCUUGAGAGAGUAACUUCAAAUGAAAGAUAAAGUUAUUUUUCUAAUCAUUUUUUGAAUAGAAACUAUUUUUCUUUCCUAUAUUAGAGGUAAACCUCGCCAUCAUUAUAUAUAUAUAAAGUGAUAAAAUUUUAAAUUGCACUUCUGAACUACAUGAAACCAAACAAAUUAUUUACAAUUACAGCGUGCUUUCCACUAGGUACACCAGCCAAACAAGACAUAUAUAGUUAUAAUUAACUGAUGUAUUUCUAAUUAUAUGUAUCUCUAACUACACUACGUUUAUAUUACAUCUAACCAAACGGCCGCUAAAUGAAAAUUUUAACUACCCGGAUAGUGAUUAAAAUUAACUAUAGGUAUAAUAAUGGAAUAAAAAAGGCUAAAUUAUAGAAAAUCUCUUAUAAGCAUCCGUUGUUUCACUUUCUCUUCCUAACUUUCGAAAACUUAUAAUUUACUCGCUCAACAUUUCAAGUUUGUUGCAUUUAGCCCCCACCCGUCAUGUUUCAUUACUAUUCCAUUCAUUUUUUGUAAUUUAUAUCGAAAAUAUCCUUCAAAAUAAGAGAAUAUAUUAAAAAAUUAUUUUUUUCUUAUAAAAGAAGUAAGAAUAAUUUAGUCAUUUUGUCCGCUCCAUUAACGUCGUAUUCCCUGAAAAUUUUUUUUUUUUUUUUUGAGAGAAAGGUAGCAUGUUACCCGCUUCGUUUAUUUCGUUUGAAAAUAAACUUAGCUGAAAAUGUGAAUCAACUAGGAUUCGAACUUGUGUCUCGGGUACCAACUACCAAGCCCUUUGCCACUUGCGCUAGGGACGGUCGAUGAAAAUAUAAAAUUUUAUAGGGACAAAAUAUAGGUUUUAAAAGUUAUAGAGAGAAAGUGGAAAAGCAGAUAGUCACAAUAAAAGAAUUUUCUGUAUUUUAGCUAUAUAUCUUUUUCUUCUUUUUCUUUUUUUUUGAGAGAUAAGUAGCACACUACCCGCUUCGUUUAUUUUAUUUAGCAAUAAACUUGCUGGAAAUGUGAAUCAAUUAGGAUUCAAACUUAGGUCUCGAAUACCAACCACCAAGUCCUUUGCCACUUACUCUAGUGACGAUCGGUUAUUUUAGCUAUAUAUCACUCAAGUCCCGCUUCAAACACUACGCCACUUUAUAACUUUCCAGAACCAUAUACGGAACUUCCUGCUUUUGAAAGUAUUUUACUGUCGCAGUUAAGAAGCAGGGUAAAAUUCAAUUUGCCCCUUAAUUUGAUCGAUUUGCUUUUUUGUUUUGAUCUAUUUGUACUCCUCAUUUUGUGAAUUGUUACUCAGCGAUUUCGUAUUAAUUUUAUCUUAGCCACUUAAUUAUCAUCAAAUCUUAACGACAUUUCUUUAUAGUAAUAAAGAAAAUAAAAGCAAAAAGUUACGCAGCAGCAUAAUUUUUUAAAUUAGAAGAUGACAAAAUGGCAAAAAAGCUAGCUCAUGGGUGCUAAAUUCCUAAGCGAAGCUUACCAGAAAAAGGGACUUUUUUUUACAAAGUAAUUCUCUAAAAUUUUAUAAUCUAUAAAAUAAUCAUGCCAAAUUUAUAUUUGGCAAACUAACUCUCUCUCUUUGUCAUGUAGGAAAAUUUUCCAAAACGCGGUAAAUCGUUGACCAUAUAUUUUCACACGAAUUUGUUCACCUUAUUCUCUCAUAUCUUUUAGAUGCGAUGAAUGAUUCACCGCAUUCAUUAAGAUCGUACGUGAAGAUUGUAUGUGGAUUAUAUAGAAAAUAGAAAAAAAGUGAGGUUAGUUGAGAUUAUACGUGAAUUAUUAUAAUUUAUAUUUGAUAAUUAGGAUUGUAUGAAUAGAUUAUUAGAAUUUUGAGAUUGUUAAGAUUAUAUGGAAUUAUACAGAUAGAUUAUUAGGAAUUUGAGAUUGUUAAGAUUAUAUGGAAUCAUACGGAUAAAUUAUUAGGAAUUUCAUAUUGUUAUAAGAUUAUAUGUAAUUUGUUGAAAUUUUUAUAUGGUGAUUAGAAUUAUAUAUAGGAUAUAGAAAGGAACAAUAAAUAAGUAAAAGACAGUGAAACACCCACCGGUUUUGUGAGAAAUUAGAAAGACGGUGAAUCAUUCGUCAUUUUUAAGGAAAAAUUCCAACGUGGCUUCUUCAUGGUAAUAGAAGGAUUAGUUUGCCAAAAAAAAUUUUUCAUAAAAUUAUUUAUCCAAUUAGAAAAAUUUAUAUAUAAGGUUAUUUUGAAAAAAAAAAAAAAAGUCCCAAAAAAAGUGUCACUAUUUAAUAAUAUUAAUGAGAACAAGAAAAGGGUAUUGCCAUUUGAAAGAGUUAUCCAUCCUAAGAUAUAAUUAGGAAUAACAUGCUCUUUUAAGGCAUGUCAACAAACACCUUUAUAAAGCAAGUUUUAGAAGGUAGCAAUAACAAGCCACCUUUAAAGCAAGUUUGAGAUGUGUCAGCAUCAUUGGAGGCGUACGUGUUUGGUUCCUUAAAAAAUCGUAAAAAGUUAUUUUCUGAAAUAUAAUGUUUUUACGGAAACGCUUUUCAUACUGUUUGUUUUGCAAAUUAAAAAAAAAAAUUGCAAAAUAAAACAUGGACCUUUUUUUUAAAAAUCUAAAUAUAGUUAUUCCGAAAAACUACUUUUCUGAGAAGCAAAGAGUAAAAGUGGUUGAUGGUCACUUGAAAAAAAAAUGACUGUGCUUGAAUUAUUUGAAUGUUUCUUCAUUUUCCUUUUAUUAUUUUUCAUAAAAAGAUAUACAUUCCGAGAGCUAGGUUUCUAUGCUUUCGAAAAUAUGGAGGACUCCGUGCUUAAAAGUUAUUUUCGAUAGUGGGACAUCUGAUUCGACGAUUAGUUCUGUUAUUCUACUCUAUUAGAGAUAUUUAGAAAUCAAAUUUCAUAAUUUUUUUACUUCAUUUGUCUAAUGAACGAGUAAUCUCAAAAUAAAUAGCUAAAAAUAAAAUUCACAUGAAAAACAGUAAUAAAAGACUCAAAGUUUAAAUCAGAAUUAUUGAUCUUGCUAUUGAUGUUAAGUAAAAUUUUCUAUUAAAGUUUUAUGUAAUUUGUAUUGUUUUAGCGUUAUUGAACUUAAAAAAGGAUCACAUCAAUCAUUAAAAUAGUUAAUUUUAAGACAUUUUGAUCACUUAGUAAAUGAUGUCGAAAAAUUAUGAAAUUUGAUUUCUAAAUAGUUACAAUAGCGCAGAUUAUACCUAACGGAGCCGAUCGUUGAAUCGGAUAUCCCAUCAUCUUAAACAAUAUAUAAAUACGAAGGCCUCCGUACUUUCAAAAGUACAGGAGACGCACUCUGUGUUCCAAAUAGAUACUAGAGCUUUUAACUUUACAAUACUUCUGAAAUAGUUUCCUUAAGUUUAAAAAUUUUGAUUUUAUUAACGAAGCUUAUAGUAUUUGUUAAAUUUUUCACAGAAUAUUUUUGUAAAUAACAGAAUAAUAUGUUCAAUUAUGAUUUAUUUUGUAAAAAAUGUUAUGAACAUUGAAGCUUAGAUAAAAAAAAAAACUCCGAAUUUUCAAAGUUAGGUUAUCUCUUUCAGAAUCACUAUCGUGCUAAAUAGAAAAAUCAAAAUAUUUAAGUCCAUACAUUUUCUUAGAAUGCACUAUAAUUCAAGUUCUAUACAUUUUUACCCUUCUUUUCUAUCUUAAAAAUUAAUGAGAAUUGCUCUCUUAAAAAAACUAUACAUUCAAAAAGAGAAAUGCUAAGAUUAUAACCUAAAAAGGGUUAUAAGAUUACAAAUCUUAAUCGAAAGGUCGUAAUCCUAUCCUCUAAGAUUCAAAAAACCAUUUAGAGGUUUUAGUAAUAUAAAAAAGAAAGUGAUAAAGCUAGUAAAGGAAUAUUGGCCCUUGGACAAAAGAGUUGUAGGAUUGCGACCAAAAAAUGGCUGUAGGGCUAGCAUUGCUCCGAAUGAGAUAGUAUUAAUUUGCACCAUUUUUACAUGUAUGUGGAGACGUAAUAUAGUCGGAAUUUCACCCAUUAAACAUUCUCAAGCCGAUUUAACAACCAGAUAAGAACAAACUUCAAAUUUGAUGCCUCGGUAGCUGAUUGACAAUUAUUACAGGAAAAGUUGUAGAACAAUGAAGCUAUAUAUAUCCAGCAUGAUUGCUUCAUCAACAUUGGGCAUGUGACAAUGAAUAGUUGCGGAAAUGUAAAACUUGGGGUCGUAACCGCUCUACGCAAACACUUCAGCGAAAAUUCCAGACAGACAGGCCAAACAACGCGUCAAAGCCUUGCCUUCCAGAAAGAAAGGAAGAAAUUAAACAUAAAUAAAUGAGUUCCUUGUACAUGAAGCACCCAACAAGCUAUACCAUGCUUCAAAUUCACUGAUGACAAAUGGACACCACUUUGGCAUCACAUGUUCCUGUACUAGCUACCAAUGUGACAACUAAUAAUCAGUCACAAAGUUCAUCAAGGAGAGGAAAAGAAAACUACAAGAAAAAGAUUAACCCCUCUCUUAGCUCUACGUACUCUCACUUUUUUGAAAAUGAUGCAUCACUUUGCAAUUGGGACCACUAAUUAUUUGCUCCAAAAGUUAAGAACGAGAGAGCUUUGUUUGCAGAGACAAGAGGGAAAGCGAGGAAGCACAAGAACGUAGCACUGGCUAAGCUCUAGAGUGGUCAUGUUGCAUGACAUAUAUAUAUAUAUAUAUAUAUAUAUAUAUAUAUAUAUAUAUAUAUAUAGCACUUCAUCAUAUAUUCAUUAUUAUUAUGUUUAAUAAUGUUGCAUGCAAUAAGAGGCCCUCGAGAGAGAGAGAUAGUGGGUGCGGGGACCAAUACCUAUUUAUUAGCUAUUUAUUAUUGACCAUAAAAUUGUUAACUAAUAAAGGCCUCCCAAGGAAAAAAAAAAANACAUUAAAUAAAAUAAUUUUCGUAUACAGUAUUUUUUUUAAUAUUGUAGAUUAUAUUUAUUUAAUUAGAUUUUGAUCUUUUAAGUCUCUAAUCAUCAAAUAUAUAGUAUAGUGUCGUAUACGAAAUGACACAAACAAAUCAGAUACAAAAUUUUCUACAAAAUAAUUCCACAAAACAAGUCAUGUACAGUAAAUGGUAGCAAUUAUCAACACUGAGCAUAUAACUUGACAUGACUUAACAUGAAGUUAGCGGAUUCGGAUUUAGCUUAAAUAGAUGUAGAUCAGAAAUGAAUUGAUCAACCUAACCCGUUUCUGAAACAAUUUAUAUUAGAAUCGACCCGCAUAACCUGCUUGAUCCUAUUAAUGACCUGUUUAAUUUUAAACCUAAAUUUUUAUAUAUAAAUCUGAAUAAAUAUAUACUAAGACUUAACGUAAUUAUGUUAUCAUACACACAUAAAUCUUGAUUAUAUAUAAUUAUAGAUUUCGAUAGUUCUUAAGCUUUUCUUCUAAACUUAUAAUAUUUAUACUAGUAUAUUAAAAAAAUAAUUCAAGUAAUUAAAUGAGUUACACGGUCCACCUAAUUCAAUAAAUUGUUUGGAUUUUGGGACCCUUUAAACUAUAUCUCCCUUAUCCGUAUAUCGUGGCACAACCCGUUUACUAUGAACCUAAAAUCGCUACCCUAAUGUACAAUUUUUUUUUUAUUUUUAUUAUUAUUAUUUUUUUUUAAUGAGAGAGAGCAAGGUAAAGAAAAAUUUGUAAGCUACAAACAUACGACAUAAGUACUAAGUAUCGAGUCAUUAACUAACUGCUCUAGAUAUUAUCGCGUACAAUUUAUAUUUGGGAAAACUUCAAAAAUCCACUCUGUGGUUUCGUAGUUUCUCACUUUGCCCCCCUUGUGGUUUAAAAUGUAUCAAUUUGCCCCCAUGUGGUUUCUUUUUUCUCUUUUUCUUAUCAAUUUCAUUACUUUUCUUUUCUUAAAUCAGUGAUAAAGUUAAAAUUAAAGGGUACUAAAGUGAAUAUUUGAUAAAUCUAGAUGGAUAUCUGAAGUUUUUUGUAUAUAAUUUAAUGAAAUAUUAACAAAAAAGCUACCGAAAAGAUAAAAACGAAACCACAGGAAAGCAAUUUGAUACAUUUUAAACCACAUGGGGGCAAAGUGAGAAACUACGAAACCACUGGGGGGUUUUUGAAGUUUUCCCUUUAUAUUUCUAUGCUUACCAUGGGGGCUUUUUCUUUGGUACAAUAACCCUUCAACAAAUUAUAUUUGGGUUAAUUUCAUAGAGCUCUCUCUAAAUAUAUCGAAUAGCAAACAUAUUCCUACAAAGUUCAACUUUUCAUAUUUAUUCCUACAAAUAUCCAAUGAUAUUUAUAUUUACCCAUUUGAUUUGUUACCGUUAAAGCAAUUUAUUUUUUAAUAGAAAAUAAGUAAAAUACUAUUUUUGCCAUCACAAAUAUACCCCUUCAAAAACUAUAACUAUUAGAAUUAUGCAAAAAUAUCCUCCCAAAAAUUUCUAAUGGUCAUCUUUUUUUUUUUACUAUCACAAAUAAUAUAAGGGGGGUAAAAAUAUCAAUUUAUCUCAUUCACUAAUCAGGAUUAAGUAUUUACCUAUGGUUAACUAUAUUUUUCUAACGGAUCCUUACAUUUUUCUAACGAAUCUUAAUAGCAGAAAUAUAAAAUAUUAAAACUUCUACAGGAAUAAAUAUAAAAAGUUGAACUUUUUUUUUACUAUUCGAUAUGUUUACAGGGAGCUAUAUGCAAUUAACCCAUGAUAAUUUGUCAAAAAACUUUAAUAAAAAAUUAUUUGACAAAUUAGUCUUAUUCUAUCCAACUCAAUACCAUAAAGAAGGGAGAAGUAAAGGACGGUAAAAAGGGUGAUUGAUUCAACAUAUUUAGAAUUUUUUUAAUGUGAACUUCAAGAAACAGUUCCAAAAUGAUUAAGGCUUAAUUUGGUAUUAAGAUCUAUCUAACGCUAUUAGAUAAAAUAGAGUUGAGGAAAAGGCAUAUAGGGAUAUGCUUCUGCUUUUCCGGCCGGUGGGACCGUAGAAAGUAUAUCAUAAUCGACUCAUCGCGAUAUGCGGAACACAAUAAUACGUACGGAAACAAAACAGGAUAAUUUACAUACGGAAACAAAACAGGAUAAUUUUCCAACGUACUCUCUCAUCGCACGUAACGCAAUCUCCGAGCAAUCCCAAACAAAGCCUAAGAGAAUCAUCCUAUACACAUUUUCCUUCAAAACGGAGUUGCACGGUUUCGACCAUAGAAGUUCAAAACAAAGAGAAACUGAAACACCUCAGCAAUCCAUGCUCAGAUUCCAAGUUAAAGAAAGCCAUCGACAUUAAUAUGACAAUGUGAAAUGCCUUCAUAAUGCAACAAAAAUUCAUCAACCUAGAAAGUAUGUUCACACCCAUAAGAAUGAAAAAGGAUCUUUCCCGUCUGAGACUUUUUCACAGUAACCCUAUUAAAAUUUCUAAUUUACUAAAUAAUUCUUUUAAAAUUUUAUUUGGCCCACUAACUUGAGAAACAUGAUGUAUCAUUCACCGCUUUCAGAAAGCACUAAAUAAUUCGCUGUUCUCAUAUUGUUAUUUUGUUUUUAUAAGUUGUGAAGAUUUUUUUUAAGGUGUCAAGAGUGUAUGAGAAUUAUUAAAUUUUUAUUUAUGAUUAAAUUUAUAUGAAUAGAUUGUUAGGAUAUUUUAAAUUAUUGAAAUUAUAUGUGCUUUGUUGAAAUCUUUACGUGAUUAUUAAAAUUAUAUAUGAAAAUAGAAAAAAACGGUAAAUCAUUCACCGUUUUGUACUUUACGAGAAAGACAGAAAAUCAUUUACCGUCUACAAUAGAAAAAAAAAAAAAAGAUGGUGAAUUAUUCACCACGUUCUAAAUUUCAUUAAAAAGGGUAAAUAAUUGAUCGUCUUUUAAUUAUUUUUAUACCCCAAUAGUGAGUUGGAUAAAAUAAAGUUACUUGAACAAAUGAAUUUUUUACAAAGGCUAAUUAUAAAUUUUUACAGGGUUAAAAUGAAUACCUAGCACAUGGCAUAUAAUUUAUGCUUCUAAGAACACUACAUUGAAAUAUCUGGAAUCAUUUUCGAUCUAAUUUUUCAGUAGAACUCUUUUCCAAACCAUAGCUAUCGGAAUGCACACUUAGGUUCCAGCCUAUUUGGGCGCGCGUGUAUUACAAAGGAAAGCAUAGAAACAUAGAAACAUAGAAUAUAUAUUGAGCAUAUAGAGAGGGACACUGCACAAAAUAUAUGAUUCUAAUAAUUGACUCAGGAAGAUGAAGAUGUUACUUACAAAUUGCACGAAAGAUCAUCCCAAACUUCGAACACCUAAUGGAGCUGCAACAGUGGAGCUAGAGAUUGAUCAAGCAUUGAUGAUUAGUAUGUACUUCACAACUGUUUCGUAAAUCCUAAAGAGAUCCCAGUAUGAAACUACGCCACGCAGCCAAUGUAAAUAUAAUCUUAUGAAUUCCAGCUGAAAAAUGAUGAAAUAAAGGAAGAGCUAGGCUAGGAUUAGGGGUGGAAACGAGCCGAGCUCGAGCGGGCUUACCUCGGCUCAAAUUCGGCUUGAAAUUAAUUUCGAGCCUAAAUUUAAGCUCAAGCUUGGAUUGAAAUUAAUUCGAGCCGAGCUCGAGCGAGCGUAAUUUUAAGUCGAGCGAGCUCGAGUCCUAAACGAGCCGCUUGAAAUUCUCAACAUUAUACGAUCAAUAGUUUAAUUUGUAUAGAACAUUAUCUAUAAUUUGAUACAAAAAUAUGUCUAAUAGUUCAAAGUACAAAAUAAUUAUAUAAAAUAUAGUAUUAUAAUGGAAUAAAAAUAAUUUAUGAGUUGAAUAUCUAAUUUUUUCAGCUCACAUGUCUUUUCUUCGCCUUCAAUCUCUAAUAUUAUUCAUUUUCAUUUAUGCAGUCAAAAAUAAAUAAAUUAUAUAGAUAAAUUGGAUUAAAUUAUCCAAUUAUAUAUACUAAAUUAAAAUUUUAUUAUGAAUAAUAAUUUUUUACUUUAAAAAUUUCUGUAUAUUUUCUCAAGCAUACAAUUAAUAGCAAGGUAGGGCAACGGCGAUAUGAUGUUACUUGGUACUUAGAGGCUUCGUUGGUUAUUAGAGGUGAAAGACAGAAAAAGAGAAAGAGAUAAACAUAUUGAAAUUUAGAGCUCUGUGAAAGAAAGAAAGAAGAAAAAAAUAUAUAAAUUUAGUAAAAUGUUGCUUUUUUAUUUGUCUAUAGGUUUGUUUUUAUGGGCCAAUAUGGCCCAAUUUUAAAUAGACUCAGAUUAUUCACUCAGUCUAUAUUAAUUAAAAUAUAUUACAGUAUUAUAUUUUUUAUAAUAUAUAUAUAUAUGGUAGAACUACUAUAUAUUUUUAAUAUAAUAUAUAUAUUAUUAUAUAUAUUAUGAGAAUACUGUUUUUGAAUUUUUUACCCUUGAUUAAAAAUUGUCAAUGGUGGAUGUUGCGCCGGUCUCCCUAGGAUUAAAUAAUACUGCUUAGAAUUGAGAUGGUCCUUACAAGUAAUAAUAAUAUUAAUCCAAAUAUUAAAAAUGAUCAAAGAGAUUGAUCUAAGGGCCAAAAAGUAAAAAAAAAUCGAAUUUCCUAUACUUUCGAUAGCAUAAUAGCUCUACUCUAUAUAUAUAUAUAUAUAUAUAUAUAUAUAUAUAUAUAUAUAUAUAUAUAUAUAUUCUAGCUUUUCGAGCUUUUCGAGCCUAAUUCGAACAAGCCGAGUAAUAUUCAAGCUCGGCUUGAAAUGAAUUUCGAGCCUUUUUUUUUGUUCAAGCUCGGCUCAUUUAAUUUCGAGUCGAGCUCGAGCUAGGAUACUUCUAGAAGCGAGGGAGUUUAGUUCUGCGUCAUUUCUAACAAUGGGGCAUCCAAAUUGACGAUCGGCACCAUAAAUUUGAUCUUAAGCUAUUUGAACUUUUUAGCCUUUGAAUUUAAAAAUUUUCGACGUUAUUUGUUUAGCAUGACGUAUCAAAAUUGACUAAUUUUAAUGGCUGAUGUAAGUUGAAUUUGAGAUCAUUUGAUGACUAGGCAAACGAUGCCAAAAAUUACAAAAUUUAGCUCCUAUAAAGUUCAAAUAACCUAGAUCAUGUUUCAUGUUUCCGAUCGUCAAUUCGAAUGUCCCAUCACGGGAAACCACACGAAAGUAAAUGGUGUUGUUUUCUUCUAGAAGUAUUCUAGUUUUACUCGUAGAGAAAACCAACAUUACAGGCUUGCAUGUGUUUCAACUCAGCCAACAGAAAAAAAAAAAAGAAAAAGAAAAAUAAAUCUUCAGGAAUAAAAGUGAAAAAUAAAUUACAAAUAUAAGUAGCCUGAACUCUGAACAAUCAUGUGUCCCUUGGAGAGUUGCACUAAUACCUAAACAACUUAAGUUAUCUCCAUGUUCAGCAGUUAUGUUGCGUAAUAAUAAAAAAUUCCCAUGUUCAACAGCUGAGCUGCAUGAUAACCAAAUUACAUUAAAAAGAAAAAAGUACUAACAGGAAAUUUCACGUUAGCAUUUCUGUCUAUAAUGAAGAUAGUGCAAAUUAAUACAACAGACCAAAACUUACUGUAAAAGAAUUUUACUUACAUGAAGGAUGUAUGUAUAACUUGCCUUUCAAUUAUCCUUUGUCUCAAGUUUUUGGAACAAAGAAUUAUAUUUAUACCGGAAAAAGUCAUUUCAAUGAACUUCCUCUGCUGAAAUCCUUUAACUGAUGACAGCAGCAGUGCUUUCAGUUUAGGUAUCAGAUAAACUUAAUUUGGUUCAGCCAUCAGAAAAAAAUGCGCCGAGCAAAAAAAUAGAAUGCUCAGCAAAUGAACCUCUAUGUGGCUUCAGCUUUAAUAUACCCGGGUUGAUAAAAGUCCUCAUUGUAUAGCAGACCACUAGGAGAAAUAAGCCGCUGUAAAGCAAGUGAAAACCGAGCCUGGAGAGAAGAUUAUUCCAUCAGAAUGAAAAUCUACAGUAAAAUCAUUAGGAGAUGCUACUCAUUGCCAUGUAAACCAGCAAGAACACUAGAUAUGUAGAGGGACGGUCGAGCGAGCGGGAGACAGAUUUACCCAUUGGAAUCCUGUGAGGGCCCACCAGCAGCCUGGCAAACCGCUACCUCUACUGCAAAUAAGCUUUAAGAGAGAGAGAGAGAGAGAGAGAGAGAGAGAGACGCAAAGAAUUAUUUUACAUACAAGUAAAGACAUAUGUUCAACUGAAAUGGCAAAAAGGCCUUACAUUCCAGAAUUAUGCAUCCAAUCACUGUUUACGGUAGUAUUUAUAUGAUAAUUUCAGAUGCAUAUGCAAGGAGAGGGAGUAAACUUUGCGUGUAAUCCAGAAGCACUUGCGUUGUGGUUUUAUUCUUUUAAUAAGUCCAUAUUAAAAUAUCGUUUUUAGUUUCCUCUGGCUCAUUUCCUAUGUAGUACAACCACUAUGAUUGUUGCCGAAGUAAUAUGGUAAAAAAAGAAUUAAUUGGUUGGUUCCUCAUUAUUUAUCAGACAGCUCUUUUCGAAAUAAAGAUGCUACGAGUCAAAGAACUUAAUUAUUGGUAAGUGCAGUUUUACACCUGAAAUGCCAAACAAACCAAAUUGCAAAAUAAGCAUAAAUAAUGGGAAACUUCAUUUUAGAGAUAAAUUAACUGUUUCGAGAUUUCAGAUUUUUCUUCUUCAAAUCAAUUUUGGUUUGCAUGUACAAUGAUAAAUAGCUAAAUACAAGCGGAGCUUAAGAUCAAAAGCAUCAAAGAGCUGAAGAAAAAAGGCCAACUUUGUAAAAUACCAUACCAGUAGUAGAAGGCCACCCAAACAAAAGCAUCCGCCCAUUGAUAGACUCAAAAACCUAAGAUCCCUGCCAGCCUGCACAUAGAAUAUAACAACUUAUAUACUUCCAGGCACAGAAGUAAGCAAUAGCGUGCAUAUGCUAACUUCUUUUUUUCAAUUUCAGUUUCUUUGGUAGGGUGUUUUGGGAGGUGUUUCAGAGGAAGGUACAUAGUUUUUCUUACCUACGUGACACAGAUCAUGUUAGAAGACAUUAGGUACUCCAUGUGAAAUUUUAUGAGAACAAUACAUUUUUCCUAACCCAUUAACCCACCAUGUAUUUUAUAUAAGGACCUUUUCUCUGUCAGGGCAUGUUUGGUUCAUGAUUGGAAUAGGAAUGAAAAAUGGAAUUGGAUUGCUUUGGAAUGGAAAAUGGAAUGACGAAUCAUCCAAAAAUGUUUGGUUCAUUAUUGGAAUGGAAAUCGGAAUGAAAUUUUAAAAUUGUUGAGAGAGGGUUUUGAUUAAGAGAGGAAAGUGACGAAGAGAGAGGUGGGUGUUGGUGAAAAAGAAUUUUGAAUAGUUUAUUUUGGAAUGAGCCAAUCCGGGAUUCAAAACCGGAUUGGAUCAUAAAUGGAUUUGGCCAUUUCCAUUCCGGAGUGGAAUGAGAAUUGGAAUCCGAUUCCUAUAAAACAAACGGCAACUAUCGGAAUCAAUAAAUUCAAUUCUGAUUCCAUAGUUUAAAAUAGAUGAACCAAACACGCCCUCAUUGUUUUUCUCUUCUCUUUCUUUAUAUAAUUUAAAUAAUUAUUUAAACAAAUUUUAGGAAUUUAAACCUGGUUUAGCCUUUCGAUAUCAUGCCAUGUGGUGUUAAGCUCUAUUUCAAGUAUAUAUCUUGAACAUCAAUGUAGUAGAAAUUUUGAAAUAGCUGUCUUACUUGAACUACAGGUAAGUUUGAAAUGGGUAUCUAAACUUUCAAAAAUUUUGAUUUCACAACCUAAAUCUACCAGCAUGUUUGAUUUAAGUACAUUUCCAUCAGAACUUUAAAAUAAACUAAAAUGUUCCGUUAUCUAACAGAAUUUUAUGUUAUUUGACAUUACAUCCUACAACUUUACUAAUGGAAACUAUUUAAGUUCUCUUCGAACUAAAAUGAAUUUUAGGAAAUUAAAAAAAAAAAUGGUACCACAUACACUAAAAUUUCAGGUAAGGUUGGUAUGUUUUAACCAUUAAUCUCCUACAAACCCCAAACACUUAUAGCGGCUGUACUAAAUCUGCACUCCACAUAUCCACAGUUACAUAUCCUGAAACCUUUUCAUUGAAUAUUUCUAUUAGCUUUAAGUUUCAUAUUGAAAUUUAGCUUGGAUGCUAUUAAAUCAUAUGAAACAAUCGUUAUUCUCCAAAAGCUUAAGCUGAUAGAAAAUGAUGUUUUUAUAUUUUUAUAUUUAACACUCUCCUAAUGUCUGGGAUCGAGACUUUUUGAUAGGCUCAUGACAUGAACUUGAAUUAAAUGAGAGAAAAUCAACUAUGCUAGGAGGCUGCCGUGACUCAAACUUAGAACCUCCUACUCUGAUAUCAUGUUAAAGUAUAUGAAACAAACGAUUAUCUCCAAUAGCUUUAAGCUAUCAGAGACGGUGUUUAUAUAUUUUAUAUUCAAAACUCCACUCAUGUCUGGGCUUGAAACUUUUUUAAUAGACCCAAGAUGUGGGCUUAAUUAAACAGGAGGAAAUUAAAUAAUAAUAGGAGCCUAGCGAGAUUAGAACUCAGGACUCCUGCUCUGAUACCAUAUUAAAUUAAAUGAAACAACCAUUAUUCUCCAAAAGCUUAUGUUGGUAGAUAAUAUUAUUUUUAUAUUUUUUAUUUAAUAGAUACUAUUCAUCCACCUAGACAAUAAUAUGACAUGCAGACAUAAAAAGGGGCAUCACUUAGGAGUGUGUAAUAAAGUGGUAAAAUAUUAAAGCUCAAAAUGACUCAAAGCAGAGCGUCGAGUUAAAUAAAUCAUGAUCACAAAGUUCCUUAUACAUGCAGUAGUUCUUAUGCUAGCAACUUUUCCUGAUGCAUAUUCUUCACUUUCUAACCUAUCAACUCAAUUUCUUGUAAGAACACGAUAUUUUACACAUAGUUCAGGGUAUGUUUGCUGUGUUGCAUCUCUUGUUUAGAAAUUCAUCCAACAGAGUCCUGAUUACCAAUUAUGUUUUUAUUUCUAUUCUAUUUAGAGAGGGUAUAGACAUACCUUCCUAUCUAUCUUAUCAAGGCAAGAACCUACUAUACUUUAUGCUUUGCAAAUACAGCUCAAAUAAGUUAUAACAUACGUACAUCUUUCCGUCCUGGAAUGCAUUUUCUGGAGCUUCGUGCACAGGGACAACCCUUUUAGGACAAGCUCUUACAUGAUUGAAAUGAUGAAAGAAUCAACAUUAUCGUACUUUAGUUAUAAAUUAAAGGUUGUAUAAAUUGGCAUGUCAAAUAUUUAUCUCUUAGAUAUUCGCCCAGAUAUGUUGGUGAGGAUAUAAAAUUAACCAAAGUAGAUAUUAAUGGAUAUCUAGUUUUAGAAUAGUAUAAGAUACCAGAUAUGCAUACCAACAGUGUUCCUUCCAGGCUAUGUGUUGCAGGAGUCACCAUCAAUGCUAUAAAGUAUGGAAUCAACACUUUGUGCAUCUGUCGAUAGACAUCGGCUCAUAAUUAGUUGGCUCAUAAUUAGUUAAAAAAGAUAGGUUUUCAAUAACUGUAGAAAUAUAAUCUGCAUCUACUAACAAGGCAUUAUAUGGCAAUUAAGUAGUCUAAAUUUUUUUAAAAAAAGAGUUAAUACUUGCAAAACGUUUACAGAAAGGCCCUAAUAGGGUGGCAUACAACAUCAAAAUGCAUGUAACCUAACACAUAACAGAUAACCUUAUUCUAAGACUAGUGAGUCUUGUUAGCUGUUACCUGAGAAAAUCUAUAUUUCACACCGUCAGAAUCUUUCAGAAAAAUGUUGAGAAAUUUUUUUUUCUGAGAAACUAAAAGAUAUUAAUGGGUACUUUAAAAGGACUGUUAUCUCCUCCUUUGCAUUUCCUUUUGUAAAUUGUUAUCUUCCCAUAUCCUCUAAUAAGCAGGAGAAAUAGUAACAAGUAGUUUUGGUAUAUACAGUUUCUUAUCCUGAUUAUUAUAUAAGAAGAAUGCAUCGACAAUCAAAGCAGGACAAAAGGUUCUUUUGCUGAACAAGUCCUAAUUUCUCGGCUCGCUUGUCGCCACAAACUUAGUACACAGAGGUGCUGAUAACUGAAUGGACGUUAGAAAAAAAGAUUGCAAAAUUGCAUUUUAAGGGUGAAAGGUCAAUAAGAGAUCUUGAAUGAGUGAAAAAGACAUGUACUUAAAAGAGUAUAUGUUCCAGAUCACAGAAGGGAACAGAAACUGCAAAAAGGCCUUAAAAGAGUUUGGUUAUAAUAUAGUACAAAGAGAUAGAAUCCAGAAAAAUGGAAAUUGAGGCUGCAUGAACGUCAAAAGUUGAUGUUUGCUGGACACAUGAGAAAUAUUAAGUCUUUUUAAUAAAACAUUUAACUUGAUAUACAUAAGAACUUUUAAUCUAGAAGAGAGACAUCGUUAAGAGAUUCUACUUGAGAAAAAAGAGAGAAAUGAAACAAGAAGAAUGCUUUAUAAUGAUCGAAUCCUUCAGAUUUUGAGAAGUUUAGAAACUUACCAAUUAUAUUAGAUGAAGCAAUAUCCUUGUCUUCAUUUAUACUAAACCUAUCCUUUGACAGAUGCUUCUAAUGUGCGGGGAAGGUAUUCUCCAAGGUACAUGAAAUGCAAAACUGCUUGUACUUUACAUAUGUAAUGUGCAAAUAACUUCUAGAUCAUAAUUUGCAUCGAAAUUCCUAAAUAGCAGUGCUACAUUUAUAUAAUAUAUUAGUGAUGUGAGAAAAGUAUUACACUGUUAUUCUAAUUAGUGAUUUUCUGGAUGGUCUUAAAAAGUGAAGCAAAUGCCUGUAAUGUAUUUGAACUCAAACAAAAAAUAAGAUUUAAGGGAAAUUAAAAAGCAGUUAUCCUAAAAGGCAUAAAUAUCAAGGCUAUUGAUAACAUGAAUAUUUGGCAAUGAAUCUGAUUAAAAAAAAAAAUCUAAGAAAUAAAAAAAAAAAACCUCUCCAAUGACCAUACGGUCGGUGGUAAAGAGAUUAGGGAAGAACCGGGGGACAGAUGUUCCAAUUGCUCCCAAUGUUAAUCCGGUAAUGGCUCCAAUUAUUACAAGUGACUUCAGCAACAUUCUUGCCUAGAUUGAGUGUUAAAAUUUUAGUACAGAAAAGGAAACUGAAGAAUAAUAUCACGAGUCCAAACAAAUCAGAUAGAUAAAACUGAAAAGAAAUAAAAUACAAAUCUAAUAACAUUUUCACCAUCCAUGCUAGGUUAGUUUGACUAGUUGAUAGAGCUUUUCCCUUACUUAGCUCAUUAGCUGGUCUGAUAAAUGUUGAAUUAUCAACAUUAUAAACCAAUCCCUUGUAGCUAUUGAAUGGAAUUAAUCAAAUUAGGCUUAACCUGAACGAAUUUGACAUAAUUUAGUCAAAUAUAGUCAUGUUUCAUUUUCCUUAAUUUAGUCAUGUUUCAUUUUCCUUAAUUGUUUCUAGCUGUAUCUAUGAAGUGGAGAGGGUUCAAAAAAAUGAACUGGUCUAAAGAUAGGGAUUACAGUUGUUUUCUAGAUGCUGAAAACGCCAGUUGUAUCACUAUGACUUGGCAAAACUAGCAAAAAUCAUGUCAAAUGGCAGUCUAGCAUGGUGUCACGGGUCGAUCGUUGGGGCUUGACCGUGACGCUCUUGGAGGCCACAUUUGGUAGUCAUUGAGUUGACGAAGCUAUGGGGUUGCAGAGUUUAGGCGUUCCGUCAGGUUGGAGUCGUUGUCAAGUCUACGGAGGCAAUUCCCUAACAACGGCCCAUGCCAUGGCAAGGAUUUUAGUACCGCAUGCGGGGUUUCAAAACGCACCCCUCGGUGGGCACCUUUGUACCCCCGGGGUGCCAAAGGGGUGGAUGUCUUGCAUGGUAUAUAGGAGGAGGGGUGGACACUGCGUAGAGUGGCCCCAACUCCCCCGCAACUCAUAGGACAUGGGUCGUCCCUUGGCUAGCGGAGUAGCUAAGCCUAGCGUGCCGUGCGACUGAGCAACGGAUGGUUGAAGGGUCAUGAGCCUAGGGCAAUGUCGGAGACAGAGGUCGACGACAUUAUGGAGCGGGAACUGCCGGGAGGCUUUCCUCCUAGGAUCGCUUGCACUACCUUAUGCCGUCUCGGAUCUCCACGGGGGAGCGUAUGAGCGGAUGAGGGUUAGUCUUGCGACGGAUGGCCCGCCGUUUAGGGCAAGGCUUGCGAAUGCAAGUGUGCUGAGCGGGGAUUCGUGGGGCGCGGUGCCUGCGAAGGCAUAAGGAGAUGGAUCUCUGUAGGAUCGCUAAAAGGAGGCACGCCGAAGGAGACUCGUGGGGCGCGUAGGCCUUGGAGACUCGAGAGAGGCGAAACCCAGUGAGGCAAGCAAUAUCGGUAUCCGUAUAGUGAACCUUGAGUGACCGGACCAUUGGUGUGUGCGGCCAGGUGUGGUCGAGCCAUGGAGGGGUCAGAUGGGUAGCAACGCGGAGUGAGGCCGGCUCGUUUGUAUGGGGCCUUAUGUGGCGAAACUAUGGGAAUCAAGGGUGCGGAGCACCAUGGCAAUGCGAGGUCGUGGGGACGGUCGUGAAGCACGGUGUGGGCUUGUUGGCUUCCUUGCCAGGAGCAUUGAGGACACCUGUGCCGUACGGGUCGCAUGCGAAGCACGAAUGUGCGGAGCAUGGGCGUGCGGUGUAGUAUCCUAAUAUAUAUAUAUAUAUAUUAGUAUGCCACGUGCCUCCCUCUCCCCUUGCAUGCUGAUUUAACCGAGGAUGCCACCACCACCACCUCCUUAAUUAACUUUCAUUGUCUCUCUCUCUCUCUAGCCGGUUGGGAGCAAGGAGGAGCUCGUGUGGAGCUUUCCGUCGUCGACGUCACGCCGCGGAGCCGUCCGAGCAUACGAGCAUCNNNNNNNNNNNNNNNNNNNNNNNNNNNNNNNNNNNNNNNNNNNNNNNNNNNNNNNNNNNNNNNNNNNNNNNNNNNNNNNNNNNNNNNNNNNNNNNNNNNNAUUUUUUUUUUUUUUAAGUUUCCGAACUAAUAACUAAGCGGCAUUCAUUCAGUAUAUCCAUAUAAUAAAAGAAACAAAUCAUUGUAUGCAGUAGAAUGAGUAAAAACAAUUAUGGACAUAGGUAUACAAAGUUCAAACCACAUAAGAUUUUGCAGAAAGGGCUUACGCUUAAACCGGAUUGCUUGUGUGGAACUUUGGCAUAAAUCUCUUGUGCAAAAGAGCGAGUAUCCGCUGACGAGGAAAAUCCAAACUCCACAAGCUUGCUCACGAGAUCAGCUGGCGAAGAAGACUCUUUGGCUACAAAACCAACAAAGUAAUGAAACCACAUUUCAACUUCUAAUGAAAACUAAAAUACUAAAAAGAGAUAACAUGGGCGCAUGGACUUCAGAUGCUUACAUAGACGAAUGACAUAUUGCACGACCACGCUCUUGGAGUAGCCCAUCAGCGACAUCAAUUUGUCCGACACCCAUGUCUUUAAAUGGCUAUCACUCGCCAUCUCUGCCAACUCCCAAAGUGCUACUUAUCCAAUAACCAUCACAGUUCAGAGGCAAGAGAAAAAUAAGUAUCCAACAAAAAGACAUUUUGCCUUCACAUACUAGUAGAAUUAAUACACCAGGCAACAAACUCAGGUUAAAAAAAAACAAUUGAGGCGCUUCCUAAAUGCAAAAAUAUGCAAAUAAUAGAAUUACCCAUCAAUCAUGCAUCAAACAUAACCUAACUUUACAUAAUUAACCCCACUCCGUUGGUUCUGAGUCUUCAGACAACAGCAAGCAAAUUAAUGGAUGUAACAACAGCUUAAUUAGGACUAAUAUGGAAGAAUGGAGUUUAGAGGAAGGGAAGGAUGUUUUGGGUGAAAGAAAAACACAACAGCAACAGUAUCAACCAUAUAUAAAAGAGAAAACUGUUGUAAAUAGAAAUCAAAAAAAACUUGGCACUUAACAUGCAUAUAAUAGCAAAUAUUAACUCCACUCACAGUCAUGGAAAAUAUGAAUUUGUAGUUUUGUACCAGAUGAAGUGGGCGUGCGGCAGCGGAACAGCUGAACUCGGAACCAGAUUGCGAGCGGUGCGUGGCCACGCGGGGGUUCCGACGGCGAGCGGCGAGCGGCGCGCGGCCGGGGUGGUUCCGAACUUCUGAUGCUCGGCCUCGCGGGGCGUUCCAAUGGCGAGCGGUGCGCAGCCCGGGACGAGGAGGGUUCUAAAGAACCCGAUCUUCGAUGUCGAGCGUCGUGUGGCCCUGCGGGAGCUUCCGAUGGCGAUCGGCGAGCGGCUAGUGCAGUCCGAAUUAUUCGAGAAUAAUAAUCUAAAAUCAAAUAAGGCCGAUUUGCAUAAAAAAUUCACUAGUUUUGUAUUUUUAUAAAAACUAAUAAAUUAUUAUUAUUAUUAAGAUUAAUAUAUAAUAUUAUUAUUAUUAUUAAUAUUAAGAUUAUAUAUAUAAUAUUAUUAUAAUUACCGAUGAUUUAUCCAAAAAAACUAUUGAGACAGGCCUCACGGCAAACGACGGUCACAACUCGAAAUCUUAUCUGGUCCGAUUUAGGGUUUGGUGUUUAGUCAUACCCGAAAACAUUUCAAGUUGCGGUACAAUUGACUCUCAAUUAAAAAGAAAAAAGGAAUGUGGGAACCACAAAAUCAUUCGGAUAAAAAGAGUUCUUCUUUUGAUUUCCAAAUCAUAUAUUUAUAAAUUUUAGGCUAAAUUACAUAAAACCCCCCUGUCUAAACCCGAUUUUUUACUUUUUUCCCCUGUCAUUUAAAAAUCUACACUUUGCUUCCUUGCAAAAUAAAAAAUGUUCACUUCACCCCCUACUGUUAGUAAUCCAUUAGGGUUCCGUUUAUAAAAUGUUAUUAUAUAUUGUAAGGACUGAGAUUUUUGCAGUGUAGCUAAACUCUCNUAUAGUUUAAAAAACCACAGGGUACUAAUUUGAUACAAAAUCAAAACCACAGGGUACUAAAGUGAUAAAAUGCAAAACCACAGAGUACUAACUUGAUACACUUUAAACCACAGGGUACUAAAGUGAUAAAGUGAGAAACCACAAUGUACUAACUUGAUACAUUUUAAACCACAGGGUACUAAAGUGAAAAAAAUUGAGACCACAAGGGGGGUUUUUGAAGUUUUCCCUAUUUUAAUUGUCCAAAUUUUUAAAAAAUAAAUUUAAAAUGCUAUUUUUUUUAUAUAAAAUAUGAGGAAAGACUUAUUUCUUGAGCCUCCCAUCUCUUAGAAUUAUGUAUAUAAUAAUAAUAAUAAUAAUAAUCUAUUGUAAUAAAUCAGAAAAGUAAAAUACAUAGACUUUUGGGUAACAAAAAAAAAUAAUGCAUCAAAAAUACAUAACGUCGUUGUCAGAAUAAAAAGUAUGAAUGUAUACGGAUGAUUCCAAUAUUUGUACGUGUCGAAUUCGGCUAUUUUAAUGAUAAUUAAUAAUUACUAAUAAUAAUGGGGAGCCGCGUAAUAAUCCUCUUUCUCUAAUUAGAGUCCAAUUAGGAGACAAAGAAUAGUUGAUUAAGGGCCGUUAAUGCCUAGUCCUUUUCGGAGACUAGUUGUAACCGAAAUCGCGCGGUUAAUUAGAACGUAGCUAAACCAAUAAUCUCCUUUGCCUAUAUAUAUACACAUAUACCCCCAGUGGACUCCAAACUAUUCAUCCACUAAUUAAUUAGCAACGUGCGUGAGACGAGAAGAGUAGAGCAAGAAGAGAGAUCAAGGAGUGAGUUCUUAAUUGUGGAUUGCUUCCGCUGUGGUAGUUAAUGGAGGUGCACGAGAACCGCUUCGCCGUCCUCUGCGACCUCGACGGCGACAACAACGACCUCUCUUCGCUGCUCGCGAAGAAGGCCGCAGCGAAGCCUGAGGCGGCAACCGGGAAGCAGAAGCAGCAAAAGAAGAAGAAUCCGAAAGCCGCUGCUGUCGCCAGCACUGCUUCUGCUGCCAGCGGUUUUCCUUCAAGACCCGUCCCUCCUUCCCAACAUGCCAAGAAUUUUCAAACAGCGUCAGGUUCGAUUCGUGUCACCUAGUAAUAUCUAUAUAGGCUUCUAAUGUAUCAACUCAUUAAUUCAAUUCAAUGUUUUGUUUACCUUUAAUAUUUUUCAAGGCCACGUCGCCUUAAUCUCUGUAGUCAAAUUCAUUUGCUAAAUGGAUGAAGCGGGUAGCGUGUUAUUUUUUUCUAAAAAAAAAAAAAAAAUUAAUUCAAUCCGAUCCAUGCAUCAAGAUCGGGUUGAGAGAUUCGAAUUUGAAACCGACCCGUUAAAAACCAACUCGGCUUUAAAAACUGGUUUUGAUCAAGAUUACCACUCUAUUUUUAUUUUUUCCUUUUCUUUUUUAACUGUAAUCUGACAUAAGUGUACAUCUAUGCUACAGCGCGGCCGACGGAGCACGGUAGAGGAACAGGAUCGAAUAAUGACCAUUGGAUCAACAGUAAGAAGAAGAAUCAAUCGACUGGUGGGAGAAGUAAUACAGGAUUUCUUGCUUAUGGAAAGGAGGAAACUGGAACAAGUGCGACUAAUAGUGGUAGCUCCACAAGGUAUACAUCAAAUUUGCUUUUUCUAAUGUGUGUGUGUGUGUGUAUAUAUAUAUACACUGAGAGAGAGAGAAAGCAAUAUGCUCACAAUAAUGUGUUAAAUUUGUUCUCUUGUUUAUUAGCAUGCAAUUUGUGUUAUUUUCUAAUUAAUUCAAUUUUUUUUUAUAAAUUGAACAGCGGCGUGCAUAAUAGAAGCACCGGAGAUUUUCCUGGAAACAAGACCAUCGAACAAGCAAAUGACGAUGACAAUGUAAUAUAUUCAAUCAUACUUUGUAGUUCUAAUACUAUGCAUCUGAUCUGAUUCUACCAUUAUAUCUGAUUUUGAAGGCUUUGAUUGUAUCUAACUUCUUCUUCUUUUUUUCUCUCUGCGGCAGAAAUUGACCUUUGCCGAAUACAAGAAAUCGAUUCAAGAGAAAAGAAAGGCUAUAGAAGCACUUAAAACUGAGGAAAGAAAGGUCACUGUUGAGAAUCAAUUUGAAGGUAUGCACCUCACUGGAAAAAAGAAAGAAGAUGAUCUUCAAGUCAACAUGCAGAAAUCCGGAAAGAACAAAGAUAAGAAAGAUGGUUUUGAAAAGGAAAAGAUAGUCUGCAAGGUUUGUCUCUUUACUAUUAUAUUUAAUUUUUUCAGAUAUGAAAUUCUAUUUUAUGCCAUCUACUAGACAAUUAGAAAGUUCAUUAACAAAAAUGUUUGAUCUGAGACAAAAAUGUUUUAUUUUCUUGUAGACGGUUAGCAUCGGCAAGUUCCAGAUUCCUGCUAAGGAAGAAGCAGCACGAAGAGGCAGGCGCAAUGGACACAGAGGAGGCAACUGCGCUGGAGGUCACGGGUGCCAUGCAGCUGUACCAAGGACUCAUCAAGAUGGUGUUGAUUUUCCUCCAUUGCGUCCUGCUGCCGAUGCUGCUGCGAACUUUUAAGUAGCAGAAUGUGUCAUACAUGAUUUUUCACCCCCCCCCCCUUAUUAUUCUUGGUUACGUUUUGUGCUUCAUCCUAUGUUUAUGUCUUUUUACAAGUUAGUUUUGCCGGUCUCGAGUAAUAAUUGGUAUUUGAUCUGGGAGAAGUGUCGUAUAGCUUAGAGGAUGUAAUUCACGUUUGAUUUGUCAUAAUUUUUACACAAAUAUAGUGCUAUUUUUGUUUCAAUCCCAUCUUUUUUCUAUUUUGUCAUUAAUCAGUCGACCUCUAUAUAUAGUAAGCUCCUUAGUAGUGCGAUUGAGAAAAAGAAAAAGAUAAAAAUGAAGUGCAUUCCCUCGUCAUAAUUGUUUAUUUAUGAGGUGAUUUAUUGUAUCUUUACACUAGUAUGGUAAUAAAAGAACAAGGUUACCCGGGUUUGGAUGUGGUAGGUAUCAUGUUGUGUGAAUUUACUACCCUUUUGUGCAUUAAGGAGCUCGCUUUGUGAGAUGUAUAUACUUAAUCCGACUCCUACACAGAAUCUGAAAUAUCCACCCAUGCUUCUUUUAUCUUUUAUGGAAGAUCUUAUUCAUUGGUCACUAACUAGAGAUAACCAGUAUCUAUAAAUUACUACACAUAUUUAAUCACAAUAAGCGACCUAGAAGAGUUAUGUUCAUCUCCGCCAAAGAUAAACAAAAUGGAGAUGAAAGAUCCACUCGCUGUUGAGGAACUGCCCUGAGAAGCUUGUGGAAGCCAGAGAGGUAGUUUCACUAACUCUCUUAAGAAGUAUUAUCUAUUGGAUUCUAGAGCAUCUUCUCUACUCCAUGAAAAGAAGCUUCGAUAACAAGGCUUUUGCUAAUCGACAGUCUGGAGCUUUUUACUGUGAUAGAAAGCUAAAAUAAGCUUUUAGGCCCAGAUAGCAAAGGAUUCUAUUUGAAGCUUCUUCUUCUGCUUCUGCUGCAGUGAGACAUUGUAAAGUAGAAUUUAAUCAAAAGUCACUGGUGGCUUGUCUGACAGCUGUGCUCACCAGCAUCUUUGCAGAAGUUCCUGCCAGACAAACUAGCCAUAAGAUUUAGGUUUCAAGUUCUUACGUUCUUAUGCUGUAUAGAUGAACAUGCAAAACCACACUUGCCUAGGUUGAGUCAAUGAGCAAAAUCGAAGCGGAGCUUCAAGCUGAACUUGAGAGAUUGGAGCUGAAUAUGAAUGCUAGCAGCCAGGAGGGAAGAUCAUCCGAUCUUGAGGAGGUGAUCAUUUCCAGUUCAUUCUUGAAGUCCAAGGUUUCUUAUACUCUUUCAUUUUGUUGCUCAGUCUAGAGUGAACUGUAGUACCUCGAUAUGCAAGAUGAUUAUAAACUAGGUUUGAUUGCUUUUGUGGCAAUUCCCAAAUGUUCAUACUUGAGGAUAUAGAAAUUCUGGAGAGAUAGAAGUUUGUGUGCAUCACAGAAUAUUACAUUGAUAAUCAGCAAAUCUCAAGUAUCAAGACUUCAAACUGUUUACUUCAUUAUCCGAGACCACGCAUACUAUAUCCCUAAAGCAGGAGUGCCCGUGGCUUCCCGAAUGCAUGAGAUUUGCUCUGUAUAAUUUUUAUUGGAACUGAUAUUAUUUUGAUAUUAUUUUGUGCAAAAUCAGAGAUGUAGCUAUUUUAUAAUUUCUCACAUCCUUCAUGCAUGCUUUAAAUUAAGCUAGAAAGUUGUCCUAUAGCAUGUGCCCUUUCUCUUAGACAAAGAUUGCAUUGUUCAAUAAGGUUUGGGUGACGAUCAACUCGAAGCAUAGCAGAGUAUCAUUUAACAUAGAUGAGCAGCAUGCGCUAUAUACGGCUUCUCAGCAUCUAUCGUACUUUCAUUUGAUCAACCGGUGUUUUGCUGAUUGCAGGUUGAUCAAGAGCUCAGAGGAGAUGUUGUUCACGGACAACUAAUAGUGGAUAAGCUUUUCGAUCAAACAGAUAUUGCAAGCGGGGGAGAUAAAGAUCGAGACAGCAAAGGCAGUUCCGCAGGAGGUGUGCACGAUACCAACUACUCGGUUUGUCCGAAAGAACUAAGCUUACGCCUCCACGAGGUGAUCCAGCACAAACUGGAAGAAAGAAUCAAGGAACUCGAAGAAUUGCUUUCCCAAAGCCUCAAGCAGCUGCAGUUGAUGGAACCCGAAAAAGUCCUUUCAGAUAGAACAUUUUCAAACAGUGGUAUGGGUUCGUCUUCCAACUGGGAGAGUCCGACUUUGAUUCGAAGAGACCGAUUCAGUCCAACCAUUCUGUUUAAAUCUAGCCGGAGAUGCACUAGAUGCUUUACAAGGAAGCUUACAAUGAGUUCAUGCGAAUGGCCGAUUCAGAAGGGAAUUUGCCCACUCAUUUUGCAAAUAUUAGGGAUGAAUAUGGGAAUGAGCUAAAUCAUGCAGUUCGGAAUUUAAUCUGGGGAUUGGAAGAGGGUCGAAAAGAUAGUGCAAUAAUGCCUCCAUGGGAGGUGUUGAAGAGCAGAGAAUUGAAUGACACUCAUGAGAGUGAUGGAGAUGAGGCAGAGGAAUAUGAAGAUGAUGAGAGUAAGUUAUUGAACUGUCAAGUGACCUUUUUCAUAAUGGAGGAUCAAGUGAUGAUACAAUUAAGAAAUUAAUUAUGGGUGAAUCAAAUUCCCAAAAUCGGGAAUCUACCAACUUUGACAAGUAUUCAAAUCAUAAGCAAUUGUGGAAACUUAAAAAUGACAAUCUCUCAAGUAUGGCAACCACUCCAAAUAGAAAAUAUUUGGAUUCAAAUAUUGUACAUUUCUAUAAUAAAAUUAUGUAAAUAUUGUAAUCCCAAGAAUAACGGGAUUAUAUUUUGUAUUCAAUAAUUGUAUAUAUUAAAAGUUGGUUUUGUGUGUUCUCUUUCGAGAACAACAACCAUUUUACCACUAAUUACAAUUUCCUUCAUUUCACCCUGUUUCAUGGAAAUUGGAAUAACAAAUCCAUUUUACAUGUAGGAUAAACUAAUCAUUUUGGUGAGAAAUUUUAGAUUUCUUUUUUUCUAUUUUUUUUUUUUUUUUGAUACAGGGAUAGAAUUGAAUUUUUACGAAAUUCAGGAACUAAAGUGUUUAACCAAGAAUUACUGUAACCAUGUAGCAAUAUUGGGGUUAGUACAUGGACAAUCCCUACUACAUUUUACUUUCUCCUUUCGUUUCUUUUUUCCUUUAUGCGUAUUGCAUUUGAUUAAAAAGUGACUUGUGUAGAUUGUGGAAAUUGUCCUACGCCAAGGUCUAGUCCAUCCGAUUACUUGUGUUCCACACCUUAUUGCACUCAAAACUGAUCCCUUGGAGGUGAACUCAAAGCUGGCCCAUCAUUUGCUCAUGAACAUGAACGGGGAGUAUGGUCAUCUAAUUUAUGUAAUUUGAUUAUCAUCUAUAUAUAAUCUGUCGAAGCAUGUUGAUUGAUUGCAGUACAUUUACAGGUACCCGGCACUUUUUGAAAGCGGUUUAGGCGAUGGCCUGUGGAUGUCAUUCAGAUUUUUUGAAUCCAUUUUGAGCAAUCAUGAUGUGGUUUCCGGAAAUAUGAAAGGGAAUGGCAUUGCAUUUGUUAGUCCGGGGGUAUCUCGAAUAUACAGGCUUAUUAGAUCAAAUCGUGUUUCGAGGAACAAAUUCAUGCACUCAAUUGUUCGUAAAUUUGAGUCAGAUAACUGGGAUCAUUCGUCUCUUAGCUUUCUUGUGUAAGAGCUGAAUCCUUUGAUUCAAUUCUCUUAGAAAUUUGGCUUCAAAAGUUUGCAAUUUUUGGAGAAAAUUUAUCAUACAAAGUGCAGUAGUGAUUGUUCGCAGAUGUUGUACAGAGGUUCUUGCUUCUCUCCCCUUCACAUGCGCUGAGGAGCCUCUUUACUUGAUUUACGAUAUAAAUCGGGUAAUACAACUAAGAGCCGGGGCACCUGAGGCAAAUAUGAAACUAUGGAGUUCAUGUUCACAGCAGUGGGAUUUGAUGAGUACUACUAAUGACAGUUUUAGAGCUAUGCCUGUGUCAGGACUCAGGAGGACAUUAUUCAUCUGAUCGAAAUAUGACGCACGGUAACUCCACAAAUGCCUGAAAAGACGUGCAACAUUUCAGAGGAAGACAUGAAGAAAAUUCAGGUUAUGUUUUCUUUUAAAAUAUUAAUAGCUCUACAUGCAAGCAAAGCUUCAUCGAUAAUGUUAAAAAUCAUUGUUCUUCCAACCGAUCACAAAUGCUAAGCAAGACACUCUUUCUAGUACAAACAACUUAUAAAUGAUUGGGAGAAACUAUACGGUACCUAAAUAAAUCUCUACCGCUCUUAGUGAAGUGACAAAAUUUUUGAAACAUGGACUAUUCUCUCCAGGCUUAAGCGGUUUCGUGUGGCAUUAAUAAGUAAUUUUGUUUCUUAUCAUGUACAUACACUCUUGUGUUUCAGGCUGAUUGUCAUGAUGCAAUAGCUCUGCAACUUUUAAUGCUCGCUGUCAGGUUACUUUUUGUUCCCCCCCUCCUCAAAAUAUAUUCUUACCUAACUCAUCAUCUUUUUCCAUGUAUUAUAUCAAGCCAUGCAUAUUAAUUUCCAUGUAUUAUAUCAAGCCAUGCAUAUUAAUUGUCUAAUAUUAAUAUCCAAGCAGAACAUUCCCUUCAACGUUAGUGGCACCUCGAUUAGCAAGUUUGCCUAUUAACUAUCAGGAUAUGGUACAAAAAUACCAGGUAUUCUACGGGUGGAAUUCCUUUAUUUUCUUUUUCCAUUUAAGCAAACAUUGAUGCACAUUCCUUAUCUUAAUUACUAUGAGUAACAAAGCAUGAGGAUGUCUUGAUCCGUUCUUGUGUUGGACCUACUAUAUAUUUAUCUCCAAAAGGCGCUGAGCUGCUUUAUCAAGCAUUUAUAUAUAGACUAUAAAUAAAAGGUGGAAUUAAUCUUCAGACCUUCCAUAAAUUAAUAACACAUUGGAAAUGGUUACCUAGCUACACUUUGAAAAUUUUGAAAUCACUAGCUAGGCUUGCAUCUGUUUGCUUCGAGUGCUCCAUUAUAUAACUCGCAAGAUUGUCAACUUCUUUUGACAGAAUGAGGAAAAUUUUAUGGCCUUUUUAAUGGAAACCAUCAAGUUUUGAUGGGUCUUGACGGAAUUUUCUAAAAAUGAAAAUGUAUUGAAACUGAAAGGUUAUGAAGUAAAUGUUUUCAAAGUUCAAGAUACUAUUUCAAAAUUUUCUACUUUUUGACCUAGCCUCUAAGCUUGGGGUGCAAUUCUGCGGGAGUUUAAUAAGACACUAGUUAAGGGCCCAUGCGAUGCGGCGAGAAGGUAUUAUUACAGUAAAUUAUUAUUAUUAAAAUUAAUAUAUAUAUAGGCCCACGCGAUGCGGCGAGAAGGUAUUAUUACAGUAAAUUAUUAUCAUUAAAAUAUAUAUAUAUAUAUAUAUAUAUAUAUAUAUAUAUAUUAUAACUACCGACGACUUAUUCGAAAAAACCGUCGAGACAGGCCUCAUAGCAAACGGCGGCCACAACUCGAAAUCUAAUAUGGUCCAAUUUAGGUUUCGGGUUUUAGUCAUACUCGAAAACAUUCCAAGUUGCUUUUGCAAAAAAAAAAUAUUAGGGACGAAAGUAAAAAUUGUGCAAAAGUUGGAACAAAUAGUACAAUUGACCCUCAAUUAAAAAGAAAAAAAAAUGUGGGACCUACAAAAUCCUCCGAAUAAAGAGAGUCUUCUUUUGAUUUCCAAAUCAUAUAUUUAUAAAUUUUAAAUAUAAAUUGAAAUAUUAAAUCAAAAUAAAAAAUUUAAGUUUGAAAUUAAAAAUUAGAUUCAAUUUAAAAUUCAAAAAUUUUUUUAAUUUCAAUUUAAAUUCAAACUUUAAAUUUAAAUACAAAACUCGCCGGUUGUGGGCCCCACCGAAGCCCCCGAUUAUGGAGAAGGCUGUCGUACAAUUUUUGUUUCCCCAGUUCAUAACUUUAAAUACAAAAUUUUAAUUUCUAUAUGCGACCCACAACCCAUCAAAAUAAAAAGAAAUUGGAUUUAAAAUUUUAAUUUUCAUUUAAUUUUUAUUUUUUAUAUGUGAUCAAGAACACUACAAAAUAAGAAAGUUAGAAAAGAAAAAAAAACAAGAGAGAGAGAGGAGUGGGUCCAACAGAAAAAAAAAAAAAGCAAAAAGAAAAAAAGCACGCGCCGGCUCGCGCCUGCGCACGCUCACCCGCCCGCCCUGCUUGCGCCCUCGUGCGCUCGCCCGCUUGCGCCUGCCCCCUCGCGCCCGCCUGCCACGUGGCGGGCCAGGGAACUUUCGGUUCCAAAUUCAUAAAUAUAUAAAUAUAAAGUUUGGUGUUAUUUGUAUUUAGCAAUAUGUUUGAAUGUUGGCAAAUGAAUACAUUCAUCAAAACAAAUAAAACAAUGUUACUAAAUUUUAUAAUAAAUUACACUUAUUAAAAUGUUGCUAAAACUAGAUAUUCUUGUAGUGAUAGCGAACUAGUAGAGAUUCUUAAGGGUAUCCAUCUCACCAGGCUUUUCCAGAAGGUAGUAGACGCCGGCACUAAUACUGGCCUGAGCCAGCACCUCACAUUGAAAAAAAAUUCAUAUGAGAUAAAUAUAUAUACUUGAAACAUUGAAAAAAAAAACCUUACUUAAAACUACUGUCCGAAAGAGAGCAAUUUGACACAUGUUUAUGAAAUCAUCCAAAUACGCGCCCAGUUGUAGGUCCAAAAGUACUACAUCGAUGCGCACCGACCUCUCAAGGCGAUCGGCAAUUAUGUUCCUUCCCUCACGAAGAGAAGAGCGCGCCAAAACUGGCCUGAGAAUGAAACAAUAAUAAUAAACACAAAUUCCAAAACCUAAACCCUAAACUAUUAUCGUGCAAACAAAUGUUGGUGUUAUUUGUAUUUAGCAACAUUUAUGUUUGAAUGUUGGCAAAUAAAUAUAUUCAUCAAUACAAAUAAAAAAAUGUUACUAAAUUUUAUAAUCAAUGUCACUUAUUAAAAUGUUGCUAGUAAAAUGUCCCUUCAAACAUACUACAUCGAUGCGCACCGACCUCUCAAGGCAAUCGGCAAUUAUGUCCCUUCCCUCACGAAGAGAAGAGCGCGUCAAAACUGGCCUGAGAAUGAAACAAUAAUAAUAAACACAAAUUCCAAAACCUAAACCCUAAACUAUUAUCCUGCAAACAAAUGUUGGUGUUAUUUGUAUUUAGCAACAUUUAUGUUUGAAUAUUGGCAAAUGAAUAUAUUCAUCAAUACAAAUAAAAAAAUGUUACUAAAUUUUAUAAUCAAUGUCACUUAUUAAAAUGUUGCUAGUUAAAUGUUUCUAAAGCUUGAUAUUCUUGUAGUGAUGGCGAACUAGUAGAUAUUUUUAAAGAUAUCCAUCUCACCAGGCUUCUCUAGAAGAUAGUAGGCGCCAGCACUAAUACUGGCCCGAGGCAGCACCUCACUUCUCUCAUCACACAUGGCUGCUGAUAUAUAUACUUGAAACAUUAAAAAGAAUUCAUAUGAAAUAAAUAUAUAUACUUGAAAUAUUGAAAAAAAAAUCUCACUUAAAAUUGCUGCCCGAGAGAGAGCAAUUUGACACGUGUUUAUGAAAUCACCCAAACACACGCUCAGUUAUAGGUCCAAAAGUACUACAUCGAUGCGCACCAACCUCUCAAGGCAAUCGGCAAUUAUAUCCUUUCUCUCACAAAGAGAAUAGCACGCCAAAACUGGCACGAGAAAAAAACAAUAAUGAUAAAUACAAAUUCCAAAACCUAAACCCUAAACUAUUAUCCUGCAAACAAAUGUUGGUGUUAUUUGUAUUUAGCAACAAUUAUGUUUGAAUGUUGGCAAAUAAAUAUAUUUAUCAAUACAAAUAAAAAAAUGUUACUAAAUUUUAUAAUCAAUGUCAUUUAUUAAAAUGUUGCUAGUUAAAUGUUACUAAAACUUGAUAUUCUUGUAUUGAUGACGAACUAAUAGAGAUUCUUAAGGAUAUCAUCUCACUAGGCUUCUCCAGAAGGUAGUAGACGUCGGCACUAAUACCGGCCCGAGCUAGCACCUCACUACCCUAAUAACAUAUGGCUGUCGAUAUAUUUACUUGAAAUAUUUAAAAAGAAUUUAUAUGAAAUAAAUAUAUAUACUUGAAACAUUGAAAGAAAAAUCUCACUUAAAACUGUGCCCGAGAGAGAGCAAUUUGACACGUGUUUAUAAAAUCACCCAAAAACGCGCUUAGUUGUAGGUCCAAAAGUACUACAUUGAUGUGCACCGAUCUCUCAAGGCAAUUGGCAAUUAUGUCCAUUCACUUAUCAAGAGAAGAGAACGCCAAAACUGGCACGAGAAAGAAACAAUAAUAAUAAACACAAAUUUCAAAACCUUAGCAUUAAACUAUCAUCCUAGAAACAAAUAUUAAUGUUAUUUGUAUUUAGCAACAUUUAUAUUUGAAUGUUGGCAAAUGAAUACAUUCAUCAAUACAAAUAAAAAAAUGUUACUAAAUUUUAUAAUCAAAGAAUUCAUAUGAGAUAAAUAUAUUAUAUAUAUACUUGAAACAUUGAAAAAAAAAAACUUCACUUAAAACUGCUGCCCGAAGGAGAGCAAUUUGACACGUGUUUAUGAAAUCAUACAAAUACGUGCUCAGUUGUAGGUCCAAAAGUACUACAUCGAUGCGCACCGACCUCUCAAGGCAAUCGGCAAUUACAUCCUUUCCCUCACCAAGAGAAGAGUACGCCAAAACUGGUAUGAGAAUGAAACAAUAAUAAUAAACACAAAUUCCAAAACCUAAACCCUAAACUAUUAUCCUACAAACAAAUGUUGGUGUUAUUUGUAUUUAGCAACAUUUAUGUUUGAAUGUUGGCAAAUGAAUACAUUCAUCAAUACAAAUAAAAAAAUGUUACUAAAUUUUAUAAUCAAAGAAUUCAUAUGAGAUAAAUAUAUAUACAUGAAACAUUGAAAAAAAAAACCUCACUUAAAACUGCUGCCCGAAGGAGAGCAAUUUGAAACGUGUUUAUGAAAUCAUCCAAAUACGUGCUCAGUUGUAGGUCCAAAAGUACUACAUCGAUGCGCACCGACCUCUCAAGGCAAUCGGCAAUUACAUCCUUUCCCUCACCAAGAGAAGAGUACGCCAAAACUGGUAUGAGAAUGAAACAAUAAUAAUAAACACAAAUUCCAAAACCUAAACCCUAAACUAUUAUCCUACAAACAAAUGUUGGUGUUAUUUGUAUUUAGCAACAUUUAUGUUUGAAUGUUGGCAAAUGAAUACAUUCAUCAAUACAAAUAAAAAAAUGUUACUAAAUUUUAUAAUCAAAGAAUUCAUAUGAGAUAAAUAUAUAUACAUGAAACAUUGAAAAAAAAAACCUCACUUAAAACUGCUGCCCGAAGGAGAGCAAUUUGAAACGUGUUUAUGAAAUCAUCCAAAUACGUGCUCAGUUGUAGGUCCAAAAGUACUACAUCGAUGCGCACCGACCUCUCAAGGCAAUCGGCAAUUACAUCCUUUCCCUCACCAAGAGAAGAGUACGCCAAAACUGGUAUGAGAAUGAAACAAUAAUAAUAAACACAAAUUCCAAAACCUAAACCCUAAACUAUUAUCCUACAAACAAAUGUUGGUGUUAUUUGUAUUUAGCAACAUUUAUGUUUGAAUGUUGGCAAAUUAAUAUAUUCAUCAAUACAAAUAAAAAAAUAUUACUAAAUUUUAUAAUUAAUGUCACUUAUUAAAAUGUUGCUAGUUAAAUAUUGCUAAAACUUGAUAUUCUUGUAGUGAUGGCGAACUAGUAGAUAUUUUUAAGGGUAUCCAUCUCACCAGGCUUCUCCAGAAGAUAGUAGGCGCCAGCACUGAUACUGGCCCGAGGCAACGCCUCAUUUCUCUCAUCACACAUGGCUGCCGAUAUAUAUAUUUGAAACAUUGAAAAAUAAUUCAUAUGAAAUAAAUAUAUAUACUUGAAAUAUUGAAAAAAAAAAUCUCACUUAAAAUUGCUGCCCGAGAGAGAGCAAUUUGACACGUGUUUAUGAAAUCACCCAAACACACGCUCAGUUAUAGGUCCAAAAGCACUACAUCGAUGCGCACAAACCUCUCAAAACAAUCGGCAAUUAUGUCUCUUCCCUCACAAAGAGAAUAGCACGCCAAAACUGGCACGAGAAAGAAACAAUAAUAAUAAAUACAAAUUCCAAAACCUAAACCCUAAACUAUUAUCCUACCAACAAAUGUUGGUGUUAUUUGUAUUUUGUAACAUUUAUGUUUGAAUGUUGGCAAAUUAAUAUAUUCAUCAAUACAAAUAAAAAAAUGUUACUAAAUUUUAUAAUCAAUGUCACUUAUUAAAAUGUUGCUAGUUAAAUGUUGCUAAAACUUGAUAUUCUUGUAGUGAUGGCUAACUGGUAGAUAUUUUUAAGGGUAUCCAUCUCACCAGGCUUCUCCAGAAGAUAGUAGGCGCCAGCACUAAUACUGGCCCGAGGCAGCGCCUCACUUCUUUUAUCACACAUGGCUGCCGAUAUAUAUACUUGAAACAUUAAAAAAUAAUUCAUAUGAAAUAAAUAUAUAUACUUGAAAUAUUGAAAAAAAAAAUCUCACUUAAAAUUGCUGCCCGAGAGAGAGCAAUUUGACACGUGUUUAUAAAAUCACCCAAACACACGCUCAGUUGUAGGUCCAAAAGUACUAUAUCGAUGCGCACCAACCUCUCAAGGCAAUCGGCAAUUAUGUCAUUUCCGUCACAAAGAGAAUAGCACGCCAAAACUGGCACGAGAAAGAAACAAUAAUAAUAAAUACAAAUUCCAAAACCUAAACCCUAAACUAUUAUCCUACCAACAAAUGUUGGUAUUAUUUGUUUUUAGCAACAUUUAUGUUUGAAUGUUGGCAAAUUAAUAUAUUCAUCAAUACAAAUAAAAAAAUGUUACUAAAUUUUAUAAUCAAUGUCACUUAUUAAAAUGUUGCUAGUUAAAUGUUGCUAAAACUUGAUAUUCUUUUAGUGAUGACGAACUAAUAGAGAUUCUUAAGGAUAUCAUCUCAUCAGGCUUCUCCAGAAGGUAGUAGACGUCGGCACUAAUACCGGCCCGAGCUAGCACCUCACUACCCUAAUAACACAUGGCUGCCGAUAUAUUUACUUGAAAUAUUUGAAAGGAAUUCAUAUGAAAUAAAUAUAUAUACUUGAAACAUUGAAAAUACGAAAUUCGCCGUUUAAUUCGUAUCUUAAAAAAUACGCGAAUAAUUCGCGUAUUAAUCGCGAAUUAACUAACUAAGCUUAAAAAUGCUGCCCGAGGGAGAGCAAUUUGACACGUGUUUAUGAAAUCACUCAAACACAAGCUCAGUUGUAGAUCCAAAAGUACUACAUCGAUGUGCACCGACCUCUCAAGCCAACCCGCAUCCAUUCACUAGAGUGUCUUGGACCUGCCAAGCCCAAAACGAGGCCCAAGUACCACCGAAAUUGCAGCCCAUUGGUCUAUACUCGUAUUUUCCACUUUUGCAAUGUAGCCGUCUUAGCAAGUUAAUUUUACAUUUCAGUAUGCAUUAGUAGAUGAUAUAAAUACCAAGAUGUAAUGUGAACAGGGCAUGAAUGGAAUAUCGAAAUCUGCUUCUUCCCCAAUUAUCCUUCUUCUUCUCUAACCUUCUCCUUCCCCCCUCUCAUCUCUCCCCAUCUCUCUGUAUCUCUCCAUCUCAAUUUCCCCUCUCCUCUACUCUCUACUCUCUACUCUCUACUUCUCUUUCUCUUUUCUCUGUCACUAUCUCCCUUUCCCUUACCUCUUCUAGCUCGGUUACCUCGGAUCGGCGACUCAAGGCCACCAUCAUCCUCAUCGCCGACCAAGCCUCAGAGCAAUCUCAUCAUCGGCGGCUGUGACAGGUCCGGGGUUAUUACAGUAAAAUCACCCAAAACACGAGUUGUCUAAACAAAGUACUUUUACAAAAAAAAUUUCUCUUCCAAUAUGUAUGAUUGAAUUCCAAAUAUAACAAUCGUAGAGGAGCAAAUCCGUAAUUAUAUUUUUCCCUUCAUCUAUAAUAGAGCACGUCAAAACUUCCCCCAUAAUAAUAAUUAUAACAAUAUUUACUAGUAACAUAUAAUAUAUUUUUUUAGACUAAAUUAUAGAAAAACUCCCUGUCAAAAUCCGAUUUUUCACUUUUUUUCUUUCUCUUUUAAAAACCUACACUUUACCCCUUUGUAAAAUGAAAAAUGUUCACAAGGGAACAGUGUGAAUUGUGAUGAUAAAAUGAGAAUUUUGCCCCUCAUCAUGUUCACAAAAGAAAAGGCUGAGGGCAUUUCUGGCAUAAAAAUAUAUAUAAUAAUAUUUUAUAAAUGAAAUCCUAACGGAUUACUAACGGCAUGGGACGAAGUGAACAUUUUUUAUUUUACAAAGGGGCAAAGUGUAGGUUUUUAAAUGAUAGGGGGAAAGUGAAAAAUCGGGUUUUGACUGGAGGGUUUUAUGUAAUUUAGCCAUUUUAUUAUUAUUAUUACGAACGCAUAAUAAGGAUAGCGAUCUGAUAAAUGUGGACGAAAUCAGCCAAAUAAACUAUUAACAGUAACUGCAAUCAGUUCUCGUCUCCACUGAAGGCAGGAAUUCGACUAGGCCGAAGGAUGUAUUGGUAGCAAAGAACUCUAAUUUUGAUUUCUAAAAGGGAAAUUGGUAAAAAUUAGCAAGCGACUCGACGAUCUCUGGAUCGAAUAUUCCCUCAGAAGAAAAGGAGAAUGAAGGGCUUUGAGCAAACUCCUAUCCAACACCAUUCCAAAUCCUCUAAUUUGUGAAUAUGUAUUUGGAUUUUGCUAGCAGAUUCGAAUUUGGAAAUCGAAUUCAGAUUUUGAGUUAAAACUAAAUAAUUUAGAGGAAUUAAGAAUAGGAUUCAAGUUCACUAUUUUUCCUUUGUAUUCGAAUUAUCCCAGUUCGAAACUAUUUUGGUGUUUUCUCGAUAUGGGACGUACCCAUUAUAGAUUUAUAGAUUCCAUAUUUGACUUUUUCUUUUUGAAUUCUCAAUUCUUGUUAUUUAUUUGUUCCUUAGUCUUUUUAAAGUUUUAUUUAGAAAUGCAUGGCAAGCCAUUAAUUUUGUCCUUAAUUUCAAAUUUUUAUUAAAUAUCCACCUCAAAUUUGUAUCUAUUUGAUAUCCUAUCUGCACUUGAAUCCUUUUUAUCGGAUAUGGAUUUAAAUUUUAGUAUUAGGCCAAUAUCCAAAUCCAGAGCCCAUAUUGAAUAAUGGAUAUGGAUAUGGAUUAGGCACCCAUCCGGCCCGCUUUUGCCCUAGUUAUGUGAGAUUAUAUAGAACAAAGUCAGGCACGAAGCCAGUAUUUAGGCUCGCGGGAAGUCAAAAUAUAUAAUAUAUUUGUCUUUACACCCAUAGACUUCUAUUGGCCCCUAUUUUUUCAUUUUUCAUGUCAAUUUUCUAUUUUUGUUUUUGUUUUUUUAACUAAAAUCCAAUUGUUAAUUAUUGGAUUUAUGGGUGUAAAAUUACACCCCUAUAAAUGGUGUGCUAUUAAGAGUUAUGUACAUACUAAUCAAACGGUGUUGCAGUUAUGAAUUCAAAUUUUAGUGUCCCCUUCUCUUCUAAGGGUCCUACACAUAAUCGACGAUUUUCAAACAUGAUAUCUAAUUUAUCGAGAGAUUAAUAGAUCCUACUACUCUAUGAGAUCAACCGCAGUCAGUAUCAUGUUGUUUGAACUGUUAUUUUGCGUGUCACGGAGCUCGACUUGUAGGAUGCAUAAGCUUGAUCCAGCCCCUCAGUAAAUCCUAAAGAUCUAUUUGAUGUUUGUUUUAUGUGGUUUGAGGAAGAACAUUUUCAGCAGCAGUCAGUUCACGUCUUGCUAAAAACACAAAGAAACACAGUUGAAGUUUAAAACUGACAACCAGAUUUCUAUAAAACUCUGAAGCUAGUGAUCGACAAGAAUUAAUUUGACAGUUCAGCACAUUUGUUUGGAGAUCAUUUUCUGAAGCCGUUUAAAAUCUGAAACUUUUCGAUAUUAAUUCUCAAAUUUCGAACUGAUUUUGAAAUAACUUUUCAAAGUCAUGGUCUGCACCAUCAAUGUUCUGCUAGAUUUCAUUAGACUGCGAAGGCCACCUACGAUGCCGAGAUGCUUUUUCUUUUUGUUUUUAGAUUAAACACGGUAGAGGCCCCAAAAUUAUUUACAUUACAGGAGUAAAAUUAAUAAGUACAACACAGUUAAAUCACCUUUUAAAUUUUGGGCCGUAUGAUCGUUAAAGCACGUCGACUGAAACCAUGAAUCUAAUUAGGUGUAUAUAUGCAGUAAACAGAGAAGAAAAGACCCACAGAGUGGUCCACAGAAACCACCUCGUCCACCAUAGAACUAGGAAAUUAAAAUGAUGCAUGUAUAUGGUCCCCUAGUUGUAGUGCACUAACACUCUGAGUUCCAUUGACCAAAUUGUUUUUGAGUAUUUCUCAAGCAUUGCUGUUGAGAUCCUGCUCACCAACACAUGCCAUGCUCCAUUAUUAUUACAUGUACAAGAGGGAGAUACACAUGCACCUUUAUGAUCUAGACCUAUAAUAUAAAAGCUACCUCAGGUAGAGGAGUUCAUGCCUAACGAAAAAAGAAAAUUUAUUAGUGCGUAUAAUAUAAAUUAUCUCUUGAGUAUAGUUAUCUAAAUGAAUAUUAACUUUUUGGUUAAUGUUGCAUGGACAGUAGAAUCUUGGUUGGAGUAAUAAACUAGUAUUCUCAAAUCCAACUUUGCCUAGCUAGCUUCUGGAAGAACUUCCACAAGCAGUUGUUGAGAAUUUAGCAGCAAGAAAGUGCAAAGUUUGUGGCUUAAACGGAGAUUUGAAAUAAUCCAAAGAUAAAGCGUGGAAAGAGAUAACUAUACUGUCGGAUCAUUAGCCUCUGACGCAGUGCAAAGUUCUUGAAAACAUUCUAAUAAAAAGUUUGUUAGUACUUUGUCGAGCAGCGCUACUUAAAUAGAAUUGUGAAACGUAUCUUCAGCUAGUUAAGCUUGACGUAUCCGCCUUUCAAAGUUUGAAUCAUUCUUACAGGCUUUCUAAAUGAAGGCCCAAUAUUGAAAUGCUUCAGAAAAGCUGAAGCCCACAAAACCCAAUCAUAUUUUUUUGUCAGCAUGAAAGCAACCUAUAUAUAAAUAUAUAUAUACUACAAUAAAAGUCAGGUUUCAGGAAGGAAUCUUCCAUACAAGAAGUUAAGGUACAAGCAAAUGCCAUUAAUACAAAGAUACGCACGCCCUCCUCUUCUUUUAUCUAAUUUAGAAGCGUGUGAAGAGCUUGAAUAAGAUCAUCUUCUCAAUGUAGGAUCCUGUUCCUCUACACAGUACACACUCAUCCAAAUCCACCACUUUAAUGUGCAAUAGGGUUACUAUUAUCAAGUUAAUUGGCAUUAUCACAGUGUGGGGAAAAGAGAGAUGCUCUCCUUUAUUGAGCAAGUGGAUGCACAUAUAUACAUUCCCCUGGUUCUUUCUCUAGCCCAUAUAGCUCUAACCAAGCACAAUUAGGUGAGCAUUUAUUUAUUUUUGAGAAAGGUGAGAGUUUAUUUAUGAAGAAAGAGAGAGUGCAUCUACUGAGCUCCAAUUGUGAAGGGAGAACACCCAAAUGCGUGCUUACGAGUAAUUCAGUUCCCUGGUUCUGUUUUUUUUUUUUUUUUUUUUUUUUUUUUUUUUUUGGCUCUUUUAAAUUGAUAUACUCUUACCUAUAUGUACAUGUCUACCUAAUUCUCUCCUUAAUUCCCUACUAGCCAGAAAAAAGGAUUUCGCUAACAAAUAGUGUAAGUGUUGUCAAAAAUUCGAAUUUGAAAUCGACUCAUUUGUGUUUAAAAUUUGUCUCUCUCCUAACCAUUGUCGAUUUCGCUAACAAUCGGAAUAUGCUCCAGCAUUCAAAAAUUCCACCUAAUUAGUGGAAAAUAUAAUUUGGUUUUUUUUCCCCUCUAAUUCAUAAUUAGUUUAUUAAUGGGAAAUUUGUGUAAGAAUCAUGAGAACAAGGACUUGGUACAACAACCGUGACAUCAACUGAUCAAGUUGAUGAGCCCCAUGUCCUGUAAUGUGACCCUCUGUUCUAUUGGAGGAAGCCCCGCACACGUCUCCAAAAUGCUCCAUCAUAAGGGGUCCCAAAAAAUGGACGGCCCGGAUCAUCCUUGGAAGUUCCUUAUUUGGCCCGCGAAUAACGGUGGAGGGUUCUUUUUGAACGGUGAUCCGAUGCGCCACAACUUACAUCGGACACUCAACCUAACGAAUAGUAAUUUGACACGUAAUCGUCGAAUCUCCCGUUCAUGGGCCAUGAGAAAUUUUUGGCUGGACCUGGUUCACCGUAGACCAAUCGCCUACGACGCACGAAAUAUCUCUUUGAAUGUGAUUUACCUUGCAUUAAAGCGCUGAGUGCAAAAAAAAGUUAUAAUUAUUUUUUUUGUUAACUAAUGUUAGCUUUGUAAUACAGUUAAAUUUUUAAAAAAAAUUUAAUUUCUAAUAAUAGAUUUUUUUCAAAACGUUGUAUUCUUAAUGUGCAAAUUAUUUUGAGACCGUAGAGCAUAAUUUACAAUUUUUAAUUUAAAUUUUCUGAAAAUUUUAGGCUUGCUCAGGGAUGUGGUGGACCAAGAAUUUCUCUCUUUUCAGGGCCUAGAUAUCCUCCAUGUGCACUACGUGGCAAGAUCACAGCCGUCGAAUAAAUUGUAGGGACUACACGUGUUUAUUUAUUUCUCUCGCGCUCCUCUUUCUCCUUUUAACUUUGCUUCUGUGCGUGGUUUGCUCCUCCCAUCCAUGUACCAAAAUAACUCCAAAAAUAGAAGGCAAAAAUUGUAUAGAAACCUCUUAAACUAUACCAUUUGUAAAAUAGCCUCCUCAAAAUUUUAAUUUCUUUUUUAAAUUUUAAACUUUUUCUUAAUUAAUUAGUUUUCUUUAAGUCUAAAAUUUAAAUUAUUCUUAAGCAAAUAUGAUCGAAACAAUUAUGGAUUAACAGCUGAAAAGAGCUAUUAAACUACACAAAAGCUUUUAACCCCCCUAGAAAAAUAUAAAAUUAAGGAAUUUAUUUUAAAAUAAGCUAUAAUUGAGGAGAUCUCUAAUUCUCUAUACUGCAUUUUUUUCACUAAAAUUAAAGAGAGAGAGAGAGAGAGAGAGGAAAAGAACAACCACCUCUCUUUCUCUCUCUCUCUCUCUCUCUCUCUACACUUCUCUCUAUAUCUCUUCUCUCUCUGACCCACUCUUAGAAGAGUAGAUUUUCCACGCUCUCCGAGAAACGAUAACAGAGUGUGUUAGAGAGAGAAGCAGAGACCCCCAACAGCUCAAAUCCCCUUCUUUUUAGAUCCUCAACUUCUCCAAAAAGCCCCACAAAAUCUCACCUGGCAAUGGCUUCGAGGAUCAAGAAUCCACAAGAUCUAAGCAAAUCUCCGAUGCCCAUUUGAGUUCUUGGAUUGAUUGGCUCCUCAGAUUUCCGUUUCUCCUCUUUCGUUUUUUUUGUUUUUUUUUGGCGCUUCUUCUAUCCCCUGCUCUGCUCUGCUCUGGUUAUGAUGGAAACAGAGAGGAGGUGUCAUCAGAAGCACAGAUGCAAACACUGCGGGAAGAGCUUCCCUUCGGGGAGGUCACUGGGGGGCCACAUGAGGUGCCACGCCCCCCCUGCAGCCCCGGCGACCGCCUCCCCUGCUUCGGAGCCCGACGAUAAGCCGCAGAGCGGCCGCAGCGUCGUCGGCGUCUUCUCCCCGGCUUACGGCCUGCGACAGAACCCCAAGAAGACGUGGUGGAUAUCGGCCGACAACGUUCCUGCGCACGGCGGCGCCAACAAGUCCUGCAGGGAAUGCGGUAAGCGCUUCGCCUCUUGGAAGUCUCUGUUCGGCCACAUGAGGAGCCAUUCUCUGAAGCAAUUGAGCACAAUUGAGCAAGAAGAAGAAGAAGAACAAGAAGAAGAAGAAGAAGAAGAAGAAGAGCAACAACAGCAACAGCAACAGCAACAGGAACAGGAACAGCAGAGCAAAGCAGAGGAGGAGGAGGAGGCCUCUCGGAGCCGAUCGGAUACCGUGUUCGGUAACGUGCACGUGCCGAGGAAGAGGAGGAGAUCGAGAAGGGCCAUUGCCUCGUGCUCGGUUUCGGCAUCGGAGGAGUACGAGAAAGAGGACGAGGAAGGGGCCAUCACGCUACUCAUGCUCUCCAGAGAUGUGAGGUGUUGGAGCAGUGGCGGUGGCGGUGCCGGCUUAAUCCACUGUGUUCAAGAGUCAUCUGAUAAGAACUCUGUGGUUGUGGAGAACAAGAGGGUGGAUUUGGCUUCUGACGAGAGCGAAGAGACGAAGAAGGCGAAGAGAACGCGGAGAUCUCAGCUGGAUGAUUUGAGAAAUGGGCGUCGGAGUAGAGGGAUCGAGAAGGUGGAAGAAUCUGAUGCUUCCGACAAUGGAUUAAUCGGAGAUCAUGGAUUUGAGCAAUUCGACGACACCCGCAGGGAUCCGAGUUCGAAUUCCGCUUCCGAAUUCUGGAUCAAGAGGGAGGGAUCCGAACUCGAGGCUUCUCUGCAUGGCGCUUCCAAUGGCGAUUUCGACGACGAUAAAUUGGCGGAGAAGAGACGGAGGAAGAGCAGAUCAUUCGAGUGCGUGGACUGCGACAAGGCCUUCCACUCCUACCAAGCUCUCGGUGGCCACAGAGCAAGCCACCACAAGAGGAUUGAUCAGAACGCAGAUCUCAUAGCGCGCCGCGGUGGAUCGGGGAAGAAGGCGGCGGAUCACGAGUGCUUGAUCUGCGGCAGGAGCUUCGCGUCGGGGCAAGCAUUGGGAGGCCACAAGAAGUCCCAUUUGGGCUUAAUUCAGCAGCAGAAGCUGCCCGAGAAGCCGGACGCGCUGCUGGAUCUCAACAUUCCGGCUUCGACUACGGAGGGGGACUGCGUUAGUACGAACAACGGGUCGAUUCUGAGCUCCAUUUAUGGCGGAUUGGCGGAAGCAGCAUGCAGCAUGCAGCAUGAGCCAUUAGUGGGUGUGCUCUCAAAUUGAUCGACGAAGCGCUUUCCGAAGCGGUGUGUAUAGAAUCAUUUCCUAAUUUCCUCCACCUGGAUUCAACAGUGAGGUAAAAGAUCCAUCUCAUGAUCUCCUCCUAGUUUGUUUUCUUUCUCUGAGAACACUCUCUCUUCUUCUUCUUCUUCUUCUUCUUCUUCUUUUUUGUUUUUCUUUUUUGAGAUACUCAUAACAAAUUUGAUGAUUGAGGUGUUGGUAAAGCACAAUGUUGGAUAGUUCUGGAGCUCACUGAUUUGUUUUGUGACCGCUAGUUUACCGAAAAUGGAUUCUUUUUGAGUUUUUUUUUGUUUUUCUCUUUCUCUUUUUUUCCUGAGAUAUACUCAAUUGUAUUUUGUCAAGGAGUUCAAUAGUUCAUUGGAGAAAUUGAUUCUUUCUUUUACCCUUAUUAUGUGCUCUUUUUUCCUGCAAUUUGAGUACCGUAACCUGGAAUGGCAAAUGGGAAGCUCAAGUGUGUUUCUCUGUAGUUUUUAUUAGAUGCAAUGUGAAUAGGACUCUUAAAGUUUUAAGUAAUAGUUUUAAGUAAUAGUUGUAAGUUCAACUUCAAUGAUCAGUAAGUUUUCUCCUGUUCAAUAAUGUGUUUAGUGAUUUAAAAUACUCUUUUUUAAGUUUGUUUGUUUUGUUUUGUUUUGUUUUGUUUUGUUUUGUUUUUCUUUUUUUUAUCCUCCUGAGUUGCUCUGAGGAUACAAUAAAAAGUCAAUGUUGGUGCUAUAACCUAACUGGCUUUGUUAAUAUAAUAUUGUAUUCUCAACCUCCUAAAUGUUGCUUAAAAUUUGGUGGUUAGAAACAAGUCAUUUACAAAAGCAGUUCGGAGGUUCUCUUUUCUUCUGUGUUGUGCUUAUCUGACAUUAUUGAUGAAAUUGUAAACACAGGGGGUGUUUUGAGUAGUCAUCCAAAUGAGAUGGAAACAAAGUACCUGACAUAGUAGGAUUUAGAAGCUUCAAGCUCAGGCUAGAAAUGAUAGGGUUCUUUUUUUUGGGUGGGGGAGGGGAGGAACAUUUUUAGAUGUUUAAUUAUAUAUAUAUAUAUAUAGAUGUGUAAUGGGCUUUAACCAUGGUAUUUUUUUUAAAAAGAUUAGUAUGAGAACAUGUGAUAUGUGAAGUUGGUUGUUCACUUGUCCACCAAAACACAUGACAACCCAUCUCCCCCCUAACCUAUGUUGGGUGUCCUUUUCCUUUCCAUGCUUUAAACCAGUAGAAUACUGCUUAUGCAUAUCUUUAUUGUGGGGGUGGGAGGGGGUUUAAUGCUCUUCAUGCACUUUUCUUUCACCUCUCCAUAUAGUCCAGCUUAUCAACAACACUUGUGAGCCCAUAUAUGUCCUUUUCUUUCCUUACCUUUUCUUCUUCUUCUUUUUUUUCUUAUUUAUUUAUUUUUUUCCCUUCUUCUUGGCACUUGGCAUUGGGAUGCAUGAAGCCUUAAUGAGAGGCCUCACUAUUCAAACCCUAGCCCCUUCCUCACUAUUCUCUCUACACAUUCACACCCUUUUGAAGAAUUUAUAUCUAAACGUAUUGGCAUAUAAAGUACUUGUAAGGUAAGUCUCAUUGGAAGGAAUUUAAAUGUCGACAAAGUUACUAAUAUGAAGCAAGUUGAAGAGUAAAAUAGUAAGCAGUAAAGUCGUAGACACAGCAAUAUUUCUUAUUGAGAGAGUACUUUGAAUCUUUUUUUGCGCUCACUUAAAGGCCAAUUAGAUUUCCCAAUAAGGCAUUAAUAAUGAGAUACACUUAGCUAUUGUAGUAAUGAGAUGUAUCUAGCUUGAUUAACCUAAAAUUAUGGCACAACAAAUUACGAUACCGUCGAAAAAAUGGUAUGAUUCAGCAAAAUUGGUUUCUUUGCGCAAUUUAUUGACUAAACUUUUAAGAAACAUGUAUAUGUAUAUAUAUAUAUAUAUAUAUAUAUAUAUAUAUAUAUAUAUAUAUAUAUAUAUAUAUAUAUAUACACACACGUAGAAAUUAACACCCACCAAAUUUAUCUCAUCAUGUAUCUGCUCUCUCACCCACACUUAAGCUUGCUCUCUUAUAAUUUCUCCACUUGUGUGGUAAGUGUAAAUGGGCCAAACGCUUAAGACAAAGCCCAAUUCAUUGGGGGCCCAAGAAGGCCUAUUUUGGUCCACUAUAUAGACCCAAUCAUGUACGUCUCGCUACGAGACGAAUCGGCCCAUGUUGUGAGACUUCUAAAGUUCACAAUAAUAAUGUGGAGGCCACACGAAAAAGUAGGGCUUGUGUAGGCCUUUUCGAUCAUUUUGGGUGCUUAUUUGACUCUGCUUUUAUUUUACUCUCAAUUACAGCUAUUUUUGAUGGAACGUUCGAUAGAUAUAUAUAAGAAUGGUUAAAAGUUUUGGUGUAGUGGAAAAGUUGAGAUCAAAUUUUAAGCUAUUUAAACUGAAGCUGGACUUUAGUCCUUACGAUGAUUAUGCGGUAUAAAGAAAGAUUAGUUUUAUUUUUUUAUAAUAUUAUUUUAAAUAAUACUUUAUAAAACAGUAAUGUGUUCUUUAAUGAGACCAACCCAUACUUAAUUCGAAUAAAUAGGUUGAUGUAUAACAAUGUCGUAGAAGUAGUGAGAUGAUGCACGAGCUACCCGACGUUCUCGUACACUGAUAUCGUGUAAAUUAUUUUGUAUAGUACUAUAAAAUGUACCGACAAAAUUAUCAUGAUCAUCGGCCUUAAAUUUUUAUAAAGUAAUAACGGAGGAAUAUGAACAAGGACGCAUUUUCAUUUUGACUCGUAAUUCGUUUCAUUCACCACCACGCAUAGAAAAGGACCACGAUUCCUAAAUAAUAAUUACUACUUUAAGGUACAAAUUUUUGUGCAUAUAUAUAUAUCAGUGCUGCUAUAAGUAUUAUAUAAUGCUGAUUUUAUGUACCAUUAAUAUAUUGACAAAUUUAUAUAAUAUAUAUUUCGAACUUUAUGCUUAAUCUAAUUAUAAUUUUUUAUAUUAUAGAUGCUAAUGUAUAUUGAAAAUACGGCAGAAAAUAUGUAUAGGGGGAUCUAAAGCAUUUCUCUAAUUCGGAGUAUCGCUGGUGUACGUACACCUGACGCGUACGAGGAAAAGUUGUCCCUUUUUUCUCUGUAAAGUAACAGACAAAAAGGGCAGAUGUAAAGUUUCCUCAGUAAAUAUUUGGAUGGGAUGUGUCGAGUACUUUUACCCACUAAUUGUCUUUUCAACUAAACAUAUAUAUUACAUAAAAGCAACAAAUAAAUGAAUGAGACUUUUUCUGAAAAUUGCAUGAGACCAGAUGCACUCCCUACGCAAAAACAGUGAUGCUUCGUUUUUGACGUAGAGAAAAUAAGAGGGGAAAACAAGAAAAUAAAUAACUUUUUUGUUGUGUGGAUUAAAGGGGAAAAAAAAGAAAGCUACUUUUUCUUUCUUUCUAUUUUUUGAGAGAAAAAGUUAAUUCAAAUGAGCGAAAAUUAUUGUGUGCAAAAUAGGCCAAAAGCAACAACAAAAGAAACAGUUUAAUAAGGUAAUUAAUACUUAGUUCAGAGUUUUACAAACUAUAUAACUAAAAAGUAAUUAGUGAGUCUACUUAGAGAAGAAGAUUACAUUCAUAAUUAGAAGAAAAAAAAGGAGGACAAAAAAAAAGAGAGGAACCAGCAAGUGGGCCUUGUGGCAUCAAAAACUGCCAACAUUAGAUGUCCAAAUUAAACUCAAAUAAUUAAUAAAUAACUACUCGAAAACAUUUAUAAGCUUUAUAAGCCUCUUGAUCUGCUCUAACGCAAUGCUGUACCAAGACGAUUGAUCGAUUGAUUCUUUAUGUAUAGACUCCAGGGUUUUCGAGAUCAUAAUAGCCGCUUGAUUCGCCACGAAACAUUCCAAGAAAACCUGCAAAAGUUGUUACAAACUCACAGCUUGGAAUCAAAUUCAUAAUGAGAUAAUCAAUUACAAUAAUUUUGUUAUAGGAAAAGAAUACUAAGAUUGACUAGUGCAUGAGUAAAACUGCAACAGUACUCCAUUUUCUUUAAAAAAAAAAACAUGUGAAACAAUAUAUAACAUGUAUAUGCGCACGUACUUGAACGAGUGGAUAGAGAGAUUAUGCUGUAAAUUAAUUAAUAAAUGGAAGAAUGGAAGUUAAAAGGUGUUCUUCGAAUUAAUUGUCACAAAAAAAGCAAGUUCUUUAGCUGUACAAAACGAGAGUGAAGCUCAGCAUCAUGACCAUAAUUUUAGUACUGGAGCCAUAAAUAUAGAAAAGAGAGUGGAAAAUGAAAAAGUUAGCCCCAUUAGUGCCAUAAUAUUAAUAAUCUUUUCGUCCUUUUCAUAAAGAUAUAUAUAUAUAUAUAUAUAUAUAUAUAUAUAUAUAUAUAUAUAUAUAUAUAGAAUCCAGGGAAAUAUAAUCCUCACAUAAGUUGUAUGCACCUGGUGUUAACUUAAUUAAUUACCAUCAUUUUGCAUCUUCAAAUUGCACUCUUACUCACACAACAAACUCCUUUGUGAUCACUUGAUAUAUAUCAUGUGCAGUUCACGCCAAUUAUGUGUUAUCAACUGAAAAUUUGUCCAAGUGCAUGUAUACAACCCAGUAUAUAUUCAUGCACUUUUCUUCUUGUUAUUUUUCCCUUUUACUAACAAGCUAGUCUCACUAUCGUGAGUGCGUUAAUGGCAAAAUGUGUUUAAAAAACAGAUCGAUUGCAUAUGUUUGAGAAAAGGUAAGUAAGAACAAGAGAGAUUGAGAUGUAUAAUUACCCAAAAUAUUCUCUUCCUAGCAAAUUAACUCCUCAUCCAUUUCUCAUUCCGGGCGGUACCAUAUCGCCCAACAACCCCUCGUCGACCGGAAUAGGAGCCGUUCUCUCCAGCGGUGAACUCUGGACCUCUUCUCGUAACAAUCCCACCAUUUCUCGGCCGGCCUCCGACAAGGGCGGAGGAGGGUUCGAGUUUUGGUAUAACUGCAGCGUCGACGUUGGAAGAUACAACUGCGCUUGGGACGGAUACGCGAUCUGUUCCGUGAGGACGGAGUUAUGGGUGUUGUGGACUAUGCCCGGAGUGCAGCGCGGAAAGGUUACGGUGUGGUGGCAAUGCUGGCCUUCGUAUGUGGUGAUCACUAUCGAGGGGUCCUCCGACGAGCGCUCGACUCGCUUCUUCACCGCGCACUUGCUGUUCGUGCACCGGUAGUAGCUUCUGCAAAUUAAGCGCCAAAUUUUUGGGAUUAGUUAUCUGAAGCAGCUGAUCCUAGUACUUGACUGCGAGUGCUCGUAAGAUCAGCUUGAAAAACAGUCUCUUUGAGAGAGAGAGAGAGAGAGAGAGAGAGAGAGAAAGAGAGAAACAUUAAAUAUUGUUUUGAAUAAUCCUUCAUGGUCAACAAUAACAGUGUGAGCAAGUGCAUGCAUGUACAGAGUUGAAUAUAUAGAUUAUGGUCAUUUAUUUCACAAAAUAUUUCUUCAUGGGAGAAAAACUAUAUAUGGGCCACUGCAAUACCAACAAUCACGAGUUUUAAUAUUUAUUUGAGUCUAAACUCUAAAGAGCCAAAAAUCGAAAAAAUUUGCCUCACAAAAACAAAAUUUUAGCGUGAAAAAAAAAAAAAAACGUAUGGAUUAUUCACUGCAACAACUAAAUAGGUAGACCUCAAUGCUGUCUUUUUUUUAAAAAAAAUUAUGUGUGUUUCCACUCAGCCAAGUAAAUGACACCACCCUUAUUUUGGCGUAUCAAAACAAUUUUCUCAAUCUGUUCCUGUUCUAACCUUUUAUGUUGUCGUCAAAAUUAUAUAAAAGCAUCGUUUUGUCAUGUACUAGAAAAAGUCCCCUUGUUAAUGAAUAUAUAUAUAUAUUCAGUAAAUUUGUGCUCCCAAGCAUGCAUGUUCUCCUACCCUUAUUUUACUUAAUGUGGUUUAUUUGAUCAGUGUAUGUCACAAAGUUAUGAGUUAUUACAUUGCUUAGAACACCUGCAGAAUAAGGAGACGUGCUUGGCUAAUAGAAGCUAAAACUACAAAAUUAAUUAGAUGAAUUAGUUGGUGACGUGAGACAAGUUGUGUUGCCCUAACCUUCAAGGCAUGCAUACGCAAACGCUGUACUACUACUACUAAAGAGUUCAUCCCACAAGCUAGCUUGCAAAUUGUAAAGCCUUAUCGCCAAUAUUGUACGCAAAAAAGAAAAAAAAGAAGACGAAAUUAAGACGAGAAAAUAAAAAGGUAUAAUAUAUAGUUCUAGGAAAAUAGAAUGGCGAUGACAAUAAUUUAAACAAAAUAGUCUAAGUUCUAAUGUUUUCAUAACUUUUGAUAAUCAGAGACUGUCGUAACAACGAGAUGUUCAUCCUUUGGACUGGAACAAAUCUAAGUGUAUCGCACAAAACAUCGAACAUAGAAAAUUUACUGAGGGGGUUAGCAUAAUUACCAAGAGCCAUAUAAUUGGAAUUAUGGAUCGAGCAGUCGAAAAGAGGUAAACUAAACUAAUUAACCAAUACUUAAAAAUGUAAUACAAGGAGAGAAAUUAAUAUUGUUGUAGUUACAGAAUGAAAAGGUUCAAUUGAAGUUAUUAAUUAAUUAACAUUAGCAGAUGAAUGAUUUGGUUCUGAAGUAGAGGAACGAAAAGGGGCGGAUAAAAUGUAGGAUUUAGAAAUUAAUAUUACCUAGGAUAUGGGCUGUUUUUGACAGCCUUUUGCCCGUAUUUUCGCCAGCGGUAGCCAUCUUCAAGAUGAUCUAUCUCGCUCUUGGUCAUGAAUGCAAAUCUUGGUUGACGGGUUCGCUUUUGUCCCCUCUUUACAGUUUUGCUCCUACACCCGCAAAGAUAUAAAUAUAUAUAUAUAUAUAUAUAUAUAUAUAUAUAUAUAUAUAUAUAUAUAUAUAUAUAUAUAUAUAUAAUUCUGAUCAGUAUCAACAUUGAUAGGUCAAAUUAUGAAAUCAGAUUCAUCGUAUAUAUCAGAUGACAAAUAAUUAGCAUGAAAUGUUCGUAAAAUACGACACUGCUGUACAGCACUGAAUGCAAAAUAAAUUACAACACAAUGAGUAGACUAUUAAAUUACAACACCAUUUAUAUAGAACGUAUUCGUGAGAACAUUAAAACAAAGGUAAAUUAAUUAUUCUGAUAAGGAAACAAAAAAAUGAGAGAGAAAAUCAUGAAGAUCGAGCAUCUAGGAGAAAGAUGUUAAUUAAGUGAGUAGAUAAAAUAAUAAUAAUUAGAAGGCAAGUCAACAAAGUAACUCUAGUACCUACAAUAUAUAGUAGUAAUCAAGCAUCUUUGAGCUAUUAAUUGUCAUGCACGCUGGUAAUUUAAGUAAUAUAAAGACUAAACUAAGAAGAUAAUCUACAAGUUAAUAAUAUAACAACAUUGGCGAGGAUACGGUAAUUGGGUUUUAAUACAAUUUUAAGCACAUUUUGAUGCCUCAAAAAAAAAAAAAAAAAAACAUAGUAAAUUUACAAUGCUUAAAGAUGGUAGCUAAUGUUGUUAUAUUAUUAACUUGUAGAUUAUCUUAUUAUUAUAUAUAUAUUUAUCUACAUGCACUAGAGAAGGAACAAAUAGUUCCACAUGCAUCGAUCGGUGCACUUUACACAUCUUUCUAAUAAUAAACAUAUAUUGUAUUUGUUCGUUUCCUAACGCUUUCUAUAAAUAUUAAAUAUAUAUAUAUAAUAAUAAUAUAAUAUAACAUAAUAUUUAAUUUAAUAUUUUAUUUAAUCUACAAAUAAAAUAAAAAAAACUGCAACCGCAUAUAAUCGAAAUACUAAACACGGAAUUCCCGCCGCGCGAUGUGGGGGUAAAAAUCACAUUCCCAGCAUAAUUACGAAACUGCCCCUCACUCUAACCGUUUUGCACCCAAUGUGAACGGAAUUACCCAUUACGCGUUUCUAUUUUUAUUUUCCUUUUUUUUACUUAUAUUUAUUUAUAAUUUUUGCCCCCCACUCUUUUAUUCGGAAAGAUGGGAAACGGGUUUCACGAAUUCGCCCCGGCCGAUGCUAGCUUAUUACGAAUUUGCCACUCGGAGAAGCUACGAGUAAUAGUGGUGGUGGUGGUGGUGGUAGUUUAGCAGUGGUAUAUAUAUAUACUACGAACUCACGCUGUUUCCGUUUGCUUCCCCUCCGUCUCCGGCGUCGCCUCCUCGCUCGAGCUCGACGACGCCGCGUCGCCCGAUCUCUCCGCCGCCGCCGCCGGAGGAGGCGCCGUCCCCUCCGCCGGCGCCGUGGCGAACGACUCCGGCGCGAGAUCGAACGGGGGGAUCCCCCACCCGAGCUCGCCGAGGAUGCUCGCGGAAACCGUCGCCUCGCCCCCUCCUCCUCCGCCGCCGCCGCCGCAGAGCUCGUCGAGGGAGGAGAUCUCGCCGUCGCCGGAGAAGGGCCAGGAGGCCUCUCCGGCGGCGGGGUCCGGUUGCGGCUCUCCAUGGACGGCGACGAUCGAUCCCCUUCGAUCCCGAUGGAGACGUAGACGAUCCGACCCGACCCGAUCCGAUCCGAUCGGGGUCGGAUCACCGAGGUGCGUACAAAAACUAGGGUUAGGGUUUCGAGCCCCCUCUCCCUCUCCCUUCUCUCUGCUCUUCUCUAUAAGCUCACUCUCUCUUCUCUUUUAUCUCCUUCCUCUUCUAAAAGCUUUACUAGUACUUUAUUAAUUUUCUGCUUAAUUUAUUUUAUUUUAUAAUUAUCGGUUUUUGGAGCGGACGCGUUGAGGGGCAUUUGGAACUUUCCCUGCCCCCCUCCUCACUCUCUCGCGUCACUCGCUACUCGAUAAAAGUCAUAAAGAGCGCCUUUAAAUAAUGAGAAAAUAAAUAUAUUUUGAGUACGUCCUGAGGUAAUAUUAUUAAUAUGUCGAUAUUAUAAUAUAAAAUAAAAUAAUAAAAUUAAACUAUAUAUAUAAAUUUGUAAUCAAGAUAAUUAUAUAUAAGAUAAUAUUAUAAAUUAUCUGUAAUGAUAGUAAUCUCCGGUUAGAAUAAUAGUGAUUUUCUAGAAUUAAGUGUGUGGUGGUUGAAUAUUAUAAUCUAACGAAUAGAAAUGAUUAAAGUGAUAGAUCUAAUUGUUGAAAAUUUAUAUUUAUAAGAGUACAGCUACGAUACUCAUAUAAUUAUACUAUUGAUGUGUUGAUAUUAUAGUAAUAGAAUAAUAAAAUUAUAAGGUAUCAUUAGUGAUAUUAUUUAAUAAUAAAUUAUAUUAUACUAUUCUCACGAUAUAUAAACAAAAUUUUUGGACCACUGGCGCCCGUACGAGCCGAAUAUACAUUUCCACGACUCCACAUUGCUCAAAAUAAAUUAAGAAUAAUCGGAAAAUUAUAAUUAUGAGAAUUAGCUAUUUAAUUAGCGGGUUGCUUAAGUAGUGCUUUAGCUUAUAAUAAAUUUAAAUCUCGUGUAGAAAACGUUGGCAUCAUAUCAUACAGUAUUUUUUUUUUUACUUUUAUUUUAUGCUUGCUAGAGAAUAACUUGUGUGUGAUUGCAAUUUAGAAAAUUUUAUAAGAAAAUACACAUUAUCUAUGAAAUAAGAUAUUUAAUUAAUAAAUAAGAGCCAUGCUUAACAAAGUAUUUGUACAUCUAGAUAGGGCCGUAAUAAUGAAUACGAUAAGUGCACUAUUUACAAGCCGUUUAUUGAAUGUGAAUAUUAUAAAUGUAAUAUGAUCGUAAAUAUAUGCAAUUGGAAAUAGAAAAUAUAGCGGGGACAAGUUGAGUAAAUUUGAACUUAAUUUCAACCUCUGCAAUCUCCAUCAUGUGAAUUAAAAAUAAUUGCACCAAGUAUCAUUUUCAAAUAUAUCCAUAAUUAUAAUUACGAUUCAGUUGUAACUACAUAUAACUCCUCAAAAUUAUGUUUUUUAUACUGCUUAAGGUUAAACAAAGCAAUUUAAUUAUUAUAGGUUUAUGGUACUUAAUAAUAAGUGUAUUUUUUUUUUCUCGUUUUGGUUCGAGUGGAAUGGUCUAAAUUGGGUACGGAAGCGUUGGGUGGGGAUUAAUUAGUACUCAAUGCAUUUUUAUUCGGCGUUUAAACAUGGGAUUCGGUGGGGGAUUGAAAAUGCGAAGGUUAAUAAUAAUAAAAAAAAAAAAAAAAAUUACCGGUGUCGUUCGUUAUCAUUGUCGUUUUUUUAUAUAUUUUAAAUAUUAUUNUUGGGAGGAGGUUGGUGGGGCCCAGCACGAAUCUUUUGAAACCUAACUUGGCCCGCACGGAAGCACGUCGCUCUCCGCGGAAUUUAUUGGUGCCUCUCUCUCCCGCUCUCACACUCCGUGUGCCGCGUCUACGAGGCUUAUCUCUUCGGUGUACAAGCGAGUACAUGGAAAAUGCGAAGGUUAAUAAUAAUAAAAAAAAAAAAAAAAAUUACCGGUGUCGUUCGUUAUCAUUGUCGUUUUUUUAUAUAUUUUAAAUAUUAUUUUCAUAUAAUUUGAUAUCGUAAAAAAAAUUUCAAUUCUAUAAUUGAUUAGCAGCUACUUAACUUAGAGUAAGUGAUAGCAGGCAAUUGGUUAAAAAAGAAAGAAAAUCUGAAAGUAAAAAAAAAGAGCUAUUUUUCAAGUUUUUAUUUGUAUGGACAAGUAAUUAAACAUUUUAGACCCAAAAAAGAAAGAUCUGCUCACUUCUACAGUAUUUAAUAUACAAAAUAUUUUAAAAAAUUAAAAACAAGCACCAUACUAAAUGAGGCUUGCACUUUUGGUUCUCAAACUAUAUAUGAGCAGUUCUCAACCUUUAAUUUGUUAAAAGUUUAGACUCAAAAUUUUUGAAUUGUUGUAAUAUAAUCUCACAAUUCAAUUUAGUUGACUAAAUAUUAACGUGUCCGUAAAUGAUUGAUGACACAGGUAUUAUUAUCUUUUUGGCAAUAAGGUUAGUAAAUUGGACAAAAUUUAUUCUUUAUGGCGUGACUAAAAUAACUCAAAUUAAAGUUGGAGGGUCUAUUUAAAAUUGAACCGUAGUUGAGGGGGGUCUCUUUGCAUUUUUAUAAUUUAGAAUCUUAUUCUUUGAUCAAAGAUUAGAAGGAUUUAGUAACGAUGGUACAAUUGCCUAAGUAAUUGGACUGUCUCAAGUUCCUUUUCUGCGGUGAUUAAAUGAGCGCAACAACACCGAUUUAAUGAGCUUUUGUACUAACAAUCAAAGGAAAAAAAAAAACAAUAAAUAGAUUCAAAAAUUGAGUGUAACCUUUAUAUUCCUCCCUCGAAAGGUUAAUUUUUUAUAUUUAUCUUAUCCAUUUUUUUUGAUAUUAUAAAAAAAAUUAAUAAGACCAGUGAGAAAAUAUUGGCUAACAUCUACUUUGUAGAUAUACGUGUAGUAUUGCUCACAAUCAAUUAAUACUCAAUGAAUUGAUAAGAAAAAUUAAUUAUUGAUAAGAAUGAACGGAUAGAGUUGUUGGUCCAAGGGGCUUUAUUGUACUAUUUUCGAUGCAAUUAAUGUUAUAUAAUAUAUAUCCACCUUUAAAAAUAGGUAGAAAUAAAAUUUGAAUGGUGGAAAUAUUUACACAAAUCUCCAAAAGUAACGAUUCUAGAGUGAAUGUAACAUUAAUUAUUAUUAAUUAUUAUUCCUAUGCUCGGUAAAACAAGUAAUAUAUAGCCUGAUCAUGCCUUUUUUUUCUUUUUUUUUUUUUUGAGAGAGAGAUAUAGCUCAUGCUAUAAAACCAAGGUGUGGAAGUUCAUGUGUUUCAUGCUUUCCUAGACAAUGAGCCACUUCUUUAACUUUUCCUUUUCUUUAUUCUUUACAUUUCCUCCAGUUGAUAGGAUGAUGGGUAUAUUUAGAUUGGUACUUCUCCUAGAAGAAGGAAAAAGAAAAAAAAAGAUAAUAAAAAAGGAAAAGUUGAGCACAAUAUGUGUGGGGAAUUGGCUUUAGAUAGGAACCCUGUCAAGGAGAAUGGAGUAGUAGCUUUCUCAUUGAAUUGGAAAGAUUUGGAAGCUUGUGGCAAGUGAAUUGGAUGGAUUUGAUUAGAGUUGACCAACCUAUUGUUACUACAAUAGUGAUUCCACUUAACCACUUAUACAUAUACAAUGUAUUCUACUACUAUAUUUCGAUGGCGAUGCUAGAUAGGAUUACCAUUCGAUAUCUCCGACAACGGUUGGCGAUAAACGUAGGAUCCCCAGCUUUCCUCCUCUCCCUGCAGAGUGGGCCUCACGAUUUCAUGGCAUAAUAAGCAUGACAUGACCUAAACUUGUCGCGGCAUAGCUUUGUACUUAAUAAUGAUCGAUCUAUUAUUAUGGUAGUGAUUUUGAUGAUGUUGAUGAUGGUGGUGAUGGUGCAGGUCAUUGCUCUAACAAUAUAAGGGAUGCAUAUAUAAAUAUCUAUCAACUAUUUGUUUUUAGCAAUGGAUCACUGAUGCAUGCCCAUCGUCACUGUGCAUCUUAUUAAGUAAGGCAUCAUUCUUUGGUUGCUCAAUGCAACAACUAACUCAUUCCACUUUCACCUCAUAUCUAUAGAGUCCGGCUGGGGUACUAUUGAUAGCACUAAGGAUUUGGUGCUAUCGAGUUUUCCACCGUUAGAUUUAAUUUUUUGAUUAUUUUUACCCAUUAAAUUAUACGAUUCAACCAACCACUCACUCAACCUAGGGAGCCCACAUCAUCCUAACCACCCAUUUAUCAAUCCAAAGGCUAAAAAAUCAAUAGCACUAAUAGGUUUGUGCUAUUGAUAGUAUUCCAGCCUAGUUCUAUAUAUAUAUAUAUAUAUAUAUAUAUAUAUAUAUAAUUGAGCUAGAAUACUUUUAAAAGCAUAAACUCCUUAGUACUUCUAAGUUUCUAGCCCUUGAAUCUACUUCUUGAUUACUAAUAGUUUUUGAAUCAAACAUUAUUUCACCUACCACCACCUACUACUAUCUAUCACCAUCAUCUCAAUCUCAUAUCCCUCCAUCCAAUGACUAAAAACUCAAAAGCACCACCUUCAUGGUGCUUUUGAGAGUAUUCUAGCCCAACUCUCUUUCUCUUUCUCUAUAUAUAUAUAUAUAGUUCUUUUAUUUUUUUUUUUUGAGAGAAUAUAUAGUUCUUUUAUGCAGUGAUGUUGUUGUUAGGAUAGUUUCCGUAGGGUCCCACACCUACCACAAGGGUGUAGCACCAUGACUGAGGCAAUAGUAAAGUACGAAGUUAAAAUAGUCUUAUAUAUAUGAAAAGGAUGAGUAUUUCUACAACUACGUUAUAAGCUACGAAUAUUUUAAUUUUCUUCUUUUCUGACAAAAACGGUGGUGUACCAUAUUGGUAGCAAUUGUGCUCGAGUACGUAUAUAAAUAUGAAGGGUAACUACUACGCUGUAACAACUUCUUCUUUUCUUUUUUUUCUUUUUCUUUUUUUCUUUCCUACUCAGCAAAUGUUUUCAUUUCCUACGCACAUCAUCGAUCCUAGUCCCUAGCUAGAUAACGAAGUAUGCAGGUUCUAAUGGUCCUACCAUUAUUAUUAUUAUUAUUAUUUCCUCUCUCUCUCUCUCUAUAUAUAUAUAAAUAUAUCACUGUUGUUAGUGGUGUGGACUAUUUAUCUCUGAGGAUGCAUGCUUCUUCUUCGUUCCUUUUGGAGCCGUGAAAGCUACAAAUGGAACCGUUUGAGCACAUGGAGAAUCUCAUCUUUGUGAUACAAAACGUACCGGGCGGUAUAAUAUUCUCUGCUGUGGAUUGGAGGAGCUAGAUCUCUCCUUUAAAAAAUUAUAUAUAUAUAAAUAUACACGUUUAUAUAGAUAUAUAAGAUAUAAAUUUGAUAAAAGUGAAAAAGAGAUAAUAUUUAUCCAGGAUCUCUAAAAGGAACGAUGUGGACCACUGAUCUACCGAUGGCUUUUCGGUAAAGCGGAAAGAGGCUUCUUGUCUGUGGGUGCGUUAGCUCCCUCCCCACUUGAAAAAAAUUGCUACCUUGGAACUUGAUUGCAUGAAUAGGGAGGUAAUUAUCUAAUCUAUCUAUUAGUAUAAAAGUUUCGUGCGUAUUACCCGCGCGACUAUUGUAUUAUUAUAAAAUUAUUUCUUAUAGAGUGGUUAAGGGGUACCUCUACUAGUGUUCAUAUAUACGUACAUAUACUCUGUGGGUGCUUGAUGAUAUUAAUUGGUUAAAGAACUAUAUAUAUAUAUAUAUUAUCGAUCAGCCUGAAUGGUUGAUCUGAUUAAAUCUAUCAUGUAAAAAACCGACCGUUCCUAGAGUAAAUGACAAAAAGUUUGGUGGUUGAUAUCUGAGAUUCCAAAUUCAAGCGAAAAAAAAAAAAAAAAUCUAUCAUAUAAAAAUUGAUCAAUUUUCAUACAUCUGCUCUACCAAUAUAAUUAUGGGUUAUGUUCUCUCGAAUUGGAGCAAGUAUAUGAUGAGUCUAGACAAACUAAUAUUGGUUCUUGUGCAGAAGAUAGAGAACAUGUUGUUGUUAUUAUUAUAAUUAGUAUUAUUUCUUUUCUCUCAAAUGUUAUAGGUAGGCCCAAGUGGGUGCGAAUUAUGCUUCCAUAAUCCCACUUUAAGCUGUGUAAGAUAAGGUUGAAGACAAUCCCUGAAAGUGACUAAUUCAAUUUAAAAAUAUACCUUGCCGAAACCAUUUUAACGUACAUAUAUGGCGAUUAUUAAUCUCCAAAAAUAUUCUGUUUCAGUUGUAAAAUAUCCUUUACUUUCACACUCACAAACACUCGCAUGAACUAAAAUUCUACAAUUAGCUUUUUACAAAAUAUAUAAUAAUAAAGGAGGGACUAAAUGUCCUUCAACUAGCUAUUCCAACUGAAACCAUUGGCAUUCUAUUAUAAAAUAGAGGUAAUCGAUCUCAUUUGUAUCCCUUCAAAGUUUUAAUUAUCAAACAUAUUCCUCUAAAACUCUAAAAAUAUACAAAUUUAUUUCUACAUGUUGACCCUCUAGUUGACCGUUAAUAUUUCACUGUUAGAACUGUUAUAUCCUUAUAAAAAAAAUUAAUUUCUAACUUUUUUUAGAAUUUAUUAUUAAUGAUAAAUUUAGAAUAACCCCUAGGUUAGAAUGAAAUAGUGACAAUAAUAAAUGAUAUUGAAUAUUAAUAAAAAGAUUUCUUUUUAGGCAUAGAAUGAUUAUUUUGUAGAAGAAAAUUAAUUUUAAUCUGCCAACUAAGAAACAAACGAUAUAAUUGUGAAGGAAUAUAUUUGGUGACUAAAACUUUGUAGGGAAAAAAAUUUUAUUUUAUAGCAUAUAUAUAUUUAUAUAUGCAACAACCACUCUAAAAAUAAAUUAUAUAUUAAAAAAAUAAGUUAAUAAUUAACAUUAAAAGCGUUGGUUGGAUAAAUAAUAUUUAAAAUGUACACAAUUUUCUUCAAAUCUCGGGACUGAAUCAUGUCCUUUAACUUAUUAGUAAUUUUCAAGCGAAUGUGAUAAGAUUUGUGCGAAGUACAUAUUCCCCGCUGACACAAGAGUCUUGUGAUGGAGAAGAUCUACUGUAUUGUAUAUGCACCACAUUUGUAUUAAUAUGAAGCCAAUCAUAUUUUUUUUUUAAAUAAAGUACAAUAAUUUUUUUUAUAAUUAUAAUAUGACGGAUUAAUUCAAAAAAUUUAUUUAAUUAAUUAAAAACGUCAUGUUUCUAAUAUAACUGGUGCAUUUUUUAAUUUUUUCGUGUGAUCCUUCUCUGGCGUCUCGCAAUAUGGUGAUGGAAUGAAUCCCUCCCAGCUACAAUCAAACAGUGCAAUGUCACAUCCACAUUAAAAUUAGCUCAUAGAGCAAUACUCCUUGCAUGAUUAAUGGUGGUUAAUGUGAAUAGUGCCGUACAAGAAUUGCUGUUAUUUUAUUCGGGUUUUUACUGUAGCUACUAAAGAACUCGAAUUAGACGAAUUGCCACAUGAUGUGGUAAGUGAUAAUGUAAUACAGCUCCAAUAGUGCCCGUAGCAAAUUCAGUGUACAGCAUCCCCACACGCACACACAAGGUGUACAUAAAUAAAUGAAUGCGGUAUAUAUUUAAAGACAUGCCAAUCCCAAGUAGUUCUCGUACCUUAUUUUUUCAUUAAAUGUGGUGUAAUCGGUGGACCAUCUAACCUCCCAGGUAGUAUCAACUUUGGGGGAGAAAACAAAAAGAGAACAGUAUGAUUAUGCCACAUAACUGACCCCAUAACAUAUUCACAGUGACCCUAAUCAAUUCUAGCCUUUAGUAAGUCGAGUGGUUGACCUUAAGAUAAAUGCCCCUUCCAAAAUCUUUCUAUGCGUACUUCCAAUACAUAGAAUUAAAGAGACACACAUAGAUAUUCGCCACUGGGACAUAGGUUCUCAGUUCAAAUCCUAUAUAGCGAUUGGUUUAGCUCUUUAAAUUUUCAAACAUGCAACAAUUUGAAAAGCAAAGCCCAGAACUAGCUGCAUUUUGAGGUUCCUUCUGUGGUAUGUAAAGCAUUACCAUUUUACAUAAAUAAAAGGCUAACUAGCUAGGAAAGAAACCUCUAGCAAUCCUAACACAGCGAGUAAUCAGCACACAGUAGAUAAUGAGAGCAUCGAGUUGUGCAAACGGUGUCUAUAUAUAACAAGAACAUACCGAAUAUACACUAGCUGCUAGAAUAAUAAAAUGAGUACUGCAAUGAUGGCAACUAAUUUACCGCAUUAGUGCAUUAGUUUCUUCUGAGAAGCUUCACUCUUACUAUCACCGGAUAAGUUCUAGCCUCAUCAUCUGAGAAGUUUAUUGCAUGCUUAAGCUGCUUAUUUAGGGAUCACAGCUAUCGUUCUAUCAACCAACUGGAAGAGGUUUCUGCUUACUCAGUAGCAGAGCAGUUACCUCACGGAUUGAAAUGUACUCUUAUUUGAUUCCUUCAUGGAAGAACAACAGGCUCGAUAUCCCAGAUAUCCUUCGCGUACUCACGUAUUGUCCUAUCGCUGCUGAAUUUGUAAGAGCCAGCUGUAUUCAAGAUUGACAUUUUCAUCCAUCUCUGCAGAGGACAUUAGACCAAAUUUUAGUGACACAAGAAAAUUUGUCGAUUUUGCAUGUUUUAUUCUAUACAUAUAGAUUUAAGCAAUAUUAUAAGCAAUAACUUGUUUGACUAAACAAAGUGAAUACAGGAAAUUGUUUACCAUCUCUAGACAAGUUCAAAAUGCAUAUACAUCCAUCUCAAUGCAGCAAAUAAACAUUUUAGUAUGUGAAGAUAAUACCAAUUAGAUGGGCUAAGAGACGGUCCUUUAUGGUUAUAUAUCAUGAAGUGAUGUUAUAAACGAUGUAGUUCUCAAAAUAGUUUAAUACUUGAAUAUAGUUGUAUGACUCUGAUUCCAUUUUAUACAUUCAUCCAACCAUUUAUAUAAGUACAUAAACUGCCGACUAUCAGUUUUUCUGCAGCACAGUCGCAUGAAUGUGCAUUGACCCAUUAUGUGAAAGUGAGCACUGUGAUUUUGUCUGUAUAGUUCCAUAUUGGAUUAUAAUACAUCCCCAAAUUAGAUUUGUUUUAUUUAGUUGCAAUUGCACUUACUUUCUGGUCUCGAUAUGCUUCAUCAACUUUCUCUUGGCAUUCAAGGUAACUGGGGAAAUCCUUGCCGACAAGAAAAUAAUCUGCACGCCCAAAUCCUUCAUUCCCCUCCAAGGAGCCCAUCAAUUCUUCAUAAUCGUAAGUCCCAAAGGCACCACUGAGGACAAAUUUCUUCACCUCUUCAAACCGUGGGUCAGGCACAAACUGCACAUGCCAUAAUAAAGUCAGUGAUGGAAUAUUUUGUUACUCUUUUGGCUGAAACUGUUAAUGUUUUAUGUAAGUAUGAAAUCGAAUAUAAUUUUCUCAAAUCAAACAACAUGUAAUUGAUAGGCUCAAUUAAGCAACCAUAAUAGAAAAACUAAAGUUCAGAAUUUUUUUUUUGCCAACCUAUAGCUGAAGGUUGAGCUGUAUCGUUUUCCACUAGUUUCUCAAAUAAGGUUAAAUUAUGGGUCAUACCUUUCCCUCUGCUCUUUCUUUCCUUAAACCAGCAAUUUCAUGAGCUCGAGCACCAAACAGGAAAAAGUUCUCCUCGCCAACCUCUUCCCUUAUUUCCACGUUCGCCCCAUCCAAAGUUCCAAUGAGAACACAACCAUUCAUAGAAAAUUUCAUGUUGCUGGUUCCACUCGCUUCCAUCCCAGCAGUACUGAUUGGAAGAUAGAAAAUAGUUAUGAUGAGAUGUCACAGCAUUUUGAUUCAAAUUUUCAUUUGCUGUUAACUAAAAGGUCAAACUCUAACUGAAGAUUAGAGAUGACAGGGUCAUUGCCUGAUAUGCUGAGAUAAUUCACUGGCAGGAAUAAGAGUCUCUGCAACACUCACAUUAUAGUCUGGAACAAAAACCACCUGGAUAGAAAUAUAAAAGAUAAUUUAGAUUUUACUUCAUUGAGUUGAUCAAAAGAAUGUGAGAAACGGAAAACAAUGUUACUCGAGACAUCCACAAAACCAGUGCGACCAAAGUUUUGAUUCGAGAACAGCUGGGAGUAAUGAAAUUGCAAUAGUGAGGACGACUCCACCUCUAGCUAUAGGUGGUUUUGAUAAAGACCCAUCAACAUUUUUCUUUUGUUGAUGCCCCUUCAAUUUUUUAUUAUUUCUAUUUCAUCCUACUUAAACAGGAGACGUUGCUUAAAUUAAUGAUUUUAUAGAUUUUUACUUAAUUUAACUAAUAUGACAAGCCAUAGAGGUACCUUCAAUAGAUCCCCAAUGUCAGGAUCGUGAUUAAUAGUGGCCCCAACAUCUGUGAUGAGCUUUACUAUCCUCUUGGCCUGCACAUAGGUAGCAAAUGCUUUGCCCCCAAAUAUGCAGACCCUGGGAACAAAGCUUUCUAUCCUCUCUUCAGCACUCAUUUCCUUCAUCUUCUUAUAGCGGUAGACAAUUCCAAGUACAUUUAACAGUUGACGUUUAUAUUCAUGAAUCCUCUUAACCUGAUUAAACAAAUUAGCCAGUUAUCCCAAUAACAAAAGAAAUUAUCUUCACUUUUAAGAUAAGACACUUAGAAUUAGCUGUACAACCUGUACAUCAAACAUCGCAUCUGGGCUGACAGUAUAACCUGUCUUCUCUUUGAUAAGGGAGAUAACUUUCAGUUUGUUUCUUCUUUUAGCAGCCUUCCACUCCAAGUGGAGAUCUUCAUCAUCAGCAAACUGUUUCAGAUUGCAUCGAUAUGUCACAGAGAAUAAAUAACUCCAAGAAAUAUUUCAAACAGAUUAAGAGUGAGAAAAGCAGAAUAAGCCAACCAUACAUGGCAUCACAUGAAGGGAGAAUAAUUUGGACACCAGAGUUUCAGACCAAAAUAAUAAGAGAGAGAGAGAGAGAGAGAGAGAGAGAUUCUAUAUGAGGUAAAGGAAUUAAAUAACAGUAAACAAAACAGCAAUCGAGGGGGCACAAAUACCUGCAAAAGAGUUUAGAAGAAUAUUACGAGAAUCUUAGGCAAAUUAACAUAUUAAUGGUGGUGACAAGAAAGUAGAGGAAAUAAAGAACAUCCAAGUAAUACUAAAAACCACUUUCAUAUGAAAAAGGAUAAGCCCAAUGAGUAUAUCAUCCUUUCCUUGAGUAAAAUAUCUGAAUGAAUGAUGACUAGGAAAGAAUUUUUCAGAAGCGACUUUGGUCUCUGCACAGACUGGAGAAUGGUGAUUUGUACAAUCAAACUAGAUUUGAAUAUGUGGAAGCAGUAAAGUGUAGACAACCUUCUUAAGAUCAGCAAGCUUCUCAGUGUUCAGGACCCAAUCAUCACUACCGAUCCAUUUAGUUAUGAUAUUACUUAACUCAGGAUUGCAAAACCGGAUCCAGCGUCUUGGAGUCACUCCAUUUGUUUUGUUUUGGAAUUUUUCAGGCCACAACUGCGAAAUAUUAAAUUAUUCAGAUCACCGGUAGCGUGCUUAUUGCAAAAUCAAAUCUCACGUUGUCUUGGAAUUCUUAAUGCAACAGUUGCUCCUAAAUAUGAUCGAGGGUUUUUUGUAUAUCCCCUGCAAAGAUGUGAAUUUGUCCUUUGAAAAGUUUGUAUUUGCAUGCAUGCCCCUGAAAAUGUAUUUAUCUACAUUCACACCCGUGCGCACACAAAUAACCAGUUACCAGGGGGUUGUCACGCAAUGCAAACUUUGAGGGGUAUUUGCAUUAUUUUACAUAUUUGCAGGCGCGUAUAAGCAAAAAGCCCUAAGAUCAAACAAUUGGAGAAUAAUGUCCAUAAAAAAUAUGUACCUCGUAGAAGCUGUUGAAUACCUCCUCUUUCACGAUUUCACUGUGAAUCUCAGCCACUCCAUUGACCGCAUGUCCACCAACAACACACAGAUUGGCCAUACGAACUACUUUUGGCAAUUUAGGAUCUGGUUUUAAGGGCGUAGUUUCUUCUUCCUCUGAAUCAUCUUGUUCUAUUUCAUCUUCCUCUAUUUCAUCUUUUUCUUUUUCAUUUUCUUCUUUUUCAUCUUCUUCUUUUUCAUCUUCUUUUUCAUCUUCUUCAGAUUCAACUUUUUCCUCAACAGCAAUAUCAGAAGUUUCCAAGGAUUUAACUGAUAACUUUUUCUUAGGUUUUACACUAGGAUCCUCUUUUGGUUUGACGAACAAUUGUGCAACAGAAGCUGGAAGGUCAACAUUGUCUAAGAUUCUCAUUUCUUUCAAUUUUUUCUCUAAUAUUACAAGAUCCGCUGUCCCAUACUGUGAUAUUAUAUUGUCAAUCAACUGCUUUGCAUCCAAAAUAUAAAAUACACACAGAAAAAAGACAAUAUUAAUAAGCCUGAGAAACAUAUAGUAACCAGAUAGAUAUACAAUAAAGAACUAAAAACAAAAAAGUACCUCUUCAUCAAUUAUCUCUAUGAUUUCAACAUGUCGAGGAAGCAGCUUUUGCAUGAUAUCCAAACUCCAUUUCUCAAGAGCUUCAGGAAGAACAGUAUGAUUUGUGUAUGCCAUAGUUCUGCAAAUGAGGAUACAAAAUGAGAAAGCAUAUGUUGAAAGACUUAGAAUGAUAAAAUAAUAUGAAAAUCCCUUUCUAGUACAUAAUGUUGAAAAGAAAUGCGACAAUGCAAAAUUGAUUAAUUACACUAACAUUAACUAUUCCAAAGUAAUAAUGUAAUGUUAGCUUCAAUAAGAUAACUGAAGAUAACAGAUGAUCAGAAUACAGCCGUUGAACUUGCUUACGCUAGGACAGUUGCAACUGCAUUGAGCCCAACCAUAGUUCCAACUUCGAUCUGCUGAUGAUGUCCAUUAUCAUGAUGUAUACUAUGAUUCAAGAGGGUUGCUUUUGUCGAACUAGUUGAGGUUACUAGAAUGUUGUCUUGUAAAAAAUGCAGAAACAUGUUAAGUAGGAGACAUUUAUAGAAGUAAGGUAGGUCAAGGAAUCCUCUGGGACUUUAAUUAUCUGAAUAAGCACCAAAAUGAUUGUGCUGGAUUUUUUAUUUAGUUAUCAAUUUUAUUCUCCUCAAGCAUAUAUAUUGUAAAAAUGCAAAAUGAACUAUUGCAAAACAUUAUUCUUGCAAGGUCAAAUGCGAUACAACAGAUAUAUGAGAUGAAAAAAAAGUACCUUUGCGUAAUACUCCAUGCGUCCUUCCAGCUCAAUCCCUUCACAUCGAUAAGUAUCCUCAUCAACUCUGGAAUGCAUAGGGUUGGGUGAGUGUCGUUCAUCUGCACAGCAACUUUUGAUGGAAACUCUUUCCAGUUUACAUUAUUUCCAGAUCGCCUCUCAAAACGAGCAAUAAUAUCUUGAAGAGAAGCCGAACAUAGUGUAUAUUGUUGCUUCAAGCGAAGAAUUUUCCCCUCCAGUGAAUCAUCACCGGGGUACAAUAUAUAGCAGAUCUGUAAUGCAAAUUGGAUGUUUUAGAGGAAGCUCCUUGUCAAAUCAACUAAUGCUGCCGCUUUAUACGAUAAGCUAAGUUAGAUGAUACAAAACGAAACCUCUGACUCAGAUCUCCAUAGGCCAUGCAGAAACAAACAAUUUAAACCUAGAACAACCUUAAAUAUAUAGAAACGCUAACGACAGGCACAAAAUCUUUAAGAAUUAGACAUGAUUUAGCUUAACAAGGACGAAACCGAGUUUUAAGAAAAAUUCUAGAAUCAAAAGUAACUUAGCAAUCAUCAUUUUAUAGCUAGAACCAAUAAAUCAAGAAAAACCUUUUCAGCAUUUGUCUGGGCCUCAAUUGCUUUAGCAUGUUGUCCAGCAUUAAAAGCUGCCAAAUCAAAUUCUCGCGAAGGUACUGUUGUUGACCAAAGACGUAGAUUGAUAGUAGUUUUAGUCUUGUAACCAGGUAUUGGCACAUCAUAUGCAACUGCGUUGAUAUUCUCCCCACCAAUCCAGUGCUUCUUCCCAUCAGAACCAACAACAACCUUUCCAUAGAAUUUUACAGGAUAUGUCACAUCGUUUCUUACAAUUUCCCAAGGGUUUCCCAUCUGCAAAACAUUAUGUCAGUACUAACAGACAAAAUACUUCUUUAAACAAAUGGAGUGAAUAUCCAAAAUAAUAACAAUUGGUAGACAAUCUUAUUGGUGUCUAAGAUGAAAAAAAAAGCAGAAAAGAUUAAUACAUAGAAAGAGGCAAGGAAUACAUAGAGGUUGAGGAAGAUCUUAUACCUCAAGCCAAUUCUCUGCAACUUCCUCCUGACCAUCUUUUGUGAUGUUUUGUUUGAAGAGACCAUACCUGUAUCGAAGCCCAUAGCCCCAUGCUGGAUAAUUUAAUGUUGCCAGAGAAUCCAAAAAGCAUGAAGCUAGACGCCCUAAACCACCAUUUCCUAGAGCAGCAUCGGGCUCCUACAUGAUAAAAUCCAGGAAACAAACAAUAUCUUGUGAACUUUUGGUGGAUAAAUGUCUUUACAUCAUAUAAACUAUAUACAUGUGUAGUACAUAAGCAUAAACAACAUUAAAAGAAAUACAAAAAUGUUUCGCUAUCCUACUUUAAACAUCUUUGUUUCACUUAGCAUGUUAAUUACAGAAGCACAAUUGAAUGUUAACUUUUAGCACCAAGAAAGCAAGAAGUUUAUCUUGCGUCAUGCACAGCAUGAAAAAGAAACCUUCUGUACCAGAAAUUAAAAGGGAAAGUCAGUAAUCAAUGAAAGGGUAUUAAAGGAUGAAAUAUGCAGGAGCUCUUUCAGAACUUCCUCUGCUGCUAUGCAAUAUAUUUGAUGUCAGCACAUAAUGAAGAGAGCUCUAGGAAAGUAUCAGAACUUGUAAAAGAUGUUCUUGGACAUUUCUUACCUGACUAGCAACAUCCUCAAGGUUAUAUCCGAGCUGUUUUAAUGCCUCUGCAUAUUUUCCAGCUAGCUCUAGAUUACCAAUAGCAUUUAAGAGUGCUCUGCCCUACAUUUUGGACAAAACAAUUAAAGAGAUUGAUCAGCAUAACUACAUUUGAAUUCUUUGUAAUUGAUAAAGUCAAUGAUGGGAGCAAAACCAAAUGCUUGACCUGUAGGAAUUCCAUUGAGAGAUAAUAAGCUUGCUUUGCGUUCAUCUUGUCAUAGUAAUCAUAUGUGGCAUUCCAAUUAAUUAUGAGGGCAUCUCGAACACUCUCGGCGGUUGCAUAGUAUGCUUUUGGUAGCUCAAAACACUCCCGAGAGAAUGAGGGAGUGAACUCGGCAUGAUACUUGAUACUAGAUGCAAUUGUCGAGGAAUCAUAUACAGAAGAGCUUCGUGUGUUUGGAGAAGCUGAAAAGCAAAACAGUAAGAUGAGAUAAACAAUCAAAUAAAGAACAAGGAGUGACAAAUGAAACAAACUAGCUGAUGGAUUAGUCCGUAACUAUUGUCGAGUAUAUUAGACUAUCACUCAUCGGUGCUCUAGCAUGGUUUUCUUCGAAAAAUUCGGAAGCAGGAGCUCCACUUCUUUUUCUAGGUUAAUGAAGCUAUCUUUCAUCCAGAAAAAUCAACGAAUUAACCAAAUGUAGUUGAAUGGCAAAGAGAACAAGUUAGCUUAACUAGAACACAACCUCUGUCACCAUAAUGCUAAUAAUAUCAUCAAGGAGAUGAUCCUUCGAUUUUCACCUUCAUCUAUAGCUCAUUAUGGAAACUCAGUUACUACAAUCAAUUCCUACUCAAACGCACUAUUUUUUUCUCUCAAAAAUAAUGAAAAAUUUCGGUUGCCAAAGCACAUGUAAAAAUAUAGAACAAAAGCUCUCAGGGAACUAAAUAAAGUAAUUGGCGAUAAUAUAAACUAAACUUGAUUGUUAGACUUAACAUCACAACGAUAAAUAGUUCAAAUCGUCUGAGUAAUCAUGAUCAAAUAAGAUUCCACAGCAAAAACUGAAAACAUGAACCAAAUUAGGGGGAAGCUCACCAUCCUCUGAGAUCGGAUCCUUAAUCUCUCGAUCGCUAGCGACGUUCUUCACAUACAGAGGCUUAGAGACGCGGCGAAAGCCUCCGAUCUUGCUGAAGAAGAUCGUGGACCUCCCGAAGCUCCUCGAUCGGAGAUCGCGAGAUCGGGGAAUGGAGCUCAAAUUGCAGGACGCGAUGGUGCGAGCCGAGAACGGGGACGAGGACGACGACGUCAACGCCAUUGCCCUAAACACGGCUUAGAGAGAGAGAGAGAGAGAGAGAGAGAGCAAUGGAGAUCGGGGAGGGGGAGAAAUAUCUCUGCUUCACCUCACACUUCCCUCUAUCACUUGCUUUUUGUUUUUUUUCUUGUGAUUUUUUCCUUCGCCUUUUAUAGGGAGUUCGAGACAUGUACACAUUCUACUCGUGAGGGCCUUUUUGCUCUCAUUUGUACCGUCUCAGUUCGCGAGGGGCCUUUUUGCAUAUUUUAUUCCGCUAAAUUGAUGGGUGAGCGCUAUUUCCAACUUUUAAAAUUAACUUAAUUAUUAAUUAAUAUAAUAAAGGGCAAAAGAAAAUUAACAAAUAUAUAUGAAUUAAGGUGUUUAAGAACAACGAGGGAGCCAAUGGAACGCCUCUGUACACACUCGAGUGUCUACUCUAGAUUUUUAAUAAAUUUAAAGUACAUUUGUUUUGAUUUUCUAAGCAAAUAUUUUUAAAAUAAGAGCUCUAGUCUAAAUAUAGACUCCGAAAUUGAAAUAAGUUUUACUAAUUUCGAUAAUUAUUGCUUAUUUUACAGAAAUUAAAUUUUUCCGUCAUUCCACUCUAGAAUAAAAAUGACUCGUUUUAUUUACGACACAAUCUAAUUUUAAAUUUCGAAUCAAUCUAAUUCCAGAACAAAUUACUUAAAAUUCUUUCUUACUAAUAAUUUUCCUUUUAAUCCCUGACUCUUCUUCCUUUUUUUUUAAGAAAAAUAUUUUUAAAAAAAAUUUAAAUGCCUAUUCUAAUUUUCAUUUCAAUAAUAAAUAAAUUAAACAUUUUAAAAUAAUUUUUAUUUGUUAUUCCUAUUUCAAUCAUGCACUAAAAUUUGUCCUGAUGGGAGAGAAUUUGGCGGGCCCACUUCAUCAACGAACCGUCCGAAGGGCUCGCGCAGUCGCAUCGGCCAUGGUGAUGCGUGUUUGUGAUAACGCUUGUUGGGAACGGAAACGCUUCCUCCUCGCUCAAAUAUCGUGGGCUCCUCCGACCUACGUUUAUUUUCUGACAAAAUACUUCUUUGGCCUUUUCUUUUUAUUAUUAUGGGUCUCAAAGGAUAGGUACUAAUUUUGACACCAAAAUUUAUAAAAUUAUUUAAAUUCUUUAUUACUCAUAAUUUUGCAAAAAUUGGCUCCUAACUUAGGAUGGGUAGAGAGAGUAAAGUCUAGUUUACAAAACUCAUAAAUUUUUUGCUCCCCAACUCAGCGGCUUCCAAAUAGCUCUAUAUACUACACUCCACUUUUCACUCCAAAAAAAUAAAUAAAAAAAAACCGACCGUCCCUAUGGCAAAUGACAAAGGGCUUAGUGGUUAGUAUUUGAGAUCUCAAGUUCGAAUGCUCAUUGAUUCACAUUUCUAGCUAAGUUUAUUUCUAGAUGAAAUAAACAAAAUAGAUAACAAGCUAUCUAUCUCUCAAAAAAAAAAUUUGAAAAAAGAAAAUUGCUAUAGCCUCUGACUUCAUGCGGAAUUCAGGUAAAAAUAUAAAAUUUCAGAUAAUAUUUAUUUUGAUUCCGCUAUUUGAGUGAAUAUAUGUACAAGCAAAACAAAUUAAUGCUUAAAAUUUAACAAGAUAAAUAGUUUCACCUCUUAGGGCAAAACGCAAAAAUUAUUUUAGUAGUUCACACCAUUUUCAGACAGAAAAUAAGCUUUAGGCCCAAACCUUCUUGUCCAAAAAUGCUAAUGUAAUAUAUAUUUAUUUAUUUUCCUAUAAAUAAAUUUAGCAUUAGAUGAUAAAAUUAGAUAGUUUGAUAGGUUCAGAAAACAUUGAGUUCACUGUUUCCUUUUUCUUUUCUUUUAAAUCAUUGUUCAAACAGAACCAUUCAAGCUCCAAAAUAAAACCUAUUUGUUUAACAUCAUCUAAAGGGAUGUUUCGUUUCUCCAGAAAUACUACAGAAAAUAAUUUUCUAUCUUAAAAAGAAAAAACUCACGACAAACUGUUCUUCCGAAAGACAGUUUUCACAAUUUUCUUUAAAAAAAAAUAAAAUCAAACAACCCCUAACAAAAGCCAAUUUCUACCGCAUAGUGAAAUGUUUUCUAUAUGUCAAACGGUUAACUUCCGCUAUCCCAAAGGCGAGGUUUAAGAUUGCUUUUCUACCAACCGUCCCUAGAGCAAGUGACAAAGAAUUUGGUGCUUGGUAUUUAAGGUUUCAAGUUCAAAUCCUAGCUGAUUCAUAUUUUCAGCUAAGUUUAUUUCUAAAUGAAAUAAACGAAACGGAUAGCGUGUUACCUAUCUGUCCAAAAAAAAAAAAAGAUUGCUUUUCUAGAAUCUCGGGUGCCAAAGUACUGGAGCAAGUUGAAUCCUGGAAAGAAGUAUCAACACUAACGGCAUGUUUGGUUCAAGGGUAGAAUUGGAAUGGAUAAUGGAAUGAGAAUGAAUUGAAAUAAUAAUUAGAAUGGCCCACUCUCCCAAAACGUUUGGUUUAUUUAUGGAUUGGGAAUUGAAAUGAAUUAUUCACAUUUCAUUAUUUAGUUCGUAUAAACUAAAAAAAUUAUAGAAUACUAUAAUACUAAUUUUACUCUCAAAUAUAAAUUUAUAUUAUUUAAAAUUUAUGAAAAAUAUAUUUAUUUUUAAAAACUUUUAUUGAUGUGGGUUAGGAAUAGUUUUUUUUUUUUUUUGUGAGAAAGGGGUGAAGAGAAGGAGGGUGAGAUAGUCACAUGGGCUUCGAGAACUUAGUGGGCUUCCAAAAUAAAAACUCAAUCCGGGCUAGAAGAUCGGAAUCAAAUUGAAGGCUAAUAGGCCAUUCCCAUUCCAGUCCGGAAUAGGAAUCCCAAACCGAUUCAUGCGAACCAAACAAAAUUAACAGGAUUUGAUCAAAUCAAUUCCCAUUCCAUACUCAAAAUGGAUGAACCAAACAAGCCCUAACUGCAAUCACAAUCCAACACCAAUCCAACACCACACAUCAUCUGAUCAGCAGUAGACUCAUUAAUACGAAGUAUCACGAGAUGUAAGAAAACCAUCAGCAAAACUGUAUUAAACAUGUAACAAUUCAUAAAUAAAGACAACUACUUCCUCUACAUACAGAGCACAUUUCAGUCAGAAAGUUAGACGAGGUCCUUAUUGUUGCAGUAAAGAUACAUGGAGGGAGACCUCUGGACAGAUAAUGGUUCCAGAAUCGUUGCUCCAAACGGGUUCCUUUUGUAUCUGCUGGUGUGAAGCACAUCUUAUGAUUUCUCAAGUUUCGAGAUUUAAAGCAAUUGAAUUAGAAGAAAAGUGCAACCUGUGGAGAACCUGCCAAAACCAAAAUUUUCCAGUAAGAUCACCCUGCCCACAGAUUCAAAAGCAAAUGUCUAAGUUAGCAACCGAAAUUGUUUACGGUUUUUUCUUUUUCUUCUAUGUUUCCUCUCAAGAUCCUAAAGAUAAAAGCAAUUAAAGAUGAGCUUGUUUAUCUUAUUUAAUGCGGGUUUAUAAGCAAACUCCUAUCUUUUAAGUGAGUAGAGAGCAGUUGCCAGUGUUAAGGCUUCAAUAUAGAAAUGAUGAGAGAAUCCAUCGCAGUUAAUGCCGAAUGAGUCUCUGCUAAAAAUGAAAUAUGAGGAGGACCGGAGAUAAAUCCUCCAACAAGUUUCAAGGUUUCUUGCAGAGCCAGACACUAUAAUGCGAAAACCAACAACAUGCAAGAUCUCUUCUAAAACCAGCGACUCACUUGACCAUGAGAAGCUUUUGAUUUUCAUAAGCUAUGAACCAGUUAGCCUACUUAUAUGCGUCCAAUUUGCAUCCAAUUUCCCUUAUUUAUCAGAAAGAAACAAUGAUAUUAAAUUCUGAACACUUGGAGAGAAGAGGGUACAAACUUUUACUCAUGAUCAAUCUCAUUAAAUAGGUGGCCAGAAGAACAUGGUACAAGACUCUCUAAAAGCCCAGGGCCCCAGGCACAAUAAGCAGGGACCUAGGAACAGAAAAUGUCAGCAGAUCUUCGUGAGAAUAGCACAUUCCGCAAAAAUUUCAGAAUCGCUCUUCAUGUUUCAAACACCCAUUGAUUUCGUUAAACAACUAGAUAAACAAGGGUGUGGCUGCGAUUAUAAGGUAAGGAAUGUGGUUCAGUUCAAAGAUAAAGCUUACAAAAUGAUGGAAAGUAAAGGUAGGCUUUUGGAACAUGAGGUCCCCAUUAGCAUGUAUACCAAGACAUUGCCCAUCUACAUGAAACUAUAUAACAAGGAGCAUCUAAGUUGAGAAGGAUUCACUAAUAAAGGACUCGAUUUGCAUCGACUAACAUGUGUACACUGAAACUAAUGCUACAUCCCAAUUUUACGGUAAAAAUGGUGUAGAUUGGUUUGGCACUCGUUAAUAAGCAUACAUAAUAAUUGUUUCAAGCUUUUUUGACUAGAUGCAAGAACCAUAAGUGCUCUAAACAUGGAAAGAUGAGAAAAGAGAGUAAAAAGGAGAGAGAAGCUUAACUGUAGGGAACUUGUCUUAAUUUUCCUAGCAUGAGAUCACAAAGUUCCUGAUUUAUACAUAAGUAGCAUCUUCACACAAGUAAUUUAGAUGUAUAUAACCACAAGGAAUCGCAUAUCCAAAAUUUUCCAAAUACGAAGCAUAAGUAUAUAAUUCUUCGACAAACAAAAAAAAAAUAAUACCUAAAAACCUAAAUCUCCUCAUCACAGUUAUGCAACCAUUCAUCAGUUUGCACUGAAAAGUAAAAUUAAGCCCUAACUCACAACCGCGUCAUCCGAACCCAAAUAAAUCACAAGAAAAAUCCACAAAAAUCGAAAAAAAAAAGGAGUGCGAGGAGCGAAUCAAACCGCACCUUUUACGAAUCAGAUGCUCUUGAUCUCUAAGACGCUCUUGACCUUGGGGGCGUAGAGCGAGUACACCACCGCUUGGCGCCGCGCGACCUCGAGCUGGGACUUUGCGGCGGCGAAUGCGGCGGCGGCGGCGGCGGGGUCGUAGAGCUCCUUGUUCUCGCGGAACCCGUCGAGGGAUCGGCGCCGCACGUACUCCCUCACGUUGUAGUCGGAGAACUUCGCCGCGGUGCGGAGGAGGGAGCGGAGGAGGCCGAGAACCUCAGCCCUAGAAGGCGCCGACACCGCCGACGCCGCGCUCGCCAUGGCCGAGAGCUCCGAGGAGUCGCCGAGUCGUCGCUAUAGGGUACGAUGCACAAAAACCCUCGCGGGGAUUCCUUGUUUGUGUUACCCUCCAGAGACCAUCGUUUAUAUUAGCGAAAGCAAGGACCUCGUCCACCACGUCAGCAAAAGACCACAGGCCCAUAGGCCUUCAAUAAUAACCAAUACAAUGUUGGGCCCAAUUUAAAAUAAGGCCCAAUAAAAACCUUCGGAAUAAAAUCCUGUUCAUUUGUCUAUUAAUAAAUUGUAUUUAACAUAUUUAUGUAUACAGGAAUUGAGCUACUAUGCUUUUAAAAGUACCAAGUCAUUAGUGCUUGUAAGUUUUUAGCCCUCGGAUUAAUAGAUGUGCGGUUAGGAUGAUGUGGGCCCCCUUGGGUUAAGUAGGUGGUUGGUUGAAUAGUAUAAUCUAAUGGAUGAAAAUGAUCAAAGCCGUAGAUCUAACGGCAAAAAAUUCACAAGCAUCAAGUGCUUGGUGCAUUUACAAGCACCAUAACUGGACUCAUGUAUACAGUAUAUUUAGAAAUUAUAUUGUGAUCAUUUAAAAGUUUACUCUGCUGCUGUUGUUGUUGUCGUCGUUGAUAUUCUAAAUCUCCAUUUAUUUCUUCUUGAAAAUAUUAAUUAUGAAAUACAAAUUAGCUUGAAUUAAACACAGUUUUGAUCCUCUUUAGGUGGAAUCUAGAAACUCAAAAUUCACAACAAUGAUAUACAACUAAUCAUACAUCUUAUUCGAGAGAGGAAAAAAAAAAGAAAAGAAAUUGCAGGGCCUCUCUGAUCCACUGCUCAAUCUCUUAUAAACAAUCGAUUUUCCACCAACAACAACAUAUAUCAAACUAUAUUUCUCACAUUAGAAAAACAAUAUGAACAGAAUCAUCUUAAUAAGCUACCGGCCGCAAGCUCGAGCCUCGAAAUUCGGGAAAACCACAAAUGCCAUUGACAUUGGAGCAACAUAAAUAGCUGAAUUAACCGGAGCUAACAGAGGUUCCAUGGCAGGAACAUCUCCGUCUUCGGUGAGCUCCAAAGGAGUGCCGUUUAACAGCAUGGUUCUGCUCAGAUGGUUCCCGUCUUGGGCCGUCAGAUGGUACUCUUCUCUCUUCUCCGGGCCGUCCGAUGCUUUGCUUCCGACCCACGACACCGUCCGUUUGAUGUCGUAGGUGAGUGAGCCAUCGCGUGCGAUCCCGGCCCCCGCUGCGAGGUCGACGUUGAUGUCGUUUCGGACGGUGACGGUGAAGCUCCUACUUCGGUUUAAGUUGAUCAGGAGCACGGAGACGCCCGCCUAGUUUCAAAGCAAAAAUUUGUUGUAAAAUGAGACUAACGAGUAAUCCGUAAAUGAAAAUAUAUUUUAUUAAAGUUACUUGUGAUCGCGUGACGAUAAGAGCAUGGUUAAAAUGAAGUUUCACGCGUACAAGAUCAAGUCAUCUCAGUUAAGCUAUGUCAUAGAUCAAGUUUAAUCAUCAUACAUGCAGCAUUUGAAGAAACUUGCGCGCAAUACAUUGCAGUGAAUGUACCAUGUCGAAGAAAUUUUAGAAGUCAUGCCGUACCUUGUGCUUGCUGCAAUGGGCAUACGCGCGUAAAUAUGGAGAGCCGCUAAUAUCAACGGAAAGAACUCCUUUCCCCAUUAGCCGAUGCCACAGCAAUGCGCUGAGUAAAAGAAUAAAAGCUUUAGGCCAAGCUCUAAACUGUAUAAAUAUUCAUGUGUUUUCCUAAUAAAUUCAAAUGGACUACUCACCUGUAGUAAUCAGGAUUUGGUAUGAAAGUUUUGGUGUCGAGGAGACCAUAAUAGCCACCAAUUAAAGUCUGUCUACAAUAAGCCUUAGUGUGAUACUUCGACGAUAGCCCGAGUUGAUCUAAGUACCUAUUUCACAUAGUGCAAAUAAGACCAAAAUUCCAGGAAUAAUGUAGUAUGCUUAAGAUAUCUUAAGAUUAUACAGUAAUUAAUUAGGAAGGCAAAUUACCAAAAGCUAUUAAGAAAAGUAUUUGACACGAGGCGACUGCCACUGUUGUAUGCACCACCAGCUUCGCCAACCCAAGCAGAAGCCCAGGGUCCAUGUCUUUGUAGAGUGAGUUGAAGAUCUCUGAACGUAUCGGCAACGCGACUUAAAUACUGCGGAUCGGUAAUCUUACUUGCAAUAUGGGGAUCAUUACCUGAAGAAAAAUUGAAAUAAUUAUCAUCACCACUCAAUGCACUAAUUUACCAAGGGAUUCAUUUAGUUGUAUCUCUUCGUAUCAUAAGCUAAAUACAAUAUCCUCACCUCCGCCAAGAUUGUAUAUAUGAUGCGUCAUGCCGUUGAGAGUACCCGACCCUGACACCUGAAGAAGCUGAGCAUACCAUUGCUGUUCGUAGAACCCGCCUGGCGCUAAUAGCAAAGGCUUCGUACGUGAUUUGCUAUACAACUCAUCAAGCAUGGAUUUAAGUACAAUGAGAUCCCUCCCAUACUGUUCGGCACCGACACUCGCACCCACUCCGUGCCCGCUUAACUCGUUUCCUGACGCAUAAAGAAGGAUAUAUUUCAUAGUCGCUAAUCUAUCAUAGUUUUAAGAAGGAGAAAGAAGAGUCUUAAACUUCGAGUUUUUAAAUAUGAAUUACCAAAUUCCCACGAGUCAACUCGGUAACUCUUUGAGAUUGUGUAUUCUAUGAAUUUGCGAGUGUUACUUGAAUUCCAAGCACCUCCCCAGAUGCCCUUUCGAAUAGGAUGCCUCCCGUAAAGUGCGUUAAGACCAAAUGUAAUAAUUGCUCUGUAAUCAUAGUUAGGACUAAUUAAUUAUAAGAAAAUGAAUUUUCAAGCUAUACAUAUCAUAUUCUGAUGCUGAUAGGCAUCAACCAAAUAGUUUUGUGUCAUAUUUGCAAAAGAAAAAACUUUACGUCGUAAAUAAGUUAUAUGCCCGAAUAAAUAUAAUGAACAAAGUUUUAGUAACUAGCUAGUAACUUGAUAGCUAUGAUCAUUCUACAUCAAUAUGUUGAUUACUUCGAAUGUCAAGUACAAAACAUAAAUUAAAAGUUUUCAAUAUGUUGCAAGUGCUAAUCAACUUGACCUCAGCAUCUUAUCAGGAACAAGUCCAUAAUCUCAGGGAAUUAAUUUACUCCAACAUGAUAAUAAAAGAAAAAAAUGACACUAUUGACCAAAGACAAAAAAGUAGAAGUUCCAAAUUUAGAAGACCACAUAGUUAUCUAGUUGAUGGUCUAUUUGAAAUUGAAAUUUGGCGAUGACAUAUAAUUUGGCAUUGAUUUCCUUGAAGCUCCAUUUGUUACUUCCAUCAAAUAAUUAACUCCAGAAUAACUAUAGAUAUUUGGGAUCUUACCCAUAUUACUAAUUCUUAGAGAAACUAAGGCAAUUUUAAUACCAACCAAUAGUAAUGUUAUUUUCAUGUAACCUGUCAUUAUAGAGUAUGAAAGUUCUAUUGAGGUGACAUUUGCACUUCUCAGCUCUGCUGUAAGAAAGAGAGAGAGAGAGAGAGAGAGAGGUAUUCUUACCCAGUUUUCAGGAACAAAUCAUUAAGCUCAUCCCAUCUUUCCAUGCUUAAACAUCCUUGGGAGAAUCCAAACAACCCGCCUGCCUUCUUCGAGAAUGGAACACACGGAUGUCCCAAAUUCGGCAUGCCAUAUACAACUUGGUCUUGCAAAGAGCCUCCGACUCUUAUCCUCAGAGGAUUAAAAGCUGAAACCAAAUAAAGCCAUUAUAAAUGAUCAUCGGUAUUGAAUUCACAAUUUGUACGAACCUUCAUAUACAUCCCCUAAGUAAAUUUACAAACUAUAAGGUAAAUUUAAAGUGAAACCAAGGGAACAAAAUCAAUCUGAUUAACAAAGACAACUCACCUUUGAUAGCAUUGGCUAGGAAAGGGUGGGUUAGAUUCUGCAAAAUCCAACAAAAAUAAUAGCAGAUUAUUGUUGCCGUUGUUCCUAAUUGAAUACGAAUAAUCGGCCACCAUCAGAAAGACGAAUAUAAUAAAACAUACCAAAUUUAGGACAGAAGACUGUCCCCAUGGGCACUGAUUGUAGCUACACUUCUCGGGAGGCCACCAAUCGAUAGUGGCGCACACGAAAUUCUCGUUGGUCUCGGCAAUUGUGGAAGAUCCCUUUACAAUAACUGUUACAUCGGCAGUGUCGUCGGAUAAAAUCCCAUUAAGUGAACAUAAAAGAAGAGCAAAAACAAUGCUCAUCCCCAUGCCUUCGGUUGUAAAUUCGAUCUUUUUCUUCAGAGAAUCUGGCGAAAAUAAUUAUAUGUGUCACUCCUCUCAUUCAUGUGUAGCAAGAGAUACGAAAUCGAACCAAAAAAAAGGUUGAUUGAGUUAAAUAUUUAAGAAGCUAAAACAAACCCAUAGAAUGGAAAGAACAUCUAAGAAGUAUUUGUGAAGUAAAGAAGUUUCUUGAGACCAUUGAAAGCACAGGUCUUUAUUUGCUUUGAGUUGAAGUAAAUCAAAGAUGAUGUAAGGUGAAAGGAAAAAAAAUAUCCACAAAGCAAUAAAGUUACAUCAUUCAACAAACAGAACUAAAGUUCACAAAACAAAACCCAAAGUUGGAAGUUGAAAAAGGCACACCAAGACAAAAUUCAACAGCAAAUUGAAGCUACAAAAAGAUACAACAAAUUAAACAUUUUAGGAAUAUCACAAUAGGGAACUACAACAAUGGGAGUUCCAAGCAAAUUUAGAUCUCUAGACCACAAGAAACAAAUUAAUAAAAUUAUAUAGAACAUGUGUUCCUUUCUUCCAUGCUCCUCUAGGAAAAUAUCUAAAUAAAACAGAAAUUGAAAGGAAACAUAAAUACAUAAAUAAAUAAAGCUCUUAUUUCUCAGUUCCUCAGAUUAAUAAAUAUCAUAGUACCCAAAGUUUCAUCUUAUUUACCAUGAAACUAAAGAAACAACACAAUCCAAAGAAAACCCAGUUGAAAUCUUACCUCAAAACCCAGAAUUUGCAUCAGAAAACUCCAACACUAAACCAAUAGCCAAAAAAAAAUGGUGUUUUUAUUGAGAAAAGAAGGAAAUUUUCUUUUGGUCCCUGGUCUCUUAUUACCUACUCCUGGGUUUAACCACUUUUACAAGAAGAACCCACUCAGGAGAAAUGGGUCGGAUGAGAUGUGAGAGGCAUUAGAGAAAAAAAGAUUCGGCUAAUGCGUUUUUAAAAGCUUCUUUCAUCAUCCUUUUUGUUGGUCCCCCUCCAGAGCUGUAGCUUUCACAACAAUAACAGAACAUACACAUACCCCACAGUGUACCCAAUUAUGUCCCAAAUCAACUUUUACUUUUUUUUCUUCUUGUUGGUGUUAUUAUUAAGUAUAUAAUUUACUGGGCAUUUUUAUAAAUAACUAGCAUAGUAAUCCAUGUGAUACAAUGAAUAAAUAAUAAAAAAAAUAAAAAAUUAUGACAAAGAAAGAGAAAAUAAUGAUGAAAGAAGCAACAAUAAAAGGGGGAUUCAUCUUGGUGAUGAAGGAAUGUAACUGUCCAAGAAAGUGGAAAAUUAACAAUUUGGCCCUGUUAUAAUCCGGUUUAGUCCAAGCAAAAAAAGAAAAAAAAAACAUGUGGAGGUUUUGAGCUGAUUCGGUAAAGAAAGAGAAAAAUUCGAUUCGGUUCAAGCUCCCAUAAUGAAAAGAAUAUUGUCAUAUGACAAAUUUAUAAAGAAGAGAUAAAUUACUUAAGUUUGCAAGAUAAAAAUAUAUAUAGUUUGAUAAACUUUAUUUGCUGUAAUUAGUCAUGUUUUCUUUAAAUGGCUAAAUAAAUCUAAAAUGCUCGAGUUAUUUUAGUUAUUAUAUUACUGAUGAUUGCGGAAGAAAAUCAACAAAAGUAGUUUUAAGUUCUUAAUUUUAGAUGGCUAUUUAUGAACCAAUAAUUUGAAUAAUUAUUUCGAUUAUAAGACAAUAAAACUCUCACCUUCCAAACCUUUUAUAGUAGUCAUUUUUUUUAUUCAAAAUUAUAAUUAAAAAAUUAACCAACUGCACGAGACAAUAACAAUAAAAAUGUUCUUUUCAAUGAAUAAUUUUUUUUAACCUCCCAAAAUUUCAAGUGGGUAGACACUGGGGUACAUUACAGGUAAUCAAAAUUUAUCUUUUUCUACGAGGCAAUAAUUUAGCGGUGAGCACGUGUUAAUCCACUCCACCCCGUAGAUACUGUAGAGUAUUUAAGACACGACAACGAUACGGACGCAGGGGUAUGGUGAACUCUGCGAUCCACCGUCCGAGAAUCCAAUGCUUCAAUCCCCACCGUACAAUCUUUUGUUGAUCGCUUCAAAGCCAUUCUAAUCUCGUAACAAAAAUUAAUUAAUCACCUUAAUUAUGAAGCAAAUUUAGAUUUGGACGUUACAGUUGUACGGGACAUGGGAAGUGGAGCAGGAAUUAGGAAAAUUUUGCACGGAUCCCCCUCACCUAUAUACUAUUCCCAAGUUGGCCUCUUCAGCUGUUUUAAUUUUUCUUUUCAUAUUUUAAAUUUAAGUUAUUAUUAUUAUUAUUAUUAUUAUUAGAAAAUAAGAAUUUAAUUUUGAAUCUGUUAGGUUUAACUGUUCAGAAUUCUAUUUUAAUAAGGGACUGUUUAUAGAGCCAUCAAUUUUAACGAAUAUCAAAUUUGAUUGAAAAAAAUAACCAAACCAUGCGUCGAUUAAAAAGAAAAACUAAAUUGGAAGGUCUAUAUUAGAAUUAUCUAUAAUUCAGGGGGUGCUCCAUGCAUCUUGAACUAAAAGAAUUUAAGGGGACAGGACUUGUCGUUAAAAUAUACAUGAUUGCAUUAGUUGGGGACAUGGAAAAGCGACAGUAAUGGUGUUUAGGAGAAGUGUCAAAACUAAAACUUCACCUAAUCCUUUUCGUACUAAGGAUGAAUUAAAAAAAGAAAGAUAGAGAGUUAGAAGAAAAUUAUAUAUUUUUUUUAUUUUGAUUAAAUUUUUUUAAAAAAUAAACUAACAUUUCAUAAAAGUUGAUUUUUUCUCAAAAAAAAAUAUUUUUUUCAAAAACUUAAAUAUUAAAGAGAGAGAUAUAUAUAUAUAUACAUAGAGAGAGAGAGAGAGAGUCCGGCAAUUAUGCUAUCAAUAACAUCAAGUAUUUGGUGUUCCUAAAUUUUUUGCCGACUUCAACUAACCACCCGCUCAAUUCUAGGGGAUCGCUAUUAUCCUAACAAAAUAUUUCUUAAUCCAAUAAUCAAAAAUCUAUAAGUAUCAAUAACUUUGUGCUAUUAAUGGUAUUCUGAUAUAUAUAUAUAUAUAUAUAUAUAGAGUUGGACUGAGCUACUAUUAGUAGCAAAAUCUCAUUGUUGCUAUCAAUUUUUUAGCCUUUGGAUCAACUCUUUUUAUUAUUUCUAACAAUUGGAUUAAAUACUAUAACCCAGUGGGGACCACUCAACUAUACUGACCCUAUAAUUUUUCAUCCAAGGGUUAAAAACUUGAUAGCAGCGUUUUACUAUUAAUAGUAUACCAGCCUAAUUCUAUAUAUAUAUAUAUAUAUAUAUAUAUAUAUAUAAUAUUAUAUAUAUAUAAUAUAUAUAUAUAUAUAUUAUAUUAUAUAUAUAUAAUAUAUAUAUAUAUAUAAUCACCAAACACUUUAUUCUUAUAAAUUUUUUAUCAUUUGAUCUAUCUCUUUGACCGAUUUUAUUAUUUAAAUUAUACUAUUCCACCAACUAUCCACUUAAUCUAGAGAAUCACUAUUAUUCUUAUUUUAUAAAUUUUUAUCGAAAUAUUGAAAAUCUACAUGUACUAAUGAUUCGGUGCUUUCUCUCUCUCUCUCUCUCUCUCUCUCUCUAUCUAUAUAUAUAUAUAUAUAUAUAUAUAUAUAGAAUUAGAGCUACUAUACUAUCUAUAGUACCAAGUCCGGUACUAUAGUGUUUGUUUUCGAUCUUAGGGCGUUCAAAUCAACGAUCCACACCGUUAAAUAUGAUCUAGGGUAUAUGAAUUUCUUAGGAAUAAAUUUUAGUUUUUUUCGAUAUCGUUUACUUAGUAAAUAAAUUAUAUCAAAAUGGACGGUUUGGGGAAAUUGAAUAAUCUUUAAAAUUUGAGUAUAGGACUUUUAAAUUCAAGAUCAAGAAUGUUAACCUUAAUCUAUAUAGUUUAAAGUAUUUUCUAUCAAAAUUUGAAGAAAUUUAGAUUCUUCUAUACCGUUAAACUCCAAACUCGUCAUAAUAGCUAUUGAAAAUUGACAAUUUUGAAAUAGUUGGAUCAUAAAGUAAACUAUGUCGAAAAAAUAUAAAAUUUUAUUUCUAGAAACUUUAAAUACCCUAGAUCAGUUUUAACGGUGUGGAUAGUUGAUUUGAACGCCCUAAGAUCGAAAACCAACACUAUAAUACCGGAGCUCGGUACUAUAGAUAGUAUAGUAGCCUAGCUCUAUAUAUAUAUAUAUAUAUAUACUUUGACUUUGGGUCCAGUUUGACGCGGUCUUCUUAUCCAAUUCGCGCUUGUCCGAGAACCAAAUGCUUGAAUGUAUCCAGAGGCUAUUGCUUUUCCAGGAAGCUGCAGCAGCGGCUAAAGAGUCUAACAAAUUGGACAAUAGUAGACGGGAAAUCAAUUUUUGCGAGCCGGUCUGGAACCGGACCUGCCUUUUUUGACCGGGCCCGAUUUGGCUCGGUCGGGUCGCAGAUUUCCGUUUUAUGUCAUCAGAUUGUCGAGGAUGGUCCGAUAAUUCAAACCCACCAUUUUCUACCUAAGUUGACUUCUCACAAUUAAUUCACUAUUUGUCAUACAUUCUAGAAAGAUUGUAGAAAAAACUUUAUUACGGCGUUAUUGUGUUUACACUAGGGAUGUCAAUAGAGACGAAUAUUCGAAAUUUUAUCUGAAUUCAAAUUUGAACGUAACGAAUUUAUUCGAUAUUAAAUGGAUAUGGUUUCAUAUAUGAAUAUCAAAAAUAAAAAUCUGACAGAUAUGGAUAUGGAUACGAAUAUAAAUUUUGACUGUAUCUGACCGAAACUUAAAUUUAUUUUAUAUUAUAUUUAAUAUGCAUAUAACAAUUUGAUGUUAUAUUUAAAUUUGUAUUUUAAAAAUUUAAACCUAAUGUAAUAUAGUUUGAAAUAUUGAACAGAGAAAUAAUUUUAUAUUAUUCUGGACGGAUUGAGGCAAAAGCCCUAUCAUCCUGGAUUCAUUUGCAUCCAUAGGAAUAGGGUUUGGACUAAGGACAACCAAGUGAAGAAAGGUAUGGACGGGUGAGCCGAUUUCCGUUUUGUGUGAAGACGCACUCGAGACCACUGAUUCCCCUCUUUCACAACUGUGGUCGUAGCCAGUACAUAUUAUCCACGAUCUUGGCGAACUAAGAGCGCGAUCGAAUUGCACGUUACGCCACCGGCCAUCAACCGAGUGCCUCGUGUUUGGUUUGUAUCAAGUUAGUACCUUGUUAUUUUAUUUUUCUCUUAAUAAAAUAUUAAAACACAGGGUACUAAAGUGAGAAGUGCAAAACCAUAGGAUACUAACUUGAAACACUUUAAACCAUAAGGUACUAAAGUGAGAAAGUGUGAAAUCACAGGAUACUAACUUGAUACACUUUAAACCACAUGGUACUAAAGUGAGAAAAAGUGAAACCACAAUGAAGGUAUUUGAAGUUUCUCCUAAAAUAAAAAACAAAAGUUGCUACUAUUUGAAUCAUAGGAUAGUAAAUGGGCUCCUUGAAGGGGAGGUUUUUCAAUUUCAAGAAAACAAGCCCAAAACAGUAAAAACAAAACUUUUACAAGCCCAUAAGCCGGGCCCAUUAGGCUACGCGGUACUGCGAGAGGAAAACGCGAUUCGGAGAGGCCGGAACCCCACUUCCGCUGCAGGACAGAAGCGAAAAUGGAAUCGGCGGCGAAGGGAGAGGCGGAGGAGGUGAUGGAAGGGGUGGCGUCGAUCGCGUUGCUACCAAGCGGCGCCAUCUCCGGCCACUUCGUUCGUCUCCCCCACUCCAUUUGCUACGGCCUCCAUGGAACAGGUACCAUCCCUAUACAAUAGUAGUAGUAUAAUGCAAUGUAACCGCUCCUUUUAACUAUUGCUUCGAUCCUGCUGUAGGAUGCAGUGCUGUUUGAUGAAGCACGAUGUUAGUGGUGAUGUUUAGGGAAGCACUGUCUUAGAUCCAGAAGCACCAAAUUAGAGCUUCUGCUUUCGACGCCGAACUUGUUGCAACACAAGUUUUAGCUUUUUCUCAUUGUUAAACUCUCUGCAGAAAUUGUUGCACCUUAAAGGCUAAAAAAGCGUUUAAGAAAUUUGUUGGACCUUCUGAUUUAGACCAGAAAGCUCCCAAAAUGCGGUGCUGCUUACGUAACGAGAAAUAUGAUCAGAAUGACUCAUUUUCAGCAUCUGUUAUUACGCAUUUCUGUUUCUCUCUACUCGUGCAUGCUCGACUAUUGCAUGUGAUUCAUUUUUACACCGAUAUUAUUAGCAUCUGGGCUUGUAUCGGGAACUCGGUGUGUCGCAUCAAAAAUACGAAUAUAAUGAGCACAUCUUCUCCUCCUGUUCUUUUAGAAUUAUCUUGCGAGAGGGAAUGCAGCAGAGGAGAGGAUUACCGCUUGAUAAAGCUCUCGAUCAUUGAUUAUACUGUAAGGUCUAAACAAGCUUCUGAGGUCGAUGAGUUUUGUGUAUAAAUAUUGCCCUGCUUUUUGGUUAUCUAUCUAUCUAUCUUUCCUCAUUGAUGGCUUAAUGGGAAUGUACAGACGAAGAGAGAGAAAGUCGUUGCGGUAGAGUGCAGGGGACAUGAUGCUGCUCGUUUCCAGAGCAUUGACCAUGCCCAUGGGUAAUUUUUCUCUCUCCUACGUAGACGAGUGUGGUUACUUUCUAAGAUAAUAUGUACAAAAAUGUUCGAUGCUUAUAUCUGAAAUAAUUAGAAUCUGCAAUAUUUGAUACUAUUGCUAUGCAUGCUUGGCAGAUCAUUUUGCUCGGGAAUUCAUUACAAAUUUCGCACCUAAAUUUUGGCCCGGGUUUCAACCAUCAGGGACCUUGUUAUUACAAUGGAUACUGCGAGCGUGAAAAAUUCGGGUCAAAUUUUAGGGACCAAAUUUGUGACUAACCCAUUUUGGAAAAAAAUAAAAUAAAGAAAGUUGUUACAUGCUUAAUUGCUUUAUGCCGAGUUAUUCGUCAGAUUAAAAUUCAAUGCCGUAAGUGAUUAUCAUUGAAGUGAAAAAGUAACUGAAUCCAGGUGGGAGGAGGAUGUCAUUGGUAUGAUCAAAGAGAAGCAUGGGAAUGAACAGAUUUCGGUCUCUUUCGAGUGCGAGACGCUGAAGGCAGAUAAUGCUGCCGAGGAACACAUUAGGAAAUACAUGCCCAAUCUAUCCGGGCAUGAUGCUGUAGGUAAGGUAUAGGAAGAAAAGAAUAAAUAGCUCAACUUGUGUUCUUUGAUUCUCUUCCCUUUUAUGAUCUUUUACUAAUGAAAACAGAACCUUGUGUGUUAAAACCUUAUCUGCUAAUUUGCUGUGGCGUGAGUAAAUUGCAGUGAAUGUCGGUAAGAUGAGUAUUUCUGGUAUCAACUUCAAAGAGGAGGAUGCAUCCCAAGCUAAAGAACUGAAGGAUCAAGCCUGCUAUACAGUUUAGUUUGGAGAAUCAAGUUAUUUUUUUUUCCCUUUUUUUUUUUUUCUGGUGGGAGGUUUUGUUGAGAGAGAGAGACAGAUAGAACAACUACUUAAACAUGAAUUAAAUAUUCCAACAUGUCUUGUGGUGUAUGCUUGUGCAUCUGUUUGAGUUGCUUUUCUAUGUAAGCAGUCGUGGAAUUCAACUUGAGCUCAUUCUUAAAAUAUUUGUAGGUAGAUCUCCCACGUUCUCAUGAAUGUAUGCCUUUUUUUUUUUAAUCUUAUUGGAAAUUAUUCUCAAUUUGUCACCUACUUUUCAAAUUCUUUCAUACAAUGCAUGUUUUCUCGAAUUGUCUAUCCCAAUUUCUGGAAUAUUGAGUUGGCGGUUGGGUUUGAAAAGUUUUAGUUGAAUUAUUUCUCCUUAAACAGAAUAUUAUCAAAAGGUACUUUUGUAGUUAUCUGCAUUGAAUAGAAUAAAGUUGCAGAGAAUCAAAAGUUUGGCUUACUGUGAGAGCAUAUUGAUAUCGAUUGACAAGUUGCAUUCUAACUUUGCUAUGGCUACUGGCUUUCCAUCCGUAUUUAUUAUUUUAGGUUUGCCUGACCGAACUGGAGCUGCUAUAUAAUUGCUAUAUACAAAUUAGCAGCCUCUGAUCCCGUUCUUGAUCCAAAGUGGAGACGAGGUACGUUCAUUAUACCCUUUAUGGUUCACCUAAGAAUAACCAAUCCGCAGGGUGGUUGGAGUAUUUUGGGAGAACUAUAACAAUGGAGUUAUGAUGGUGUAGUAGGGGCACAUACAGUGUUUUCCGGCGUGUGCUUCUUUGCUGCUAUCUGGCAUUGGAUAUAUUGGGAGCUAAAAAUGCUCACUGAAGCAUGAAUAACUUCCGUAGUAGUAGUUUUCUUCCUCAGUAAAGCAAAAGUUUCAAGUUAUAGCUGGAGGCAACUUCUCAGUAUAACAAAAGCAUUGAGCUUUUCGCUUGCCAAGCACGUGCCGCUAAUAGAAGAGAAGUCAGGCCAAACAACAACCGUUCUUACAAAAAGAGGAUAGUGUCAUUUAGAAUCUGUUCUCUUUUGGCGAAGAAUAUAUUCUGGAAUGGAGAAUAUGUACAUGAUGUUUCUGAAGUUGAAAUAAAGGCAUUUCUGAAGUAGAAUCUUCUGAGAAAAUUGAAAGACAUACAUGUUCUUUCAGCCUGGUUAAGGCCAAAAGCUAAAAAGGAAGAGAAUAUAUGCAAUGUGAUCAGCCAAAUUGAAGAGAAUCCAACUUCCACCUAUCCAGCUUAUUAUAUAUUACAGUAGCCUUCCUUUAUUGCUCUCAUUAUUCAAUUCACUUUUCAAAUUAGAAAUUGCUCCAGAGCACUAUAAUUGAAGGAAUAGGCAAGUUAAUUUAUAUUUUUGACAAUUGAUAUCUAGACAGAUGAGUCAGGAAGAUGGAUUGAGUAACGGCGAGUUCGAGAUAAGUGUUGCUGCAGCUGCAUUUGCUAUUGUAUCACUUGAAGAAAGAGAUGGUGCCAAAACGAAGGGUGAGAAAGAAGAGAAAAGGAUUAGAACAACAAAUUUGGGAACAAAUUCGGGAUCGUUCUUUUGGUGGUUCUCUAAGGAUGAGGCAAAAGACGCCGAUAAAUUGGCAGGUAAAUGUUUGAUAUUUUCAGAUAAUUACAUUGCGUAUAUCUUGCAAAGAUUAUCCAUUUGCAUGUAUGCUGUUACAAUGUUUGGUAGGGCCUACAUAGAAAAAUAGGAUCAUAUAGCCUGUGAAAGUUCGAAGUAUCUCUAUUAUUUUUUGUUUUCGUAAAAAAUGUAGAUCUCAACCUUGAGCUAAAUGAGUUUCAGAGCAAAGACAUCCAUUUGCCUGCUUAUCACUGAAAAGAAGUUUAAAAAGUGCGUUCGCUAUGUAUGAGUUGUAUCUUUCCAUCAUUGAUAAGUACAUUUCCUCUGUUUUUUCUUCAGGUGACAAAUCUACAACAAAAUCACAGACCACAACACAGCAUGACUCAACCGUCGAUCUCAAGAAGCCAACCGUCGAUCUCAAGAAGCCAGAAAUGAUUAUGAAUAACACCCCAAGUAUCCGAAGAACUGCAACCUUGUCUGAUAAAAGCACAGGUAUCAUAAAGAGUAGCCAGAGAGAUGGAAGCAGAAACGAAACUACACAAGGAGCGAAAUCUCAUUCGGUGAAAAAAAAGACUAGGUUUGCGAGUUUUAAGAAGACAGCUAGCAAGUCAUUUGGGUCCCCCAAAGAUAAGUAGAAGCACUGAUGGAUCAGGUUACAGAUGCUUGAUUGGUUGGCAGAUACUCAUCACCGCAUCGAAAAUUAUGGAAUAAUGUGUGAAAAUACAUAUGAUUGUUGAAUGACAAGCGAAACUAAGGUGUCUGUAUAAUAAUAUAUGAGUGGAGAAUCAAAUAAACUUAUCGCAGAUGUGCAAGUUGUUUUUGUUGUAGAUUGAUAAAAUUGCCUUAUUAUUCACUCUGUCGUUCUCACUCUCUCUCCUCUCUCAAAAAGUGAGUGGAAUGAUUUGAACCAAUUGAUGUGCUGGUUUUGCAUGGUUUUUGACACAUUAUUUUAGCUUGGCAAACUCAAAAUCUAGAUUUUUUUUUAUUUUUUUCUUUUUUGGAUGGUAAAUAGAAUCUCUAAAUAACAGUUGGAAGCAUUUGAGUUCAUGUAACUAUGAAGGGACCCAAAGAGUCGGCACAGUUUUGCUCCACAAGCACUUCACAGUGCUAACUCUAUUAAUCCUUCUUGCCUAUUUGGUCCACAGUUUAUAAUAUUUUAAUAAUUUAUUUUAUUUUUUAUAAAAGUAUUAAAAUUAUUAUCAUUUCAAGGUGAUUAAUUGUAAAAAGUGCUAGUGAAGUAGUAAAAUAAUUACAAAUUCCUAGAUAAUAAAAAUAUUAUAUUAUUAUAAAUUAAAUGAUAUUUAUUUUGUUGAAAUUAUAAGUAGUCCAUUUAAUAAAAGUAUGCUAGUUUGUAAUAACCUUCCAAUUCAAAUGAUUUGAUAUGUUAAUGAUAAACUUGUCAUUCCAAGCAUAAGAUAUACAAUAUUUGGAAAAUAUUACAGCCCUGGAACCAAAUGGCUACUUCAUGUUUUACGGUUCACUUGAAUACGGCGCCGUAAGAUCAAGCAACGCCGACUUUGUUGCCGCAUAAAAACUUUAUGCAGGAAGCUUUAUAAUGAUUUCCCCGCUUCAAAGCCCCCCCACUCUGCUCGAGAACCCUAGAAGCCCCGAGAGGAAGGAGAAGAAGAGGACGAGAACCCGAAGCUCUCGAACCCACGGCAAUGGCGAUGGAGCUCGAUUCCCCUAAGCCUGAAGAGCUCUUCCGCGCCGCAGAGAAUGGCGACGCCGCCCUCUUCGCCUCCCUCUCCGAGGAAGCGCUCGCUCGCGCUCGAACGCUGCGGAACGAGGAUGGGCGCUCUCUCCUCCACGUCGCCGCCUCAUCCGGACGCCCGCAGGCGAGCUCUGGAAACCCUAGCGAUUGAAAAUCCCAUCUAUUCGCUCUUUUUCCUUUUGGAAUCUGUGAUUUCUAGGGUUUUAGUAGCUUGCACUUACAUUUUGGGGUGGUUUUGGAUGUUCUACGUUUCGAAAUAGGUCGUAGACGUGCUUUCAAAAGCGGAUCCAUCGGUAAGUGGAGUUAAUGCCACGGAUGAGGAAGGGUGGGCGCCACUCCACUCCGCGGUGAGCAUCGGCAAUGCGGAGAUCGUCGACAUCUUGCUUGAUAGAGGUGAGAUGUGUUUGAUCACAAAGUAUAUCAAACAAAGUAUUUGUCGUAAUGACCUUUGAACCUCCUUUUGGGCGUAUACAGUUGUUACAUUAACUGCUCUAGUAGCAUCAAAAUGCUUAUGAGUGCAUUGUAGCAUAUACAUUAAGACCAUCCAUUUAGAUUCUCAAUAAGUUGCUGUAUAAUAAAGCUCAACAUGCUAGCUUAUUGUUGGUGAAAACUAUUCUGUUUCUCGUUGACCUUUGGAACAACUUCUCUUCGAGAGAUUUUAAUACUACAAUGAUCUUCUACUUGACUGAAAAGCUUUAGACUUUUGACCCGGAAAAGUAGAAGCUUUUGUUUGAAGCUCAACUUCCAGCUUGACCGAUAAAAGGCCACUAAGGCUUCUGAAAUACACAUAUUUGAACGGAUACUUCUGUAUAAGCUAUGAAUGAGUCAAACUUAGGCCAAAUUUAGGAUUGAUUCUUUGGAUGCCAAAUGCAAAUGUGUUAAUGGUAGAUUUCACCUAAGAUGAUCAAUAUUAGCUUUACUCUACAUUUUAUCUAUGUUUAGUUAUUCAUUUUGGCUUUGAUAGAGAGGUCUUGGUGAUAGACUACAAUUAGAUGUUGCUAAAUGGAUUAAGUUGGAAGUUCUAGGAACAUACAGGAAGAAAAGCGUGUGCAAGUUCAUUUGAACCCUGAGGUGCUUGUUUGGUUCCUUACAGCUAAUAGGAAAGUGAAAAGUUUAAGCUUAUUGCAGUUUACCAAGAAUUUUGGUGUCUAUGAGGCAGAAAUUGUUGAGUAAUUACAUUAUUAGUCGAGUUUCAUUUGUUGCAUUCUUCAGUUAUGAGCACUACGAGCUUCUAACAUCAAGCCAUUAAUUUGCUGAGAGCUUACAUAUUAUACUGAAGCAAUAUAAUUGCAACGCAGGAGCUGAUGUUAACUUGGCUAACAACGGUGGGCGCACUGCUCUUCAUUAUGCCGCUAGUAAGGGGUGGGUGAAAAUUGCUGAAACCCUGAUUUCACAUGGAGCAAAAAUCAAUAAGAAAGACAAGGUUUGUAACUAUAUUAGUAUCAAAUAAUUGGCCCUAGUGCAUGUUAUUUCAUUACAUGCAUCCACACAUUUUCUGGCAAGAUUCUAAACUAUUUACUCUUUUAGGUCGGUUGCACCCCACUUCAUAGAGCUGCUAGUACAGGGAAGCCAGAAUUAUGUGAGUUGUUGAUUGAGGAAGGAGCUGAGGUCGAUGCUACUGAUAGAGCAGGGCAAACGCCUCUAAUGCAUGCAGUUAUAUGCCAAAACAAGCAGGUAUUUUCUAUUCAAGAGCUUUUUCCAUAUAUUAGCAAGCUUAUAUGCUUCAAGGUUCACUAAAUAUGGUAGUCUUGUAGGUUCAUCAAAAUAUAACCUUUCUAUUUUGUUGGGAGAUAAUCUAUAGAAGAACCUAGUGACAUUUCAGUUGAAUAACUAUGCGUAAUAUAUAUAAUUUGGUUUAUAUAAUCUUCACCAUCGUAGCACCUGGACAUAUAAAUACACUAUGUACUCUGAUUACCCAAAUAAAUAGUGGAACCAAAUUUAUGAAUAUAUUACUUGCAUAUACCGACAUAAAAUAAAGAAAAAAAAAUCAAUACUUGUAGGUUGCUCUUUUGUUGAUAAGGCAUGGGGCUGAUGUUGAUAUUGAAGACAAGGAAGGAUACACGGUACUUGGUCGAGCAUCACAUGACUUCAGACCUUCGUUGAUUGAUGCAGCCAAGGCCAUGCUCGAAGGUUAGAGUUUUUUUUGUGCUAUCCGAAACAAAUUUCUAGAAUUUCAAACCAGAAUUAGAUAUCCCCGUUGUUUGUGCUAAGUAACUCAUGCUAAAAAUCUGUGAGAAUGUUGUAAAUGAUUUUUGUUUAAGUGUGUGGGUUUCAUUGCUUCUUUACAUUUGCUCUAGUUAUUGUGAAGCGCUUUAUAGUCUUUUUGUGGAACCGACCUGAUCAAUUUUAGACAAGAGGACCAAUAGCUGGAGAUGCCCAAUUUAUAACACCUGCUCUGGGUCUCUGUCUCAUUAGCAACUUCAGCAUUAGAAUAGCCUAACUUAUGGAUCUAGAUUAGUGUUAUUGCCAGUGAAGAGUGAAGAGGAUUCUGGGUAUUCGAUGGCAAGUUUUUUUGGUUGGAUGGUUCCUAUAUUAGGUAUUUAGGUGCAACGCUACUCCAUAAUGGGUCCCUAGAAUCGUUACCGGUCUAAAAAUUGAAUCCAGGUAAGUUGUUGGAUCCACUGAUUUCCUGCUUGGCAUUGGGGAAGAAGAAUUUAAGUUGUUUAUCUUCCUUUAUUUUAGUUUAGUUUAUUUGAUUGAUUGUUUUUUACCCUUUAGCAAAACCGUGAGUAUGCUAGUAAUGGAUAAGACCAUAAGAUCAGGUCAAACAUUGCAUUGUAAAACUGUAUGAAGCUGAUACCCUGAUCCUGUCUAAACCAAGUGAAACAAGUUGAUUCAUCCUGAACUAACUCAGUAGACCCAAUGGAUAAAGUUAAAAUAAGGCAAGUGAGUUUUGUUCGAGUCCAAUAGAUCUAAACUUUUUCGUUUUGAGAUUACCACACUAGUUUAAUUUACCGAGACAUUGAUAGUGAACUUGUCUUUUAUGUUUUUUUACUUAACGAAACUUUUUCUUUUCAAUUGUCAAAAGAAAGAAUAGCUAAGAAUGUUGAUAUUCUUAGGGCUGCUAAAAAGAGAAGGGGACAUGCUUAUCUUUGAAAUUAAGUGUCUUGGUAUCAAAGUAUAUUAGUUUUCUAAGUAUCUUUAAGAUAUGUUAUGGGGAGAAUAUUGUCCACCCCAUAGUCUAUUGAAUCAAGUCAACUGCUUAGAUGCUCCUUCAUUAUGAUACAUCUGCACAUGCGGAGACACUUAUUAAAAAAAUGGUCCCAACUCCAAGAAAAUCCGAUGAAAAAAUUAGUAGAUUGGGUACAUCGUUGUUGGGUUAAUCUCUGUUUAAGUUGUUUAUGUGGCAUUUCACGCAAUUUGGAUGUCAGAAUAAAAUAUCCAUUGAGAAUUUAUUUGGUAUCAAAUUUUUUUUUUUUUACAUGAUUGAAAGUCAAGGAUUUAAUUUCUACUUCUUAAAAUAUCUUGUCAUUUAUAACUUGGUAGGAUAAUAUAUUUUAUCUGUGAGGUGAUUCAUUUUAUUUUAAAUUCUAAAAAAUAUAAUUUGAAGGCUGAGUAUUUUGAUCACAUUUUCAUCUACCAAAUACCAUGUACUUGUUCAGUAAAUUACAGUGAUAUUGCCGAAUAAGAUAGUAAUACAUGGAGACAGGUCUUAAUGAAUCGGAUAAGAUAUCACCUAUAUUUUGGAGUCAAAUAAUUUCAAGAUGGUAGCUUGUGGACAUACGAUUUGGGGUUGCAAGAGUGCGCUCCUUUCGGUGUAAUGGCUUUUGUAUGCAUUCUAUUACAAUAGCAAAAGAUAUCAUCAUUAAGUUAAUGAGAUAGCUUAUUUAAUAUCUCAAAAGUGUGUUGGUAAUUUGUCCUAUUCUUAGUCUCACAAUAAAAUUUUAAGUUUCAAUGGACUCAGCAUCCACUAACCGAGUGAAGUAGCCUACUCGGAACAAAACCUUAGCAAACCAAUCAUGAUUGGAAGUGGAUCAUAUUGUAAUGAUCCCCCUUUCAAAUGUGUCAUCCUUUUAAUAGAGUCACAUCCUUUCUAUGAAUACUUUCCCAUGUGGGGGGUUUCGCUUCUCUAUUGCCUAUAAAUAAAGGAAUUGAUUCAUGUUUGCGGUGGAUCGAAGCAAACCUUUUUAAGAUAAGAGAGAUUAUUACCUGGACCUGCACAAUCCAAAAAGGUUGCUUUCUUUCUUGGUUGAGAAAACUCUUUGAUGAUUCGAGCGAAUAUAAAAGGGUGAAUUGUAUGUGGAGUAUCUCCACGGAGCGAUCCUAAAAUACUACUAUUUCUAUUUGGCUCUUAUACUAUACACUCGAACAAUUUAGUCUUUGUACUUUUAUUGCACAAUGAUAUUGUAAUUCUGUUCCAAAUAAAGUGAAAUAACUGGAUCGCUUAUUCGGAGAAAGUGGUGAAAGAAUGGUUAUUUUAUUCGAAAAGUUAGAUUCUUCCUUCUUUUUUUUUUUUUUUUGUCCAAAUGAAUUCAAAUAUGUUUGGGAUCUGGUAUUGCAUUUUUUUUACAUUUAGAAAUUAUAAAAAAAAAUAUCUAAUUUAUAAGUAUUUUAAAGGCUAAAUUAUAAAAAAUUCUUCUGUAAAUACCUCGCUUUUUCAUUUUUCCUUUAUAUCUUUCAGAAAUCUAUAUUUUACCUUCUUAAAAUUUCAAGUUGUUGCAUUUAGUCCCUCCGUCAAGGUUUCAUUACUAUUCUGUCUAUUUUUUUAAUUUAUAUCCAAAAUAUUCUUCAAAGUGGUAAAAAUAUAUUAAAAAAAAUUUUUUUUUUUAUGGAAGAAGUAAGAAUAAUUUAGUUAUUUUGCCAUCUCCAUUAAUAUCAUAUUUUUUUGAAAAUAUUUUUAAAAUUUUAAGAAGGUAAAAUAUAAUAUUUUGAAAGUUAGAGAGAAAAAGUAAAAAAAAAAAAGAAGUAUUUUAUAGAAAUUUUUUUUUUUUAAUUUAGCCUAUUUUAAAAUUAUAUUUUAAGGUCUCCACAGCUAAUAAAUUUAGAAGUAUGAGAACGGGGUCGUGCGUUUGGUCAAUGGCGUCUUGUAUGUUAUUGUAUGCGGGCUCUUGGGUGACCCGUGGGACCCACAUAAAUAUGCGGGGCCCACAUGUCAGCCACGUAAUGGUGACAUAAAAACCGUUACACUGGGCUGUGGUCACCAUCUACAAGAGCAUGCGGAUCUCAGAUAACGUCCUUUAUUUUUUUCGUUUUUUGUUUUUUUUAUAUUUAUUUUUUGUCUAUGAUGAGGGAGUUGUACCGAUCACGUGAUGCGUUACCCGCAUAGUUCUCAGAUUAUUAAACUGAUGUUUUUUUUUCUUAUUAUUAGUUUAUAUACGAGAAUCUUUAUUCGUGGUGGCGUCGGAAUGUUCGAGAGGAUUGUCUAUGCACCCGGUGUAUACGGACAUUUCAUACUCCCCGCUUGAUAUUUAUUUAUUUCCUGAUUAAUGAUGAAUGAAAUCUAUUAUUAUUAUUACUAAAAUUUAACUGAACAGAUAGAUAACUUUUAAUUUUCAACGGCUAAAAAAAAUUAUUGUUUAAUUUAUACGAAAUAUAUGUUUAAAAGUUAAGUUAUGAUUUUUUUAAUAAGUGGAUAUUUUCAAUACUGCGAAAUAUAGCAAUGAAUUACAUUAUACCAAUCCAUCUUAUCCUAUAUGGUAUAUUUGUGGUUAACUCAUUGAUGCCUUUUUUAACGUCCCUUGCAUCAGUUAGGUUAAGAAGAUUUCAAAUUAAAUUAUUCUGCUAUAAAAUAAUUUAAAAGAUAAAUUUACUAAAUACUAAAGUAGGGAUUCAAACCAGCAAUCCCAUAAAACGGCAGAAACUUAAAAUUAACUCAGAUUCUAUAUUUUAUUCAAAAAAUCGAUCUAAUUGAAAAUGAUGUGGGAAUUAAUUUUGGGAGCUUUUAGGAUUGCGGUGCAUGGGGUGUGGGGAUACACCGGGUUCAGGGUUUAGUUUCUCGCGCUUCACACGGGGGACCGUAAUAUGGGGCAGGUGCGAGGGGCAUUUUGGGAAAAGCGCAGCACACGCAGCGCCGCCCAAGAUUUAUGGGGCGCAGAUCCGCUUCGGGAUGGUGGGCGUGAGAAAGGCGGAACGAGAAAAUCCCGCACCGCGGCGUCUGUACGAAGACUCCACAACGCCCUCAGAGUUGCCACUUUAUUACGAAAUUGCCAUUGAGGUGAUGGUUUUAUUUUAGGGAUUCGUUCGGUCAGCAAUAAUUACAUAUACAGUAUACUUGGAGAUCUAUACGGUUAAAAAUAUAGUAAUUAUUACCAUAUGUAUAUGUUUAAUUAGUAAUUAUAAAUAGUUUAUUUGGUUGCAUACAGUUGAAAAAUAAUUUUUAAAAUUUUAUUAUUUUAUAUAUAUGUAUGAUGGCGAGAUUACUUUCAAUAUUAAAAAAAUAUUUUUUAUUUUAAAAAUAAUUAGAAGGACAUGCUUAUUUUUUACUUAAAAUUAUUCUCUUCAACUUGCUGCAGUUGGAACUACGCUCAAUUUUAAUAUAGUUCCAAUUAAUUCCUCCUGCAGUUUCUACAAACAGACUUUAUAAUAGAGUUCUAAUUGUAAAUUUGUAGUAAUUUAGGAUAUGGAAUUUAACCCCACUUUUAAUUUUGUUCUUGGGUUGUAAAUUUUGCUUCUCAAUUAUGGUGAAAAUUUUGAUUUCGUCCUUAAACCAUAAUUUUAAUUAUUAAUUUAUCAUAAAAUUUUUAAAUUUAUAUAACAAGAAAAUUUAUAAUGAUGACUCCAACGUGACAAAUUUUCAGACACUGGAUUAAAAAGAAGAAGAAGAAGAAGAAGAAGACAGAUUUGUUAUGCAUGAUAAACUUGAUAGAGUGAAUUGUUAAAUUAAAAUUAAGAUUCACAUAAAUCUUAAUUAAUAUUUUAAUUUAAGAUAUAGGAUUAAAAAAAAGGAUUAAUUGCAUAUAAGUUCCUGCAAACAUGGUGAAUUGUAGAUAUAUUUCUACAAAACUCAAUUUUUAUAAGUUGUCCCUACAAAAAUACUAAUGUAUGCAGAUAUGUCCCUGCCGUUAGUUUCCGUUAGAGAAACUUUGUUAACCAUAGUUAAAAUACUUAAUUAUGGUUAAUUAAUAAGGUGAAUUUAUAAUUUUACCUUUUUCUUCUUCCCCUUCGUCUUCCUCUUCCCUCUUCUUCAUCGCCGGCAAACCCGACCUCGACCUCGCCGUGGCGGCGAACUCUCUCCCUCUUCCUCUUUCCCCUUCUUCUUCCUCUUCCCUCUUCUUCGUCGCCGACGAACCGGACCCCGACCUCGCUGCAGCAGCGAACCCUCUCCCUCUUCCUCUUUCUCUUCCCUCUUCCUCUCCCUUUUCCUCUUCCCUCUUUUUCUUCCUCUCCCUAUUCCUCUUCCCUCUUCUUCGUCGCCGGCGAACCCAACCCCGACCUCGCCGCAAACCCCCUCGCCUCCGCCUCCUUAUUCUUUUUCUUUGUAUCCUCCUCUUCUCCUCCUUCUUCUUCUUUGUCGUUGUCGUCGAUGAUCCGCCACCGCCGCCGUCCGCUCCAGUGGCCCGAAGAGGAAAAGGAGGAGGAAGAUGGAGUAUUUUUGGAGGGACAUAUUUGUGAGGGCAAAAUUAUCAUUUCACAAGCAAACUGUUAAAAAAUUAACAGUUUCCUAACAAAUUUUAACCAUAGAGAUAUAUCUGCAUAUAUUAGGACUUUUGCAGGGACAACUUAUGAAAGUUUAGUUUUGCAAGAAUAUAUUUGUUAUUCAUCAUGUUUGCAGGAAUCUAUAUGAAAUUAACCCUAAAAAAAAAAUCUGACCUUCUUUUAAUUCUCAAGGUACAAUGUUGUUUAAUCAUAGACUAUAAAUUUUCCCUUUUUUUUCUUUUAAGAAGGCCCGUAGUUACACUUAUAAUUACAACUACUCUAAAAAAAAAAAAACUAUUCCAAUUCUGUUGGGAGAAAAACGUAUCCUCUUGUGCGCAUAUUGAUUAGGCAUUUUUAGGCAAUUGCGAAGAGAGCGACACAUCAUCUAACCCAAAACAUGGAACCGCUACAAAAAUACAUCUGAUAGCUACGUGUGUAAAUUUAUUAAAUUGGCAUCUACCGUAGUGGCCCCUCCGUUCUCUGGUGCGACACAAAUUAUACAUUUUAACAGUGUAACUUAAGUUUCACCUAAAUAGAAAAGAUCAAUAAUACAUAUAUAUAUAUAUAUAUAUAUAUAUAUAUAUAUAUAUAUAUAUAUAUAUAUAUAUNAUAUAUAUAGCUUUUAUACUAUCGAAAGCACAGAGAAUCUAGCAUUUCUAAUUUUUUUACCUGUAGAUCAGUUUCUUUCAUUAUUUUUAAAUUUUGAAUUAAUAUUAUUAUCCUGUGGGGACUACUCAGUUUUAAAAAUACUACUCAAUCCUAGAGAGGACCGUAAUUAUUUCAACCGUAUAAUUUUCAAUCCAAAGGUCUAAAAAUCGAAAGCAUCAAAUGCUCUAUACUUUUGAUAGUAUAGUAUAUAUACACACACGCGUACCAUACCACAUGACAUGAUGCACUAUAGGAGCUGGAAAAAGGAAUGGGAAAAGAUAAUUUUAAAUCCAGAAAUUGUAUAUUCAAAUUGUAUAACACUUUGAAAAUGAUUGAACCUAUGAUUUUAUAGAAUGAAAGAGUUUAAAAUUAGUUCUGAUAUCACAUUAAAUUAUAUUAUAAAAAAUAAUUAUUAUUUUUAAAAAAUUAAAGUCGGUAAAAAAAAUAAUAUUUUUAAUAUUUAUAUUCAACAACAUGCACCAUCAAUGUGGCAAAAGGACCUUCUAGUUUUUGUUAAUUCAUAUAUAAAUAAAUAUAUUUGCGACCCAAUAAUCAUAAAACUGUUUAGAUCUUCGAUCAAAGAGUUGCUGUGUGGUCCCCGCCCAUUCAUAACUUGUCAUGUUACCUUUGUAUUCUCCAGCAGAGAAUGAGAUCAACAUAGCCAAUUGAUGGCUCAUUUAAUGCAGAGGAGGUGAGCUCAAUAGUAUGUGACUGGGACGCGUACAGUGAUCACAUUCACAUCCUAUGAUCAUCAUAUUUUUGAUAAAAUCUAAAACUAAUCACAAAAUCAUUUGUCGUAUUGGUUACCCGUCGCAUCGGCGAUAUCAAAUAGAUAGGAAAAGAGAGGAGAAUUUAGUUAAUUAUUGAUCUUUGCUUAUUGUCACCACACCAGACACAUUUGUGUGAUUUUUAUUCUAGUACAUGUUUGCUAAACCUAAAAAAAGUGUUUUUUUUUUUUUUUUUUAAUAAGGUGGUUGCAUGAUCUCUUCUUGUGUUUGGUCUACAAAAGUUUCUUUUUAAAUCAAUGAAUUAAUGUUCACUUAGAUGUUGUCCGUAUGGGACAUGAAACACUGUGUAUGUUUGACUUGUCAUCUCAACUAUACUCCUUAUUUAUUGAUUGAUUACUCAAAAAGUAGAAGCCAAUAGAUUGGCCACCAUAAGCUAGAAAGAUCUAAUCAGGAACUAAAUGGGAUACCUUUUUAAUGUAUAGAAAAAUUGAACUUCUGAAUAAUUGAUAAGAAGUAGAACAAAGGGUAUUUUGAAUAUCAUUGCCUAAUCGAAGAGCUAUAUUUAAAAUAGGAUUAAUUUUAUACAGCUCUCUACAAAUAUAGUGAAUUGCAUAUAUAUUCCUACAAAAUUCAACUUUCAUAUAUUGUCCCCGCAAAAGUCCUAAUUCUUUCAAAUAUGUUCAUCUGGUUAGUUACCGUUAAAACACUGUUUAUUUUAUAAUUUAAACGACUUUUUUGCCAUCACAAAUAUGUCGCUCUAAAAAUUUCAACUAUUAAUUAACGAGAGGUAAAAAAGUCAAUUCAUCUCAUUAACUAACUAGAAUUAAGUAUUUUAUCUAUCAUUAACUAAUUUUUUUUAACGGAUCCUAACGGCAGAAAUAUAUUUGAAAAUAUCAAAAUUUUUACAGAAAUAAAAUAUAAAAGUUGAACAUUGUAGGAAUAUAUUUAUAAUUCACUAUAAUUGUAGGGACUUGUAUGAAAAAUAUGUUGAAACUUUCUCAUUAAUUGGUGAGCUAACUAGGUUAUAAUGAAUCAAAAAAAUAUAUCUAAUUUUGAUGGACACAUUUGGUAUAUUUUUAAGCCUCGAGCUUCCUGAAGAGCUAUGUGAACUUAAUUAGCCGUGUUGUUAGGUUGGAUUAAGAAUCAUAUAUAUUAUACAAUUAAAGUUAUAAUCUAUAUAUAUAUACAUGAUUAUUAGCUUUCAGAUACUGCUAUCUAGCUAGAUCUGAGAGGCUGAACAGAGAAUUUCAUAAGUCGAUAAAUUUUUUUUGUCUCAUCGUACAAAACCCAAAAAAAUAGGUUUUUGAAUCAGAUCUUAAUUAGGAUCCGAGACGGAGAUUUGUGCCAGAUUCGGAUCAAAUAGAUCCAUUUUCUGGGUCAAUUGACGCACCUGAAUGAUCCAUUUUUCACAACUGUAAUGCACUAUGCUUUUGGAUUUUAGCACUAGUAGGCUUUAUAUACCCUCUUCUGAUGCCUACUUUUGAGAAGGUCAAAGUCACAAAAAGGACGAAAAAAAAUGGUUAUGUCCUUCAAUCAAUUAAGAAUCACAAUACACUAAUGACUAACGCUUCUCUCUCAAACAAAAAUCCCACUAACAAUGACAGUAAUGGGCACUGAAAAAAGAAUAUGACCUAGGUGACUGAAUCUAGUCCAAAAGCUUUAUUAGGUCUCUCAAGUGUGGACUUGCUCUUUCAAUUCAAUUACAUACUUUGGACUAAACUUGUAGAUUAAUUUCUAAAAUAAUUUCUUACCAGAAAAGGCAAAAUAAGAAGCUCUGCACGUAAAGCUAUUGAGCUUUUGACUUAAGCAGGAAGUUGAAAAAUAAAAAAAAUCUUAGAUUUCAAAAUAAAAGCCCUCCAUUUAUACAUACGCUUUGCUUUCUCACACAGGUUUACAUUAGUAACACUUUUGUAGUAGUUCCGAUUAUUUUGGACAUACCAGAGCCUGAACUGUACAGUUCAAGUUAGAUAACUAAAGAUCGAGUGAUACGGCCUUCUUUCUCAUACUUAUCUCUCUCUCUCUCUCUGUGUGAGAUGCUAUCUAAACACCAUGAAUCCAUGCACUCUACAACUUGGGAAUUGCACAUACUUAAUAAACCCUUUCUGAGAAAAGAAUCAGUGCUGGGUAUAUAUCUAUAUAUACCCUCUGGGGCUGCAGCAGCACAAAAGGGCAGGCCUGGGCUAAAGUGUGGGAUGCUUUCACAUGAAGGGUACAAAAGAGAUAAGAGGGAGAUACACUCCCAUGAUCCCACAGGGCCCUGAGGAGUACUACAACAAAAUUCAUAAAUAGGGGCUUUUAUGGUGACCCUUGUCAUCAAUGCCCCUUGGUUCUUUUUUUUUCCCCCUGUGCUACAUCUUAGCAGUUGUAUAUAUAGAGUUGAUUUAGGAUACUUUUACAUGUAUCAUCUCCAUGUUGCUAUCACAUUUUUAGCCAUUGGAUCUAUUUUUUGAAUACGAAUAGCCCUUGAAUCAAACACUAUUCCACCUACCACCACCUACCACCAUCAUCUCAACCUCACAUCUCUCCAUCCAAGGGCUAAAAACACACAAGUAUCACUUGGGUGAUACUUGUAAAAGUAUUCUAGCCCUACUCUGCAUAUAUAUAUAUAUAUAUAUAUAUAUAUAUAAUUUCAUAUAUCAUCCAAGCUAGAAAACUUACAGGAGCAAUCUCCUCCAAUAUGAAUUUUUCAUGAUGGUACCAAUAGAUAUUAAAACAUAGUCCCAAUGAUUGAGGACUUGGUGUGGAAAGAUUAUUCGGUGGACCUGGUCUACCGGAUCAUCAACGGACUAACCAUUUAGACUACAUAAGUUAAUUUUAAAUCUUAUAAUAAAAAUUUGGGCUAGGAGGUCUAUUGAGUAGACCUGAAGUAAAGUACCAUAUGGCCCAAAGAUUCCGCCCCUUAUCAAAUCCGCAUAUUGUCGUCACAGACAAAUUUAAUCCAUAUCAUUCUAUUUAUGCAUAUAGAACAGUUAAGCAUCCUGAUAGAUGGAGUUGAAUUUGUGGAGCCAAUAUUGGUAUGUGUAUUGAAAAUAUAGCCACCUAUUAUAUAUAUAUAUAUAUAAGUAGUGAGAAUCAUAUUCUUUUCUAUAAAAUAUGCAAAUUGGGGCAUUUUGAUUGGCUUAGCCUAUGGAUGACCUGGUACACUGGGUCUAUUUACUAAUUUUCUCGUUGGAUGGUGAUGGGGGCAUGGCUUUAACUACUCACCUUCAAAAUCUCAACCAUAAACACCUUUAACCCCACAAGGGUUUAAAACCUUCAUGCCUCUUUUAUGAGUCAUGUUGCAUGGACCACAUCAUGCCCCUGUGACUAAUUAAUUUAAGAAAAUGAUAUUUGAAAAGAAAACAAGGUCUUUACAGAGAUCAUAAACUAAUCUAGCCCCUUGUCAUGCACCAGAUCUGUAUUUCAUUGGCUAAGCAUUUCAAGAAAUAAAAGUUUUUUUUAUUUUUUCGUUACAUGUAAUUUAGCCUAAUAUCUGAUUAUCAUUGGUCUAAUGCAGGCUUUAUGUACCCCCACUCAAUUAUGGGGUAAAAAAAUAAAAUAAAAACAAACAUAGCAUUUUAAUUCUUGCUAGUUUAGGUAAAAUCACUUCUCUAUUGCUUAGCUAUUUUUCGGUCAUUCGUUGUCGGAUUAAUUGCUUGUAUCUUGGGAGACUAGUUAAGUUCCUUACCCACCGUUAGUUUUGUGAGGUUGUGACUUCGACUUACCACAGUUGAAAUUGAUCGGUUAAAUCCUCGAUUGUUACCUCACAUGUUGGGGCCAUUUUCAUAAUUAAUCCCGUCCUCAUCAGGAAGGUUAUUCUCAGGUCAUUUCAUGCUAGAUCACUUUGAUGAAAUUGUGGCAUUAGAGCAAAGACCUAACAUGCGGAUCCACAUUUCCAUGAAGUUGCAGGUUCACUAUUUAAUCUGCUUUGUGAUCAUCAAUGUUUUCUUUUACAAAUCUCUUUUGUCAGUGCAGGUACGGAUAGUUUAAUUUAUCUUUAUCAUGCAGCGGAACUAAGCAGUUAAUGCUAUUCCUGAGCCAUUUCAUAUCAAAUCUACUUGCUGGGCCACAAAGAUUACUCUGCUCCUAGGCUAUACUAUCCAUCCAAAAUGGUAUAUGGUCAUACACAGAGCUAACAAUAUUAAUCCCCUAGUUGAGUGGUCCUUUUAUUAUUGUAUACCCAUCCAACAAAAGCUGCAUUUCCCUUAAAAUAGAUGCAUAUGUUUCUAAGUCCUUAUUAGUCACCACCAACCUAUUGGCACCAAGGUAGAGAAAGCCUUGGGAUUUGAGUGUCUCAUUGUUGAAGCAUUAUAAAAGGCUCCAGUUUGUUGCAAUGAUUCCAAUUCUCACUUAUUAUAAUCUAAUUAAGAAUCCAUUAAUAUAAUCCAUUAGUAAAAAAGUUGGUACCAUGAGUUGUUUUGUUUUGUUUUGUUUUGUUUUAACUAAAAAGAAAAUUAUUCUUUUUUACUUUUAUUAAGGGGUGGAGGAGAUGGGACCCUUGAUUUCUUGGGCAAAUCCCUCAUUACUGGUUUGGAUGGUCAUUCCUCAUAUCUCCCCUUGCAGGUGUGAGAGCUAAUUGUGGAGGGGGGGGCACAUGGGUCAUGCCAUGUCCCAAAAUGGUAAUAUUGUGCAAGUAUGGUGGCAUUCCCCCUACUCCCACCCAAAACUAUCACCCAAGCUUCCAAAAUAGAACCCCACCAUCCAAGUGGGUCCCACACCUGCCCACCAAUCCUAGCCACCUUAAAACCAUUGGAUCAAGCAAAAUAUAACAAAUGGCAAUAAAGUAAUAAUAAUAAUUCACUUUUUUAAAAAAAAAACUCUUACAAAAUUCUCUCUAUAAUUAAAUAAAAAAAAUAAAGAGCAACAGUGAAAUGAGAAAGAUUGAUGGGUUGUGUGGAUUUACAUUAGAGGGAGUAUGGUACUGUCCUUGGAACAGUUGUGGGAUGUGUGUUGGUGUGUUUCUUUUUUUACUUCCCUCUCCACCUUUUUUUUUUUUUUUUUUUUUUGUAUUUUCACCUCCCCUUUAUUUCUCCACCCAAAAGCAAAGGAAAGGAGGUGGAGAGAAUCUCUCAAGUCCAAACCCAUUAAUAAAAAAAAUAAAAAAAAACGAAAUUUAAAAAAGAAUAUAUAUCAUACACUUAUAAUAGAUUUUAUAAUAUUUUGUAAAUUUACUUAUGUGAUCCUAUUUAGUUGGUAAAGAGAUAUUAAUUAUGAAAUAAUUAUUAUAAUAAUUCAUAAAAUUCAUAAUAAAACCUAAUUAUUAUUUAUUGUAGUAGUUAUUUUAUUUAUAAGAAUAACCUCUUUUUUUUUCCCAUUAUAUGUUGGAAAGUGGGGGAGAGGGGGGAGGAGAUCAUAGUGAGAAGAGAGGAGAGCCCAAAAAAAAAGGAAAAAAAAGAAAAAAAGAAAAAAAGCAAAGCAGAGAGAAUAAAAAGACCAGAUGUUGACAAAUUUCCUGUCACUGUUCUUAGAAGGUUGUUUGUUCUUGUGAGAGGAGAUUUUCUCUCCUGGGAUCUCUCCCCCCUCUUCUCCUCUCCCCAUCUCCCUCUUUCUCUCUCUAAAACCUUCUCUGGCCCAUCAGAUCAAUCCCCUCUCUCUCUCUCUCUCUCUCUCUCUCUCUCUUAGCCUCUUUGUUGGUCUCCUCCUCCUUAAUUUGCUGUGGGGAGAGAGAGGGAGAGAUAGAAACCACUCCUCUCCCAUUAGAGCCUUUUUGAUCUCCUUUUGUUAUUCUCUCCACACCCUUUUUUUGUUUUUGUUUUUUUUGCCUUUUUUGGAGCCAUUUUUCCUACUGUUUCAGUGGUAACACCCUGUCUCUGGCUACUGGGUUUUUGGUAAAAGGGGGUAAAUUUGGGACCUUCGGGGCCCUUCAUGGAGGAGGAGCCGAGGCCAUUUGGGUUUCACAUGUUCAGGGUGGUGAUGCUGAAUCCGCUUCAGAGGGGCGAUAGAGAUCGUUGAGAGGAAAAAGGGUGAGGCGGGUUGAGGUAAUUUGAGCUCAUCUUUGCUCUUUGUUCAUGUUGUUUUUGAUUUUGCUCGGUUUAUGUGGAUUUGGGUUUGUGGUGGGUUUCUUUUUUUUUUUCUUCGUGGAAAUGUUUUGAUUUGGGUUGGUGGGGUUUGUGGGGCUAUAAGAUUUGGGUGAGGUUUAAUUUUUGUCUUGUAGAUUUGGGUUCCAUGAUUUUAGGGGGAUCCUCUUUAAUGUUUAGGCUCUAAGGUUAAGGAAUUUGCUUUACCAUGCGGGUUUUGAUUCUCUUUUUUUUUAAUAGAUUUAUGCUUUGCUUGGAUGUAGAAUUCUUCUAGGUUUGCACCUGGUGAGCUUGACAAUUAAAUGUUUUAAAUGUGUUGUGAGUGCUGUAGAUCAAAUUCUCUCUAUUUUGUUAACUAUUGAAUUGUUGAGUCCACUGCAUUUGUGUUCAGUGUUUAGAGAUUGCAUUCCACAAUUGCGCCCUUCCUAUGCAUUGUUACAUCUGAAGCCUUCUUUGUAGGUGGUUCCAUUUUCUUAGAUUAUCUAUUUUGAGUGGUUAAUAUCAAUGCAUGGCGAAUUUUAUCUUUAGAUUUGAUAUGUUUUUUUAAAGAUUGUGCAUAUGAUUUGGAAAGCACAGGCGAGAAUUGUUGUAAUUUAAGAUUCUGUCUGGUUACUAAAUUCUGACUCGCAUUGUUUUGUAUGUGCAGCUCUCUCUGUAGCCCGGAAAUCUGCAGUUUCCUUUUGAAUUCAAACACUAAAUCUAGGCUACCUUAUUGCGAUCAUGGAGCCUCACAUUGGAUGCAUUUGAGAGUGUAGUAUAAUUGGGUGAGCAACUCCUGUUUCAGAUCAAUUCUGGUUGUCGCAUCAUGCAGAAAACUCGUGCAUUUACAAUGUAAUGGGACAGCCUUUCCGGUCAUUGCUGGCUUCUUGAAUUGGUAAGCUAUGGAAAGGCUCAUAAGAAUCUAAUGAGUAACUCUUUUGUGUUGGUAAGAACUAUAGAUCGUAUUACUUCCAAUUCAUAGUUUGGUUGCUACAAGUUUCGCGAGUUCUUGUCUCUUACAGCGGGGAAUGGGUAAAUGACAAGCUCGAAAUUUUGCUUGGUCUGAUGAGAGCAUUUGGGACCAGUUGUCCUACCAAUAGAACUGUGUCAAUCAGUCAACUCGACCUUCACACUCGGUGUUUACAUUGGCAACAAUAUCUGCCUAAUUCUUUCCAGUAUAAACUUCAGUUUUUCACAUUCUUGCAAAUUUGUUCAUCCUGUUGCCCCGUCUAUCUAUUGAUAUCAACAAGAUUUUUGGUGCAAUGUAUCUUCAUAAAUCGCUUAGAGGCGAGGAAGCUAUAUAUAAUUAAUGAUUAUCUUUUGAUAAGUAGUUGCUUAGUUUUUUCCUUUUUUUAUCUCAUACUGAUUUUGUGGUGUCACCAAGUACUGAAUCAUUCUAGCUAUUGCUUUCGACCUUAGAAUAUCACCAAAUCAGGGUGGAUAUAUGGUUCCUUUUAUGAACAAAGUAGUAUCCAUAUACAUUCCUCUUUCGCCAAUCAGUACUCUCCUAUGUUACAUAGAUACGAGUACACGAGAGAGGACUGGCAUGACCUGGGCUUGGGUAACAACUCUGCAGAAACAUGGGCAAGGACAUAGUUUUUAAUAUUUUAUCAUCUAUCUGAAGUACCAUACUUUCUAUAUGUUCCCACGUAUUAAUAACAGUUAACCUCUGAAGGUCCUCCAUGGAUGUUUUCCUGGUAUUGGCGGCGGUGAUUAUUAUGAUGAAUUUAUUAAUACUAAAAUCGGGCGCUAGAUGGCCAUGGUAGGUAAGAAGGCCUAAACAGUCGUACUAUUUUGACCAUCAUGUUAGGAUUAACAGAAGAUAGAAGGUUUAAUGUUCAAAUUCAUGGUUAUCAAAUUGAUAUGAAUCCUAAAAGUUUGGCCAAAUCCUAAAUGGGUUCUUCUUGGUCCUUGCUGAUUGUAAACAAAUGUCGAAAUUCGUUACGGAUUUCUAACAUGGACAUGUGAAGGACUUGCUGUUUAAAAUUCUGAGCUGAUGUGACACAGACACAACCGCUGUAACAAUCGGUUGUAACAAUUUUAGAGUGUUCAGUGUGCUAUAGAUGCUAUCUCGGGCUAUCUACGUCGAUAAAUUUUUUUUGCUAAAUUUGGCCUGAUCACAUUUAUCUGUGUAAUAAUUAGUCUCCCUCCCUCUUUUAUGUACAUGACCUAUUCAGAUUGCCUGGCCUUCCUUUCUAACGGAUUUUGCUUUGUCGAUCAACAGUUAUUUCUCAUGUUUUUUCAAUUGAUUUGCAGGAAUGGGAACUAAAGUGGAGGGAAAAAUUUAUUUGCCAGGAUAUUUUGCCAUGAGGGAUCCUAAUUUUUCUUCAAACAGUAGUUGGUCUCUGUACUUUGAAGAGAAAACUUCAAGUGGGCAUCCGGAUGAUUGGUUCAUGUCGGGAUCCGCAAAUGGAUGCUCGGAGUAUGAUAAAGAAAUGCUAAAGCGGACAAUGCUUGAGCAUGAAGCUAUAUUUAGAAAACAGGUAAAGAUUUGAUAAUCGUUACUUAGUUGGGAUGUCUCGUAUAUAAACCAUCAAAUUUAGUCUGAUACUAUUGACAUAUAUGGCCCUUUUUUUUGGUGAUUCAUGCCCUUGAGAACUUUUUUAAACAUAUACUGAUGUACUUCCAAGUUUCAAAAAUGCUCCCCUUUACAAAUUUUGUCUGAUACAAAAUCAACUUCGCCAAGUGACUUUGAUGACUCCCCACCUGAAGAUUGCUUAUUUUGUAGGGAACUGCCCAUCCAUGCGCCAUAUAUAAAAUUAGGAUUUUACAUGUAAAUUGGUGAUUUACAUUACAAGCUGCAACACUGCAAAAUAAACUCUUUUUUUGCGUUAACUUUGGAGAUUCUUGAGUAAGUUUCUAAUUUUCUCACUUCUUGUGCUAACGCUUCUUGCUUGCGAUCUAGGUUUAUGAACUUCACCGUCUUUAUAGAAUACAGAAGGAUUUGAUGCAAGAGUUUCAAAAGAAAGAGUUAUUCAGAUACCCAAUGUCAGCAAAUACUUCAAACUCGAAUUCCUUUUCAUCUCAAAUGCCGUGUAAUGGUGCAAAACUAAAUUGGCAGAUGCCUCUCUUCCACACUGGUUAUGAAAAUAGUCCUAUUACACAAAAAAAUGAGAUUAAAUCCUCCUUAAAUUUUCUUAAGGAAGGUAGUGUCCAGUCCUCCCCAAAUGGAAUUACCAAAAAGAUGUUUGACCUUCGACUCCCCGCUGACGCAUACAUUGACAAUGAAGAGGAAGAACGAUCCUUGAAGAAAAAUAAGAGUAUUCGAAUUGAUAACGGAAAUGAUAUUAAGCUAACUUUAGGAAGUGUGAAUGGCUUUAACUGCAGAGCGGACAGUUGGGUAUCUGAUUCACUUACUCAAAACAAUCACAAUAACCAAAAAAUGGCGGAUUUGAAUCAACCUUUUAGAGAGACAUACUGUGAAGGGGUAGCAGAUUCAGCGUCAACAGAUUUUCUUGGCAUGAAGAAAUUUAGUACAGAGAAUCACUUGCAUCAUUCAUCGACAAGAUGGAAUACUGGUGUGUUGGCCUUUCAAAGGGACCUUUUUAAAGAAAAGCGUGUGGAUGAAGGGUCUAGUUCAUAUUUCUUCGAUGUGAACACAAAAAUCAGACAAGAGAACUCAUUCAUUACCAGAGAAAAUGGUGAGUUUUCUUCUAUUACUAUAGUUAUUCUUUCAUUGAGGUUCUUUUUGACAUGAUGAAACUUAUCAUGGCAUUUAACACACUUACAUUUUGUCCCUUCCGUUACAGAAAAAUUGGUAGGAAUUUGUAGGGAAGUAGAUAGUAUUGUAAAUCUUCAGUUAUCAUAUAUUGGAUAUUUCUUGAAGGUUUAGGAAUUUGUAGGGAAAUAGAUAGUAUUGUAAAUCUUCAGUUAUCAUAUAUUGGAUAUUUCUUGAAGUUUUUUUAAUUGUCCCUGCCCAUAACCAUUUAAAAUUGAUUAUACCCAUUUUCUGGUAGAAUAAGAUGUAGAUAAUGUCAUCUAACCAUAGAGGCAUUCGCUGAAAUUUCCGAGUUUAAGAGAAGUACAUAGGCACCUUCUGGAUUUUCUGAUGGUUAGCACACUACCAUGUAUUUUUAAGAUCAUAUAUAUGCACAAUUUUCACUUUCAUCGGAUUUGAUACACAUGUUACCAUUUUUCAGGGCCUGUAUACUUGACCGACUAAUUAUAAUUUAAUGAUACAUAUCCUCCUCGGGUCUCUAUCUGUUAAAUUGUUGCUGGAGAAAUCAGAAGUUGCCACAAGGUCCCUUUUUGUAGUUCCCAAGAUUGUUUAGACUACAUCUGAUAACUUAUGACCUUCCUUUAUCUAUGAUUGCAUGCUUCUAAGAGAAUCAGAAUCUAAUACAUAACGAAUUUCAGCAUAAUUGGUUCAAGGAUAAAAAUGUGAACCUCUAUCAAUUUUAGGGAUGCUUUUACUUUUUUUAUCAAUUGGUGGUGCAUGUCACUUCAAUCAGAUUAUAUAAGCUCGCCAUGUGUGAUUGUGAUUGUUACUUUCUUCUGCCAUGGGGACAAAGUUUUACUUAGUUCUUUUUUUCCCCCAAACUUACAAUCUUACCUUACCCCUUUCCUUUUCUUGGUUAAAUAUUCUACAGGUAAAGGCACAGGCACCAUGAACAAUUUUUUCACUCACAAUUGCUUUACUCCGGAACCUCAAAGGUCAUCAGAACCAGCUGAUAUGAAGCUUAAGAGAAACCAUGAAACUCUUCUGCUCAAUCAGAAUAACGCAAUGGAUUGGUUUAGACCAAAAACAACCAAUCAUCCAAACGUUUCGAGAAGUGCUUUGCCUUCUAAUUUGAAUAGCUAUCAUAUCCAUCAAGAAAGCUUUGGUGAUCAAUAUCUUGAGGGUACAAGGUUGGAAAAUGCACUUCCAGAUGGAUUUCGAGAUGGCUUAACUGCCCAGCAAGAUCGUACUUUUUGCAACUUGGAGCGUAGAUUUGAGGAAUCUGCAAUGGCGAUCUCUUGGCUCAGAAAAAAAGCAGCUUGUGACGAACCUGUCGGCUUGAAAAAGCCACAAACAGUUCCAAGCUUCUUACAAGGAGCUGCUCAAGAACCUAAUAGCAAACAUGAAAAUGAAUUAGUUGUAUCUAUUCGACCUGACGUUAAUGCAACCUCCAAGCCUAGCUGGCACAUAAUAGGGAGAGAUGAAGCUUCUGAGGACACUUCUACAAGAAUCCUUGGUAUUCCCAUUUAUGAUAAGAUUCAAAAAAGUGCUAUAUUCUUGCCCAUUUCAUGUCAGGAACAAUCUCCAAAUGUAGACAAAGACACCGAAAAGGCUUCGGGAAGAAGCGGCACCACCCUUAGGAAUCUCAUUAAUCUAAAUGAUGAGUAUUCAGAGCCUUUGGAUGUCUUGCCUGAAAUUAUGGUAGUCAAUCCACUGCCAACGUCUGCAACAAGUGCUUCUGUGAAAAGCACUUUUGAGAUUGAUUUGGAGGCACCGUUAUGUCUAACUGAAGAUGAUAUAAAUCCUCCACGAGAGUCUGUGAUCGCAGUCAAUGUUGUUAAUUCACAAGGAAAAGAACUCCAGCCUGACUCAUUCGAUAUACAGGCGGCAAACAAUAUCAUCGCUAUGUCAAUGGAAAUAAAAUGCUCUUUAGAAAGACCCUCUCCUCCUUGCUCUGAUACACUACGGUGGUUUGCCGAAAUUAUUACAUUGAGCACAGAACAUGCAGAAAAUUCCUCAAAUAAUGAAGGUUUGGAUCUUUUUGAGUCCAUGACACUGAAAUUGCAAGAGACCAAGAUCGAUGAGUACUUGUGCGAGCCAAGAGCACUUUUAGAUAAAAAUGAGGACGAUGGAAAAGCUUCAGCUUCAGCUUCUGCUUCUCUACUCUUCACAAAAUCUCGGAGGGGCCAAGCGAGAAGGAGAAGGCAAAGGAGGGAUUUCCAAAAAGAUAUACUCCCUGGCUUAGCAUCUCUCUCUAGGCACGAAGUAACGGAGGAUCUUCAAAUCAUAGGCGGGUUAAUGAAAGCUUGUGGUAGCUCAUGGGAGAUGGGCUUAAUGGGACGAAACGGUCGGAACGGCUUGCGUGCAAGGAGGCAAAGGAGGAGUUUGGCCGUUACCGUUGAGGAGAUUCGGGUCAGCCCCCCUCCUCCGCCACCCGUGCUGCAGCCCAUUAUUCCUGAUGCGGACGAAGGGAGAGGUAUUAUUGGUUGGGGGAGGACGACGAGGCGGUGCCGUAGGUCGAGGUGUCCUCCGGGCAAUUCCACUGCACCUUUGAGUUAGGAAAGAUGACUCGGAAGUGAGAAAACAUUCUUGGUGUUGCUCUAUAUGUAUAGAGGAAUUUUCGCAUGGGAAUUUUCGAUGGGGCCGCUGCAGGGUGAUUGAAAUCGGGAUUGUACAUGCUUUUGUUGAAGGUCCUAAUUUGGGCCUCUGCUUCGGUUAAAACAGCUUGUACAUUUUUAUAAUAAUCGUUAGACUAUUUCGUAAAGCGGAAAACAAGUUGUUGUGGGUGAAGGAGACGGGAAAAGCCGGUUUAGAGUACAAUUCCGGUGUAGAGUACAAUAUAGCAUCACAAUGUCUCUGCAGUCAACUGCAGAGAAGUGAUGCUUAAAGUCUUAAACAGUGUAAUUAGAGAAAAUGGACCGAGAUGGUGGGAGCUUUUCAUUUUCAAUCCCCGAUUACAUUGGAAUUUCAAUUUACUGCAUUUGUGUAAGUGAAGUAGUUGAUGAAUAGGCUACAGGAUUACUAUUUGCUACCUGAGAUAUUAGAUUAUCAGAUCACCAGUAACUCUUGCAUAUUUUCUUCAGCAUUUUGUAAAUAUCUGCAACAGAGGACCAACUAAUUCUUGUAUAAAUGGUUUUUUUUUUUUUUUUAAUUAUGAUUGUGAUUUGGGAACUGCUAUAAUACUCGAGGGUCUGUUUUGGGUGCACGAACAUCCAGUUGGAUGGAUAUAUCUCUAUUGUUUACUCUGGGGCUAACGGUAGUUGGUUGGCGAAUAAGCUAAAAUUUUUUGAUCUCUGAACUACUGUUUCUCGUGGAUUGCAUGAAAAUGAAGAAGCCUCACCAUAUAUAUAACCUGCAUGGUGCUAAAACUAUUAACGGUGGCUCCACUCUACUGAUCUAUAUUUUAAGGAACCUGCUUCAAAUCAUAGUUCAAAAUGUUAGCAACAAAAUUGAUGGUUCAAAUGUGCCAAUUUUACCUAACUAUUUUUAAAAAAAAAAUAUUUCGAGAAAAGCUCCAUUUGAUUGGGUAUUGUAUGGCCCAAAUUUAAACUUCGGAGCCCAAUUUCAUGCGGGCCUAUUAAGGUCUAUGAUUGGGCUGAGCCAUUUGAUUGGGUCUCGUCCAGGUCAAAAUUUGUGAGCCCCAUUUCAUGCGGGCUUUUAUGUGCUUCAAAAUUGGAGUCGCUCGCCCGAAUCUCUAAAUUUUGGCGGGAAUUUUCAGUAGCUCGCCCAAUUUCAAAACUGGGAUUUGUUUUCCUCAUCUUCAUUCAUCUUCAUCUUCAUCUUCAUCAUCCAGGCGAAAUCGCUAGAUCGAUGACGACGACGACGACGACAAAGCAACUCUCCCCAAAACCUAAAUAAGCAUCUAGAGGCGAUCCGAUGGAGGGAUCUCGUUUGGAUCUCAGAGAACCCAUCGGAGACGCGAUCUCGAGGAUCCGAUUCGCGCCGAGAUCGAACAAUUUGCUAAUUUCUUCGUGGGAUUCUGUAAGUGUUAGCGAUCUCACCGAGUUUGAUUCAUCGCCGCGAUCACUAUUUGCUAAUUUGGUGUUUUUGGAUUACAGGUUCUGAGAUUGUAUGAUGUGGAUGGAUCGGAGCUUAGAUUGGAAUCUAUCUCGGAAGGGGCGCUUCUAGAUUGUUGCUUCGAGGAUGAAGAAACGGCCCUUAGCGCUGGAUCGGAUGGAUGCAUACGGAGGUGGGGCAUCUCUUUAGCUCUCUCUCUCUCCACACUCCCUUUUCCCCUUAUUUUUCACACUUGGAGUCCAGUAUUUUUACUACUAUUGUUGUUGCCUUUGUGUUUUCUUGCCCAAUGUACAGCAUUCAUUUUAUUAGUUUUAUGUAAUAUUUUCAGGUAUAAUUUGUGUUCAGGAACUCAAGAUGUAGCGGGUAAGCACGGCGAUUGCAUCAAGUGCAUCGAGUACUCGGCGCAAACGGGUAAGUGGACAUCUAUUUUGUUCACAAUUCAAAAAUGUAAUUUUCCUUCUUCUCAAGGUUCAAUUAGGAAAGCUUAGAAUGCUACUGAAAUUUUGCAUGAAGCAGUACUCGAACCUAAUAAUAAUUGUAACUUAACUAGAAACUGCCAAAGAUGUCAUUAGACCUAUUAGUUCCUUUUAGUAAAUCUAGUGGUGAUAUUAUUUGAUAAUUCUGAGACAUAACUAGUUAACUAUUUUAUAUGUAUUGUUCAUUACACCUACCAUAGCUGAUUCUCAGGUCAAGUAAUCACUUCUAGUCUUGACAAGAAGUUGAAAUUCUGGGACAUGAAUCGAAGCGGAAAUUCAGGAUGCACAAAAGUUGUAGAUUCAGAUGUGUGGUCUAUGGCAUUAUGCGGGGUGUAUCUAUUAGCAGCUGGUGGAACAGCAGUAGAUGUUCAUGACCUGCGAAAUUUAAACGGGCCAGUUCAAUCAAAAGAAUUGUCUACGGACUAUCCUAUUAGAUGUGUUCGUUCAUUUCCGACGUGUCAAGGUACUUCUUUAUGUGCUCUUAUCACUUAACUAACUGACACUGGAGCUUACUGAUGUGAACCUCGUCCAUGGGCAACCACCUACGGAUAAUAUGUUUUUUUUUUUUUGGUUAAUUUUCCAGGAUAUGUCACUGGGUUAGUUGACGGAUGUGUUGCGUUGAAGUACUUUGAUCCUACAAAUGAGAUGGGGUUAGUUAACGGCUGAUACCUAAUUCUAAAUUUAAUAGCUGUGCCCGCUUUUUAGCCGGCAAAACUACUUCUUUUAUCAAAAGUUAAAGGCCGGUGAAUAAGGGAGCCAUUAAUUCAUCUAAUGGUAAUAACUCAAAUUAAAACAUACAAAAGUUGGGAGGUGCCACCCAAAAAAGAUAAAAUUUAGGGGGUUUGUUUUAAGAUGGCUGAAUGUUGAGGGGUCUCCAUAUGCUGUCACAUAUACCUAAAAAAUUGUUUAAAGGAAAUUAGAUUCAAUAUGAUGUGAUGGGUGAUCAGGAAUUUGAUUGAAUAUACAAAGUUGAAUUCCUGGAUUUUAUUGGCAGGUGCGUUUUCCGUUGUCAUCCGAAAUCAAAAAACGGAAGGCUCCAUCUGGUAGCCAUAAAUGACAUUGGUCUUCAUCCAUGGUAUGCUACAGUUUCUUGUUCUCAAAAGAAUGAUUUUCACAUUCAUACAAAACAUGAAAUCUCAUGCCCUUAUUCAGCUAUGAUACUUUUGUUACUGGAGAUAACGAAGGCUAUGCUAUUAUGUGGGAUGCUCAAGGCAGAAAGAAGCUGUUUGAGGUAAAACAACCUUAAUAACCAUGAUUUUUCGUCAUGAGAUGCUGCACUGUUAUAUAUAAGAAAAGGCUAUAGUUCUUGUCAAAUGUUCAACACAUAUAUACCCAAUGGUAAGUUACAUUUUUCUUGUUUAGACUAUAUCCGUGUCUAAUAUUUGCGCACACAGUGUAUUCUAAGUUUUUGCACUUCGUGUCCUACUUCGCAUGCUCUCUAUCAGACCAUGUGAUGGCUGUCAUAUUAGUUGCGCAUCAUUUAUGUGAAUGUUACUUUAUUAUGAUGGCAUCUUAAGUCAUUGACAUGUUGUUUUCUUCUUUCUUGAUGGGUAAGAAUUUUCCCAAAGCAUCUGAUGCUAUGCUCUUGCUAAAUCCAAUACCGAAAUUUCUCUUACUACUUCCAGACUGGUAUUUUUCUUUUUUGUCAAAUUUCUUUAAAAUAGCCUAACUUUCGUUUUUCUUCAGUUCCCAAGGUACCCGAACAGUGUGUCGUCCUUGACUUAUAACUGUAACGGUCAGCUAUUGGCAGUUGCAUCAAGCUUCACAUACCACGAAGCAAAUGAAGUGUUAGUUUUUCCUUCUAAUGUUAUAGAUUUUUUGAGAAGUUCUCUAAUAUUAUAGUUACUGAACGCAUCAUCAGCUAGUGUCAAAUUGAUGUAAUAAUAGUACUUUUUGCUGAAGGAACCAAAUGAAAUACAUUCGCUCAAGAAAUAUGAAAACUUUAUCACCCAAUUAAGCAUGUGAUAAACAUGACAUGUUUGUUAAAAGAAAAGUUACUAUUUUAAGUGGAUCCACGAUGAAGUGCUGAUUAUGAAUAAAGAUGAAUUAAUCCAACAAUGAUCUUCACUUUGAUUCAUGUGAUCAUUUUAAUGCUAAAUGCAAUGAUGUUGGUUUAUUUUAUGUACUCGGUUUUGGACAAAUGGAAAAUAGCAACUUUUUUCAUCAAUUAUGGUUUGUAAAUUGUAAUUCAUUUUAUUUUCAUCUUUUUUGGCCAGCGAGGAAGCUCCGCAGAUAUUCAUACAUAAAAUGGAGAAUUUGGCCCGAACUUCAUCAGCGUAGGGGACUUCAUAUGUGAAAAAAACAAGGAAGUUCGAACCGUGUUGUAACUUUUUUCAUUGUAUUCUGCAUUGUAGAAGUGUGCCUUGUAGGAGGUGCAGGAAUGUUCAACCCAACUUUUUUUUUUAAUCUAGGACUUUUCUUUUUGAGCAGGAAAUAUUAGGAAGAAUAUUUUGUUGUACACACGAUUAAUUAUUUUUUUCCCCUUGAUUUUCAUUCUGUUCAAGCUUCCUAGAGAGAGGAAGAGUCAUCUAGACACUUAUUAUGGAAAAGUUCAGAGAACUUCAUGUCUUAUUGUCUUCAACUGUGUUAGUAUGACGAGGAGAAAAACGAUAGCGACCCAUGGGUAUGUGAGAGAUGAUAAUAAUUUUCGUGGUGAAGAUAAAGAGACUUGAAUAGUUUAGUUUAUCAUUUUCAGAAAAAUCCAGGCGAGGAAGUUUAGAGAAAUGUUUUCUUGCUUCUUCAAGGAUCUUAUCGAUAUAAGAAUAUAUAACUUAGAGACAGAUAUUGUCGUUUAAGAUAAACUAGUUAUAUGGAGAGAGAUAUUGUUGUUUAAGACAAAACUGGAUCUUGUAAAGAUUGGGUCGGUUUGGACCAAACAAAACGACUUGGUAGUUUUGGUGGUAGUGAGUAUUUAUUAUCUAUUUAUCUCGACAAACAUAGCAAGCUAUGUGAAAUCUAAAACCACACCUGAUUCAACCUGACCUGACUCAACCCGACCCAACCGGACCAUAACUUGGCCCAAACUCGGAUUCUCUGCAAACCAGAAGAAAACUCAUUUUGACUUCGUUUGGGAGACUUUGCGCAGAGCAUCUUAAGUGCAAGAAAAGUAUGAUGGAAAAAUAUUUUACUUGUUUUUAUAAGUUAAAUACAUUGUGCAGAUCACAUCCAGUUAAGAUAUAAGAUGUAGGGUAAUAUAUGUAGGCUCAAAUAGCAUUUGGGGACCCAAAAACAGGUUUAUGGAUCUUAUGAACCGCUUGCUUAAAUGGGCCUCGUGGCGGCCCACACCAGCGUAAUUGAAACGCAACACGUGAGGAGACGAUCCACCGUCCACGCGUACCCCCGAUCCGACGGUCACCAAGCCGGACUCGAGAGCGCUAUUUACUCGCAGUUUAUGGAAACCCUAGGUCGCGGCGGAAUCCGUGUAUCGUCAUCGGCUUUAAGAGGAAGGUUCCCGCUUCCUCUCUCCCCUCUCGUCCGUCGUCUCCGCCCCCCUCCUCCUCCUUCUCCUCCUCCGUUUCCUCAACUGGUAACUCUCUCUCUCUCUCUCUCUCUCUUUCUCUCUCUCUCUCUCGAUUUCGAUCUCGAUCCAUGUCGCGAUCUAAUGCUUUUUACAUCUCAAUAUCUCUGGAUUAGGGAACAUGUCGGACGAGGAGCACCAUUUCGAGUCGAAGGCCGAUGCCGGGGCCUCGAAGACGUACCCACAGCAGGCGGGGACAAUCCGGAAGAACGGAUAUAUUGUGAUUAAGGGGAGACCCUGCAAGGUUUGCUCUACGAUCUAUCCGAUCUUGUGCUUUGAUUCACUUUUUUUGAGAUAUUUGCUUGUUUAAUCGGUCUAGAAAUGGCGAUUCCUGCUUUACGUGUGAUGUGGAAUGGUCCUUUCGAGUUUUAACUUCUCUAUUUGCUGAUCAGGUUACUGUCAUUUAGUAACUCCAAUGUUGUUUGGACAGAUGAUCUACGAUCUAUACCUUGAUCUAUUCAUGGCUAAAAUCCAUAACUAAUUAGGGUAUUUCUAGCUUUGGAACUACGUCGGUGGAUUUAGUGGCCUCGUGUUUUCUAAUGCGUCUGACUUGUUUGGGGUUGAUAAUUAUUCUUUAGAAUUUAUGUUCAUACGUCACGAGUUUUAUCCAGAGAUUGCUUUACCCUUUUGUAAUCGGAUGAUAUCAAUCACGAAUUAAGAACUUGGAAACUUGCUUGGCCCUUUGAAGCCGGAAUACUAAUUUUUCACAGUUAACUAUAGUUUGAAGUAGUGGAAAAUCAUUUGCUGUUUACUUCUUACUUCUUAGAUGUGCUUGGUUGGUGCCAUAUUUUACUUUGGGUAAUUUUUUUUUAAAAAAAGUAAUAAAUGGAAUUUUAGAAAUCUUGAAAUUAUGUUUUACAUGAUACGUAGAGUUUUAGAAAUCCUGAAAUUAUGUUUUACCUAAUGCAAGUAAACAUCUGAUCUUGUUUGGAUCCACUUGUGUAACUAUUAUUGUUGAUAAAUCAAUUAAGUAAUGAUUUUGUUAAAGAUGGGAGUUGAAAUGUGGGUUUACCAAUGCCAAACCGUAUUUAGUCCUAGUAGAAUAUCAUUAUCCUUGUCUAGUUUUCUUCGUAACUUCCUCUGGAGCUUUAGUUUUGUUUUGUUUUGCAGAAACAUUAUUCAUUCGUUUGUGUGUGAAAGUAAAUUUGAGCCUAUCCAUGCAAGGAAGCCUAUUAAGCAUUAAUUUGUGAAAAUGGGGUACUCAUAUACCUUAUAAAAUAUAUCUACAUAUUUACAGAUGUUUUCUUAUCUGCUCGUGCGAUAAGUUUUGAUUGGUCGAUGUAGAGCCUAGAUAGAUGCUUUAUUUUUUUUUUUUCAGUUUCAUCCUUUAUGAUGUGUUUCUUUAUGUAGCAAGUCUCUAGAAAUCGUUUCAUGCCCUUUGUGGAAGUUCAUUGUUACAGUAUAGAUGGGUCUCUACAUCAUCAAUUACUCUGUUUUCAGCAAGCUUAUUUGAAAAACCACAAUUUGUGGAGUUAUGACAAAUAGCUGCAAUAUUCUAUGAUGCUGAUCCCAGUAUGGAAGAUAUAUAGCAAUUUGGAAAUUCAAUUUCCUUGCUAGAAGCUCAAGAUCCUGUUGUCAAUAAUUAAGAAGAGGAACUGUUAUUUAGGCUUGGGGGGCAGUUAUUCAAUUUCAUCUGUGUGUCAUCAUAUUUGAUGUUUGACAUCUUAUGCCUUGAUACUCAUGUAUGCUGCAUAUACAAUAUAUUUGUGUGCGAGUAUCUGUCUUCUAAUACAAGUGGACUUCAACGGGUAUUGCGUACUUCAGAAAGUUGACCUGUUUCUUGUUUUUACCUCUUGGUUUGUUUUGUUGGUAAUUGCUUUUCUAGGUUGUGGAGGUUUCCACUUCCAAGACUGGAAAGCACGGACAUGCAAAAUGCCACUUUGUUGGCAUAGACAUCUUCACCGCCAAGAAGCUCGAAGAUAUUGUGCCCUCGUCACACAACUGUGAUGUACGUUUGUAACAAUUCUUAUUCAACCCUACCAGUUGAAUUCUCGCUAAUUGUCAUGAUAUAUGAACUUGAUUUGGUUGCAUUUGCAGGUGCCUCAUGUUAAUCGUACUGAUUAUCAGCUGAUCGACAUAUCUGAAGAUGGAUUUGUAUGUCUCGCCUUCUCCUUGUGUACACUUUCCUGAUCGUUUGUUUGAUCUUUUAUUUUGACCAUGUGAUGCGUAUGACAGGUGAGUCUCCUGACUGAAAAUGGCAACACUAAGGAUGACCUGAGGCUCCCGACUGAUGACAGCCUGCUCGCGCAGGUUAGUAGUUUAGAUUAGUUUCUCCAAUAUUUUAUUGUGUAGUGUAUUAUAGCAUGAGGGGGAGAAAAUUCUGCCAAGUGGUCUAUAAGUUUCAUGACGUAUAGGCUCUUGAUAGUUGUACAAUAUUCUUAUCCUAGUGCAUAGGACACAGUCUGUCCUUAUUACGAAAUUGACAUCUUCCUAGUGUUCCUUUUUUUCUAUUUUUGCGUGCGUGGGUUUAUGCACGGUAUUGCAUAAAUAAACAUAGAAGCUUAUGAGCUUUGGCAAUAACGUAUUAAAGUGUGAUGCCUCAUUGCAGUGAGGCAAUUGACAGCCCUAACUAAGGGGUGUUCCGUGAUUUUGUCUCCCCCCUUGGAGAUGUUGGAAAUCCAAAAUGGUUUUCUCGAUAGUUCGCUUAUGACUUUUCCGUUCGUUGUGUUGUUUGACAGAUCAAAGAUGGAUUUGCUGAAGGGAAGGAUCUGGUGGUGAGCGUGAUGUCCGCUAUGGGCGAAGAACAGAUCUGUUCUCUCAAGGACAUUGGGCCUAAGUAGUCGCCCAUCAUCUUCUGUCUGGUUGUGUCUGUGCUUGUUCUUUGUUCUUAUUAAGCAAGGAGAACUUGUAAUAGUUCAUACGUUGCUAUUUGUUAGACUCGGAUGAUAUCAUAAUUAGGUGGUCUUUCGCUACUCUUAUCUCUUCUUUUCUCUCAGCCUGGAUUGGUGUUGUAUCGCAUGGAACCCAUCCUUAAAUUGCCUGUUAUGACGAGAUUUUUUGUUUCUUUUUUCUUCUUUUUUUUUUUUUCCUUUUGCCGGCCACUAUCUUUGUAUUUUGCUUAUCUGUGGUGAAGUAUUUUCUUAUUGGUUGAUCUUACCAUUUGUUGUGGCUCUUGGUUGUCUUAUAUACUGUUCUAUGAUUAUACGUGUAUACAUUGCGUGGGUUUUAUUUCAAACUUUUGCUAUAUUGUUUAGUUGUUUAGUAGUGAAGUUGUUCGAUGAUUAUCUUGUAUAUUAUUCGGCUAAGGAGGAUAAUUUUGAGUUUAUAAAAUUGACGCCAGGAUUGUACUAUGGCACCCAAAGGAAAGAAAAAAAAAGAUCAUCUCUUCUGGCACAGGCAUGAGGAAUGACUGGUCUAAUGUUUAAAAUCUGAGUUUGAGUUUGUGGGAUUGUGUUGAAAGAAAGAUCGAAAAAAACAAAACUGGAUAUAAAAUGCAACUGUUUAAAUCUUAAUAUAUGUUUAUCCGUGUAUGGCAUAAAUUGCUUAACUAUAUGUAUACAUAAAAAUUAGAUAAUUAGACGGAGGGCCUAGCUAGGAGCAAACGCUUCCAAAAUCUGGUAUUACAUAUUUGGGUGAGCGAUCUAGUUUGGACCCGAAUUGCUGAUGCUUACGGCCCAACUCCUGGUUGGGCCUCUGGGCCAGCCCAUUUAUAAAUAUCCCAACAACAGCGUACCCGACGGGGAAUGGAGAUAAGGUUUUAAAUGGCGGCGAAACUCUCCCGCCUCACUCCCCAACCUCUCCCAUGGCGGAAUCCCUAAUCCCCAACUGCAUCCAACGAUUCCCAUCGAAACCCUCGAGAUGGAGACCGGAUUCUACCACAUGUCGCCGUCCCCCUAUCCCCAUUACCGCUAGAUUUGCUCGUUCGAACCCCAAAAAAGGCCCAAUCGAGCUCCCGAAUCCGCGUUUCCGGAGCCAUUUCGGAGGGAUUCGAGCGGCGGCGACGCCUCCUCCUCCUCCUCCUCCUCCUCCUCCUCCUCCUUCGGUGGAGGAGACUGAGGAGGCGAAGGGGAACGUGGAGUCGAUGAGCAUCGAUUUGCGUCGGUUCUUUGAGCUCAAUUUGGGGAGAUGGAACGGCUCCUUCUACGUCAGUAGCCCUAAAUCGCAUAAUUUCGAUCCUUACAUUUGUUCUAAUCUGAUUCGGUUUUUCACUUUCUAAUUGUUUUCCGAUUUUUUGAUUGCAGCAAUUCGAUGCCAACGGGAAUUUGUUGCAGAACGUGAGCACAAAGCUUUCCGCAAGCUCGUACGGAGAGGACGAGCUCCUCAGCCUUAUUCAAACGUGAGACUCUGCACUUCUUCUUUUCUUUUUUGUUUGCCAGAAUUAUUAUUAUUAUUAUUAUUAUUAUUUACAUAUAUGCUUAUUUACGGUGAAAAUUGAUGAUCUCUUGUGAACAAAAUUACUGCUAUUUUUGAACAACUGGUAUCGUGUAGUACUGAUUGCUACUGAUUGCUACUGUUAGUCAGCUAUUACGUCAUAUUGACAAGGUAAUUUGACAGCUGAAUUAGUAAUCAGAUCAUCUCCUAUAGAUUAGUAGUUAUAUCGUCAUAUCUUCCUAUUAAUUUAUCAUUUUGUUUGGAAAAUUAUAUGAGAUCUAACAAUUAACUUUAUUGAAAUUUCAUUUGAAAUUUAGUGACCAGUGAUGUAAUUUAUCCAUAUCUGAAGAUUCGGUAUUUAGUAGUUGGAUCUUAAGUCAGUUCUACUAUGUAUUUUGUAGGCUAUACAUCAAGCAACCUCCUUCGAGAACAUCAAUCGCAGGCUAUGAUGCUGAACCUGAAUGGACGGAGUACAAAAUCAAGGAGAUUAACAUGUUCACCGCAGACAAAUAUCAGCAGGUGAUAAGGACUCACCACUCAGCUGUUGAAUUUCCUGUAUAUUAUGCUCUCUUUUCUAAUGAGCAAUUUCGUUUAGUGUGCAGCUCGGAUUCUUCCCAAAAGAGAAGGCAUUUUCUCUGAGGUACCAGACUGCUGGGAUGCUGGACGCUGUCCUUCGAGCGGGCGUGCUUGGAGAAGAUGACACUGGUGAAGAAUCUCCCAGGUUAAUAUUUCCCUGUAGCCUCAAGGUUUGGUCUACAAUAUACAUGCAUACAUCUCUACAGAUGUUUAUAUCUGCAUCUGUGUAUGUAGGUGUAUGCAUGUAUCUGUAUAUCGUGUAUGAAUUUGUUUGUAGUCUCUUCCCCCUUAAGACAAGCAUAUCUAUGAAGGGAGAGUUUAGCAAAGCCUAGCACAGAUAGAGUCAUCUCUCAAGAAAAUUAGAGCUUAAAAUAUGCUUACCGGGUAGUUGUGUCUUUUACUGAGAAUUUGUAGUCGCAAUUCUGUUUUCCUAUGCUGCAGUUUUGCUCUCUUUGACUAUCUUAAUGCUCGAGUGGAUCGAUGGAUCGUCUGCUAGACUCUAUACUUCAGAAUUAGAUCACUCUCAGCCAUCGUUAAUACAAGCUAUAUAGCUGGUUGCUCUGCUGCAUAAUUAAAAAAAUCUCUCUAUCAUGGCAUAACGAUCUUGAAGCAUAUAUUUCUUCUUCGCAGAAACUUGAAGGUUCCUUCUCGUCAGCCAUCUGUUGUAUGUGAGAAUUGCCUCUAUUCUCUCAGGAGAGAUAGGCGAGCAAGAGCCUUCCACAUAAUGGACCCAAAAGGAUUUCUUGAAAUGCUUCUUAUUUUCCUCGAAGAACGAGGAGAUGAGGUGCCACUUAUUUCUUCUUCAUGUGAUUUUGAGGUUAGCAUUUCUAAACUGAAGGUCGUUUGUGCUGCUAACAUGUAAAACAUGUGUUAGCUCCAACGUACGCUGGAUUAUGCAAAACAAUUGUUCUUACGGACAUACUUUGGUUUUAUUCAUCUCACUCAGUUUAUUUCAUAAACAUUAGGACGUCCCGGAUAGGAUAAGCGCACUUCUUGGACGGUGGGAGGGUCGUUCUGUAACUAAACGAAGUGGGGUAUAUGGAGCAACAAUUUCUAAGGCCGAUACAGUUUCUUUGCUUGAAAUGGAUCGCAAUGGUCAGCUAAUUCAGGUAUGCUGCUGCCGCAAUAUUACCUUUUAUCCUGUUUUAGAUUUUUAGGUCCAAACUAUUGAGUAUCUACUAAAUAUCAAAAGAAGUUACUGAAGCACACAAUAUUGCCAACGGAAAAAAAAAAAAGGCUUUUGAUUAAUCUGGUUCUACGUAAUGUUACUAGACAACCCUGGAAUUCUGUUAUAUCCACUUCUCUUUGUAACUGUUACAAUAGUUUCUGUAAUCUGCGCCACAACCAAACUCAGAAUUUUUUAUAUCCUGUCCGGGGAUAGUAUGCUUCCAAUCCCAGUGUAGCAAGAUAACCUCAGAAUAGGGAAAACAAAAUUAAAAAAAAAAAAUUCUGCUUAAUUUGUCCCCAAGCUAAAUGGUGCAGGGGAACAAGUAUUCUACUCGUCUCUCCGGUAGAAACUUUGCAUAUUCAUCUCGGUUUACAACUAUUUUCACUAUAGCAUAAUCCUUCCUUGCCAGCGUAAAUCCAUUCUCUCUUGCAAAUAAGUUAUAGUAGCUCUUCUUAUAUUCUCGUCCAGGACAUUGCUUCGACCACCGUCGGUAGUGGCACGACAACAAACGUGCACUGGACGGGAACAGUGAACACUAACUUAGUUUCCUUUGACGGGGGAUUCCAAUUGACGUUAUUACCCGGAGGGAUGUACAUGGGAUGCCCAGCCGACAUUGGAAAGUGUGUCGCGCAAUCGCAACCCUUCCAUUUGGAGUUCUGCUGGAUGGAGUCAUUGGACGAGCGGCAGAGGCUCGUCCGAACUUACGAUGUUGAGGGCUUGGCUGUCUCGUCGACAUACUUCUAUGAGAGAAAAGUAUAAGCAGCCAUGCAAAGGUAUUGCACUGUGCCUAUGUGCUUUUAAUCAAGUUUCGAAAUAGUUGUUUUUCUUUAGUGAAUUAGGGGGUUUAUUGACUUGUUUCUUUUGUCAAAAUGCAUGCUCAUCAUUUUCCUUCCUAUUCCCUCCUAGCAUGAUUAUAUUUUAUAAGUUAUGAGCAUUGAGAGACUUAAUUUCUGUAUUUAAAAGUUUUCUGAUUAUUUAUGUAUUAUAAUCUUCUUCUUUGCUCUUUUUUUUUUUCCGGCUUAUAAAGUAAUUUCAAUGUUCUUUAAGAUGUAAAAUGUGAAUAUCAUUUUUCUUCUUAACCGUUGUAGGGAGUAAUCCUAAUAAAUGAAAACCCUUUUCUACUGCAGUAGUGAUUUGCUCAUUACAUCCUUGAGAAAACAAUAUUCAAGAUUUAUUAGGAGUACCAACCAAAAUAAUCUUAACAUCUACGUACCGUGAGCUGCAACUAAUUCUUUUCUUUUCUUCUGUGUUUUUUAUUUUUUAUUUUUUCCCUUUUGCUUUAUCUCUUUAAUGCAUGCAUGAAAGUGGACUUCAAACGUAGAUUUAUUUUACGCUUAUGCGGAUUUCACCGUAAGUACACUUUAUUACUAUGAACACAUGCUUCGCCUUGUUCAAAUAUUCGUGUUAGAAAUACUACCUAAUUGGGAAUAUGUUAUAUUUCUUUAUCUCAAAUAAAUAAAUAAAUACAUAAUUGAAUGGCCUAAUUUAUCUUUAUUAUGUGAAAUUUAACCUCAGGUCUAAAUUUCAAACCCCUGUUGGGUUUCGGUGCGCUUCGAUUUUAAGAUUGAGAUGCAAUUUGAUAUUUUUUAUUAAUUUUAUUUUAAGAUAAUCGACUUUUGCGACACUAAUGCAAUAUCAGAAUACAUAUCUUAACUCAAUAUGAGUUGGAAAGAACUUCAAAUAUUUUAAAAUUGAUUUCAAAACUAUUAAUGGUAAUGAGAAAUUGCAACAGUUGUAUUCACGAAAGCGGAAACCUGCAAUACAAACGCGUUUCAGUUUUAUUUAAACGUAACAUUUUGUAUUAUUUAAAUAGUUGAGAAUAAGAAAUGUCAAUUUGUUUCUUUAAAUGUAAUAAUGUGGCUAAAAUAUAUGUAAAUAAAGCGUAUGCUUUCUUAAACUCACAAUUUAACAAAAAUUCAACUGGGGACACAAAUUAAUUCGUGCACCUGGUGCAUGGCAGUAGCCACGUUCACCACCCUCUCUUUUUUUUCUUUGGCUUAAUUAUACAAACUUUUUUAACACUUGAUUCUGUGUCUCAAAUACUACCCUGCAUAAAAACUUUAAAUAGUAUUCCCUAUAUUUUUUUGUCUAAAUUGUUAAUAAGAUGGUUUGAUGCUAGAUCCACUGAGAAAUCACAACCAUCCAUAUAUUUUUACGCCAACAAUAAAUAGAAAAGGCCAGAAGCCGUGCAUGAUCAUCUUCAUGCACAAAAAAAAAGAAAAAAAAAAUCCGAUUGGAGUUGUUAAAUUGACACAUGGUUAUCUUAGCUUUUAUCCCAAGCCUUUGUAGAUGUUGGUGUAUGAUAUCCACUUGUACACCCGGUGCAGCGAACAUUUUCUCUCGCUGGCCCCACACGGUUCGCCCCCACAUCGUCGUGAGUAUUCUAUAGAAAUAUGUAUACACUCCUAUUGGUUGCUACGUGAGCAAAAGAUCUCUCUCUCUACAUCUCUGAUUCCCUUCCACGAAGUUUUAAAACUAUCAUCUCGAUCGCUUCACGGAAAAGAAAAAGUUUCUUAAUAUCCAACCUCCUUACAAAAAUAACAACAACAAUAAGAAAAAAAAAAAAAAAAAAUGCAAGAGGGUGAUCAGGGAGCUUCUAAAUCAUCGUCAGCGCCGCCACCGCCACCACCGUUUUCACCCUUUGUUACUGAAAAAGAAGAAAAAGCAGCAGCAGCUGCAGCAGCUCUCGACUUCUAUAUAUGGCUUAUCCUUCUCGCAGCUUCUCUCCGAAGAUCCUCCUCCGAUGCCGCAAGAGGUGCCGCCGCUGUGUUGAAUUUUGGUCGAAGGCAAUAAAUGUCGUCGCCUUCUCGUCCACAGCUCCCUACUAUGAUGCAUGCUCCCACCAUGUUACGUACCUUCCACUAUGGGGUAAUUACUUCUGUGAGUUCAAUAUUUCCCUUUUCUUCUUUUUGUGAUGUUUGUGUGAAUUUUGAAUCGAAAGUUUAGUACAAUAGGUUGUUGGAUUAUGUUUAUAGUAUAGUUGUGUGUGCGAAGAUUAGUUUGUUUGUUGAAUAUAUAACUUGCUCUGUUGAUUAAUGAUGAUGAUUAAGUAGAGCCUUAAAAGGAAUUUAACUUUAUUCGAUUGGGUGAGUAACCGGAUAAGGAGGAGUUUAUUUAGGCGAAAGAGAGCAGAGAGUGUUUGAAUUUGGAGGAGGUGACGUGAUUUGAAAGUGCUGUUUUUCUCAAAAUUCAAAAAAAAAAAAAAAUACCGCGCUCUAAUAUCUUAAUAAAAUUUUAAUAUUCCACCAAUAUUGGUGACUUUCCAAUAAUGUGUUCUCCGUUGACAAGAGAGCAUAGGCUUAAAGAUGACAAAAGUUGAUUUGGGGCCCACUCUCAUUCAAGCAAAAUUUUAGGUAGAAUAAGGUUGUCAAUAAUACUGAUCAGAAAAAGUAUUACUUAUAUUUUGGCCUUCUUUUUUUCUCUUUUCUCAUAUGAUUAUCAGGAAAAGAAAGAAGUUAAAUGUAAAUGUCUUAUCUUUAUUGAGCAAGGGCAUCACUCUUUGCAGGCAAAGCCAGAUUCCUGUGCAUAUCUUCAACCAGCAUAUCAAUCUUCUCUGCCUCAACAAAUACUAAACCCCUUCCUGCAGCCAACCCCGCGUAUCGCCGGUGCACCUUCGCUGAAUUACGAGCUAUUAUUCCAUGAAAGCGGUGGCGCCUUCGAACCAGUCGGCGAUCCCUACUCAGAUAAGACUUCUCAGAUGUCGAAUCUUGCCGUCGAGAAACCGCCUGGCGAUGGAUACAACUGGAGGAAGUACGGUCAGAAGCAGGUGAAGGGCGGCGAGUUUCCCCACAGCUAUUACAAAUGUACCGCCGCCAAAUGCGAUGUCAAGAAGCAAGUCGAGCGUUCUUUCGAUGGCAACAUAAAGGAGAUAAUCUACAAGGGCGAGCACAACCAUCAACCUUCACAAAAUAGGCGGGGCGAGGAAGGUGGUUACGACGACGACGAUACUGAAUCCAAAUUCGAGAACUCGUCGGUUUCGAACGAUGAAGAUGAGGAUGGAACUGCGAUAAAUGAAGGGGAUAGUAAGAGUAGUCCUAAAAUGUGGGUAGCAAUGUGAAUUCACGGCAAAACUAACAUGUAAGUUAUGCGGUAAACGUGUCUGAAAGGUUCUUUCUCCGCUUUGCAGAAACAGAGAUACCGAAUCCGUGGAAUCGACUUCUCAGAGAAUGCUCGUUUUGCAAACCAUAAGUGAAACUGAUCUUUUGGAUGAUGGUCAUAAGUGGCGUAAAUACGGACAGAAAUACGUCAAAGGAAAUAAUCACCCCAGGUAGAAUAAUUCCUCUAUUUAUCUGCUUACUGUUGGUGUUUGCUUCAAUUUUGUUUCUGCUGCAGCAAAAAAAAAAAACUAUUGAAAGAAUUAAACCAGUAAUUAACAAAUCAUGCAACUUAUACCAAAAAGCCAUGCAUCUUGUUCGACGCGUCGACUCUAAUUUAAUCAUCUGAUCCAUAAAUUGAUGGAAUUCUUAUUGAAAUCUCUAGGAGUUACUACAAGUGCACGAAUGUGGGAUGCAAUGUCCGCAAAAGAGUCGAAAGAUCUAAAAAGGACCCAAAAGCAGCUUUAACUACAUAUGAAGAUAAGCAUAACCAUGAUGUUCCAAAAGCUCGAAGCACCAGCCAUAAUACUGUUUCGGCUGAACCUGCAUCAGAUAACUAGCAACCAAAGCACUAGAUAACAACUCCAAGAAGAAUGAGAUUGCUUAGUUGCUUUUCGAAGAAGCCCUGUGUAAAUACAUACUGUAGAUGAUUGUGGGUGAAUGGCUUGUAUGGAUACAUACAUUGCGGCGACUGCGGAUUAAAUGGCUGGUAAGAUCAUCAUACAAGUGAGUGUGUGAAUAAGUAGCUGGUGAGAUGUUUGGCUCGCUAACUACUGUGACAACUUGGUAAGAUAUUUCUCUUCUCUCUCCCGCAGCGAUUUUAGAAUUGAUGAUCCUAUUUGUAAAUAAAUGUAGGAUUCUUUUUUCUUUCUUUUCUCCUUGUACACUGAUUUUGGACUUUAUGUUCGAGAAAUUGUACAUAAACUGUUGGCCUGUUUGUGUAAAAGUACAGGGGGAAAAAAGAUAAAUGACGGAACAAAAGAAAGAAUUAGUGAAGAAAAAAAAGUUUCUCUAGGUUUCUCUUUCUAUGGCAUUAUGCUUUCAAUUGGCUUUUUUAUCUGAAUACGACUUAAAAUUAUUGCAUGGUCAGUUGUAUUUACUAUCACAAUACAUCAUGAAUUAAUGUAUUAGAAAAUAUAGUUGCUGCUGUAACAGAUAGUAUUAUUGAAUUAGGACAUCGACGGAGGGAGCUUGUUCAAAAACACUGAUCAAGUAGAACAUCUUCAAGGAAGCAUUAACGGCUUUUUUUAAACUGAAAUCCCCUAUCCAGUUGCCUGCUGCAGUAAAAGAAGAACCGUCACAUUAAAGCUCCUUUCAGGCCCAGAGGCUUAACAUAGCUUCCUAGCACCACAAAAACUCCUAAAAGUUUCGUUUGUCAGACACCUACAUUCAUCUUCUUAAAGGAGAGAAACCAUUUCAGAUGUUAGCAAAACAAGCACUAAGCCGCUUCGUCCGGCUCAAAAGUGGGAAAGAGGAUCAACUCUCCGGUGAUAGUUUUCAGGAUCAACUCUCCAGUGAUAGUUUUCUAACAAAUAGAACUGAAAAAAGGGCUUGUAGUGCAAGAACACGUUGUUAUACUUAGUCUCUACACUAUAGAGGGCCUAUUUUUCUCCCCUUUUUGUUUUGAGAAUUGGGCACUUUGUCCGCCACAGCCUACUGGAAAUCCUCCCAACCUAAGACCCUCCCAAGACUCGCCAUGUGAUUGGUGCCUUCGACUCCUUGCGAAGAUCAAUGAAGCAUCUGUAAAUUUUUUGUCACUAGGGAAGCCUAUCUUCCUAGCUAGGAAGAAUAAAUUGUAAACUGUCUUUAUAUAUGUCUUCUGUGUUUAAUUUUCCUAACUCAUCAUGAUGUUCGAUCUUUCCAAAGAACAGGAUAAGAAGAGUAAGAACUUAACAUAUAUAAUAUACAUAAUAUACACAAAUCAGAUCCGAUUUACAAGCACUUUUAGCUAAAACUGUCUAAUUUCUGUAAGGAUGUGAUUUCUCAACAAAACAAGCAUCUUGAGAAACUAAAACAGCAUUAAGAUUCUGUGGAAUAUCCAAGUUACCGAGUAAUAACAAAUAUAGCCCUGAUGCACAUUGGUAUAAAUGAAUAAACAAAUCAUAUAGAGAGAGACAUGGAGCCAGACGUUGGGGAAAAAAGAAAAAAACAGAUGCUAUGGCUCAUCGAGCAAUCGGAGUACACUAGCAUUGGGUAAAUUCAUUAACGCACAGGAAUAAGAACAAUGAAAUAAGGUUACAGACACCACAAUGGUAAAAAAAUUGUUCCCUACAUUAAUUUCAUCAAAUACCUUUUUCAGGUGCUUAAUCCGGGUGUAGAUCAUCAAAUGAACAGCAAAUAUUGUAGAAUUUCUUAGCCUUAUUGGUUCGCAACAUUGGGCCUCUUCAGUUCUUGGAACUUAUCUUCACGCGAAAGGUUCUCAAACUUAUGCAUAGAAUCCACCAUGUCUGAAGCAUCUUCACACUGCAAUAAACAAUUCCCCAUCACAUUGGUUACAGCAGAAGAGAUUCUACAAGUAAGAGUCACAAAGAAAAACUUGUGUUCGGAGAAAGAAAUGAAAAAAAAAAAAAAUACAACGUGAUUACUUUUAUUAGCUACCAAAAAAAAAAAAACAAAAUCAGUUGACAUAAAUUUGCACUCAAACUAGUUAAAUAUUAAUAAUCUAGAGUACAGAGUCAAACCAUGCCUCUUUUUGGCAUCAAAGAGCAAAAAGAGAUCAAACUGAAGUUACUAAUCAUGAAAUUAUUAUUAUGUAGCUUAGACAUUCAAUUAAAAAAAUAAUAAUAAUAACAAAUGAAACUCUGGAUUUGAUAUUAUCCUGCUAAAUAACAAUACUAAGAAAUGAUCACAAUAGAUCACAAUACUAACAAUAGAUCACUUCAAAACCACACUGUAGAAAAAGAGAAUAUGAAAGCCAAAAAAAGAAAAAACGAUACAACCGGCAACUAAAGCGAAUUUUGAACUAAAAAAGAAGACUAAAGAAGAGAAGCUAAGAUCUAAAUACCAUUUCCCAAAUCCAUCUGAUUGCGAUGCCAUUGCAAUUGAGUGAGGUGGAAUGUUAAAUUUGCGACCUCGGAUCUCCGCCUAUUGGGCACAGAAGACUCAGCGCGAACGAUUUUGCUCCGAGUAGAAGAAUUACCAGCAUCAUUGCCCCUGAGAGUGGGUUCAUCAUAUAUCACUGCUGAAACUUUUCCACAGCAUUUCCUAGCUCUAAGGGACCAUAGUUGUGAUCUAGGUGUUCUAUUUGAUGUCGAUACACAAGAACCCAUUGUGUCGGGGCAAUUGUACAGGUCAACUAGAGAAACAAGCAUAGAUCAUGAGACAUUCCAUCCUCUCUGGAAAAGUAGGCAUAAAUUUGUGAAUUACAGUAAGUAGGUGAACCUGAAAUGGAUAUAAUAAUAAUGGAUAGAAACAAAAAUAACUAAAAUAAUAAUAAUGACAACAAUAAUGAUAUAACCUUUUUGUUUCAAUAAACAAAAAAUGAUAAUAAUGACAACAAUACUUUCUGUAUAAGGUUGAAAUCUUAAGUCAAGCUUAUAUCUAAAAAAUGGAAAAUUAACUAAAAGGUUUGGAUCAUACAUGAAAUCUUAAAUGAAAUUAUACAAAAUGACUAGCCCAUCAGUAUCAACAUUCUAUAAACUUCACUAAAGCAAGUAAAAUUGCCAGAAGAAGAAAGAUUAUGCCAUAAUGAUAGUUAUUAACUACAAUUGAGUGCCAUAUACAUAUCAAGAUAGGCUCUCCCUUUAAUUAGUAAAGGAUUCAUGUAUUACUCAGCCAAAUUGGAUGCGACCUCUUUAUGGUGAAAAAGGGCCAAAUCACUCAGAUUAAGCCUAUAUUACAGAGGAAACAAUGGAUUUGAGUUCUCAAUCCCCAAAAACGAAAUUUUGGAGUAGUUUCCAAUUUUUUCUACUUUACUCAGAAGCUUGAAACAAAAACUGCAGGAAAAGAUCAAAACUCAAAAAGAAAAAGGCCCAAAAUUCAGUCAAAAAUAAAAUAAAUCAAUAAAUUAUUUGUUGAAACAUUCUUAUCAUCUAAUUUAAAGAGGAAAUGACGCAGAAGAUCACAGGACAUAAAAGGAAAAAAAAAAAAAAAAAAAAAGCAGCAAAUUUUGAAGCUUCUCACCAAACAAAACCUUUAAUUUUACACAGAUCAGAGUCUAAAUAAUAAGCCCCAGCAAUUUUUAUUUGCCAAAAGAACAAAUUUAUUCACAAAAUAAAGAUGAUCCGGAUGAUCUAACACUUAAAGGUGACACCUUUCUUAAGAAAAAUCACCAGUUACAAAUAAUUCGAACCAUAUUACAUCAAAUUAAAAAAAAAAUUGGGUGGGGGGGGGGGGGGGGGUGAGAGAUCAACGAAACCUUACCGAAAGAAAAAAAAAAAUCUCCUCCCCCCACCUCCCUAGAUCGAAGAAGCCGAUAAAUAGGCUCACACAAUCCGACACAGAAACAGUAGCACGCACUUCAAAGCGCCUUAUUGAAGAAAAAAUUAGAAUUUUUUUUUUUUUUUUACUUAAAAUAAUAAUUAUCUCCUCCCACCACGGCUUCGCCUUUUUCGAGUAGUGGGAGUUGUCUCCUCCCUCGCCUCUUUUUUUUUUCUUUUUUCUUUUUGCCUUUUUGUUGUGGGUGUGGGUGUGAACGGACUCUGGUUUUUUUUUUUUUUUUUUUUUUUUUUUUUUGUGAAUCAGUUUAACCAUAUGAAUAGCUCAAAUUCUCUGAGAUGUGCUGGACAGGAAAAUGCUUGGUUGCCGAUAAAGUUAACAGCAGAUUACUAUAAAAUGGAACUNUUUUUUUUUUAAAUAAAGCUCAAAGUGCGCAGUAAUGUGGAAGGCAAAAGCAGUUUUUAAAGUGCAUUGCUUCACGCUUCACUACUUUAUUGGAGACUCUUUUUUAGAUUUGAUGUAGUCCCACCGAAUUGUUACUUUGCCCCCUUUUUUUUAUAUAUAUAAUUUUGCACCUGAUCUCUACUGUGGAAGUGCCAAACAUGUGGUAGGAAUAGUAACGAAUAUGUUUGUGCUCAAAACAGAAAAUGGCUCUUCCAGUAAUUGCAUUGGAGAUCUAUUAAUUGUUGUUAUAAAAGAGUAAUUUGUGAGAUGUGUUAUUUUGGUUAUUUUAACAUCAUGUAGAUAGAUGAUUAUUAUAUCUAGAAUGAAUGAAAUAAAUACUUUUCGGUUGAAUAUGAAUCAUUCGAACUAUCAUAAUUAAUACAAAGUAAGAGUACUAGAAAGAAAUAGCUAUUAGAACCAAUCAAACAAAGAGUGUGAUUGAUGAUUAAUUUCUAGAAACGUACUAAACUACUUGAUGUAUAAAAUUCGGAGUGAAGCAUAUGCGUUGAGCACAGAAUGAAGUCACAUUAAUAAACACAUCCUUUUUACAUUUAGAAUCAAAAGCGAAUUGCUGAACAAUUUAUUACAAACAUAAAAAAAAAGCACAAUCUCAAGGAUAAGAAAAGAAAGAAAGAUUAGAGAUAAAUCUUUUUUUCCAUUUCAUUGUUUUUGAAUUUAAAGUGUUUUCCCUAGCCAGGGUGAUCAUCACCAACUUAUUCACCUGGGAAUAUUUCUACUAGGUUAAUCCCUAGUAUGGAUCUUAAAAAAAAAAAAAAAAAAAAAAAACUUAUAUGAUUAGAUCUAGACCUAUGACCAUGGCCAGGAUGAGAAAAGUUUUCUUGUUCCUUGUAUGAUCUAAUCCCUUUCGGCGCAUAAAUUGUUGUGAUGUGGACUUAGUUAGGGUAAAGAAUCAUGAGGACACAAACAAGACGAAAUUGACUUACGGAAUAAUCAAAUCACAUCGAAGUGUUGAAUACAAUGUUAUUUUCUAUUUGUCUUACUUUGUUCCUUGAUGCUUGUUAUUUUUUAUUAAAAUAGGUGAAUAUCUUGCUCGGUAUAUCAAUAUUUAAAAUUCCUGGCAAAUUACCACACAGCUAGAAUACAUUAUCCUCAAAAAGUCAUAAUAAUUGUCACAAUCUUUGAUGGAGUGAAAACAAACAUGAGUUACAAUAAUAAAAGAAAUAUAAAUCUCCAACUUGUUUGAACGUCUAAUAGGCCCAUUUGAAGUGGCCCAAUUAGUUUCGGGCUGAGAUGACCCGAUCCAGGGCCUAAACAAAUGAGCCAUUCUUUACAACAAACUAGGCCCAACCCAAUAAAAUGGAACCCGAUCCAAUAAUCCAGUACUAUUGGGUUUUAAAUAGGCCCAGUAUACGGCCCAUAUAGGCCCAUUUGCAUCAGGUUUAACUCCCAAAAAGCAUCGCUCGAACCUUCUCAAAACCACGCCCUCUCCUCUCCCCCUCUCUCUCUCUCUCUCUCUCUCUCUGUUUCUCUUGAUGGAGCGAUCGAUUUAUGGAUCGGAAGGUGAGGUUGAUCUUGUAGGGGGGGUUUUUGUUGUGCGCAGCAACCGCAGAUCAUACUGUUGAAGGAGGGGACGGACGCGUCGCAGGGGAAGGCGCAGCUGGUGAGCAACAUUAACGCGUGCACGGCGGUGGCGGACGCGGUGCGGACGACGCUGGGCCCCCGCGGCAUGGACAAGCUCAUCCACGACGACAAGGGCAACACCACCAUCUCCAACGACGGCGCCACCAUCAUGAAGCUCCUCGACAUCGUCCACCCCGCCGCCAAGAUCCUCGUCGACAUCGCCAAGUCCCAGGACUCCGAGGUGCGUAUCCGCUGUGGUGCCUCCCCUCACCCAUCUUUUCGAAAGGCCGUCGUUCGAGAAGAAUCCAGAGUGAACGAUCAGGGUUAGGGCUAGGGUUAGAGUUAGGGUUUUCCUCAAACAACUAGGAAAAAUGAUUAGAGAGACUUCGUUUCGCAGGAGGAGUCGUUAGGGUUCAAAAACAUGAUUAGGGAGACUCCAUUUCGCGGUAGGAGUUGUUAGGGUUCCGAUUGUAGAGAACGGCAUUUCAGGUUAAAUGGAUUUCGAUUUACUUAUUUUCACAUUUGAUCUAGCUUUUGUUUUGGAUGCUAAAUAACGAAGCGCCAAAUGAGGGUGUGAGGUCGAUUCAUGGCCUAGUGGUUUUUUUACUUUUCAUGUGCAUUGAUAUAUGUGGUGGUUACAGUGGAAUAUUAUCUUGCCCUUCAUGAUGUGUAGUAAGCCGCUUACUCACAGAAUGGAUUGUCGCUCAACUAAUUAACAUGCUAAUUAAUUAAAGCAAUAUUUUCUGUGCCUCAUGUCAACCUAUUUCGAUUAUGUUAUUUGUAAAUCUCAGAAAUGAAUGGUUAUGCAUGUGCAGAAUAUCAUUGUAAUAAUGGAUGUCUUAAUGCACUACUUUGGACACUUAGAAUAAACCAGUUAAUGUGUAAGGUAGUUCUUACGAGGUAAACAAGUGAAAAUAAUCAUAAAGGAAAAAUGUUAUCCCUAUGAAGCAUACGCAGGCAUGAGCUAUUUUUCUUUGUGUGUGUUGAGUUAGUCUGAUCUCAGUUACUUAACUACUUCAUGUGUUCCAGAAAGUUUAUUCUGCUGAUUCUUUCAGGUGAUAUUGGAAACCAUUUAAGAGUUCCAUUUUGAUUAACCUGCAGGUUGGUGAUGGAACUACUACUGUAGUGCUUCUUGCUGCUGAAUUCCUGAAGGAAGCAAAACCUUUCAUUGAGGAUGGUGUCCAUUCACAGAAUCUCAUUCGAAGCUACAGGACAGCUUCAUAUUUGGUUGGUAUUAUUAUCUUUUUCCUACCUUUAUUUUUUAUUACAAAAGCUUGAGCUUACAACUAUAUGAAACAUGUAACAGGCAAUCGACAAAAUCAAAGAACUUGCUGUGAGCAUAGAAGGGAAAAGCCUGGAAGAAAAGAAAAGUUUGUUGGCAAAAUGUGCCGCUACCACACUCUCUUCAAAGCUGAUUGGUGGUGAGAAAGAGUUCUUUGCAUCGAUGGUUGUGGAUGCUGUCCUUGCUAUUGGCAAUGAUGAUAGACUUAAUCUAAUUGGGAUUAAAAAGGUAAUUUCUAUCAGUCAGAAAUUAAGCGGUUCGGUUUCCUCUGCUUCUUUUGUGAAAGUUGAUGUUAGUCAUAAGAAAUUGAGGUUGCUGCAAUUGUUAGCAAAACAAGCGACCUGUGGUAAAAAAGAAGUUAAAUUAUUCUUAUUGCUUUCCUAUAUUUUCUUCCUCGUUGGGAUAGAAUUAUAAUAUGGUAUUUUUUGGAUGCUGUACUUUAAUUUAUUGUGGCAAUAAUUUAUCAGAGUGAAUAUUGUUUCAGAGUUUUUUGUUUUUUAACUUAAUUAUCGAAUGCAUCGUGGUUUUCCAGAGGGAAUUUCUUAGCCAAAAUCCACCUUUAUGUUUUUCUUUUUCCUUUACUUUGUGCAUUUUCUUAACAAGGUUGAUGAACUAGCUGCCUCCUUUUGAAUGGUCUGGAUCUUGUUAAGACUUGUGACUUCAGAAUUCUGAGACUUUACAAUUCAAUUUUCAUUUUCAUUCUCCUUAAUAGGUUCCUGGGGGUAAUAUGAGAGAUUCAUUUCUCGUCAAUGGUGUUGCAUUCAAGAAAACAUUUUCUUAUGCUGGAUUUGAACAACAACCGAAAAAGUUCUUGAAUCCAAAAAUUCUUUUGUUGAACAUUGAACUGGAAUUGAAGUCAGAGAAAGAAAAUGCAGAAAUCAGGUUGGUUUAUUCGCCAUAGUUUUUGAUGAUUGUACAAUUUGUGCUUGUCCUUGUACUACAACCAUUUAUAAGCUUCUAUCGUUCAUUUGUAGAUUAUCAGACCCACUCCAGUAUCAGUCAAUUGUUGAUGCUGAAUGGAAUAUUAUCUAUGACAAGUUAGAUAAGUGUGUGCAAAGUGGGGCAAAGAUAGUUCUUUCUCGGUUGGCAAUUGGUGACCUUGCAACCCAGGUACCUUUUCUGGACUGUGCUAAAGUUGUCUUGUUCAAUGUGGUAUAUUUUUUGGCUUUUACUGCUAAGCAACCUAGUUACCUUAUAUACUCGUGAAAUCUCUAUUUUCAUAUAUACCCAUCUCUGAGUGUACAUUCUUACACAAAUCCUGACCUUCUGGGGAGUUAUCCAAUUCACAGAGGGAAAGUAUUUUUGUAUUAGGAAAAAGUUAUUUUUAAAGAGGAAGUUUAAGGAUGUAUAAAUGCAAGAAAUUAAGCUUUUGAAGUGUAGAUAGGAAGGUUCCGGAUUUAGAAGACUACACAUGUAAUUAGAUAAGUUCGUAGGCACAUACCUGUAAAUAUUGCUAAUUUUGCUUUUGCCACUUUAUAGUACUUUGCAGAUAGGGAUAUUUUCUGUGCUGGGCGUGUGACAGAAGAGGAUCUACAACGUGUUGCUGCUGCAACUGGUGGAACUGUGCAGACUUCUGUUAACAAUAUUAUUGAUGAGGUUGUAAUCAUGCAUUGUUCUUCUUUUUUUUUUUUUAAUGUGCUUCUUUGAAUGAUUGCGCUAGGUUAGUAGCAGUGCAAGAGGUUCUAAUUAGUAUGCUACAUUUUUAUACUACUUGAACUUAUCGUCAUUGGUUUCUGAUGGUCUUGUGUAUCAAAGGUUCUUGGCUCCUGUGAAGUUUUUGAGGAAAAACAAGUAGGCAAUGAAAGGUUUAAUAUAUUCAGCGGAUGCCCUUCUGGCCAGACAGCAACUAUAGUUCUUCGUGGUGGUGCAGAUCAGGUAUUUCUUUUACAAGCUUAUAGCUUGAUCAGGCUUCAUUGUUAUUAACACAGUUAAUACUUGUGCUAUUAACUUGCGGCAAAUAAUUGUUCAGUUUAUUGAGGAAGCUGAAAGAAGUCUGCACGAUGCCAUCAUGAUAGUGAGGAGAGCUUUAAAGAAUUCAACUGUUGUCCCUGGUGGUGGUGCUAUAGAUGUAUGUUUGCACGAACCCACAUGUUUGAUAGGAAUGUUAUAUUUUGUCAAAGCUGAUCUUUCCACUGUUCUGGUAGAUGGAGAUAAGUCGGUUUCUGAGGCUGCAUGCGAGGACCAUUGCUGGGAAGUCCCAACUGUUUAUAAAUUCGUACGCCAAAGCCCUCGAGGUAAACAUGCAGAACUUUUUGUCAGCAAAAUUACCAUGUUCUAUCCUCUGAUUUUGUAAUGCACAUAUAUGAUUAGCUUUUGCAAGCCAUAUGAAAUGUCCUUUGAGCUUACACUUUUCCGUCUGUUCAUUUAUAAAAUGUUCAUUGCUUGUUGAUAGUGUACUAGGCAGUAUCAACUAUCGCUUUUUGUGAUAUGUUAUAGCUGGGAUUGGUUGUGUGAUGCCGUAAUUUAUGUGUUAUUUGCUAUUUUGAUGUUUGUUUAUUCUUGUGCUUAUCUUCUUUGCAGGUCAUUCCACGGCAACUUUGUGACAAUGCUGGAUAUGAUGCAACAGAUGUACUGAACAAGCUCAGACAAAAACAUGCAUCUGGUUAGCUUCUUUCUGUUUUCGUAAAUACGCUGACACAGAAAAUGGUUUUUUUUCUUUGAUGACGCAUAGGAUGCAUGCCUACUGCAGGUGAAGGUGCAAACUAUGGGGUGGACAUUAAUACUGGUGGAAUAGCAGAUUCCUUUGCUAACUUUGUAUGGGAACCUGCAGUUGUUAAGGUAUGCAUUAUGAUGUUAUGUUUUCUUUCCCCCCUUUACUCUUCACUUUUCAGUAAUCUUACCUGGGUGAUAAUUAUGAAUGCCAAUUGCAGAUCAAUGCUAUAAAUGCUGCAACUGAAGCGGCAUGUCUUAUCCUGAGUGUGGAUGAGACAGUUAAGAACCCAAAGGUACCAUUUACCCUUCAGAUAUAGAACUUAGAUUCCAUGAACGUUCUCUCUCUUUUACUAAGUUCAUGGUUCUUUGAUAUCUCUCCGUGGGUAAAAUUAUAUAUUUACAUGGAAGAAUGAAAGUCUCAGUGCAUUUUGGCUCCUAAUCAGCUGGAAGUUCCUUAAUUGCAAUGUGGUCUUAUUUUCUGUUAUUUUCCAUAGAUUCAACAUGGCUAAUGUUUGUGAAUAUGAUUGGCUUCUGCUCUCUUUUCGAAUAAAUCAAUUCAUUGUUCUUGUUAUUUUUCCCUGUUCAACACUUUGGGGUAAUUCUGUUCGAGCUAUAUUUUAUGGUAACUCUCAUUUUUAUUAUGUUAAACCAGUCUGAGAGUGCACAAGGUGAAGCAGCUGCAAGUGCGAUGGCUGGUCGCGGCCGUGGUGGAGCGGCAUUUAGAGGCCGUGGCGGAAGAGGCAUGCGAAGACGCUGAAAUCCAUUCCCCCGAACACCGAUCUUUGUAUUACUUUAAAUUAUUUUUAGGUCACCAUGAGUUUUGAGAGGGUUGCUUUUUGCGAGUUUUCUCAUGUUUUUGCUUUCUACUUUCAUUUCUUCUGCUUUAUGGGACAUUCAUCUGAUCAGUGGUUUGGGUAUAGUCUUGUUUGAAGUAGAAACUGUUGUAGCACUAGUAGGUUUUUCUAUCUGCCACAGUACAGCCUGCGGGCUGGCAAGAAACACUGAAGACUCUAAUUUGGUUCGGUGAGGUUGCCGAGGACUUACACUGGGAUCGCUCAUCAUUGCUGUGCAUCGGCUUAAAAGUCCGGGAAUUAGAAGGGCCAGUUUAUAUGUUCUGUACGCCGAUUUUGUUUUUUCUGUGGUAUUAUUCUGGCUAAAAAAGGUUCUUCGUGCGCUCUUGAAUGAAACUUUCUUUGUUUUUUUUAUUUUAAUGAUUUUAGUCGGGUGAUUUUAAUCAUUUUAAUUGGGUUAGUUGCUAUUCGUUCCGUGUCUGGAUGUUAUUUUUCUAGAUUUGAUUGUCUCUGGAUGUUAUUUUUCUAGCCCAAAUCUUUAUAACCAAUGUGUUUAAAUUUAAUAUAAGGCUAAUAUUAGAGAUUUGGUGAGCAUUCAUUUAUACAGUAGGAUUGUUGUUGAAUUUCCUGGUGUAGAAAGAUGGCGUUUGUUAGUGAUUGUUAGCGGUAUGAGUGCUGCGACCCUCUUAACUGCGCUGUCUGAACUUUUUCUAAUUGCAGUUUUAUUUAUUUUCUCCCCCCCUGUUUCUGGUUCAGUUAUGUUUACAUGGAUUAAGAAUUUUGUUAAAAUUUCGACCACGGCUGCUAAGAUAACUCAUUUUGUUAGCUGGUGGAUUUAAUUAAAAUUUCAAUUCGUUCCAUAACCGUAUUUAAGAUAAGCAACUUUGAGAAUAUCGAAGGAAAAGGAAAAUAGAUUGCCUUCUAAAAUGGCUUAUCAAUCAUGGUUUCCUGUAUUUUUUUUUUUUUAACCAUUAUUAUGUUACGCAUUGAGAUAAUUGCUUAUAAUCGUGGUGAACUAUGUGUUCCUUAAUAAUAAUUAGACCCAUUAUUAGUCUCUUAAUCAUCUAAUGAUCUAAUUACCUAACAGAUAGAGAGCUCCCAAGAAUGGAUAUAAAUUCGUGUGCUAUAAUAAGCAGAAAAUUAAGGUAGUGUGGUAGAAUAGAAAGAUAUAAGGACUUAAACAAGGACGUAAAAUAAAGAAAGAAAAAAAAGUAGACAACUCUACUCAACACUACAUGCCUGCUAUAACGUCCUGUUUCUCAUAGCGGCACACUCAUCAAGAAGAUAAGCAGUUCAUACGAUUAGCUCCAAGCUAAAACGACGAGCUGUGAAAACUUCAUGGAACGGAACAACAAGGCCCUAAACAAACCCCCAUAUCCCUGUUCUACCCUAAAAUUACAAGGCUCUUGCAACUAGAAGCAUUUCAUGAAAAUGCUUCUCUUUUACCUUCCAUAGCUAUAUAGUGGCACAACAUUGGCACUCUCACGAGCACCCGUCCUUUGGCUGCACAUGACCUGACAGGAAGGAUACACACAAAACCAUCUACUUACAGUGACGAAAGGGUUCGAACCAGAUGGAAGCAUGGUUCAGUAAGCCAGUACCACUUCCGUAAGAUUCAAAUGCCGAUCAAAACCACCAAUACUCAUCACUGAGGAGCUCAAUAGUUGCUAAGGGUCAGAACUUACUUCUAUCUAUGAAGAAUGUAGCAGAGGGGAGUUAUGCUCAUUUGAGAACGGGGAGUGGCGAAUUGGCAUCCAAAUUGGGUCGCGGUAUGCAGUGACCAACUUAUCAAAGAACUCUCCCAUGGUUGGAUCAUUCUGAUCUGCUCUGUCUUUCUUUAUCAAUGUCUGCAGAGGAAAUAACCCAAUCAGAUAAUGGGUUAACGGCAGCCUAGUGACCAACACAUAAACAGGAGUCCAAAUCAGAUUUAGAUAGGUGGUUAUCAUAUAUGUAAAAUUUAAGUACCUCGGCAGAAUAAGCUUCGAAAAUAGGCAGAAAGCGUUUUCUGCAAUAUUCAUUAAACAGGAGCGUAAGCACGGGAAGUGGUAGAAUCAAGCUUGACGCGAGAGGAACCUUUUUAAGCCCGAAUAUUCCGAUAGCAACUAGGUGCAUAAGUAUAAGAGAAAAUAUUGUGGUAUUGUGCACGAUGGGCCAAAAUCUUCCACCAGUAUCAUACUUGGGUGAGUAGACAUUGAAAAGCUGCAUAAAAUUUUCAACAAAUAGUCAUUUUUAAUUCAAAAUAAGUCAUAGAAUAAUAUAGACGAAUAGCCAUUUUUAAUUCAAAAUAGUUUAACAACAAGCAAGUAAAGAAAUAGUAAGAAAUGUGCAAAUACAUCCCCAUCACAUUACAGACUUCUCUUUUCUUUUUGAUUGAUGAACUUCGUUAACCAUGUAACUUCUAUCACUUUUAUUACAAAUUCAGUAUUUGCUCAUACUCUGUACCGUUUGGAUCGGGGAUAAGGGGAGGGAUAACCCCUUAUCCCCCUUCGAGAAUAGUAGUUCUCGGGUACCUGGUAUAACUAUCCCCACCAACACAUUCAUUUUCUAUAUAUAACUACUCACUAUUUUUCUUAUUCCAUAUUAUCUAUCCAAACGCUAUUUUUCUUAUCCCGGAAACAACCCAAUUUUCAUCAAACGCUAUUUUUCUUAUCCCCAUACUUGUACCUAUCCUGUAAUAGCUAGUUCUUGCUUAUACCCGAACCAAACGCUAUUUUUCUAGAUUCAUCACACGGCCUAUAUUAUUAACUCUCAGAUUCAGAAUUCCAAUUACAUGCAGACAAACUGCUAGGAUUCCUGAAGGCAAGAAAUGGGGAGGGAUUGGACGAGAUUUUGGUGCAAGUCCCAGUUGGAAGGAUUGAGGGUAUGGGUGUUGAGGGCCAAUCUUCCAAUUCUCAAAUAUGAGGGGAAGAAAGAAAGGAAUAUCCAAUAGCAUGUAACCCACCUAAAAUGGCUCUGGCAGUAUAGAUCUGCAAUCUAACCUGUUGUUCAUAAUGAUAAGGAUGCUUCAAGGUAAACUGGGCUCAUGCCUAGACACCAGGAACACCAGCAUGCUUGCAUACAGAGAAUUUUCAAUAAAAUAGUAGUAGAUCAUCUUCAUUGAAAUGAAUAGCACAAUUCAGGCAUGAGUCAUUAGGAUACUCAAAUGCCACUAACAUGAAUCAACUUAAAUGGAGCAUAAAAUUAAAGUUUCUGUAACUUGCAUAUUAUCAGAAGAUUCUCCUAUUUCUCAUGAAAAAAAAGGAAAAGGAAAAUGAAUAAUUAUGCUAAUCUCGUCUUUUUAAUAAGGUGUAGUAUUAAAACAUGAAACAGAAUGAAGGGGGGGGAAAAUGUAUAAUAGGGAAUAGGGGGAGGAGAAAAUAGAAUAUUCUACUUACCUGAUUGCGAUAGAUGAUGUAUCCAAUGCAGAAGAAGACCAGUAUAAAUGGCAGAAUAAGUGGAGCUAAAAUAAAGUAUGUGAGACCAAGCAGCCCAAAUAAGAGAAUCCUAGGUAUUUCACUGUGGUAAGAGAUAGAUGGUAUCUGAAAUUCAUCAUCCUCAUCACUCUUACAUGAACAAUGCUUCCCUAUCAAAUUACAAAUAAGAGCCAUAGUUCGAGUGAGCUCUGAAGAUAAGCUAGUCCAUGAUGUCACCACAUACGCAAUGAAAAAGGAGGCCUGAAAAAUUAAAAACUCUUUUAUUGACAUGGAUAUAAGAAGUAGAUCAAGAUGCAAAUAUAAAAUGCCUCAAGGUCCUGAUAAUUAGCCACCUAAUAACAGCGUUACAAAAUGCUUAAAGUGAAUAUACGAUGCCUCAAGGAGCAAUUAGCCCGAGCAUGAUAUUACAUAGUAGUCAUGGCAAAAUAAUGCAUUUCCGCAAAGCAAAAUAAUACAGCACCUGUUAAAAAAGAGAUAAAUGAUCUUACCUGUGCUGGUACAACAACAGCUAGUCUUACGGGAAUCUCCUUCGGAUCAAGAAUUAUCUGAAGUAGACUGGUAGCUGAUCCUGUUAGAACAUUUGCAAAGAAGAUGCUCCAUAUAACAAACCAGAGCAUUUUGUCGCACGCACUUUUCUCAAUCUGACUAGUAGCUAUAUAUCCUUGCAUGGUGGAAAAAAGCUUCAUGAUUGGAGGCACAUAAGAGGAAAGAACGUGAAGAAUGAGACUGGGAAGAUACCCAGUAAUUAUUUGACUCACAACAGUUCUGCAAAUAUUAUAAUUUAUACAUCAGUAAAUUUUGCGGUGGUUCAACUUCAGUUUGGGUGUAUUAUUCACCUAAAAGCAGGGGAAAAAAAGACAGAUGGCAUGCUAUGCACAUUCAAACUAAUUAUCUAAGAUUAAGACAUGCUUUUCAGCUUCUACAGUGGAGCAUAUAUAUAAGAAUUAACACGGUUUCGCUAAGAUCAGGCACAUUGAUUUAUUAAUGAAGACAUAUAUAGAGCAUAUAGUAACUUCAAAUACGUACAUCUUCAGUAUGUCCUUAAGGAAGGGCAGCCAUGUCUCUAGCUGUUCCAAAUAAGUAAGCCCUUGAACAAAGGCAGCAACUAAGAGGAAAAUAAUAAUUAGGAAUAUAGAUGCCACAAAGACCACCAGCUUAGAAAUCCAUCUUUGCAUGAAUGACGUAGAAAAGAAAGGCCAGUAAACAUCAUUUGGUUCAGGGGCUUCCUCUGUUACCCAUUCUAUAGGAUUGUCCGAUUGUUGAAUUUUAAGAGCAGUUGCAGCACCAUACCUAGAUUUGAAGCAAACAAAGGCUGCUGGAAUUUCCUACAGUGUGAGUGCAAGACUUAUCAGUAAAACAGAUCACAAGAGCUGCAACAAUAAACUCUGAACAGAAAAUUCUCUAAUAUUCAUGUUGACGAGAUCAAAAUCCACGCAAUACACAAUACAUAUAUGAUAAUGCAUACAUGGUACUUCCUAAAGUCAACAAAACUCGGUGAGACUCUAGUUAUAUGUAUAUAUAUAAAGUGGAAACUACAGCCUCCCCCCAUGUGCCAUGUAGCAAGCUCAAAGUCAAAGACAAAGCAUCUCUAAUAAUGGGUUUAAGGAGUGUACAUAUUACCUUCCCAGACCCUACAAUUCCAAGAGGAGCCUUGUAAAAUGGGUGACACUUUAACAUUUUAUCAUCGAGCCAUGAAAUCUACAGCUUACAAUUAGUAGAAGAAACACUCUCUUUUAUCAGUAAAACAAAGGCUCCAAUUUAUCGCCACAUAUAAAAAUUUAUUUGCAAUUUAAAUAUAACAAAACCUGCAUUAACAUUUCUUUUUCAAUUUUCACAGAACUUCUGGAAAGUCAAAAUGAUGAGUUAUGCCUGUAGAAUAAGAGAACCAGAGAACCGGUAUGUUGAUGAAUAUAUUUAGAAUAAGUAAAUAACUUGUAAAAUCAGCAGUAAUAAAAAUUCAACUUCAGCAUAAUGAUGAAUAUUUUUGUUUUGCAAUCAAUAGAAUCUCCCAAUUUACUGGAUCAUCAGAAAAAUCUGAAACAGACUAGAAAUCCAAACUCACACUGGUGAUCUCACCAAAAAGGGUAAUAGUUCUACAUUAGAAGUCUAAGACAGAGAAGAUAAAGGAGACAAUAAAAAUUGAGAAUACUCUGUCAUCCAUGAAAUAUAUCGAUAACGUAACAAUUUAAGAGUACCUAUCUAGUAUCCACUAAUACGAAAGGUAGAUACAAAAUCAAGAAAAACAAUAUGCACCUUAUGUUCAGAGAAAAUUCAUAUUUCACCAAUGAAAGAACAUAUUCAGCAAUAUCAGGUCAUCAUUUGCAAUAGAUAGGAAGCAAAAUGAAUGCACCUCUUUUGUCACAGAUAUAUCUGACUGUUCUACUCUCACAUUUUCUUCAAGAUCUUCCAAUUUCUUCUCAUAACUGCCCAAAAGAUCUUUUUUUUUGGCAAACAAUCCAAGAAUGCCGCCAUUUCUGUGGUUUUCAGGAGUACGUGGACUGGAUUUCAAGUCAGUCAGUCUUCUAUAAAGAUUCUCGGAAUCAGUCUGGAUAAGAAUUGGCAAAGCCAUCGGUAUCAGAUGUUAAAGUCAGAUACAUAAUUGAAUGAUAAAAGACAUGGAGUAUCAUGAAAAGCUCAAAAUUUUACUGUUAAAGGAUGACAUCUUUUAGAAUAAUUUGCGCCACAUGCAAACAAACAAAAAAUUUCAUGACAUUCUCAGAUACUCUUACGAUAAAGGACAACCUAAGCAUCAACUCAACUUGCAGUGUGAUAAUUCGAUAUUGAAGCACUUUAUGCAAAAGGUAGAAUGUUUUCAAUGUGUGGAUCUAAUGGAAAGAUCUUUUUCUCCAAUAAUAGAUGAGCAUAAAACACUGACCAAGCAAACAAGCGUCAAUUCAUAAAAAGAAAUACAACUUAGUAUGUUCCGAUUUCAACCCCAAGUUCUCUAUUUCAAGAUGCUCUUCCGCUUUGAUGUUCAUCUCUGAUGAGAAUUGGGUGCAAGUGGCAUACAAAGUAUUCUCACAAUUUCCUCUUUUUUUUGUCCCAUUAAUUUCUUUACAUAAAAGAGAUUAACCUUGUAAUGGCCAUAGACAUAUUUUGGGUUUUAGAUACAUAGAAGAAUAAUUUCCAUACUGAUGGCUGAGAGUGACCGCCAGAACAAAAGUUCAAGUCUUGGUUCUGAUGGGUUCAGAAAAUUUUAAGAAACUUUUCAUGAUUGAUACUUUGACUUGAAAAUUUUUAAAGAAAAAAGGCUAACCUGUAUAAUGAUUAUCAGUCGAUAUGGAUCCAAUCAUACAGAGGAUACAAAUAUAUAGAAAAUUAAUUUAAAUCCUUACGAUGAGGCGUCGAAGUUUGCUUGUUUGAUGAACCACAGUGUGGCACAAGUAUGUAGAAGGAUGGUACUCCAUGAAGAAACUCUCAACAGUAUCACUGAUAGAACUUCCAUCACGCAAUGGUAUACCACGGACAAGAAUGGCGAAGUGAUGCGGUAGCGGUUUGGAUGCAAUGAAGUGGGCGAUCCUCUUACUAGAUAGAUACUUGUAUUCCUGCAGAAGGGAAAAAUUUAGACACUAAUAUCUAAGUAUUGGCAGAAAGAAACUAAAAGAGUUGUGUGUGUCACUACUAGAAUACUAGAAAUAGACAAAAGCACCAAAGACAUUUGUUGAAUGGACUAUCUUCUGAAGAUAUAUGCAUCGAAAGGACAGAUCCUUAAAAAAUGGAUAGCCAACUUCAGUAAAUAAAAUUGGCAGUGACUUGAUUGGAAACAUCAACAGAUACAUAACUACCGUGGGGGAAAAAAAAGAGAGAGAUACAUGUAUCUUCUGAAGAAUCAAGUAAAGACUCGCCACCAAAAGAAAAAGGAAGCAACAAUUAAAUUUACUUACAGAAUACAGUAGAUAGCACACUAUUACGGUGAUAAGAUAUGCAGCAGAGAAGUGAAACCAUAACCUGUCAAUGAUAAUAAUACAAGACUAAUAAGCCGAAUAUAGGAGAUAGUAAGUGAUGUUUUUAAGCUAUACCAGGCUAUGAUUAGAGAUCACAUCAAUUAACAGGUAACAGAGAAUCAAUCAAGAAACCUACACAACAUUCCCAACAUUAAGGGAUUAUGUUGAUCAACAAGUCAAUGCAAUAGCUAAAGCAAACAGGAUAUUCCCAGAAUCUUAGGCGCACGAAAACACAUCUGUAACUUAUGAUCAUCUGAACAAAAUUGAAGUCAAGACUUUUGCAACUAGUAACAUAAUUCUUUAGGGGAUCCAAAAUCGAAACGACAUUCAAGUUUGCCUCUAAACAGAUCCCAGCAGUUUUCGGUGAAGUUCCUAAAUCAUCUAGAAUGUCGACACCCUAAGCUAGUAUUUGGAAUUAAACAGCUAAUCAUGAUAAAUCACAUUCUCCCGCAUAGAAGUUAUCAUCAGCUUCACAUGGUAUUCGCCAAUAUGGAAAAGCAUAAAUUAGUAAGCACAAUUUACCUGUUCGAACCAUCCUUCACAUUUGAAAUGGUAAACAAAUCCAGCGAUUUGUUCGGGAUAUCGGAGAAGUCAAUGUCGCGCAGCUGAUCCCCCAGAUAAUUAACCGGAAGAAGAAUAAAUAUUCCUACAACCGCGGCAACAGAGAACACUCGCAAACUGCAUCAAAAUUUCACAAGAAAAAUAAUAAUAAAACUCAUAUAAAAAAUCAAGUUCCGCGUAGGGUUUCUGCGAAAUCACUAUCCAUCUUAAAUUACGAAUUGCUAAGCAAAGUAAAGAUCAAAAGGAAUAGAAACAGAUAUCCCCAGAGAAUGCUCAGAUAAGAACAAAUCCAGCUAGGAUUUCUACAAAUCUGUAUCUAUAGCGAAUCUGAGAAAGAAACAAAAGACUCAGAGAGAGAGAGAGAGAGAGAGAGAGAGAGAGAGAGAGAGAGAGAGAGAGAGAUUUAGGACCUAAAGAUGAAGAUCCUCAUGAAGACGACGCCAUCGAGGCCGGAGGCUCCGAGGAGGUCGUCCUCGGAGGGAUCCCAUGCGCGGCGGACCCAACCGGUUGAGGGGAGGAGGUUCUCGAUGUUGAACUGGCUCGGCUGGCGCGCCCUCCCAUCGGCGACGAGCCGCGGCGCGUACACCUCGAGGUUCCCCCGCUGCUUCCGGAGGACGGAGUAGAGCGCGCAGAGGAGGACGGUGAGGCCGAGGUUGAUCCCCACCGACGUCGCCAAAGCCGACACGAUCAUCGCAACUCAAGCUCCUCCUCCUCCUCUUCUUCUUCUCGCUUCGAAGGUCGGAGAGGGGAUAUCGAUCGGAGGAAGCAGGAUCGAUCGAGAGCUUCCUCCUCCUCCUCUUCUUUCGAGCUCGAAUCAAAGAACUCGAAGAUCGGAGUGGUGAUCGGACGAAGAGGGAUCGCUCGAGCUCUUCUUCUUCUUCUUCUUCUUCUUCUUUCUCGUCGUCGUCGUCUUCUUCUUCUUCUUUCGAUCUCGGAGGGGCGACGAUCGUAGGAGGAAGAAGACGAAAGAGGGAAAAGGGCGUGCGAUGGGGGGAAGGGAUCGCGCGCUCGAGGAGGAGAGUACGUGGGAGAAGAGUGGGAGUGAGAGAGGGGCGGGUUCCGAUUAGUAAACAAGUUUUUGUGUGCGAUCGCCUAGGGUGGUGACGUGCACGUGCCAACAAAAACGGCCGCGCCCAAAACACGUGGAAAUUAUUCACGAACACGGUUUACCACGUCAUCUGUGGACCAACGAAUGCGAAUGUACUAUUUUGUGAUAAGUGACUAUAAAUUUAGGGAAAACUUCAAAAACCCUCUUGUGGUUUCGUAGUUUCUCACUUUGCCCCUCUGUGAUUUAAAGUGUAUCAAUUUGUUCCUCUGUGGUUUCGUUUUUAUUUUUUCGGUGAUUUUUUCGUUAAUAUUUCGUUAAAUUAUAUACAAAAAAGUUUAGAUACCCAUCUAUAUUUAUCAAAUAUUCACUUUAGUACCCUUUAAUUUUAACUUUAUUACUAAUUUAAGAAAAAAAUAAUAAAAUUGAUAAGAAAAAGAGAAAAACAAAAUCACAGGAGGGCAAAUUAAUACAUUUUAAAUCACAGGGAGGCAAAGUGAGAAAUUAUGAAACCACAGGGAGGUUUUUUUGAAGUUUUUCCAUAAAUUUAUAUUAUUUUUUCAAAAUAAAGCGAAGAAAACACCAAGCUCUAUUCGACUAGAACUUUGGAUAGCAGUUUAUGAUCUAAGAAUCGAUUUUUGGACACAGUAAAGAUAUAAUUAGAUAAGAUAAUUUUUUUUAUAGACAAUGAAUUACAGAUCGGAUUAAAAAGCUGUUUAUGCUUGCUGAGUUCUGUAGAACUGGUCCAGGGAAGAUCAUUACUGGAGUUUUUGACUCUGAGAACGUGGAGGUUUCCAGAAACAACAGCAAUUGAUGUGUUUCUUUGAAUAAAUAAAGAAAUAAGAAACAAUAAUAAAUAAACAAAUAAAUAAAGCCAGUUAUUAAUCCACAGUGUCUCGAAAAAGCAGGGGUGUUGUGUGAGAGCCACGUUGGGGAGGAUGGUAUAAGAUGGUCGGUGAGGUGUUAGCCUUGGCUCUGAGUGGGUGGGGAUGUGGCGCAAUCUCAAGCCCACGGAAUGAUUAAAUUAUGUGCAUUGUGCAAAUUUAUUAUUUCUUGCAAUGCUUGCAAUUGACUACGUGUAGUAUGCAUUUAAUAUUUUUUUUCCGGAAUUUGUUCUUUUUGACUCCGCCUCUAUUUGCUAUUGCGGGUAAGCUAAGUUGCUUAUAAAAUUCAAUUACAAAAUAUUUCGCUUAUUUUUUAUGUAAUAUUAUGCUACAUAAUAUAUCACAAUAAAUUAAUUAUAAUAUAUUUUUUAUAACUUAACUGAAAAUUAAGAAAAAUUUUAUAUUCUUUCGUUUUAAUUUUGUUUGACAAGAUUUAUGGGCUGAAUAAUAAAUAUAAUACAUUCAAACGAGCCAAUGCUUUAUUGGCCUAUCAACUGUUAUAAAAAUUUGUAAAUGGAUACAAUAUUUUUUCUUAGCUAAUUCCUAUUGAUGGUUUUGCCUUGAUUGUGAAUUGUAAACAAGUUGCUUGACAUAAUUUUACGCACCAUGAUGAACACAACUGCAAGUCCACAACAGAAUUUUAUAUAAAGAUAAGCAAUUCCCACUAAUAGUCUCGCAAUCAGAAUAAAAAUAAAGUUUGCAGUGCGUCUUAUUAAGAAGGUUACAAACAAUCACAUAUAUAGCAUUUCUAAAUUACAUGAAAAACGAAAUCUUAUGCAAACAAUCAAAGAAACUAUAAUUAUAACAAAAUAAAAAGAAUAAUAUCAACCAUCUUCACUGGGCUAAAAUUAAGAAGCCCAUUAGAGUAACUUCUUUUCCUGGAUUCACCAAAUCACUCUCUAUCAACACAAAUUUGCUUAAAAUUCAUAAUUAAUACACCUCACGGUUAGACAAAGAUCAUCUUCUGAUCAGUAUAUUUGUUCAAGUGAUAUAGUAGUUUUUGUGUCGGCCGUGAGGAAUAUCUUAUCAAAGACCUUUCACCUCCCCUGGACCACCGGCGACGGAACUGUGGUUCCAGAAUCGCCGCUGACGAAGGUGGUACCUGCGGCGGCUCCGCCGAUCUCGGCAUUACGAUGACCACUUAAGCUCGUCAUCGGAAUCUCCUUCGCAUUGCUCUCCGACGGCUCACUUCCGGAGGACGCCGCCAUCGCCUCUUCUUUCUCCUGCAGCUGCAGCGCGCACUCGAGUUUCCACAGCACGUCCCCCAUCGACGGCCGAUCGACACCGUAGUCGGCGAGGCACUUCUCCGCCGCCUCGACGUACUUGCUCAGCGACACCGGCUUUAUCGCUCCCGCGAUCUGCGGGUCGAUGAUCUUGUCGAGCUGGCCCUUCCGGUGCCACUGCAGCGCCCAGUCGGCGAGGUUCACCUGCUCCCGCGGCAGCGCCGGGUUGAUCGCGGGCCUCGUGCAGAGCACCUCGAAAAGCACCACUCCAAACGAGUACACGUCCGACUUCUCCGUCAGCUGCUGCCGCCGAAAGUAUUCGGGGUCGAGGUACCCGAAGCUGCCCUUGACGGCGGUGCUCACGUGGGUGUGUUCGAGAGUAGGCGCCGCCUUCGAGAGGCCGAAGUCAGCGACUUUGGCCACCAAAUUGUCGUCGAGGAGGAUGUUGGUCGUCUUCACGUCGCGGUGGAUGAUCCCCUGCGCCGCGCCGGUGUGGAGGUAAUGCAGCCCCUUCGCCGACCCGAUGCAGAUCUCCAGCCGCUGCUUCCACGAAAGCGGGUGCUGGUCGGCGCCGUAGAGGUGGUCGCGGAGCGGCCCGUUGGCCAUGUACUCGUACACCAAGAUCAUCUCGCUGUUCUCGUCGCAGCACCCGAUAAGCGACACGAGGUGGCGGUGGCGGAGCUUCGACAGCAUCUGGAUCUCCGUGAGGAACUCGUUGAUCCCUUGCUGCGACGACGGGUUCCCUCUUUUGAUCGCCAAUUUGGUCCCGUCGUCGAGCAUGCCGAGGUAGACCUUCCCGAAGCCGCCGACGCCAAUCACGGCCUUCUCGUCGAAGUUCUUGGUGGCCUUCUGCAUCUCGGCGAAGGUGAAGUAGCGACCGACACCGUACGUGCUCGACGCGAAGAGCCCGGAGAAGCCGCUCUUGCUCCGCGACACUGCAGAACCAAACCGGCUCCUAGAGCAGCUUCUCUUGCUGUACCCACUGAGAAAACUUGAUUGGCUGGCGUUGAUCGGGAGAAGCCAAGACGUGAAGCUGUUGUUGCUCUUCUGCUGGUAGCCGUGCGGCCGGCAUCUCCAGCGGCAGAACGCGACGACCGCGACCGCCAUGGCGAUCACCGCCAUCGCGAGCCCGACGCCCGAUAAAAUCAUCUUCCCGACGCUCGCUGUAGCCCCUGGAAUUUUACCAUUGACCGAGUAGAGGCCGUCGAGGCUGCCGGCGCCGUUGCUCAUCUUCAUCACCUCGAUGCCGUUGAGAAUCGCAUUCGGGUUGCCGGAAUCCGAACCGGGGGACGGCCCCACCUGGACCAUAAUGGUGGAGUUGACGAUCGCCGACGAGUCGAGCACGAAGUCCGUAUAGUAGGCCACGGCGAGGCCCAUCGUCAAGCUCGAGAGGUCGAGGUUCGCGACGCCCGUUAGGCCAUUAAGGUACACGUUGAAGUAGAGGCUGUUCAGUGUUUUGCUCACGAUAUCGCAGAAAUGGAGCCGGACGAGGUAGGAGAACCCGGGCUCCGCCGCCAUCUCCCACGUUAUGUUAAAAUUGGCGGCGGUGGUGUUCGACUGCGCCAUCUGCUGCGCCGUCGCGUAGACCAUGGCCGGCGCGGUGAGCGGCGUGAGCGAGCUGUCGUCGGGGUAUUUUAUCGUGCCGGGCGGCACGCGGGCGUCUUCGGCGGCAGCCGCCAGAGUCAAGAACGCGGCGUCCGGAAUCCACGUUCUCGCCAGCGUGUCGUUGAGCGGCACGAUCAGCGGCCCGCCGACGUUCAGCCGGUACAUCACCUGGAGGGCGUUGUUCGAAACGUCGACAUUUCCGCGUCCAGGAGAUGCCGCCAAGCCGGUGGUAGUGUUCGGGAGGAGAUUCGGGGGGGCCGAGACGACCUCGACAGCGUUGACGAAUGCGUUGGAGCCCUUCUUCGGGUCGAAGAAGAGGUUCAAGCUGCUUCCUUCUACCGUCACUAGAUAUUCUUUCAGGACGGGGGACGGGGCGGCGGAGGUUUGGAACGAGAAGUCGUGGAGGAGGACGAAGUCGUCGGUGGUGACUGAGAAAACAGCGGAAGAGAGGUUGUAGUUGGGAUUCUGAAACGGAAAGAAAUGGAGCCGGAUCCAAUGGCGACCGGGCUGCGCGAUGAAGAAGCUGUAGGUGGACCGGUCGGAGAAGACGCGGGCGGUGAGGUAGAUCGGGGGGAGCGGGGGGGAGGCGGCGGCAGUAGUAGGGGGUUUGUCGGCGGCGAUUUUGACGUCGACGGGGGUGGAGAGGAAGGAGGAGGAGUCGGGGUCGGACCGGAAAGUGCGGCCGUCGUCGAGCUGCGUGUUCGAGGGUGCACCGCAGUCGAGGAGGUAGUUGUCGCGGGGAUCGAAUUUUUGCAUCGGUGGCGGGACGGCGCGAAUGGUGGCGGUGGUGGUGAGGAUGAGUAUGAGGAGGAGGAGGGAGAAGAGUGGUGGUGAUCUCCUCAUGGUGUGUGUGUGAAUAAGGGAGAAGGGAGGAGGAAUAGUUAGUUAGUUAGUAGUAGCGCCUCCUCAUCUCGUAGGAGAGGGGAUGGAGAGGAGAGUAAACGACUCCGAGCCUUUUUUUUUUUUUUUUUUUUUUUUGGAGGGAUUUGAUUUUGUUGAGAUAGAAAAUUUUUUAAAAAAAUCUAAAAAAUUUAAACAAAAAAUAGAAAAAGAAAAAUUGAGGAUUCAAAUUUGUGGGUUGGAGGCACGUAAGGAGGGGAUCAAAACUUAGCAUUAAGUAAAUAAUAUAAACUAUAUAUAUAUAUAUAUAUAUAUAUAUAUAUAUUGGGCGAAGAAUCCAAACUACUAAUUUCUUGACCAAAUCUAAAAAAAAGAAAAAAAAAAACUUGGACUGUAGACGUGGGGGCCAUAUUUGGGAUGGACCAAAAGCAAAAGUUUGACCAGCUUUAAUGGGCCUGUGGGAAGAAAUUAUUACCUGCUCCUGGUGUAUACGUUGUAAUUUAUGCACCACCGCCAAAUUUUAAUGAUCAAAAAAUAAAUGCAACGGCCAUUAUCUAAAUAGCCUAUACAUAUAAAAAAAAAAAACUUAAUUUUUCAUGUAUAUAAAUUUCUUUUAAUAUUAUAGAAUAUAUUUAAUAAAUUGCAUUUUAAUUUAUAGACUUUUAUCAUAAUUCUUAAUAAAUGUAGUGUAUGAGAUGUAUUUAUACAUCGGGUACAGGUGAUAACUAAUGCGAGGUUGCCCACAAAGGCAAUCUCUCCUAUAAGGAUGGCCUAUAAUAACCAGUUGGACCGGUUUUAAAUGGUUACAGCUAAUACCUACGUGCCUUUUUAAAUUCAAAAAAUGUAACGUAUGCUGGCCCAGAAAAUGAGUAUUCUUAAUUAUGAGGGGCCUAAUCAAAUAUUGCACCUCAUAAGACCAUGAAAUAUCCCCUCUAAUACUGUUAACUUAAGCUCCUUAACUCAAAAUCUUGAGUCCACCAAAUUGUUUAGUGGCCCAGUUGAUAAUUUAAAUAUCUUUCUACACAGAAGAAAAAAAAAUGUAGUUACUCACGAAUUUGAUUUUGGCCUGUUUUACAAACUUCUCGAUCCAUCAGAAGUUGUCUUAAUCAUCAAUAUGUUCUUCUUCUAGUGAAAUUAGUCUCUCUUGUUACGAAUCGGCUAUCAGAGUCGACCGCAGCAUACCGGUCAAAUUUAAGCUCCAAUAAAUAUCGUGUUAAUUAAUCACUAUUCUUGGAUUCAAUAGAAAAAUAAAAAAAGAACCACCGUUUUCUUGCGGAUCUUAAAUUUACUGCCAUGGCCUUAAAGUACGGCAGAGAAAGUACUUGUUCACAAAUUUUCCCUAAUGAGACCACACCGGGCCGUAUUCUUAUGGGACAAUUAAUUUCAUUGGGUUAAAAAAGGAGUCACUUAGGCCUGAAUAUCUAGAUCUUCUUUUCUAGUCCGUUCGCGCGCACGACCGUUCCUAACGUAAAUAACAAAAGACCAGAUAAUUAGUACUAAAGGUUUUAGGUUUGAAAUCUAGUUAUUUUAUCUUCCAGUUAAAUUUAUGUCCAAAAGAAAUGAACGUCACAGAUAGCAUUCUCUUUAAAAAAAGUAAAUAGUAUGCUAUAUUUUUGGAUUCAAAUGCAAAAUUUCAAUCAAUGUAUCUGUAAAGUAAUUAUCAAUUGAAUUUUAAUGCAAUUUUGCAUCUAUUAGUGGAGAGUUUCAUCCCCUGUGUUUAUUCAUUCUGUUACGGUAAAAAUCGAAAAAAUAAAGUUUGUCAAAUUUGAAAAAGAUUAAAAAAAAAAGUCGAGAAAGGAAGAAAAAAAUAUAAGCACAUAGAUAAUUUAUGUGAUUUGGCACUAUCUUAAGUCCACAGGCAAAAUAUAAUCAAAGCAAAAUACAAAAUAUGUCUCUCUAAAAAUAAAUCUUAGCUCCAAAAUAAACUCUACACUCUUGAAUUUACAGAUUUUUUUUUUCCUAUUCAAUUUCCACUGUUAAGAAGCUCAUUUAGAAUUUUCAUUAGACCAUUCAUUGUCACUUUUCCUACCUAAUUAAAACAUUAACAACUGUCAAAUUUAGCUUAGCAUUGCUAUGUGGAUCGAUAUCUUUUUAAUUCAGUAAAAAAAAAAAAACAAACAACAAUUAAUAGAUAAAGAGUAUGUAACAAUUAAAAUCACUCGCAUCUUAAGACACACUCAAAUAUUACAUAUAUAUAUAUAUCCACAAUAAAUAAAAUUUUCUUUCGUAGAACAGUGCAAAUUUAUCUUAUUCGGGCAUUUAAACAGUUGGGGAUGCAUCGUAUGGCUCACGAAUAUAAAAGCAUUAUUAGCCUCGUCGAUGAUAAGCUAAUUAAUUAAACACGUUUGUUGUUUUCGAUCCUCUACGUAAGCUAUUACGCCAUCGGCACACGCACACGCACACGCCACGCUUUAUACAAUGCGACACGCACUUCUCUCCACUCUUAGUCAACAACAACAACAACAAUCUAUGAAAUAUAAAAUUUGAGGGUUAAGUCACACCAACAAAUCCAAUCUUUAGAAAAUCACGUCCUCCCUUAAAACAACACCCGCUACUGGAAAUUAUCACGUGCCUAAUAAAUAUUUCGAUGUGCUCAUUUUAUUGUAAACUAACUCUAAAAUGCGUAUCAAAAAUAAAAUUAUGAUACUAUAUAUAAUAAAUUAUUUAAAUAUUUUAUACCAUAUAUAUUAUAUCAUAUUAUUUUACACUAUUAAUUACUAAAUACUCUAUAACUUAUAUAAUGUUCUAGACGGUGUAUAAAAAAAUUAAUACACACUAUAUGCAGCAAAGAUUUGUUCUCUCUUUUGAAAUUAUAUGUGCAUUAACUAAGCAUUCUAUGCAUCGGCUACUUAGACUAUAUACUCAACAUCCUUCGGUAGAGAUUUUAAAAUUAAUUCGUUAAAUAUAGUUUCUUUCUUUUCAAUUAAUUUUAUCAAGGUAAAGACACUCUCACUUAUUCUUCAAUAGGAAAUAAGCCCGUAAAUAUUAACUUUUUAUUUAAAAAAAUUUAUUUAUAGAAUAGUCAACAAGACUAUAAAAUUUGAUUAAAAUUUUAAAUAAAAUUAUUAGAAUAAUUCAACUUUAUAAAUAUUGAAAGGUAAGAAAACAGUGAUUAAAGAAAAAACCUAUUUUGUAUAAUAUACAUAAGAAUAUUUCAUGGACUUUUUUUUUAAUUUAAUAUUUUAUUUAUAAAAUUUUAUUAACUAUAUAUAUUUUAAUUAGUUGAAAUAUUAUUCUUUACUAGGAGUUGAGCUAGAAUACUCUUAAAAAUAUCAGGGGGUUGGUACUUUUGAGCUUUUAGCCAUUGGAUGAAGAGAUGUAAGAUUGAAAUGAUGGUGGUAGGUGGAAUAAUGUUUGAUCUAAAAAUUAUUAAUAAUUAAGGAGUAGAUUCAAUGGCUAGAAACUUAAAAGCACCAAAAAAUUAUUAUUUUUAAGUGUAUUUUAGCUUAAUUCCCUUUACUAGUGUACACUAUCACAAUGGAAACGUAUACUGAUUACUUGCUGUUCUUUUUUUUUUUUUUUAAUAAAAAGAAAAAAACAUGUUUGUUGUUUUUGAUCCUUUACGUAAGCUAUGACACCGUCGGACGCCACGCGCUUUAUGUAUAUAUCUAUAUCUAUAGUCUAUAGUAUAUAUGAAUCCUCAGUUUUGAACACGUGGCGAGCGCGGAGGCGCGGGCAGGGGCGAGCGCGGGGCGCGGGCAAGCGAGCGCGCCUGGCGGGGCGCCGUGUGGCACGGGCGCGCGGGGCGCGGGCAGGGGGGCACGGGGGGAGGGGCGCCGCGUAUAUAUAAAGCGCGCCACGCACUUCUCUCCCCUCUCCUCAUUACAGUAGAUUCACAACUCGCUAUCACUUAUAUCUACUCAACAACAACAAUCACAAUGGAAACGUUUACUAAUUAUCUCUCGCUCCUUGUUGCUGUUCUGCUCAUUCUCAUCAUCAAAUUUUCGUUUGCUUCGGGGAAAAACAAUAACAAGAAGCUGCCGCCGAGCCCGCCGUCGCUGCCGAUCAUCGGCCACCUCCACCUCGUGAAGCAUCCCCUCCACCGCGGGCUCGCGGCGAUCUCGGCCCGCUACGGCCCCGUACUCCUGCUGCGCUUCGGUUCCCGCCGAGUGCUCGUCGUGUCCUCCCGCGCCGCGGCCGAGCAAUGCUUCAGCGCCAACAACGACGUCGCCUUCGCCAACCGGCCCCAGCUCCCCUCGCUGAAGCUCUUGACCAACGGAUUCACGACCCUCGGCUUCGCCAAUUACGGGCCGCUGUGGCGCAACCUCCGCCGCAUCGCCGCGGGUGAGGUCCUCUCUGCCCACCGCCUCACCGCCUCCGCCGCUUCCCGCGCCGAGGAGGUGCGGGGAUUAGUGAAGAGGAUGUUCUUGGAUUGGAAAGCCCAAAAUAAGGUACUAGCUACUGCAAAUUUUUCUUAGUCUUUUUUUUGCAAACCUCUGUUAUUUUGCUUAUCCGCCCUUCUGAGGUUUUAGCUACUCCACCUUAUGUAGCUAAAUAUAUUUUCUUUUUUUCAAAAGUAGCAUGCUAUUUUUUUUCUAAAAAAAAAGCUACUUCAAACUUUUACAACCAGACAUAUUGAAUCUAAGAGAUGUGAAUGGCCUAUCACUGCUCGCCAACGGGAGUGAGAGGCAGUUCAACUGCAUCUAUCUAUGGCCCCAGACAGAUUAGCAAUAAUUGCUAGGUGCUGAAAAUAAAUAAUUGAGACCAUCCUUAUCCGGACAAAAAUUUUGAGGGCACCGUUUCCAAACUAAUAGUUUGGGGACGACGUGGAUGGUCACGUGGUGGAUCCGACGACUGUCCUUUCCUGCUUUUUUUUUUUUUGUCUUUCUAAAAAUAUAGAGUAAUUUUUUUUUUUUCCUUUCUAUCGGUGGCCGUCGGAUGGACCACAUGGCGCCCAUCCACAUAAUCCCUAAAUUAAUUAUAAGGAGACUAUGCCUAUAAAAUUUUUGUCCUCUUUAUUCUUGUAGCUUAAAUUUUUAUAAAAAAAUAAAUUAUUAUUUAAUAUAGUGUGAGAACUAAAGUUUUAGUUUUAUUUAAUUUCUACUCUUAUUUAAUUAUUUGAUGUAGUUCAAUAAAUUUGAAUGUUAAAAAAUAGACUAAAUUGCGUGGAAAACUUUGGUCCCCAAAUUCUAGUUUUCUACAUAUUUUAUUCAGAAUUUUUAAAUUAUUAAUUAUAAUUAAGUUUUAUGAUCUAAUUUAGUUGGUUAAAUAAUAGUAUAAUGCUAAUGUGGUAGUAAUAUAAUAAUGUUGUCAUGGCUUGCUAAAGUGAUAAUGACUAAGGUACCGAUUGCUAUCAUAUUAGUAAAACAUUAGCACAUGCAUGCCAAAUCAAUUAAAUUAUAUUAUAGCAUUUAAUUGUAAUAAUAAUUAAAAACAACGAGAAAAUUAUAAAAAGUUAAUUUUCGACCAUCAAAGUGGCACGCGUCUCAGAGUUUGCGGAUCAGAAGUGCAAUUUUCCCUACAAAAUACCUUCCAAAAGCAAUCCAUUUUUAAAGGAUUGCAUCUUGAGCCUGAAAAUUCUAAUUUCGAUUGUUCACAAUUAGUCAUAUACAUACCACCAUUUAUAAUUAUCGCAGGUCAUCGCUUUAUGUAAUUUUUCAAUUUAAUUACGAUUCAUUUUUGUUCUAUUAUAUCUCUAAUAUUAAUUUGUGUGUAUCGAACACCUUUUAUUACGGUAAAUCUCUGAUAGGAUAAUGAGACUUGGUUCACCAAAGUGGACAUGAAGACGUGGCUGUUCGACCUAGCGCUGAAUGUGAUGUUGAGGAUGAUAGCAGGGGAGAGAUACACCCACACAAACCGCGGCGAGGGCGCCGCGGGGUCGGACACGGCGAAGCGCUUCAGGGCGAUGGUCGAAGAGACCUUCUUGGUGUUGGAUUCGACCUCGAAUUUGGGCGAUUUCGUUCCCAUCUUCAGGUGGUUGGAUAUCGGCGGGGCCGAGAAAAGGAUGAGGAGAGUGGUGAAGGAGAGAGGCGAGCUGAGCCAGGCGAUGGUGGACGAGAAGAGAAGAGAGAGCGGGGAGGAGGAGAAGGAGAAAACUAUGAUCGGAGAUCUGCUAUCUUCCCAGAUGCAGGAUCCUGAUUUCUACUCCGAUGACAAUAUCAAGCGACUUGCUGUCGUGAGUAUCUUAAUUAGGUUUAUAUAUAUAUCUGUCGCAUGUAUGUAGUUGGACCGUACGUCCACUAUAUAUAUAUAUAUUGAAUCGCUAACAAUAUUGCUUCAUAUAUAUUUUGUCCUCGUGGAAGAGUUUAUUAUCGGCGGGAACAGAUACCACCUCCAAUACUCUCGAGUGGGCCAUGUCGCUCCUCCUCAACAACCCUGAAGCCCUGAGAAAAGCCGCGGCGGAGAUCGACGCUCGCGUGGGCACCGACCGCUUAGUGGAGGAGUCGGACGUCGCGAACCUCCCCUAUCUCCGCUGCGUCGUCACCGAGACUCUCCGCCUCUACCCCGGCGGGCCCCUCCUCGUCCCCCACGAAUCCGCAACGGAGCUAACCAUCGCAAACUACGUCGUGCCGCAAGGCACAAUGCUACUGGUCAAUGCCUACGCCAUACACAGAGAUCCUGCCGUAUGGCGGGGGGCCNUUCAAGCCGGAGAGGUUUGAAAUUGGGAAGGAAGAGAAGGGGUGGAUGAUUCCGUUCGGGAUGGGGCGGCGACGGUGCCCCGGGGAGGGCCUCGCGACGCGGGAGGCGUCGCUGGCGCUCGCGACGAUGAUCCAGUGCUUCGAGUGGAGGAGAACUGGAGAAGAAGAGGUCGACAUGACUGAAGGAAUGGGGCUUACACUGCCUAAGGCGUCGCCUCUCGAAGCCUUGGUUCGACCGCGUGAGCACAUGAUCCAUUUGCUUUCGAAGAUCUAAAUUCCUUACGAGAUCGAUGUGCUUAUGUUUACGAUGUACGUAUUAAAAAUAAAAGUAUUUUAGCGCAACUAUAUAUUUUAGUAAUAAUUAGUAUGCUGCUGUGUUGUCUGUAUGCAGAUGUUGUAACACAGUUUGUGAGAUCUAACUUUAUAUUAUGUAAUCCACCGUUGCUGCGUGCAUAAAUAAUAAUCUUUUAUAUAUACACUGCUUAGUCGUUUAAAUAAUAGAACAUAGAUUACAUCAUUCUAUUGUUCAUUUUUCAACAAUUUUAUUUUGAAAUUUAACCAAAAAAAAAAAAAAUCUUUGUAGUUUGAUAUAUAUCGAGUUCCAUUACAUAUCGUUCGAGCACUUUAAUUUUAACCGUUUUAUCUUUGUGUCGUGCAGCAAUAUAAGUCAUUCUAGGGGAUUACUUGAUGCUAAAUAUGAUGUUGCGAUAGCAUGCAUCAUCAUUAAAAUUUAGUGAAACUAUAUUUUUUUUUAGCAAUUUUAAUAAUUGAAUUGGAAUAAAGAAUCUCAAAUAAUUCAAUAUGAUUAAAUAUAAAGAUUUGAAUUUGUAAAUAAAUAAUUCUUUUAACAUUCUCAUUUGUCAUUCAAGAGAAGAUGAGAUAGAUUGAAUAGCCAAAAAAAAUUGCAAAACAAUAAUCGUUCGUAGUUAAAUUUUUGAUAAAAUUAUAUUCCCAUUCGUAUUCUUAUUUGCUACCUCCAUGGGAUCCCACAAAGGUAACUGUGGAUCUGCCAUUGUAUGUCACAUGCUAGGCUACAAAUGUGGCAACAAAUCCAACUCCAACCUUCAAUUUUCGUCCUUGAUGUGUGUGGACAUGGAAAUGUACAAAUGGAAAGGAUGAAAAAGAAGUAAUAAAUAUGACGUGCUAAUUUAUAAUGACGUGGUGCGACAGUUAUGCCUAUAUACAUAUUUAAAAAAUAGAUAUAAUUUUACUUAUACUGUCUAUUUAAAAAACUAUAUUUCUAUGCUAGUCAUGCUAAAUAUUUUUAAAAUAUUAAUAAAUAAUAAAUUUUAAAUAGAUAAAUAUAAAAUUUAUAUUUUAUUUUUGACUUAUAAAUAACACUUUUUACAUAAAUUAGGAAAGAGCUAUGCUAUACUAUCGAACACAAAAGGCAUAUAAAACGUUUUUUUUUAAGAAAUAGUGCGCGUUCGUUCGUUUUAUUCGACAGGUUAGGUAUCCAUCCUUUCAAUAAAAGGCAUAUAAAACGUGUUACUUGUUUCCUCGCACUGUAGCAAGCAUGGAUCCAUCCGUUUUAGAUAAAAGUAGUGACCACUGCACGAAGGCACUGCAUUCGCUCCAUACUCGCAGUGGUGGAAAGGUGUGGUUCGGUAUCGCGAAGUGUUUAAAUGUGGCAUUUCCUAUGACAUUGGUAAUGGUAGCAACGUCAGUCUCUGGACGGACAUCUGGGUGGAGGAAACUCCGCUGAGCACAGUGUUCCCAGGAAUUUUUGCUUCGAUCAGGAACAAGGGGGCGCGCAUUUCCCAAUGCUGGAACUCACAUGGAUGGAGAUGGCGCUUCAUUUGUAGAGGUUACGUGGCUUCCGCCUCGUCCGAAAAUAGAAGACAAAUGGGGCUGCUGAAGGACCUACUACUCCACCACAUCCCAAGAAGUGGACUUGACUCGCUUAAAUGGAGAUGGACCUCACAUCAAAAGUUCACUGUUAACUCCCUAUAUAAAUUCAUCACUUAUGCAGGCCAAUCGGACCCAAUCAAUCAGCAGCUAUGGAAACUAAAAAUCCCCGUCAAAAUCAAAAUAUUCGUCUGGUUGCUACUUCGCAAGAGGUUGCUCACGGCUGAUAGACUCAUCAAUCGUGGGAUUCAAGCUGAACCCUAUUGCGUCUUCUGUGCUUUUUCCCACGAGUGUUGCGAUCACCUUUUUAGCGAUUGCGUCUUCGCACGCUUUCUCCUACUCCGUCUGACUGGGAUAUCCAGCGGUGUCCCGACUGUGGACGUUCGAGAUCGCUGGAACUCUCUAUCUCUUACCCCGGAUGCCAUCGCAAGAGCUAAAGGAUUAACCAAGCUAGCGGCCACCUGGUGGGUUAUCUGGACCGAGCGAAACAGCUUUGUCUUCUCUUCGACACUUCCGAACGUUGUUAGAGCUUUAGAUAGAGGCUCAUCCCUGUCCAACUCCUGGAUCUCGCUUCUGUAAUCGCGCAACGUCGCCUUUUACUGUAUUCCCCCUCUCUCCCCCUGCUCCUCUUCUCGCCCUGUUUUGUCUCUUUUUUUCCUUUAAUGUACCUCCCCUAUGUUCUUUCUAAAGGAAGCCUAAGCUGCUUCCACCUUGUACGCUUAGUUCAUUGCUCUUAGUGAAUGAAGCAGGUAGCGUGCUACCUUUCUCUCAAAAAAAAAAAAAAAAAAAAAAAAAAAAAAAAAAAAAAAGAUAAAAGUAAUGACCCCACGCAAUUAUGGAUCACUUUGAAGCAGUGUCCUCGAAUUCUUUAUUUAUUAUUCUCAAUUGUAAUAUCCUAAUUUAAAUUAUUUUAUUGGUUAAAUGAGGAAUUUUGUUGCAUUCCAUUAACUGUUAAUCAUUAAUUACUAUAUUUUUAUUUAUUAAAAAUAAUUAAAACUAUUAAAUUUAACAAUAGUACCACUUUUUAAUUUUAUCGACUAGAGUCGAACUAAUUUAUAGAGUGUGUAGUGUGGGUUUUAUAUAUAUAUAUAUAUAUAUAUAUAUAUAUAUAUAUAUAUAGCUAGGCUGGUAUACUAUCGGUAGCACGGAGGUCUCCAUACUACUAAGUUGUUUUUUAAGUUGUUUUCAAUAUUGUGGUUUCCAAAUUGGCGAUCGGCUCUGUUAGACUUGAUCUACACUAUUAAAAGUAUUUGAAAACUAAAUUUUAUAAUUUUUCGGCAUUAUUUACCAAUCAAACAAGUAGUUUAAAAAUAAACUGUUGAAAAUAAAAAUCUUAUGAAAAUGAUGAUAAAAUACUUGAAUUUAAGAUCAGAGGUACUGAUCUUACUCUAAAUAGUGAAAACAAUAUUCUAUAAAAAUUUUAUCAGAUUUGGAUUGUUUUACGUCGUUAAAUUUACAAACGUAUCACAUCUAUUAAUUGUCAAUUUUGAAAUUUUUGAUUACUAGCCAAAUGAUGUUGAAAAAUUAUAAAAUUUAGUUUUCAAAUAAUUUUAAUAGUGUAGAUCAUGUCUAACGGAGCCGAUCGUUGAUUUGAAAGCCGCAUCAUUUGGUAUACACCACGCUGGUCCUCCUCCUCCGCCUCGGCUCCCGCCCGGUGCUCGUGGUCGCGUCGCGCUGUCAGGGCCCUUUUUAGUUGUCAACGGUCCUGACCUUGUCAAUAACAUUGAGUUUGUAAUGAGUCUGUAAAUGUUGUGUCGGGCAAGACUUCGACAUAGGAUUUUUCUUAUUUUGGAUGGGCAUUACAUGUAAAUUGGCAUCCGGUUGGCUACCCGCGGGUUCACUUGUGCUACACAUCCAAGGGGAUAUAGGUUUCGCUAACGAUGGCCGCUUAUGCGACGGAUUGAGCCGGACGCGUGUCGGACAUGGGUCGGCGGCCUAUUUUUCCAUGGAUGUGCGGAGUGGGAAAACGUACCCCUCGGUGAGCACCUUUGUACCCCGGGGUGCCAAAUGGGUGGAUGCUAAUAUAGGGUAGUACGGGAAGGUUGGGUGAGACGUAUUAAGUGAGCCCGCUUCGCUAAAAGCGUAGUGUCUUGGUGAUCAUUUUGCCCUCACCGGCCAUGCCCGACCAAGUCGAGUCUUGUGCCUUUCGCUUGUAGUCCAACUUUUCGUUAUCAAUAAAAUACUCGUUGUUUGUACCAAUUUGCAGGAUCCCUUUACGUGCUUUCUCUUAUUUCUCGGUCGUUGCCAAUUUGCGAAGUUGUGCCUCGGGACGGUUUGGCUUGGCUGGCUCGUUCUGUGCAGGUGACAGACGAGCGCCGCGCGGGCUUUUCGACAAAAAGUCAUUAGACCCGUGACAGCGCGGCGAGGCGGAGCAGUGCUUCAGCGCGGCGACCGACGUGGCCUUCGCGAACCGGCCACUGCUCCCGUCGAUGAAGUACCUCACCCACGACUACACUACGCUGGCGUUCGCCAGCCGAGGUGCUCUCGACGCACCGCCUCACGGCGUGCGCCGCGUUCCGCACCGAGGAGGUGCGGGGGAUGGCCCGGAGGAUCUUCUCCGAUUGGAACGCCGACAAGGUACGUACGCACGCACCUGCAUGCCUAGCUAGCUACGUGCAUUUUUUUUUUAUCACGUACUUUGCUCUUGGAUGCAUGCAUGGUUUGUUGGUUUAAUUAGUUUUCUAUAAGAAUAAGAAUUAAUUAAUUCGUGAUUAAGUGUAAGAAUUUUGCUGCUUUUUUAGAUAACAGGUCCUAAUUAUUUAUAGAAAACUAAUGUAGACUUUUCAGAAAAACAAAAUAUUACACUUAAUUUGAAUUAUAAUAAGAUAGAAAAUUAUAUAUAUGCUAAAUAACAAGGGGAUUUUUUUAAAUUUUCCACUAAAUAGUCAUAGAUUUAGUGUACGUCAAAAAACCAUUUCAUUUUCUCCGUCUCACCUUCUUGUUAUUACUAAUCUUCUUUAUUCUACAUGCAUAUAUGCAUAUAUUUGUAAUAUUUAUGCUUAUUGAUCUCUUUUCAAUCCUACUAACUAAUUAUACAUAAGUAAUUAGUAAAAUCUCAUAAAAAUUAAGGGUAAAAUUUAAUAAAAAUAUAAAUAAUUUUAAUUUGAGUAAGCGUUGUUCGGCCGCACCACGUGUCUCAAAUUCCCACUUUUUUUGUAGUUGCACAUGAAAACAGCUCAGUACACUCGUAGUAAUCGUAAUACACCAUACAGUGUCCAAUAUAUAGCCUAUUGUAAACACAGAUCUAAUCGUGAGUCGUGACAGGGUUGAAUGAACUUACCGAGUUAAGAAACGUUUAAGAAAACGGGCCAGUUAAGUAUAAGAAAGAUGGGAUCCCAAAAGGGUGGGCCCAAAAGGGUACGGCCGACCACUCCUUGCUCCGGUGGGGCCCACCCUUUUUUUUUUUCAACCCCUCUCUCUCUCUCUCUCUCUCUCUCUCUCUCUCUCUCUCUCUCUCUCUCUCUCUCUCUCUCUCUCUCUCNAUAACAAUAUUAAAAUUUUAUACGGGAUAAGAAAAGUUGUACACCGAGUAUAUAUAAGAUAAGCUCAUAGAUAAUCUAUAAUUUGAAUUCUUUUUUGUUUUUAUUUACACCACGUGUAAAAUUUUAGCACAUGGACCAACUCUAUUUUUAAUAGCGGAUAUAACAAAAUUAAAAUUUCAUACCAUGUAGAAAAAAUUGUACACCGAAUGUAUAAGACAUGCUCAUAUAUAAUUUAUAAUUAAUAAAAAGGAUAAACUUCAAAUACCAUCUAUGUGGUUUUGCAUUUUUUUCACUUUAGUACCAUAGAGUUUAAAGUGUAUCAAGUUAAUAUCUAGUGGUUUCAUUUUCUCUUUUCGUCGGCUCUCCCGUUAAUAUUUCGUUAAAUUAUGUACAAAAAAACUUCAGAUACACCACUUAGGUUUAUUGAAUAUUCAUUUUAGUACCCUUUAGUUUUAACUUUGUUACUGAUUUAACGAAAAAAUAAUAGUGGAUUAAAUAAUACAAAGAGAAAAAUAAAAUCAUAGUGGUGUAUUAUAUGAAUUGAAAUUUUUUUAAAAAAGCUAUUUAAUAGAAGGUUAUUGGAAGGGGUUGAAGUGUUGGCGGGGUCUACCCAAUUUCCCCACUCGGCACUCUCUCAUUACUUUUUCUUUUCCUUUUUUUUUUCUUUGGCGUGCGCUACAUUUAAAAAUACUUGCAUGAACAAAAAAAUAUUUUUUAAUAAUUAAUAUGGUAAAAUUAAAUUUAACAUGAUAAAAUAUAUAAUAUAUAAAAAGUCUAGAUACAAAAAUUACUGAAUUUUUAUUUUAAAAUAAAAUUUUAUAAAUAUAGUGUAAAAAAAAGUUAAAUAUCCGGUUGACUUAUUUUUUAUAAAUAGGCAAUUGUUGUAAACCUUUUAUUUUUUAGUAGUACGCUAUUUUGUAUUUUCUUGUUAUUUUAAUUCGGCAAUACGUUAUAUAAUUUUAAUUUUAUUUAGUAUUGUAAAAUUUUUUAAAUGAAUGUGCUUUAUAUAAAAUUAAUGUAAAAUAUUAUAUUAUUAUAUAUUUUUAUAUACUUAUAAAAUUAUGCAUAUUUUUUAAAAAUAAAUAUUUUAAAAAAUAACUGAAAUUUCUUUUUUCGGCGGCAUCCGGCGGCUGGCACUUAGCUAUAUAUAGGGCACACGAAUAUCUAUAACUCUAUAUGAAUCCCCAAUAAAAAUGAUGACAUGGCAAGCUCUCCUAUUUUUAGAUUUUUUAGAUUUUUUAAUGGUGGUUUAUUCUCUGAAUUUAUUGUUAAUUAAAAUGUUACUCCAUGCAUAUAACAUAACAGAAAUAAAACUAAAUGAAUCCCUAAAACUACUACCUCCUCAUCUCUCAAACUGCUCCCUUCUCACCUUCCAACCCCCGAGAUUCCUCAUCUUCCAAAACCCCUCCCUCCUCAUCUCCCAAAUACAGAAUAGUGGUAUGCAUGUAAUAAAAGCCAUGACCUCUUAGUUACCAAACUCCCAAAUAAAUAGUGCUAUGCAUGUAAUAAUUAAAAGCCAAGACCUCUUAGUUACUAAAGCUUCAUCGAUAGCCUAAAAGAGGAUAGAAAGUUUUGCUUUAGAAAGUGAGUCUUUUUACUAUUAUCAUAGCCAAUAGCAUUCCGAAAUUCCUGUUCUUUCCUCUUGGGAAAAGCUCUUCCUUAUUUUAUUUAUUUAUAUAAAAGAAAAGAGACUGUUCUUGGUCUAAGGCCCUUCUUUGUCCUCUUUCGAGAAGAUCAUAGAUAAUAUUGGGGGGUUUUUUUCGAUACGAAAUGACAAAAUGGAAGUCGUCGAAUGGGACUUUCGAAUUGUCUAAUUGAAGCUGCUAAUGCGGAUUCCUCUCCUUCUAUGUGGGAUGAAUAUGUAUUAUUUCUCUCUCUUUUUUUUUAUUGCAUAUUACUGUUCAUGAAUUAGUCAUUUGAGUUAUACAAAAAUUGAUGGAGUAAAAUUAUAAAAAAAAAAAACGGAUUAAAUUAGCAUUUACAUCAACAAACUAACAUAGUAUAUAGAUUGUUGGCUUAUAGAUAUAUGAAAAGUAGGCUUUUACAAUUUAACGGUAGUUAAAAACUAACUAUUAUUAUUUUUAAAUUUAUUUGUAUGACUAUCAUAUAUUCCUUCAUACUUUUUAUUUUAUUUCUUUACAUUUCGUACUAAUUUUUUGAUGGCAUGACAAUUUGAACGUCUAUAGACAAAUGCAAUAAUAAUUGGCUUUUAAGAUAAAUCUAAUUUGAAUUAAAAAAGAUGAUAAGAUAGAUAAAUAUCUUUAUAUGAUUAGUUAAAUAUGAAUUUGAGCCUUUUUAGUUUUUCUUUCAUUAUUUAUUACUUUUCAUAAUAUUUUAAAUAUUUUUUCUAUUUUUUUUAAUAUUUUUAUUUAUUUGUUAAAUUUGUAGACUGUAAAUUUUUACUAAAAUGUUUUUAUCCGUCGCAUCGCGCGGAUUCCUAUGCUAGUUUAUAAUAUAAAAGCAUUAUUAGCCUUGUCGAUGAUACGCUCAUUAAACACGUGUGUUGUUUUCGAUCCUUUACGUAAGCUAUUACGCCAUCACACGCCACGCUUUAUAUACAGCGCCCUACUCUCCUCAUUAACAACUCACACUCAGUGUACGUACUCAACAACAACAACAACAAUCACAAUGGAAACGUUUACUAGUUAUCUCUCGCUCAGUAUUGCUGUUCUGCUCAUUCUCAUCAUCAAAUUUUCCUUCGCUUCGGCGAAAAACAAUAACAAGAAGCUGCCGCCGAGCCCGCCGUCGCUGCCGAUCAUCGGCCACCUCCACCUAGUGAAGCGUCCCCUCCACCACGGGCUCGCGACGAUCUCGGUCCGCUACGGCCCCGUGCUCCUGCUGCGCUUCGGCUCGCGCCGAGUGCUCGUCGUGUCCUCGCGCGCGGCGGCUGAGGAAUGCUUCAGCACCGACAACGACGUCGCCUUCGCCAACCGGCCCCGGGUCCCCUCGCUGAAGCUCUUUACCAACGGAUUCACGCUUCUCCCCUUCGCCAAUUACGGGCCCCUGUGGCGCAACCUCCGCCGCAUCGCCACGGGCGAGGUCCUCUCCGCCCACCGCCUCACCGCCUCCGCUGCUUCCCGCGCCGAGGAGUUGCGGGGAUUGGUGAAGAGGAUGUUCUUGGAUUGGAAAGCCCAAAAUAAGGUACUAGACAUAUUGAAUCUAAGAGAUGUGAAUGGCCCAUCACUGCUCGCCAACGGGAGUGAGAGGCAGUUCAACUGCAUCUAUCUAUGGCCCCAGACACAUUAGCAAUAAUUGCUAGGUGCUACCAGCCAUCCCUAGAGCAAGUGGCAAAAAGUUUGGUGGUUGAUACCUGAGAUCCAAGUUCGAAUCCUAAUUGAUUCAUAUUUUUAGCUAAGUUUAUUUCUAAAUGAAAUAAACGAAGCGGAUAGUGUGCUAUCUAUCUCUCAAAAAAAAAAAUAAUCGCUAGAUGCUGAAAAUAAAUAAUUGACACAAUCCUUAUCCUGAUAGCUUAAAAUUUUCUUUUAAUAAAACUUAUGUCCUAUGUAUAUUUUUUUCCAACUCCUUGGCCAUUUUCCGUCAGCUCUUGUGGUCUUACUUUUUCUUGAGCAUAUUGUAGUUACACUUAUUAGCAAUAAGUGGUCGGUGAAUCUGACAAUUUUUUUUCUUACUAUUAGGUCAUAUUUUUUAUUAUCAAAUUUAAAUCUUAGCCCUCCCGAAUCUUAAUUCCUAGCUUCGUCCCUGUGCAUGCCCCCUCUCUUGAGAAUAAUAAGAGCUAAUUGCAGAAAUAUGAUUUGUUUUUUAUUAUUCAAUAUAUAUAGAGAGAGAGAGUUAAACUGGAAUACUAUCAAUAGCAAACAGACUCCGAGACCAUCUAUUUGUUUUCGAUGAUGGAGCCUCCAAAUUAACGAUCAGUACUAUUGAACAUGAUCUAUAUCAUUUGAAAUAUUUAUAAACUAAAAUUUAAAUUUUUUCGACAUUAUUGGUCUAAUGAUUAAAAUGUUUCAAAUUUUGUCGCUUAACAGUGUAAAAAUAUCCAAAUUAAUUGAAUAUUGGUUUAAAAAUUUUUUAAACUGUGUAGAAUAAGAUCUAUACUCUUGAUAUUAAUUACAAGACUCAUAUCAUCACUUUUUAAAGAAUAUUUAUAUUUAGCCGUUUAUUUUUGUGUCCACUUGAUGGACAAGAGAAAGACAUCGAAAAAUAUAAAUUUUGAUUUUUAGAUACUUCAAAUGGUAUAGAUCAUAUUUAUCAAUACGGAUCAUCAACUUGGAGACUCUAUCACUGAAAACUAAUUGAUAGUAACGGAGCUCGUUUGCUAGUAAUAACAUUCUAGCUCAACUAUAUAUAUAUAUAUAUAUAUAUAAAAGCACGUAUUUCAAAUUUUGGUAUGUGGACAGACCCAUUUUUUGGCAGGAAAAAAAAUGAUUUAUCUUUCCUUACGUAAAACAAAUAACGUAAUGAAACAAAUUUUUAAUUUCUCUUUAUCUCUAAAAUAGAAAAAUAUAUACUUAUUCAAAUUUUUGCCAACCGAAAAUAUCUACUAUGAAUCUAUAUUUUAAUUUAUUUUUUAAAUUUCUUUUUCUCUCUAAAAUAGAAAAAAAAUUCAUGCUUAUCCAAAUUUCUGCCAAAAUAUUUUUUGUAAAUCUAUAUUUCAAUUCAAAAUUUAAAAUUAAUUUAAAAUUUUAAAUGUUGGGACUAUCAACAUAUUACAAUGGAAAUAAUUUAAUAGAUAGAUAGGUUGAUAAAUUUGUAAAUUACAUUUUUAAAUUAAUAUGACAUACAAAUUUAUGAUCAAUUUGUAAAAAAAUUAUCUCAGAUAAGAACAAACGGUUAUGAUCAAUUUGUUAAAAAAAAAAUUGGUAUCCAUCUAUAGUUUCAAUUUUACGAACGGUUAUGAUCAAUUGGUUAAAAAUAUUGAAAAUAAAAAUGAACUGUUAUGAUCAAUCUGUUAAAAAAUAGCACUUCUAUCUAUUUAUUUUAUAUUAAAAUUUAAAUUUGAGUUUAAAUAAUGAAUUUAAUUUAAUUUAAUUUUUAAUAUCAAAUCUAUUAAUUUAUUUUAUAUUAAAAUUUAAAUUUGAUAUUGUAGAUAUUUUCUAAUAAAAUAAUAUAUAAAUUUACAAAAUAUUUUAUUCUAAAUUUUUAAAUAAAUAUGAAUUAGAAAUUUUUAUUAAUUUAAAAUAAAUCAAAAUAAUUAUUACAUUACAUACAUUUGCAUGUACGCUUGCUCACAUCAUCCGUUAGAUUAUACUAUUCUACCAACAACUCACUCACCCUUAAAGUGCUCAUAUCAUCCUAACCGUACAUUACAUUCAUCCAAGGGCGAAAAACUUGGUAGCACCAAGUGCUUGGUGCUAUUAAUAAUAUUCCAGUUUAGUUCUACAUAUAUAUAUAUAUAUAUAUAUAUAUAUAUAUAUAUGCACAUACACACUAACGUCUUUUUUUAUAAAUUAUUAAUUAUCACUUUUUAGAUUAGAGAGAACAGUAACUGAUAAUUUUAGUAACAAAAUGAUUAACGAUUGAAUCAGCUUUAAAUAUUUAAUUACUUUGUUAGUGUGCUUAAAAUUUUCUCCGUUAUUACGAUGGGGGUCGACAUAUCAAUAGCUUCAAAAAAAGUUCUCAUGUGGUAUAGAUUAUUCUUUUAUUACUUUGCUCUCGGAUGGUUGUUGUUUUAGUUUUCUAUAUAUAAGAAAUAAUUCGUAAGUGAAAAGAUCGUAAAAAUUUUGCUGCUUUUUUCGACUAUAACAGGUGCUUAUUUAUAGAAAACGAAUGUAGAAUUUUCAGAAAAAGCAAAAUAUUUCACCUUGAACUACAAUAAGAUAUAGAGUAAGUUAGUUACAUGCUAAAUAAACAAGGCGAUUUUUAAAAAUUCUCCAAUGAAUUAAUAGUCAUAGAUCAUUUACUGCCAAAAAUCACUUCAUCUUCUCCAUCUCACCUUCCAGUUAUUAUUAAUCUUCUUUUAUUGUACAUACAUGCAUGCGUGCAUAUAAUUGCAAUAUUCAUGCUUAUUAUACAUGCAUGCAUGAAUAUAAUUAUACUAGGCUAGUAAUUAUUAUUAACUGUGAAAACAAUUAAUUAUUUUGGAUAUAGAGUGAUGAGUCGUCGUUCACCAAGGUGGAGAUGAAGUCGAGGUUGUUCGAUCUAGCACUGAAUGUGAUGAUGAGGAUGAUAGCAGGGCGAAAGUACACCUUCUCACAAGGCGAGGGAGUCGGAGGGUCGGAGGCCGCGAAGCGAUUCAGGAUGAUGGUGGAAGAGACCUUCUUGUUGAUCGAUUCGACUUCAAAUUUAGGAGACUCUCUACCCAUGCUAAGGUGGUUUGAUAUCGGAGGGGCCGAGAAAAGGAUGAGGAAAUUGCUGAAGGAGAGAGAAGAGCUGAGCCAGAAGAUUGUCGACGAGAAGAGGAGAGAAAGCGAGGAGGAGAUCAAGAAGGAGCAGACUAUGAUCGGAGAUCUGCUUGAGUCGCAGAAGCAAGAUCCUGAUUUCUAUACCGAUGAAACCAUCGAAGCACUUGCCUUCGUGAGUCUCGCUCCUCUUUUUUUUUCUUUUUUUUUUUCGUGUGUAUGUUAAAAUUUUUAAAAUGUAUGAUUCUGCUAAGUUUAAUUAUUCUGAAUAUAUAUAACUUUAUGUGAAACAGCAACUUGUAUUAACUACAUCACUCACAUACCGACGAAUUAAAUUCUCAAUUGAAGUUUUCUAAAGAUAAGCUAAAGUAAUUAAAUAUUAGAAAAAUAUUAGUUAGAAAAAAAUAAAUUUGGACGGUCUUUGGUAAUUAAAUGGACUGUAGGAGUUGAUACGUCGACAUAAACUUUUUGCUUCUCACUUUUGGUACGAACAUAGCCACACCAGCAGGAGUGGGAUGGAUCAACUUCAAUGAUGUGAUAGUCAUGGGCAAUAGUUUUACCAAUCAAAGUUGUUACUUAGGUGACCCACAAAAGUUCUUUUCUAAAUUAUUUCUUCCUGUAAAGAAAAAAUAUGGUGAACUAACUGGUCUUUACAUCAAUUGAUAUCUAGCAAUAAUAUAUAUUUACCAUAUUAUAUGCAUUAAUAUAUUAGUAAUUUUUAAAGAAAUUUUUACUAUUUAUAGCAAUACUCGAAAAAAAAAAAAAAAAAAAUUUAUAGCAAUACUCGAAAAAAAAAAAAAAAAAAACUACUUGUACACCCAUCCGUGAUUUGUGAGUUACACUUCAUUCAUCCAAUGAGUGAGGUGUUUCCACUAGCCACAGUGUUAAUUACUAGUUACAUUAAAUGACUGGUAAAAAUACCUCACCUAUUAGACGAGUGAGAUAUAAAAUAUACACCUCCCGAAUAGAAUGCACAUGUAGCAUUGCUCUAUAAAUUUUUGCUCCUGAUGCACCCAACUUAACAAGGCAUGAAUCAGUAAUAACCCUUAUAACUACUGCUUUUUGAAAGAGCUUGUUAGCAGGGGGAACGGAUACCACGUCGAACACCAUCGAGUGGACCAUGUCGCUCCUCCUCAACAAUCCUGAAGCCCUAAGAAAAGCGGCGACGGAGAUCGACGCUCGUGUGGGCACCGAUCACUUGGUGGAGGAGUCGGACAUCGCGAACCUCCCCUAUCUCCACUGCAUCAUCACCGAGGCUCUCCGCCUCUACCCAGGAGGGGCCCUCCUCAUUCCCCACGAAUCUGCGACGGAGCUAACCAUCGCAAACUACACCGUGCCGCAAGGCACCAUGCUACUGGUCAAUGCCUAUGCCAUCCACAGAGACCCCGCCGUAUGGCGCGAACCUACGAAGUUUAAGCCGGAGAGGUUUGAAGCUGGGAGAGAAGAGAAGGGGUGGAUGAUUCCGUUCGGGAUGGGGCGGCGACGGUGCCCCGGGGAGGGCCUCGCGACGCGGGAGGCGUCGCUGGCGCUUGCGACGAUGAUACAGUGUUUCGAGUGGAAGAGAGUCGGGGAGGAGGAGGUGGACAUGACUGAAGGAAUGGGGCUGACUCUGCCCAAGGCAUUGCCUCUGGAAGCACUGGUUCGGCCGCGCCGGAACAUGAUCGAUUUACUUUCCAAGCUCUAAAUGCAUAUCAUGAGUUGCAUUUCACAAAUGCAGGAAUAAAAGAAACUAUAAAUGUAAGCUAGUACCGCACCAGACCACUGGUUUGUAUGCGUAUGUUAAGGGGUGAACUUCCUAUGGCAUAUCUCUGGUAGUAGUAAGUUCAUUUAUGUAGUUUCCUAUGUAAAACUUUCAAGUUCAUUUUUCCUUUGUUUGACGCCUCUUCGACUUUUUAUUUGCUUUGACUUAAAACAAUUUAGUCACAACCUUGCUUCGAGAGGAAUUAGAUUAAUUUAACAAACAAAAAUCUUUUCAAACAUCAGUACCAUAUAAUCACAUUAAUUUGCCAGAUGACAAUCUGCGGAGAAUCCGUUAAACAACAGCAUAACGUUUCAAUGAGAAAUGUAGGAAGCCUAUCAUUAAAUCUAAAAGCCUACAGCAUCAUAACAGCUCACUAUAUUUUGAAAUCCACAACACAUACAGUGUUGUUAGAGAAACAUGCGGCAAUCUUAUCGCCUUCUUUGUUCCAGCACACUUCGAAGAUGCUGCCGCCGCCUCUGUAGGUCUUCAAUAUGUGCAGGCACUGGUCUAACGAUCUGCUCGCCAAGUACUCACCGUUGGGGCUAAACGCGACAGAAUAUACAGGUUGCCUGUAGUUGUAUUGUACAACAAGGAAAUUACCAUAAGAAUACAUGGGAGCACUACAAUGUAUCUAUGCCUAGGGUCAAUUACAAAUUCAGCCACUGAAGUUUGAUCAUGACUCCAUCGUAGUUCCAUUUCUAACAAUUUGGUCCCUAAAGUUUAUCCCGUGCAACGAUAAAGUUCUUUAAAUUAGAGCAAACGGUAACUAACUAUCGUGCUGGCAUGGCAUCUUUCUUCUGGCAGUAGAAUAAUAGAAGGACUAAAUUAUUUCACCGGACAAUUUGCAAUGACUAAAUCGUCAAAAUCGAUAUUCUUCUUCAAUGAAAUUGGUCUUUCUCAUUGUGAAUCGACUAUAUAUGAGAGUCGGUCGCAACAUACCGGUCACAACAUACCGGCCAAAUCUAAGCUCCAAUGAAUAUUGUAUUAAUUAAUCACUAUUAUUGGAUUCAACAGAAAAAUAAAAAAAGAACCACCCUUUUCUUUGUGGAUCUUAAGUUUGUUGGGAAUCCGGUACUCGCCCCGGUACCGGAUCUCGUAAAUCCGCAACCCGCUCCGAUACCGACUGCUGUGGAUCCGGUAUCGAUUGUUGGGAUUCCGCAACGGAAGCGUCGAAUCGGAUUUUUACCAUAAACCCGUCUCCUCAGCAGAUGCUGAUACAAUCAUAAAAGAGAAAAAUAUGCAGGUAAAAUAAGAUUCAUUAAAUAAGAGAAAAUUACACCUGACUCCUCUUCUGCACAGAAUAGCUACAACCCGAGCCCUCUCUCUGAAUCUCUCCUACCAUUCUCUCGUCUUCUAUACUCCCAGAAGACAUCUCUUUCAUCCUGUGCAUCCGUGCACAAGGUAUACUAAUGACCCACGGCUACGAAAGCCGCACACGUCCUCUUGCACCCAUGCACUAGGUGCAACCAAAAUCAUGACCAUAUUGGCCAUGCCAUAUGGGUGUGGCUAAUCCAUACCACCACCACCACCGAAACAAUAGCACAUAUGCUAUAUUUAUAGCUUACAUCAAAAGCUAUCCAAAUCCUAGUAUAAUUAAGAUUCCUACUCCGAUAAAUAUUUAUAUCUAUAUUUGUUUAUCUCUAAUAGAUUUAAAUAUUUAUCCUAAUCUAAUUAGAUUUAUACUCUAAUUAAUAUUUAAAUAUUAAUUUAUCUCCAACAGAUUUAAAUAUUAAUUCUUAUCUAAAUAGAAUUCAACUACAAAUCUAACCAAAUCCUAACAAAGUUUACUGCCAUGACCUUAAAGUAGGGCAGAGAAAGCACACUAAUGGCGAAAUGAAGUUACAAAUCAUGUACUUGUUCACAAGUUAUCACUAAUGAGACCACACCGGCCCAUAUUCUUAUGGGCCCAUUAAUUUCUUUGGGUUAAAAAAAGGAGUCACUUAGGCCUGAAUAUCUAGAUAUCCCUUCUAGUCCAUUCGCGCACUUAUGACAAAAGACCAGAUAGUUAGUACUAAAGGUUUUAGAUUUGAAAUCUAAUUAUUUAUAUUUUUAGUUAAAUUUAUUUCUAAAAGAAAUGGACGUCACAGAUAGCAUGCUCUUUAAAAAAGUAAAUAGUAUGCUAUAUUUUUGGAUUCAAAUGCAAAAUUUCAAUCAAUGUAUCUGUAAUGUAAUUAUCAGUUGAAUUUUAAUGCAAUUUUGCAUCUAUUAGUAGAGAGUUUCAUCCCGUGUGUUUAUUCAUUCUCUUACCUUAAAAAUCGAAAUUUAGUUUGUCAAAUUUGAAAAAGAUUAAAAAAAAAAAAGUGUCGAGAAAGGAAGAAAAAAAUACAUAGAUAAUUUACGUGAUUUGGCACUAUCUUAAGUCCACAGGCAAAAUAUAUAUAAUCAAAGUAAAAUACAAAAUGUCUCUCUAAAAAAAAAAUCUAGCUCCAAAAUAAACUCUACACUCUCUCUCAUCCUAAAAAGUCUAGAAUUAAUGCACCAAUUAUAUUGCUGAUAUGAUGUUCCCAACUAAUUAGAUUGCUUCUCUUGAAUUCAUUCGAUUAUCCCAUCAUGAUUAUUAGAAAAAUAUUUUUAUUAUACUUUUCUCUAAAAAAAAGAAAUGUAAUUAGUUAGUUAUUAAUGAUGUAACGUAAGUAUUACACAAUAGACUUCCUCCCCUCAUUCGCCACACUAGUAUACUACAGGAUAAAGUGUAUUUUUACGUAAUUAGUAAGAUCUCAUUAAAAUUAAGGGUAAAAUUUAAUAAAAAUGUAAAUAAUUCUAACUUGAUUAAGGCAUUGUUUGGCCACACUACACGGUCUUCUGAAGAAAGCUCUGAUUUGGAGCAUUAUGAAAUUCUUACUUUUUUUUGAGAGAGAUAGGUAGCAUGUUACCCACUUUGUUUAUUUCAUUUAAAAAUUAAAUUUAGCUGAAAAUAUGAAUCAAUUAGGAUUCGAAUUUGGGACCUCGGGUAUAAAACACCAAGUCCUUUGCGGCUUUGCCACUUGCUUUAGGGACGGUCGGUAAAUUCUCACUUUUUUAUAGUUGCACAAGAAAACACCUCAGUACUCGUAGAAAUCGUAAUAAACCAAACAUUGUGCAAUUUGUAGCGCAUUGUAAACACAGAUCUAACCUUGCCAGGACUGAACGAGUUAAGAAAUGUUUAAGAAAGCAGGCGAAUUAAGAAUAAGGAAGAUGGGAUCAAAUUUCGAAUUAUGAACUAUGAAGGCUGUGGCGAGGACUCACGUACGACACCAACUGCAGGGGAUAACAUUGACCGUAUACGUUGCAGCGGACACUCGUAAUAUUCAGAAGCUUUAAUUUCAGAUUCAAAGUUGAAUUUACAGAAUUUUUUGUCCUAUUUAAUUUCCACUGUUAAGAAGCUCAUUUAGAAUUUUCAUUAGACCAUUCAUUCACUUUUCCUACCUAAUAAUUAAAACAUUAACAACUGUCAACAAAGUUAGCUUAGCGUUGCUAUACGGAUCAAUAUCUUUUUAAUUCAGCAAAAAAAAGAAAAACAACAAUUAAUAGAUAAAGAGUAUGUAACAAUUAAAAUCACUCGCAUCUUAAGACACACUCAAAUGUUACAUAUAUAUCCACAAUAAAUAAAAUUUUCUUUCAUAGAACAGUACAAAUUUAUCUUACUCGGGCAUUUAAACAGCUGCGCAUGCAUCAUAUGGCUCACGAAUAUAAAAGCAUUAUUAGCCUCGUCGACGAUAAGCUAAUUAAUUACACACAUUUGUUGCUUUCGAUCCUUUACGUAAGCUCUUACGCCGUCACACGCCACGCUUUAUACAAUGCGCCACGCACUUCUCUCCACUCUACUCAACAACGACAAUAUACGCGGUGGAAACGUUUACUAAUUACCUCUCGCUCCUUAUUGCUGUUCUUCUUUUUUUCUUAAAAAAAGAAAAAAACAUGUUUGUUAUUUUCGAUCCUUACAUAAGCUAUUACGCAGUCGCACGCCACGUUUUAUAUAUAUAUAUGUAGACUUAUGAGAAGCCCUCUCCGGAUUUGGAGGGUUUUGUGGGGCACACCAUUUUUUUAAUUUAUUCUCUCUCCCUCUCUCUCUCUCUCUCCCACGCUCGCUUAGGGGUGGAAACGAGCCGAGCUCGAGCGAGCUUAUGUCAGCUCAAAUUCGGCUUGAAAUUAAUUUCGAGCCUAAAUCUAGGCUCAAGCUCGGCUUGAAAUUAAUUCGAGCCGAGCUCGAGCGAGCCUAAUUUCGAGUCGAGCCGAGCUCGAGCUCUAAACGAGCCUAUUGAAAUUCUUGACAUUAUAUAAUCAAUAGUUUAAUUUUUAUAUAACAUUACCUACAAUUUCAUGCAACAUGUUCAAUAGUUCAAAAUACAAAAUAAUUGCAAGAAAUGUGAGCUAGGGUGACUGCCUGACUGGGUGAGGGUCUGAGGGAGAAUGAGAGAGAGAGAGAGAGAGAGGGGAAAAAAAUUAGGGAUUUGAGAAUUUGAAUGUUAUCAUGUUUUAGGGUUAUGUGCAACAGUGAAAGUCUGAAAGAGAGAGUGUGUUAUGUAAAUUUAGAGUUGGGCUCAAUUGCAUGGUUGUACUUGUUGGGUUUAUUUUAUGGGCAAACAAUAAUAGUCCAAAUUAAAUUAAAGCCUAUAUAUAAUUAAAAUACAUUAUAUAUAUAUAUAUAUAUAUAUCGAGCUUUCGAGCUUUUCGAGCCUAAUUCGAACGAGCCGAGUAAUACUCAAGCUCGGCUUGAAAUGAAUUUCGAGCCUUUUAUUUUGUUCAAGCUCGGCUCAUUCAAUUUCGAGUCGAGCUCGAGCGAGCCGAAUAUCGAGCCGAACACGAGUCGAACGCGAGCCGGCUCGCUCGUUUGCCAGCCCUACGCUCGCUCACACACUCUCUCUCUCUCUCUCUCUCUCUCUCGUACUCUCUCUCUCACUCUCUUUCAUACACUAAUUUAUUUAGUAGGAUCCACAUCAAUUUUUAAAACAUUAAUUACACAUUAGGUCUCAAUCUUUUCAUUUUUUUUUAUUUUGGUCCCUAAUUUCCCAACUUUGCAUAUUUUUUACUUUACUCCCUAAACAAUUUUUUAUAAAUACACUAAUUAGCAACCUUUGGGAGCUCCACAUACAAAUUUUUUAAAAUUUAUUGCACAUUGGUCCCUAAGCUUUCCGCUAAUUUUAUUUUGGCCCCUAAACUUUUUUUUACAAUCAAAUUUUUAAAUAUUUUGAUUUAAUCUUUAUUAUUAUUAUAUAAAGAUAAAUUGUAAACCCUAAAAAAUGCCUCCCUUAUUUUGGCGGGGGCUGGGAAGCCCAUUGCAAUUUUUUAAAAAAUUAAUUGCACAUUAGUCCCAAGCUUUUCACUAUUUUUUUUUUGUCCACAAUCUUUCUUUUGCAGUCAAGUUUUUAAAUCUCUUAAUUUCAACAUAGCAUUAAUUAGACAUUGGUCCCGAAGCUUUUCUCUAUUUUUAUUUUGAUCACUUAUCUUUUUUUUUUACAUCAAAUUUUCGAAUAUCUUGAUUUAAUCUUUAUUAUAAUUAUAUAAAGAGUGGGGCCCACAGUAAUUUUUUUAAAAAUUAAUCACACAUUGGUCACAAGCUUUUUACUGUUUGUUUUUUUAGUUCUUAAUCUUUCUUUUACAAUCAAAAUUUUAAAUCUCUUGAUUUCAUCGUAAUAAAAAUGGCACUGUUAAAAGAGAUUUUAGAUUUUAACGAUAUUAUCAUGUCAUCGCCUAUUUAGAUUUUUUUUGUUUUGCGUGUCAAUUUUGGUCUUUAAACUUUAUUUUUCACUUUAGUCUCCAAAAUAAAAAUUAAAAAAUUUUGAAUUUAAAUCUAAAAUUUAUCUUAAAAUUAAUCCGAAAAUUUAUGAGUAGAAAGGAAUCUAUACUCAAAAAAAAAUGGUAGCUGAAUUAUAUAUUGUAAUAAUGCCUUCCUGCCACAUCGCGCGGGUCCUUAACUAGUAUAUAUAUAGAGAGAGAGAGAGAGAGAGUCCGACUGAAAUACUACUGAUAGCACCAAGUGCUUGGUGCUAUCGAGUUUUCCGCCGUUUGAUUUAAUCCUUUGACUAUUUUUACUCGUUAGAUUUAUUAUCCAACCAAUAACUCACUCAACCUUAGAGGACCCACAUCAUCUUAACCGUAUAUUUUUUUAUUUAAGGACCGAAAAUCUAAUAGCACUAAUAGCUUGAUACUAUUGAUAGUAUUCCAGCAUAUAUAUAUAUAUAUAUAUAUAUAUGUAGAGUCCGGCUACUAUACUAUCAGUAGCACGAGGCCUCCCGUGUUACAAAGUUGUUUUCGAUGAUGCGGCUUCCAAAUUGACGAUCGGCUCUGUUAGACUUGAUCUACACUAUUAAAAUUAUAUGAAAACUAAAUUUCAUAAUUUUUCGAUAUCAUUUACCUAUCAAACAAAUAGUUUAAAAUUGAACGGCUGAAAAUAAAAAUCUCAUAAAAAAUGAUGAUAAAAGAUUUAAAUUCAAAAUCAGAUAUACUGAUCUUACUCUAAAUAAUGAAAAGAAUUUUCUAUAAAAUUUUCAUCGGAUUUGGAUUGUUUUACACCGUUAAACUCACAAACACGCCACAUCGGCCAUUAAAAUGGUCAACUUUGAGAUCUUUUGAUCACUAGUCAAAUAAUGUCGAAAAAUUAUGAAAUUUAGUUUGCAAAUACUUUUUAUAGUGUAGAUCAAGUCUAACGGAGCCGAUCGUCGAUUUGGAAGCCGCAUCAUUGAAAACAACUUGGUAGCAUGGGAGGCCCCGUGCUACCGAUAGUAUAGAUUAUUUUUAGAGACGGAGUUGGUGGAAAAAAAAAAAUUAACGUUAACAUAUUACGGGAAUAAGUUCUUACUAUUCGAAAAUUUUCAUAGUGGGGAACCACGAAGAUUUUCAUAAGAUGGAAUAAAUAUAUAUAUAUAUAUAUAUAUAUUAUUUGGUGGUGGUAGAGUUGGGAUGAAGAAAGGUAAGUUACCGAUUUUUGAGUUUUUAUGGUGGGGAACCACGAAAACUCCCAUAAGAUCGAGUUGAUAUAUAUAUAUAUAUAUAUAUAUAUAUAUCUCUCUCUCUCUCUCUCUCUCUCUCUCUCUCUCUCUCUCUCUCUCAGGCCGAUGAUAUGAAAAUACUCGUAAACGAGAGAAUAUGAGUAUUCAAAAGACGAGAAUCUAAAUAAAGUAACUAGUAAACGUAGGCAAUAUAGUAUGAUAAGUUGGUUGAUGGGUGAGUUGGGAUCCCCUGAUGAUAGUAAGUUUCAACCCUGGUGGCAAUACGAUUGGUGUGUAGGGUAGUUAGUUACUAAUUUUUAAAUACUCAUGUUUCCCAAGAUAUGAGUAUUCUCAUAUCAUCGGGGUCGGAGAAAUAUGAAAUAAAAAGUGAAAUCAGAGGUUAUAUAUAUAUAUAUAUUAAAACUCAAACUUAGAUUUGAAAUAGAAUUUUAAUAGUAGGGAACUACGAAAAUCCAAACGUCAUCAAUCCUUAGAUGAGGAACUAAUGAUUACCAUCGGUAACCUAAUAUGUGAUAACAUGAAUACGGAAGGACGGUGGUAGCGCGCCCAGGAAUAGAUCAUAUAAAGAGCUCUCUCUCUCUCUCUCUCAGGCUGACCAAUUUAUGAUGACUAUCGUGGUGCACGAACCACGAAAACACUCAAAAGAUCGAGCUGAAACAUAAAUAUAGAAAAAUGACUACACCCGAAAUGAGCCCAAUCCAAACAAUAACCAAAUUAUUGAGUGAGUUAGAAUCCCCACGGUGUAGUAGAAUUCCCAUAUAAAAAAAUAAAUUCCCGCCUUUUAAACUAUCGUGAUUAGCGAACUAUGAUAACUAUCAUAAGGUCGGAUAGAUAUAUAUAUAUAUAUAUAUACAUCUCAGGCCGACNAUCAUUCUUGAAUAAGGGCAUUAUAAAAUUGCAAUUAAAAAAAAAGGUGGUUGAGGCAGCAUUUCUUUUAUAUAUAUAUAUAUAUAUAUAUAUAUAUAUAUAUAUAUAUAUAUACACACACACACACACACAUGUAUCCCACACUACACACUCUAUUGCCCCAGUACUGCUGUUCUUACUCCAAGCUUAUCAACAGCAGGGGCAAUGGAAACACUCCCCUACUACUUGACCUCCAUCACAAUUGCCAUCCUACUCACACUCAUCAUCAACCUCUUCUUCUCUGCAAUAAACAAUAGAAGCAAUAUUGAAAGCAAGAAGCUUCCGCCGAGCCCGCCGUCGCUGCCGAUCGUCGGCCACCUGCACCUGCUGAAGCGCCCGCUCCACCGCGGCCUCGCGGCGAUCACCGACCACCACGGCCCCGUCCUCCUCCUCCGCCUCGGCUCCCGCCCGGUGCUCGUGGUCGCGUCGCGCGGCGCGGCGGAGCAGUGCUUCAGCGCCGCGAACGACGUGGCCUUCGCGAACCGGCCACUGCUCCCGUCGAUGAAGUACCUCACCCACGACUACACCACGCUGGCGUUCGCCAACUACGGGCCCCUGUGGCGCAACCUGCGCCGCAUCGCCACCGCCGAGGUGCUCUCGACGCACCGCCUCACCGCGUGCGCCGCGUUCCGCACCGAGGAGGUGCGGGGAAUUGCCCGGAGGAUCUUCUCCGAUUGGAACGCGAACAAGGUACGUACGUACGCACCUGCCUAGCUAGCUACGUGCGUUUUUUUCUUUUAUUACGUACUUUGCUCUUGGAUGCGCGCAUGGUGCACGGUUUGUUGGUUUAAUUAGUUUUCUAUAAGAAUUAAUUAAUUCGUAAGUGUAAGAAUUUUACUGCUUUUUUUGAUAACAGGUCCCAAUUAUUUAUAGAAAACUAAUGUAGACUUUUCAGAAAAACAAAAUAUUACACUUAAUUUGAACUAUAAUAAGAUAGAAAAUAAUAUAUAUGCUAAAUAACAAGGGGAUUUUUUAGAACUUUCCAAUAAAUAGUCACAGAUUUACCGUACGUCAAAAAAUCACUUCAUCUUCUCCGUCUCACCUUCUUGUUAUUGCUAAUCUUCUUUCAUGCAUAUAAUAUAUGCAUAUAUUUGUAAUAUUUAUGCUUAUUGAUCUCUUUUCAAUCCUACUAACUAAUUAUACAUAGGCUAUAUAGUAAUUAUUAACUGUGGAAACAACUAAUUAAUUAUUUUGGAUAUAGAAUGACGAGUCGUCGUCGUUCACCAAGGUGGAGAUGAAGUCGAGGUUGUUCGAUCUAGCACUGAAUGUGAUGAUGAGGAUGAUAGCAGGGCGAAAGUACACCUUCUCACAAGGCGAGGGAGUCGGAGGGUCGGAGGCCGCGAAGCGAUUCAGGGAGAUGGUGGAAGAGACCUUCUUGUUGGCCGAUUCGGCUUCAAACUUAGGAGACUUUCUACCCAUGCUAAGGUGGUUUGAUAUCGGAGGUAGUAUCAAGUGUUUGGUUCUAUCAAGUUUUCCGCCGUUAGAUUUAACCCUUUGAUUAUUUUCACCCGUUAGAUUAUAUUAUUAAACCAAUAACCCACUUAACCCUAUAAAGCCCACAUCAUUAUAUAUAUAUAUAUAUAUAGUUCGGCUAGAAUACUCACAAAAGCACCAAUGAGGUGGUGCUUUUGAGUUUUUAACCAUUGGAUGGAGAAAUGUAAGAUUUUGAGGUGGUAGUUUAUAGUGGAAAGUGUUUGAUCCAAUUAUUAGUAUAAGGAGUAGAUCAGUAUGCAAACCUAAAAGCAUAGGGGUGAUACUUAAGUUCUAUCAAUAUAUAAUAUAAUAUAUAUAUAUAUAUAUAUAUAUAUAGGCUGGGGCUACUAUACUCUUAUGAGUAUAGAACCCUUUGUACUCAUAAAUUUUUAAUCAUUGAUUGAUGGGAUGUGUGGUUAGCAUAACGGUGGUCCCAACUUUGAAUGAUAGUAGUCCCCUAGGGUUGAGUGGGUAGUUGGUUGAAUAGUAUGAUAUAACGGAUGCAAAUGAUCAAUGAAAUAAAUCUAAGAGCAGAAAACUUAUGAGUAUAAGAGAGCAAAUGCUCAUAAAAGUAUAGUAGCCGGACUCUCUCUCUCUCUCUCUCUCUCUCUCUCUCUCUCUCUCUCUCUAUAUAUAUAUAUAUAUAUAUAUAUAUAUAGUUGAGCUAGAAUACCCUCAAAAGCACCAAGGGGUGGUAUUUUUGAGUUUUUAGCCAUUGAAUGGAAAGAAGUAGGGUUGAGAUGGUGGUGGUUUAUUAUAUAUAUAUAUAUAUAUAUAUAAAUAAGGUAGAAUACUUUUAGAAGCACCAAGGGGUGAUACUUUUAAAAGCUUAUCAUUCUUGAAUAAGGGCAUUAUACAAUUGCAAUUAAAAAAAAAAAGGUGGUUGAGGCAGAGAUUUUUAUUAUAAAAGCUUAUCAUUCUUGAAUAAGGGCAUUAUAAAAUUGCAAUUAAAAAAAAAGGUGGUUGAGGCAGCAUUUCUUUUAUAUAUAUAUAUAUAUAUAUAUAUAUAUAUAUAUAUAUAUAUAUACACACACACACACACACAUGUAUCCCACACUACACACUCUAUUGCCCCAGUACUGCUGUUCUUACUCCAAGCUUAUCAACAGCAGGGGCAAUGGAAACACUCCCCUACUACUUGACCUCCAUCACAAUUGCCAUCCUACUCACACUCAUCAUCAACCUCUUCUUCUCUGCAAUAAACAAUAGAAGCAAUAUUGAAAGCAAGAAGCUUCCGCCGAGCCCGCCGUCGCUGCCGAUCGUCGGCCACCUGCACCUGCUGAAGCGCCCGCUCCACCGCGGCCUCGCGGCGAUCACCGACCACCACGGCCCCGUCCUCCUCCUCCGCCUCGGCUCCCGCCCGGUGCUCGUGGUCGCGUCGCGCGGCGCGGCGGAGCAGUGCUUCAGCGCCGCGAACGACGUGGCCUUCGCGAACCGGCCGCGGCUCCCGUCGAUGAAGUACCUCACCCACGACUACACCACGCUGGCGUUCGCCAACUACGGGCCCCUGUGGCGCAACCUGCGCCGCAUCGCCACCGCCGAGGUGCUCUCGACGCACCGCCUCACCGCGUGCGCCGCGUUCCGCACCGAGGAGGUGCGGGGAAUUGCCCGGAGGAUCUUCUCCGAUUGGAACGCGAACAAGGUACGUACGUACGCACCUGCCUAGCUAGCUACGUGCGUUUUUUUCUUUUAUUACGUACUUUGCUCUUGGAUGCGCGCAUGGUGCACGGUUUGUUGGUUUAAUUAGUUUUCUAUAAGAAUUAAUUAAUUCGUAAGUGUAAGAAUUUUACUGCUUUUUUUGAUAACAGGUCCCAAUUAUUUAUAGAAAACUAAUGUAGACUUUUCAGAAAAACAAAAUAUUACACUUAAUUUGAACUAUAAUAAGAUAGAAAAUAAUAUAUAUGCUAAAUAACAAGGGGAUUUUUUAGAACUUUCCAAUAAAUAGUCACAGAUUUACCGUACGUCAAAAAAUCACUUCAUCUUCUCCGUCUCACCUUCUUGUUAUUGCUAAUCUUCUUUCAUGCAUAUAAUAUAUGCAUAUAUUUGUAAUAUUUAUGCUUAUUGAUCUCUUUUCAAUCCUACUAACUAAUUAUACAUAGGCUAUAUAGUAAUUAUUAACUGUGGAAACAACUAAUUAAUUAUUUUGGAUAUAGAAUGACGAGUCGUCGUCGUUCACCAAGGUGGAGAUGAAGUCGAGGUUGUUCGAUCUAGCACUGAAUGUGAUGAUGAGGAUGAUAGCAGGGCGAAAGUACACCUUCUCACAAGGCGAGGGAGUCGGAGGGUCGGAGGCCGCGAAGCGAUUCAGGGAGAUGGUGGAAGAGACCUUCUUGUUGGCCGAUUCGGCUUCAAACUUAGGAGACUUUCUACCCAUGCUAAGGUGGUUUGAUAUCGGAGGGGCCGAGAAAAGGAUGAGGAAAUUGCUGAAGGAGAGAGAAGAGCUGAGCCAGAAGAUUGUCGACGAGAAGAGGAGAGAAAGCGAGGAGGAGAUCAAGAAGGAGCAGACUAUGAUCGGAGAUCUGCUUGAGUCGCAGAAGCAAGAUCCUGAUUUCUAUACCGAUGAAACCAUCAAAGCACUUGCCUUUGUGAGUCUGUCUCUCUUUUCUUUUUUCGUAUGUAUAUUUUUAAAAAAUUAUGAUUAUGUUAAAUUUAACUAUUCUGAAUACUUUAUGUGAAACUGCAAAUUUUACUAACUACAUCACUCAAGUCAGGUACUGACCAAUUAAAUUCUCAAUUAAAGUUUUCUAAAAAUAAGCUAAAGUAACUAAAUAUUAGAAAAAUAUUAGUUAGAAAAAAAUAAAUUUGGACGAUCUUCGGUAAUUAAAUGGGCUGUAGUAGUUGACAGGUCAACAUAAAUUUUAGCUCUGUCACUUUUGGUCCGGCAUAGCCACGUAUGGGAGUGGGAUGGAUAAAGGGCCGAUUAGUUAGAUAUAAUUAUAAAUAUUGUAUAAUUAGAUAUGCAUGGAGUUAAAAAUACAAUAGUUAUAACUAUAUGAAUCCUGUUUGACUGAAUAUAGUAGAAAGCGCUACAAAUAUAAAUAAUUUAUUUGGUUGCAUAUAGUUGAAAAUUAAUUUUUAAAAUUUUAUCAUUUUAUAUAUAUGACGGUGAGAAUACCUUCAAAGUAAAAAAAAAAAAAAAAAUUUAUUUAAAAAAUAUUGAGGGGGUAAGCAUUCUUUUUAUAUAAGGUUACUUUCUCCAACUGCUGCAGUUGGAACUGCGGUCAAUUUGAGCAUAGUUCGAACUGCUGCAUUUGGGCCUCCUCCUGCAUUCCUACUAUAGCAGUUGGAGUUAAAUACAUCAAACCAAAUACGAAAUUUAUAUUUACAUGUAGUUACAACUAUAGUGCAGUUACAACUACAUACAACCAAACAGUCCCUUAAUGAUGUUAUAGUCAUGUGCAUUCAUUUUACCAAUCAAUGUUGUUACUUGGAUGCCCCACAAAAGUUCUUUUCUAAAUUAUUUAUCUAACAAUAAUAUACAUUUAUUUAUCAUAUUAUAUGCAUUAAUAUAUUAGUAAUUUAUAAAAAAAAUGUUUUUACUAUUUACAGCAAUACUCGAAAAAAAAGAAAACUAAAAGAGUAGUAAUUAUAUACCUCCUAAAUAUAGCUCUUACAUAUUAUUAAAUAUGUAUAAUAAUAUUUGUAUACAAUUUAGGACACUAGAGUAUUAACGAUAUAUCAGUCGACUAAGAAUUUAAUGACUCAUAUCAAAAUUUUAAUUUGAAACAGAUAAAAUCUUAUCUUUUUUCAGCAAACUAAUAAGAUAUCUAAAAUAUUUUCGAUGGACGCAGCAUAUACACAUAGCCUAACAUGUGGGCGUUACCUAAACCCGACAAAAGUGGAUUGGUCGCGGCGGGAUCGUCACGUGGUUUCAUACCGUUGCUUUCGUUGCAUCUGAUAAUAAUUAAUAAUAAUAACCACGUUCCUGAUUCCUUAAUUUCUAGUCAAACUCCAUUUGAACACCUCGGAACACUUCUUGUUAGUCCAUACAAAAAUUAUCCUUAUAGUAUAGUUUUUGCUCCUAUUACACCCAACUUAACAAGGCAUGCAUGAAUCAGUAAUUAAUUAUAACCCUUAUAACUGUUGCUUUUUGAAAGAGCUUGUUAUCAGCGGGAACGGAUACGACGUCGAACACCAUCGAGUGGGCCAUGUCGCUCCUCCUCAACAAUCCUGAAGUCCUGAGAAAAGCGGCGACGGAGAUCGACGUUCGUGUGGGCACCGAUCGCUUAGUGGAGGAGUCGGACAUCGCGAACCUCCCCUAUCUCCGCUGCGUCUUCACCGAGACUCUCCGCCUCUACCCCGGAGGGCCCCUCCUCGUCCCCCACGAAUCUGCGACGGAGCUAACCAUCGCAAACUACACCGUGCCGCAAGGCACCAUGCUACUGGUCAAUGCCUACGCCAUCCACAGAGACCCCGCUGUAUGGCGCGAGCCUACGAAGUUUAAGCCGGAGAGGUUUGAAGCUGGGAGAGAAGAGAAGGGGUGGAUGAUUCCGUUCGGGAUGGGGCGGCGACGGUGCCCCGGGGAGGGCCUCGCCACGCGGGAGGCGUCGCUGUUGCUCGCGACGAUGAUACAGUGUUUCGAGUGGAAGAGAGUUGGGGAGGAGGAGGUGGACAUGACUGAAGGAAUGGGGCUGACUCUGCCCAAGGCAUUGCCUCUGGAAGCACUGGUUCGGCCGCGCCCGAACAUGAUCGAUUUACUUUCCAAGCUCUAAAUGCAUAUCAUGAGUUGCAUUUCACAAACGCAGGAAUAAAAGAAACUAUAUAUGAAAGCUAGUACAGCAGCACCAGACCACUGGCUUGUAUGCGUACGUUAAGGGGUGAUGAACUACUAUAGUACAUCUCUGGUAAUAGUAUGAUCGUUUAUGUAGUUUCCUAUGUAAACCUUUCAAAGUAUCUGCCUUUAUUCAAGUUCGUUUUUCCUUUGUUUGACGCCUCUUCGACUUUUUAUUUGCUUUGUCUUAAACAACUUCGUCACAACCUUGCUUCAAGAGGGAUUAGAUUAAUAUGACAAACAAAAAUCUUUUCAAACAUCAGUACCAUAUAAUCACAUUAAUUUGCCAGACGACAAUCUGCGGAGAAUCCGUUAAACAACAGCAUAACUUUUCAAUGAGAAAUGUAGGAAGCCUAUCAUUAAAUCUGAAAGCCUACAGCAUCAUAACAUCUCACUAUAUUUUGAAAUCCAUAACACAUACAGUGUUGUUAGAGAAACAUGCAGCAAUCUUAUCGCCUUCUUUGUUCCAGCACACUUCGAAGAUGCCGCCGCCGCCUCUGUAGGUCUUCAAUAUCCUCCCUUCUUUUACUGACCAUAUGUGCAGGCACUGAUCUAACGAUCCGCUUGCCAAGUACUCACCGUUGGGGCUAAACGCGACAGAAUAUACAGGUUGCCUGUAGUUGUAUUGUGCAACAGAGAAGUUACCGUAAGAAAUACAUGGGAGCACUACUAUGUACCUAUGCCUAGGGUCAAUUACAAAUUCAGCCACUGAUGUUUGAUCAUGACUCCAUGGUAGUUCCAUUUCUAACAAUUUGGUCCCUAAAGUUUAUCCCGUGCAAUGAUAAAGUUCUUUAAAUUAGUCUACCAUUGAGCAAACCGUAACUAUCGUGCUGGCAUGGCAUCUUUCUUCUGGCAGUAGAAUAAUAAAAGGACUAGAGUGUUUCACAGGACAAUUUGCAAUGACUAAAUCAUCAAAAUCGAUAUUCUAAGGACCGGAGUCACAAUUACCUGUGGCCGUUCAAGCUGUACAAAAGGCGCCCUUGAUCUACAUCCCAUAGCUUGAUAGUUGAGUCAAAGGAUGCACUAAACAUAAGUCAACAUCAUUAAUCAAUUAAAGCCGUGACAACAGAAUGCUCAGAAACUACUAACAUGAGAAAUACAUGUGUACAGAAAGUAGGAAAAUUCUUGCCUUGCCAACACUAGUUGGUGAUUAGGGUUGUUUGUUCCCUGGCCUGUGGGGCUCCAUUUGAUUGUAUAUAUUUCCUGGAAAAGAAAGUUGUUGAUCUAUUAGCAAGAUGGAUGCCUAUAAAGAGUAGGUGCUACUCAGAAAAGGAUUAGAACCUUGCUGUGAUCCUUGAAAUCAUACAAAAACUUGUCCUGCUUCGGACUCCAUAUCUGCCAAAAUUUAAUUAAGUUAUCAGAUCUGAUAUUGAAGUACAUAAUUAUACGAAAGAAAGUCAAGCCUAGAAUGAAAAGAGCCAGCUAUUAAGCAAUCUAAGGUGUACACUUCAUAUUACUAGCAACAAAGAAACAAUUAUCCCACAGACUGCUAUAAUGGGGUCAAUUUUUUAGAAGAUAUCUCAAAACCAGGAUCGAAUAAGCUAAAUAGGUCACACUAUAGUUAAUAGAUAGGUGCACUAACCCACCGAACAAACGAAGGGAUUUAUCAAACAAUCUCAAGAUGUAUGCUUACAAGCAAUAAAUGAUGAAAAGAAUCCAACAGAUUGCUAACAAUUUUUAGAAGAUAUCCCACAGCCGGGGUUCGAAAGGUCAAUAAGUUGACCUAAACUCCACUGCAUGCACCAAUCCGGAAAAAGUUCAGCUCAAUUAUUAAGGUGAAAAAAAAUAGUAAUGAAAAUUGCUAAUGCCAAUUAAGUAGAACUAUUUCUCAUAAACUUCUCCGUGCAGACAUGAUUAUGUACCUUUGCAGUCCCAUCAUCAGCGCAUGAAGCCAGCAAAGAACCAGUUGGAUCCCAUUUGAUAGCAUUAACUUCACCCUGAAAAAAAAUAUGAUGUGGAAAAAAGUUAACCUCAUAUGCAUAUUCGAUGAUGCUACACCAGUAAUUAACCAGCAGCUAUUUUUCAUCCUUCAUCUAUCAUGCACUAACACGCCAUGCUUUUUUAUAUCAUUUUAACUUGGAAUGACAUCAUAUCUAUUUGGUUCUCAGUGUGUGUAUGUAUGAGAGAGAGAGGGGUAGGAAUUUCAUCUUGUAAAAAAAAAGAAAAAGAAAAAAGAAAUCUAAUGACCAACCUAUUAACUACAGAUUGUGGAACUUCAUCCACAAGUAUACGAAGAAUCAUGUGUGGAAGUUUCAAUAAAUGCUUUGCAUGUCUUACUUCCAACAUGCGCUUCAACAUGAAAAGGAAAAAAUAGAGCAUCCCUUAGUUCAUUACAAAAUUUAUAUAGGUAAGACUACAAGGUUUGGUUCUUGUGUUGUAGAUUGAAAUGUAUUAAUGCGAGUGUCACAUUGAGACUAAACUUUUAAGGGAGCAACAUAGUUAUAGAGAUUCGUACAUCGUUUACCCAUUAGGCGGAGCAAUUCGAGACCAUUGGACGCCAAUAAUUGUUCAAAGAAUCAAAAUAUGACUAUCUCAGUUAAAUAGGAAAAGAAAACCUGAUGCCCAGAGAAUGCCUUGACUGGGCGAGACUCUCCAAUCUUGCAAACAUAGAUCAUGUUAUCAGUUGAGCAUGUUGCAAAAGAAUUAUUGUUUCUCCAAUCAACGUCAAGUGUUGGAGCUGGAAAAGUAAAAGGAUAAACGAAAUACUAGGUAAGACUUUGAAGCCUACAAGCAUAGUUAAGUAUAAUCUUAAUUUAUAGGUAAACGUAAUUCUAAGUAAAUCAACAAUAUCAGCACCUGAAUGAAACUCAAAUUGUUGUUUACACUCCCAUGUCUUCGUGUCCCACACAAUAGCAGUUUUGUCAACACUUCCACUAAGGAGGAAAUCACCCUUUUUGUUCCAUUUCAAAGAAAAUAUUGGUCCCUUAUGCUUGAUCAAAGUAUUCUUCAACUCCCCUGCUCAUGUUAUUGAACCAACACAAAGGAAAUACCAGUAGUAAUUACAAUGAAAGAUAUGCAAAAACCCAAAAUGAAAAUAAGUUACAUAAGUUAAUUGUGAAUUGAAAAAUAAUAGGCUGCAAGGAUUGGAGACAGAGUGAAUGGGGGAAAGUACAAAUCGUUGGAGCUAAAGAAGCUUUUCUGUCCAUUAGGCUAUUAUUGUCUCUUUAUCACUAAGUAACUGAGCGAUUGUCCUCCAGCUCCUGCUGAGUAUAGGGCUUCGGCUCUAUUAAUAACUCAUUAAUGUCAUAGAAUAUAUGCUUAUAAUCUCGUUCACAUUCAUUAAAACAGCUCAGAACCAUAAAAUAAGGACUAACCUAUUUUGUUUAGAAGAGAUGUUCGGGUCAUAUGACAAUAUAAAGUGACGAACCAUAAAGCAAUUUCUUCAACGGAAAAAUCAAAGCCUUACCAUCCUUACUCCAUAUUCUUGCAUGUCCAUCAUAUGAACCUGUAGCUAGUAAAGUACCUUCUCCCUGUAAUAGUUCCACAUAGGAAAAGAAUAUGAGAAAAAGGUUCCAAAUAGUACAAUGAGAGGAGAAAGAGAAACCAAUUGCAGAAUACAAAUUUGUGAAUAAGAAAGAUAAUAUAGAAGCAGAUUUGUUAUUUCAAGAGAAAAGGAAAUCACUGAGAGAGAGAGAGAGAGAGAGAGAGAGAGAGAGAGAGAGAGAGAGACUACAUUCCAAUCAAGUGUGGUGACAUCCUUGCUCUUCUCAUUAGUUCGCCCUUUAAAAUGUUUCAGAACAUGAGCAGUUGGGGGAAAUGCUUGCACACUAGAACCACAAGGACCAUCUGGAAUCGUCCAAAUUCUUGCCGUUGAAUCCCCAGACCUGCCCAAUCACAAAAUGACUCAAAUUGUUUCUUGUAACUGGAGCGAAUAUCUAAAACAUAUGCACAUGGAAGCAAAUUAGCAUUUCAAGUUGCAAAAUUUGUGCUUGAAGAUUCUGAGAGGACAGCUACAACAAGCUUAAUUGAAGCUCUUGGAGCUUGAUGUCUGAACUUGAAUAUGUCAACCAGUGGGGACAUUACUCUAUGUUCAUAAUAGUUUGCAAAUUAGAAUGAAAAGAGUAGGUAAAAAGAGGUCUAUUAGUGGAGCUUGCAAUAGAAGAAACUAAGUGCAACAUAUGAAACUUAGCAUGCGAUGCAAAAUGAACAAAGUAAAAAUGGAUAACAAGUUAACAACAUAAAUGACAAACCUAGUAUUAUAAGUAUGCUUUAGUCUAAUACCCACCCAGAUGCUAGAAGAGAACCUGCUGGGCUCCAAGCACACGCAAAUACCUAAAUGCAUAAAAAAUGGAAAUAUAUGAAAGCAGGAACAGUUAGAAUCUCAUAAUCAACAGGCAGUAUAUGACAUAAAGAAAUGUAAAAAAGUAUCAGACCUCAGAACAGUGGCCUUCCAAUAUAGUUACGUCAGAACUAGAUAUCUCACUAGUGACUGGGUGAGAGCUUGGGGCGGCAUCAGUUGGUUCAGGCCCUAUUAGACAAUCAAGGUGAAUGAGUGAAAUAUGUCCACCAGAUGACAGCGAUGAAACUAAAGAAAUUAGUACAUAACUAAUUAGCAAAGGUGAGACCGGGGCUAUGUGGCGAGGAUGUGCGCUUAGUUAGGUAAAGAUCACCUGGAGUAAGUCGAUUAGACUACAUCCAAGAAAACAGUAUAAAUUCAUUUACAUGCAACAUGUUGCACCACAUGCUUAGACAGUUAGAUGUUAACCCCUCUAGGUGUGCAGCAUGUGUUAACACAUGACCCUGGCUUAGCUUUCAGACCGAGGGCAUGACAAAGGAGCAUUUCGAGAUAUCGAACUAACGAGAUAUCACUCUCAACAAGGUCCAAUAUACGGAGAGCCUAACCAACAGAACUUCUCAAAUUAGCAUAUAACAUGGUACUUUAAUGACGUCAUCCAUAUGAAGGGAACUAAUUAACUACAUGUAAGUCCAACAAAAUAGAAAAACACAAUCUAUCAGGUAUAAUGAAAGCAUUGCAAAUAGUACAGGUACAGCAGCAGUAUACAGCAUGCGUAACAUUCACGCAUGUUCGACAUGUUUGAUCUCUAGAGAUUCAGCAAAAUAUACUGGAUCUUCCUUAAUGCUCCAAUGUCUGAAGGAAUUAAACAAUUAUAAAUCAACUAAAUAUAAUGAGUAUUCAGUACAUCACAAACUUUGAUCAAUUUGAAAGAAAAUGCAGAUAUAAAUAUGAGUAUAUUACAUAAAUGCUAUUAGAGGAUGGAACAGUAACGAGUAACAUUGUAAAAGAUUUGCUUGUGUUUUGAACUUUGACGAUUCCAGGCUUCCAUCAUAAGAAUGCUUGUAUUCUUACAGAAAAACAGAAAAAGGAAUAUGUUGUUUAUCUAAUAUAGGUAGCCUACAGGCAACAAAAAAGAGGAAAUAAGUUUUAAGUUUCUUGCAGGUCUCUUUACCUCCAGCUCCAUUUUCAUCAAGUCUGGCCUUAUCUUUGCGCUCACCAUGCUGCUUAUCCUUUUCUCUGUCCUUUUCUUGCUCUUUAUCCUUUUCCAUCUUUUCUUUAUCCCUCUCUUGAUCUCUAUCAUGUCUUUCCUUCUCCUUUUCACCUCCAAGAGUCCGUUCUCUAUCUUUUUCCUUGUCCUUAUCUUGCUCAUGCUGAUAUUUCUUCCUUUUCCUCUCCCUUAUAAUUUCUUGUAGCUCGUUCACAUCUUUUGUAAUAAGAUCCAGAGGUUGUAAGAGAGAAAAUUCCUCAUCGACAUCUAUAUCGCUCUGCCAAAACAAGAAGCAUAACGAAGGGGGAAAAAUGUUAUCUAACAAUAGACCAAGAAAACGAAUAAAUUAGAUGACAAGACUAUGACACAAAAAACUUACAUUGCUAACGUUAGCCUCUAACUCUAUAUAUUGAAGACCUUUUUGUACAAUGGUAAUAAGAGCACCAGGUGGAAUUAUAUUUCCAUCAAUAUUAGAUCUGUGAAUCCCUGCUUCAUAUCCUAAACAAAAUGCUGAGUGAGCAAAUCCUGCAAAUUUCACAUAACAAGCGUUAGCAUCACAGAUCCAACUAACUUUUCACUGUAUAAUUUGCUCUCAUUUUUUCUUGCUAACAAGACGAAAGGCCAAAGUAAAAGUAAUAGAACUACGUCGAGCAUUAAAUAGUUUAAAACAAGAGAGAACCAUCUGGGAAACUAAUUGAAAACAAUGACUAUUGACUAGCAACUUUAUGUUAUAGAAAGAGAGAAAAAAAAAAAGGUAUAAGGACCCCCUCAACUAUAGCUUAUUUUUAGAUAGACCCCUCACCUCUUUCUCUUAUGAUGCCUCCUAUGGCGUUUCUCUUAUGUUUGGCCAGUGCAAACAAAUUUUUCAGUUGCUGGAAUGGAACUAACAUUAUGGCAUUUUUGUUAUCUACUAAUAGUUGAUAGCUAAUGGAGCUAAUUGAAUUUGUAAAAGUAACUCAAAUCAAAGCAAGUCAAAGUUGAGAAGUCUCCAAGUUGCCCCAAAAAAUUCAAAUUUUCAAGCAAAGCAUCAAAUCUUGUUAUUUCAAAUAAAAAUACUCGAGCUACAGUGAUCAGAAACAUAAAAAACAACACAACAAACUCUUCUAAGCACAGUAAACAAAGGUUAAGAGCAGCUACAAAAGCAGUUCACUAACAAUCGAUCCAACUUCAAAAGUCGCUCUACAGCGUUAAACGAUCUAAAAUGUUUGCAGCUACCACGAAUUCAUGUGCCUAAAUUACAAAAAAUUAGGUCAAAAAAACCCUGGCAGAACCCAACGCGACGGAACAAAAAAUUAUACAGGUAACAAUUCUGAAGAACAACGCGAAUAAUCAGAAAAAAAAAAUCAAAUUUAACGACGGAACUUGGAGAUCGAGAUCGAGAUCGAGAGAGAGAGAGAAGAACCUGAUUCGUGGAGGUAUCGAAAGACGAGGUAAUUGAGCUCUACAGAGGUGAUUGUGGACUUCGACAUCGAAACCCUAGUGAUAGCACGAACAUAUAGAGAGAGAGAGAGAGAGAGAGAGAGAGAGAGAGGUUCCUCCCGGGGAAGAGGAUGAGAGAGAGAGGAGGCGCUUCUCUCUCUCCGGGAAUUGCUUCUUCGGGAGCAAACGGUUUGGGAGAACGAAGAGGAAAGCCCAGAAAAAUAAUAAAAUUAAAAACCUAUUACUUAUGAAAUGUAAAAUGGGCCGGGUCGAACCAUUAAUGGCCAUAUAAUUUUGAACCUAAAUGGGCCAAAGAGGCUCGGCCUAGUACCAAAUACAAAACGGCCUACUUUUUUUAAAAAUAUAUAUAUAUAUAUAUAUAUAUAUUGUUAUUACUUCUGUAUAAUGUUUAUUUAUUAAUGAAAAAAUAAAUUCUAGUUAAUGCUUCGAAACGUGUCAAACAUUUUUAAAAAAUUGAUUAUAUCUGAGAGAAAAAAAAUUAAAAUAUUUGUACCGCGUGGUUAGAUGCCGCUCAUUUUAUCAGAUGCUUUUAAUCUUUUUGUUAAAAUCAUAAAAUAUUUGUUAUAUAAAAACAAAUAAUUUAAAACUAUGGGUUUACUUUCUUAAUAGCCUAUAGAUGAGGAGCCUGUGUGCAUUUUCUCCUUCCUAUUAAAAAUAAUAAUAAUAAUAAAUAAUAAAUAAAAAAGAAAAAGUUCGAUCUCGUGCAACGUGUUCUGAGCAACAACAGCGUCGCCCUCUUCGCUCUUCGCGAAAUUUAUGAUUAAGCGCCAUAGGCGACCUCUCUCUCCGGGACCCUCUCUCUCUCUCUCUCUCUUUCUCUCUCUCUUCUCACUCUACAAUGAAGAGAGGUUCUCGAACGAUCCAAUAGAGAAAGGUAUAUACGUUUCCCCAAUUUUUUUAUUAGUUGUUCUCUCUCUCCAAUGCUCAAAUUCAUAGAUUUUGAUUAGGGUUUGCAUUGAAUCGAAGCAUUCGAAGCCUCCUUGUUGCGAUUUCGUUUCUUAGGUUAAAAGUAUUUUGAAUUGGGUGUAUAAUUGCGGAAUUAUUCUUUAUUUUAGUGCUUCUCGUGUACCUUUGCCUUUUCAUGAUCACAAUCUUUACAAUUGAUUUAUGAAGUACAGUGUUGUUGUGAUAGGGAGAUAGGGUUUUUUGCUUUUUUUCACGAUUUUCUCUGUAAAUUCAUCUUUAGAGUUAUUUGUUUUGUUUAUUGAACUUAGUAGUGGUUUUGCAUCAAGUACAUCGUCGUAGAUUCCGCCGAAGUACCUUCUCAUCAUAGAAAGUUUUUAUUUCGGAAUUGCUCUUUCCAAUUUUCCUGUAAUAUUGGGCAAAUUUUAGUAUUUUAAGAUAUUGAGGAAUCGAUUUGUUGUACAUAUAUGCACUCAAAAUGCACUUUCUGAUUCUAUUCUCGCUGUUGAGUAUUUAUUAGAUUUAAGGCAAAAGUUUUACUUUGUACGCGAGCUUGGCGAACGCGGUAAUCUAUGCUCGUGAAUUAGUUGUGUCUUACUGGAAAAGGCUGACUUACCAUAACCAAGGAUGCUGGCAUUAUAGGCAUAAGAUAUCUUUAUUGAAAUUAUUUUAAAUUUGUGUUCAUUAAUAGUUUUGUCAAACACAAUUCCUUGCUAUGUCGCGAGGAAACUAAAUGUUUAAGUUUUUGGUCUACUUGAAGUGAUAGCUUGGAACACUACACUUGAGUAUUGGUUGGUGCUAGUAAGAGUUUUCGGUAUAAAAGGCCGUAUACUUUUGCUUUCAGUUGAUUUUAGUUACUUAUUUAAGCUGCUACUGAGCUGGUUUAGGAAUGUAUUGGCGGUCCACUUUUGGUCUCUGACAUGGCGCGAUCGGGUCGAUAUAUGUUUAAACCUUUUUUUGGCAUUUUCUACAGGGUUUUUUCUUUUGCUUACAUAAACUUAUAAUUUUUCCUUUCUUCUUUCCAGGAUGUCGGAGCUUUCCGCAGCAGUGAAAGGAGAAUCCUGGCAUUCCGACCAUCAAAGAAUUGCAUUAUCUCCAUCCAACUUAUCUUCUGGCAAUCCUGUAAAUAUGGAAGUUGGAGAUGACGAUGAAGAGGAGGAUUUGGAUUUCAAUCCUUUUUUGAGGGAAGAAACUCCUUCAGAUGCCUCAUCAAGUCUGACUUCAGAAAAUGAAGGUGCAUCUGCUAGUGUUGAUAAAAUUAUGAGCUCUUCAGAUCAACAAGAUGUUAAUACAGCGUCUAGGCCAAUUGAUGAGACUCAACAUUGUAGUUUAAUUAUUGGAAAAGAGGAUGAGAAUACCCUGAUGCAUAAUAGGCUUGCAACAGACGAUGACUGUGGGAAAGAACCUGUUCAAGAAAACCAAGGGACAAAUUGUACACAGCAGGAGGAAAACUUAACUGUUUGUGGGAAAUCCCAGAAUCCAACGAUCAGCAUAGAUGAUGAGGAUGCCAUCUUUAAGCGCACACGGGCUCGCGUUUCUCUGGCAAAUUAUACACUCGAAGAAUUAGAGACCUUUCUCCAGGAAUCUGAUGAUGAUGGGGACCUACAAAAUAUUGAUGAAGAAGAGGAAUAUCGUAAGUUUCUUGCAGCUGUUCUACUGGAUGGAGGAGAUGACAAACACAAUGGACAGGGGGAUGAUAAUCUGGAUGAAGAUGAGAAUGAUGCUGACUUUGAAAUUGAAAUUGAGGAGGCAUUAGAAAGCGAUGCUGAUGAAAAUAUCGAAAAUGAGAAAUUAUUAGAUGACAAGCAAGAGGAAGAUUCCCGUAGGCCCGUGACUCGGCAGAAGAAACGGCUUAAGGAGUCAGCUGAAAGUAAGAAAUGCUUUCUGGGGCAACCAAAAUUGCCCUUGCGUCCUAUUCUGCCGUAUGUUGCUCAUGCCCAAGUAUCCCCUCUCCCUGCCUAUGGAUGGCAGUUUCCUUCUAAAAAUGGAGCUGAUUUGGCGAAUGGAUUCACAGCUCAGCAAAUAGGCCAGCUCUAUUGCUUAAUACAUGAGCAUGUUCAACUUUUAGUUCAAGUCUUCUCUGUUUGUGUUCUUGAUCCAUCACGACAGCCGGUUGCUGUUGAAGUUCAAAAGAUGAUCACAGAGAUGGUUUGUAGGCGCGAGGAAGCCUUGGUUUCGAACAAAGUUCCUUAUCCGAGGACUUGCUUUGAGACUCCAUAUCUUCGUUCAUCACUUGAUAAUGCUUCUAAUCAGAGUUCAGAAUUCUCCCACUGGAUGCCAUUAAUUGAUUGCCCUUUAUUUUCCAUUCUUGAUGUGGCACCACUAAGGCUGGCAAAUAGUUACACAACUGAUGUUACAGCUAGUAGGUGACUAUAUAUACGUUUAUAUUAAUUGCUUGCCAAUUUUGUGCAGGCUUCCAAAUUCUGAAGAAACAGACUUUACUUGAACUAUAGCGCAUUUUGAAAUGGGUACCUGCGGUUUUCAUUUUAGAAUGUUUCAUCGAAAUAUUUUAGAACUGAAUGGUUUUUGUUAGAAAUAUACACUCUUUUUCACUUCAGAAAUGCUGUUAAUUGCUGAUGGGAGGUUUAAAUCAAAAACAUUCUACAGCUUGGUAGUGAAUCACAAUUUUAAAGUUUAGAUACUCAUUUUAAAAUGUGCAAUAGUUCAUGUAAGUUUGUACACUUCUCCAAUUUUUUAUGACCGUAUUCCUUUUACCAAAUGAUUUUACAGCUGUUGUAAGGUAUAGGCAGAGUCAUUUGGACAAUGCAGCUGACAAAAGCCACUUGAAAAGAGAACCUCUUUUUCCUUUGCCUAUGAUCGACACCGGCAGGGAGAGUAAUAAUAAGCUUCUUGGAGGAUUUAAUACAAUGUCUACAGUUUCAUCACUUUCACCUGGUCAGCUGCAACCUAAAAAGUCAUUAGCUGCUACCCUUGUAGAAAGUACCAAGAAGCAAUCAGUUGCUAUCGUCCCUGUGGAUAUAGCCAGAUUAGCACAGAGGUUUUUUCCUCUGUUUAAUAUUGCGCUGUUUCCUCACAAACCUCCGUUGCCAGCAGUUGCAAACCGUGUGCUUUUCACUGAUGCGGAGGAUGGGUGCGUUCUUUCUCCUUUUCUACCGUUGACGUUCCAUGUUUAAUAAUUCGGUUACUUUUUUUUUUCCCCCUUUUUCUAUUCUUUGCAUUGUUUAUCUUACUUAUCUGUCUGUCUACUAUGUUUUGAGUUCUACUCAUUUGUCCAUGUUUCUUCCUGUUUAGAGCUCUUCUUUGGUUUGCUAAUUAAUCCUUGAACAUUGUAUGGAACUUAAUUAUAGCUGUUUUAGUUGAAGCUGUUGGAAUCCUCACUUAUUUUAAGAGUCUCAACCAAGUCCUUGCCAUCAACUGGAUUUUUUUAACUGAUGUGAUCAAUUUGUCUGACAUGUAAGAUACACGUGCAUCCGCUCAAGCACCUACAUACCUAAUGCAAAAUUCCUCAGGCUAGUAAAAAUUGGAUCUAGAAUUAUUAGCACUUUGUUGAUACAUAAUAAUCUUCUUUAGAUCUAGAAUUGUUAGCUCUUUGAUUUCUUUCUGAUUCCUCUUUCAUGGAUUACACCGCCUUAUGAUUCACGAUUUGAUGUUAUCACUCUUACUUAGCCAGGAUUCGGUUACUGUUUUAUUUUCUUAAUUUUUGAGAUUCUUGCAGAUUACUAGCAAUGGGACUGAUGGAGUAUAAUAAUGAUUGGGGUGCGAUACAGAAGCACUUUCUUCCUUGUAAGUCGAAACAUCAGGUAAUAUCUGUAAUUAUUUUGAUACUUUUGUGAAUGUCUACAUGACAUGAACUUGCCUGCUUUCUGACCAAAAUGUGUCGUUGUGUUUAUAAAUUCCAAAUACAUAGUUUUUAUUUGCUAAUUUUGAUAUGGAAACUUUUUAAUAAGGCAUUUUAACCUUUCUUUAUGAUGAUUUGACAACAUGGUCUUUCUUUGAUGCAGAUUUUCGUCAGACAGAAAAACCGCAGCUCUUCUAAAGCUCCUGAGAAUCCAAUUAAGGUAAGCAUUCGAGUGAAUGACUAAAAUAUGUAUUUCCGUGUGCUCUUUCCAUCACAUGCUUAUAUAUGAUAAAAUUUGGUGGAAGUAUGCAUAUGAAAACAAAAGUUUGACUUCAGUGCUCAAUUGUGCAUUGAGAAUUUUUUGAAAUCCAUCAAGUUUUAAAUUCUGCUUCUCAUUUUAAGUUUUCAAUUGUUGGCUUGUUUUAAAGGCUUAUUUAUUUGUCAACUCAUCCAGGCUGUGCGACGUAUGAAGACCUCUCCGUUGACAAUAGAUGAAAAGGCACGGAUCUACGAGGUGAGUUGAUUGAAAAUCAUUAAUAGAACUGAUAUGGGCUAUAACUUAUUUAAGUCAUAAUCCCAUCAUACUCGUGUUUGAAGCCAGGGACUUAAAUUAUUCAAACAUGAUUGGAUAUCUGUUUGGAAAUUUUUUGUCCCACAUCGAGAUCCGUCACUAUUGCCACGCCAGUGGAGAAUUGCUACUGGAACCCAGAAGUCCUACUGUAAAAGUGAAGCUGUUAAAGAAAAGAGGCGAUUAUAUGAAGCAAAAAGAAGAAAAAUGAAAGCUUUAACGGCUGAUACAGAAACAAUACCUGGAAACGAGGUUAGUUAACAUAAUCAACUUUAAACAUUAUAUUUGCAUUAAAAUCCCUGGAAAAUUAUUUUUAUAUAUAUAUAUGUAUGUAUACCCCUGCAAAGUCUAAAUUAUUAUGUAUACCCAUUAAAAACUUAAUUUCUUUUGCAUAUGCCUUUGUAUUACAAAAGUACCCCUCUUUAGGCAAACUUACUCUGAUACAAAACCAAUUUACCAACAUAAAUUGUACACCUAAGCGUCCUAUUAAUUUGGUGGAUGAAUGACUACCAGGUUGACAAUGGAGGACCUAACAGUUCGGAUGAAAUGGAUAAUGAAAACGAAGCUUAUGUUCAUGAAGCAUUUUUAGCAGACUCGAGCAUUGGUAGGAAUGACACACAGUCUGUUCAGUUGAUACAGCAUGAGGGGGCUUACAUUGGUCAAAAAUCCUCCACUAAUACAGAUGAAUCUGAUGAUCUACAUCAAGUAGGUGGAACAAAGCUUGAUCUUCCAACAUCCUCAAAGACUUUUGAAAACACGAAUGAUUUUUCCAAGCAGACUGGUGUAUACUCUGUUUCACCUAUGAACUUAUUUUCUGGGUCAAAGUCAAAGUCCAUAGGGAAAAAUAUGUUGGUCUCAGUGCCUCAAGCACGCAAAAAUAAAGGGGCCCGGGUAGUGAAGUUGGCUCCCGACUUGCCACCUGUAAACCUCCCCCCCUCUGUUCGUGUGAUAUCCCGCUCAGCUUUUCAUGGCUUUCGUGGUGGAUCAUUAUUUUCUAACAUCAGUUCUAAUGCAACGAAAGAUGUUGUUUCUACGAGCUCUCAGGCCAUUACAAAAUAUAUUAAUACAGAAAAUCCAGGAAAACAGUUGAAUCUAUGCUCUGAUGGGGGUCCCCAUACAAAUAUGGCUGAAGAAAAUCCUGUUGAGUCUGAUUUCCAGAUGCAUCCUCUACUAUUCCAGUGUCCUGAAGAUCAAUCAUCAUAUUACCAUCAAGUGAGCAGAUACAGUUUUCUCUCUCAGAAUAGCGGUCAGGUUGAUCCCGUAGUGGGAGUAAAAGAUAACAUCAACAUUAUUUCGUACUCGAGAGAAGCUCCUGCAGAGGUGCAUACUAUCGACUUCCACCCUCUACUGCAAAGAAGUACUGGUGCAACUUUGUCGACCAGAAUUAGAGGUUCUGAGAACAUAGUAUCAGAUGUAGAGUGCCAUCAAUUCCUCGACCAAUCUGACUGUAACUUGAGAGAAUCUGUAAGCCACAGUGAGAAGGAAAACAAUCUUGACUUGGAUUUCCGCUUAUAUUCUGCAACAGAUAAUGAAAACUUAAAAUUUGCUAGCAGAGAUUCACUUGAGCAUGUCGAGUCAAGGACUUCUUAUUUGAAGCAUAGUGGUCUUUCAAAUUCGAGCAGAGUUUUUGCCCAGUCACAAGAGUGCGAGGUGGAAAAUGUUCAUCUUAUUGGACCUGAACCUACUAGAAUGAAUAAUUAUGCUCGCCAAUCCUUGGAAGAGCGUAAUGAGGAGUCUUUGCCAGGUAUUGUAAUGGAACAGGAGGAAUUGAGUGAUUCGGAUGAAGCGAGUGAACAUGUGGAGUUUGAACGUGAGGAAAUGGACGAUUCAGAGGAAGAUGCACAACCUUCUCAAACCCACAAUUUUGUCACCACUUUACUGAAAAGAAUGCUGCCUCUAUGAAUUUAUAUUGGCUUCUUUUUACCCAGCAAUUCUAUCUUCUCAAGAUACUGCUCACACUUCUGUAUUCUUCUGCAUAAUUUAAGUUACCAGGAUUCCGACUAACUUAAAAUGUUUCUUGUUCCAUUAUUUUUUUCCCCUACAUAAUGCAUCAGAAUUCGAAAGUUAGACGGCUCGCAAGGUUUAGAAAUAUCAAAAUUUUAGAAACUUGGAUUUUGGUAGUUCUAUUUGUUACCUUAAAUCCUUUUUUUUGGUCAGGAUAUUCAAACCUUUGUUUCUCUGGGGGAACACCAAGCCAUUGAUGAACAUAGUCAAGUGCAUCGGCCAAGAUCAAUCAUCCAACAAGGACCAGCCCAAGAGAGCAAACUCUGUUCAAGCUCAUCACAGGCGCGACAAGAUCCAUGUCAUGCUAAUGUUCCCCAAUUAAAGCCAAAGAAAGACUCUGGCAAAAAGGACACGUUGCGCAAAACUCAUCUUGGUGCAGCUCAUGCACGUCCUCAUCAAUCGAGCAAGGCGCGACCAAAAAGCUCGAGAGCCUGCCCAAUUGAACCGCGGCGGCUGCAUUUGCAAACGGAUACCGAAUGCAUGAAUGCUAAUCCCAGAAAACCGAGAAAACGGUCAGCUCCAAAUUAAUUCAGUGCUAACCUUUUUUUUCUUUUUCUCUUUCUCUCUUGCUCUGUAUAUCUUUGAGACUAAAAGAUCCAGUGGUGCUUUUUAGCCGGUUUAGUUAUUCGGGAACAACCAUCAAAAAAUAAUAAUAAUAACAAGUUAACAACGGAAAAAAGAAAAGGCACUGAUAACCAAAUUAGCAUUUGACACCCUAGGCUUAGCUACUAACUGUAACUUCUUAGACAACUUCCUCGUAGGAAUAUAUUUAGAUUAGAACCUGUGAGGAAAGCGAGUGAGGCGGUUCUCUGCUUCAGAUAUUGGUGGAUGUACCUUGUAAUUUGUUAAUGAUGUAUUGUAUACACCACACUUGUAAAUGUUUGAGGUCUUUCUCCAUGUGCAGAAAUGAUACUAAGGAGCUUUUAGAUUCGUUGCAAGUGAUUUAUUAUCAUCAAAUUGAAAAGUAAAAACUUCCGUAAUCGAAUUCUAUGAGCCUAGGUGGUAAAUUUGGUAGAAAGAUGAAUAUGCCCUUCAUUUGUUCUUAAGGAAAAAAAGAAAAAAGAAAAAAAAACCACCAGCACCAAAGGAACAAAAUUGAACGAACUGACAAUUCUCCAAAUCGAUUAAACUAAUAAAUAACCACGUAUAGCACAAUAGUCACACAUACGAGGCAGAUUCAAUGCAAACAUACAUAUUGACCAAAUUAUAAACACAUCGCUCAUCAAACAGCCAUUAGUUUCCACUUAACAAAUGGGUAGGGAUACUCUAAACACCCUGUGCACUCGGUAUCCUGAAGAGAGGUGCAACCCUUCACACGAUGAGCCCCCAUAACUAUGGCUAGCUCCAUCUACUUCCUUCUUUGAUAUAUCUGUAUUUUAAACUGAAUAAGUAUAUGAGACGAUUCAAAAUAAUUGAUAUCCCUCUAUUUAAAGGAAAAUAAUAUAUGCAAACAAAUGCAAGCAUAAAAAAUAAAAAUAAAGGAAGCACAUUUAGUAUGCGAAUGUAAAUAAGAAUUAUCACCCAAUGUAAACUAGUCAAAUAAUUGAUGAGUAUAAAAGUCCUGUUCAUGUGUUUUUAUCAGCUAGAUAUUUACCUUCCUCGGCCUUCGGACGAGGAACUGAAGAUGAACUGUAACUAAGCUCGUGAUGAAGUUCAGGAGAUAAGAUAGAAACCUUUGGAAUGGAUUAGCGUGAGAUCUCCAGCCUUUGGUUCUUUUGCAUGAUAAUAGGGAGCUUAUGAACAAUGAGGUUGGGAUCUCCAUAGGCUGCAGAAUCAGAAGGAAUGCCUUGCUGCACGACGCAGCAAGAUUUGAAAAAAGCAAUUCAACUUACAUUUUCUUAGUUGCAAGAAGAACAGAAAAUUCUAAAUCAAAGCAUAACUUUUUUUUGAGAGAGAAAGAAAGGUAGCAUGCUAACUGCUUCGUUUAUUUCAUUUUUAGAAAUAAAUUUAGCUAGAAAUGUGAAGCAACUAGGCUUCGAACCUGAGACCUCAAGUACCAACCAUCACUCUCAUUACCAUUUGCGCUAGGGACAGUCGGUAAUCAAAGCAUAACAUUAUCGUAGAACAAGGUCAGGUAGGAUUUCUAGCACACUAACUGUAGUAUGAAAGAGCAAAUAGACUUACAGCAGACAAACUUUGGAUAGUUGCUUCUCUCCAGCAGCUUUCCCGCAGAACUACAGGUUCAGCAUUGCCAUUACUACCAAAAGCACAAUAAACUCGAGUAUCCCUCAACCUCAUUAGCACUCCAUCAACUCUAAGCUGUUAAAAUAACACAUUCAGUAGCUAAAAAAUAAUACUAUGAACAGCAUAACUAUUCCAAUAAGUACAACUAACAUUAUAGAAAAUUAACAUGAUAAUUAAUCAUGAUAAUCCAAGUCUUUUUCCAUCAAAACUCACUCAGAAUCUAGGCAUUCCGUUAUCGAAUGCAUACUUCAUAUAUUCAAUAACGGAAUCUAAAUAAAAAUGUAAGGGACACUUUUGAGCCAAGGUAUUUAAACAUUACCCAGUAACGUAAUAGAAGAAACCAACAGCUUGGCAUCACUCUCUGCAGACAUACAAUAAAAGACUCUGUAAAACUUCAAAAGUCUAAAUACUCUUGCCUAUUCAAGGCCAACUUUGUUAACUAGACAAGCAAAAAGUACUUACCACUUUCACCGUUAGUAACGAUACCCCAUUGUCAGCCAACUCAUCUUCGUACAAAACAACCUAGAUAAUUAGGUUAAACUCUAAUUAGACGUGGCAACUACAUCUAUCACCCUAUUAGCUAUUAUAUCAAACUAAUCAACCUCAUCAUAAAAAAGAAUUGGUUCUCUUGACGACAGUGCAGCCAGAUCAAUUCGCUCAUCCGUGUCCUGCCAAUGCAAACCCUUCUGCAUUGCAAUGGUAUUCAGAAGUUAGUGUGGUUAUCUCGUAAUAGAUAUAUACCAAGCUAGAUGAACCUAAACAAAUAUAAGCAUGUAAAAAGUAAAACCAAUGUUACAAUAACAAGUCAGCUGAAUGUUGUGCAUAACUAUUUAUCUUUGCUUAAUAUUUGUGUGCUUGUGGUGAGCAAACUAGAAAUGUUUCAGGUUGAGGUGUUCUAGAAAAAUUGGAACGUUGGGAAGUAAAUACGAAGUGUCUGAAGAGGGUGCCAAUGGGAAAUGUAACGACUUUUCUUCAUUUCAUCAGAGCAAGUCACACUAGGAAAGAUAAAGUCCCACAAAAAAUUUAAUCUGAGUGGAAAGAUACAAGAUGUUGAGACUCCAAACUACAUCAAAACAUCCAGUGCAGAUUGAUUUAGCAGCUUUUACUUGCCGCCGCUAAAAUAACAUACUCAAAGAGGCAAAAGUAACAAAUAUAACAAACAAAAAUAAAAUAAGAAGCUUAUAUCUAAUAUUUAAUAAAUAAGUUCUGUAGCUAUAAAGACAAAUAAACACCUUUUCAUAGUUCGGUUCUAUCAUCUCACUGCCGCAAUAUGGUGUUGUGAAUGUAUAGUCAUAAUCAAGUAUCACUUGCUCAGAAGGUUUACUGCAAGACAACAACAAUAAGUAAAGAGCAAAAACAAGACAAUUUAAACCCCUUUAACAGAAGAAUCACCCAGGUAAAUAUAAAAAAAUAAAAAAUAAAAAAAAAGAAGAAGAUUCAAAGAAGUGUUUUGUCUUUUUGGAUCUCAUAAUUAGUGUUGUUACUGCUGCCUCUUAGAUCUAUGUAGAAUAACAAAAAUGUCAUGCAGAGUCAAAUUAAAAUAAAACACGUAAAGUAUCUUUAACAUCUUAGUUCUUCCUAAUAUACAAAGAACAUAAGUUAAAUGAACCUUCUAAAUUUCCAUUUUGCAGCAGCAGGGACUUCAACAGGUGGUAACGACUCCUGCUUCCAUCCCCUGAGAGCAUCUAAUGCAUUGAAAUGUAACUUAAUACCAGAGCUUAUAUGUAAAAGAGACAGAGAACUCUCUCCGAAAACCAUCUCAGGCAUAUGUGACGUUCCAAGCUUUUCUUCCCACCUGAAGAAACACCGCAAGAAAUAACCAAUCGUAAUGACGAAUAAGUAGUAUCUCAACUUUAGCUUCAAAAAUACCAAUGUACAAAUUUUCUCUUUCAUUUGCAAUCUCAUCGAAGACUCGAACAAAACUGCUACUCUUGGACAAAUAAAAGACCAAAGCCGCCUUUCGGGAAUAAUCCGUGCCUUAACUGCUAUCAUAUCUUAUCCUAAUUGUACAAGUAAUCAACUAAAAACAAAACUCACUUGUAUAUUACGAUCAAAUUAACUUAAAUCAUCUUCCACCGCACAACAUUUCCCUUCUACUUGCUCUCGCAAGCGAAUCACACUACCAAAAUUCCCAUAAGCUGUUCAUAAAUUUCUAAUAAGAAUUACUUCAACGCACAGUUGCUUCCGUCGCCGCAUAAACUUUAACUAUCUCCUUAACACGUAUUUCUUAAUCACCGAAUAAUUACGGCUUCGAUUGCGCGCAAAUUCUCCUGUAAGCAACCCUAAAACCAUUUACACUCGCUAGGGCAACCACUUCACGGAUCCGAUCGUUUCGAUGAAAAUUACAAAGAGCGGAGAUCAAGCAGCUAGGGUUUCGCAGAUCAAACCACACACAAAAAAAGGAGAGAGAGAGAGAGAGAGAGAGAGAGAGGGAUCGGAGGGUUGCGUACUCGCGUAUGGCGAGGGAGUUGAGGAUGGGGCGCUUGCGCGACUCGACGCACCAACCCUUGAGCACGAGACCGUUGCGGGCGUGGGGGAGCGGCUCCGCCCCCGCCGCUUUGAGAUCGCUCGCCUCCGCUCUGCCCCNACGAUCCACGUAUAAUUCUAACAAUCUCGUUUUUUUUUUAUUUUCCAUCUAAUAAUUUUAGAUUUUUCUAUUUUUCAUAUAAUCUACAUAUAAUUCUAGUAAAGAAGCAUAUUUCUUUUUUUUUUUUUCUUCUCUCUCUUUAUUUGGGAGUAAGAGUUGGUUUAGGCUUAGUUUGGUAUUGAUGUCAAUCUAAUACUGUCCGAUAGAAUGGAGUUCAAAAAAAAUAUAUAGAAAUAUGCUUCUGUUACGAUGGGACCGCAGAAAAUAUAUCAUAACCAACGCAAUAUGCGGAAUGCAAUAUUACAUACGAAAACAAACAAUAUAUUUUUCCAUCAUCGCCCAUCGUUGUUUAUCACCGCAAGUAACGCAAUUUUUUCGCAAUUCUAAACGAAACCUUAUGAAUCUUAUAAAUUCGUGAUCAAAGGAUCGGGUCUAAAUUUGGUUUAGUUUAAAUUUAAUCUAACCUGAAGAGUUUACUUUAGGACAUAUUUCAAAACAAAACACCGAAAGUAGUACUUUUACAAGGUGAAAUUUUAGUGAUUAUUUGAUUUGAUUUGCAAGACAAAUAUAAAAAUUAUUUUAUAAAAAUAGAUUAAAUAAAUAAAUUAUAAAUAAAUCUUAAUUAUUUUGACUUUGUGACCAAAAUAUUUAACAUACCACAUCAAAUUUACGAGGAUGGAAACCUGGGGAUGGGCGCUCGCAAUAGACGUACAGAUGGAUAGGACCAAGGGAAUAUGACUUUGAACUAAUUCGAUUUGAAGUCUAGUUUGGCGGAUUAGGUUCGAUUGGAGUAAGUUCUAUGCAAUCAUCUUCCAUCUACAUCAAAACAAACAACCAAACAGUAUCACUUUAUCCAUGCUCCAACUGUAUCUUAUCAUUUAACCAAUCCAAACACCCUCACUCGAAUACCUUUAUACAAAAUCUCUAUGUAUGUUAUAAUAUGACUUGCGUUGAAGUGUUUAUUACUUUGUCGUUGAUAAGAUGAGCAGACCACAACUCUUAAACAAAUAGCGUGUUUUGAGAUUAUGAAAAUGCCAUUCGAACAGUUUAAUGGUUCAUUGAGCCUCGUGUAUUUUUAACCCUUUUUCUUUUAUCGGACUCUCCAAUAACUUUGCCAUCAAUAUUUUUAUUACACGCAUUGAAACACUAGAUAGGAAGAAGAGCUCGCCCUUCCGAAGUGUGAUGAGAGGAGUUUGUGAGGUACCACCCGCGGCUGAAGAGGUUGAAUCACGACCAGGAGAGAGAGAGAAGAUGGAAAAAUAUGCGAAAUGUAAAUGUCAUAUUUGAUAAAGGGGGUGCGAAUGUUCUUAGCUUCCGGUUCUCAUUCCAUUAUGUUUGAGAUCGCUUCCAUGAUGAUUGAUUAUGGACUUGUGUUAUUUGUUGCAGGUAAGCUCGAACUAGUAAUAUAUUUGGAGGUUGGGGCAAAUGCUACACUAGUAAGUUCUCGGGUUCAUUUGACAUACUUGAAUUUCAAAAUUUAUUGUUGAAGGCGAUACAUUUAAUCGAAUCAGUGUGGCGAAAGAUGAACCGUCCAUGAAGUUUGAGUAGCAUCACACCGAGCAUUAGAUGUGCUAGUUAGGGAUUUCAUAAAGUUCAAUUUUUUGUUAAAUUAGCUUCGUUUGAUUCGGAUAUAAAUAAGAACUGUUUAUUUCGGAAAUAUGUAUAAGUUAAAUAUGAAAUAGAUCAAUUUUACGUUUAGAUAAAAAUUGAGUUGUUUUCAUAAAUAAAAUAAAUAACGCUUUGAUAGAUAAGAUGAAAUAAGAAGAAUAGUUAAUAGUUAUAAAUAGAAAAUAAUGAUAUUACUCUGAUAUUAUAUUCGAAUUUUAAAUUUUUAAAUUUUAUAUUUGAAUUUUUAAAAUUAAAUAUAUAACUUUUAAAAUUAAAAAAUUCAGAAAUAAAUUUUAAAUUUUAAAUCUCAAAUUUCAAAAUUUAAAGUUCUAAAUUUUAAAUUUAAGAUUAAAUUUAAAUUUUAAAAAAAUCUAAAAUAUCAAAAUUUAAAUUUAAUAAAUUUAAAAUAUUAAUUUUUAAUUUAAAAUUUAAAAUUUAAAAUUUAAAAUUUAAAAUUUAUAAAAUUUAAUUUUAAAAUUACAAAUUACAAAAAUUUUUUAAAAUUAAAUUUAAAUUAUUUUUAAAAUUAAAUAGGGGUGGAAAACAUCUGUUUCUCCUAUUCCCACACAAGUGCUAGGAUUGCUAUCCCAUCCUUCUCUUUUUUCUUUUUUUUUUUUGUGUUUGGGGAUAGGGGGAAUAACCCUUUAUGCCCCCCACUAUCCCCGAACCAAAUGCCUCCUUUGUGAAUAGAAUAAUUUAUGAAACUUGAUACUAAAUAAAGACUCUGAUUGGGAUACUAUCGAUAGCACGAAGUAUUUGGUGCUAUUAAGUUUUCUACCUUUAGAUUUACUUCUUUUAUCAUUUUCAUCCGUUCGAUUAUACUAUUCAACUAACCACCCACUGAACCAUAGAGAGCUCACAUCAUCCUAACCACACAUCUUUUAAUGCAAGAGUAAAAAACUUAAUAGCACAAAGUUAUUGGUGUCAUUAAUAACAUUCCAGCAUAGUUCCUAAAUAAAUGCAAAAACUCUUCACCGUCUGGCAUUUUGUAUAUGCAGUUAAAAAUACUUUCGGUUGUAAUAUGUUGUAGCUUCUGGUCAAAUGUUGGAUAAUGCUUUUAUUUUUUCGGCUAUUUUGCAUAAAAAAUUUAUAAGUUUUGAGCUUUUGUAAAACUGGACCACAUUUUUCAAUUUUACAGAUUCGGACCGAAUUUUUAAAAUACUGACCAAAAUACAUUUAUUUCUUUCUCUCUCUCCUUUUUUUUUUUUUUUUUCUCUCAUUCGUUUUCUUACCUCUCCGAAGAGAGAGGCGGAGGCGGCCCGUCUUCUCUCUGUCUCCCGCACCCUCGCCCGCGUCCACACACUAUCUGUCCUAACGAGUGGCGAUGACAGGAUUGGAGAUAAGGAGGGCGGGUGGUAAAAAAAAAAAAAGAAAAGAGAGAAAAAUAAGAAUAUUUUGAUCAGUUUUCUAAAAAUUCAAUCUGUGUAUAUAAAAUCGAAAAAAACGAAUCAGUUUUAUAAACACUCAAAAUUUGUGAAUUUUUUAUAUAAAUUGACAUUUUUUUUUUCAUGCAGGGACAAAAAGGAAUUUCCAAAAAAACACCCUUUAAGAGAAACCAACGAAGUACUGCCACGUAUUCAGGUUGUACCAGUUCCCUACAACUCUAUCCGUAGGAACCCGCCCUCGUACGUCGCAUUUGAAAUCCAAAAUGAAAAAAAGGAAGCGAACUCCAAUUCUCCCGCUUCAAAGUAAAGCCGAAUCACGAUUAAAAUCCCAUAGAUAAAAACACCCCGCCACUGUUUCCUCCCCAAUUCCCCAGGCCCCACACGAAAAAGAUUCCCCAAAGUUUCCCCCAGAUUUUUUUUUAAUUAAUUUUUUGACCCCAAAUUUCCCAANCCCCAAAAAAAAAAAAACCGCAACGGUCUCUCUAGCGCGCGCCCUCUUCCUCUUCUCUUUCUUCUUUUUAUUUUCGAAUUAAUCGAAUCCCUCCCUCCUCCCACCCCCCCCAAAAAUGGCGCCCAUCUCCUCUUCUUCUUAUACAAACCCCUUCAACUCACUCAUAUCUCUGUCUCCUCUUCCUCCUCUUCCGCCUCCUCCUCCUCCUCCCCCCUUCCUAUCUAACCCUAACCCUAGCCGAGCCUUAGCUGCUAGGGUUUAGACGAAGGGAGGAGUCGCCAUGGCCGGCAAGGAGAACCUCGCCCCGCGCCACACCCGCGCCGCAGCGAAACGCGUAGCCUCGGCCUCCUCCGCGGCGAACAAUCCCCCGGCGAAGAAGAAGCGCGUGGCGUUGAGCGAGCUCCCCACGCUCUCCAAUGCCAUCGUCCGAAACCCUUCCCCAGAUCCCCUCGCCGCCCCUUCCAAGCCCAAGCAGAGAUCCAGGAAGGGGGAGCAGGAGAAGGUGGUGGUGGUAGCUGUUGAUGAGAAGAGGCCCCCCUUGGAGCUCUCCAAUGGCGCCGAGUCGGAGAUCGAUGACCUGCAGAUGUGCUCGCCAUAUGUUUGUGAUAUUUACCAGUACCUCCGAUCCAUGGAGGUUGGUGUUUGAGCUUCUGGGUUGCUGCAAUUAGGGUUUCUUCAUAUGGAAUUCUUAUUAGGAUGGUGUGAUCUGAUCUGUGCGUUGGCUACUUUGCUGAGACGGUUCAGAAGGAUGUUACUGCUAAUAUGAGGGGGAUUUUGGUGGAUUGGUUGGUUGAAGUGGCGGAGGAGUACAAGCUUGUCUCAGAUACUCUUUUCCUCACUAUAUCAUAUAUAGAUAGAUUCCUAUCCUUCAAUUCUAUUAAUAGGCAGAAGCUGCAGCUUCUCGGGGUGUCUUCGAUGCUCAUUGCCUCGUAAGCUCUGACCCUUUUUCAAUUUCCCAACUGUAAUUAGCCAUUUCCCCUCUUUUGUAUGUGUAUUUAUUGGUGUUUUCUUUGUUGGGAUUCAAUGAGUACAGGAAAUAUGAAGAGAUAAGCCCUCCUCAUGUGGAGGACUUUUGCUACAUUACAGACAAUACUUACACAAAGCAAGAGGUUAGUGUUUUGCUCCUUUUUUUUUUGUUUCAAAUGUGGCGAUGUUUAGUUGUUUCUUUGGGUUAUAUCUUACUUGUUAGCUAUAUGUGGGGAUACAGGUAGUGAAAAUGGAGAGUGACAUACUAAACUUCCUCAAAUUUGAGAUGGGAAAUCCUACCACUAAAAUUUUUCUGAGGUAACAAACUUUGUCAUUUCCCUUAGUAUUAUUGUAAUUGUUUGAGCCACUAUUCGAUAGUAAUCUACUAUGCUCACUGUACUUUGCAAUUUGUUGCUUGCAGGCGAUUUGUAAAAAUGGGUCAAGAGGAUAACAAGGUAAAAGUUUGUUCACCUUUUUGGUCUGUUUUAAUGUGACCUUAUGAUGCAUUUUUUGUUUUUGAUUUGGUUACUUGUUACUUAUGAUGGUCCUUGUUACUUUCUACAGUACUCGAAUCUACUAUUGGAAUUUCUUGGAAGUUUCCUUGCCGAGUUAAGUCUCCUGGAUUAUGGCUGUGUUCGGUUCUUACCGUCAAUUGUUGCUGCGUCGGCUGUUUUUCUUGCACGGUUCACCAUCGACCCAAAAUGCCAUCCUUGGGUAAGACUUAAGAGCAAGCUGUUUUACAAGAAUUGUAACUUGCUUUCAAUUGGGUUCUUUGUUACUUGUGCAAACUUUAUUUUCCUUGGCUAACAAUAUAAUCUCUCCACAGAGCAAACAGAUGGAGCAGUGUACUGGGUAUACGGUGUGUGAGUUGAAGGAUUGUAUCCAAGCUAUGCAUGAUUUACAGUUGAAUAGAAAAGGAUCUAAUUUGGUGGCUAUCAGGGAAAAGUACAAGCAACAUAGGGUAAUUUUGUUUUCCUUUUGAUCUGAUAGUCACUUUGCUUUGUAAAUGUAGCAAAUGACUUCUUUCUAGUUUGAUUUCAUUUGGCUGAAUUGCAUUAAUGUUUUGUGACAGUUCAAGUGCGUGUCGAGCUUGCUCUCUCCUCAAGAGAUACCUGCAUUAUACUUUGAUAACUUUAAAGGUUAGCCUUUUGGAAGAUUAUUAGAUGUAUCGUCCCAACCACUGAUUACUAAUUGAGGCUUAGUAGCUUUGCACUUGCGGAAAGUGCAAUCCCAAAUCACCUGGCUGAGGAGAUUGAAGCCCUUUGGAGCGCCGAAGCUUGGAGAAAGUAAAUAUGCAAAAUUGGUCUGCUGUUGAAAGGACCUGACAAAGCUUACCAGGGCCAUUGCUUGUACUUGUUCGAAGAAAUUGUCAUUCUCAAUUUUGAGAAGAGGUGGUUUUGGAAUUAUGAAUAUCAUGAUCAGAAUAUGUUGUCAUCAAAAUUCUAUGGUUCUGAACUUCUGGGUUAUCUGUUUUUCUUGAGGAAGUACCUCUGCUACAUCAAUUCUUCAUGUAGAUUUGUAGCAAGAAAAUAUACAUAGUUGCUGAGCCUCUUUAGAAAAAUGUUAAAUUGGUUCUUUACUAGUUUUAGAUAGCAUGAUAAUAAGGUUUCAUGGUUUUAACAGAAUAUGGCUUACAUAUCAAUUCCUAUACAUAUGAUGGGAGGGACUUAUAUCCAUUUUUUGAUAAUCCUUCGUAAUUUCAAUUGAAAUUAUAUAAAUUAUUAUCAUUCAACUCGAGUACUUUUAAAAGGUACUAGUGAAGUAGUAAAAUUAUUGUAGAUUUUUAGAUAGUAGAAAUAUUAAAUUAUUAUGGAUUAAAGAGAUAUUUUUAUUUUUAUUUUUGAUGAAAAUCAUUAGUAGUCAAUUAAUAAGAAUACACUAUAUUUUAAUAAUCUCUCGAUUCAAGUGAUUUGAUAAGUUAAUAAUAAAUUGGUCGUUCCAAAUACAAAAUAUACAAAUAUUAUUAGAGUACAAAUUUUGAACCAAACGACUCCAAGUGUCAUUUUAAUAGAGAUACUUAAAUGUGUUGAUAUAUAUGUGAGUGUGGGUGUGUAAAUGUAAUGAAAUCAAGUAGUGUGCCCAAUGUUCUUUUUUUUUUUCUUUUUUUUUUUUCUCUGUUUUUCUAGAUCUUUCAUCUUAACAUGCGCAUGUUCCUCUGGUCACCCAAGCCAGCUUUGUGUCUUGAGCAUUUGAUAUUUUGAUCAUCUUUUCCUUUAAUAUUUUGGACUUCGUUUAGCUUUGCCAACCAUCGUAUAUUUUUUAGAGAAAUUUUCAAAAUCACUUACUGGUUCAUAAUAAAAAUAUGCAUACGAUAUGAAUUUUUUCACUAAGAUAGUGAACUUUGUAAAGCCGCGUGUGUAUUAAUUUCCUGUGCAUAAUGUUACUCAUAUUUGCCCGAAUAUGAAUACUCAUUUUCUUAAAAUGGACUCAAGCAUUGAAUUUUGAUCAAUUAUAAAUGAUAUUUGGUUACUACACAUCCGUAUUUGUUUGGAUUCAAGUCAAAUCUGACUCCGACCGGAUCCAGGGUCCGGUAAAGGUCAGAAAAUAUUAUCCGACCCGUUUACUGUUCCCAGCUUAAUAAGGCUCCGCAAGACGCGCGCGCGCGAAAUUGUUGAGGGUGCGCACGUGUGGGUUUUAAAAGUUCUCACGUGCGACCAUCCUCAACACUAACCCCACUCUCAACCUCCCAAAACUCCCUCAUUUCUCUUAUUUAUUUAAACCAUUAAAACUCUUAAACUCUCUCUCUCUCUCUCUCUCUCUCUCUCUCCAAUCGAACAGCGAUACUUGCAAAGUUAUUUAGCAAAUUCAGUGGAGAAUAUAUGCAUUCGAAGCGGAGAAUAUACACAUUAGACGCCAUUUCUUGUGGAAUAUGGCUUCUUGAACCGGCGCUUCUUCUUGCAAGCCAUUGCAGUGUAUGUGAAUUCUCUUACCUCCUGAAGCCAUAGAUUUUCUCUCUAAGGCUAACACUUACGCUUCUCGAAGAAGAACAUAUUCACAUCUUUGCAGUUGCGCACGAUCGAACCCGUUUUUAUGGAGUAUUACAAUCUUGAAUUGCAUGUUGUUUUGUUUCUUAUGAGUAAACAAGGAUUCCAAGAACUUGGUGGACUAUACAGUGUGGAAAGCAUUUUAAGGAUAGGCCGUGAAUCGAGAUACGCUAGAAUAUAUUGAAGAGAUUGUUACUAAAUUUGCGCAGAGUGGAGUGAGAGAGGCGUAGCGGAAAGAGGUGUUCUUUAGCCCGAGGCAAUGUGGGAGGAUUACGGGGGUUACGCUUCAGAGAUAGAUAGAUACCUCCGAGAUGUGGAGGUUCGUGGUCGAUCUUUCAGUUUGUUGCAGCCGGGGUUUUGUCUUACAGAGUUCUUGAUCCGAUUUGGUUAUUUGGUUCUUGGCUAUUGCGGUGGCAAUGUUUUCUAGACGGAGGAGAGGAGAAUGCCGCGAGCGGACUAUUUAAAGACGGUUCAAACGGAGGUGACAGCUUCUAUGCGGGCGAUUCUGGUGAACUGGUUGGUGAAUUUGGCAAAUGAGUUACAGUUUGCACCGGAUACUCUUUACCGCGCCAUAUCGUACAUUGAUAGAUUCCUAUCCUUCCGUUCUAUCGCUACGAAGCAGCUGCAGCUUCUUGCUGUGUCUUCGAUGCUCAUCGCCUCGUAAGCUCUAUUCUUUUUUGUUUACUUCCAUAUAUAUAUAGUUUGUUCUUGCCCUUCUUAUUUCUUAAUAUUCAGAGCUCUCUCUCUCUCUCUCUGGUUGGUAUUCAACGAACACAGAAAAUAUGAAGAGAUAAGACAUGCUACUGCCUCGCAGUUCUCCUACUAUACUGAUUGGGCUUACUCGACACGAGAAGUAAAUUUUCUGCUCUUUUUAAUUUGAAUAUGGUUAUAUUUACUUGUUUCUUUGAUUCGACCGUUAGCAACAUGUUGAAGUGCAGGUGGUGAAUAUGGAGGGAGACAUACUAAAAAUUCUCCAAUAUGAAAUCGGGAAUCCGACAGCGAAAACUUUCCUCAGGUAGUGGUCUUUCUGAGAAAUCAAAUUCGCACUUCUACAAUCUCAUUCUUUCAUUUCUCUCUUUCUGAUGAAAUUACAGGAAUCUCAUUCUGGAAAUUAUGAAACAAUCACAUAGAGAAAACUUAGUUAUUUGAACCUUCUUAAUUCUUUUGAUUGACUCAUCCAGUAAUUCAUUGGCCUAACUGUAACCUAUAUUUCGUUACCUGUAGGCAGUUCAUGAUGGUCGCUCGAGAGGAUGUCGAGGUAAAUAUUUGUUCAACUUUGGCUGUUGUAUUCUGGGGCUUAAGAUGCAUUCUUUUUUGCUUUGUGACCUUAUGAUGUUUAUGUUGUUUCCUACAGUACUCAAAGCUACUGUUGGAGUUUCUUGCGAAUUACCUUGCUGAGUUAACCUUACUCGACUACGGUUGCAUUGGCUUCUUACCAUCAAUUGUCGCUGCUUCAGCCGUUUUCCUCGCGAGGUUCACCAUUAAGCCAAAAAGACAUCCCUGGGUGAGAACAAGAAGUUCAUUUACCAAAAAAUACGGCUUCUGAUUGAAGUUUUUAUUCACGAAAACAAAGGCUUUUCUUUGAAAUAGAGCUCUAUGCGAUUCUCAUGCUCCUCUCCCCCUUCUCUACAGAGCAAACAGUUGGCGAAGUAUACGGAGUAUGCGGCGCCUGAUUUAAAGGACUGCGUCACAGCUGUACAUUAUUUGCAGUUGAAUAAUGGAUUUUCGUUAGCGAACAUCCCAGAAAAGUACAAGGAUCACACUGUAAUUUCUUUGCCGCCUUCUUUCUUUUUGUUAACUACGAUUUGUAACCGUAAACAUGGCUCGUCUUGUUUGAUCUUAUUUGGUUGAAUGCCUUGUACUUAUCUUUUCGCGACAGUUCAAAUGCGUCUCCAGUUUGACAUCUCCUGAAGAAAUUCCUGCACUGUAUUUUGAUUACACUAAAGAAGAAGAAGAAGAAGAAGAAGAAGAAGAUGAGGAAGAUGAGGAAAGUAGAGAAGAGGAAGAAGAGGAGGAAGAAGAAGAUGAUGAGGAAGAUGAGGAAGGGGAAGGGGAAGAAUAUGAAGUAUAUGAAGAAGAAUAUGAAGAAUAUGAAGAAGAGAUUAACUUUCCACCCUCAAAAAAACGAAGUUGAUAUUAAGAUUUCUGUAAAAGCAUUAGAUGUGUUGCUCCAACUACUAAUGCUACUUAAAUUUUGGAGCCUGGGAAGAAAUGAUUUUCUAUUUCACCUCCUAACAUUGGAGGUGAUUAAUGCUCCAUGAAAUAGAGAAGUGUCAACAUUACAGUGAUCUCAGGAUAUGCAGGAUUUGUAAGAUCUGUCUACUGCCGUCGGAGUUCCGAACUUACCUAGGCGAUUCUUUGCACUAAUGUAAAGAACAACCGCAAUUGGCUUUGACACGAGGCGAUUUUAACGUAGUUUGAGAGACUACUGCAUCAUGAAACUUAUGGCAAGAUUUUGCCGCCGUUAAUUUUGUAUGAUUUCGAAACUUUUAGGUUGUUUUCCCCCUGCUGUUGUAAGUUUGAGUCAGAUAAAAAGUUGAUUAAGUGUGAACUGCACAUAAUUGAUAAGCCCACUUAAAAGGGAUUUCGGUUGAAUUUUUAUCACAGCGAGUAACCGAAACAAGGACAUGAAAUGACAAAUGAUGUUAUUUGUGUUGUUUUAGUCUUUAUGAGUUACAUUUCUCAAAAUCAACCACUUGUUCUUAAUAUAUCAUGUUUAAGGAGAGGUUCGCCGCUGAGCAGAAAAGAUAAAGUUAGGGGCUCUGGCCAUGCCGAACGCCACUUCCGUUCACCGUGCCAAAUCCAGUGCAGUGGAAAGUUCAGCUAGCAGAAAAAUUUAAAACUUCAAUUACGGCGAAAAGCGUGAAUAAGAUCCUAUCUUCAAAUUUGAGUUGUAUCGAGAUAUUUAAUGAAAAGUUACUCGUGUUAGAUUGUUUUGAUAUUGUAAUAAAUAAGAUUGCAUCAAUGCGAAAUAAUUUGUUUAUGUAUAUGAAAAUAAUUUGGAAGGUAUUCCAAAUUUGCAAUUCCAUAAAAUAUAGGGGAAAAAAGCUAGCUUUUGCAAUGGUGUAAAAAAUUAUAAUACGUUAUCCAAACAGUACAAAUCAGACUAAAAUAUUCUGGAGAAUUCAACUAAUCUAUUACAACGGAAAUAUAAAACAUUCUGGAGUAUUCAACCAAUCUGUGAACCAAACGAAUAAAACAUUUCGCUCUGUACACUACAGAAUUGUUGUGUAAUACUCGCAAAUAACUAUCCUAUCAAACCAUUUUCCGUCAAACAUUAAUCAUACUACUAAACUGCCGACAUAGACAUUGCCUACUCAAAAUAUCAUUCAAAAAGUAUACCAUAUCAAAUCAAAAAGUUUAAAAACAUACAGAUUUGAUCAAAACUAUGAACUGCUUUAAACCAGUUAUCCAACCUUUCACAAUUUUAAUUCUACUACCCAACUAGUCAAUUUACCUGAUUUGAGUUAGUCAAUAAUUUUUUAACUUCAAAAUUUAAGCUAAUUAUUUAUUUCAAUAAAUUUAUAAUGACAAGAAUUGCAUAAAAUAUACUAAUUAAAUCUAUAAAAAUAAAAGACACAUUCAAAUUUUAAAGCAACGUAUUAUUGACUAAAAUCAAACAAAUUAAAAGGUUGGGUAGCAAAAUCAAAUUUUUCAAAAUUUUGGUAGUCAAUUCAAAAUGGUCCAUAGUUCAGCUAAAUUCUGUACGUUUUUCGAAUAAAAAACAACAAAACUUAUGACUUCAAAACAACAUAGCCUAACUCAUUACUACUAAUUGCAUGGCACAUAAAUAAAGUUAAAAAUGCUACUUAAUUGGGCAUAAUGAAGAUUCCGGAUAAUAUUACCAUAAAUUACAACAGAGAUAGAUGAAACUAGCUGAGUUACUUUCAUUAUUAAUUCGCAGCGCUGUAAGCAACAUCAGCUGAAGAAGUGUCCAUGUCAUUCAAGCCUAGCUCUUCAUUCUGCUCCCAACUCCUCUCAUACUCCUCACCUGAGAAUUACCAAAAUCACGUCAAAAACAUUUGCAAGAACACCAUCAGAAGCACCAAUAACAUGCGCUGCUUUUCGCAGCAGAAUAGAAAGCUUAGUUCCUCUCUAGUUGAGAAGCAUAAAAACUGAAGAAGAAUAAAAACAGCAAAGAUAUGCCCAAGUAGUAAUUGCUACUCUUUAAGAUUCUAUUGUAAGUGUUCAAGAUUUAGGUAAUGUUUGGUUCUAGGAUUCCUAUCCAGAGAGAAGUAGAUAAAUGUCCUACAUGAGAAUUCCAGAUCAAGGUGUUGGUGGAUAGUAAAGUUUGCUAAAAUAAUAGAAUACUUAUUGAGGAUAGCAUUUCCACCCUACCUCAUGAAACUGCUAUGCCUAGGGAUUGACAUUUUAUCGAAAACUAGGGUACUUACCGCUACCCUAUUUUAUCAAAACUAUGAACUAUUUUAAACCAGUUAUCCAACCUUUCACAAUUUUAAUUCUACUACCCAACUAUUUUAUGAAUUGACAUUUUAUUGAAAACUAGGGUACUUACCGCUACCCCAACUCUCAAUCUGACACUAUCUAACACUCAUUAGGCAUCCUUAAUGGUUGUUGGGCUCAUGUAUUUUUAGAGUAUUUCUUUAGGUGAAUAUCUAAAAACCUUCCUAAACUGCAAUAUUUAAAGACCUUACUAAACUGCAAUUUGUAAUGGCUGAAACCUUUUACGCAACUACCUAACCAUUCAUUUAAUUUUAGCCAAUUCCAUCAAAAUUUGUAAGUAAUUAGUGGCAUGGCCCAAAAAAGUAAUCCACAUUCUGUUACGGGAAUAUUCCGCUAAAUUACAGGAUAUUUCAUUAAAAGAAGUUGAAAAUACGUUCAAAUUCUAAUCAGAGAUGUUGUUAAAUCAAACCAACUGAAAGAUUACGCACUGAAAUCAAUUUUUCAAACUUCAGGUAGUCAUUUCGAUACACACUAUAAUUCAGGGAAGUUUUUUUUUUUGUUCUUUAACUUUACUUUGACCUUGUUAAAAACAAAUGAGAAGGAGUGGCAAACUUACUUCUUAACUGAGUAUCAUCUUCUAUGGCAUCUGUAGCCGGAGAAAUAAAUGAACCCGCCAAUGGAUCAUCAAUAAUCAAAGUCCAAGGCUCUUCCAGGCUUAAGAGCUGUGUAACAUAAAAUGUCAAUUCACAGGAAAAUAAUAAAAAGUGGGCAGUACUAUUCUAGUCAGGAUCAAAAUCUCUAAGCAGAAGAAAUAUGGAAAAUUAACUAAGGGAUAUCAAUGACUUAAAUGCUGUUGGAUGUGAAACCUUAUCGACACCAGCUCCCCAUAACCAAUCUACUAUUACCGGGCUUACUUAUAUAGUAGUUACUGCUUCAGAAAAUUCCCCAACUCCCGAAAAUGCUUAAGAAAUCAAUAAAUUCAAAUUUAACCAAUAAUUAAUUAAACUAUUAAAGUGAGCAAUCAGUUGUUUAAGUUUUUAACGUGGCAUUGCACAGAGAUAUGGGUCAAACAUACCUUAGUUAGCCUCAAUUUAAAGUCCUCCCAUUUUAGCCGUUUCCAGUCAUCAGUACUAUCACCCAAGCUAAAUCCAUGUACUCUCUCCAAACCUGCAAUAUAAUAUAGAAUAUACAAUUUUCUACAGCACUAGAUGAACGGCAAAUAUUAUACAUUCUAUCUGAAGAAAUAUAAUGUUGUGCAACAAACAAGAAAGUUUACAUAGAAAAGAAGAGGUACACUUACUUUCACUAAUUUUAGCAAUCAAACCUUCAACCGUCGUGACAAGCCCACCUAAUGUGCCACUUGCAAGCUCCAAGUCAAGCUCAGGAACUUUUACACCUGCAGAAUCUGACUGCAAAGAGCAACAGCAAUGGCAAAAACAGAAGCAAUUAACUACCUGUCAGCUGAAGCUUUUGAAUUCAUCUAAGUGAGAAUCACUUAGGCUGUUAAAACUAAUAUAAAAAAACUAAUGAAAAAUGUUUAGAAGAAAAGAUCUUUGCACACACAAAUUCAAAUAAAUUUAACUAUAGCUUGAACUUAGGGCAUAGAAUUGAAGAAGGAAGCUUAGAGUUGUACAGAAGUAGGAUAAUGCACAAAAAAAGGAAUUCAAAAGUCAAGCAACAAGCCAUGGUUAAAGGGGCUUGAUAAGAUAAUAUCAAUUGCAUCCAGCCAUUGAGCUGUUACAAGUACAGACGAAUGAAAUAAGAAAUAGAUAUAGUUGAGAUUGUUAAGUCUCCAAUUCAUAUCUGAAUAGAUAUCAUGUCAGAAGGGAGAACAAACCUUUAUAACAUCCCGGGUAAGGUCUUUGACAUUCUUCACAUAUAAAGUGAUCUUUUUCCCUCUCUUAGAAAUUUCACCACCAGGCUUUAACUGUUCAUAGAAAGACACGGAAGGGGGGGAGAAGGAAAUCGAGAGCAGUAAUUCCAAGUUCUUAAAGUUGGAUACACGACCACAGGAUAUCAUUAGUAGGAUACUCUGAAAAGGUUGGAAUUUUAACAAACCUCAGCACUGCGGUAGCCGCAUAUAUCACAAGUUGUUGCCAUAACAAUCACCUCCCGAAAAUAUGGAAUUUCUAGUGGCGGUUAAGGCUCCGAAGACCGUAACAACCAUCAAACCAAGAUGAAAGCCUGUGGUCUAUAAUAAAUGUUUGUACAGACCAAUAAAUUCAAAACCUCAGCACUUGGCUGACAGAGACAACAAAGGGAAUAAUAUGUAUGUCAGCAGCAUAUUUAAAUAAAGGUCCAUUCAACAGACACAACCUCUAGAGUAGAGUCUUUUAUCUUUAUACCACAUAUGUGAAUUUAGAAACUAAAUAGAUACACAGUAACAAGAUGCAUUUACCAAGGAAAAUUAGAACCAAAUAGCAAGACAAAACAUCUAGCCAAUACAAAAUUUUAUACACAGUGAAACCUGAUAAACUCGAGGCUAAAACAGGAUACUUGUAGCAUAAAAGCGUGUAACACAUGCAGUUCCACAAGCUCCACAAGUUGAUGGCAAAGUGUCAACCUAUGCAUUAGAAAACAGAAAAAAGUGUAAAUGCGAAAACAACUGAAGAUCUCCUUGUGCACCUAAGGAGCACAAAUUCCAUACCUCCUCUGGCGCCGAAUAUCUACAUAAGGCGGCAGCAACUUCUUCAGGGUUGCCCUGAGCGAUUGCACGACGACCAGCAACAGCUCCAACUAAGCCAUGAGGCACUACUACGAUAUUAUUAUUUGCUGAAGCACCAUCAUCAGCAUGACCAGAUUCGUCGGUUGCAUUUGGUUCAACAAGAAAACCAAGGGACGCUUGUUGCUCGCGUGUUCUCUCGUAGAACCUAAUAGACAGCAAUGGGUCCGAUGAAGGUGCAAGCCUGUAAGAUAAAAAUUAAUCAAUGAAUCAGAAAUAACCAAAUAGAUUAGAAGUUCUAAUUUUCAGGAAAAAGGUGUGUAUCUACAUAUCAACCUGUCAAGCAUAAAACAAACCAAGAACAAAAUUAUUCUUACGGGUUCUCUAUAAAACUGUUUCCAGAAGGAUCGUCAAGAAUGAAUGUAAAAGCGGCAUUUCCUGACGCAAGAGCUCUCAGUUUUACCAAAAACUUGUCAAUAGCUUCGGCCUUCUCAGGAUCAACUUUCUGCAAAGUCAUAUGAUUAACUCUACGUGUCAUGAAGGCAGAGCAAACGAAACUGGAAAAACAAAACCUAGUGGUUCCUGAUUGCACCUUUCGUUCAUCUUGAAGGGCUUGCAACUCAUCCGCAGCACGUACAAGAAUCCCUUCCACCUACAGUGUGGUAAUAAAAAGCUCAGCAAAGCGUUAAAAGAUAUGUAUAUAUAACAAAUUAUAUCAUUUAAAGCCUAAAGCUCCAUAUAAUUUCCACUUAAUGAACAUAAGCAACAACUUUAGUAAGUGCUAAGCUUGUCUAUGUCACAGGAUAAAUUGUUUCCCAAGUAAAAUGCUUAAUAGCCAAGGACCGGCUCAGCUAAUUUUGUGGUAAUUUCAUGCUUAAACAAACUUAGUUGAUUUGAUUGAAGAGCAUUAUAAAUGACGAAACUAUUGGGUUACACUUUGAACUAAUCUAUGACGUGAACUAUCCUCUUACGAGAAUACAGCAACAAUUAGGUGAAAUCAGGGCAGAGCCCCAUAUUUUUAACGAUAAACUAGACGAGAUAAACUCUCUUAAUUUUGCAGCAACUUACUAAAUGUCAAAGUAAUGGAAUUGCAGCAUGUCAAAAGUUCUAAUAGAUAAAGGCUCAGCAUGCAACAAAUUGAAAAAUAAACAUGGCACAGAAAAGCAGAUAGCUUUACAAACUAAUCUGCUACCAGUCAAACAACCAAUUUUAUCAAGUAAAUACUUUUCAAAAAAAAAAACAUUUCAUAGAAAAAAGUCAUAGGGGCGUUCGUGUUGCAAACCUACACAUUGAAAGUGAAAAUAAUUACCGUAGAAAGUGUCCCACGUUGAGCCUCCGGAGGAAUCUCAAAAUCCAAUUGUGGAAUCUGCAAAAACAAUUUUCCAUCUUAUGUUUCUAUUAUAAAUACAUUUCUAACAAUCUCAAUCAAAGGGAAUGGUGUUGCUUCUUAAUCAAAAUCAAAAGGUGUGAAGUAUCUAUAACUAGAAAAUUCAACCAUUGCACUAGUACCUAACUUCAAAAGAAUGGCUAUUAGAAGACAGAACUGUACCUUAAUAGUUGCAGAAUCAGAUUUGACAACUUGACGAUUUAGUAUCUGCAGCGACAUCAGUCAUUAGCAGCUCAACAAACACAUUCAAUGCAUAAUAUAGUCUACCAAUACGACAGAUAUAACCAUACGAAUCCAUCUAAAAUGCAUAUCAUGCGCUCAUGGAAAAGCAGAAUCCCAUGACAAAAGAUUACUCUAUCAAAUUGUCUGACUUUAGAACUAUACAUUAUUAGAACUUCAUCUUAGAAAAUUCAAAAUACGAACAAGAAAACAGACGUUGCCAUAACUUGAAGCAAUCAUCCCUAUGUGAGAUUGACGAGGCAUCCAAAAUUUUAAAAUUUCUAUUCACAAUGCGAGAAUACCUCACUUCGUCCCAACGGGACCUCCAAACGGUAGCAACAUCCUUUGGGCUGUAACUGACCAGCAAACUGAACCUCGUUGUUCCUAAUAAAUGAAAGCAGUAACAUUUAAUGGAGAAUAAAAAACGGAGACUACUAGGAGAAAAGGAACACCAAUUAACAAGUAAUGAAAAAUAAUAGUAAUAAUGAUUCGAACUUGCCACCUAACAAUUAAUAUUGUUGACACUAAAUUCGGGGUAUAGACAAGGCGAAGUACCUCUCAUUGCAGUGGGGGCAUUCAAAGGCCAUCAAAACAAUCUAAACAAGUCACAAAACAACACAAACAUAAACCACCAAUCUAACAUUCAUAGAAGGGUAAAGGCUCAUAAUUAGUAAUUAAUACCUCCCUAAAGUGCGGAAUCCGCGUCAAGAGAAGCCUCGUUGCGCCCUGAAACCAAUACAAACAACGAAAGGAGCUGUAUAAAGGAUCAAACGGAAGAGAAUUUGAGAGGAUUUAAGAGAGAAACACCAUUAGAAUCGAGUAGAACGAAGAGAGGAUUUUAAGGACAUUACAUUCUCGCCACACCGCAUGCAAAGGGACUCGAUCUCGUUGAGCGGCGCCACUGCGGCAUCGGCCUCCUCCGCCGCGGAUCGGAGAUCCACCACCGCGCCACCGUUCUCCAUCGCCUUCCUCUUCUUCCUCUUCCUCUUCCUCUUCCUCUUCCUCUUCUUCUACUACAACCACCACCACCACCACUUACUAUGAGCUCCGGAUGCGCUCUCUCCUACGCGGCGAAUGAACCUAGAGGUUUCUACUUUCUACAAUCUACACGGAGGAGGAAGAAGAAGGCUCUGGAAGUGAAACGAAGCGCGCCGCGAAUCCGCUCCGAUUUGUGAAGAAACUCCGCGCGGGGUCGAGGGUUUCAACUCGGGCUUCGGCAAAAUACUCUGCACGGGCGAGGCACCCGCGCGUUAAUAAUUGGGCUUCGUAGGAUUGGCCCUUUGUGAAGAUAGUGCACAAAAAAAAGUAGCCUUGGGCCCGAGGUUUCCUAAUUUUAGGCCCAUUUUGGCCCACAAAAGAGUAUCAACGGAGUGCCCAACGGAAACUCGUUUCCCGCUGUUGCCAGUGGUUUCCAAUUUACGCUAAAACGGUAAAACCCUAAACCCGCUCGUCCCCACCCCACUCCCACAUCCAUCUCCACAGUCCACACACGCAUCUCCCUCGCCGAAGCCCUAACCCUAAUCCCAUCCAACAACAAUGCAGGCGACGGCCUCCGCCCACCUCCACCGUGACCACCACCUCUUCUCCUCCUCAUUCCUCCUACGCAGUCCCAAGCCGCGCCGCCCCCCCGCCACCGCGGUGCGCAUGAGCCUCCGCGAGGACGGGCCCUCCGUGGCGGUGGUGGGCGUCACCGGCGCCGUGGGCCAGGAGUUCCUCAGCGUCCUCUCCGAUCGCGACUUCCCCUACCGCAGCAUCAAGAUGCUCGCGAGCCGCCGCUCCGCGGGGAAGAAGCUCUCCUUCGAGGAUCGGGAGUACGUGGUGGAGGAGCUCCGCCCCGAGAGCUUCGAUGGCGUCGACAUCGCCCUCUUCAGCGCCGGGGGCUCCAUCAGCAAGGACAUGGCGCCCGCCGCAGUCGAGAGGGGGGCGAUCGUCGUCGACAACAGCUCGGCGUUCCGCAUGGUUCCCGAGGUCCCUCUGGUUAUACCGGAAGUGAAUCCCGAGGCGAUGGCGCAUAUUAGGCUCAAGGGGAGGUCGGGGAAGGGGGCGCUCAUCGCCAACCCCAAUUGCUCCACCAUUAUCUGCUUGAUGGCCGCCACACCGCUGCAUCGCCAUGCAAAGGUCCCGCCUUUUGUCUAAAAAACAGAUUUUGAAUUUACAGUGAAAUUACAGCAAGUUAUUCUCUUCCGAAUUAGAUUCAGAGUGAUUAAUAUUCAUGGGUUACAAUCUCCUAAAUAUGGAGUUUUCUUCUAUGUAAACUGGAAGGUAGUAUGAACACUAUUAGAUAGAAGCUUACACCAUUUUAUUAUCCUAUUUUUAGUGUGCUUCUCACCUUAGUAAAAUUACUAUUUUUAGUGACUACUAUGUCUUCCUAUCAACAUUUCCAUAGUUAUCAGCUUAUCAUCUUUACAUGGUUCUUCCUCUAAUUCUUUGGCCAAGCAACAUUGAAAUCUAAACUCGCAGAGAAAACUUGUUGGUAGAAUAUGGUUAGUUUAUUCCUGCUCCAGUCACUUUUAGGAUUGUUAUUUUUAUUUGGUUAAAUCUGAAUUCUUCCUUUUGUCUUGCUUGGUUUCCACCAAUUACGAGUUAUCUACUAAAUAAUCAUGUCUGUUAGCACGAUACACAUUCUUGCCAUUCUUACCAAGUAUUUCAUUAACUUAAAUUGAGUCGCCUGGAAUAUUCCUUCUGCCAAUCCGGCAGGCUCAUCCCUUUUUACGCUUUUUGCCCAGUGUCGAUAGAAUGUUUAAUGUAGAACUUUCGCUUCACCUGUGAGCUUGACUUUAUGCUCCUCGCAGGUGGUGAGAAUGGUUGUUAGUACCUAUCAAGCAGCGAGUGGUGCUGGUGCUGCAGCAAUGGAAGAGCUCGAGCUACAGACCCGUGAGGUAGUGUAUUUAUUCUAUCUUAUUUCUCUAUGCUUGAGGUUUCCCUGGACUAAACAGCUUUUCGAUUGAUACUCUUGUGUUCUCUCUUGAAUAGGUCUUGGAUGGCAAGCAACCAACUUGUAAAAUCUUUAGGCAACAGGUUCUUCUUUCAUAUCUGUGUUGCCUUGGUUGAACAGUUUAUCCAUUUUUCUAUUGACACCAAACUUGAGUGGCUAAUCUCUAUUUAUGCAGUAUGCUUUCAACCUGUUCUCACAUAAUGCACCAGUUCAAGCAAAUGGGUAUAAUGAGGAAGAGAUGAAAUUGGUGAAGGAGACUAGGAAAAUCUGGGUAACUAUUUCUGAAAAAUUUUGUAUUUGCAGGCUGUUAUUACAGGGUAAUAAAAUUCCUAGAAAGUUUGGAAAAGAUGACUCUUAGGAUUGUUUCUGUGUAUUUAUAUAUCCGUAUAGAUGCAUUACAUUGGACCCUCUAGUAUUCUUUGAAGAUGGAUGUCGACAUACUUGUUACCUUGAAUCAUAACUUUUGUAGAAUGACACGGAUGUCAAGGUGACUGCAACUUGUAUACGGGUACCUGUAAUGCGUGCCCAUGCGGAGAGUGUGAAUCUUCAAUUUGAGAAGCCGCUUGAUGAGGUUAGUAUAGAAACUUCGUCUGUUCUUAGAUUUGAAUAAAUUCAGCGAUUAGUAAAAGUUUCAUGCCAUGCAUUCGACAAUAAUUGAGCUGAAAGUUUUAUGUUUUCGUAUGCAAGCAUGUAGCUUCAUUUUUAUGAUUCAUCAAUACAGGUCUAAAGUGACUUAAAUAUGCUUUUCUGCCAUUCAUUUGUAUGAUUUAUAUUUCGUUUGGUCUCCAUCAUUUCUCAUCAGCUGUUAUUAGCCUUUCAAACCACAAAAAUAGUUAUUGGAUCGUGCAUCAAAAGAAAAUAUAUCAAACUGAUGGCAUGUGAUUCUAUGGUAGUGUUAUGAUAUAUAUUUAUAAUUUCAAGAGCUUUACCCCUAAAAUUACGCUGGUGCUUAGAAGCGCUAAUUAUUGUUGUUUCAAGUUACUUUAUCUCUGUGGGUUUAUCACCAUUUUGUUUAGCUCCAUCGUGUCCUUUGUCAUGGCAUCCUUGGCAUGCUGCACGGUCAAUGGCAGAACUAAUGUUUCUACUCUAAAUAUACUUGGCUUAUGGCCUAAUUGCACUUUUUCAGUCCAAUAAUACCCCCUAAAGGAAUGAAUUGUGCCUUUUACUCAUCAGAUCUGCACUUGAGAAUCGUGCUCUUUUGUACUUUUUUGGACGAGGUUUUGGUUCUUGCUUGCAUUUAUGUGCUACUUCAUUUCCUUAAUUUUUUUUCUUUACUUUAAAACGAUACUCUUACAUAUUUAAAUUGUUAAUAUAUUCACUUCCUUAUUGUGAAGGAUACUGCAAGGCAGAUAUUGAAGGAAGCUGCUGGCGUGGUAGUCAUUGACGAUCGUGCAUCUAAUCACUUUCCUACACCUUUGGAGGUUAUCUUGUUAACAAUCAUUCUUUAAAUUUUGCGGUAGAUGCUUGUUUCGCCUGGCUUUUGAACAAAUUCUCUUCACUAGUAGAAGCCAGACAUUAGGUAGAUCUAGAUCUAGCUAACACUGUAAUAAGCAGAAAAUAGUUUCUUAAGCCCGAAAGCCACUUGUUUCUAGCUUAAGUAUAAAGUUGUGGGAUUAUAAUCUGAAGCUAUUAGGGGUUUCUGCAUACUCAAAUAACCCUCUGCAAAUGCUUCAUACGGGCCAAAUAGGUCCCAAGCAUCUUUAGUCAGGAAAAGGAUAACCAUCACCACACAAACAAGGAUGACGUAGCAAAAACAUCGUAAGUGAGGAGAUAAUUUCUUUGCAUGCAGGUAUCAAACAAGGACGAUGUAGCAGUCGGCAGGAUACGCCAAGACUUUUCUCAAGAUGGCAACCUUGGGUAAGUAUUUUCCGAAUUGUCAAUUUUAAACCAUCACAACUGCUUGUUUAUUUGGUUUCUUAGGUUAAAGCUAGGCACUUUUUUGUUAUUAUUUCUUAACGGAGGGGGUGCUAACUUUGUGAGGAAACAUAAUUGCCACAGGUUGGACAUCUUUGUCUGUGGAGAUCAGAUACGCAAAGGUGCUGCACUCAAUGCGAUACAGAUUGCUGAAUUGUUGCUUCAAUAGCCAUCGUCUAUCCACUUCUGUGUGAUUGUGCAUUGUUUUUUGGUUUCCAUUUUUGAGAUAGAGGCAAAAUUUGGGUUCGGGUGUGGUUUAAUCUUGUAUCAUGCAAUCAUCUAGCGGGAGUUAGCAAAUUUUGAUGGAAUACUUCAUAAUUUGUUGGGUUGAUAAGUAAAUUAUCUGUACUGUACUACUGUUAGAUUAAAAGAUAACUGAUUUUAUUUAUAAAUUGCCUCCGAGCACGAAGCUCUGGCACUAUUGCAUUCAUUCGCCAGGAUGGUUGAUUGCAGUGUAACACACAAGAAAGCCUUGCCUUGUUCACUUAUUAUUAAUUAGUUUCUCUGCUUCAAAAAAUAAAAACAAAGUAGUGAGGCUUUGCUAUACUGAAAUGCUGAUACCCUGAUAUGAGUCAGUUUCAUUUUUCCUGCAGUGGGUGGUUGGUGCAAGUAUUUAUUGCUGAUGCUUUUCUAAGCAGUUAAAUGUAUUUAUGAAGAUGCUCCAGCAGGUUUCUGAAUAGUAUCCUCAAGGUCAAAAGGUAGAGGCAGUAAAAGUAAAGAUUGUAACUCGAAUUACAGUACAUAAACUAAAGAGAGUGGUGCUUUUCUCUUCAUUAGUGCAGAACCGAAAGUGGAAAUGCACAGUGGAGUCAUCCAAGCAAGAGCACAUGUGACAUGAUCUCUGCAUCUUCUGCAUUUGAAAUUAGAGGUGCGAGUAAAAGAGCCAAAUGAUGAAGCUCGCAUGGAGCCUUUUUCUUAGUGCUACAGCUGUUCAUUCAUGAGCAUGCAUUUAUUUUUACUCUCUUCGACUGCUACAUUAUGUUGGUCCGUAUACGAUCGUUGCUAUUCAUAGCUUUCAAACGAACUGUACGUAAGCUUCUGUACGCGAAGCUGCAGAAAAGUUCUAGAAGGUCUGAGAAAUUGAAGUUGCCAGCUAGCUAGAAAUGAAUUUUCUAGUCAGAACCCUUUACAUUUUUUUCUUUUUCUUUUUCAAUUCAAUUUAAAUUAAUCUUUUCCAAUUAAUGUGUCGAAAUAUAUAACUUAGCUGUAAAAAGUUUAGAUUAAUUAGCCGCAGGAUAGCGUUCAACCAUUUCGCUCAGAGCUUCGUUUACAAAAAAAAAUAAAAAAUAAAAAAUAAAAAAAUGGAGUACUGGGAAAAGAAUAGAGUGACACGUGGCAAGGAUCAAAGGGCGCUUCUCCCUCUCGAAGGACUUUAAUUAAUUUUGCUAUUAAAUAUACAAAAAUAUUUGUAAAGGCAAACAUGAAGUAAAUUGAUCACCCUGGUUCUUUAAAGCUAACGCUGCACAAACUAUUUUCGAAAAGAUUACACUGAAAAAAUGAAGCUUACAAAUUUAACCAUGUGAAAAUUCAAAUUAAGACCAUUUUGAAUUACAAUAGGAAGCAGAUAAAUUGUGCAAAAUGCUACUUAAUUAAUAGAUGAAACGAACAUAAAUAAAUUACAUAUUACAAUACACCAUCCCCACGCAUAUUUCGCUCCCACAAACACGCAAAACCAGUAACACUCACCUCUCUCAACCUAUAAUACAUACCAUUAUUGAAAAACCAUGCAUGCAAAAUGCGCGCGUACGUACGUUUAUUUGGAUCACAAGAUAUAUAAAUACAACUAUUUACUGCGUACAUAGAUAAAAUCGCGAAUUCAUUCAUAUAUAUGUAUAUAAUGGUUCUAAGAUGCUGAUUAUUCAGGGGCACUUGGACCUGCGGCGGAGGCCGGUGCCGGUGUACUUGUCGCGGUAGCAGGGGCACUCGUCUUUGUUGCCGUACGUCCCCGACGGCACGCAAUUGCACUCGGCGCAGCACAGCCCGCAGUACCUCAGGCACCGAUCCUGCACGCUCGCCUUCGAGCACCUCACCUUGCACUUGCCGUCGCAAAAUGCUACACCAUGCAUCCAACAAAACAUAUAAGGUAAACUUCAUAUACCGUUCCUAUAAUUUCGCAUUUUCUCACUUUAAUAUUCUGUAAUUUAAAGUGUAUGAAUUUAGUCCUGUAGUUUUAUUUUUAUCUUUUCGUCAGUUUUUUCAUUAAUAUUUUGUUAAAUUAUAUACAAAAAACUUCAGAUACUCCACCUAGAUUCAUUGAAUAUUCACUUUAGUACCCUUUAGUUUUAACUUUGUCAUCAAUUUAACGAAAAAAAUUAGUAAAAUCGAUAAUAAAAAGAUAAAAAUAAAAUCACAUGAUACUAAAUUGAUACAAUUUAAACUAUAGAGUAUUAAAGUAAGAAAGUGUGAAACCAUAAGGACGGUAUUUUGAAGUUUUUCUAAAUAUAUAUAUAUAGGGCUUAGUUCAAGAGUGUGUGUGUAUAUAUAUAAACCAAAAUAAUUGUCGUGUCUGUUUAGCCUUAUUUUUACUUUUCAUCUUAGAAGUAAGUACAUGUAAUAAAUAAUAACUCUAGAUCUUCUGUUGUGACUUGUGAGUAGCAGUAAGGAAAAGGGAAAGUAAUUUUGAAAUCUGAAAGUAGAAACUCUGAAGUAGAUUCUCUCAAAAUUACUUCAUGCAUCAACAAUACUACAAUCUAUAUAUUAUAGAACCAAACAGCCCCAAGACUAUUUUAGGUAAAGUGUACCCUAACUUUUUGAAACAACUCUCUAUUUUUACCAUAAAAACAAGAGCAAAAUCAAAAGAACACAAAUUUCAAGCUUUUGCUUUUAGUGCAUGAAGAAACAAGAUUAUAAAAAUAAAUAUUAGUGCUUCUUCGAACAGCACACACUAUGAGUCAUUUUACAUGCAAGUGAAAUUGGCAUCUCUACCUGAGCCAGCCAUGGAGGUUUGGAGGUAAGAUGAGGCCAACAGUAGGAGGAGGAGGAGAAAAGCCAAGGUGGUGGUGGUGGUGAUGUAAAGGGGCUUCAUCUUCUCUGUUGCCAACUUUGUGUUAUGUGUAGCUCUUUUAGUGUAGUGAUGUGUGUUUUUUGGAGUGGGUGGGGUGGGGGUUAUUUAUAGGGGAGAGGAAUGAGACUUGUUAGGAGAGGUUUGGUUUGGUGAGGAGACUAAUAGUUAGUAAUGGAAGGACUAUAAUGAACCCCAUGACUCACAUGAGCUGGCAUCCAUAAGGGCACAAGAAACCUUUUUUGGAAUUAAUAGAUGAGAUGGGGCCAUGAUGUUAUUGCAGGUGUAUAUAUGGCACCACCACCGGUAUGGGGGUACUGGUGAAUUACAAGUUUAAACCUGGUUCACCACAUCAUAUGUCGACCUUUUUUUUUUUUUUUUUUUUCUCGCGUACUUUAAUCUUUGGCAUUCGAUAACUUAUACUUUAAUCUAAAUUAUUUAGUACUAUUUGUUUCUAGAAUGAUGGGAAUCAAAAUAAUGCUAGAGCGAUUUGAAUAGGGGUGACUCUUAUUAUUCAUAAUAUGAGCAAUUUAAAAUCUGUGGUUAGAAAAAGUUUUAAAAAUUUUAUAUACCAUAUCAUUAAAUAAUAAAAUGAAUACUGACUCACUCAGCUUAUAUAUAUAUCUAAUCGACGCACAAUAGCAUAUUAUUUUUCCAAUCAAAUUCUUCUGAGUUGUUUGUUUGGAAAAGUUUUCUUUUUUUUUUUUGCAUAUAUUUUUUGAGCAUAUAGUGAUGUGUGAAAAAUGACUUAGGCCGGUUCACGGCUGACGUGGUGGACAACAUCCAUGCAAAAUUUAGUCCUUAGGGGGGGCAAGGGAACGGGCCGGUGCAUGAAAUGAAAGCAGUGGUGAAAUGUACUGCGUCCAACAUCGCUUUGCUUGCAAUAUUAAUUCCUCCUUGGAAAGCGUUAUUCAUUGCGUGCCCGAGAAUUUAGCCUUUUUAUUUUUUUUCUUUUUUCUUAAAAAAAAAAAAAAACUCACAAACAGGUUGAGAGUUGGUGGUGGUGCACGUGCGAGGAUCUGCUUUCGCGAUCAUGCGGUUUCUCCUCCGAAGAGAAAACUAAGGGCGAUAAUAAUAAUUUUUAACUAAAAUUUAUGUUUUAUACAAAAGUAUUUUUAUAUCUAAUUAAAGUUUUUUAUUAUCUCUUAUAUAUAUAGGACACAAUGGUAGGGUUUAGUCACCAUAGUUCUUUAAAGUGGGCAUGCCAUGCAUGCACGGGGGUGAAUUCCUAGUCCCAUGUGAAUGUGUCUCACCGCUUCGGAGUUAACAUUCCAUUUGAUGCGUUGUAGGUCAUUUUACUCUGCAACAGAUCGGUCUAUGUUUUGGCUUAUAGCGCUUGUUUGUUUGCUCUUGUUUGUUUUUUUCCCUUUUAUUUGAGAAGUUAAAGGGUGGUGUAUGAAGAUAUAGUUUUGAAAUUUUGAAAUUAAAAACAUUUUGGGUAGAAAAGGGUUUUUUUUAUUUAUUAUUGAGAGAUUGAGAUUGAUAAUAUGCUAUUCGUUUAGUUCUUUUUUUUUAAUAAUAAACUUAUUUUAAAAAUAUAAAAUAAUUAAUUUUUAAACUUUGAAAUUUCGAGUACCAACCAUCAAAUUAAUAAUUUUUCACCUGCGUUAGGAAUAGUCGAUUUAAUGUGGACUAGUUGGUAAUUCAAAAUAAGAUAAGAUACUUGCUACAAAAUAAGAGGUUUUGGAUCCAAUUCGAAAUCACACUACUCUAGGAUUUGAUGUUCCAGGGUUAGAGAGAGUCUAAGGACUACAUCAGAAAAGAAAAGAGAGUUUUCUACAUAAUUUUAUUUACUCAAUAAAUAACAAUUUACUUCACAAAAAUAAAGUCGCGUACAAAAUAUGAAAAAAUUAAUGUGAAAUAUUUUGCCUUGGAUAGAACUGUGCUGGGAACAAGUCGGGCCGUGGACCGAAAACAUAGCCAGAGUCGGCACAUUGUGACCUGAAUCUGUAUCCGUGCCGUGCCGUGCCGUGCCGUGCCGGGCAACCUCAGAGCACAACCAGGCCCAGAAAAAUGUGGAUCCAUCUUAUACCGGAGUUUCAAAUGGAUAUGUGGCCCAAAUUUGAAUUACUAAUGGGCCGGAUCCAUUAAGGCCAUCCCACCACAUGAAACUGUUCUUCCAAACGAUCUAACAAGCCCAUUUAUGUUACAACCCACAUGGGCUCGCCUCGGAGAUGGAGCCAUGCAUGGGCUCACGUGAUUUACGUUUUCUCUUGCUGAAAACGUGAUUUGCUCUUACACCAAUUGUUGGAAAGAGAGGAAUAUUAUAGUGAGUUAAACUAAAAAUUUUAUUAAAUAUUAUUAUACUAAAUUUCAGUGAUGGAUAAUUUUUCGAAUAAAUCAAAAUCUUAAUAGCAAUAAUUGAACAAGAUUUAAACUUACCUUCUAUGUCUGACUAACAAAAUAUUAAGAGAUAAAAUUGACAGAAAUAAAUCUAAACUUAUCAAAAAAAUUUGAGUUACUUAUUAACAUUUUUUUUUAAAUAUAUAAUGGUGAAAAGCGAAGCAGCAGCUGAAUUAAGCUCUAUAUCAGAGGUAGGAUCUAUAGUAUCAUACUUGCACGGUUGCACCAUAUUAUCAGUAACAAAUCAACUAUGUGUCUCUCAGUGAGAGAAAAAUAUAAAAAAAAUAUGAAAUUGGUGAACCUAAGGAGAACAAUCCUAUUAUCUACUACUACUACAGCCAUGCGUACGGACACCAUAUAUUGUCUACAUUUGUUCUUCGGGUUUAAGUAGCCCACAGGAUUUGUACCUCAAGACCACACUUUAUUGAAAGAGUACUAGCUAAAGAGUCCUACUUAAUUAUAUACUUUUAAAAAUACGAUAGCCUUUGUACUAUCAGAUCGUUAUUGGUAUUGAAACUUUCGAAUCGACAACCAGAUUCGUUAGAUUUGAUCUAAAAUAUUAAAAAUUUUUAAAAAAUAAAUUUUAUGUUUUUCCAAAAUUAUUUAUUAAAUGACCGAAAUGACUCAAAAUGAAAUAUAACGAUGUCAAUCGUUAAUUCGGAAGUUCGAGUUUCGAAAACGACUUGAUAUUAUGGAGGCCUUUGUGUUUCUUAAAAUACACAAGCCUAGCUCACUAGACAGCAUUCAAGAAGCUAAGGACUUUUCUUUUGUUGUUAUUGUUGUUAUUAAUUGUUUUUUUUUUUUUUUUUUUUGAGAGAGAUAGGUAGCACGCAAUUGUUGCUGUUGUUGUUGUUGUGAGGUACACAUUUGUGAGAUGCACACGGGGUUUCAAACCUUCAACCUUUAUUUUUUUUGCAUCAAUUUUAUGUAUAAAUACAUUUUAUAUACUGCAUCUAUAAAAUUUUAUAGCGAAAACUCAAAAUUAGAAUCCAAUUGGUUCUGAUGGAUCGAGCCCGACAAAGUCCAGUGUUUUCCUAAUCAUCUUAAUUAUAGUUUUUGAAUUUUUUUUAAAAAAUUGAUAGGAGAGAUAGGCUGUGAAUAAUUUCUUUACUCGAAGAAACAACAUCAAUGAUCGAUGCUUGAACUAUAUACAAACAUAUUCUAGUAAUCAUAUUAUCUCACUGAUCGUCCCUAGAGCAAGUGACAAAGGGUUUGAUAGUUAGUACUUAAGACCCAAAUUCGAAUCCUAGUUGAUUCGCAUUUUCAACUAAGUUUAUUUCUAAAUGGAAUAAACGAAGCGGGUAGCGUGUUACCUAUCUCUCUCUCUAAAAAAAAAAAAAAAGAAGUAAUCAUAUUAUCUCCUACGACUAAACUAAUUUUCACACUCAGAGAAGUAGAAAACAACUUUUAAAAUUUAUGCUUUUAUCAAAUUACUAAGAAAAAAGAUUUUACUUACCAAUAGAAAUUGAUUAACAGAAUUGAAUGAAACAGCACUUUUUAGAAAAGCUCUUGCCAAUUAAGCCCAACCCAACCCAGCAAACCUUACAAUAAUAUAAAGCGAUCACCAGUAAACAGUACUACUGCACUGUGAAUCUACUGUUAUGAAAGGCACUGAAUCUCCAAAAAGAAAAGUGGAAUCUCUAACAACAUCUCCCCUCCAAUAUUGCUUCCAACUCAAGCAUCAUAAAAGGUGAAAGCUAUAGAUGGAGAGAAAAGAUACACAUAGCAAACACUCUUUUAAUAACAACCAACAGGAGGGUAGUGUGAUUUAUGAACAAUGGUCCUCAGACACACAACCUCUCCCUAUCUCAUCUCUCCCCUUUACCUUUGCCCACCUUUCCCUUUUCUGGCACUGUCUCCUCGUGGCCGGAAUUCACACUAAACAGCGAGCGAGCUAUUACCUAAAAAAUUGAUAUUACAAUAAACUUGUUCAAAAGUUAUCGUAAUACUCUUAUUUAUGUGCGUGCGUGAUGAACAUAUAUUAAGUAAAUCAUGUCGUGUAUAUAUAUGCAUGCAUUAGGGAAAGAGAUAAUGCAUGGAAUAACACACUAGAUUCCGAAUUAGAACUGGCUCCCAUAUUAAAAUAUUUGAAGUUAAUUUUCACUUCAUAAAUUAUUCUAUUCACAGAGAGAGAGAGAGAGAGAGAGAGAGAUCUCCAAAUGCGUGGAAAAGGGUGCAACAGGGUGGUCUCAGCUCUCAAGGGGAAAAAAAGCUAACAGUGGGUAUCUGAUCCCCAACAGUAUACCAUAUGGUCAUGUAACAACUAACAAGUGGAAGUGCUUUAAAGGAGGACGCAUGGCCAUUAAUCCCUGGGCUCUUCCUUCCCUGCUGUAAUGUGCGGGAGGUGUUGAUAAGGAUCCCUAGAACUCUUUUGGGUUGGAUUCCCGAGGCCAAGAGAUCGAUUGGGAUAUAUACAUUGUUGAAACACCAAACAAAAUUAACUUAGGAUAAGAGGAAUUUGGUUACCACCACUGUAUGGCACAGUUAAUUGAUAUAUGUAUAUAUAGAGUUCGGCUAUUAUAUUCUUAUGAGUACGAUCAAUCUCGUAUUUAUAAGUCGUUUUCAACGAUAAAACUUAUGAAUCGACGAUCCAUAUCGUUAAAUAUUAUCUAGAGUAUUUAAAAUUUCUAAAAAUUAAAUUUUAUAAUUUUUCGACAUCAUUUAUCUUCUAUUAAUUUUUGUGAUUGUGAUUCAACUUCUCAUGUCAAUGGGAAAGCUGGUGUUGGUUACGAUCUACAGGCACUAAUUGGGAGGAUUAAGUUACUCUCCAUGCACUUAGGCCACGUGAAUAAAUAUCAAACUAUAGCUGUUUGGGUAGCUGAGGAGUGUAAAAUCUCGACUAAUUAAGCUUGAUUGUGUACGCAUGCUUUGGUUAUAUAUAUAUAUAUAUAGGGUCCGGCUACUAUACUAUUAUGAGUACGAUCGCCCUCGUACUCAUAAGUUGUUUUCGAUGAUAAAGCUUCCGAAUUGACGAUCCACACCGUUAAACGUUAUUUACAGCAUUUAAAACUUCUAGAAAUCAAAUUUUAUAAUUUUUUGACAUCAUUUACUUUACGAUCAAGAGGUCACAAAUUUGACAAUUUUUAACGGCCGGUAUGAGAUACUUGCUAGUUUAACGGUGUAAAAGAAUCGGAAGUUGUUGAAUUUUUGAUAGAAAAUUCUAUUCACUACAUAGAUAAAGAUCAAUAACUCCGAUCUUGAUUCGAAGGAUCCGAUCAUUCUUUUUUAGGACGUCGUUCGAUUUUGACCAUUCAUUUUAUGCCCACUUGAUGGACUUUAUUAUGAUUUUGAAAAUUUACGAAAUUUAUUUUCUAGAAAUUUCAAAUACUCUAGAUCAUAUUUAAUGGAGUGAAUCGUCGAUUCGGAAGCUCCAUCAUUGGAAACAACUUAUGAGUACGAGGGCUCCAAUACUCAUAAUAGUAUAGUAGCCAUGGCCAUAUAUAUAUAUAUAUAUAUAUAUAUAGAGAGAGAGAGAGAGAGAGAGAGAGAGAGAGAGAGAGAGAGAGAGAGAGAGAGAGAGAUAAAAUGUAUAGAAACCUCUCAAGUAUAGGCCAUUAAUUUGAGAUCAACUCAAAUGAUUUUGAUUGACAUUUUCUUAACUUUUGAAUAUUUACUUUGAGCUAUCUAAUUUAUCUAGUCAAUUCCUUUAAGUUUAAAUAUCUUUAUUAACUUUAACUAUUAAACAUUAAUUCCGUCCACUCACUUUCAUACCUAAUUCUGAAAUUUGGAAACAUAAAGUAUGAUUAUAAAGUUGAAAACUGCACCAUUCUGAAAUGACCAAUCGUGGAAGGGGCUCUACAGUUCACACAUGAUCCUUUUUCUUAAAAUAAAAAUAAAUCUAUAAUUAAAGAGGACCCGAAUAAAUUUAUUGUGCUCCGGGGAUCGCGCCGUGGUGCAGAGGGGAACGAGGCAAAUUAAGUUGGGCCCAAUCUCUUGACAAUGACCCUUGCAGGUCAAUGAUGGGUCCAAUUUGGUUCCGGUUAGGUGCGUGCAUGUGCAUUGGUCCACCAUGCAUAAAUCUAAGUUGAGCCACGUAGUCACACGUGCUCCGUGUAAAGUUAAGCAUUUACCUGUGAUUUUCGUCGCCCAAGUUAUUUAAUUUAAUGAUUAAGACACCUAAAUUUCUAAAACAUGCAUGGUUAUAAAAUUUGAGCGAGGCACUACAUAUAAUUGGCAUAAGAAGGACCAAAAGAGUAACCCCUAUGAACCAAAAUAAAAGAUAGCCAUUUAAAAAUAUCCAAUCAAAAUAUAUAAAUAUAUGUACAAUAUUGUUAAAUCAAUGUCUACACUUUUUAAUUAAUUAUGAACAUUUUGUACCAUAUCUUUUAGGUGGUAUAUAAAGACUAAUAGACGUAAAGUAGAAUAACUUAAUUAUACAAUAUAAUUAUAUGAGUGCGGGUGAAAAAUUAAAAGUUUAUUAAGUAUAUCAAUGAGUGACAAUAAAAAUGUAUUUUAAUUCAGCAGUACGUAUAAAAUAGAGAUGCACAAGACUAAGAACAACUUAUUGGUAUGUGUAUCAUUUUGAGUCAAAUAGCUAGGAUUGAGUUUUUGUUUAAACUUAAAAUUUGAAAUAAGAUACAAGUUAAAUUUAAUUUUGGCACAGUGAACAUAUUUUGCUUUUUAUAUCUAGUAUGUAUGCUUUAAACUGGGCACUCCACUCGAGAUAGUCUCAGCUACCACGGCUGAAAUUUGGCACGUAGAUAGAGGUCAACUGUAUGGUGCAGUAACCAAAGCUUAUCUUGACGUGCCAACUUAAAAAAAAAAAACAACAAUAACAAGAAAACACAAGAAGAAAUAGUUAAAAAAAAAUAGUACUAACAAAUUUGAUACUCUUAUAUUUUCAAUAAAUGAAUCAGGUAGCGUGUUACUUAUUCUCAAAAAAAAAAAAAAUUUAAUACUCUUUUUUAAUUACUAGAGCCAAAUUAUUAAAUAAUAUCUUCUCAAAUCUAGCUAGUUUAUUUGUCAAAACCAAAAUUGACUUUGUUUAUAAUGUUGCUCUUGUACACGUGGAUGUGCAUUAAUUCUACGAUAUGUGUGUCACACUUCAGCAUGAAUCUUGUGUACUCAAAAUUCUCAAAUUCAACUAAUUGCAUCCGUGUAGUUAUGUUCGUGUGCAAGGGCCAAAAAAAAAAAAAACACGAAGUUUUCAAAUCAAUUUCUGUAAAUUUUAAAGUCUCUCAAUAAAUUCUCAAGGGCAAAACUAUAGUAGAAAGAAAUUGGUAUUGUCUCAGGGACAAACCAAAAUAAUAGUCAGGAACAAAUUUAAAAGUUGAAAUAAAUUAUAUACUUAUAUAUAUUGCAUACUAACUUUUGAGCCGCAAAGAAGAUAUAUAUAAUCCGUAAAAUUAAUCAGCAAGAAACUAUUUUCACCAUCUUUCCUACUUAUAGCUUGUAAAAUAUCAGUUACUAUUUGACUUUGUACAAUUGUGUUUGGCAUGCCAUUAGUUUAAAUAAAUAAAAAAUAAAAUAAGUGCAUCAUUUUAUACCAUUUUAUACCAUCUUAAGAUUUUGGUGGCGAACGAUUGUUUCAUUUUUUUAAAAUUUUGUAUCGGGAUAAAAAAUUCUGAAUUCGAGUCUCGUCAAACUCUCAUUAUAAUGAUUUUCUUUCAAUUAAUUCAAGUUCAAAUAAGAUAUCGCCAUAUCGGUCAAAAUAUUUCAAACCUAAAUGCAAAAAAAAACAUUAAAUAUAAGAAAGUAAAAAAUAUCAUUUUCUAGCCAUUUUAGUUUUAAAAAAAGAAAAUGAAUUCUUUAGUAUGAUUUAAUAAUUAGCAUAUACAAUUUUUUUUAAUACAAUUUUGCAUAUCAAGUUAAAACAUACAAAUUUAUAUUAUAAUAUAUAUAUAUAUAUAUAUUAUUUUUUAUUAGUUUAAAUUUUUAGAAAUAAAUGAUCAUUCUGUAUAAUUCAAUAAUUGGUGUGUACCUUUUCGUUUUAUUUUUUUUAAAAAAAAAUAUUUGUGCAUUACAUCAAGUCGAAACAUAGGAAUUUAUAUUAUUUCUCUCUAAUCAAUGUCUUUUCAUUCAUCUCUGUCUCUUUCUACGCACCUGUUGUUAGCUAGUGUGGACAGUGUACUGUAGCGUGUAGACUAUAUGAGGAGAGAGGCAUGUGAGGACAACUCGGAAUGGUGUACGUAUCUAUCUCUCCGCAAUCAGCGGCGUACGUAAUUGCUUAUGCUAUCAUUAUGUUCAUUAUAUAUACAAAUUAUUGUAUAUAUAUAUAUAUAUAUAUAUAUAUAUAUAUAAUAUAAUAUAUAAUAUCAUCCUAUCUACUACCUAGUGCAUUUUAUAUAUUGUGUUUCAUAUUAAACUGGUUAACUGCGUUGGUUAUUUGCAUAACAUAAUAUUAAAAUCAAUAUUUCUACAUUUCCCUCCAUUUUAAAGGAUUUUGAGUUUAUUCUGCAUCUACUAUUAUAUAAUGAUACGUAUAUUUCGAUCUGUUAGUAUGUCCGCAUAUGCACAAACAAUUUAAUUAACUUGGUGCAUGCAAAAUAAGAUGUGCAUACUAUUUUUGUAUCUAUUCAGAAAAAAAAAGGUGUAAAUUUCUAUUGACAAUAUUUGUAUAGUAAGUCUUACUUUUUUUAAUAUUAAAAACUUAAAAGGUUACGUAAACGAGUGUAUAAUUUAUACCCUAUUUUUUUGGAUAUAUGUUAAGUCGCUUUAUUUUUUCAAAUAAUAUUUAAAUCCUGUUUAGCUGCUGCUUAAUUUUAUUUAUUUCUCGUAAUUAAGUGCAUUAAUUAACACUCUCUCAAGCUGUUUUAGUGAAUUCCAACCUAGCAAGCACUCGAAGAUCUUCUCCACAAAGCAGUUCACUUGUCUCCAUCUCCAUUAUCAUACAAGCAUUUUUUACUUUUUUUUUUUAGUCGAAAAGAGUGCAUUUGUCAAAGUCUUCAUCAUGCUCCAAUUAUUCUAAUUGCACUAUUCAGUUCAUAUUCCAUCUAUCUAAAAGUCAAAUUUAACUAACCUAUUAGGUUUCUAUCUAGCUAACCAAUCUAGUAAUGAUCUUAUAUUUCUUUUUUCUUUCCAAAAAAGUAAACAUUUAUUUUUAGUCAAUCUGCGUACCCCAAAGAUCGAUCUGAUAAUAAACAAGUUCAAAUAAAUAUAAAUGUUGAAGGCAAAGAUCGAACUCACGAUCUGAACAAAUAAAGAAAUUUAGAGUUAACUCAGAUACCUUGUAGUCUUAAAGAUCGAUAUUUUAGAUUACAAUCUAAAGUAGGACCAUCAUGCACUAUGAAAGGAGGCUUAUAGUAAAUGAAUAAUUAUAGAGCUAGUAGGUGCAUGCAUGUUCGACACCAUCCGUCCGUCCCCAUGCACAUUCCUGCAUUGCUACUCGGUGAAGCGCUAUCAUAAAAAUGUUUCAUCGCCCAAAUGCUUUGCUGUAAAUAACUAUAGCUGAAAGAGGUGAAAGUAAGAAGCGGAGCCAUUAUAUAUGCACUACGGUUGUAGCAUGGCUCAUAAUAGAGCUUCUCUACAUGCACGUGCUACAUCGCCCCCACGUCCCCUCAUCGCUGUGCAAUGAAGCGCUUUCGCAAAAAUGGUCCACCCAACAAAGCCAAAUCGCGUCCAUCUGUAUCGACUAAUUGUAUCAUAAAAGAUGAUGGCUUUGAUCGAGCUCAGCAGUUCUGUAUGGACCCGACUCAUAUAUAUAACUACAAAUAGUGAUGGAGACGUUGGGGAGAAAUUAUUGCAAACGCGCAAAUAGUGUACUAUUGCAGGUCAUAGACCACAAUUUUUUUUAAACCUUAUCUAAUGGUCUUUAAAAUUAGAAUAUAAUUUAUUGAAUGCGUUUUGUAGUAUUUUAAAUACUUUGUCAUCAUCCUAAGUUGACUGGUACGAUGUCUCCUUGUAGCUUUAUAAUUUAAUUUUUAUUUUACUAUAAAGACACUACAUAUAUUUUGUCAUCUUAUAGUUUACAAAAUGUAUUAUUUUAUUAUCUUGCCAUGUAUAAAUUAUAGUAUUUUUUAAUCCCACCUAACAACAGAUUAAUUCUUAACAAAGUAAAGCUUUUUAAAUGAUAUGGAUGUUUUCCUUUAAAAUACAGCUAUAUAUAGCAAAAAUUAUAAACUUUUUAUAGUAAUUUCUAAAAAAAAAUCAAAUAAUGUCACUCUCUACGACAUUUUUUUUUGGAAAUAAUGAAUGCUAAUUAAGCUAACAAAUUUUUAAUUUUUUUAGUGAGUUUUUUUUUAAAUAGGUGUCUUAAAAAUUACAAAUUAAAUAAUAAUAUGCCGUGCAUAGCGUGCAUGUGCGCGUAAAAAUUUCUCGUUACACGGGGUCCCACUCAUUAUGUGCUUGAUGGGAAUAGUAUCACCUACCAUUAAAUCACAAUCGAACGGUUCUGAUACGGACCGUACGAACCCCGUCCUGAUCGUAAUUAAUUAGAUCUUUAGACUAAAUAUAUAUGGAGAGAGAUUAUUAACACUAUCACCCAUCGUUGUCGAUUUUAUUUAAUUACCACAGCAGCUCAUAACGUCGCAAGCAAAAUCUCUUUUAUUUGGAUGAAAAUGUGGGUAUAAGUUGGAACUGAAAAAAUUAUGUUUAGAUGAAAAUGUGAGUAUAAGUUUGAAUAGUUGGUAGUUAUAGAUAAAAAAUAAUAAUUUUAAGCCUAUAAUUGAAUUUAAAAUUUUAAACUUAUAAUUUUAAAUUAAAAAUUUUAAUUUUAAAAUUUUAAAAUUUGAAAUUAAAAUUAAAAUUUUUAAUUUUUAAAAUUUAAAUUUUAAAUAUCAAAUUUUAAAUUUAAGAUCAAAUUUAAAUUUAAAAGAUAUAAAAUAUCAAAAUUUAAAUUUAAAAUCUAAAAAAUUAAAUUUAAAAUUUAAAAUUUAAAAAUAUCAAAUUUAUAAUUUAAAAUUAUACAUUUAAAUUUUAAAUAACUAAAUUAUAAAUUUUAAAAAUUUAAAUUUAAAUUAAAAAUCUCUCUCUCUCUCUCUCUACCCGGGAGGGGUGGAACAACUUGUUCCACCCCAAUCCGGUACAAGGGGGUUUGUACCGGGUUGGGGUGGAACAAGUGUUCCCACCCCCCAUUUUUGUGUUUGGGUACAAGAGGGGGGAUAACUCUCUUAUCCCCCUCUUGUAUCCAAUCCAAACGGGAUCUUUAGAUCAAAAAGAUUACAUCACACAUUUUGAAACCAUUUAAGCUUUUUUUUUUUUCAAAAGGUGCAUCAAUUAUAUAUGUUGNGUUUAUCUCUUAUCUUUUGUUCUUUUUAGUUCUUACUUAUUCUGAAUGCAUAACAUAUGAAAUGAAGAUCGGUUGAUUAUUUUACCUAUAUAAAAUGUAAAUUAUUUACAGUAAAAAAAUAUAUUUGUAUCUAUAUUUUUAUACAUAAAAGUAUAUUGUAUUUUAACUAGUACAGUUCAUAAAUGGUUUAAUACACUAUUAAUUCAAAGGCAGAGACAAAAUUAUAGGUCUUAAAAAUAACACUUUGUUUGCAACAAACAUAGUGAUGAUACCGAGUAAUAUUUAAGUAGCUAAUAAAAAAAACCUCCUCCUUUACGUUUUUAGGAACCAUAAAAGUAAUGGUUAAUUUCACAUAAAUUCCUACAAAUAUAGUAAAUUAUAAAUUUAUAACCCUAUAAUAAAGUUUAACUUUCAUAUAUUAUUCUACGAAAAUUUAAUAUUUUCAAAUAUGUCCCUACCAUUAGAAUUCGUUAGAAAAUUUUAAUUAACUAUAAAUUAAAUACUUAACUCUGAUUAAUUUAUAAAAUAACUUGAUAUUUUUGCCCCUUUUAUAUUUAUAUUGUUGUGAUUUUGAAAAGACAUAUUUGUAAUGGCAAAAUUGAUAUUUUAUUUAAAAUAUAAACAGUUCUAUAAUGAUAGCAAACCAGAUGAACAUAUUUAAAAAUAUUAAAAUUUUUACAGAAACAAUAUAGAAAAAUUGAACUUUACAGAGAUAUAUUUAUAAUUCACUUAUUUUUUUUUUUAGGAAUAUGAAUACAUUUAACACUAAAAGUAAAGUUAUAAAUUCAGAAAAAUAUAUAAAAAAUUAAAAUAUAUAACCUCAGGANUGUUUUUUUUUUUUUUUUUUUUUUUCCCCUGCUAAUGUAGUUUAUCUCUCAUCUUUUGUUCUUUUUAGUUCUUACUUAUUCUGAAUGCAUAACAUAUGAAAUGACGGUCGGUUGAUUGUUUUACCUAUAAAAAAUGUAAAUUAUUUACAGUAAAAAAAUAUAUUUGUAUCUAUAUUUUUAUACAUAUAAGUAUAUUGUAUUUUAACUAGUACAGUUCAUAAAUGGUUUAAUGCACUAUUAAUUCAAAGGCAUAGACAAAAUUAUAGGUCUUAAAAAUAACACUUUGUUUGCAACAAACAUAGUGAUGAUACAUAUUAAUAUUUAAGUAGCUAAAAAAAAAAACCUCCUCCUCUACAUUAUUAGGAACCAUAAAAGUAAUGGUUAAUUUCACAUAGAUUCCUACAAAUAUAAUGAAUUAUAAAUAUAUAUUCCUAUAAAGUUUAACUUUCAUAUAUUAUUCUACGAAAAUUUAAUAUUUUCAAAUAUAUCCCUGCAAUUAGAAUUCGUUAGAGAAUUUUAAUUAACUAUAAAUUUAAUACUUAACUCUGAUUAAUUUAUAAAAUAACUUGAUAUUUUUGCCCCUUUUAUAUUUAUACUGUUGUGAUUUUGAAAAGAUAUAUUUGUGAUGGCAAAAUUGGCAUUUUAUUUAAAAUAUAAACAGUUCUAUAAUGAUAGCAAACCAGAUGAACAUAUUUAAAAAUAUUAAAAUUUUUACAGAAAUAAUAUAUAAAAAUUAAAUAUUCCAGAGAUAUAUUUAUAAUUCACUUAUUUUUUUGCAGGAACAUGAAUACAUUUAACACUAAAAGUAAAAUUAUAAAUUCAGAAAAAUAUAUAAAAAAUUAAAAUAUAUAAACUCAGGAACCAUAAAAAUAAGGGUAUAAAUUUACAACACCAUCCCCUCUCUCUCUCUCUCUGCUUUCCUCUAUGAUGUGAUGAUACACUCACUCUGUUCCAUUUCUCUCUCUCUCUCUCUCUCUCUCUAUUUUAAUUCGUAUCCGACCAAAUCCAACCUCCCCAAAACGGUAUCCCCCUCCNCUCUCUCUCUUUCUCUGUCUCUCUAUUUUAAUUCGUAUCCGACCAAAUCCAACCUCCCCAAAACGGUAUCCCCCUCCCUUCCUCUUUGUCCCCACUCCUCUCCCUCUCCCUCUCCCUAUCCUUGACCUUCGCUAUUUAUAUUUACCCCAUCACACCUCCCUCACAACUAUUAGAAUUGCGUUUGAGUCCUCUGUUUUUUUUUCUUUUCUUUUCUUUUUUUGUUCGCUCGUCUUGCUCACUCUUUGGCUGAGCAUUUUGGGAUCCGUGGAUGAGGGCGUAGGGUUAGGGGUUCUGCGGCUGCGUCGAGGGUUGCAGGUGGCGGCGCGGCUGCUCCCGCGGCGGUGGAAGGCGGCGGCGGCGGCGGCGGAGGCGGAGGCGAGAUCGGGGCACGCGAGAGGAGUCGGAGGGGAGGCGCUAGCGCCGUUAAUGGAGGGCCCGGAUCCGGGGGGAGAAGGGGAAUGGGAGGGGAGGAGGGAGGGGUGGGGACGGUGGGUCAGGGGCCAGCUCUCUAGGGCCCCCUCCGUCUCCGUCUCCGGCGCCGGCGCCGGGGCGCGCCGCCACUCCGACCUCCGCCUCCUUCUCGGGGUCAUGUCGGCGCCGCUCGCCCCCAUCCACGUGUGCGCCGCGGAUCCUCUGCCGCAUCUCAGUGUAAAGGAUACCCCCAUUGUGAGCCCUCUCCGCUUAAUUCCCUUCUUUUCUACUUGAUUUAUUGUGUUUUUUGGCCCUUUUUUUUUUUAAUAUUAUAGUUCUCGUAGUUCCUCUGCUUGAUGAAAUGCUCGAACGAAUUAUUAAUUGUGAUCAUGCAUGCUACCUUCUGCGCAAGUGGCAAAAAGAGAGCUUGAUGAUUGGUACUCGAAACCUAAGUUCGAAUCCUAGUUGAUUUACAUUUCCAGCUAAGUUUAUUUCUAAAUGAAAUAAACGAAGCGGGUAGCAUGCUACCUUUCUCUCAAAAAAAAAAAAAAUUUGUGAUCUUGCAUGCAUGUGGACCCAUUUCUAAAUCCAGUAUCUUUGAGAGUAAGCUAUCUUUAAUAUAUAUAAAAAAAUCACCAUUUUUUCCUAUUUGGGGUCAAGAAUCGGUGGAAGGAGAACUAAUUGUUCCGCAAUUUGGUGACCUCUCUGGUUGAUUUCUUCUUCUCAUUAGGAAACCUCGUCGGCUCAUUACAUACUGCAGCAGUACAUAGCUGCAUCCGGCGGUUUUAAGCUUCUGAGCUCCGUUCGAAAUGCUUAUGCCAUGGGUAAACUGAAAAUGGUGGCCACCGAAUUUGAGACCGGCACCAAAGUCAUCAAGAACCGAAGUGCACCGAAGUCCGCUGAAUCUGGCGGAUUUGUUCUGUGGCAGAUGGCCCCUGAAAUGUGGUAUGUCGAGCUUGCUGUCGGGGGCACGAAGGUGCACGCCGGAUGCAACGGCAGGAUUGUAUGGCGGCAUACUCCAUGGCUCGGGGCCCAUGCAACCAAGGGCCCCGCCCGACCUCUUCGUCGGGCUCUUCAGGUAUAAAAAUCCUUAUGAGAGAAGUGGAGCUUCCGUAGUGCCCUUUUUUUCCUAAUUUGUAGUAAAGCUUCUCAACGGGAGAAAAUGGGGUAAAUUAUACUGUUGCUUACUGAACUAAACACAGCUCCGCUUAGGCCACUAAACUUCAAUUCUUUGGAAUUGGAUAACUAAACUACGCCUUUUAUGUCAAUAGUAGCUUUUCAAAUUACAUUUAAUUUUUCCUAACAGGAAGAUGAUGUUGUAACUAAUAUAACUACCACGUCAUCUUCCGCCACAUUUUCCCCCCAUCAGAGAAAUUAAGUUGACUUCUGUGACUCAGUUGUAACAAAUUGAAGCUCAGGAUCUAAGUGAAACUUUUCAAUAAGUUCAGUGACCAACGACAUAAAUCCCAAGGAGAAACAGAGGCCAAAAUUGUUAAACAAUAAGAAACUGUCGGAUCAGCUGAAGCUUACAUAGGAGUGCUGCUCAAAGCUAGCUGUUUGAAACCCUAAAAGGAUUGUUCAUUUAUAUCUUCCCCAACAGCUCUCUGAAGCUAGAAACAGAGAUUUCAAAUUGAAGCCUCUUGCUUUUGGCUCCAUGAGCUUAUCUCAGUUUCUCAUCGUGGCCAACAGCUUCGGAUUGUUUUCCUCCGUUUUGUUUGCCAAACAGUGGAAUUUUGCUCUUGGAGUCUUAAAGUCGGGUCCCAAAAGCAGAUGUCCAAUGUAACAUAUGAAGCUUUUGCUUCUAGCCCCAUCAAGAAGUUGUUGGUUGGAUAAUAAUACAAAGUUGCUAGCACUUCAUCCAGCACCUCUAGUCAAGCAGCGUUCAUUGUAAGCUCCAGCUCUCAGCCAAAAAGGUCCCGAAUCCCUUGAAAGCAUGAAUUACCUUACUAAAUAUGCUAACUUUGUUUGGUAUUUUUUGAAAAAAUAAAAAAAUAAAAUAGGGCCUUGAUCCAUUGACAACAGCAAGCAUGUUUGCGGACGCCCGCUGCAUUGGAGAGAAGAAGGUUGAUGGAGAGGAUUGCUUCAUCCUUAAGCUCUCUGCCGAUCCACGGACACUCAAGGCGCGGAGUGAAGGCCCAGCUGAGAUUAUAAGGCAUGUCCUUUUUGGCUACUUCAGUCAGAAAACCGGGCUUCUCAUCCAUUUAGAAGACUCCCAUCUAACCCGAAUGCAGUCUAAUACUGGUGGAGAUACUGUGUAUUGGGAAACGACCAUCAAUUCCUUCAUAGAGGACUACCGUCCGAUUGAGGGCAUGAUGAUUGCCCAUGCAGGUCGAUCAGCUGUGACGCUUUUCCGAUUUGGGGAAGUCGCGAUGAGCCACACGAAGACUAGGAUGGAGGAGGCAUGGGCCAUUGAGGAGGCAGCUUUUAAUGUGCCAGGACUCUCCUUGGAUUGCUUUAUUCCUCCUGCUGAUUUAAAUUGCGAGUCGGUUAGUGAAGAAGCCCUUGAGGUAACUCAAGAGGAGAGGGGAAUGGCCAGCGUGGUUAAUAGUCGUCAGGCUAAGGUUGCGGCAUUUGAGAAUUUGAAUGAUAGUAGUGGUGAUGAUAAUAUUGCGUGGAGAGUAGAAGUCUAGUGCUAGGAUCCGGGGUUGAAUUUGAGUGUUUAUAGUGUUAGUUCCUUCUUUAGUUGACUGAUUAACUAACCAUGAAUUGUAGGUUAGACUAAGCUGAUUCUGGAGGAUUUGGAGAUUUAAUAUUCGAGCUAUCCUUUGUAAAUAGGCAAGUAAUCCUUCGCAGGUCUCUCAUCUUGCAGGCCUUGGGCAAACCCUAAAUUACUCUUUAUGCAGAGUAAGCGUUGCUAAAUUGGGUUUGUUUUGUCGGUUAGCUUUUCUCAUGGAUGACUAGGGUUUGUUACCUUAUUUGUCUUACAGGGUCUUGCUUUCGGUACCCAAAGGAAAAGAUCUACAGUGGUGUCGAUGCUUCGUUUUUCUCUCUUGCCGGUGGCAGAAAAGAAAUUUACUGCCAUCAUUGAUUGUUUUCGAUGCUUUUUGAGAUAAAAUUUGUAUGUUUUGCUGCUUGUUUUUGUGUCAUAUUUGUUCCUAGGUGUAGGAAGAUAAACCAUAAUUGGUUUUGAUUUGUUAGUGUGGUUCUCAAGUUAAUCUUUGGCUUAAGAAUUGUAGACAAGAAGUUGAUGUAAGCCGCCAAACCUCUAUUAUUCUAGCAAGAUAUUGAAUGAUUGGAUAAUUUAAUCUUCUUUUGUUGUAUGUUAAAUUGACUUGUUGAGAACCCGUGUGGCUUUGUGGUAUGAUGCAGUUCUUUUUGACGAAGUGCUUGACAAUUCCAAUAACUAAUCUCUGCAGUAAAAUCAGAAGUUAGAGCUUCAUCUUUUGGGCCUACAAAUUAGAUUUCUGAUUCGUGUUCUUUCUUUUUUUUUAAAAAAAAGAACUUGUUUUAUGAGAUAUUUACAAUUUAUCUCUAAUAAUUGUCUAGUUGGUUUGUCAGAAACAGAUCUAGUGGUAAAUGGAUGGACCUUCUCAAGUAACUAUGGAUGCAGGGUGUCUGAAAUUCCCACCUGCAGCUCUAUUACUCAUGGAGUCUUCUAGACACCCAUGUGGUUCUUUUCUCAUUCAUUUUCCUGAACUCCAUUUAAUUCAGGUAGUGGGGGCAUAAUCUGAUAUUUCUUUUUUUUAUUUAUUUAUAUUCCUCAACCAUCCUUUGUCCAUAAUGGCUUUCACCUCUUGUUGCAUAUAGUUCAGGUCACCCUCUUUGAUGGCUCAUCACUCCUAGUGGGUCACUAUAUGUAUUACAUCAAGAGGUUCAAUCAAUUGGUUGAAAAGUGGGAAAUGCAUAAUCUCACCUUAUAGAUUGUUGGACGAGCACCAAGGGUAUCUUGAAAGAUUACUGAUGUGCUGACAAUUAAUAUGUAUAUUACAUGCAAAUUGAUUUAUUUGCAUGUCGCGAAGCAUUAGCCGUAAAUUAUUAACACUAAGAAGGGUCACAUAAGAGGUACGCAAAAUAUUACUCUUCAGUGAAUAAAAUAGGAGGCCGACAUUGAGAUCGAAAGAGUAAUCCAUGACCUCCUCGAUCAAUUUUUUUUUUCUUUUUUUUUUUUGAAUUUGAUGAUAUACCCUGUGCUCUGUAGAUGCAUUAAAAGAAGAUUUGUUGUUGCCUUGCAGCCACAAACGGCAACUUUAUUGUGAGUUGUUGUCCUUCGGGAAGUCAUUUAAUACCCAGAGGACAUUUUGUAUUAAAUGUAAGAAGAAUGUUUGCCCUUUUGGAAUUUCCAAAUAUCCUGCACCAGCGAGGAGUUUAUGUAUAAAAUCUAUUUCGAUUGUGUGUAAAAAAGUGGCCCUUACCAUCUUUUUUCCACGCAGUUUCCAUUCUUUUUUUACAAUUUCUUUAACACAUUUCUAAGUAAUUAGAAGCGUUAACAAAUGGAUUUUUCUAUUUUCAUAAUAAGCUUAUGAUGUGUUCCACCCAGAUGCAGAGCACCAUAUUCUCUGAUAAAAGAAUAAAUAUAUAUAAACAUUAAUUCUCAGGAAAAAUCACCUAUGAGAUAUACAUUUUCCUCUUCUUCUGGGUAGACUUUCAAUACAAGCAAAGAAAACAAUAAUACCUGGAGUUUUGGUAAGAAUUGCUAAAAUUAAGUUCCAGAAAUUAUUAGAUCAUAGGGGAAAAUAGCCAAUUGCAAACAAAAGCGCGAUUACAUUAAGCCAAAAGUGCAUUAGCAAAACUUGGCAACUGUAGCCUUCUAGCUUAAGCUCACAGGAGAAAUACGAGAAGUUAAAGAGCCAAAGCAUAUAGUGUGAAUUAAUUAAAAAGAACAACCCAUGAGAAUGGUUACAUCAUCCCCUAGGCAUGCUUGAAAGGCUUCUACCUCCUACCACAAAAAACCUAGCUUCAUAGAAACACCUAUCACUUCCCAAAAUGAGGAUUGAGCAACCCUGCGAUCUCGAGGAAUCCAACGCGCUCUCUCCCUCCAAAUAUAUUUUUCAGCUUCUCAUCACAAACAAUUAUCUUCUUGUCCUCAGGAUCCUGAUGAGAAGGAAGAUUCAAAUGUUAGAUUCCAAUUUUACAUCCUUCUAAACAACCAACACCCCAAGAAAACACGAUGCAAAGCAGAUACACAUCUGAGGCAGCCACAGUUUAUCAUAGCUACAUUGAUCAGGCAAAAGCCGAGCCAGAAAUAAAUUUCACCAACUUGUUUUCCUCCAUUCGUAUAACUAAUAAUAUGCAAUGCAUUGUCCGACUAUACGACCUUGUCGCUCCGAACUAUCACGUAAUCCGUACCAUCAUUGUAGUACCUUCAUAGGUCGAGAACUGACAAAUUCAUACAGGUAUCAUUGUAAUAGGGCCACUACCGUCCCGUAAGGAACAGUCUGAACCAGAUAAGCCAAAGAAAACCAAACUGGCUGUGUCCUCUCUCUGUUUUCUGUACGAGAGAGACGAAGAGGGACUAUAGUUUAGUAAGCAUCCAAGUUUGCCUCAAAGACCCUAAACACAAAAUCUUCAAAAAUUAAAACUUCAUUCUCAAGCCAAACCAACAUUCUCGUAAUCACGACAAAUUAGAUCGUCACAAAAUAACAUCCACUAGAACGAUGAGUCGGCAUUAAUGACUUCAUUUUUCAACUCCUCGGAGACCACGAUUGUCGCUCAUUUUGCAAUUCGCGCAGAUUAAAUACAAAUUUUACUUGGCAAUACAAGUGCUUAUAAGAAUCAAGAACUAUAAUCGGUGCCUACUACAUAAUACUUACCUUACAGAUAACUUAAUUCCCAGAAAACAGCAAGAAAAUGUGUAAACAUAAACUUAUAACUGUGGACAAGCUUUCAAUUGCUACAAGUGUUUAUACUACACAGUGGAUUUUUUUACACCUCGAGAUGAUAUUUCCCCUCUAUUUCACCUAAAUAUAAACAACAUUGCCAAGGAAAUGUCUCUUCGACACCAUAUAUAGCAUAUCUAUACAUCACAACUAGAUCAGUGAGCAGCGUAGGAAGAUAACAGGGAAAUGAGAAGGAAAAAUGCACAUGCACAUCAUCAGAUUACGGAAAUCGAAAAACCUACCUGGAGAUUGUUUUGUUUGAUGUAGGCCCAAAUGAGCUUCAGCGCUUGGGUUCGGGGGAUCUCGGGGACGCCGACGAGGGCCUGCAUCGCCGGAGACACGGGCCGGGGCUUCGUGAUGCCCCUCGGCGGCCUCUUCCCCUCCGCCGCGGGAGGCGGCUUGGAGGCGGCGGAGGCUCGCAGCGCCGCCGUGGGCGCCGCCCAUCGCCGGAGGGGGAAACCGGUGGAGUGCGAUGGGCGAGGAGGCUCGCAGGUGAGGAAGGUGGGGAAGAAGCGGAUGGAGAUCGUCGCCGCCAUGGACGCUAGGGUUUGGUAGGGGCGAAGGAGGAGAAGGGUUUUUAGGGGCUCGAGGGUUUUGGGACGGGGAAGGAGGAGGAGGAGGAGGAGGAGGAUCGUACAACCGUACUUGUAAGGGUGGAUUGGGAGGAGCGAGAAAUGGUAAUACCGGAUUGGGAAGGGCAAAUUCGGUAAUUCAAAAUUUGUGUAGAUUUAUUUAUUUAUUUAUUAAUUUAAGACUCGGACGUAAUUAUUCGCUAAAUAUAUAGUUUUUCGUUUUUUGGCAUAUUGUUAGUUAAAUUCAAAUCUGUAAAUAGUGUGUCUAAGUUCCUGAUUUGUUCUUAUUUACACUAUAAUCAUUCAAUUCAAAUGGUUGGUUUACUAUAUUUUAUGAUGCAAAAAAGAGAAAAAACAUAGACUCUUAAAUUACAUGCCCUCCGAGAUAAAAAUGGGAAAAGAUGGAAGGGUGCAGAGAAAUUAAAAAGUAAAUUCCAAACUUUUCGGAAUUAUACUCUUUCACUAUUUAAAAAUUUUAAAGGUUUGAAAUCAUAGCAUAGCAAUGUUGGGGGGAAAGAAGAGCCAAAAUACAUACAAAGCAACCAAACCACAGCAAUUUUUUUUUUAAUUAUCCACGCUUUCCUACUGUUAUAAGAAAUCCACAUUCUAUAAAGAUCUUAUUUUCCAACAAAAUUAGGGGAAAAAUAACCCCAAACAACAGGGGAAAAAAAAAAUUAAGAAAAAUAAUAAUAAAACCCUCAACAAGUCUCAUUAUGUACAAGCUCUCCUCAAAACUUUAUUUCACACAAUCUGGUAAUCUCUAUCUACUCAACGAAUGGAAACUUUUAUUCACAAAAGCAGGAAUAAGCCAGUUUAUAUGGAUGGUUUAUAUAUCAGUAUUGCGACCAUGCAGUAUCCAUUCGGAGAUUCGGAUGAAGCGGUUCCUCAGAAUCGUCAGAAUUAAAGGAGAAGAUGUCAACAGGCGCACUCGUACAGUUAAAAUUGGCUCCAUUAAGUUGGAAUCGAGUUCCUUGGCGAUGAUGAUCGAGAUAGAUCACUAUGACAGUGAUGUCGUCGUGAAAAUGCCUUCUUACACCCUUUUCUAUCUUCUUUAUAUCGUCGUAUCUUAACUCCCUUUUCUUUGCAGCCUCAUUUACGGCUGCUCGUACUAAUCGCUUGGCUAUUCCCUGCAAAAAUAUUUUCCCCAAUUAUGCAAAAUGUAUUAGCUUUUUGAUGAAAAGAAGUGUGAAGAAUUAUCAGACUAAGUGACUCCUGGGCAUGGUCUCUAGAAUAGCUUCUCUGUUCCAAGAAGUAGCAUCUGAGUAGUUUGCAAAUAAAAAAUUCUGGAGUUUUCUGCAGCACAAAACCAAAAUGAGCUCUGAACCCAAAGCAGGAGCUGCAGUUUGAAGCUUUUGCUUUUCAUGGAGGGAAACUGCAAAUUUCAAACAGCUUCACUGGACAGAACUUCGGUAGAAGCUCUAGCCAGUAAGAACUUCAGUAGAAGCUCUAGCCAGUAAAUUCACAUUAAAAAGGGGUGGGCGAAGGAAGCUUACCGCUCUGGGGUUAUUGACAACAAUCUCGACAGCAGCUUCAUCACUUAGCUGCUCCCACAAUCCAUCAGAUGCAAAUAUCAAGAACAGGUCAUUUGGCUUAAGCUUGCGGACCAGAAUGGACGGCUCUGCAGUGAUAACUGGCCGCUUCAAUGGCACAGGUGAGCCAAACUGCCGGAAUAAAGGGUCACUACUUAACUCGGGUUUCUUCAGGUAGAUGUCCCCUAUGGAUCUUGAAACCUAACAACGGCAAAUAAAAGAAAUAAAACACAACUAGUCAUACUCACUUUGGUGCUAAAUUAGUCAGAUUACUUAUAGCAGCUUCAUUCGAGCUUCACUGAAAAUUACAUGGCUGGGCUGUUCUCAUGGAUUCAAAGUGGUAAUUGACAAAAAGCAAAUGACUGACUAAAUAAAUCACGACAUUACGAUAUUAAAGACUAGCGAGGACAAUUUCCUUAUGAUAGAUCAUCAAUGACAGGUGUGAAAUUGCAGCACAAGAACCUCAAAAUACAGUAAGAAUAUGAUGCAGGGACGAGGAAAAUUACAAGGAAAUUCUCAAAGUAAUGAACCAUGUUUUGAUGCAAGAGCUCCAUCUGCAAUCACAUAUAAUACUUAAAACAUGCAAGUUUGGUCUGGAUAUAUGUCCGUCGACAUGAAUAACUAAAAUUUCGACCUGUCCAAUCAGUAGGGCGCAUCUUACAACAAUGAAAAUGAUCGGAGUGAGCAAAUUGCAAAUAUAUUAAGUUACUUAACUCAUAAAACAAGCAAAUUAACAUCUAGAAGAUUCUAGCCAACUCAGUCAGAAAACAUUUACAGAAGAAAAACAACUAAAUUUUGCUAGUUCAAUAAUGUUCUGUUAUCAACUGAUGAACACAUCUUAAUUGAUUCAUCUUAAUUGAACUUAACUACGAUAAAUAAAUAUCGCACUGCUUGUACCAGUUAAUUCCCCCCCAAAAAGAAAAUUGUACUAUUGCACUAAAGAACAGAAAUUAUAGUAAUACCUUGGUUUAUUAACUAGAAGUAGUAAAGGAUUAAAGAAGGUUGCUGCUAUACCUGAAUGAUCCCUUUGAUUCUCCAUACUCCUCGGGUGUACACCACAAUAUGAGAGUCAUCGGGAUGGAGCGCGACCACCUCUUUCCGGACCUCCUCGACGGCGACAUUGUGGUCCUUCGACAGCCGCUCGGCCACUACCGCCCUACCGUCGGCUCCACGACGACCGAGCACUGCCCUAGAGUCCCCCAAAUUGGCGACGUAGAGCAUGCCGUCCGCGAUUGCACCAAUGAGGCAGCAUGACCCCACCGACGCAAUCUGCGGCCGCGCCGCCCACGACCGCUUCACUAGAUGUAGGAACUCCUCUUCUGUUGCAGCAAACGCCUUCUUUAUUACCUCUGCUGAUAAUCCUCCUUGCUCUGACGCAAACCCUGAUUCAUGAAGAAGCAGGAAAAGAAAACAUAUUAGAUCACUAACACUCUUGAGUGGUGCCCAAUCAAGUUUUAAGUUGAGUUUAUUUGCUAUUCUAGGAGACUCGGUUGAGUUCCAUCGUCUAAUUGAGAAGCCCCAUUUACGACAGUUCCAACCUUGAAUCACUGGAAAUCAUACAAAUUCCGUUCCAAAAAACGAAAAAAAUAAUAUUCAAAACGCUUGAGAUCUUCAAAUCACAUCAAAUUCGACCUCAAAUCAUCGAAUUUGCUAACCAAAACCAAAAUCCAAAAAUCCACCCAGAUUAUUCUGAAACAAACCAAUCAAAACACGAAAUGGAUCAAAAUCCCAUCAAAUUCACCAACUCGGGAGUGACCAGAGAGAUUGGAGGGGUUCGAGGGGAGCUUACGUUGGAGAUGGGGGAAGAGGCGGGAUCGGACGAAGCGAGAGGCCUCGGGGCCUCCAUGGCCGUCGUAUAUCCCGACGAAGGUGGCGGAGGGCGAGGUGAGGACCUGUCCCUGGUCCUCGAGCGCGUUGUUCGCUUGGACCACGGCGAUCGAGAACUCGCCCAUGGCGUGGGGCUUCAGGUCGAGGUCCCACAGGAGCCCGUCCCCGACCCCGAACCUCCCGAAGCACCACUCCAAUGGCCGAAUCCAUGAUCGCACCAUCAUCGCCACACCUCUCUCUCUCUCUCUCUCUCUCUCUCUCUCUCUCGUCUUCGUCUUCGUCUUCGUCGUCUUCGAUUGUUUUCUAUAAGCGGGAAUAGGGAAAGGUGAAAGGGAGGUGGGGAGUGGAAAUAUAUAACGGUCGGAUGCAGAAGAAGUAUAUCUCACCACCGUCGGAUUCUUCUUGUACGAUUGAGAUUUGAUGAAAAUUAAAUGCCGCGCAUAAUCACCAGUGAUGAUAGAGAGAGCAAUACGUCUAUAAAAUUAAUAUAAAUUUAACCAAUCGUUCUCGGAAGCUUCAUAUCUGGUAUUUGAAAUUUUAGUUUGAAAUUUAAUUACUUAUAGUUUUGAUUAAAUAUUUUUUUUAAAAANAAUUCUAGAAUUAAAAAAAAAAUAAAAUUUAAAAAUUAUUAAUAUUAUUUUUACUAUAAUAUUCCUAUAAAUUUAUUUAAAAAAAAAUAAAUUUUUAGAGGUAAUGGUAUAAAAUUUGCACUCAAUAGAGAAUAUGGGGGGUCAAAAUGAUUAAUUGUGUUGAAAAAGGUUAGCGUGAAGAAACGCGUUUGCGGGAGACAGACGACUUCAGAGUUCAGUCUAAGGUGCUUUUUUCUCUCUCUUUUUUUUUAAAAAAAAAUUUAUCUUUUUUUAAAAUUUUAAUAUUUGUGAUAAUUUGAUAAUAAAAAAAUGAAGAAACUAAGCGAUUUAAUUAAUGCAGCUACAUUCUAUGGGAUGCCCACGUGCCACGCGUCAAUGCUUUAAACUGUUACGAAGUGUGUGAGAAAUAGCCAGGAUAGAUAUUUUACUAGUUUGUUUAUAAAUUUAUACUAUCACAGUUUUCUUAUAUGUAUAUAUUUAUGAAAUAUAUUAUAUAAUAUCAUACCUCGCUAGUAUUUAAAGUUGUUAGUUGUAUAUUCAAAACCAGUAUCUAAACUUUACACUAAACUAUCCAAAAAUAUAAACACCUCUUUUGAUUAAUUUAAUAUUAAAAAUAUUAAUAAGAUCAGUAUAAAAGUAUUUAUAUGAUAUAUACAUAGCAUUGCUCUUAGUUAAAUUAUUUACUUCACGACAACAAAAACUACUAAGCUAAUUUAAUGUCUAUAGUGACCAUUAGAGUGUAGAAUAAACAUUUUGUUUAAGUUUAAAAUGCAAGUUCAAAUGAUACUCUCUCCUAGGCGGAGGUGACGUGUUUUCUCAUUUUUCCCACAUCAUAAAAGUAGUUAGUUUGUUCACAUCUUCAAAGGAGUUUGUUUGAGAAAUUUGGAGAUAAUAUGUGUACCAUACGAAUAGGAAAAGAACAACACGAACACGUUAGGGUCAACGCGUAGAAAUAGAACGAGUUUAUCUACAGCUACGAGUUACAUAGGAUAUAGACAUAUAGUAUGGUUUUAUUUGGUACUAUCCAGUUAAGAAAAUAGAUAAAUAUUAGAAAAAAAUUUGACUAAUAUUAAGUCGAGCAAGUUUUCUAUGCAGAAUUAGAUGAACAUGUGUGAAAUGGGAUUACCACUAAAACUCGAUAUAUAUGCCGCUUCUUCAGUACGCGCGAAGUAGAUAAUCCAUGGACAACUUGAACUAAAUUAAGUUAAACUUUUUGCAUUUUAAAAUAUCCAAUGAACAAAAUAUAGACACUUGUUGAAAACUUAACUUUCCCAACAUAAGCAUAUAUAUGUUCCCUACAAAUAGCUUUAACAAUGGAGUUAGCGUAAGAUACAGUAUUUUUUUCAGUACGAGGCCACAGUGUAGUAGUGCUAAGAAAAGUCUAAUCUAACAAAACUAAAUUUAAAGCAAUAAAGCAUUUUCAGUCAAAUUGCGGUUAACAUGGUCAACGCCUCGCCAUUUACGGCACGGCAAGCUAGUUGGGUAUUUGGAAUUCUCACGCCUCUCUCUCUCUCUCUCUCUCUCUCUCUCUCUCUAUAUAUAUAUAUAUAUAUAUAUAUAUGAAUCAGAGAGUUCUAGAAACUUCCAUUGUUGUUAAGGUGGAGCUUCUUUUGGUGCAAAAGCACUUUCAGGUGGACCAGCGCGCUCCAUGAAUGUCAACAGCUGCUACCAACCGCGUGAACAUAGUAAUGAGCGGAAUAGGUUUUCUGUUUUUCUCUUUCCCACUUGAAAAAAUGGCUAAUUCGGAUAAGAAACCAAAAAAACAAAUGAACUAAAAGUACACCUCAGAUGCCAUUUUGACAUAACAUUUCUUUUAAAAACAUAGAAUAAUAAUUCUUUAAACUUUCUCUCAAUCAUCUGACAAUAUUUGUGUUCAUGACCAAUAUAACUUGAAAGAAAUUUUUAUCAAACUAAACAUCAGUAAAAUUAUCACUGUAAUAGGGAUCAUAAAACAAUUAUGAGAUCAUAUACAUAGUAAUGCAAGCAUUUUUUUAGUUUCUUUUGAAGUUUUAAGCUCCCAAAAAUGCAAUAAAAGGAAUACCAGAGAAAUAUAAAUAUUUUUUAUCGUAUAUUCUAUUUGUUACUAAUUGAGCAUUCCAGAGAAAGAUGCGUAUAAAUCAACAAUACUUAACAAGAGAGAGUUAUUCAACACAAAUCAUACAUUUGGUACCUUAACGAGCUUCGAAAAGAAUACAAUUUCAACUUGAAUUAUUCUUAAUAUCACUCACUCGGAAUCGGUUUCUGCUUGGACAACAGGGAGGUGAUAUGUGUCCAACUGCCAAUAUUUCUGCUUCACACCUUCCCACACUUGCUCGGACAAGCAAUCUUUAACAGGGAGAGGAAUAAAUUGAGUCGAGUACCCUAAGUUAGCAAGUUCCAACGAAAUUAGUUGACAAUAAACCACAUGGAAAAAUGCAUUGUCGCCACAAAGGCCAUUGAAGUAUGAAUAGAUCCCUCCGGGCUUCAGUAACCGGGGCAGAUGCUGGUGAAAUUCCCUCAUGUCCUCGUAGUAUUCUCCGUAGGUGUCGAAGAAUAUUCCUGCAUAGCGAAGUAUAUCUCGUGAAAACCUUGACCUUUUACAUACUGUUAGUAGCACAACACAACAGUAGUACAAUAUAAAUUAGGCUGCUAACGUUAGAGUUACUCCAUUUACUGAUACUCUCCCUCUAUGAUUGCUAACAUUGAGAUAUUAUAUAGAAGAGAGAAAAUUUACACCGAGAAAAUGAUAAAGUGUUACUUCAAAAUGCUUAAAAAGUAGGGAAAAGUUUUAGUUACGUAUGGAAUUGACAAAUAAAUCAGAUCUCAACUAUAUCCGAGCUUAUUAUGCUCUAGCCAUAUAUGUAUAUUUCACCCCUUAAUUUUUAAAUUUUAUUGGGUACAAGUUCAAUUUACCACACUUAACAAUCCUGGUAGAAAAGGCAAAUGGUAUAGUUCUACAGCUCAUUAUAUGCUAAUAAACUGCUCCCUCAACACAUGCAUCAAUUACCUCCGACUUCUAUAAGAGAUUAUCUGACAUGUGCAUUUUUAGCAUGUGAUCUUGCCAAAUUCAGUUCAUGUGGCACAAAAUAUUUCUGCAUAAGAUAAGAUUUAUUACAGAACCGGAUAAAUUAAAAGAGAAUUUCCUCUUGAAUACAAAGAAUAGGUAAUAUAUUUUGAAGAUAAAAAGUCAUAGUUCAAUUGAAUCAUAAUCUUUGUUCUCUUUCUCUAUGCAAGUUACAGAGAAACUUUUCCUCCAUUAAUAAAUCUUCAUGCCAGAUUACAAUUUCUGAAGAAACUACUAAACUCCUAUCACGUGAAGACCAAAGAACUCCAUAUCUCUGUCAUUCAUAGAUUCCACUCCGCCUAAAAAUGUUUAGUUUUCAGCUCCACAACCCUCUAAAUCAAUGAGCCAAUAAGCUAUUGCAACAAGAUAUAUCACUGCAGUAUUAAUUCUAACAAUAAAAGUAACACAAAAUUAUCAAUGAUCAACUAUCAACUUAUUUCAUUAGAACUAGAUACAGAUACUAGAUAUCAGUUUAACUAAAAACACGAAAUUAUACUAAUUCUGAAAGUUUAUACCAUCAUAGGAUUCGAGCUGAGGGAGAACAUCUUGCCACCGCCCGAAUACGAUCUUCACAUUCUUCUUCUCCCCCCACCCAAGCUUAAGCAUCCGAUCAUAGACGUCGGGAUGGGCCUCGACGAUCGUGUGUUCCUCAGGCUCAUACUUCUGAAUCGCCUCGUCGACGAGGCCCAUCCCGAACCCUACAUUGAGGACUCUACCCACGCCGCCACCGCCACCGCCUCCGCCUCCGCCUCCGCCGCACACGGCCCUGGCGUGCGCCUCCAUGAGCGGCCUCUCCCACGCCAUCAUCACGGCCUUGCUCUCCGCGUCCACGAUCCGGUCCUCGCCGAAGGCGACCCGCUCGGCCAGGUAGGCGCGAUCGGCGGCGGGGGCGGAGGCGGUGGCGGCGGCGCGGCCGAGGACGAGCUCGGCGCGCACGGCGGCGUCGAGGAGGAGGUCGAGGGCGUCGCCGUGGGCGUGGGCCAUGGCGAGGUCGCCGGCGGAGAGGCCGGAGGGGGAGAGGGCGUUCCAGGGGGCGCCCGCGUCGAGGAGGAGACGCACCGCGGCGGCGCGGCCGUGGCGCGCGGCGUGCAUGAGCGGCGUCAUCCCGUCGGAGUCGAAGAACGCGGGGUCGGCGCCCGCGGCGAGGAGGGUGGAGACCUGUGCGGCGUCCCCCGCCGCCGCCGCGUCGCAGAGGAGCUCCUCCGCCGCGCGAUCCGCCAUUUUUGGCAGGGUUUUGCUCUAGGGUUUUAGGGACUCUGGAGUACGAGGAGGAGAGAUGGUGCCGAACCGAACGCAGAGGUGCGACGAAGAUCAGUUACGCAAUCCAUGGGCUAUUGUGGGCCUAUUUGAGCAAACCUUGUCCAAAUCAACAAGGCUAAUUUCUAUAGUUGGACCAGGCCUAGGCCUGGGAAAAGAUCUAGCCUAUGCGUACCUCAAAAUCUUACAAUGCAUCCAACAAUAAUAUGGUUGAUUAGUUAGUAUCAUUAUGCAAGAAACAAUUAGUGAUUUACUUUAGUUUUUCGAAUCCUAAACAUAACAUUUUGAUGCUACAUUUGGCCCUAAAAUGCUACUAACAAACCACUCAGUAGAGGCUACAUACAGAAUAUUUCUCGAACAUUCUGAAGUAGAUGCAGCAUUACCAAAAAAAGGGGAAAAGGUAAUGCUGUAGCAAGAUUAGAUUUAGUGGGGGAUAUAAUAAUACUAAAAGCAAGAAUAUUAAUCUGUACGUAAUAUGUUAGAGUUUAUCUCUUUAUUAGCUUAAAUUUUAAAUUGGUUCGAAUUCUUUUAUUAUAGCUUAGCUCGGUCACACAUACUAGCAGCUUCCAGCAUAUGGGUCUUUAUCUUACCACACUAGAUUCAUGUUGUCUCGCAUCUUCUGAAAUUGAGAGAAUCUAGAUCUUUUUUUAAAAUGAAGAAUCUUUGCAUCUAUCAAGUUUUUAGGUUAGUCUAAGCAACCUAACAAUACAAACACAGACUCAUUCAACACACAGCAAAACUCUGUUCAGAGGACCCCUUUAUAACCCCAACAAACCAUGUGCAUAGCAAGUACCAGCACUAUUUGUCAUGAUAUUGCACGUGCCUCCGCAUGUGGUGGAUGGGGUGUUAUUUUCAUAAAAAUAAUAAUAAUAAUAAUUUGGGGUAGUCCAAGGUCUCCACAUACAUUGACAACAUACUCAGAUAUCAAAGUUCAUUGGGGUCCCAUGCACUAUUUUUAUACAACCUGGGUAAAACAACUGGCACAUUCUUAUCUGGAUGAUUCUUGCAGCAAACAGGUGACAGCUUUUUAUUUAUUUUUACCGUUCAGAUGCAACGGCUAGUCCUUGCCUACUAUUAAUUUUUAACUACUCGACCGUUGCGCGAGUAAAUUCAAUUUAAUGAAGUAUAAAUAUAUGGCAAUGUUGAUAACCACAUAUAGCCCAAAUCUAACACAUGGAUAGGCUCAAUACUACUAUUUUCCCUCUUGGAUCUAUAAUUUCUUUCAAACUUACACAGCAUUAUUUAUUUUUUAAUUAUUUUUAUCUAAACAACACUUUUAUAAAAACACUAAAAAUACUAGCAAUUUCAACAAUACGCUGAAUGAUAUGAGAUCGCAGAACAAUUUAGCUGUAUGGCAAAUUUGUAUGCCUUUGUAUAUUUGGAACGAUACGCACGCCCAAGUACAGGAUAUCUCAGAAUUAAACCUACCAAACAUUUAAUUACUACAUCUUAAUUUAAUUAUCACAUCCGCACGGCACCAUCCAAUUUGUAACUAUCAAUCGCUUUCAUUACCCAAAUCAAACACUCCCAUCAAACUCAUGAGAUUACAACAAAUAUACACAGCUUACCAAAGCCAACCUUUUAAUAAACCUAAUAAUCUUUUCCCGAUCCCCUAUCUUCGUCCGCCCAUCUCACUAAUUUCCACAAAUCAUCACUGAACUUUAGUAAACAAAUGUUUCAGAAUCAAACACAUUGUUUUAAACUGAGCAACAAAUUAAAACUUCAGUAUAAAGUAAACCAUGAUAUAUCUCGGGUCCACCGUUCCCUUCGGUGCACCGCAAAGAUCAGAGCAGGGCGCUAGUGCGAUUUGCUUUUAAUCUCGCCAAGUUCGAUCAAAAUCAGGUCCAAGUGACCGCGAUCGGGCUCGCGACCGCGUGCUUCCCGUCGGACCAAACGAGCCGGCCGAACCCGGCCGAGCCCGAGGGCAACGGCGGAGCGGAGAAGCUCACUGUGUAGCUCUGCCGCUCCCCGACCUUGGAAAAGCUCAGCUGCGCCGGGUCCACCGUUACAUUCACCGCCCCUCCGCCACCCACCACCGCCGCCGUGGCCUUGUACGUCCCGGGCGCGCCGACGUUGGUGAGCGUCCGCACGUGCUUCACGGCGGAGCCACCGGCGGGGGCGGCGGAGAACGCCACCGCGAAGGACGGGUAAUUGAGCGCAGUCACCGAAUAGGCCUUGCUACCGUCGUCGCACGUGUAGUUGGGGCGCUUGGCGACCGCCGCGAUUUGGGGUGAAGUGUAGUUGAGAGCGCAUAGGAAGUCGAGGUAGUCGCCGGGGCCGAGGUCGUAGACGAGCCCCGGAUCGACAGCUCUCGGCGGGUCCACGUGUCCGGCGCCGACAUCGAACGGCGUGGCGGGCUUGCCCGUGGCGACGUCGAGGAUGCCGCCGCCGCCGCCCGGGUACGCGGAGUAGGCGGUGGUCAUGAGCGCGGAGCGGAUUGCGGCGGGGCUCCACUCCGGGUGGGCCCCCCUGAGGAGCGCGGCGAGGCCGCUGACGUGGGGGCACGACAUGGAGGUCCCCGAGAUGAUGUUGUACUCGACGCGGCGCGGAUCCGCCGCGAGCCCGGUGGGGCCCACCGACCCGGUCCACGCGGCGAGGAUGUUCACCCCGGGCGCGACGAGGUCGGGCUUGAGCAACCCCGGGGUGACCGCGUUGGGCCCGCGCGACGAGAACGCGGCCACGACGGGCGAGGGGCGCACCCCGACCUGCGUGCCCGCGAAGGCGAUGGUGGCGGUGGGGUUGGGGUCGGAGAAGAGGUAGGCGCGAAUGGCGUCCCCGGCUCUCUGGCCCACGCCCGUGGCCGGGAGGAGGUGCGCGUCGGCGACGAGCUCCUCCCCGCUGGCCGCGGUGUUCGCGAGCACCAUCCCGGCCCCGCCCGCGUCCCGCACGGCGACGCCCUUCUGCACCCGCGCGUUCACGCCGCGGUCGCACAGCACCAGCUUGCCCGCCACCUUCUCCGGCGCCAGCGUCCCGGGCAAGCACAGGUUCCCGUUCGCGGUGGCGUUCGUGGCGUUCCCGGCGUACACCAGCGGGAGGAGCCUGUUGGCGGGCAGGGGCCUGCCGCUGUAGACCGACACCCCCGAGUAGUUCCGGCCGUCGCCCAGCACCACGUCGGCGGGGAAGUUGCGGUCGAUGGUCCCGGCCCCGACCGUGGUGAUCCACGGGGCCACGUUCGAGAGCGUGGACGCGCCGGGGCCCGAGUUCCCCGCCGAGCACGACACGAGCACCCCCUUCUCCAUGGCCGCGAACGCCCCGAUGGCCACGCUGUCGCGGAAGUAGUCGGCGGAGCCCCCGCCGAGCGAGAGCGAGAGCACGUGGCACCCGUCGGCCACCGCCGCGUCCAUGCCCGCGAGGAUGUCGGAGCUGAAGCAGCCCCCGAGCCAGCACACCUUGUACGCGGCCACGCGCGCGCGCGCCGCCAUGCCGCGCGCCGUCCCCGCCGCGUAGCCGAGGAGGCUCGCCCCGGGCGCGGCGGCGCCCGCCGCGGUGGACGCGGUGUGCGUCCCGUGCCCGUCGUUGUCGCGCGGGGACCGCGACUCCCCGGCGACGUCGAUGGGCCCCUUGCUCGCCUCGUAGCCGCGGGCGAAGAAGCGGGCGCCGAGGAGCUUGCGGUUGCACGCGGAGGAGGCGUUGAAGUCCGCGCCCGACUCGCACGCGCCGCGCCACCACGCGGGGACGGGCCCGAACCCGGCGUCGUCGAAGCUGGCGCGCUCGGGCCACACCCCGGUGUCCAGCACCCCGACCACCACGUCCGAGCCCGCGUUCGACUCGGGCGCGGGGCCGAGCCCCCACGCGCCGUCGGGGCCCCGGUCCAGGCCCAGAAACUCCGGGGUCCGGGUCGUGUGGAGCUCGAACCGGACCUCCGGGUUCACCAGAGCCACCCCGGGCCGGCUCUCCAGCUCCCGGGCCUCGGACGCGGUGAGCCGCGCCGCGAACCCGUGGACCACCGCGUCGUAGGCGUAGAGCAGCUCGGCCGAGUCGGACACGGACCGGAGCGAGGCGCCGUACCACGCGCCGUGCUCCUCGAACUCGGCGGGCAUCUCGGACUUGGCCAUGUGGACGAUGUACGUCCUCCUCUCCUCCUCCUCCUCCGCCGCCGCCGCCGAGGACUCGUGGCACGAAGCUACGACGAGCACUACCACCGCCGAAAGGAGCAGCGUACGCGACCCCAUCGAUGCACCUGUUUCUGUUUCUCUCCCGCUGUGUAUGAAGAGAAUGGGAGAAGGGGAGCCGAGUGUGGGGGGGUUUUAUUGUGCGGGAUUAGGGGGAGUGAGCAGUGGGAACGCGAGGUGUGUGCAUGGGUCAAAGCGGGGGGAUCGAUGGGGAAGAGUGUGGAGAGGAAGAUAUUAGAUACCAACGAAGUGAGGGAGAGGGGAGAGGCGAUUGCUUAGGUUUGAGGGUCACAUGGGUUUCGUCUCCUUAGUACUCCCCUUCUAUCCUUUUAUUUCUCCUUUAUUUAUCGGUUGGCUUUUUCUUUCUAACCUUUUUUUUUUUUGUUCUUAAAAUACGAGCUUAAUCUGAAGAUUCUUGUUGCUUUCCUUGUUUUUUUCUUUUUUAAUUCUUUCAUAAGAUGCUCAUAGGAAGCUGUGAUGAACUCAGCGAUUAAGGAAACCCCAUUCAUCAUAUUAUACUCCAAAGUUUGGAAAUUAUUUAUGAUAAUUUCUUUACUGUAAAUUUUCGAAGUUAUAUAAGACGCUGAAAUCUAUUGCACAAAAUAUAUUGAUUAUUUUUAUAAACAAGAUGUGCUAUUUUAGGUAAAUUACAGUUAUUAGAAGGUCGACAAAGGUCUAUACAGGAACUUUUAUUGUAUUUUAUAUUUGAAGAGUGAAUCUUUUCAAAUACAUGUAUUCUUUAGAAUUUUUUUAAGCCAACCUCAUUAAUCAAUCAAAAGCAGUAUAAAUAAAUUAAAAUUAGAAAGGAAUGAUAAAGAAAAUGUGUUUAUAAAUUGUUAACUAUAAGAUGAGAGUGUUGGGCUCGAUGGUGCUAUGUUCAAUUGUGCACACACAGAAUAUCUAUAGAAUUUGUCAACAUCUUAACCUCCACUAUCAUAUGCCACAAUUGUAGCCUAACAGUAAUUAUAGAUAGAGAUUCAAGUACGAAUGUGCCUAAAUUUGUAGAGUACUGCAUUGGGUGCAAUCAAUAAUUUCUCGAGGCCUGAGAAAGCGUGUUUCUUUAUAAUGGGGUAUAUAAGUAGAGAAUAUAAGCUUUUAUUCUCCCAUUUGUACCCGCACAUUAAUAAUGAGUACCGACCGUCGCUACAGUAAGUGACAAAAAAUUUGAUGGUUGGUAUCCGAGACUCAAGUUCGAAUCCUAGUUGAUUCAUAUUUUCAACUAAAUUUAUUUCUAAAUGAAAUAAACGAAGCGGGUAGCGUGUUAUCUAUCUCUUUCUCUCAAAAAAAGACAAAAAAAAGGAUAGUAGUAGCUCUCCUUCUUGGAAAAUAAGCUGGUAUAAUUUUAGAAGAGCUGUUUCAUUCACCCUCUGGAACAAGUUCACUUCCAAAUGGGAGUAAGCUUAAUUAAAGUUUAAAUCUAAGUUUGAUUAUUAUAUUAACUUAUCAAUUAAUAUAAUUAAUAUAUUUAAGUCGCUAUCUAUUGCUUAAAUAGUUAACUAAUUAAUUUAUUAUUUAUAAUUAAUUAGCUCAUGAAGAAAUAAUUAUUCAACGUGUUUAUCUAAUAACUAAUAUUUGUAUUUUUCAACUAAUUAAUAUUUUGACUAAUAAAUUAAUUUCUUAACUAAUCAUCUAACCAACUAAUUAAUUAACAAGUUAAGUUAUAUUUUAUAAUUAAUUAAUUUACAUAGCUAAUCAAUUGACAUAAUUUUUUAUUAUCUUAUCUUAUACAAUAAUCGUAGCUAAUAAAUUUGUUAAAUUAUUAAAUUAUUUUUAAUUAAUAUUUUGAUGUUAAUUAAUUAGACAAAAAAUAAUUUAAAAUUAUAAUUACUCUUAUUUUCACUAUUCCGUUAUAACCAUUCAAACACUUUUUACUUUAUUAACAGUAAUAGCUUAAUUUUUAUCUAAAUAAAAAUUUCUUCUAGUUUAUACCUGAAUUUAUAUAUAUUCAUAAAAUAAAUAGUUUUUACUUAUAUCGGAACCAAACGAAGCCUUAUACAUUACUAAUGCGUUGAAGAACCUGUGUGCACCAUAAUUGGAUCGAAUGGGUUAAAAGAGGCAUAGGAUUAAUGAACCAGUGGUGCAUGCAAAAAUGUACGGACUCAUACGCUUGGUGCGCGCAAUAAUUUUGUCAGUAAAAGAGUAACGGCAUUCACGGGGGGAGGGGAAUGGCCCAUAAUAAUGUUGGUGGCAAAUGGUCCGAGUUGAGUGGUGCGUGGGGCCCGCAAAUGUCAUCAUCGGUGCUCGUUGAUGAAAACAGCUUGGUUAUUUAUUAUUUAUUAUUUAUUAUUUCUUAUUUAUUAAUUAAAAACUAAGAAUCGAUUUUUGACGUGACUGGGCAAAUGCGGUGGUGGAAUUUAGCCCCAAGAAGGAAAAAUUCUAGAAUGCAACGGGUAUAUUAGUGACGUGGCGUAACAAACUAAUCAAAUUAAUCUUUUUAAGAAUAUAUGUCCCAUCAUGAUUGUAAAAAAAUAUUUUUAUUGUACUUUUAUUUGAAAAGAAGAAAUGUGAUUGGCUUGUUAUUGAUGACGUGGUGCAAGUGUGACAGUGUAGAAUUCCUCCCCAAGAAGAGCUUCUCUUGCAUCACCGCAGACUGCACCAGCUAUAUUACUGACGUGACAUUUUUAAUUAAUAAAAUUAUCUCACCUAAUUUUAUUGAUCCUAUUAUGAUUAAUAAUAAAAAAAAUUUUAUUAUAUAUUUUUAAAAUAUAUAUAUAUAUAAUUGAUUUAUUACUGAUGAUGUUAUGUAGGUGUAAUACAGUAAAUAUUCUCUUCUCCUGCACGUGCUAUUUAUUAUCUUUUAUCUUUGGUUUAAUUUGUUGGGAAUUACAAUGCCUACUUGUGGCUUGUGUCGACAUCGCUUAGGCCUACUAAUUUAUGACAUGUUGGAUUCAUAAUUAAAAUAAAAAUAAGAAUUUAAAUUAAAUUAUAUUAGAAAGAAAUAUGAAAUGACAGAUCAUCCAAAAAUACUUGAUUUGUUAUUGAAAUCAAAUUUGGAAUGACUAAUUGAGAGAAUUAUAAUUUUGAGAGAAAAAAAAAUGAUAAAGGAAGAGGAGCAGCUGGAUGUAAAAGAGAACUUAAAAUAGUUUAUUUUGGAAUGAAUCAAUAUAUAAGAUACAAUCGGAUUGGAUCAUAAAUAAAUUGGGUCACUAUUAUUUCAGAGUGGAAUGAAAAUUAUAACUCAAUUUUAUGAAAAAAAAAACAAUUAUAUAUAAAAAUCAGUGAAUCUAAUUUUAAUUCUAGAUUUUAAAAUAAGGUAACCAAAUAAGCCAUUAUAUUUUAUGCAAUUUUACAAAUUUGAAAAUGCUCUUUCUUUCUUUUUUUUUUUAUUUUCUCUGAAUUUUGAAAAAUGAUGACCAAAAGUGUGAAAUAUAAGACUUUUCUCAUAUACUGCUCUGAUGAUGAAAUUGCUGUAUUUUUCUUACUCCCUUCUUCUAAUUCUGUUUUCCUGGACAUUUUUAUUGUUAUCCUGAACAUUGAAAGGAAAAAAACUACAAUGUAUUUUCUGAUUUUUUUUUUUUUUUGUAGAAAUGUAUAAAAAAUAUGUGAGGAUAAUUCGGUAACAAAUGCUUCUUUGGUGGUGCACUUUUGCUUAUUGUUUUUCAGCUCUAUCAAAUGCCUCAUUUAUUUAUUACAAAUUAUGUUCUUCUAAAUUGGCCCACCAAGACAUGUUUUGGUUGGAUCCGACGCUUUUUAGGCCUGAUUAUAAAACCGCGCAUGUGUUGAUACAGUUAGGCAUUUUAACGUUUGGGCCCAAAAAAGGGUCAUAACUAUUUAAAAGAACAGUUACGCUUGUUUAUUUUACCGAAGAUGAGAUUGAAGUAGAAUUUUGGAUGAACUAGAGUUAAGAUAAAAAUUAUUUUUCUUCCACUGUUUGUUCAUAUAGUGAUGGAAUUGAAGUUCCCCCAAUUUUACUAUUUGGUCAGUAGAAAAUUACUGAUGUAAAAAUCGAAGAUGUGGAGAUGGUUAAUAUUUUAUUUUUUUCUCACUUUUUUCCUACACCAUUUAACUUUGACCUGAAAUAAACCGAAAUUAUUUAUGCUCUUUUGCAGAAUUUGAGUUUUGACCGAGAAUGAAAUUACAGUAAAUUAAACAAUAAAAAUAGAUAUUUAGGGUUGAAAAUCACUUCAACCCUCACACACUUUCGUAACAAACACAAAACAUUUCCUUGCCGCUCUAAGGCUUCGUUUGCAAUUAUAGAGAGAUUACGUUCUGUGUGGUGAGUAAGUACGAUAGAAAAAUACCAUAUUUAUUUCUGUACGUAAUAUUGUGUUCUACUAUUGUGAUUAGUUGGUUAUAAUAUAUUUUCUACGGUUCCAUCGAAACACAAAAAAGCAUAUUACUAUAUGUUUUUACCUCAACUUUAUUUUAUUUAAUAGCAUUAAAUAAAGCUCAAUACCAAACUAAGCCUAAGAGAGCUAACUCCACUAAGUUCACUACAACACUUCUCUCUCUCAAUCUAAAUCGUUCAUAUUAAAAAUCAUUGCUUAGUGCAGUGGUUUUUUUUUUUUUUUUUUUUUUGAGAGAUAGAUAGCACGCUACCCGCUUCGUUUAUUUCAUUUAAAAAUAAACUUAGGUAGAAAUGUAAAUCAACUAGAAUUCAAACUUGAAUCUCGGGUACGAACCACCAAGUCCUUUGCCACUUGCUCUAGUGACAGUCGGUAGUGCAGUGGUUGUUAUAGGAAGAAUUUGUAGAUGAUAGUUAUUGAAUCCUACAUAUACAUAUUUAUAAAAUUUGGUUGUCAAACUUCCAUUGAUACAAACAGUCAUUAAAAAAUAAAAUAUACAAAAGUUAUGCGAACUAUAAAUUAUUUUGAUUCAACUAUUCAAUAUUUUAAAAUUUUUAAUAUUAUGCUUGACCUCUUAAUUUGUUAUAUUUAAGUUGUUUAGUGGCUCUUUUAUGUAAAAUUUAAAAUAAUUAAUUAUUUAUUAAAAUUAUAGUCGUAUAAAAUAUAGUAAUUAAAUAUGCAAAGAUAAAUUCAAUAAUUAAAAAUUUAAGUAGUAAAAUCAAAUUUUAAAAAAUUACACAAUCAGAUUAAAAUAAACAAUAAUUUUUAUUUAUUUUUAACCAAAAAAAAUCUAAACCAUUACCACAUCAUGCUAGGAAAAAAAUCUAAAAAUACAGCAGUCAUACGAGUGAUAUACUAUCUCAUUAUAAAUUAAAGAAAAAAAUUACUUUUUAUAAUAUUUUUUAAUUAAUUAAAUAUUAGAUGAUAUAGGAUAACUGUCGCAUUGUAGACGCUCUCCUCUUCUCCGAAACACAAAAUGGAGCUCUACCUCAUCAUGUAUCUCUCUCCUUCCUUUUCGUUUCCCACAACGUGGGGUUCCAUCUUUUCUCUACCGUAAGAGAAAAAUGGCGCUCCGAUCGCGAGAGCUCCAACGCCUCCAUCACCUCCUCUUCCCACAAGCGAUUGCUUCGAUCCCCUGCCUCCAUGUCCGCGGCGAGGGUAAGAAGCCUCUGAGCUCCGCCACCAGCGGCGGCGGCGGCGGCGGCGGCGGCGGCGGCGGCGAGGAGGAGGAUGAGGAGUUCGCGAGGAGGAGCGCCUACGAGGUGCUCGGCGUGGCGGAGACGAGCUCCGCCGCCGAGAUCAAGGUCUCGUUUCGGAGACUAGCGAAGGAGACGCACCCCGACGUCGCCGCCGCGGCUUCCUCCUCCUCGGAUCGCGCCGCCGCAUCGCGACGAUUCCUCCGAAUCCUCGCCGCUUAUGAGGUGAUAGAUCCUUUUUCUAAAGUUUGAUUUGCUUCGGUUGGUUAUUGCAUCGAGAGCGAUCGUGCUGAGAUCUAUCAAUUUGGAAUUGGAAUUGUUAGGGUUUUGCGAGACUUUAUUAGAAUUAUGCCGCGGAUUUAUCUAUUGUUGUUGUUACUUUGGGCGCGCUAGAAUACUCUAAUUUGGGAGAGAGGAAACUGAGGAUUCUUAUCUUCGGGAACCAUCAAAACCCUACGCUGCACGUUUUCUUGAUGCUUCUAACAGAGCUGAUGUUUCCUCAGUUGUUUUUAAUCUAUCUGUGCUAGGCAUUUGCUAGAGAUUUUGGAUAGUUAUAUUGUGCUGCUUCUCUUUAUCAUACAUUAUAGUGGUGCAUUGGAUUUGAAGGGAGUUACUUAUUGUAGAAGGUGAUUGGUGAGCUUGUGAGGAUUACGCAGGGGAGGGGCAUUUUAAUUAUACUUCGUCAAUGAUGUUUCCUUUUCAGUACCAUUAUUUGUUAUCGUCAGAUGGACAUCUGCCAAAUAUCUCACUUAAUAUAUUUAGAUUAGUGGAAAAAGAUUAGGGGAAUCGCAGCAUAAAGAUCGCCUAAAUAGUGGACAUAUUGAUAUUCUUCAUAUUUUGCAGACAUUGAUAAGACGGUAUAAUUAGUUUCGAAGACAUUGUUUUGCUCAUGAGAGCAUUGUCUUUUGCCUUACCUUUAACACUUCUGCAUUGCUCACAGCAAUGACUACGAGGUAUCUCACAUUCUCAUUUGCAUUAAGUUGCAGAUUUUAUCAGAUUCUCAGCGAAGAGCCCACUAUGAUAGCUAUCUGUUUUCUAAGAGAAGGAUGGUGCAAAAGCAUCCUGGACCCAGUUCAGUUAUUUAUACGAGCUAUUCAUCCAUCGCUAUUGCUAGAGAAAGUAAUGUUGUCGAGUGGCUAAAGUGGUAUAGAUUUACAAUUGAUGAUAUUAUAAUGCAGAAGAAAGUCGCCACGGGCUCGAGCUAUUUUGAUAAGCUUGAAAACGAGCUUUACUCGGCAAUACGUGCUGCCUAUUAUGGCCCUCAUAUCGAAUCCAUGGAUCAUCUUCCUGAUUGUUUUGAAGCUGAGGAGAGGUCUGUAUACGACACUUCUGAACUCUUACACUUGGUUUCAGGGCGUGAUUUAUUUGGUAUUGUUUAUGUAGCGGAUAACAUUCCUGAGCUGUCGCAUAGUUUUCAUGAGAAGCUAACGCAUUCUCACAAUGGAAUUUCUGAUUUUCUCGGGCAAACUAGGAUGGAUUUAGGGAGUAUAGAUAUUCACGAGAAAGUUGGUGAAAGAAAUGAUAAUCUCCAUUCAGAUAUUUACAAAGAUCUUGAGCUGCAUAUCUGUGGAAGAGUGGUGGCUGUUGCAACUAGGAGUCCUAAAUGCAAAUGCAUUGAUGUCCCGAAUAUGGAUUCUGAGGACCACAUACAUGUUUAUCUUAUUUCAAAUGAAUCUGGUUUAUCCUGUUCAGCUCAAUCGCGUCUUCUUCUGGGUACUAUAACUGGACUGGGAACUAGUGGAGAGGAAGGCUCCUGCUCGGUUUACAAUGCGAGUGGUGCAAAAACUCAUGUGAUUAUAAAACACAGAACACUGCUGGUUUGUACAACUUACUCCUUUAGAGCAAAUAAAUCUAUAUCCUCUCCUGAACCCGUACUUGUUUUUUUUGUUGAAGUUGAAAUUUAUUGCUUCAUGUUCUAAAAGACUGAAGUUUUGAGUUCUGAGUCUUUCAUCUCCUAAUGUACGGAAGACAUUACUUCUAGAUAUUAAGAGCAAACGUGGACUGAAACUGGAUUUCCGGGCUAGUUCUUUCUAGGGAACUUCAUGAUACAAACGCCUGUCUCCUGCAAAUUUGUUGUUUUAUCAGAAAGAAACAAGAGAUAUUUCCAAAUCAACUUUGAUAUCUUUAACAUAAUUUUUGGACGUGUAUGGUUUCAAAAUAUGCAUACAUUGUAUGUUAUGCAUGUAAAAUUUUAAGAGACAAACUAAGUGGUUUGGAUGAUCAUUUUUAACAUAUGAGAAAUAAAUCGUACCAAACCAAGGGCCAAGUUCUCUAUCAAUUUUGAGUGGCAUUUUGUUAUAACCUCUUAUUUGAUUCUACAUUAGGUCAAGUCUAAAGAAAAUUUUGGCUAACACCUAUAGGAUUGUAGUUCUGUUGCACAACUUGUAAUUGAUGCUGUAAUUCACAGGUGAAACACAUGCACUGGUAUCAAGUUGGACGUGAAGUUUCUGCUUGUGAAUGUCGAUCUAGUAGAGCUCGCUUGUUGCCUAGCAGGUAAAAUGAUCCUCUUUCUUUUAUAACCUUCUACAAUUGUUCGAUCAAUUUUAAUGAUUGCUUUUAAUUCUAGUGGAAUCAACAUUUCACACGUAUUUUUCUAGCUACAAAGAGGAAUAAUUUUCUUGAGUUGUAGGAGCAACUAGUGCUUAAUUUGUUCUUGCUUCGGAACUUUGACAUUAAAUCCAUUUUUAAUAUGUAUGCUAUGUGCUUUUUCCAUCUCCAAUUUAUGUAAGCUAUAACUCCUUUGUUUUUUAGUUAACUCACUUCAGGAGCAAGUGAUUUUGUUGAUUUACUCUCACUGAUAUCUUUUUUAAUAUCGCAUAUCGGAGCCUACAAUUCCUAGCAUGUAUCUCCUCUAAUUUUAUAUCGUAAAGAAAUAUUAUAGUACAGAGCAUGAUCUUAAGGAGAUUUAAAUAUCUUGUUUUGCGGCAAUAGGUUCUGAAUUUGGCAAACAGUGUUUUAGUAGCAAUAAUGUAGUUGAACUUAACUGGCCCUUCUUUUGCUAUCUUUCUAUCCUUGAAGUGUUCCUAAACCCUCUCCUUCUUUUCUUUUUCUUUUCCCCCCCUUUUUUUCCUUUUUCCCUUCUUGUGCAGAUAUUGGCUGUUUGAACCUCGCUGUUAUAUGCAUGACAUUGGUGGUUGGUAUGUUGAGACAUUUGGUCGUGACAAGAAAGGAAGGACCAUCCCAUCACCAAGACAGUGGGAUGAGUUUGUUGAAUGCACUGAAAGGUAAGCUCAAAAGGUGACAAUAUUGCAUACACACUAUAAUAGCAUAAUAAUACUGGCUUUUUGGUCCUAUGAAUAUUGGAGUCCUUUCUAGGAGUUGUGCAUCCCACCUGUAUACUUAAAACUUGAUUGAGUCUUAUUAUGCAGUACAAAUUUUAUGCCAAUCACCGUUUUCUUUUUAAUUUGCUUGCCAACUAAUGAAGUCUUUGUUUGUUUGCCAAUCCACUUUAGUAUUUUCGGAAGUACUAAAAUCAUGAAAGGGACUUUCAUUGACCCUGUGCCUGUCCUUUAAUCACCAGUGACAAUAACACAUGAUUUAUGAGUACAAUUUGGUCCAGCAUACACCAUUAUUGCUCUUUUCUCCACAGUAGACCAGUUAUAUUUGCUAAGGAAUAUAUCAGAUGUUUAAUUUUUAGAUGUUGCUAAUCCUGGCUACCAAUUCUAAUCGUCUAAAAGGCAAAUCUUUUGUUUUUGCUGGAAUUUAGUAAAAAUAGUUUUAGUUGGUAAACUGUAAUUUCAAUUCGAAGCAUAUUUGCUGUGCUGGUGAAUAUUAUGGUCUUAAAGGAGUAUAACUUGUACUGCAGAAGACUACAUCCUGCAAUGUAUUUACUGGCUCUUGCAUAUAGAUCCUUAGAUCUCGAGAAUGCAAAACGAAGGAAGUGGAGCAUAACAAGCUUCUUGGAACCACAGCUCUAUCAUAUCCUUCAUUGGUUUAGGAAAUUAUUCUAAUGGUGUGAAUUUGAAGAUGAUGGGAGGCAUUAAGAGAGAUGGAGAGCACAAGCUAUUAUAUUGACAGUUUGACUGUGUUGAACUGUUAAGAAGAAAAGCAGUUCCUCAAUUAUCAUAAAUUCGUUUUUAAGUACAGUGAUUAAUUGCAGUGCCUCUCUCUCUAUAUUGUUCUCUCCAUGUAAAAGAAAGCUUAGAGGUUAAUGCCUGGAUUAUUGAAGCUUGAUCUCCAGGUAUCUAUAUCCUGUUCUCUUGAGCUCAAACUUUAUCUGAUUGAUUAGAAGUUCCAUAAUAAUUUUACCCAAGGGUUAAUUUUUUGUCAUUAUACAUCUCAGAAAGGAAAUUUGCCCAGUGAACUGUACUUUUACUUGCAUCCUGGGUACGGUCAUUGUCUCACUGAUAUAGACUGAUAUCUGACCAUUCCCAUGGUAGCAUGGCAAACAAGAGAAGAUGUGAGACAACAUUUAUGGUGAUUAGGCAAAUAUGCGAGUUUUGGAACUCGGGAAUUGAGGAAUUGCAAAGCCACUGAAGGUAUUAGAUCCCACGAAGUAAAUACGUGUUGUGAAACAAGUGAAAUCACUAACUUUUUAAUUCUGCGAGCCCACGUUUGCCCAAUAUAUGAUGAGAAAAGGUGAACCACUCUUCUACCGCUUUGGUUGUUGAAGGAAAAAUCGUUGCUCAAGCUCUUACCACUUUACAGGAUACGUGGAGGAAGAGCCGAGAGAGGGAGAUGGGAAGAGAGCCAGAGGGCAGAGGACCAAAGUGUCCCAUGAAAGGAACGUGGAGAAAGAACAAAACCCCGAAGGUUUUGAUCUCAAUCCUGCCCUUCUUCUAAAUUUUUCUGGCCAUUUUAUUUUAUUUUUUAAUAUAUUGGAGUUUCUUUUUCUUUGACCUUUGUUUAACUAAUUAAUCAGUUACGAGUGCCAGUUCUAUACCAAACUGAAGACCAUGAUUAUCCAGGUACUUUUUGGACCUCAUCUAGCUGUUUCUUCUUGUUUCAAUUUGAGAUGGAUUCGAGUCGAAAUAACUAUUUCCUUUUUUUGUUUUGUGAGAUAAGGAUAAUUUACCGGAUGUCUUGGUAUAGAACUGUUGUUUAUCUGCGGAUUUGUAAACUUUGAAAGGAUGAUUGUUGAUUUCUUUGUGGGCUCUUGGAAGAGUUCGGUCUUGGUGGAAAUUUGGAAAUUACAGGAGUGAAAGGAUUUCUGUCUCUAACCCUGCAUACUAGGAAUCAGAGAGCAGUGCCUUGAUGUCAUUCACGGCCCUGCCCGGCCCAUGACCUAGUUUCCAUUUAGCAGGUUAGCUUCACCCGUGCUUGCCGUUUGCAGGUAUGUUCUUCGUUGGUCGCAAUUGUUUAAUCCGCAGCAUCUAGUAAGGAUGCCUCGAGUUGUAUUUAUUUGUUUCAUGAUACUGCAGUUUUAACAGCCUUUGUCUAGUUUUUAAGCAUUCUUGUGAGAUUAGGCGUUUGUUCAUUUCGAGGUAGUGCGGGAGGUAUUUUAUGGUUCUCUCUCUCUCUCUCUUCUCUCUCUCUCUUCCUUUGUGGCUGUGAGGAGGAUCUCCCUAGGCUGUCUAGGGAUGCAAACGGAUCCGGGUUGGUGGAGCUCCCGCCCCGAUCCGCCCCGACAGGGGCAGUAAAUGGGAGAAAAUAAACGGAUUCGGGGCAGGAAACGGAAGUUUUACGAUCCGAGACGGAUUCGGGCAGGAAACGGGAAAAGUUUUGACCCGCCCCGAAUCCGCCCCGCCAUGAUCCGCCCCGAAUCCGCCCCGAAUAUCAUUUGUAUUUUUAAAAAAUAUUUCUAAAAAAUAAUAAUUUACAAAAAAAAUUCAAAAUACAAAUAAGUUAUUACUUUCAUUUCUAAUGUAUUUAAAACAUUUAAAUUUUGUUUUGAAUUGUGAUUCAUAUUUUUAAUUUUUAUCAUUAAUAUUGUUAAAUUAUAUAUAUAAUAUUAUUAAAAAUUAUUAAUUUAUAUUUUACAAAAUAUUAAUAAUAUUAUAAUUUUAUAAAAAAUAUUAGUUGGUGGGACGGAUUUGGGGCGCCGGCGGGAGGCGGGUUAUGAGGCGGGGCGGAUUAUGGGAUGUAUUUUUUAACCCGUCACGGAUUCGGGGCGGAAGGCGGGAUGAAUUUUUGCUAGUCGGGGCGGGAGGCGGGGCGGGUCUCCCGCCCCCAGAUCCGUCCCGUUUGCAUCCCUGAGGCUGUCUGCUGAUUUUCGAUUUGCUUUAUUGUUACUCCAUAUUACUGCGAACCUGCGUUUUGUUGUCGAAAUGUCAGCUCUUUAAGCUGAAAUUUGUCAAAAAUACUGGCUCUCCAAUAUACGUAAGUCUGCCCACAUGCGGACGUAAGCUAGUAGGGGACCCAACCAUCCCGCUGCUACCUACUUGGAGCAUAAAUAAUUAUUAUAAUCUUUUCAUUUUCUUGCGAGUGCGCUUAUUCAGUACGCUAACAGACAACAGCUAAUUCUGAGAUGUUAAUUGGACGGGACCUUCCAUGCCUACCUAGACAGGUCACUCCUUACAGGACAGAUAAUCUACGGACUCUUGAGCCUAGCCAUCUCUGGCGCAUUGACCAUAGAAAUACUUUGAAUGUGAAUGUCAAAUUUUGAACGAGCGAGAUAGCUAGCGUACUAAAACCACCUAUUUAAAACCAUGUAUCACAGAGAAAAGUAGCAGAAGAUCACACACAAGUGACACAUGACACCAAAAACACAUCAAACAGAAAAUUAUGAGGGCAUGUCUCAAGUUAAAAGACGUGUGAGUUGAGGUAAUCCACAAAGCAGCUCCAGUUACUGCAGAAUCACCCAUAGAAACUACAAACGGUGCACAACGAUAUCAAAUGCACCAAGCAAUAGAAUCGGCUGAUAAUGGUUCCAGCAGCUAUGUACGGGGCGUAGGGACAAGAGCCACCCACAUCGAGGGGUGCCAAUCAAGUGACAACAAUAAGUACGGCCUACUAAAUUACACCAAUCCCAGCUAGUAAAUGCCAAUUACUGCAUGCGAGCUCUGCUAUUCUCUGCAGCUCUCACUUGAAGAAAAUAUGGGUGCGCCUGCAUGCAUUAAAUUAGCACUACUAAGGGCAAAAAGAAAGACAGGAAUAAAUAUAGAUCGUAUAUCCUCAAAUAAAAAUUUGAAAAUCAAAUAAAAAUUUGAAAAACAAAGACGGGGCAAAAAGAAACACAGGCAUAAAUAUAGAUCGUAUAUCCUCAAAUAAAAAUUUGAAAACAAAGACGGUCAUAAAAUAAAUCAAGCAAAAGCGAGUACGAAAUCCAAGACAAAAGUGCGCAGGUAAAUCUGCUAGUAUUGGUAUCGCAAAAUUUAACUAGUCAACGAGUAAUCAUAACCAGCAAAAAAAAGACUGAAUACUUAGCUUUAUUAGAAGAAUGAGAAAAAGUACAAAAAAAAUAAAAUAUAGUUACCAUAGCUUCUCGAGCUGUAAGCCUAUCCUGGUGAUCAUACCGAAGAAGCUUAUCAAGAAAAUCAAUGGCCUGCAAACCAUAUAUCCAGAGGUUAUGUCUACGAAUUUCAAAUACAAGGACUUACAGAUUUGAUGCACCAAAAACUGUUAUCAAUGUGCUAAUGGGGAACCUCUGGGGAAACGAGAUGUUGGUUGUCUGCAUUGACAAAUUUAGACCAGGGUUUCCUGCUGUGUCUGCAGCAUAAAAAAGGUUCAAAAAAAUUAAGAAAAGAAUGAAACUAGAACUAGCCAAUUGUUAAUUAUCUUUCAAAGUGAUUUGUCCUAAGACAAGGGUGAACAGCAUGCCAUGUACCUUCCAACAAGAGCUUCAAGUUGCGGGUCAAGCUCCAACCGAUAUUUAUUUAGAUAAGCAUUUAGCUCAUCUGUCCCUAGUACCUGAGAAAAGGGAAUCAGGAAUCAAAGUCGUGCUAAGUAAAGAUUCUCAAUUGAUUGUUUCAAGAAAGCUUUUUGAAGGUUUACAGCACCUAGAAAUAUAGUCAUCAAAUAAAACAUUAUUAGUACUGUUGUUACGCAUCGGAUAGCAUCUUCACAAUACUAUCAAAACCUUAGGGUUGUUUACGUCAUAUAAAUCAACUUCAUGAGAGUUGCUCUUAUCAGCUAAUGAUACAACAUAGCAAGCAGAAAAUAAAAAUCAAGUUAGUUUGGACAUGCAAGUUUAUAACUAGAAUAACCUCCAUCUUGGUUAAAUAACAGUGGAUAUAAAGGGUAUAUAAUACAGAAGUCCGUGAAUUUGAAAACCGACUUUGAUCCCUGAUCCAUCCCAUUAACAUUAAACCAUUCAAGAAAACCUUCCUAUCAACUUUCAUUUCUAAGAUUUGAAAGAGGUCUAGUGUAUCAUCACAGUCACUUGAAACUAAAAUUAGACCAUGUGGCAUAGUAAUCAGCAUUUAAUUGGUGCCUAUUGGUGGAAGGUGCAUCCCAACAUUCAAACGUAAAGGAUUUUUCCUGUUCAAGUGAUAAGGCAGGCCCUUUUUCAACUCCAUAAGCACAAUUAAAAGCUAAGCAAGAUGCCAUCUAUACUAAGAUUUUAACUGACUGUGAUGAUGCAUUUGACUUCUGCCAACUUCAUAGAUGGUUGUUAACAGUGAAACACCUAAUAAACUUUGAGGCAUUAUCCGAGACAAGUUCAAGCAUAGGUACAAAGUAAAAUUUGGAUCACAGUUUAUGGACGUCCAAUGUAACUACAAGAAAGAAAUAUGAAAUAACUAAAAAUAUCAGCUAACCAAAUAUCUGGUAUAGUUCAGCACUGUUUGGUCAGCUUCAGCAUGCGAACAAGAAAUCAAACUAGAAGGCUCAAAAUAAAUGAGCAGUUUAUACAACUAUCAGCUAUCAGCAAUACUAAAAUAAUUUAUGCCAUCUCAUAAAUCCGAAAGCACCAAGCAGAAAAUAAUAAUAAAAAAAAGACAUUACCUUGGCAAUUUUAACAAGCUGAUCAUGGUUGUCGUGGCCAUAGAAAAAAGGUUCUUUUCGAAAUAUCUAGGACAAAAAAGCAUAAAAACCAAAUUUUUAACAGGCAAGGAAAUCAGUAGUUAACAACAAAAUAGCAGGCGAUUUUACAACAAAUGGAGCAUUGUGACAUUGUUGAACUUAGGAAUUCAGCGAGAGAGAGAAUGCAUACCAUGCCAGCAAACAUGCAUCCAAGGCUCCACAUGUCCAAGGAGUAGUCAUAAUCUUGCAAAUCAACAAGAAGUUCAGGUCCCUUAAAAUAUCUGCAUAGCAAGAGAAAUCAUGUUGAAUGACCACAAAAAUCUCCAAAGGAAGAAAAAAAAAAUGAGAAAGAAGAGGAAAAGGCAAUAUCCAGUGUAUGAAACAAGCUAAGAAGUUCUCAUGCAAACCAAUCAUAUGACCGAAAACUCACCAUUAUAGCUUGAAGAAAAGCAAUUGCACAAUUUAUAGAGGUACUACUGAAAUCAUUCAAUCUGCUAAUCUUAAUGAAAUAAAUUACCGAGAUUUGGGCAUGCCUAAGUAUUAACAGGCAACUAGCAUGCAUAAGCAAUGAAAAGCAUCAGCCCACACUAACCUUGAAGCAACACGGACAUUAUAUUCCUUGCCUGGAUGGUAGAAUUCAGCAAGUCCCCAAUCUAUCAAGCGGAGUUUUCGGAGCUCAUGAUCUAUCAUAACAUUGUGAGGCUUGACAUCUCGGUGCAUUAUUCCUUGAGCGUGGCAGUAAUCCAGUGCCUGCAAUGAUGAAUGUAUUAAGUUCUUUCAGAAACUUUCAAAUACUCUCAUAUACAUGUAAUAUAGUACUACUAAUAAUAUUCAUGCUUCGCUUUCUUUAGGAAAAUGACUUGUAAUUAUCAAUCCAAACAAUAAGAUGAUGUGGACACAAUAUCCCACGUCCAUGAAAAGUUUAGCUCCAUGUUUAUUACCAAGAUUAUCAAUAACAUUUCACACGAUUCAUAUUCCCAUGAGUUAUUCAAUUGACAAUACAAUUUCCAACAAAAAUAGAAAGGUCGGGAAAGACCUUGAGAAGCUCGUAGAUGUAGUACCGAAUGUCAUAGUCUGUCAACGUCGGAUAUAGAACUUUAAAAUCGGUGUUGUUGACAUACUCAAAGAUCAAGCUAGGAGUUUUUGAAUGGUGAUCUCUCACAAUGUCAAGCAACUUCACAAUGUUUGGACCCCCACAGAGGUUCUGAAGUAUUUUUAUCUCUCUCUUGAUCUGCAAGUGGAUUAUAAAGAUUUUAGAUCUAUUAAAAGAGCAUGUAGACAAAACAGAUCCGAAGUGUAAUGACCAGAAUUCUUCAAAUCUACAAAUAAGAUCAUACCAAAAUACAACAACAUAAAAUAUGCUAAAACGCCAUUUAGUCCAGAUUUACAUUCAUUCAGUACCUUCUUUUUCUUUACAGGCUUGAGGAUCUUAAUGAUGCAACGCUCAUUAUUGGAUACUUUUAUGCCUUCAAAGACCUCACUAUACUUCCCUCUUCCAACUUUCCGGACAACCUCAUAGUCAUCCUGUUCACUGAUUGAAGAAAGAGAAAAACUGGUGAAUGCAAAAAGCCUCGAAUCAUAAAUAUUAAUACAGAAUACAAUUAUGGAUAGAAUGAUCUAAAAUAAUCAAUUCUUGUAAUACUUUCAUCUUAAUAUCCCCAACCUCUAUUGGAAAAUAAAAGUAAAAAAAAAAGGAUCAUAUAUGAAACUACCAGCCAAUGACUUUGAAUGAUCAUCAUAUAAAUAAUGUAGUUUAGCCACAACAUCUUCUAAUUGAUUGCCAAGUUUGAUCAAAGGACGACUUGCAUCCUAGUAGCAGAAAUCUUCGGAGGAUAAAAAGCCAAGAUAACAGAAACAAAAUAUUCUUUUAGAAGCAUUUUAUAAGAUGAAUAUAAUAUUCCUCUGCUUUAAAUUGGUUCUUUUCUUAGAACUGCCAUGGUUCACCCGGGGCCCAUGCAUUGCCACUGUGUAACCAUAGAGAGGGGAAGAGGAGGAAAGGCACAGCAAUCGGAGAAAGAAUUUUCCCAGUUAUUUCUGGAGCCUAGUGGGUCCAAGACCCGUGCUUGCACUGCAGUUCAUUCCUAGUAAAGAAGAAACUAUCUUAACUAUUUGCCUAAAGCCAGUGAGAAGGUUCUACAUUUUCAUGAACCACUGCAAUGAAUUCUAAAUGAUACCUGUUAUGACUUGAACUUAUGAUAAGACUAAAGCAUUAUUUCCCGGUAAGCGAUAACACUUGUAAAAGUUGUCACUUACUCUGUAAAAAAACUGUGCAACCUUGAGACUAGAAUAUCCUAUUAUAGUGGCUUUCAUAAGAUAUCAGAUAACUUGACAAAGUGGUAAAAAAAGAGAAUAUUAUUGUGUGUCCUUUUCCCAUUCAAUAUCAAGUAUAAAGGCAAGCUGAACCUAAACAUAAGAGAAAUAGGGAAAAGUGACACAGCAGUAAUUAUGUAAAAAAAUGUAGAUGCCAAAGUAACUCGUACAAAUAUUUUAAAACUAUCUGACUUAUGUAACAUGUGAGAUGAUCUCACGAACAACAAUGAAACAUGAUAUUAACUUGGACUCAAAUGACUAGAGAUUUAACUCUAUAUAAUGUUAGACUAAUAUAAUGCAGAAAAGUGGCUUUGGGUCAGCCGUUGCUUAAUGUAAACAGAUUUAAUAGCCUUUGGGAGGACCACCAGGAAGUCUAUGAACGUUUUUUUUUCUAAGGCCCAGUUGCGUCAUUUCAAUUGCUUAGUUCACUUAUUUCAUGAAUGAAACGGGUAUCAUGCUACCUUUCUCUCAAAAAAAUAACAAUGCAGAAAAGAAAAUAAACAACAAUGAUAUAUUAAAUAAUACAAAUAGCAUCAACAAAAUGUAAAUCUAACCCCUAAAUGUUAAUGUUGUUCCUAUCUACUGAAUUCUGCAUUUGACAAAGGCUUUCAUGUCCUUAUGUCGCUUAAUUGGACAAUCAACUGAUUCUCAGCUCUAGGGAAGCCAGAAGCAAACAUGCAACAACAAAGACUCAUCAAUGCUGCCAACAGGGAGGAAAAAACUUCAUUAGGGAGCUCCCUAAUGACGCCUCAUUAUGGAGCCCCCAUCCGUCGCCAAGUGCCACUUUCAUCUCUAUCCAAGGGUCAUAUUCUUUCCUCUACGGUUUCAAAAUUGUUUUUCAAUUUUAGUAUUAAAAAACACCCAACAAACCAUUGGAUGGUGGCAAAAGUAACACGUGGCAGCAGAUCGGGGGCUCCCUAACGAGGUGUCGUUGGGAAGCUCUCACUGAAGUUUUAUCCCAGCAGAGACACUACAAUUUGUGACUAUGGAAAUUUCUAUAAUGAUAUAAUCAGCAUCGUUCCCAACUUUCAUAGAUUUUAAAAGAAGAAGACAAGAAGAAAUUCUCUAUAGAAGACGCAUUAUAGGCCUCAACAGGAAAAAAAAAGAGCACCUAAAAACAUACCUCCGCAAACCAAGAACUAAGAGAAUGCCCCUUUCAUUCUAGGGUCAUGGAGGAUCUAUACUUUGGUGCAAUCAAUGAGGAACAACGCCAACGUAAAUUCAACCAGCAAGGCCAAUAGCAUAGAGAAUGUGGGACAACUCAUAAUUCAUAAACAGAAAAUUUAUUGGAAGUUAUAUAAUAUGUUUAACUUAUUAACAACAAUCUAAUGCUAGAUAAAGCAUCGGAAUAGAUAGCAAGUCCUGCUGAGAAUGAAACCAGAUUUGCAAUAUUGAAUUCAUCACCGACCACAUAGAACAGCAAUCACACGAUCAUAACCAGAGAAAGGACAAAACAAAGUACGGAUCAAGAACUAGGGUUUCUCGAAUCAUAGGGCUUCUCAAAAUCGUCAAAUCAAGACCUAAGGUUUCUCGAACCCAUACCCCCACUGGACGGUGAGCGACUCGUAAUCCCAGUACUCCUUGGGGCGUAGCACGUUCACGUCGGCGUAGACCCGCGCCUUCGACAUCGCCCUCGUCCCGGCCCCGAUCGGAUCGCGGAUCUCGACGCUGCGGUUGGGGUUCGCUGCGGAGGAGCACUCGGAUCCCCACCUCUUCGCGGCGAUCGGAGGCGGAGGCGAAGGGAUCGGAGGGGGAGAGCUCGUCCGCGGGGGAGGGGCGUGGAAGAGCGCGAUCGCUAGGGCGACGGAGGCGAGGAGAGAGAGGCGGUGGGGGACAUGUUUCAUUCACGUCAUCUUCUUCCUCCUCCUCCUCCUCCCUCCCCCACCAAGAAUCGAGAUUAGGGUUCCCCUCUCUCUCUCUCUCUCUCUCUCUCUCUCUCUCUCCUUUUUGCAANUUUUUUUUUUUUUUUUUUUUGGUGAUCUUUUGCGAGUAAAUAUUGCAUUAUGGAGAUCGAUAUUUUGGCGUUGGUGAAUUUACCUUACUAGCCACCCUUUAGUUUGAAGCGGGGGACAUUUAUGAGAGACCCAUUGGCUACGUCAACUUUUUCUUUUUUUAUAAUUUCCCCUCACGAGAUAAAAUUGGUGCAUAUUAGAGACUUAGAGAGCAAAAGAAGAAAUUGAUGUGUGGACUUGGUCCACCACAUAAUCCAUGGACCUCACCUAUUAAACUGUAACACGUGUCUAAUGGCGUGGGAUUAAUAAACAGCCUUUUUUUUUUUUGCCUUUUUUCUCCAAAUAAAAAAAAUAAAAAAAUAAAAACCAAAAGGCUGUGUUUUUUGGUCGGUCUAUUGGACUAGCUAGGAGGGUUUUAUUGGGCUAGCCUAUGAUUGGGCUAAGUCCAAACCCACUCUCUAGAGUUGGGCCAAAUCAUCUCGGCCCGUUAGAAAAAAAUUAAGCCCAGUGUGAUAUUUGGGCCCACGCCCAUUAGGGUGGCCCAACACCUCACUUUGGGGAAUUUAUUGCCUACUCCUAGUGUAUGCAUGCACUUCAUGCACCACAGCAGUUUAUAUUGAUUAUAAAUAUUUUUAAACCAAAACCUAAUCUGGCGUAUUUGUUCGGUGGUAUUUAAAGAGUCUACGUUAAAAAUUUAGUUAUUGGAAAAUAUAUUUCUAUACACUAGGUCCUAGCAAUUAGAAGAUUGCUAUUAUUAUUUGUUAUUUUGACAUUAGUACUGUUAAAGACUAUUCAAAAGCUAGUGUUUGUGCGUCUGUGUAUGGUAGGUAUAUCUCAUUUUUGUCAUGCAUGUGAACAAAAAUAUCAAAAUUAGUGUUAUUUCAUUUCCAUUAUAUAGAUCUUUUGGAUUAAAACAAAGGCAUAUAUAAUUAUGGCUAUGAAAGGUUCAUUAUAGAAAGGUAUUAGAUAAAUCUAGGCAAUGGUACCUCAACUUUACAGAAAAAAAAAAAGAAUAAGAAGGCAAUAAAUCAUUCUCUAGCUAGCUAGGAGUUGGACCCCAAGUUUAAUCAGUGACUAUUAUAUAUCUUAUCUUUAUAAUAAACCAACAUGCGUGAGAUCAAUACCAUUCAUAUAUUAAUGGUUAAUAACUUGAUAUCAUGAGCAAUGAUUCUUCAUUGGCUUAAGGUUUUACAAAGAACACAGCAUGCAUCAAGAUUAAUUAAUUGAGAAAUUAAGAAACUACUUCUAUGUAUAUUUGAGACCAUUCGAUAUGUUCUUAAUUUCACGCGAUAAAUGAAAUACUCCACUCUUUUUAUGCAUCACUCACAACAAUUUUUUUCUAAUUAUUCACGAUUUUUUUAUAUUUAUUAACCAUAUGAAACUUCCUAAAAAUUCUGAAAAGAAUCGGUGGAUAAAAAUUAAUAUUCGAGUCAACACAUUGAAAAUGAAUAUGAAGAAAUAUAACUUUUUGCUGCCAAAUGUUGUAAGAAAAUAACUUGACUUCUUCUAAAUAAAGACUAAGUUUUAGUUUCAGAUCACAUUCACAUUAUUUAAUUACGGGAACCAAUAAUUCUCUUUUAUUUAAUCCACUAAUUAAUAUCUUGCGUUAAUAGUUAACUUAUAACUAAUUGUACUUCAUGAGCUAAAAUUUUUUGCAACUUUAGAAUGAAAAUACGAAAACAUGGUGCAAGUAUCUGAAUGGGAACAUUUUUAUAAUAUCUAUUAAUUUUAUUUGUUACUUUUUUUUUUCCCCUCUAUUUAAUGGGCAAGUUAUUGACUGUACCAAGGGAACCUGGGGAUAUUUUUAAAGUUAGAACGUCCUUUUCCUUUUAUCACAAGAACACUUGAGAAAUCAAAAGAUAUUCGAAUCCAUGGGAUUGGAAUUGUUCAAAAACCAUUUUAUUUUAGAGAGUCCACAUGAGAAUAAUAAUAAAAGAAAAAAUAAAGCACAUACUAUGUCCAUUGUGCAUUUUGCUGUACACCACAAGGAUAGAAUCAUAGAACAAGUCCAUUUUAUUUUUUAUGUACACAAUUUCUUGGUUGUACCUUGUACGUACGGUUCUCUUUAUAUACUUUUACUUAAAAAAAAAGGCAAAUUAUAUAUUCUAACAACCUUAUCAUCAUAAAUGAAAUGAAAUAAUUAUUACAUAUUGCACAUUUUAUUCAUCUAAUGAACUACAUUCUCUGAUUCCUAACGCAAAUAAAUUAAUAACACUUGUUGCUUAAUUAAUUUUGACUUUUGAGACAUUUGAUUCAAGUCUUAUUUGGCGAAUCCAACUUGUGUAUUUAGCUUUUUUUUUUUUGAGAGAUAGGUAACAUGCUACCUGCUUCGUUUAUCUUAUUUAGAAAUAAACUUAGCUGGAAAUGUGAAUCAACUAGGAUUCGAACUUGGGUCUCGGGUACCAACCACCGAGCCUUUUGCCACUUGCUCUAGAGACGGUCGGUGUGUGUUUAGCUAUUAAAAAGAAAUAAAAUGAUGUGGUUGAAUAAUUGAGUGAAAUUAUUAUAAUUUUGUUUGUGAAAGACAAAUUAGAGUUAAUUAAUGAAAAUUACAUCAAGGAAAGAUGAUAAGAUUUCAAAAGGAAAAUAAUAUAUAAGAACUAAGCUAAAAUACUAUCGUACUAUCGGUAGCAUGAACAUCUUUGUGCUAUCAAAUUAUUUUCAAUGAUGGAAUAUUAAAAUCAACGAUUGGUUCCAUUAAAUAUAAUCUAUACUAUUUGUAGUAUUUAAAAAUAAAAUUUCGUAAUUUUUUAACAUUAUUUAUUUUUAAAACGAAUAGUCUCAAAAUACACGGUUGAAAAUAAAAAUUUUAUAAAAAAUAAAUAAUUUAAAAAAUAAAUUUCAAAUCAGAAUUACUGAUCUUAUACUAAAUAGUGAAAAAAAAAAUUAUUGUUAAUAUUUUCACGAGAUUUGGAUUCUUCUAUAUCAUUAAACUUACAAAUGCAUUGUAUCAACCAUUUAAAUUAUUAAUUUUGAGACCUUUUGAUCACUAAUAAAAUGAUGUUCAAAAAAUAUAAAAUUUUGUUUUUAAAUAUAUACUUCCAAUAGCGUAAAUGAUGUCUGAGAGAGCCGAUCGUCGAUUCAAAUGUUUCGUGAUAAAAAAUUACUUAAUAGCACGAAGGUUUCCGUAUUGCCGAUAGUAUACAUGCUGGACUCCAAUAAUAAUAUCUCUUUCUUUGAUUUCUUCAAAUGUCCUAAUUCAGUCUUAUUUGACAUUGGCCUUAAAAUUAAAUCAACAAAAAACGAAAAAACAUAAGUUCAAUGAGGCCAAUGUGAAAGCUCAAGCUAUUCACAAGUUUGGUAUUCAACAUGAUCAAAACAAUGAAACUAUAUAUGACUGUAUCAAAGCCCAAAAUUAUAUUUAAUUAGCAGAGAAGUGGGAAAACCUCCUGCAACCAAUGCAAUUUCAAUAUUAAAUUUUUUGUUUUUUAUUUUUAUUUUUAUUUUUUUGAGAGAUAUGUAACACGCUAUCCGUUUCCUUUAUUUCAUUUAGAAAUAAACUUAGCUAGAAAUAUGAAUCAACUAGGAUUCAAAUUUUGGUCUCGGGUACCAACCACCAAGCCCUUGGCCACUUGCUCUAGGGACAGUUGGUAAAGAAAUUUUACCGACCCAAGCUCGAAUCCUAGUUGAUUCACAUUUCCAGCUAAGUUUAUUUCUAAAUGAAAUAAAACGAAGCGGGUAACGUGCUACCUAUCUCUCUCCCAAAAAAAAAUAAAAUAAAAUAAAAUUUUAUAACCAAAUCCAAACUAAGAUUCCGAUUCUUAUUUGGAAACAUGGUAGAAAAAGUAUUGACACGUAACUGCAUGCCUUUUGCAAAAACAUUCUUUUCUUUUUUUGUUUCCUUGAAAAAAAAAAAAAAAGAAAGAGAAAAAAAAGAUGCCCUUAAUUAUAGGCGCUUAUUUAUUUCAAUAUUUAGCAAUAGUAAGUAAAUAAUUGCGAGCCUUUCGCUACUUAUAAAAGUCGAUUGGUUGGAUUGUAAGUGAUAAGGAGUGCACAACAUAUGUAAUAGUAUGCUUGUCGCUUGAAAAAUUUGGAAAAAAAAGAAAUUUUAAAACCUGCACAAUAUUUAUAAACUUAGAGCGAAAAAUGGAUGAAUUUGUUCAAAAAAGGAUGAAUUUGUUCAAGUCCAAUUAGCUAUCACAAUCCAAAUGUUUUUACCUCAAGUUAUAUCUAAAUUAGUUUUGUAUAUAUAACGCCCAUUCGUAAAAUAUUCAACUUUUUAAAUUUUACUCAGGCUAAUAAUUCCUGAAAAGUUAAAUUAUCGACAAAUUACAACAUUAACAAACUACCUAUAUAUUUAGUUAUAAAUACGAAAUUAUAACUCAUGAAAAAAAAAAAAAAAAAACUAAAAUCAUCGUAGAUACAAUUGUUAGGACAAAACGAAACUUCCCCGACAGGGGUAACAUUGACCUUUUCUCUCUUCCUUUCUUUAUCUACAUCAAAAAACUAUAUAUGCAUGUGAAUACAUUAUAUAUUGUUAAUAUUGUCCAUUAUGGUUGUAGUAGCCAUAUAUAUAUAUAUAUAAUUAGUCCCCUCUUAAUUUGGAAAAAGUAUGAGUAAAUAAGAAAUUAGCCACAUGGUAUUGCUUAUCAUACUGUAAUCUCAGUAGUAUAUUAAUGAAGAGGUAGUUAACUAAUAAUUAAACUUUUAUUAAUCUAUCAAAGUCAACUCCUUCCGACCAUUUCUAAAAUCCUAAUUAACUACGUUGAUUUAGUCUUUAUCCUAUGAGUAUAUUUCCCACAAUCUAACCGUAUGAUAUAUCUAUAUAUAUACAUGCAUCUCUACACAAUACUAGAGUAACUAGACCAUAACAAUAUCCCCCAAUCCUCAAUCAUAGAGUUUCUCUCUUUAAUCACGUUAUCAAGAUGAUUAUGAUGAGAAAUUUCAUCGCUGCUCUCCUGCUAGUCACCUUAGUGAAUCUCUCCUUGUUCUCUCAUUUGAGUUCAACCAAACUAUUAUGCCAACAUUUGCCCUAAUGUGGAGAACAUAGUCCGUGGCGCGGUUACGCAGAAGUUCCAGGAGACCUUUAAUGCCGUUGGUGGCACCAUCCGUCUCUUCUUCCAUGACUGCUUCGUUGAGGUAGCUAUGAAGAUCUUGUUUGGCUUCAUUUAAGAUGGUAUAAUUUUACAUAAAGUAUUAUUUGAGUAGAGCUUGAGAGCUUUUAAAGGUCUAUUGGUUAUGCUUGAGCCUUUGUAAAAAGUGUUUUUUUUGAGAGAGAUGAAUGAAAGUGAGGUUAAGAUAGAGCUGCUUAAAGAAGCUUUGAUCAUAACUCUUUUACGAGCAUGGCCUUUAAAUAAUUUGCUGCAGUUAAAACUAGAAGCUUACAAAUUGAAGUUUCUAACUUUCAAGAUGCUGAAGUUUAUUUUUGCUCUAGCUGUAUGACUGGAAGUUUUACAAAUUUUGUUUGCAAGUAUCAAGGGCAUGACUUAUAAUGCAUGAGCAUCAAUCAAAUGAAACAAAUACUAAUUACCUAGCAGCUCCUUACUGUAGCCAGAAGCAGAAAAUAAAGCUUUUGAGUUUGGGUCUAGAAUCUUAUUUCAGCUUUUGCGCACACCACCGUAACUCAUUGUCGUGACUUGAGAGUUUAGAGUUUCAUUUCUUAACCAUCAGUACACGCAUGAAAUAUUUGACAGGGAUGUGAUGGUUCUGUACUAAUCUCAUUAACACCGACCAACACGGCCGAGAGGGACUACCCAGAUAACCAAUCCUUGAAUGAAGACGGAUUUGACACUGUGGAUCGAGCUAAGGUGGCAGUAGAUGCAGAUCCCCAGUGCGCGAAUAAGGUAUCCUGCGCUGAUAUCCUCGCACUGGCCACAAGGGAUCUCAUAACACUGGUUAGUCACUCUUCAUACAUCACUUGUUGUCCUUAUACUCACUCUUCCAUUUGGACACAAGUCCUAAAGAAGGAUUAUGCAUGGUGGAAAAAAAAAAAAAACUCAUUUAAUGAUUAAUUAUGUUAAUUAAUUAAUAGGCUGGUGGGCCAUCUUAUACCGUUGAAUUGGGCCGAUUUGAUGGGCUGAGCUCGACGGCAAAUAGUGUUGCUGGGAGGUUACCGCCGCCAACUUUCGACUUGGACCAACUCACCAACUUGUUUCAGCUCAACGGACUCUCCCGCACCGAUAUGAUUGCUCUCUGCGGUAACCGUUCCGACGUCCAUAUUUCUAUAUAUAUUUCAUAUCAUCAUCCGAACUUUGAAAAGAACUAUUCAUACACUCUUUUUAAGGUGCAUGCUAUAAAUCUUAACCAUCUAGUGGGUGAGGUCAUUUUACCGGUCGCAUUAUGUGACAAGUAAAUAAAUCUCGUCCAUCAAAUCAGUGAGAUGUAUAUCACACACCCCAAAAAGAGUGUCUGAGUAGCACUGCUCCUUACUUAAAUAGCAUGUUUGUGCGAACCUGUUUUACAGCGGCCCACACUGUGGGCCUGGGCCAUUGCAACAAGUUUGCGAACCGCAUAAACGGGCCCGGAAACUCGGUGGACCCUACUCUGAACAAGAACUAUGCGGCCCAACUGAUGUCGACAUGCCUCGCGAAUGCGAACUCGGCGGUGUUCUUGGAUCCGGUCACCCCCGGCGCCUUCGACAACCAGUACUACAAGAACCUGCAACAAGGAUUGGGCCUCUUCUCGUCCGACGAGGUCCUAUACACCGACACUCGUUCGCGGCCCUUAGUGGACCUGUGGGCCCAAAGUUCCCCGGCGUUUGAGCAGGCCUUUGUUGAGGCCAUCACGAAAAUGGGCCGGAUCGGAGUCAAGACCGGGUCGUCGGGUAAUAUCCGACAAGAUUGCCGGGCUUGUAAUUGAAUUAUUUGUUAAAUUUAAAUUAUGAGGUUUUCGAACAGGAGUGUGGAAAUUCCCUAUGUAUGAUUGUUCCAGGAGUGUAAAAUAAUAAGAAACAUUUAUUUACUUGUAACUUUUGCAUCUGAAAUAAUAAAUAUAAUAAUAAUUUGGAAUGUCUAUAACAUUUUAUUAAAAAUUAUCAUGCAUUGAUUAGUCUUAUCAUAGACAUUUGGCCACAAUAAAAAAAAGAAUAAAAAGAAAAUAGAAACCAAAGGCACAUAGCCAUACUCAACUACUGUUUGAUUUGAAUCUGAUUGCUAAUGACUUAGAAUAAAAAAAAUGAAAUAAAAAAAAAAGGAGAAGAGAAGAAGAAGAAGAUGAUGAUGACAAUGAUGGAAAAAAAAAAAUGUUAUCUUUCUGUGGGAAAAAAAAAACAAGAAGAAGAAAAGGAAUGUUGGUCAGAUGCUCAUGCUUCCAAGAUUUUAUUUUUUUGAGAAUAUUGACAUAUUUCAUGUUUAAAUUAAUUAGAUUUUUUUUCAAAAUAUUGACAAGGAAGAGAACCAUCAAAAUAACAAAAUCCAGUAAAUCACGAAAAACCAACAACAUCACACAUUCCAUUAAUGAUAGUACAAAUAAAUUAUGUUUAGGAAUAGACACUACAACAGAAUUAGGUUAUAGGGACACAUGUUUGGGACACUUUUGAGUAAGUGUCCCAUUUAUGCUAAAACUUAAAAACACAUCUACUAAUGCCUAAAUAUAAAGCUCAAUCCAACCAAAAAUAAAAGAUUACUCUACUCAACCCACCACAUCCAGUCCAUUUGGCCCGAUUACAAACAGAAAGAAAAAAAAAAGAAAAAUUAAUUACCAUCUUUUCUUCUCUCUUCACUCAAUCCACUAAAAUUCUAGACGAAGAGCCUUUACUGUCGUCCUUCUCCGCCAUCACAACCAACGAGAUAGAGUUUCGGCGGUUACUAAAUGCUUAAAUAAGUGUUGGUAAAUUAGCAGCACUCUUUUAGGCUAUAGCGACACUCUUUAACUGUCACUAUAUACCUAGCGACUCCACAUAUAGCAACACUUUUUAAAAGUGUCGGUAAUUUUAGCUAGCAGCACUUUUUUGACAUGUACCUAUAUUUAAAAGUAUUGCUACAGACCGUUUUUGUUGUAGUGAGAGCCAAGGUCUAAUAUUGUAUGUUCCCCAGGUUAUUAUCUCAUGCUCUCUAAACCUGACUUUUUUUGUUUCCCCUUUUUAUUUGAAGUUUGAAACAUGCGUUACUAUGAUAUAAUAUUUUUAGUUUUAUAUUGUGUGAACUUGUCAUAAAUUAUAUAAUUAAUCUAUCUAAUCAACUAGCUAAUAACUGUUUAAUAACCAGUAUAUUUCUUUAUGAUCAAAGCGCCCUUACUUUGACCUCCUCUCCCUCACAUAUUGCAUACACAUUGAUCAAGAAUUUUCGUUCGAUUUGCUUCUCCGAUUAUUCAGAAUAUAUGUCGAGAUCAAAUUCAUCACCUGAUGUUACUCAUCAUGCUUGAAGCUAAAAAAUGGAUUGGUUUAUUAGAGGACAAUUAAAUUUAUAUAUAUUAAGUCAACUCUUCAUUGCUUAAACUUUAGUUGUUUGGCCUGGUCAAACACGUAUUUACUACCCUGAUUCUUUAUAGUUUCAUGCUGUACAGUAUGAUCCCCUCAUUCCCCUCUUUCAUCUUUGUUUCCUUUCCCUUAUUCCUUGUACUCAUCACCAAAAUUACAAUAUGAGGAAGUUCGCGUUAGUUCUCUUGCUUAUACUCGCAAUAUCAAACCUUACCCUAUUCCCACGCUGGGGCUCAGCACUUCAGCAAAACUACUAUGCCAACAUUUGCCCUAAUGUGGAGAGCAUAGUCCGUGGCGCUGUCACGCAAAAAUUUCAAGAGACCUUUAAUGCUGUUGGUGCCACCAUUCGUCUCUUCUUCCAUGACUGCUUCGUUGAGGUAACUAUCAAGGCCUUAUUUGGCUUGAUUAAGGAUUGUGUACGUUUACAGAAGUGUUCUUUAAGUAGAGCUAUAUUUUCAAAAAGAUCUGAUAGCUUCUAAAGGUCUUUUGGUUCUACUCGAGCCUUUAUAGGAAGUGCUCUUUUUGAGAGAGAUUAAUAAAAGUACAGUUAAGAUAGAGUUGCUUAAAGAACAUCUGAUCAUGGCUUUUUUACAACCAGGGUAUGACUUCUAAUUCUUGAGCAUCAAUCAAAUGAAACAAAUACUAAUUACCUAGCAGCUCCUUACUGUAGCCAGAAGCACAUUUAUUGAGUUUGAAUUUAGAAUCUUACUUCAGCAUCAUCAGUGCAUACUGUUGUAACUCGUUGUCGUGACUUGAGAGCUUGGAGUUUCAUUUCUUAACCAUCAGUACAUGCAUGAAAUAUUUGACAGGGUUGUGAUGGCUCUGUACUAAUCUCAUCAACACCGACCAACACGGCCGAGAGGGACUACCCGGAUAACCAAUCCUUGAACGAAGACGGGUUCGACACUGUGGAUCGAGCUAAGGCGGCGGUAGAUGCAGAUCCCCAGUGCACGAAUAAGGUGUCCUGCGCCGAUAUCCUCGCCUUGGCUACAAGGGAUCUCAUAGCUCUAGUUAGUCACUACUCUUUAAAUUCUUUUCACUAUAUAGAAUAUGCAUCAUUCUCUUAUAUACUAAGUAGGAUUAUGGUAGUACAUGAAUUAAUGAUUGGUUAUGCAAAUAGGCUGGUGGGCCGUCUUACGCAGUCGAGUUGGGUCGAUUCGACGGGCUGAGCUCGACGGUGGGCAGCGUUGUCGGGAAGUUACCCGCACCAACUUUCGACUUGGACCAACUCACCGGCAUCUUCGGGUCCAAUGGGCUUUCAAUGCUAGAUAUGAUUGUUCUCUCAGGUGACCACAGUGAUUAGCAUGAGUCAUAAGCUCCAAAUUCAGAUUAAGUUCCGCGGAGUCGAAAUAUACAAAGUUUGGCAAAAAUUACAGCAGCAUAAACUACUUAUAUAAUAAUUUACGGUGUUAUAAACCGUCUAACGAAUCAAUUUCAAAUUACACGGAUUAAAUUUGUCAUUUAUUCAAAAAAUUUACAGCGUGCCACACGGUAGGGUUUGCCCACUGUGGCAUAUUUUCGGACCGGUUGUACAACUUCGCCCCAGGGAGCCCAAUGGACCCAACACUCAACAAGAACUACGCGGCGCAGUUGAUCUCGUCGUGUCCCCCGAACCCGAACCCGUCGUGGCACGUUUUCUUGGACCCGGUCACCCCCGGUGCCUUCGACAACCAGUACUUCAAGAACCUGCAACAAGGAAUGGGGCUCCUAUUCUCCGACCAGGUUCUGUUCAACGACACUCGCUCGCAAUCCACCGUUAACUCUUUAGCCUCCAGCUCCUCGCGGUUCGAGCAGGCGUUUGUCGUGGCCAUCACCAACAUGGGUCGGGUCGGGGUUAAAACUGGGUUACAGGGCAAUAUCCGCGAAAAUUGUCGCGUCUUCAACUGAUUACUUAAAAAGAUUUCCUAGUAGAAAUUUGUUGAUUGUGAAAGUUCUAGUUUACUAAUAAAGAAGUUUAUAUAUUCGUCCUCAUGUUGGAUUUGUUACGGUGGAUGAUGGUCAUUUAGAUCAAGAUUAAAGCAUGGGUCGCAGUUACACCAAAAUAAAAGUUGCUCAGGUAGUUGAAUUGGGUCGAGCACAACGAACCAUAUAGUUUCUUGUGUCUGUGCACAAAUUCUAAAUGUAAUUUAUUUUUGAUCAUUUGAAAUAUAUGUUAUUUAUAUGUCUUGCAUUAUUUUCUAUCAGAUCUGCAUAAUUAUGCUUAAUGAAUUAAACCUACAUAGUUAAUUUGUACACACUUCAAAAUGUAAAUAUAUUUAAGUGUCAAACUCAAGUUCUAAACUUGGUGUUUCAUAACAUCAAUACGCGUUUAUAAAGUCUACAAAUGAUAAGAACGUUACAUAUUUUAAAAACUCCUAAACACAUAUCAUGCGGCAUAGAAUUAAUAAGAAAAAAUAUCGUACAAUUGCGUGUUGAGGAACUCGCCCCUGGUAACCACUCUGAAAAGGAUGCCUCUCACUUGACAUUCCAACUAAUCCCCAGUUCCGUGCCCAAAAGAGUUUCUUUAACCUUUUUUUUUCUUUUUUCUUUUUUCUUUUUUUCUAAUAUUGUCACCAAAGAAUAGUCUCAAAUAAUUUUGUUUUAUAGCGACGAUUUUAGUAUUGAAUAUAAAAUAGUAAAGUAUAAUUUUGAAUAACUUAAAUUUUUGAAGAACAAUAAAGUAGGAGAUUCUGAAUCUGAGUUCUUAUCCUUUGAUCAAUUGAGAGAAACGACAAAACUCAGUGCCUUUUCUUAUCGUCUUUCUAAUUUUUUAAACUUGACAGAGCAAAAGAAAAAAGAGAAAAUAGAAAAUGAAAAAAUAAUAAUAAUCUCACCAGUAUUGAUAACCCGGGCCUGAUUGGGUUGGGCUACGCUUGAAUUUGGGCCUGAAAUUUUUGCACAUCACACUCCAAAUUGAGGUGUCCAGGUCAAGUCAAAUAAAAGAAAAUUUACAAUUGCAUCCCCUCAAAAUGCUUUUUUUUUUUUUUUUUUUUUUUGAAGAUGUAGUUUUUUUUUUUUUCUUUUGUGAGAUAGGUAACACGGUAUCUGCUUCGUUUAUUUCAUUUAGAAAUAAAUAUAGCUUAAAAUAUAAAUCAACUAAUAUUCGAACUUAAAACCUCAGGUACCAACCACCAAGUCUUUUGCCACUUGCUCUAGGGACGAUCGACAUGUCUCCAAAAUGUUGUUCUUAUAUAUAUAUAUUAUUAAUGUAUUGAUAUAAACAAUAAAAAAUUUUUGGUUAUUAAUGCAAAUAGUUUGAGGCAUAAUGUAAAUUUCCUAUCAUAUUAACAUUGUAUAAAAUAUUGUUUAAUUGAAUAGGAGGUGUUGGUAAAUAUUUUUGCUACACCAUCAAUUACAUUUUGGAUACGAGUAAUUAUCGCUUGAAACUUGAUAGAAAAGUAACGAUUUUAAUGAAGAGAUAGAAUUAUAGUUACUUUUUCACUGAAAAGCGAAGAGAAUUAAGUACUUUUAAUCGUAAAAAUCCACUUUCGUUAUUUAAAAUUAUAAGUCUAACUUUUCUAAAAUGCCAUAAUUAAUUUUGCUCUAGCAGGUAGCGAAAUCAAUUACCAAAGGAAAAAAAAAAUAAAAGUUAACUAGUGUAAUAUAUAUAUAUAUAUUUCCAUCCUCUUGUGCAUCUAGCACAAUUUGACGAAACAAAUACAUAAAUUGAGAGAACUUCGAUUCUAAAUCAUUGAUCUUUUAUCAAACAUAUAUUAGUGAAAAAAUUAAUUUUCACAUGUUCAACAGAUUUUUAUUUUUUAUUUUUUUUUUAUGGACAAUCGAACAAACCCAUAGUAUCACAUGUUCAACUGAAUUUUUUUUUUUUAAUGGCCAAUCGAACAAACCCAUAAUAUUAUUUUUCAAAUCCCAUAUAUAAUUCAUACUAUUUCCAAUUAGCGGAUAGUUUAAAAUUUUUUUACUUUUUUUAAAUAAAAAAUUUAAAUUUGGAAUAUUAGAAUAUCAACUAUCAGAUCUAGAAAUUUCCAAACAAAACAAUACGUCAAUGCCUUGCAUUGUUUUUUUUUUUUUUUAACAAAAAAAAACGUCACAAACCGUAGGCCAAAGCGUGUGGACUAUCCAUCUCUCUUUCUUUCUUUUCUCACCCCCAAAAAUCUUUUCACAAAAAAAACCCACUUAGAAGGGAAUAUAUAUAGAGAGAGAGAGAGGCCACCACACGAACACGCGAAGGGCGUUCCGUGUGGCGUCAACACACCGUAUCAUGACAGUGCCUUAAUAUGCCGCCACGUGUACGGCUGUAGCGCACCACGGGCGUCGCUAUCAAAGCGCCCGACGACGACGCCAACGGGCGCAAAAUUUCCCCCCACUCGGCGCUUCCUCUCUCGCCGCGGUAACAAACCCCUCUCGUACGUAGCUCUACGAAACACUCUCUCUCUCUCUCUCUCUCUCUCUCUCUCUCUCUCUCUCUCUCUAUAUAUAUAUAUAUUUGUAGAGAGAGAGAGAGAGAGAGAGAGAAUAUGUAUUAUAUUACGACGUGUAUGCACACACACACACACACACAUACACACACACACAGAGCGAGGGAGAGAGAGAGAUAGAGAGAGAGAGAGAGAGAUUGAAUCGGGGUAAUAUUAAUGGAGUGGUGGGAUCGCGUGGCGAUGCCGAUGAGGCGGGUUUGGAUCGGCGCGGCGACGCGUCUCCGCCUCCGGAGAUCCACCGGUAAGUAGUUAAUUACGUGCGGUACAUGUCUUGCCUUGAUGGACGGCGUGGAUUCGAUCGAUCGCCUGAUUGGGGGUGUAUGCAUGCACUGUUUGGUAUUUUGCUACAUAUGUUAGCAGGGCUGUGGGAGCUGAGGAAGGAGGUGAGCACGUGCGAGUACGAGGACGUGCGCGUGAUGUGGGAAAUGCUGCGGAAGCAGCACGUGGCGGAGGAGGCCGACGUGGCGGCCUCGGAGAGGAGGAGGGGAACGCGGCGGGGAGAGGACACGUGGCACGAUCUGGUGGUGGCGGAGUUUGGGGACCGAGAGAGACGCAGCGGAGGAGGAGGAGGAGCUCCGCUUCUUCAUAAGUGGUGCUGCUGCCGCCGGUUUUGAAACGGAUCCGGGUUCGAUCAGCUACUAUCAUUCCAUUUGGAUCCGAAACCUACCAAGCAUUUUUUUUUCCCCUUUCUAUUUAUUUUUAUUUAUUUUGUUUAUAUUACAUUAGAGAUACAUCAGAUAUCAAAGAGUGUUGUAUAUAUUAAACCGGCUAGAUUAUUAUAAAGAGUUAGUCUUCUAUACUAUCUAUAUUACCGAGACUCCAGUACUAUAGUCUCGUUUUCGAUUUUAAGGUAUUCAAAUCAACGAUCCAUACUGUUAAAAUUGAUCUAGUGUAUUUAAAAUUUUUAGAAAUAAAAUUUUAUAUUUUUUCAAUAUAGUUUACCUUAUGAUCAAAUCAUUUCAAAAUUGUCAAUUUUCAAUGACUACUACGUCGAGUUUGAAGUUUAACGGUGUAGAAGAAUCUAAAUUUCUUCAAAUUUUGAUAGAAAAUACUUUAAACUAUCUAGAUUAAGGUUAACAUUCUUAAUCUUGAAUUUAAAAGUUCUAUACUCAAAUUUUAAAGAUUAUUUAAUUUUUACCGUUCAUUUUGAUAUAAUUUAUUUAGUAAGUAAACGAUGUCGAAAAAACUAAAAUUUUAUUCCUAAAAACUUCAUACAUCCUAUAUCAUUUUUAAUGGUAUGGAUCGUUAAUUUGAAUCUAAGAUCGAAAACAAGAUUAUAGUACUGGAGCUCCGGUACUAUAGAUAGUAUAGUAGCCUAAUUCUUAUUAUACACAUAUAUAUUUCCCUUGACAGUAUUAUUUUCUGUUUUCCAUUCUAUUUUGUAUGUUUUGUAUUAAAAUUGUUGAGAUCGAGCGCGGCUCUAAUGAUAUACCCUAUAUUAUUUUUAAUGGUACGGAUCGUUAAUUUGAACCUAAAAUCGAAAACAAAAUUAUAGUACCGGAGCUCCGGUAUUAUAGAUAGUAUAGUAGCCUAAUUCUUAUUAUACAUAUAUAUAUUUCCCUUGACAGUAUUAUUUUCUGUUUUCCAUUCUAUUUUGUAUGUUUUGUAUUAAAAUUGUUGGGAUCGAGCGCGGCUCUAAUGAAGGUUACAGAAAUAAAAAGCUUCUUUUUAUUAGUAUACUGAAAAUCAGAUUAUUACAAACAACAAGCUGUACGUUGUAAUAAUCCCAUUUAAACUUUACAUUACAUCUUAUUUUCCAUUCUCAUCAAGUUGAUCAUGUAUGAUUCCCUCAAAUGGACCAAAUACGACAAUAGGAACCGAUAAUUUCGAAUCAAAUUCCAGUUUUGUAGCAGCAUGAUGAAAGAUUCGGCUAGUUCGAUUCCAGCUGUUAAGAUCAAAUGCUAUUUUGUGACUGAUUCUGAUUUAGACAUCUACUGCAGAUGAAACUUUUACUGUACAACUAAACAGAUCGUAAGUGCUGUAAGAUGCUACUCUUCCACUCUUUUGGACAUUUUUAAGUGUAAUAAGCUGCUACUACUAUAAUAAAGCUCUUAGUGAGUUGAACAAGUAGCAAAAUGGCUUUGAAGUAUAGUUUAUCCUUAAAAAGUAUUUUCUAUAUCUUUUGUGUUCAAUUAGCGAACUUCGCAUUCUGCAGAGAUAGGUAAGCUAAAAACAGAGAAUUUAGACCGCCAUCAAAACAGAUGCAUAAAAACAUAUAUUUCAUUAAUGUGUCACCCAAUUUAUGCAACAUUCUGAUCAAUAACAAAUAAUUGAUUUUACAACUAUCAGCUGGUAUCCGAAUCUACAACAUUCUGUUCUUUACAACGAAAAGGAUACAUCUAUAAACAGUUGCUGCACAUUGCAUCAAGCUUAAAUGGUACAACAAUUUCCUAUUCCACUUUGAAUACACCUUCGAGAGUAAUUUCCGGGUCUUACGGUUCCCGCAAAAGACUUGCAGAAGCAUCGUCAUGCGUUUCCUGAAUCUGCACCGGCAGAGAUCCGAAACAAUUCUCAGACGGCACGGGAUUGGGAAUAAAACUGACCCACGUUUUAUCCUUAAUGUAUUCUAUGCCAAAAUAGAGGAGAGCUCCGAACACCAUAACACUCCCGCUAACAAUGAAUGUUCGGAUUGAGGCCAAGCUCAUGACGAUAAGGAUUAAGAAAGUCGGGGGUAUGCAGAUAAGUACUGCACCGACUGUUCCGACGGGGAUUUUGUACGGCCUAUGAAGAUCUGGCUUCUUUAUUCUGAGUUUUACGAAAGCGGCAAACUCGAGAAGCAUUCCUAGAGCGUACAGGAAGUUGAGGAAUUCGAUUAUCUCUUGAAAGCUCAUGCAGGAUAAGAGGAUAACCCCUGUCGCCGAGCACAGGAUGCUAAAAGUUGGGGUUCCAUAUUUCGAUCUACAGAAGCACCAUUUGCAUUUCAAAGGGCUAUUCUAUAUAAUACUAUGAAGAUUACCAUAAAACUAUAAAUUGUAAAUUGCAAGAAUGAAACAUAUUUAAGAACUUAAAGUUUAACGAGAGAGAAAGUACGAAUUUGAGCUAUUCUAAUCUGCCAUUCUUCUAGGUAAGUUCAAUUACACAUUUUCACGCAACAACUAGAAGUAACCAGGAAGAAGAGUCUAUCUAUAUAUAUAUAUAUAUAUAUAUAUAUAAAAGCAAAUGACGCUCCAAAUGCAAGUUACUGGUGAAACAAGCAUGUUGCCCCAAAUGCUCAUUAACCACCAAUUAGAUAAUAUCGCUUUAUGUGUUUAGCUUCACACCUCAUGUUUGGUCUCGACAGUGCUAAUAGGCCAGAAAACUGAAAUUUGAGAGAUGGCGACAAAUUUUCUGGAAUAACUAGCUCUUACUUUAACCCCGAACCAAACCAAACCAAACGGAGACUUACUUCUUCAAUCAAGCAUUUGAUUAGCUUUUCGCACUGGUACUCUUUUAAUUAAGUCCAUUCUUAAGCAAACGAAGCAAAUAUUUCACAAAUGAAUAAUAAAAGCUGAAGCAGAAUUGAAUUGCUUUGUGAAAUAGAAGAAGUUUGGGAGGGGAACCUGCGGGCGAAGACGGCGGGGAGCAUCCCCAUCUCGCUCAUGCCGAGCAACUGGAAGGAGUCGCUGCUCAUCUCGGCCUCGAAGAGGCCCAUGUUGGACAUGGCGGCGGCGAGCUGGAUCCAGCAGCGGAGCCAGGGCCCGCCGAUGGCCAUGCCGACCUCGGCGAAGUAGCCGUCGGUCCAAUUCUCCGGCGAGGAGCCGGCCAUGGCGCCGGUGCCGGCCAUGAGCGGGACGAGGUAGGAGGCGACGACGAGCCCCACGGCCCCGAACACGGCCCUGGGGAAGGAGCGGCUAGGGUUGUCGACCUCGCCGGCGAGGGUGCUGGCCUUGUCCCAGUAGUUGAGGUUCCAGAACAUGCUGUUGAAGUAGGUGCGGAGGUCUAGGGCUUUGGGGUCGAAGGCGAGCCAGCGCGCGGGGCGGAGGCGCGGGGCGGCGAGGAGGGCGAGGACGACGAAGGGGGAGAGGGAGAAGGCGGUGAGGGCGAGGGCGGAGAGGCCGACGAGGUGGAGGCCGCGGUAGUUGAGGAAGGUGAGCGCGGCGGUGAGGGCGACGAGGGCCGGGGCGCGCGCGGCGGGGAGGGCGAAGAGCGGGAGCGAGCCGCGGAGGUAGUCGAGGAAGAGGACCGGGUAGAGGGCGUUGUCCAUGGUGCCCGACACCCACUUCCACACCCCCUCCUGGAACCCCCAGAACGGCCCGAACGCCGACGAGAUCCACAGCACGUACCCGCCGUUCUCCGGGAAGGACGAGGCCAGCUCCGCCGUGAUCAGCGCCUCCGGGAGGGACCAGAUCGCCGGGAAGAGCACGAACCCCAGCAGGGAGAGGAGCGGGCCCCCGCCCCCGCGCACCGAGUCCUCCACCCCGAAGGGGCCCCCGGACACGUCGUAGAAGAUCAGGGCGAUGAGCGGGAGCACCCCCAGGGGCCGCCGCCGUGGGGGAGCCGCGCCCCCCGCAUCCGAGGAGGAGGACGACGACGACUGGCGAUCGGGCUCCCCCACCACCUCCCCCAUUAAUGGAGCUAAUCGAGCUCGAGGAGGAGGAGGAGGAGGAGGAUGAAGACGAGGACGCCGACGACGACGAAUUAAAAGGGUUGGAAUUAAAAUUUAAAAGGGUGUGCGUAGGGUCAAGCAAAUGAUUUAUUCUCUUUUAUAAAUUACGAGUGCAAAUGGUUGAUUCUUUAAAAAAAAUUUUAUAGUUAUGAGUUUUUUUUUUUUUUUUUUUUUUUCAACGUGAGGUUCUGAUUUUCAAUGAAUAAAAUAAAUAGUAUACUAUCGAUUCUCAAAAUAAAUAAAUAAAUAAAUAAAUAAAAGGGUGUGGAAAAAUGUACGACGUACCCCUCAACUAUUCACAUUUUUUAUAGAAAACGGAUCUCUGAGAGCGAACUCCAUCAUUUUCCUUAGUGAUAUUUAGUUUUAAUUCCUUUUUAAUGAAGUUAUUCUAAUGAACGAAAUUAGCAACUUCAUAAUUUUAUCAAAUUUGGUUUUAUUUCGUUAUAUUUUAGUACCUAAAGACCAACAUAAUUGAAAGUUCUUAAACGUAACGAAAAUUUUAACUUAAUCAAUCAGAAUAAGCAUAAAUAGUUUAAAAUUUUUAAAAAUAGUACGGUAACGUAUUUCCAAAUAUCGGGUUAAUUACACCAGUAAUCCCCAACCUUUUCAUCAAUUUUUAUUUGGGUCCCCAACCUUUUUUUUUUUACAAUUGAGUCUCUAAUCUUUUGAUUUUAUUACAAUUAGGUCCCAACCGUUAAAAAAUAUAUUAAAAUUAACGGAAUCACCACGUCAGCACCUAUUUGGUUUACUUUUGCAUGUUAAUUUAGGUUUCUAAACUUUGCACAUUUUUUACUUUAGUCUCUAAAAAUAAAAAUUUUAAAUUUUAAAUUUAAAAUCAAAAAUAAUAUUAAAAUUUUGUUGCAAUCUGCUGACACAACGCUACCAUGAGGCUGACAUGGUGCCUCCGUGGCACUGACAUGGUGCUGACAUGAGCAUUUUCCUUCCAUUUUAAUACUUAUCUAACGGCUGAGAUUUAAUUGAAAUGAAAUCAAGAGAUCAGGAACUCAAUUGCAAAAAAAUAAAAGUUAAAGACCCAACUGAAAAUUGGUGAAAAAGUUGGGGACUAUUAGUGUAAUUAACCCCCAAAUAUCCUAUAGUCCAGGGAUAUUCCGUAUAUUUUUUUCCGAAAUCAUUGUAAAGUGCGCGGGGAUAUCUUCAGGAGCAAUUUGGAUCGUGGUGGCGAAUAAGACGAACAUAAGGGGUUAGUACGUGUGUGUGUGUGCGUGUGUGUGUGUAUAUAUAUAUAUAUAUAUAUAUAUAAAAGCUAGGCUGUUAUAUUAUCGGUAGCACGGACGUCUUCGUGCUACCAAGUUGUUUUCAAUGAUGCUGCUUCCAAAUCGACGAUCGGUUCCAUUAGACUUGAUUUACACUAUUGAAAAUAUUUUAAAACUAAAUUUCAUAAUUUUUCGGUAUCAUUUACCUAUCAAACGAGUAGUCUCAAAAUAAACGGCUGAAAAUAAAAAUCUCAUAAAAAAUAAUGAUAGAAAUCUUGAAUUUAAGAUAAGAGCUAUUGAUCUUACUCUAAAUAGUAAAAAAAAAUUUCAUCUGAUUUUAAUUAUUUUACACCGUUAAAUUUAUAAAUACAUCAUAUUUAUCAAUUAAAAUUGUCAAUUUUGAGACCUUUUGAUCACUAGCCAAAUGGCCCAAAUGAUGUCGAAAAAUUCUGAAAUUUAGUUUCCAAAUAAUUUCAAUAGUGUAGUUCAAGUCUAACGGAGCCGAUCGUCGAUUUGGAAGCCGCAUCAUCGAAAACAACUUGGUAGCACGGAAGCCUCCGUGCUACUGAUAGUAUAACAGCCAGACUCUCUCUCUCUCUCUCUCUCUCUCUCUAUAUAUAUAUAUAUAUAUAUAUAUAUUCGGUGCAACGGGUGUGUAUCACUGUUGUGAGACUCAACGGUGGGGCCCGGAUGUGUCGGGACCACGUGUCAGUGAAAUCAAACGUGAUAUACAAUCGCUAUCCCAGUAGAUUGGAAGUUUGGAACUCUAUUAUGCGGCGGCGUCGGGCCAUAUUUAUCGCUUUGGUUAUUGGAGGAUCCGACGAGUAACGUGGCCUCAUAUUCAAAGUCGUAAGAAUCGGGUUGCAUUUGGAGACCUGGAUUUUUUUGCAUAAUAAUACAAGUGAAAGAAAAGUACACCUCGUGGAUCUCAAGAUAUAUAUAUAAUAGUAAUUGAAAAACAACCACUUUAGAUUUAUAAUAACAAAUAAAUAAGUAAAUAAAUAAAUAAAGCGUAAUGAAUGCAAGAUAAAUGAGCUAUAUAGAUUUAUCGAAUCAACAUGAAUACUUACAUAUAAUCUACGGUCUGUAAAGUAAGUGGCAAAGGAGCUGGUGGUUGGUAUCUGAGACUCAAGUUCGAAUUUUUUUUUCUUUUUUUUUUUUGAGAGAUAGGUAGCACGCUAUCCGCUUCGUUUAUUUCAUUUAGAAAUAAACUUAGCUAGAAAUAUGAAUCAACCAUCAAAUCCUUUGCCACUUGUUCUAGGGACGGUCAGUAAGUUCGAAUCCUAGUUUCACAUUUCCAGCUAAGUUUAUUUUAAAUAAAAUAAACGAAGCGGGUAGCGUGCUAUCUAUUUCUAAAAAAAAAAAAAAAAAAAAAAACAUCAUGAAUACUUAGAUGUAGAGUACCCGUGCUAUACACGGCGCGAUUUUUUUAUUUGGGAAGUAUUUGUCAAAUUGGUGAGAAUCAGCAUGAAUCUGAAGAUUUAGAACACCCAUGCUAUGCACAGAGUAUUUGUGAGGUUAGUGAGAUUAUUUAGCUUGUCGUUUUAUAUAUAUAUAUAUAUAUAUAUAUAUAUAUAUAUAUAAAACUUGUUGCGUUUUAGCGCUCAGUUGAAUGAGAGGAUUACAGACGAAUUUAAUUUAUGACGAAGAAACUGAACUGAGCGCAGGUUCCACAUGGGGAGGCAACCGUUGGUAAUCGUGGCGGAUGCGGAGCUGUGCAAGGAGGUGGGUAUCAAGAAGUUCAAGGAUAUCAAGAACAGGAGCAGCCCCCCUCCCACCGUUGGAUCUCCUCUCCACCAAGAUGCGCUCUUUCUAACAAGGUACUCUUUACAAAAUACUUCAAAUAAAUUAUUAAAUAUAUAUUUUUUAAAAAAUUCUAAUGCUGCUUGUGCACCUACUACUUUGUAUGUAUGUUACAUCCCAGUUGAUAAAUCCGUUUUAGGUUUAUAAUGCGAAAAAAAAUAAAAAAAAUUGAUAAGACCACUUUCAGAAGAAAAUAAAUAAAUAAGAUGUACAGUUUAAUUAUAAUCUAUAUAUAGAUUCAUAGAUAGUAAUACUCAUAGAUUAUAUAUUGUGCCAAAUAUUUUUAAAAUUCUAAGAAAUUAUGCAGCCAAGGAGUAGAACUGGCAACAAAUACCUCUGCCCGCAUAUGUCCGGAUUUCUUCGGGUGAAUUUUGUGACGAUCCAAUAGUUUCAUAUAUAAUGAAAAAGAAAUUAUAAUUGAGAAUAUAGAGAACGGAAGCUCUUAUACUAAUAAAUAGACUAAAGCAUUUGGAUCCAGUGGUUUGGAUAUAGCAAAUUAUUAUUACUAGCAGAAGAGCCAGUAGUAUGUAAUUUUAUGUUACAACUGAGUUUAAGCAUUUUGGUCGAAUAGUUUGAACUUUAGGAUUUAUGAUUGCUAAUAUAACUGAACUUAAAUAUUUUGAGCUAAUGAUUUUGACCCAACGAAUUAUUAUUACUAACAGGACAGAGCCGUUACANCUCUCUCUCUCACAUCCUACACCUUUUUUUUUUAAUUUUUUUCUCUCAACAUUUUUUUUCUUUUUUAUCUACACCAAGUGUAAAAUUUUAUCGCAUAAAUUUUAACUUUUAAAAAAUAAAACUAUCUUAUAUAAAACUUAGUUUGAUAUUGAGGCCUAUCUAACGCUAUUAGAUAAAAUGAAGUUAGGGUAAAAGCAUAUAGGAUAUGCUUCUGCGUCCUCCGGUGGGACCGCAAAAAAUAUAUCGUAAUCGAUUAAUCGUGAUAUUUUUUUAUUUGUAAAUUCUAUCUUGCUGAUAAUAAUUAUUCAUCUUUUUUAAUACUGUUAUGAACUUUUAUUUUAUUUUAAACUGAUUUAUUUAUUUUACUUAUCAGGUUUAAAUAUUUUUAGAAAGAAAUAUAUACUUUAAUUUCAUUAUUUAAUUUUUAAUUAUUCAAUGCUGAAGCAAAUAAUAUUAAAAAAUAUUAAUGCAUAAUAAAAAAAAAUAUAUAUUAAUAGUUAUAAUAAUUUAUUGUUAUAUUGUCUUUCCGUCGUAUUGAGCGAGGUACCUUGACUAGUAAAGAUAAAAUUGUGGUACAAUAUUUAUCCCUUUCUUUUAUCAAACAGAGGCAAAAAAUGGACACUUAUUGCGAGCCCAAAUGUAUAAGAAAAUGUGGGAGCCCAAAUUAAUGCACCGGCGGGGCCCGGCCCAGCCCGAGCCCAUUAAGAGCAUCGCCCACCUGACUCAACACACCCUUCCUCUCUCCUUGUACUGAUUUUGUUAGGAGUUCAUAUUAUAAGAAAGCAAAAAAAAAGAAAAAAAAAAAAAGAAGUUACUAUAUGUUAGUCGGUUCAAACCUUAUAUGUUGGAGCUUUUAAGUUGAAUAAAUUUUAUUAGAAAAAUAUCACAUAUUUAAAUUUAUGUGGGUCUGAACUGGAUCUAGAACAUUUCAGCAAGUGCUGUUAGAGCCAAUGGUUUGACGAUUUUAAGUUAUUCGUCCAGACGAUAUGGUGUAAUAAAUUAAGUUGGUAGUCUUACGAAGGUUACAGAAACACGAUAUAACGGCUUGGGGCGCUAAAAAAAAUUAGUUUCCAGAGAUGUGGAUUUGAUGCCAGAGAGGUUAGGACAGGACUCCGAUUGAGAGUUAAUUGAUUUACAUGUGAAAGUCAAAGAAUGUUAGGAGUUUACAUGUAAAUUUUUUUUUUUAAAAAAUAAAGUAACUUACUUCUACUCUUUUUGAAUUCGGAUCGCAAAUAACUUUGUUGGAUAUUUUAUCCAAUCCAUUUUCGCAACUUGGGCGUGGUUAAUUAGUAGUUAUACCAGUAUGUUAUUAAUAUAGGCCGUGUUCAUGUAAUCACGUGCGGUGUACGAGGUGGUCCCUUGAGCUACAUCCUACGUACUUUGGCUAACAUAUGUACUCAAAAAUUAGUUUCCUUUUCCUUCCAUUUGUUUUUAUAUUUUGUUAUUAAGCUAAGUUUAUGCAGUAAAACACGUAGUAAAACAAGCUAAUUAACUACUUUGUAAAGUAUCAGUUUGUUGCUUCUUUUGUUCUACGCGUAUUGUGUCGCUUCUCUCUUUCUCCCCUCUUCGAAAAGGCCUAUACACAUAGCUUUGUUUAUAAGUGAUAACGUGGAAGUAGGGGUGUAAACGAGCCGAACACGAGCGAGCUGGGAUCGGCUCGUGUUCGGCUCGUUUAUUAAACGAGCCGAAUACGAGCUGGCUCGUUAAAGUAUCGAGUCGAAAAAUUCAGCUCGUUUAUUAACGAGCCGAACACGAGCUGGCCAACGAAUAAUAAAUUAAAAAAAAUUAAAUUAAAUAUAUAUAUAAAAUAAAUUUAUAAAAUUUUAUCUAUUAGACUUUGAUCUAAUAGUUAAAAUUUUACAUAUAAAUGAGUCUUUUUAUAAUUAAGCACGCAUUUAUAUUUUUAUUUUGCUAAAAAUUAAAUAAUAUAUAUAUAUAUUAUAUAUAAUUAUUUAUUUAUAUAUAAAAAUAUAAAUUAAAUAAGUUAUAUAAAUAUAAAAUAUAUGUAUUCGAGCUAUUAUCGAGCCGAACACGAGCGAGCUGACCCUAGCUCGUGUUCGGCUCGUUUACUAAACGAGCGAUUCGAUCCCAAGCUCAUUUCGAGCCGAAUACGAGCUGGCUCGCGAACAGCGAGCUGGAUUGCCACUCCUACGUGGAAGGUCAAAAUUUUAAUAGGCCUAAGACUUGUAUAUAUAUAUAAAGUUAAUUUGCAUCUUAUUAGGUAAGUUUAGGGUAUGUUUGGUCUAGCUUCUGAAAAAGUAAUUUCUGAAAAAGUGAUUUUGGUUUGGAGAAAUAAUUUUGGUUAAAAUCUGUAGAACGUUUGAUGGAGUUUAGAUAAAAGUGAUUUUUCUGAAGUGAUUUUGAAAAGUUGUUUGGUAAAUUUUUUUUAAUGUUUGAAAAUAACAUUAAUUUUUAUUAAAUUUUAUUUUAAAAUAAUUUAAAUCUAAAUUUAAAUUUGAAUUAAAAUUAAAAUUUUUGAAUUUCAAAAUGUACAAAAUUUAAGUUGAUAUUUUUAAUUUAAAAAAUAAUUUAAAAUUCUCAAAAUUUAAAAUUAAAAUAAUUAUAAAAUGUUAAAAAUUAAAAAUAUAAAUAUAAAUUUAAAACAUAUAUAAUUAUGAAUUUAAAAUAUAAAUUUUCAUAUAUAAAAAUUAAAAUAAAAUUAAAAUUUCAAACUUUAAAUUUAGAAUUUAAAUUUAAAAUUUAAAUCUAAAUUUAAAAUUUGAAUUAAAAUUUAAAAUUUAAAAUUUAAAUUUAAUAUGUAAAUAAUAUAAAUAUUAUGAAAUGUAAAAAUAAAAAUAUUAAUAAAAAAUAUAUUAAAUAAUUAAAUUUUCAAAAUUUAAAUUUUAAAUUAAAAUUUAAAUUUUAAAAAUUAUGAAAUUUAAAAGUUGAAAUUUAAAAUUUGAAUAUUAUAAAUUUAAAAUUUAAAUUAAAAUUUUGAAAUUUAUAAUUUGAAGAUAAAAAAUAUAAUUUAAAAUUUUUAAAAAUUUUAAAUUUUAAAAUCUAAUAAGAAAUUUGAAAUUUGAAAUUCUAAAAUUUAAAAUGUUGAAAUCUAAAAUUUGAGAUUUGAAAUUUAAAAUUAAAAUUUAAAAUUUAAAGUUUGAAAUCUAUUUUUCAAAAUUUAAAAUUUAAAACUUAAAAUUUAAAAAAUAAAAAAUGAAUCUAAAAAUUAAAAUUUAAAAUUUAAAUUAAAUUUAAAUAUUGAAAUUAAAAUAAAAAUUUAAAGUUUAAAUCUAAAAUCAGAAUCAGAUUUCAAGUAGUUUUUUUCUGCUUCUGAUUCUGCGGCCAUUAAAAUCCGUUUUCUGAUUCUAAAAAAUAGAAUCAGAUUUUAAAAAUAAGUUGUCAAAUGCUUUAUUAAGCCGAAAAUCAUUUUUCAGUCCAAAAGGGCUUUUUAAAAGCUAGGUCAAGCACCCUCUUAAACUCAAAUUGUUUGGUGACCAUUUUUUUUGUUUCAACAUGUCCGUUGUGCACAUGCACACACCGUUGCACACGGUGGAGAAAUUAUAGUUUAGCUUAUGAGGAGAUCAAUUGAUUAUUAAUCCUGAAUUAAAAAAGCUAUAUUGUUCAAUCAUUAUUUUUCUAAAAUUAUAUCAUUUGGUUCAAAUCGUGCAUAGUAAAGUAUUCGACUUAACAAGCUACAUAGAAGUUCUCCAGGGGUGAAAAAAACAAAUGGUUAGAAAAACCUACAAAAGUGGAUCGAGCUCGUUACUUCAUGGACGCGUUACGGUUGCCCUGGUAUUCAUUAAUGCAUAUGAAAUAAAAACAUAUCUUUGAAUAAAAAUUUAAAUGACUAGAAUGAUAUUUUUUUCUACUAGCAGCUAAUUAAAGGAAGAGAAAAAAAAAAAAAAAAACUCUUNCGUUACUUCAUGGACGCGUUACGGUUGCCCUGGUAUUCAUUAAUGCAUAUGAAAUAAAAACAUAUCUUUGAAUAAAAAUUUAAAUGACUAGAAUGAUAUUUUUUUCUACUAGCAGCUAAUUAAAGGAAGAGAAAAAAAAAAAAAAAAACUCUUCUUUUAUUUCAAAAUUCUUUAUAAAAAAAAAAUUUUUUUUUUUACUUGCGUGUUCCCAUUUCGUGACCAUAAAAACUUGUAGUACGUGAUGAUUCAAAAAGCUUGUGCAAAGCUGCAUGGUUGAGUCUUAUAUCAUAUGUACAGUUGCUAAAAAAAGAUAAAAAACCAGAGGCAUUUAAAAUUUUUGUUGUUAAUUUUUGUGUAUACAUUUACACGCACACUUGAUGGUACAAAUUAAUGGCCAACUUGGUCCGUAUCACAUUCUACAGGAAAGUUAGGUUGGGUCAGGUUCACCUCAGGUGAAUUUCUAUAAUUUCUUUAAAAAAGAGUCACAUUUAUGUAUAGUUGUUUCCAGGGUUUAGUUAAAUUAAUGCCAUAUAUUUGCAAGUUCGCGGAUAAUAGUUAAAAUAGUUAUACUUGAUUAAAAAAAUUUAUAUAAAUUAAAUUGAUUAUCCAAUGAAGUUUUAGGUUAGGUAACCAACAAAUGAAACAAUCUAAUAAGUUAAUUUAUUUUGUUAAGUUUUGAAGCUAAGGGCGUGUUGGUAUUACUAGGGUCGCGAGAAUGUAUGUUUGAUUCUGAACUCAAACAAAAUAAAAUAAAACAUAUCGUAUACAAAAGCUGAGUUCGAUUCUCACAAUUCGUACACUUUAAUUACGUUGCGUAUCUGAUUUUCGACUUUAUAGAUCAUUUUCAAAUGCCUGCACUUCUAAGUUGGCAAAAUAAACGACUUACCGGGCAGAGAUUUGGCGAAACAAACAUGCCUUGAGAAGAGACGAGUCCCACUCUUGUGAUAUAUUUGUAUUUAAUUGGGAGACAAACUAUUACUAAAGAAAAAAAAAAUGCUUCCAUACUAAAUUCAAUAAAUUUAUCAAGUUUUCAAUUUAUUUAUUUUUUAAAAUAUAAGUAUACGUGAAAAAUAAAUAGUGGGGUCAUAGUUGGAUGGAACCGUUGUAACGGGCCCAUGCACGCUCGCCGUGGCAAUAAUGCAUGGUACGAGAUUUGUUAAACUGCUUUGACAAUCGUAAUACGUGUUCAAUGCAACAACGAAAAGAAACUACAAUAAAAUAGGGGGAUAUAAUUCUUAGUGACAAAACAAUAUGUUGCGCUUAAUUUAAUACACUGAUUAGCCUUUAGUGGAUUUUAUAAAUAAGAAGAGAGUUUAAGGGGAAAAUCAAAUAAAUAUUGUCACGUUUAUCACAGGAUCUAAAUAAUCCGCUAAAAGAUUAUUAUUAUAUUAUUUUUUAUAUUUUGUACAAAAGUGAUACGAGUAAUUAAGUAAUAUGAGGGUGUAAUUGUUUAAUUUGGUAACGUAGAAGUUGAAUGUACAUGGAAACGACGUGCUUAGUGACGAAAAUCACGCCUAAACAUGAGAAAACGUUCAAAUUGAUCACUAUCUCAGGAUGAUUAAUUGUUGUUUCCAACUAUUUUUUAACUAAAGUAUUUAUAUUUAAUUUAAUUUAAUAAUGUUAUUAGUUUAAGGAUUAUUACAAUCAAGUGUAAUUAUUUUUAUUUAUCGUUAACAAAAGUUAAUAACCAAUGAAACUAUUAAAUAAUAAAUCUUCUAAUAUAACUAAAAAAAAAACAAAGUUAAGGCCUCGAGGGGGUAUUUGGUUCCUGAAAAUACAAAAAAAAAACUAAUAUUUUUUUUAAAAAAGUAUUAGUUUUUUUUUGUACAGUUUCUUUUAGAAAAAAAAUUUAAAAAACAAAAACACUUUAUUUAUUAAAAUUUUCAUUUUUAAAAUAAUUAUAAUACUUUUUUUUCCUAGAAAUUUAACAUAAAAAUUCUUUUAAUCAGAAAAUCAACUUUUAAAUAUUUUUGAAAAACCAAACACCCCCUAAAAAAUAUUAAUUAAUGAAAAGAAUAGAAAAGUUGAGGACUUUAUUUCAAAGUGACUUAAAAUUAAGAAAAAUUUUCUGUCUUUUUUUUUAAAUUAAAAAAAUCUAAAAGUUCUUCUAUUCUAAUAAAAUAAAACUUCAAUAAAGAGCUCUCCUAUCGCACUUUUUAAAAAAUUUUCAUUUCAUUGCUACGCAUUAAAUUUAUCUUAAUCUAAUAAUUCAUUGAAUAUUUAUUUAGGCUAAUUUGCAUAAAAAAAAUUCACUAGUUUUGGGCUUUUGUAAAAGUGGACCACUUUUUUCGUUUUUACAGAUUUAGUCCGAUUUUUCAGCAAACUGACCAAACUACCUUUGUACCAUUUUCUCUCUCCUCUUUUUUUUUUCUUGUUCUUUUUUUCUUUCUCUUCCCAGAGAGCGGCGGAGGCGGAGGCGGCCCGCUUCGAUUUUGUCCGGCGUAUUCUUACCCUCGCCCACGGACCCCGACUUCCUCGCCUUCGACUUCGCCGAGGCCGUGCUAUGGCUUUUUUUUUCCCCUCUCCGACCCUCCUCCACCGUCUCCGACGACGAUGCCUAUCUCACCCUCUCUCGCCCUUCUCGUCCUUUCCUUCUCCUUCAUCUUCGCUUCUUCCGCCACCUCCGACGACGACGCCUUUCCGUCGACAUCGAUACCGCGGAGGUCGCUACGGCGCCGCAGCCUCAGAGCGGGGGGUUUUUAGCGGCGGCGUCGCUGGUGCCGUGGCCGUUGGCGAAGAGGCAUGACAAAAUUAUAGAAAAAGGAAGAAGAAAAAAAUAAAGAUAAAAAAUUAUAUAAGAAGGAAGAAGAAGAUAAAAUUGCACCGUUAAAAUAAGAUUACACUGUUUUAAAAUAAAUUUGCACUGUUUUAAUAAAAAUUGUAUUAUUUGAUAUAGAAAUUACACUCUUUUAGAAUGAAUUUUAUACUCUUAAAGCUAACGUUGCACUAUUUAGGAGAAUUUUGUACUAUUUCUUUUUUCUUUUUUUUUCUCUUUCUCUGUUUCUUUUUCCGUUGCUGCCUCCCGCCUGGCCCGAGGUCCCUUCCUAUUGUCAAGAGCCUCCUCGAGCUCGGCGAUAGCCCCCAUCCCGCCUUUGUGCGCCUCGCCACUUGCUACGGGCCCCUCAUCUCUCUCCGUCUCGGCCGCAUGACCAUCGUCGUGGCUUUCUCCCCCGCAGAUGGUGACGCCCUCGAGGUGAAGUCAGGCGGCGUUGCAGAUGCCGUAGAAGCGGCCGAGCCGGAGGGCACGGAUGCAAGGGCACCUGCGGGAGAGGCCUCCUGAUCUCACGGCAGGAGCACGUGGCGAUGCGGCGGGACGUGCGAAGCGGGGUGCAGUCGUACGCGACCUCGGCGCUCGAGAAGACCUCGGCCCGAGUGUGCGGGAGGGAGCAGCGGAAGAAAAAGAAAAAAAAUAACACAAAAUUCUUCUAAAUAGUGCAACGUUAGCCUUGAGAGUGUAAAAUUCAUUCCAAAAGAGUAUAAUUUCUAUAUCAAUAGUACAAAUUUAUUUUAAAAUAGUGUAAUCUUAUUUUAAUAAUACAAUUUUAUUUUCUUCUUCCUUCUUAUAUAAUUUUUUGUUUUUAUUUUUUUCUUCAUCCUUCUUCUAUAAUUAUUUUUUUGUCACGUCUCUCCGCCAACGGCUACGGCGCCGACGAUGACGCCGCUAAAGACCCUCCGCUCCGAGGCUGCGGCCCCGCAGCAACCUCCACGACGUCGAUGUCAGCGGAGAGGCGUCGUUGUCGGAUGCGGUUGAGGAGGCGAAGGAGGAAGGAAGGGACAGGACGAGAAGGGCGAGAGAGGGUGAGAUAGUCGUCGCUAUCGGAGAUGGCAGAAGAGGGUCGGAGAGGGGAAAAAAAAAAGCCAUAGCGCGGUCUCUGCGGAGACGGAGGCUGGGAAGGCGAGGGGUCCGUGGGCGAGGGUAAGGAUGCGCCAGACAAAACCGAAGCGGGCCACCUCCGCCUCUGCCUCUGCCUUUGCCUUCGUCGCUCUUUGGGGAGAGAAAGAAAAAAAGAACGAGAGAAAAAAAAAGAGAGAGAGAAAGAGAAAAAUACAAGAGUAUUUUUGUCAGUUUGCUGAAAAAUCAGAUCGAAUAUGCAAAAACGAAAAAGAUGGCUCACUUUUGCAAAAGUCUAAAAUUAGUGAAUUUUUUAUGCAAAUUGGCCAUUUAUUUAAUACUAAAAAAUUAUAAACAAUUUUUAAGUUUUAGUUUUUUUUAAAUGUAUAAUUUUGGAUAGAUAUAAAAAUAACAGGUAAUGGAUGUUUUUUAUUGCCCCUCCACCACGUAUGGGACGGCCCACAUAACUCCGGUGCCGUUACUUCCCAGUGCUCUCUCUCUCUCUCUCUCUCUCUCUCUCUACUCUCCUUUGGUUCUUCUCUCCGUUUCUCGGGCUCCAUUUCUCUUCCCCUUCUUCUUUCCCUUUCUCUCUCUACUCCCCCUUCUCUACUUCUCUCUACUUCGCACCCCCAAAGAGAGAAAGAGAAAGAGAAAGAGAGAGAGAGAGAGAGAGAGGUAACUACUUAAGAAUAAGCUCUCUCUCUCUCUUAGUUCUCGAAGCUUCUUCGGCCCCCCUAACCCCCAUUCUCUCUCUUCUCUCUAUAUCUGUUCGCCAUGGCGGCCGCGGUCACCACCGCGGCCGCAGCGACCCCAUCCACCGCGGCAGCAUCUGCCCCACCCACCGCACGAAUCUCCAAGCAACCCUCCCCCUCCCCCUCCGCCUCCCCUCUCCGCCGCUCCGAAAAUCACAACAAUGCCGCUCUGCUUCGUCGCCCCAAAUCCAAAUCCAAGCCCAUCCCCUCCCGCUACCUCUCCACCACCACCCCUCCCUCCUCCUCCUCUUCUUCUUCCUCCUCCUCCUCCUCUACACGACGCUUCGCUUCCCCUCUCCCCACCCCCCGCUCCUCCUCCUCCUCCUCCUCCUCCUCCUCAUCCUCCAUUGCUGCCCCACUCCGCUCCUCCUCGGUCGACCGUGCGCGGCCCCACUGCGUCCCCGACCCCUCCGCGAAGCCCCUCUCCUCCUCCUCCUCCUCCUCCACCACCCGGAGCCUCUCCGUCUCCUUCCAGGGCGAGCCCUUCUUCUACUCCGCCGCUAGGGCCAGCACCACCUCCCCUUUCCCCUCCCGCAAACCCUCCCCCGAUCGCCGCCCUGUGGCGGCGAGGGCCCGCUCCGAGAACCCUAAACCCUCGCUCGAUCCCUCCCGCGGCGGCGGCGGCGGCGGCCGCCGAUGGCCCUCCGCCAAAACCCUAAUCUCCGAUCAGCUCGCCAAGAGCCUGGAUUUGUCCUCCGUCGACAAGGAGGACCCCAUCAUGGCCGCCAUCCACCUCCUGCGGCGCUCCAUCGCGGCGGAAGAUGGGUUCAGGCGCGCUUCCUUCGACGCGGCGGAGCUUUCCGUGUCUUCGGACACGGAGAGCGCUUCGUCGGGAAGCAAUUCCGGGUCUCUGGAAGCCCCGAUUCCCCCGGGGCGGGGCACGCCGGGGGGAACCACCGUUCCGGCGAGGUUUCUGCAGCAAACACCUUUGCCAGUACCUUCGCGUAUUUCGCGAGCCGCGCCGUCUCCAAAGACGGUGCCGGCGAAGAAGUCGUUGCUCAACGGGUUCUCUUGUUCUUCUCCAUCCCCUGCCUCUUCGACUAAGAAUGUGCCUCCGCCAUUGAAGAGGACGGCUAGUCCUUCUAGGGCUCGGAAUGGUUCUGCUGCGGAGCGCAUUUCGAAUGGUGGGCAAUGUCCUAAGAGCUCUUCGGUCAUAGGUUUUGGGGUUGAAGCGAGGAGAAGGAAGAGUGGGGAUAUCAAGGUUGAAGAAGCACACUUGUUAAGAGUGCUUUAUAAUAGGCUACUGCAGUGGUGGUGUGUUAAUGCUCGAGCUGGUGCCGCUUUUUUGGCACAAAAGGCAGCUGCGGAGGUGAGAUUGAAGUUCUUGAUCUGGAAUUUCUUUCUGUGGUAAAAUUUGGAAUUAUUGAGUAUGAUGCAUUUGUUAUCUUUUGUCCUUGUAAUAUAAGUUUGGUAGUUUAUUCAUAUUAAAUUUCCAUUGUUUCUUAAUGCUCUGAUACUAAAAAGCUCAUUGUUUUAGAAUCUUGCCCCUUAGGUCUUGUUCUUUUGUUCUUUGCACUGUUUUAUUAGCUACUUGGUUUGCUUACUCAAAGAGAUACUUAAGUCUCUAUGAUUAUGAUGAGGAAUUGCUAUGGAAGGAUGUAGGUACAUACAACAAUCAAAUGCGGCUCCAACAAGCGCAUCAAUUAUCUUGCUUUAACCUCUGUAGGAGUAAUAGUAGAGUCAUGUCUAUUGUGUAGAUACUUCCUUUUUCUACAUGUUCUUUUGAUAGAGAUAUCUACUGCUUAAAGUAAAUAUGUUUGUCUUGUGCUCGAAUGUGUAACGCUUGUCUUGUCCGACUUUUCCAUCCUUAAAGUGGCUAACGCUUUCCAUUUAAUUUCUAACAGAAAGAUUUGUAUGAUGCAUGGUGUGCCACCUCCAACAUUCGUGAUUCUGUUAUGCGUAGGAAGCUCGGGUUUCAACUACUUACACAGAAGUCUAAGCUUUUCUUCAUUCUAAAGGGACAAGUAAGUAUUCUAUCCAUUCUAUCCUUAUCUUUCCUUUUGUACACGGCUAUUGCUGCCUUGCUUCUAUUUAUUUCUUCUAGUUUCAUUAAUUAGUCUUUCAUCUUUAGUACCUAUAUGUUAGUUCCUUUCUAGUUAUGCUAGCAUUCUUAAAUUUUGAGAAAUGUUGGCUAAAUUUUCUACGAUAGUGUUCAACUCAAUGCUGAACCCUGAGAAAUUAGUGUUAACUCCCUUGUUAAAAGGAAAAUCCGUUAAGGGAGGUACUUAGGGUACUAAUUUUAAUUACUAGAUCUGGAGUAUAAUAACUAAUUCGAAUUUUGAGAGGAAUAUCUCAAAACGCCUUUUUGGUUAAUUUCACUCUUACCUAAGUGAAUAUGUUCUGAUUGUACUUAAACUGAUGCAGAUGGCCUAUUUGGAGGAGUGGUCAUUGGUAGAUAUAGACCAUUUAAGUUCUUUAUCAGGAGCUAUCGAAGCGUUAAAAACCAGUACUCUCCGCAUACCUGUUACAGAUGGAGCAAAGGUUUGGACCAGAAAAUUUGAUUUGUAAAUCUACUGUUGGGGCCAGAGUUUCCUGAAAAAUAUCUUUUCUUUUCAUUCAACAGGCAGAGAUCCAAGAAGUGAAAAAUGCUGUGGGUUCCGCUGUUGAUGUUAUGCAGACAAUAGGGAGCUCAACAUGCUCUUUACUCUGGAAGGUAGUGCUUCUUGUUUUCUCGCUUGUUUUAUUUGUUGUUUCUUGUUGUCAUGUAAGAAAUCUUGGUGCCUAUCUUCAUAUGAUUACUUUAUACUAAUCUAUUGCGCAUGCGUGUAACUUGGUAGUUCACAUCAAACCACUGUAUUAAAAUGGAAAGCAGUUGGAUCAGCAACAUUGCAAUUUUAAUAAUUUGGAUCCUAACCUUUGUUUCCUGUUAUAGUACUAGUCGUUCCGUUGAAUUCCAACUAAAAGGUGUAUGAUAUCCAGCUAAUCACCAAUUUCACAGGAUGCCAGCAACUAAGUGCCUUGAUGUUUUUGGAAUUUACGCAUAAAUUAAGUCAUAGGAUUAAAAUCCACCAAUAUGUAUCUUUCUUUUUGGAUUUCCUUUACGAAUACUUAAAUCUAUCAUCAUAUGCAGGUAGCGGAGACGAGCUCGCUGGUAUCCGAACUAUCUAAAAUUGCUGCAGAAGAACGAGCACUGAUGGAACAGUCUAGAGAGCUAUUGUCAGCAGCAGCAGCAAUGCAUGUAAGUACUACCAUCAAUUCCUUUCUAGGGCUGUUUCAUAUUACUUCCUUUUUUAACCUCUACUUAAUCGCUUCUAACAAGUAACUCUUUAACCAGGUUAAACAUUAUAGCCUCCUAGGGCAACUAAUACAGCUAACUCGCCGAGAAAGCCAGAGGCAUUUGUAACACAAAGACUAAAGCCUGAACAACUAACCUCUCAGCGUAUAGCUAACUGGAGAUUGAUGCCAAAAAUUACAAAAAAUGGUAGUUCGAUGGGUGCGAACUGGGUGCUUUGAUUGUGAUCUCAACUAGGUAGCUGUUGCACAUAAUUUUGUUCCCUUACUUUACAGCACUUGUUAGUACCAGAGACGGGAAAAAAAAAAAAAAUCACAGCAUUAGCUGUUUAUUGGAGUUUUGGUCCCGUACCAAUCAAAGGGGAGUUGAUGCUGUAUAUAUCUGUUGGGCAAGAUGAGUUGGUUAUCUCUUUUGUUUUGGCACCAAUGUUUGGUACGUCCAACUCAUGUGGGUCCUUUUGUUCAUCUUCUCUAGAUCUCACGUGAAUAACUAUGUCCAAUCUCAGAUUGUGUAGCGCACCACAAUGAUAUGUUCUAUUGAAAGUUUGCUUUGAGCAUUAUAUUUUGGCUGUAAAGUUUAUUCUUGCUCCCCUUUUCUCCCAAAUAGAGAAUUUGUUUACCAGGCUAACAGGCCAGCCCCAAGGAGAACAAAGAGACAACGAACGAUGGCUUUGUAUCUAGGGGGUAUCUAGGGGGAAGACGCAAAUAAUCUGCUCUGGUCAAAUAAACAAAUCUGUAAAUGAGAUCUAGCUUGAAUAUUACAGUGGUUAAAAAAAAAUCACUUUCUUACUUUAAUGUGGUGUUUGCUGUAGUCAUUUUAUAGUAUCAGAGGAGAGAAUAUUAGAAGCUAGAAACGCUUUUAAUAGUUUAUAAACCUUUCAAAAUAUAAAACAAGGCAAUACCAAACUAGGCUUAAGAAAAAUUGGCAAUCCCAAACUAGGCUUAAAAAAAAUUUGGUCCCCAAUAAAGAUAAGAUUUGGUGGUUCUUAGGAGUUAAUAAGAUUUAGUUACAACAUUUUAAGAUGAUUGCUUCUGAUUGUACGACCUUAUUAACACGUGUUGGUACAUAAGAAAAAACAAAGAAGAGAACCAGAUUUUGAAGUCAAAAAGUUGACUGUACAUGGAACCUCUUCCUUUUCCUUCUGUUUGAUCUUAAACGCUUUUGCACUUCAGACCACUCUACACACGCACCUGCAGCUUCCUCAGUAGGUUCGGUAACCAUCUCUUUAAUUUUAUCUCUCUUCAUACGUAAAUCGAGAGUCUCUUUAACUUUCGAAUUGUCGUUGGGUUCAUUACCAAGUUCUUCCGACUUUGAAUGCUUUAUAUGUGCUUCAACAGUUUCCCCAACCUCAUCAUCCCUCAUGAUUCCAUCAGGAGUUUUUUGGACUUCCUCAUUCUUUGUGGGUGCUAUAACUAUCUCCUUAAUUCUAGCAUUCUCCGCUGGUGAUUCAACAUUUUCUAGCAAUUUAGAGUUCUCCAGGGUUUCAUUAACCCUUUCUUGUUCUUUUACACACUCCACCUUAUGCACUUCAAGAGUCUCCCGCACUUCCUCAUCCUUCAUGACUUCACGAGGAGUCGCUCUUGCGCCAACUUUCUCCUCAAUUUUAGCAUUCUUUGCAGGUGCUUCGACAUUAUCUUGCACUCUACAGCGCUCCAUGGGUUCAUCAACCUUUUCUUGUUCUUCCACACACUUGGUACGUGCUUCAACAGUCUUGUGCACUUCAUCAUCCUUCAUAAGUCCAUCAUGAGCCUCUUGGAUUUCAUCAUUCUGCAUGGGCGCACCAACUUUCUCACUAAUAUUAGCAUUCUCGGUUGGUGCUUUGGCAUCCUCUGAAACGCUAGAAGUCUCCAUGGGUUUGUCAAACCUUCCGUGCUCUUCUCGAACUUUAGAACUCUCCACCAGUUCGUCAACCCUUUCUUGCUCCUCUCGAAGUUGAGAACUCUCCAUGGGUUCAUCAACCCGUUCUUGCUCUUCUACAUGCUCCGUGUGUGCUUCGAUUGUCUCGCUCUUUUCAUCAUUCAUAAGUUCAUCGUGAAUGUCUUGGACUCUAUCCUCUUCUGUGGAUGCAUGAAUAGUCUCGUGCACGUUACCAUCCUCGAUAGAUUCACCAACAACCUUGUAUUUUUCGUCAUUCUCCAUGGGUGCAUUAACAGUCUCAUGCAUUUUAUCAUCCCCGAUAGAUUCGUCAACCCCCUCUUUCACUUCACCAGUCCUCAUAGGUGAAUCCAGAGUCUUUACUUUACCAUCUUUAAUAGUUACAGCUAAAGUCUCCAGCAUUUUAUCCACCUUUACUGGUUCAUCAAUGGUUUCCAACCCUUUAGCACUCUGCAUAUUUGUACUAAUACUCUUUCUAACUUCAUCAUCCUCCAUAACUAUAUCAGGAUUGUCUUGCACUUUAUUACCCUCGAUCGCUGCACCAAUGGUUUCCAUCUGUUCAUCAUUCUCUAUUGUUUCGUUAGCAGUCUCCCGCACAUUAAUCUUCUCCAUAGGUUCAUUAACAUUCUCCUUCACUUUUCCAUUUUCCUCAUUUGCUUCCUUACUAGAUGAAUCAAUGGCCUCCUCCUGUAGUUGUAUCCCCACAGGCUCAAUACUCCUCGUCUGAUCCAAUUCCAUUAUAGUAUUGCCCUCUUCAUGAUUAUUAUCCUCACUAUCAGGAUCAGCCUUAAUAGGAAGGGCCUGCAUAACUGGAGAAUGCUGAACAGAUUCUAUGAAUCUGGUUGCUAUUCCGGCUUCUAUGGCAAGUGGAAUAGCUGUCGGUGGUGUAAGGUACCUUGGCGACGAAGCCCGAAUUUUUUGCUUUUGCCUACUGUGAGAGUGACCAACCUCAGAGGUAGAAGGCUUCGCUUUCUCCAGCUCAGUGCUGAUGUAAGCAUCUAUCUCUGCGAGGUUCUCCUUGAGCCUCUUUCUCUCCACCUCUCCCGAUAACAACCUUCUAAUCUGUCUUUGUACAGUCAUAACCAAAUCCACCUAUUCAUGGUAUAAAAAUGUAUGUUCAUUGAUUUACGAUAUAAGGCCUGUUUGGCCCGAUGCACAGGCCGCACCGCAGAGCUUUCUGAGGAAGCUCCGAAAUCAGAGCUUCCUCAAAAAGCCUUGGCCUUGCGGUUGCAUGCCACAAAUGGGGGCAGCUGCAAGGGCAAACGGGCACAUAAACAGGAAAAAAGAUGAUAUAGCAAUGUGCCUAUUAGUCCUGGAUUAGGAAGAGCCUCUUUACACUCAGAAGCACACAUGAGCAUUUCGCAAACAAAAGAUCUUGUGCUUCUGAUGUGGCAAGAAACUGAAAUGAAAUUCUAGGCCCCAAAAGUAGAAAAUACAAUUUGAAGCUUCUACUUUUGCUGCAAUACGAAGCUGCUAAGAGGAUUUGAGUAAAAUGUUGUUGGUGCUUCCUCAAACAACCGCACUCAAAUUCACUUUAUUAUUCUAUACAUACCAAUGCUUUCUCACUCUGCCCUAGCGAUUGAAAGGAGAUGGUUGGCCGCUCAACCGGGGUUGAGAUCCAUCUGCGUGUAAUAUUCCAAUACCACUCAAAGUAAUGGUUUCUUGCUCGAGUAGGAUCUGGAUCCACCGUUUCUCUCUGUCCGACAACAGUGGAUAGCCUAUCUGCCCACCGCCUAAUGUAUUUACUAUGGUAAGUGGACCAGUCCUCAACAGAUCGGCCCUGCAUUGUGACUCGCUCAACUACCUCAACUGGGUCAGGGAUAUGCUGGAUCAUUCCAAACUGUAAUAGAACACGAUCCGGCACGUGCAUUUCCACAACCUGGAAACAGAUUAACGGAACCCUAGAGAGCCACACAGCUGAUCCGGCAGUGCAGAAAGGUGGCAGUACUGCCAUCAAGUAUGAGUUGUAUGGGUCCCAUGUGAUCUGUCACGCGUCCAUGAAGUCACAAAGGUAUCAUAAUCUAUUAAUAGGUUAAUUACUUAGAUCUUACAGUUUUACCUCCAAAAAUCAAUUACAUCCUCAGCUUUUCAAUUUUGAUAAUUUAGUACCUGAAAUUUGUCCUACGUAACAAUUAGGUCCUUCUGUUAGUCAACACUAAAGAAAAGAUAUGACACCAACAUCAUGGUUAAAAUUAGGCUAAUAUGGCAGCUUUGUUAUGCAAUCUGGCUGCAAAUGAUGAUGAGAUGGCAUAUUUUAGAUGUUUGACUAACCGGAAGACUUCAUUCUUAUGAAGAAAAACUUCACAAACUAAAUUGAGUAUAGCAAAGGACUUUAAUCUAAUGAAGAACAAACUUCAGAGACUAAAUUGUUAGGUAGAGACCCUAAGGGGCGUAAAUGGAUUCAAGAUCAAAAUUCAGAAACAAAUUUAUAAUUAACUCACGAUAAAUUAUAAAUGUAUGGUGUACCUGAGAGUCUAAGAUUGUAUCAAGUCCAUGCCUAUAAAAUUCGGUGUCAAUUGAUCGCACAUUUUCACGGCUCUUGAAUGGGACAUUCCACCUAAUAUCAAAAACUUUGAACAUAUUCAAUGAUUAAUCAAAGAAAAAUAACUGGAUCAUGCAAAAAUGGGAAAAUGGAAUUUCAGAUACCUGCAUCCGAGGGGUCUAUCAUGGAGCAGAGCUUUGACCUCCAAUCGAUCAGGCCUUCCUAUACGAAUAUGCUCCCAUGCCCAUAUCUAAAGACAAGUCACUGGUGCAUUAAGAGAAAAAAGAAGAGAAAAACUGAAAUAAACUCAUACAAGAGGCAACGGUUAAGAAGGAUAACGUGUGUGGAUAGUCCUAGUACAAUCCCAUAUUGCAACUUAAUUCCUAAAAUUACUAACACUUUUACUCCCUGAAUUUUCUAAGUGAAAAGUUAUUAAGUGAUAGCUUGAUAAAUAAGGAUAUUACAGAAACUAUUCAUACAAUUUUUUUGUAAUAAUAAUCAAGAAGGACCAUACCUGAAGGAGAGUGAGAAAGGCGCAACAAUUUGUCUUCCCCUUCAUGCUGGCCUUCCCCAGCUCUCUAUAUAAAUGGGAGAGUGCAGCAGCUCCCCAAGCUAUCUCCCCACAUAAAUCGAAGUCACGAAGUAAUGGCAAAUACCUCAAGUGAACACGGGUCCCGCUAGGAUCAGGAAACAAGCUACAUCCGAGUUGAUACAAAAUAUAUGCUCGUGUGGCAUACUCUAUCUGUUGUUUGCCAGCUCCAUCAGGUAUUUUAUGAAAUGUCUCAUAAAACCAGGCAAUACUAACUGCACCACCUUUAACCUUUGCUGGCCGCUGCCCUAGAAGCUCUAAGCACAGUUCAUCCCAUCGACAAUCUGCAGGGCCUGUGACAGGGCUCCCGUCCACGCGAAGGCCAGAUAGGAUUGCCACGUCUUUUAACAAGAUUGUGAUCUCUCCGUACCGCAAAUGGAAUGUUUGUGUCUCACGCCGCCACCUCUCGACCAAAGCGUUCAGUAAAGCAUGGUCUAAUUGGACCCGCUUCAAGCAGGAGAGGUGGUAAAACCCCGCUCUUUUUAAUAGUGCAAGCAUUCCUUCAUGCUUCACCUCCCACUGGUUAAGUCUUGUGCCGUGCUCUAUAAAUCGAACAGGCUUAUAGCCCUGUAAUAAAAUUCGUAUGGUUAUAAAUUAACCGAAAGGUAAUUGCUGCAUCCAGACAGAAACAGAAAAAACUAGAAAAUUACAUACUCUGCCAGUAAAGAUUGCCUCAGAUUUAUGAUGCUCUUGCUCUACCAGAACUGAUUUAUCAAUAGGUCCGGGAUCUGGAGGUUGUGUCAUCUACAGUAAGAAGGAACAGUUUGUUCAUUAUUGGAAUUUAAGGCAAGUAAACAUAACAGAAGUUAUUAAAGAGAAAAGAAUAUACAGAUUCAUCGCUCAAUACUUGUAAAACUCUCAAAAUAUACUGGAAAAGAGAUCUGUGCAUAACAUAGACAGGAAAAUGUAUUAUUUAUUAAGAAGUAUAAAAUAAGUAAACAGAAUCCACAAAAUUGUGGCGAAGGCUAAAAAAAGAGGUAGCCUUUUGUGUGUACAUCCUUAAACUCCAUAUCAAUAUUGUUUCCAAGCAAAGAACAAGAAAGAAAAGAACAUAUAUAGAUAAAAAAAAAAGUAGCGAAUAUGAAGAAGUAUGAUGGAUGUAGACUGAAUCCAAAAAUUAGCAAAUUGCCUCUUUUGUUUAUUUAUUGUUCAAAAAUCACCACGAAUUACUCAAAUUUAGCGUCUUUCCGUCAUAUUCUUUGUUUAUUUACUCGUUUUGAUUGUACUCAGGGUGCUAAUUCAAAGCUUCUAAGAGUACAACACCACCAAAUCUAAUACAAAAUACAACACUUUUCAAAGUUACAAAGAUCCAAACAUGAACAAUUAGGGCCACUACGCUCCUAUUCCCUUCCCUAGUCAAUACAACUACGAGCACACCCUAGUCAAUACAACUACGAGCACAACACACAAUUCAGCUUAGUUAAUAGCAAUUCAAACAAUAUUACACUACAAUUGCUCUCGAGCCGAGUUCUCAAGCUACAAAACCCUAACUCCACACUCCGAAUCCUAACCACAACGAAGAUAGCUCAAAUUGGGAGAAUCCAAACGAAGGAUCAAAUUAGAUCAUGUAAUAACUAGAUAGAAAAGGAUCAAAACGGAAACCCUAGAAUCGGGGGUUUGCGAGAACCUGGUGGGGGGGAGCGGCACGGGCCACUUUCUCCUCCAUGGCGUUGUCGAGUGUCGCCGUUGUAGAGAGAGAGAGAGAGAGAGAGAGAGAGAGAGAGCACGCGCGCGCGGGAAAUAGAGCGAGGGGGAGUGGGGAGACAGGAGUAAAGAGAAAUACGGCGACGUUUUCGAUCAAAGAUGUAUUCGGGAACGAAAACCACCGCCGUUUUAAUCCCCGUUAGCGUGCAAAGUCGGCGGCGAACUCUUGGAUCGGGCCAAGCAAUUGGAUAGCUGGAUAGGUAUCACUUUUUGCAAAAACACCCCUGUGGUUCAUUUUCCUUAUGCAUGGCAAUGUAAAUUUUUUUUUCCCCUUCCUUUUUCUUUUUUGGGGGGAUUUUCAUCUUUUUGAUUCAAAGAUAGUCAUGUUAAAUUUGGCCAUCUUUAUGUCCCUUUGUUUGCAAAAUAAGCUUUUGAAUUGUUGAGAGUGAGCAGGCAUAGAGAAAGGAAUAGUUAAGUGCGAAAAAUUUAAGCUAGUUUUUAGUUUUUUUAGAGUUAAUUUAAUCUAUUUCAAAAAACUAAUAAAUAACAUUUUGAACUAAUAAAUAACAUUUUGGUAAAAGUUUUCUUAAUAAUUUAUACUGUAGGAGGAGCAACAUUUUUAUUUCUCACCAUCAUAGAAAUUUCAAUCAUUUUGUUUGCAAAAGAUCUUGAUUUCUCUACAUUUUUUUUCUUUAACUAAAAAAAAAAAAUUCAAAAGCUAGACACAAACGAACCUUAUCGUCAUAGUAUAACAUCCUAAAAGUGAUGCUUGUUCUUAACAUUCAUUCCUAGAGAAACAAGCCACAAUACUUUAUUGCAGAGUGAUCAUUUAUUGACCAAAAAAAUAAGGAAAAAUUUCCUCACUACCUUUCCAAAUAACUCUAAUAUCAUAAAUAUCUUUUAAAAUUUUGAAAUUUCAUAUUUGUCCUUAAAAAACAUAAAAAUUUUAAAAAAUGCCCUCAUAACUAUCAUUCCGUCGUAUUUAAGCAUAACAAAUUCAAAAUACCGAAUUUACCCUUCAAUGUAUUUUCAUCAAUACCCUCACAAAUUUUCUAUACAUUACAAAAUAGCCCCUUAAUUUGAUUUUUUUGAUCAAAGUCUUCUUAAUAUUUUGUUCCUUGAAAUUGGAUUGAUUUUUGUCAAUUAAAUUACAAAUUUUAUUAACCCAUUGAUGAUUCCAACAAAUUUAAUAAUUUUAAUUACUUCGUAAAAGUUAAAAUUAAAAAAAGAUAAUAUGUAAUAGCUAACCGAGCAAUUUAAGUUAAAUAAAAUUUUCAAUGUAACUAACUAAAAUAAAUAAUUAAUAAAAGUUAAGAGCUAAAUAGUACUAAAGAAUAUCAGCGAACAAUGUUUAUUUAGAUGUUAAAUAAAUAAUGAACAAAAGUUAGGGGUAAAAUAGUAAAUCAUAUAAUAAAUAUACCCUCUAAAAAUUUCUCAACUUAUGGACAAAAUAAAUAUUUCAAAUCUUAACCAGUACUAGACCGUCAUCUAACUAAGAUUAAUAUGACCUGAAGAGACGGAGUAUACGGUGAGAGUAUUUUUGAAAAAAAGUAUGUAUUUAGAAAGAUGAUUAUGAUAUAACAAAAUUUAUAGGGAUAUUUAUAAUAUUUCUGAAAUUUAGAGGGGUACGGAUGAAAUUAACCCUUUAAAUAAAUAGUGAACAAAUUAAGGGUAAAAUGGUAAUUUUAUAUUUUAAAGUAGAAUUAAAAAAAGGUCAAAAUGACGGAAGUUAGUGAAAAUUAACGGUGGGAGAAUUUAGGAAAAAAAUAUUAUAUUUAGAGGGGCAUUUGUGAAAUUUAAAAAAUUAGAAGGGUAUUUAUGAUAUUUCAUAUCUUUGUGAGGGUAGGAAUGAAAUUAACCCAAAAAAUAACUAUCGUCAAAAUAUCAAAAUCCUACGUUUAUUUUUAUUCAUUAUUUUUACUUUUGCACUAAAUCCAAAACAAUUGUACUGAACAUUUAAAACACUUUAUUCAGUAUCAGUAUUACACAAAGUGAUAUCUAUUCGCACUAUUUGUGUAGCCAAACAAGCUCUUAAAAUCUCCAACCGCAAACUCCAAGAACCCACUUCACUAUCUUUGCCGACUUCAAUAAUAAUGAAUUCGGCAGCUGUAUGAAUUAAAUUGCCGACUUCACCCUGCGCUUUGGGUUAUUGUCUUAAUAACCAGUUUAAUCCGAGAGAGAGAGAGAGAGAGAGAGAGAGAGAGAGAGAGGGGGGGGUGCGAAAGAGGGAUGUAGAGUAAUAUAAAGAUGGGCUCGCCGCGCCCGUGAGAUUCCUCUUCUCGCGCUUUCCCCUAUUUCAUGGCCUUGUGGCCCCUCCGCACCAUCGCACCCCAUCGCCUCCUCCUCCUCCCCCUCUCUCGCUCCCCCUCAUUCUCCUCCUCCUCCGCCACUCGCUCCCGCCCCGCUGUCGCCUCCGUCGCCGACGCCAUGGCCCAGCGCAUUGGCAAGUCCGUGCGCCGCCCCGGCGCCGCCUCCAAGGCCCGCGUCUACGCCGACAUCAACGUCCACCGCCCCAAGGAGUAUUGGGACUACGAAACCCUCGCCGUCCAAUGGGGGUAAGCAUCCCGAUCUCUACGUUUCUGAAUCUAGAUUAGGGUUUCCUUUUGGGACAAUACUUAGUUCGUAAUUGGUGAGAGCGUUUGAUUCGCGACGAAGGGAGCAAGAUGAUUACGAGGUGAUUCGCAAGGUUGGGAGGGGAAAGUAUAGCGAGGUGUUCGAGGGAGUACACAGCACCAACAACGAGAAGUGCAUUAUUAAGAUCCUUAAGCCUGUAAAGAAGAAAAAGGUGCGCCUCCACCUCCUCUUCAUCCUACAAAUAGGCAUCGGCUAAUAAGUGAAAUGGACGAAGCUGCUUAGUGAGCUAGCUGUUUACAUUUUUUCCGCUUCAGUUGGAUACCUUCUUGUAGUUUCUUACCUGCAUUUGUGCUGGUUUUGAUGCGUUAGUUUGUAUAGAGGAAUGUUCUCUUGGUAGCUGAAUUUUUUUGGAUAAUCAGUGUUUGAGGUUACUGAGACAUGGUUGAUCAAUUGUUUUAAUUUAUUUAAUGAAAAAUGUAAGUAAAAUGCGCUAGGAGUUAUGAAUUUAAGGUUAUUAGAAAAUCUUGGAAUAUGUUGAUGAAAGAAUAGUUAGUUUGGAGUUACUAUGAAAAGAUGUGUGUGUGUGUGUGUGUGUGUGUGUGUGUGUAGAGAGAGAGAGAGAGAGAGUCUAGCUACUUUACUCUUAUGAGUACGAUUGACUUCACACUCAUAAGUCGUUUUCGAUGAUAGAGCUUUUGAAUCGACGAUUCAUACCGUUAAAUAUAAUUUAGAGCAUUUGAAACUUCUAAAAAUUAAAUUUUAUAAUUUUUCGACAUUAUUUACUUACAAUUAAAAGAUCUCAAAAUUGAAUUUUUAAUGGCCCGUAUAGGAGCUCACUAGUUUAACGGUGUUAAAGAAUCGGAAUCGGCUGAAUUUUUGAUAAAAAUUCUAUUAACUAUCUAGAUAGAGAUCUAUACCUCCGAUCUUAAAUUGAAAAUUCCGAUCCUCUAUUUAUAGGAAGCCAUUUAAUUUUUGACCGUUCAUUUUAUGCCCGUUUGAUGGACUUUAUUAUAAUUUUGAAAAAUUACGAAAUUUAUUUUCUACAAGUUUUAAAUGCUCCUGUUCAUUUUUAACUGUGUGGAUCGUUGAUUCGAAAGCUUCAUCAUUGAAAACAACUUAUGAGGACAAAGAUCUUUAUACUCAUAAGAGUAUAGUAACCCUACUCUCUCUCUCUCUAUGUAUAUAUAUAUAUAUAUAUAUAUAUAUAUAUAUAUAUAUAUAUANUUCCAGCUCAACUCUCCCUUCUCUCUCUCUCUCUAUAUAUAUAUAUAUAUAUAUAUAUAUAUAUAUAUAUAUAUAUAUAUAUACAUAGGUGGUUGGUUGAAUAGUAUAAUCUAACGGUUGAAAAUGAUCAAAGGCGUAGAUCUAACGGUAAAAAAUUUAUAAACAAAGUAUGCUCCUUCCGACUUACUACGCUUUGUUGAAUGAUUUAAUUGGUUCAUAUUUAAUGUGUUAAACUGGUUACUUGCUUUCUCUUAAAGCACAAAUUUGUUUGACCUGACUGAAGGCUCUCUUUGUCCUAUACAACUAAUUUUGUAUGCCUGUAAUCAUAUCAGUACUCAGUAGUGCUUUGGUGAUUGUAAUAUAGAGCUGUUAAGAUACAGUUCCUUCUCUAGAUAUAAACCUGUCCGGUUGAAUGCUUAAUUUAGCAAAACCUUGUAUGACAAUCUCGUAUGUUGCACUCAAUUUGCUGAACUUUCAUAUGGUAAACAGCAGCAAAUUUCUCUCCUGGCAUUUGCUGUCCAUUGCUUCGAGUACUUGUGGUGCUUUAUGUUCAUGCAUUUAUCAAUAUGCUUUUUCGUCUUUUUUUUUUCUAUUCUGACUGCUUCUGAAAUGCUUCUCCUUGUUUUGUAAUAAUACUUGGUGUCUACGCAGUGUUAUGCACUUGCUAUGUGGUGUCCACAUCUAAGAUUUUUCUUUGGUGGAUUGCUAUGUGAUGCAGAUUAAGAGGGAAAUUAAGAUACUGCAGAAUUUAUGUGGUGGGCCGAAUAUUGUGAAGCUACUUGAUAUUGUCAGAGACCCGCAGUCAAAGACACCCAGUCUGAUCUUUGAAUACAUCAAUAAUACCGAUUUCAAAGCACUUUAUCCUACUUUAUCAGACUAUGAUAUCCGCUAUUACAUUUAUGAAUUAUUAAAGGCAAGUCUAUCAUUUCAUUUCUACGAUGGGAUGAUGUAUCGUUCAAAAAAAUAAUUCAUUAAAUCAUCGUCGAUGUUAUUAUCAUUCCUGUUCACGUUAUUGUAAAUUUGAUGCUUCCUAGAUUUCUUUCUGUUUUGGUUGACUGGAUACAGUGAAUACUAAUUCUUUCUGUGGAGCUAUUAAUUUCUCAUACCUAUCAUUCAUCAGUCCUAUCAUCGUCACAGUUUUUGUCUUCGGAGGCAGUGAAAGACAAAAAGAUAUAAGUAAUUGACGAUAAAAGAUAUCCUGAGAAUGAAUCUUGUACAACACAGUUGAACAGAGGAAGAGGAUCCACAUAAUUAGACUUGUUGUGGUUGUAGUAGUUUUUUUUGUCCACUUGGGUUUGUUUGCCUUCCUGAAUUUUUAGUCUGUUUGACCAUACAUUCAUUUUCCCAUGCUAAUGACUAUGCCAUGAUGGAGGAGCUUACCUGGGCUUGAAGGCCUGCUUUUCUCCACUCGCUAUUUUACUGUGGUAUUGACUAUUUUAGUUUAUAAACCCUAAGCCACAAACCCAUAACAUGCUUUUUCAAUUCAACUUUAUUUGCACACCUUUUUACUUAUUCAGGAUCACUAUUGUUAAUUGUCUUCGUAUGCUGUUUAAUUCUCCAGUGAUCCACUAGUGUUUGUGGUACAGAUCUUCCUUCUCACCAGAUAGUUUUUCCUAUUCAACAAUAUUGUGCACCAUUAUGGACUUUUUGUGCCAUGCUGCUUUGUUUAAGGAUCUAAGAGAUCUUAUUUGUAAAUCACAACUGUUGUUUAAGAAAAUUUGUAAGCUCGAUGAAGAAGAUAUUUCUAAAUUUGCUCUUGAUUCUUUAUGCUUUGCUAAUUGUGCAUAACCUUUUUUCCUUUCAUUUUUUUUUGUGGGAACAUUAGAUUCCAUCAAAUUUGAUUGUCUUUAACUUUCUCAGGCAUUUGUGUAGGCACUAGAUUACUGUCACUCACAAGGAAUCAUGCAUCGAGAUGUGAAGCCUCAUAACGUUAUGAUUGAUCAUGAGCAGCGCAAACUUCGCCUCAUUGACUGGGGUCUUGCAGAAUUCUACCAUCCUGGAAAAGAAUAUAAUGUUCGAGUUGCUUCGAGGUUAGCAUCUUGCCUACAGAUUGAUCAACUCUGUAAGAGGAGCUCAGUAGUACGUGUUUUUAUUGUUCUUAUGAGGACUUAUCUGAUUCUUUUCAGUGGAUCCUAUAACAAGCUUGUCGAACAUCAUUUUCAUGUAUCUAAUUGGAUUCUUAUUAUCUUGGCUGCUGAGCUUAUUUUCUUUACAUGUACAUUUAAUGACUUAUCUAACAUGAUUAGUAACAACAGUUGCUUCUUUUCUAUUAGAGGCCUGCUCAUGGAGGUUUUACAUUAGCCAUUUCUUAUUAUACAAUUUUUUUUCACUUAGAUGUCAUGAUGCUUUUAAUUUUUUAAAAGUUUGAUUACAUGAUUUUUUUUUUUUUUAAUUUCUUGGCUGGUUGUUACAUUCGAAAUUUCUCAAGUUCACUGCAAUCAAUAAAUUUAGAUUACAAAAUGUGUUUUACUAGAACAAGAGAAAUCAGAUAAUGGAGCAGUUGCACUUGGAUGAUAACUGAAUCACCUUUUUGCUCCAAAUGAUGGCGCGGUGCAGCUCAUCUUGUUUUGCAUUGUUAUUUGUAAUUGCUCUUAAGCUUGUUAUGCAUCAUUAGUCCACAUUCUUAUUCCACCUGUUUUAAGUUUUCUUUUUUUUUUCCUUAUUGAUAUUAUCAAUAUUAUCAAUUAAAUUGCUCUUUGCUCUAUGUUGCUAGAUACUUCAAGGGCCCAGAACUUCUUGUGGAUUUGCAAGAUUAUGAUUACUCAUUGGAUAUGUGGAGCCUUGGUUGUAUGUUUGCUGGGAUGGUAAGUGUUGAGGGUGCUUAAAGCCGCUCAGCAAUAUUUUCUUUCCUUGAGCACUAGUUAUCAGAAUAUUAGCACCUUUCUUCUGUAACAGAUAUUCCGAAAGGAGCCCUUCUUUUAUGGCCAUGACAAUUAUGACCAGUUGGUGAAAAUAGCUAAGGUAUAUGUUUAUUUUUUUCUUUCCAUAUGGUAAUUAAGAUUGGUCGUAUGUCCAUGCUGUUCUUAUUAUUUCCUUUUCUGAAUUAGCAUGCAUUAUUCUCAUUUUCCUUACUAUUGACCUGUUAAUGGGACUAAUGUAUAAGCCAAAGUAGUUCCCAUGUGUGCCACACUUGCAUUUAUGCUGGACUUUCCGAUUAUCCAGAGUAAUGAAAGCUGACAGGAUGGAUCAUAUGAAACACUUAUUAGUUUGGUUAGUUGAAUUCUUAAGUUUUUGAACGCGUAAGUAUGAGGACCGAGGAUCCAAGUGAAACUUAUGAAUAGUGCAAGGAAAUACAGUGCAACUUACCCUUGGUUGCAGUAUAUCUGCUUAUUUGUAGGUUAUUUCAUAAAGCUAAUGCAACUGAAUAAGUUUUGAUCUUUGCAUCGAAAAUUAAACACUUGAUUCACAAUUCUAGUAGUGAAGUGAUGACUGUGCAAUGAAACCUUUGGUUGAUUUGUUUUUUGGCUGAUAAAUGUAGUCAACCGCCGGCCCAAUGAUUGAAUGUGUAUUAUUAUACCGGUCCUCAUAAAAAUAUUUUCAAGCAAAGAACUAGUCAACAGAGUCUCAUGCUUUUCCUUUUAUGAAAAACUUGAAUAUCAUUCAUUACCUUCUCUCUCGAAUGUUUAGUUGCUCUUCCCAUGUUAUUGCUUUUCAUGAACUAAAUUACUUAAUAUUCAGAUUUCAUUAAAUAGUUCUUUAUUCAUAUUUUUCCACAAUAGUUAUCCAUAAUUCUCUUAGCUUUUCGAGCUUAACUAAGUCUAAUGUUCUGCUAUAGGUUCUUGGGACAGAGGACUUGAAUGCUUAUCUAGCUAAAUACCGCUUAGAGCUAGACCCACAACUCGAGGCGAUGGUUGGGAGGUACCAAUUCACUCUUUCUGAUUCAUCAUCCUAUUGUUGUUUUUCUUUUGGUAGUAAAUCUGUUUUAAAUUCAGUGAUAUCUUUGUUUCUCGUAGGCAUAGCAGGAAGCCAUGGGCCAAGUUCGUUAAUGCUGAUAAUCAGAAUCUUGCACUUCCUGAGGUGACUUUAUCAUGUGGACUUUUCAAUUAAUUCUAUGCUUGUUAAAUUUUAUCAUAGUUGUAUAACAUGUGUCGAUCUUGUACAGGCGAUUGACUUUGUGGAUAGGCUUCUCCGGUAUGACCACCAGGAGAGGCCAACUGCAAAAGAAGCUAUGGUAAUGACUAUUUUUUACCUGACAAUGUCUAUUCUCAAUCUAGCUACUGAAAAAUCUGUUGUUAAUAGUUAACUGCCAACAGAAAACUACGAAUAACUAUAGAGCUGUAAAAAUUUAACAUAUUCACCUCAUUCAACUAACCAAAAUCAAAGAAAUCAACGGUUGAGGGGGUAUCAAUUGUGAAAGUAAAGUUUGGGGUCUAUUUGGCCUAUGGCUAGGGGGUGUAAUGUGGGCCGUCCCGCAUUUUUUGUGCCGAUUCGGGCUAGGGGAUGGCCCGACCCCGCCCGGUUCCAAAUCCAGGCCGGGCCAUGCUGGGCUGGAGCUAUCAAGUCUCUGGCCCAACAUGGCCAUUCGGCCCGAAGGGCUUGGGCUGUGCUCUAGGCCGGCCCUUAAAAGAUUUUAUUUUUUAUUUUUUAAAAAUAUAUAAAAUUUAAAAUAUAAACAAAUAAUUAUUUCUAUUUUAAAAUUUUAAAAUUUAUAAAAAUAAUUAUAAUAUAACAAAUAUGUAAAAUUUUUAAAAUAUAUAUAUAAUUUUUUUUGAAAAAAAAAGAAUUGAGAGUGUUUUUGGUCCAACGCCAAAAUUGUUUGUUCCAUUGGACCAAAAACCUCCUCCCAAGGUUUGCUUGAGAUCUCCUGGGGCACUUCUCCCCAGGAGCUCCAACCCCAAGGCCCAAGGUUGCCUUGGGCCUUGGGGUUCGGGCCGUGCUGGCCCGGAUGGCACGGCCUAAGCGGGUCGUGCCCGUGCGGGCCACGGGUCUCUCCUCAGCUCGGCAUGGUCCAGGUCCGUUUCGGGACGGACCGUCAGCACGGUCCUCAAGCUCAGGCCGGCAGGGGUGCGACAGCACCGAUGCCGUGCUCCGGCCCGGCACGGCCUCGGGCCGGGCGGCUUGUUUUACAUCCCUACCCAUGGCUGAUAAGGUGCCAAUACGUUUUAGUUUACUAUAAUGCUGCUGCUGCUUGUUUACAGGCCCAUCCUUACUUUAAUUCUGUGAGAAAUGUUGAGAGCAGCAGGGGGCACGCGCACUAGCUUGAAUUUUGUGGGUGAGGUUUUUUCCCCCUUACUACUUUUCCUUUAUCUUCUUUUAUUGCUCCCGAUGCAUCAUCUAAUAUCAAGAGAAGGUAUGUUGUUAACUGUUGUCAGAUUUUACUUAAGUAAUAUUGUAAGUGUUUAUGUUCUCUAAUUUAGCUGUCAUCGAUCCAAAAUAAGGCUGAUUUCUAGCAUUGGUUGUAAUUCUUUUUAAAUUUGAAAAUGUUUUGUUCUUUCUAUGGGUGGACAAUCACAGUAACCUCAUAAAUGUGUUUCAAUUUUGUGAUAUGUCAUUUUCACCAAUUAUUCGUGCCUUUUAGAUUACGUUCAUGUAGAUCAAUGGAGUAACAUCGAGAUCCUGACUCACAUGUCACGUAGAAUUUAACAAUGACACCAUCUUUUGUUUUUUUCAUGUAAAAUCUAUUGUCAGUAUUUAUAUGAUAAGGAGUUCUUUGAUGUAAACUUAUUUCGGGAAACAAUCAUUGGAACCAAGCAGAUGGUACUGGGAUUUUAGCAAGGCAUAGUGUACAAUUGUUUGAUUUUUGUUAGAAUAGAUAUGCAGAGGUUAGAACAGAAGGUGCCUUUCAUUGCCCAUUCUUCAUCACGCUCAAGCUUUUGUACUCAAUCAACAGAGUACAAAAAUUCAAUGGGACACUAGUCAAAGUAUUAACACUUGAAAGCGACACUUGAAAGCGACACGAUUCUUAUAACGAGCGUAUAUUAUAGAUCGGUUAACGAGUUAACAUAUGUUUAUAGGAUAUAUUAUAGAUUGGUUAACGAGUUAACAUAUGUUUAUAGGAGAAACUAACUCACAUAGCUGAUACGCAUCCUGUGUAUGAGAUCUAAGGUUGAACAUUUAUUGUUAAGAGAGCUCCAGCUGAAUAUCGUUGUACAGUUGUCUCAUCUUAUUAUUGGAACUAUGAUGCACAAGUAGCAACAACCAUAACCGAAAAUUUAGCCUUCCAUAGUAUUAAUGUAGCAAAAAUAUGGCCGUUUAUUCCUGGCAUUAUCAGUUGGCGCCUUCUGGUACCAUCAAGGCGCAGGGAUCUAGGGUUUGAGGAAAUUAAUACCUACACCUGAUGCACCCUGGGAGCACCUUUAGGUGCACACUCUGGUGUGCAAAAAAUGUUUGCGAAUGGGAGGAUCUCGCCUAUCAUCCGUAGAGGAAUGCAUUUGAGUAGAGGUGGCAAGGAGCCGAACACGAGCUGAGUUGGGCUUUCGCCGUUCUAUUCUAGUUGAAACAGAACAACUACUAGACUCAAAUUUAUAUUAUGGAUAGCUUAAGCUAAAAAGGACUUCAUUAAGAUUCUCUAAUUUCAGUUUUUUAAUGUGUGAACACUAGGGGUGUCAACCAGCCGAACACGAACGAGCUGGGAUCGGUUCGUGUCGAACAUGAGCUAGUUCGUUAAAAUAUUGAGCCGAAAACUUCAACUUGUGCUCGGCUUGUUUAUUAACGAGCCGAACAGAAGUUGGCUCAUGAACAACAAGUUGUUCGAACGAUUAGAAUAAAUAUACAUAAAAAAUAAAUUUAUGAGAUCUUAUCUUUAGACUUUGAUCUAAUGGGUAACUUUUUUUCAUAUCAAUCGGGUUUUUUAUAAUUGAGUUGGAUUUUUUUAUUUAGAUUGGGUUAAAAAUUAAAUAAUNGAGCGAGCUGAUCAUAUCUCGUACGUUCGAUUUAUUUAUUAAAUGAGUUAAAAAAUUCAAUUCGUGUUUGGCUUAUUUAUUAAACGAGCAAUUAGAUUUUGAGCUCAUUUUAAGUCGAACAUGAGCUGGACGGUGAACAACGAGCUGAAUUGCCACCCCUGCAGUAGAAUCGUUUUUCCAUGCGCAGGCAGGAUUAUGGGCAAACGCCUCGUAUAUCAGAAUGUAGCUCUCUUCGUCGAUUCUUUUAUAUCACCUUAGUCUUGUAUAUGUUUUAAAACCAUUUAAUUCUAUGGGAGUUGUGGUAUUUUUUUUUUCUUUUUUCUUUUUUUGUUUAGAUGGUAGCUAGGUUAGUUUAGGUAGUGUUUGAUUUGAGAAUUUUUAUACUCUAAAAUUUUUUUUUUUUUGAGAGACGGGUAGAAUGCUAUCCGCUUCAUUUAUUUUAUUUUAAAAAUAAACUUAGCUGAAAAUAUUAAUCAACUAGUAUUUGAACUUAAAAUCUUAGAUACCAAUCAUUACGUUUUUUGUCACUUGCGCUAGGGACGGUCGGCUUUAUAUCCUAAAAAUUAUUUCUAGAAAUGGGCGGGCUCAGGAUAGUACCUAAGGAAAGGACUUUACGGAGGAAAUGGUUAAAGAUAUAAUGAACACACCUUGGCAAUAAUUUUGUGAGAGAUAGGUAGCAUGUUACCUGCUUCGUUUAUUUCAUUUAAAAAUAAACUUAGUUGGAAAUGUGAAUCAACUAUGAUUCAAACUUGGAUCUCGGAUAUCAAUCACUACGCCUUUUGCCAUUUGCUCUAGGGACGGUCCGUACAUGUUGGCCAGGAAUUGAGGGACGAUGAUGAUGAGAGGCGGUGCGCGGAGGAUAAAGAUGCACCGGGUGCAGGGAAUAAUAGUAUUUCGUGCGGAUUAUCGCGGGAGAGGCACCCAAGUGUCCGGUGACCGUACGAUGGGGUCACUGCUCCUCCAGAAACAAUGAUAGAGAUGUUUAUGAUUGCCCAACACUACCCCGUCCCACUCCCUCCUCUACUCUCUCUCUCACCCGAGACAAAUUAGCAUCUCCCUAAACUCAACACCAUACCCACGUACACCCCAGGGCCCCACCAACAGAAGAGAUAGAAAGGGAACGGGAAUGCAUGGCCAUGUUCCAUGCCUCGCACCUCCAUGGUCAUGAUGGCCACAUGACCAUGACAUGCCACGCUUAUUCCGUGGAAACAGAUGCGUUGUUUUAUGCAAAAAAAAAAAAUAAUAAUAUCGAAUUAAAUCUCUUUCUUUUUUCGAUAAAAAUAAAAGUGAUUCGGUACAAAUUUUAUGUAAAAAAAUAUAUAUUGGUUAAAUAAAUGAGAAAAUUUUUUGUACUUAUCUUUGCACUAUAGGGAAUUUUUGGUUUCUGAUCUUAUCUUUAAAAUUGUUGUGCACCCUCGUCAUUUUGUACACGUCUUAGCUAGGGAGCCCUGUGGAGACGAAUAGGAAGUAGGAUAGGGUCUUUUUGGUACCAUUUCCAGUACUGUUGGAUGUUUUUGCCCUUAAAAAGAUGGUCUCCUUCAGAAAUGUGCUGAUCUUUUCACUGUUCUUACUUUCUUUUUUUUUUCUUUCUCAAUCCCGAUCUUAGAAAGGUGUGAGCCAUAUAAAUGUGUGAAAACUAGCUAGUGUUGCCAAAGCAACUUUUAGCUGCUUAAUUAUCUUCAUCAAAUACCGACCGUCCCUAGAGUAAGUGACAAAGAGCUUAGUGGUUGGUACCCGAGGUCCCAAGUUCGAAUUCUAGUUGAUUCACAUUUUCAGAUAAGCUUAUUUUUAAAUGAAAUAAACGAAACGAAUAACGUGCUAUCUAUCUCUAAAAAAAAAAAAAAAUCACUCCUCCUUAAGAGGUUUUCAAGAUGGCAGAGACUUGAACCUCUGCUUGUACAUUAUCUGAAAAGAAUUCAUGGCGUGUUUUAUAUUAAAAGAAAAGAAUAAACAUCAACGUGGCGUGUAAGAAUGGAUGAUUCUUUAUUUAAAUCUCUUCUAUAUAUUAUAUAUAUAUUAUAGGGGCCGACAAAGUGGUCGUACUAGCCGAACUUCUACUUGGCUAUGGGCUUUCUGAAGAAGCGGAUAAAAAAAGCGCAAUUCAAAGUUGAUAGCAAUCGUAGUCAAAGUUAUGUUUGUGCGAAAGACUAUUUUUCUGAUGGAAAAGCCGAGUAUUAUUCUAACGGGCUUCUUUUUUUUCUUUUUUUUUUUUUUCCUUUUUUGGUGUCAUUUAGCCCCUCAAUUUUUUUUUAAAAAAUAAAUGACUUUAAUAAAUUUAUAUUUACAUAAAUAGCAUUCUUCUUGCCACGCGAAUGUCUAGACGGUGUUUUUAAGUUGAACACGGUAAUUCAAUUACUGUGUUUAAACAUAAUAAUUGAAUCAUCGUGUUCCCUUUUUGUAUUCUUUUUCGUCCCUAAGUUAAAAAGGAGGGACUAAAGUGUGGAUAUGAAUAUGACGAUUCAUUCAUCGUAUUCAAUUUAAAAAUAUAAACGUGACGGUACGUUGCAUGAUAAGAAAAGAAUCAUAUAUGCAAAUAUAAAUUUACUAGGACUAUUUGUAAUUUUUUUUUGGAGGGGGCUAAUUUUUUUUUAAAAAAACCCUAUUCUAACUUAAAACCAAGCAACAAUAUAUUUACUUUUAUCCUUUCUCUAAAGCAUAUUGAUUCGUAAUUGUGAUUAUUAUUUAGCUUGAUGUCGUUUCAGUAAUGUCUUUCCAUUGUAUCUUUUUUUUGUUUCAAUUCCUUUUCAUUCAUUUGUUUGCUUUUAUAUGUAGAAUUUGAGCUGUAUGGUUUUAGGUUUAUAAAUUGCUUUCCAUUAUAUCUUUUUUUUUCUUUCCUUUUCAUUCAUUUGUUUGCUUUUAUAUGUAGAAUUUGAGCCGUAUAUAUGGUUUUUAUAUAGUUUAUAAAUUGCGAUGUUCUAUAAGUUUGCUGGUGUUCCGUAGCUUUCGAUGCAAUAAUGAUUGCAUAAACUUCGGAACAAUAUGUUGUGUGGGUGCAGUAAAAGAUGCCAAGUUCAUAGCUUGGUUUAAAAUUUUCAAAAUUAUAAUAAAGUAUUUAGGAUGACGUGCUGCACCUAAGAUUCGAUUUCUUAUGUUUUGAGGAAAAAAAAAAAACAAUUUGGAUGUUGUAUGUAUUAUACAGUUAUAGUCAUCCUUAGUACUUUUCAGCAAUUAACUAUUGGGUGCUGAAUAAAAUGUUCGUGAAUCCAAACAGGUCUUUAUUUAGCGCAUCUUUAAAAAGAUGACUGCUAAUGUGUAGAUACUAUCGGUAAUAAUAUUAUAUCUUAGUUUAGGUACAUAAGAUAUCUUUAUAAAGUUUAAGAUUCUGUGUUUGAAUUCGGACCUGAGGUUUAUGUGGUUAACAUAACAUCGAUAGGAGAUUACCGACCGUCCCUAGAGCAAGUGGCAAAGGGCUUGUUGGUUGGUACCCGAGAUCCAAGUUUGAAUCCUAGUUGAUUCACAUUUCUAGCUAAGUUUAUUUCUAAAUGAAUUAAACGAAGCGGGUAGCGUGCUACCUAUCUCUCUCUCACAAAAAAAAAAAAAAAAAAAAAAAAAAAAAAAAAAAACAUCAAUAGGAGAUUUGCGUAGAUCAUGGACAGGUAGGGCCAUGCAAAACUAGUGAGAACAAGGACAAGACAUAAUACCAACAAAAGACUAGGACAAGAGAAUUUAAUGUGUGGGGGAUGGAUAUCUAGAGUAUCCUUGAUUAACGCGGAUUUAGACAUAACGAGAAAAAUGCAUGGACAAACCCUGUACUAUCCUCAUAGUAUAGUUUAUUCACUAAUCAUCAAAAAGAAGUUAAAUCUCGACAUUCGUUAACUUUCGCCACAAAUAAACUCCCGUUUUUUGGUCUAAAAUUAAACUAAAAUAAGUGAAUCAUUUUAUGGGAGAAGAGGCGAAAACACUUGGUUCUUUGUAAUAUAUGAGAUAGUCUAAAAAUUAAAAUGUUUUAGUGAUGAUUACAUGGGCCAAGUUGCUUUACUGGAAUAGUACAGAGACUAUUUGUACUUUUGACUGUAGCAUAAAUAAUUGAUCCAUAGGUUUGGAUUCGGUCCAUCUCCCCUCAGGAUCGAGCCUAAUUUGGUCCGAGUCCUUUUGUUGGGUUCGCACCUGAAACAGUAUAGAAAGAGGAUAUACCAACCCAAAUAAUAUGUAUAUAUAGAAUUGUGCUCCUAUGCUUUUAAAAGUACCAAGUUGUUGAUGCUUGUAGAUUUUUGACCAUUGGAUUAAGGGAUGUGCGGUUAUGAUGAUGUGGGUCCCUUAAGGUUGAGUAGGUAGUGGGUUGAAUAGUAUAAUCUAACGGUUGAAAAUGAUCAAAGGCAUAGAUCUAACGGUGGAAAACUCGAUAGCACUAAAUCCUUGGUGCUAUCGAUAGUAUCCCCACCAAACUCUAUAUAUAUAUAUAUAUAUAUAUAGGAGAGAGAGAGAGAAAAGAGAGAAGAGAGAGAGGAGAGAGAGAGGAGGAGGGGGGGGGGGAAUGUUUCCAUAAAAUCAAGGUGUUUGCUUCUUAGCAUUUUGAGUAGGGGGGGAAUAGUUUUCCAAUAAAUCAAGGUGUUUGCUUCUUAGUCAUUUUGGGCAAAAUGACACCUGGAUGACAAUCAACGCGCUGUUAAAUGUGAUAUAAACUAUUUGAACUUCAUAAAACACAACUAUGUAAAGUUUUAAUAUCAUUUGCGUAGUGAUCAAAUGAUCUUUAAGUUCAUCUUAUACUAGUUAUUAAAAUUAGUUCAAUUUUGAAACUAUUUGAAUAGUAAGCAAAUGAUGUCUAAAAAUCGUAGAAUUCAGGUUCUAAAAAGUUGAGAUAAUUUAGAGAUCAAGUUUAAUAUUGUCGAUUAUCAUCGAUUCUAAUAUUUUAUUAGUAAAACUAAUAUGAAAGUAAGUAUCUCGAUCGGUUUACUUUUAGAAGUAUUUUAGUUUUACUAUAGAAGGCCAAAUUAAACUGCAUUGUGUCCUCCCAUUCUUUGGUUGGUGGUUGGUCAAAUUCAAACUUAGAAUUAAACCAAAUUUCCUCUUUUGUCCCCUUCCCAUUGAUGAGAUGUUCAUGUGUGAACCAUAAUCUCAUCUGAAGAACAACAAUAUUUCACUUCCACUUUGAUGGCAAUUUAAUUCCUAGAAUUCAUCUGUCAUACCAAUUUUAAGGCUUAUGUGUUAUUAUUAUUAUUUUAUUUUGAUCGCUGAACUUUUAAAUUGUUUUAAUCUUUAGCCGCGACAUUAAACUCGCGCCACAUGUUAGAUCACUGUUUUAAACCUAGUAAUUAUUGAUUUGCAAUAUUGCUUCCCUAAAAUGAGUGUAUAAAUUUUUCUAUCGCAACAAAUCAAAUUUUAGGAGCAAAGCAAAACUGAAUCAAUAAUUUUUGGGACAAAAUUUAUCCGAAAUUUGGUAUGUUGUCUUAUUCAAAGGGCACCACUCACUAUGAAUGAAGCUCAAAUUAAGUCUCAGAGAUUUAUUAUAUAAACAAAUUUAGAUGACAUUCAUGCCAACUGGCCAUAUGACAAUUAUAGCAAACAAAUUUUGGGGUAAAUAAUUAAUAACUAGUGUCUAGUGUAGUAAUUCGUGUAAUGCAACAGAUAGAUAAUUAGAAAAAAAAUAAAAAACGGUGACAAAGGAAGAGUAAAUAGUGAUGAAAGAAACGACAAUAAGGGGUGUGAUUCAUUUUGCCGAUGAAGAAAGAUAACAACCGAAGAAAGUAAAAGAGGAGCAGUUCGGCCCAAUUCAGAUAUGUGAUCUGUUUUGAUUUAAGCAAACAAAAAGAAAAACUCAAUUUGGUUUAAGUAAAGAAAGAGAAAAACAUGUCAAGAACGUGAGCUGGUUUGAAAUAACCUACACUUAGCAAUUAUUGAUUCGAUUCAAUUCAAGCAAAAAAUAGAAAAAAAAUAUAGAGAACUUGAGCCGACUCAUAAUGGAGCCCACACUCAAUAGUGAAAGAAACAUUGCCGAAUCGCAAAUUUAGAAAGAAUAAUAUAAAGAAAUAGAUACGCCGGAAUUCAAAUAGUGGGGAUUUAUUAAAUUAAAUUCCUCUCAUAUGUAAUGAAGGAAGUGAAAAAGUCCUAACGUUGUCACAUGGUUUGAAGGGGAGACCACUGAACGACGUACACAUGGGACCCUAAAAUGGGCUUAGGAGUCUUCACUUUGCUGGGUUAUAAUAUCGUACUUUGUUACCACCGUGAUGUUGACCAUAUGAUUGAGUCCGCAACUAUCUCUCUUUUUGAGUUUUAUGAUUAAAAUAGAAAAAAAAAAAAAAAAAAAAANUGUGUGAGAGAGAGAGAGAGAGAGAGAGAGAGAGAGAGAGAGAGAUCUAGAGAGAGAGAGAGGGAGAAGUUGUUGGAGGUUCAUUGGUGGAGAAGUGUCAUUAUCUCUAAUGCAAGUAAACCCUAGUCCACUUAUUGUGAGUGUAAAUUGCAAUGUGAAAUUAAAGGGGAAUAAAAAAGAAGGGAACAAAAAAACAAAAGAAAGGAUGACAACAUUAGCAGAACUGAUGUUGUUACUAACAGAAAAAUUUAUUGUCUAUGACCUGUGCAUAGUAAAUGAACCAUGUCAUUUUAAUUAUAUAAUCACCUCAAAAGAAAAAUAUCCUAAAUAUCACUAUACAAGGUAUACAUACUUUUUCCCUUCGUCGUGCUAAUUUAAGCAUUUUAGGAAAGUAAUUAACUUGAGCGUUUAAAAAAGUGCGGUGACGCAUCGCCAACAAGUGAGCAACAAGUGGAUAUUUGAUUGUCUUAUAAUGUUCCCCAUACAAUAAAACCAUAGGAAAGAGAUCCUUAGAUUCACAUGGUACAACUUAGCUUGCUGAGAAAAUGGAACACACAUGCACAAUAAUAUAUGCAAAUGCCCCCCCUCAACUAAAAGAGGUAAAAGAAUCCAUAAUUAAAUUGCGAGUCAAUUUUAGGGUCUCGAUAACAAAAAACAUCCACUAAAUAAAAGCCAACAUAUGUAUAUAUAUUAGGUCCAAAUCAUGUCAACUUUUUUUCCUUUUUUGGUCUUAGCUAUCAAAUGUUGUCGAAAAAGAGCUAAUUAGUGAGAAAGAGAAGAGAGAGAGAGAUAACCCUAACCUAUAACUAAUCGCCACUUAGUCUCGAGCCACUCAAAAGCCUCUAUUCUACGAGCCUAUUGGGUCAACUUCACCCUUUACUACCUGUUUCUUUUAUACAUUUCAAGUGCUAACUAACCUAACUAUCCCCUAACCCAAGAUUAGACACUAAUCCCCAAUUGUCGCAAAGUUGUUGGCCUACUUAAUUGUCGAGCUAAUGUGGUUUCUCCCCUAAUUGAGCUUUAAUUACUAGAAUAAUAACAUGUUUAGUUUGAGUCGUCGAGGAGGAGCUAACUAGCUAUAUUGUCAUGUGGGCGCGUGGCCGUGUUGCCAUAUGUUUUUGCUCUUGUGUUUUGUGCCGAUCCUAGGGCAUCGUGAGCCCGACCAAAACAUCGAAGGAGGGGAACAGAAUUCUACGAUUCGAAUCCGAUCGAGGCAACGGUUGUCUUGUCACUCAUUACCCAGCCAUGAGAUAUCUCGGUGACACAUGGUAGCAAAGCAUAGUUAACUAGACUAGGUUUUGUUUAUUUCCUAUUGUUUUGCGCCUCAUUGAUUGAAUGAACCAUAGAGUACACAAUUUUUAUUCUUUAGCUUAAGACUAAUACCUUAGGUACAAUGGUCCCCAACUGCGGUACCAUAAUCCAAUGUAACUAGAUUCUCUCUUUCUCUCUCUCUCACACACACACAUACAAAAUAUUUUGAGAAACCAAUAGAAACUCGACAAAUUGAGCACGAUACAGUUUAUUGCUUGAUCACUAAGGGAGAUUUCGUGUGUGGUCUUCUAGUUAGAGAACAUAAUCCGGCAAUUCGGACAAUUCCUCCUAUAUUUCGCAAAAUCACGUGAUGCAUGCAAUAAACCGUCAUCAUAAUCGCAAGUACUGAAUAAUUUCAGAUCUUCUUCAUUUUUAUCGUGCUCAGGUUCUUACUUACGAGCUAACACGACAACUAUGUAAGAGAUUGUGCUCCGAAACCAAAUGGAUCGAGGACGAAACUUAAGAUUCUAUUGUCUCUCUAAGCAACCACCGAUCGAGCCACGUGGUUAAUUAAGCGAUUAUAUAGGAUUGGCCUCCACAAAGUUAAGUAUCAUGUCACCAUCCUGCAGAGAAGUGCUUGAUUAAACAAUCUACUUUUGGUGCAAUGAGAGGUGUCAACAAUAGAAUUAAUUGCAGUUCAUAGUCGAUCCCAUGCACGUUACUUUAUAAUUAAAUUGAUGUGCAUGGAGCUGUACAUAAUCUUUAACAAAUUAAUUAUAUAACAACCAACCCUUCUCAAGGAGUAGCUUAUUGGACUGGUUCAAAGCAUUUCAUUUCAACAGCUUCAAUUACAGCGAAAUUUGAUCAAAAAUAGUAAUGUUGACUUGAGUUGGUCAAACACACCGACCCCGGUGGGCCAGGCCAAUUCGAGGUUUUGUGGGCCCAUUUGGGCCUUUCUACACGAGCCCAACUCAUUAAUGGGCCGGUGCGUUGACAGUAAUUAAUUCAUUAUUAUUAUUCAUUAUAUAAGCAUGAUUUUUAUGCGAAUUAGUAGGAGAGAGAGAGAGAGAGAGAGAGAGAGUCCCAAUCAUUGCCCCUCGUCUGAAACCGAUCUCCGCCCAAUACGUAUUUUUCGCUAUAACCGUUCGAAAGCGAACGUGGGGCCCACCCCCNUCUCUCUCUCUAGCGCUCGCUAUCUAUCACCGUUAAUAACCAUCACGCACUCCGCGGAUACACAGAUAAGCCUUACGGUGCACCCGCGUCCAUCGUCGCCGUCGUCGCAGCCCACGUCGGCGAUUCUACGGUCGCGAUCGUUAAUGAUAACGAUUUCGCGGGGAUCGCCAUAAUUAGGAAUCGCUGUCGACGGUGGUGAUGAUAAUGAUCCGCCGUUAGCAACGCCGCCUCGCCUUCCACGUGUCGCCCGCUCAAUGGCCUUCUCUCUCGAAUCGGUGACUCUCCACGUGCCACGCCAACCCCAAUUCGCUCGCGUCAGUUCACUUCUCCGCCCCCACCCUUUCAAAUGCAAUAUAUAAUAUAAUAUAAUAUAUAUAUAUAUAUAUAUAUAUAAAAAGAUAAAUGAUCAUCUUAUGACACUAAUGAUGAGAAAUUUAUUACCUGCCACACCUGGUGUAUAGUUAUACUCGGUGGGCACUCCACAUAUUAUUAUCCCAUAUAAUUUUCAAUAUUUUAAGAUCCUCUGCAUAGAAAUUAUUAUUAUGUGAUUUGAAAAUCUAUCCUCGGCGAUCAACUAUACAACAGAAAGAACCAUCCUUUAUGGGUAAAAGUUAGUCUCAAAAUUUAUGAUUUUUAAAAUCUUUACAUGUACGGGAUGCAAUGAAUGAGAGAUCGGGGAAUGAUGAUGUGAGAUUUGAUGAGUUGUGAUGAUGAUUUCGAGUCAACCGCGGCGCACGUUACGCAUGUACCACGCGGCCACAGCCGCCAUUUUCUUUUGGGCCCAGCCCACAUAUUCUCUCUCUCUCUCUCUCUCUAGUCUCUCAUACGGCCCACUAAGGGCCACUCACUAUAGCCCACUUCACACCAACAUCUCUCUCUCUCUAUCUUUCUCUAUGUAGAGAGAGAUAACAUAUAUAUAUAUAUAUAUAUAUAGAGAGAGAGAGAGAGAGAGAGAGAGAGAGAGAGAGAGAGGAGAGGUCCGAGAGGAGGAGGUGAGAGGAUUCUAGAGAGAAAAAAAGUAAGGAUAGGAGGGAGAAAGGUGGGGGUCCCAGGAACUCAUCUGAACCCCACUUAAUAGACCCUCUUCUUCUCCUUGACCACCACCACCAGCACCACCCACCACCAGGUAAUUAAAAUCGCGUAUAAAUACCCCCCACCCCUCUCUCCUCCUCCUCCCCAUUAAUAUCCCUCUCCCAAUCGAUCAUAGCACUACAUAACACCAACUUAGUAGUUACUUCGCUCCAUCAACAUAUAUAGCCCCAACACAAAAAAGACCAUAUUGGACCGUAACCCAAAAGAGAGAGAGAGAGAGAGAGACAGAGAGAGAGAGAGAGAGAGAGGGAGAGGGAGAGGGAGAGAGAGAGAUACACAUAGAUAGAGCGAAAGUUAGCUCCUUUACCUUACCUGCGGUACCGAAGCAAACCCAGCUCUCCUUUUCACCUCCCUCCUAGCUCGUAUUGCUAUUGUUAUAUAUAUUAUUAUUACUACUCGUUCUUACUUCGUAUAAUAUUAUAUAUAUAACAAUAACCCGUACCAAAAAGAGAAAAAGGAAACAGAACAAAAACAAAACGAUAGAGAGAUUGAUGGAGGAGGAGGAGAUGAUGAUGAAGAAGAUGAGGGUAGUGGCGGCGAUACGAGAGUACGAGGAGGGGAGGGAUAGAGAGCGCGUGUUGGAGGUGGACAGAGAGUGCGAGGUGGGUCCCACCGGUGGCAGCCACAUGUCCCUCUUCNGAGGUGGGUCCCACCGGUGGCAGCCACAUGUCCCUCUUCCCUUUAGGUUAAAAACACAGCGGAAAAAAUUUUUUUUUUUUUUUUUUUUUUUUUUUUUUUUUAAACCUAUCUUCUUCUUUUCAUUUAAUUAAUAAUAAAAUAGUAAUUCAAUAAUAAUACAACGAAAUUUUAAGUUUUUAACUACUACUACCGCUGCUGCUGCUGCUACUACUACUACGACUAAAUAAAUAUUAAUUAAUUAAUUAAAAAUAAUAAUAACCACAAUUAUUAUCAUAAUUAUUAUAACAAGGAUAUAAGGUGGGUGGGUGAACGGUGAUUGAUCGAUCAUUGAUGAAUCAUCAUCAUCAUCAUCAUCAUUCAUCCACACAUACAUGAUACAGGUAGCCGAAGUAGUUAGUGGGCCGGAUCGCGCGAUCGUGGGCCUGGUCCGCGGCUGCGUCAAGAGCGUCUCCCGCGGCAGCCCCAUCCGCCUCCCCGCGAAGCACCACACCGCCGCGGAGCACCGCACCCCGCUCUUCUCCACCGUCGCCUACCUCCUCGGCCUCCGCGUCUCCCCUCCCUACCGGUAUCUCUCUUCUUACUUAAUUCCUUCCGCUUAGUAACAAAACUAACUUAAUUCAUUAAUUAAAAUUAAUUACUUGAUUGAUUAAUUAAUUAAUUAAUUAAUUAAUAGCAAGUUCGACAUAUAUAUAUAUAUAUAUAUAUAUAUUGUACGUAGGAGGAGAGGGAUCGGGCAACAACUGGUGCAGCGGAUGGAGGAGUGGUUUGUGAAAAUGGGGGCGGAGUACGCGUACAUGGCGACGGACAUCGACAACGCGGAGUCGAUCCGGCUCUUCACGGGGCGGUGCGGCUACUCCAAGUUCCGCACCCCGUCCAUCCUCGUGCACCCGGUCUACGCCCACCGCCUCCGCCUCAAACUCCCGCGCCACGCCGCCGUCCACCGCCUCUCCCCGGCCGACGCCGACCUGCUCUACCGCCGCCGCUUCUCCUCCGUCGAGUUCUUCCCCGGCGACAUCGACGCCGUCCUCCGCAACCCCUCCUCGCUGGGCACGUUCGUCGCCGUCCCCCGCACGAGCUCGGCGGAGGAGGUGGUGGGGGCGAUCUUGGGCGGCGGGGGGUCGUUCCGGCUGGAGGUGCGGGGGGCGCCGCGGUGGCUGCGGGGGCUGGCGCGGGCGACGCGGGCGGUGGACGCGGCGCUGCCCUGGCUGGGGCUGCCGUCCAUCCCGGACGUCUUCCGGCCCUUCGGCGUCUGCUUCGUCUACGGCCUCGGCGGCGCCGGCCCCGACGCCCCGGCGCUGCUCCGCGCCCUCUUCCGCCACGCCCACAACCUCGCCCGCUCCCUCCGCUGCGGCGUCGUCGCCGCCGAGGUCGCCGCCUGCGAGCCCCUCCGCGCCGCCGUCCCCCGCUGGGACCGCCUCACCGUCAACGACCUCUGGUGCGUCAAGCGCCUCCCCCCCAACGCCGACGCCGACGCCGACGCCGACGUCGACUGGAUCAAGGCGCCGCCGGGGCCAUCCAUCUUUGUCGACCCCAGAGAGGUCUAGCAACAUCUAUCUAUCUAUCUAUCCUUCCAUCUGACGGCUGAUAUUUGCUCUCACCUUGUUCUUCUUUUUUUUUAUUCCUUUUUUUCUUUCUCUCUCUCUUUCUUUUUGUAACUGGGGGUUAAAAAUGUACCGGGGUCCCUCGCCUACGAGUACUUCGGAAAUGGCUCCUUCAACUUUUUUUUUUUUUUUUUUUUUUUUUCCUUUUUUUUUUUUUUUUUUAANGUACCGGGGUCCCUCGCCUACGAGUACUUCGGAAAUGGCUCCUUCAAUUUUUUUUUUUUUUUUUUGUUUUUUACCCUAUUUUGUUUUUUUUUAAAAAAAAAAUUGGAUUGAUACCUUCCAGUCUGGUGAGUCAUAGCAAAUAAAAAUAGACUAAUUGAUGAACUUAAUUAAUUAGAAUUUUUUUUUUUUGAGUAAACAAGAAUAUAUCCUAUUUGUGAUAGAAUAAAGUUUGACAAGGUUUACAAUUUCGAUAAUGCCGCGAGUAGAGUCAAAACACGAUUUGAUACAACUGAAAGCAACAACUAGAAGCACCAGAGGACAUAAAGGCUCGGCCCUUCACGCUCAAAGCAUAGAAUGUCAUAGAUUAACGGUGUUCAUCACUCUCCUUCCUGUGUCCUCGCUUUGAGUGGGGUGGCUAUCGAAAAUACGUCUGUGUCUUUCCUUCCACAGUUCUCGGCAUGCUGUUGUGAAGCAAAGGUCGAACAUUCUCUUGAGGCACCCACUCACGGAAGUCCGAGAACGAUUCCAUCGAGCAGCUAAGUCCCCUGGUAGUGUCAGCAUCAGGCGUCGAGUUGUCGGAGUAGUUUGUAGUAGUUGAUUCCACACGGCCGUGGCAUAGGUGCAGGAGAAAAGGAUGUGUUCUAGAUUCUUUCCAUUCAUCGAGCAGAGAGCACAAAUCGAUGGACCAUACCAACCCUUUUUAAAUAAUGUGUCAGCUGUCAAGAUUUUGUUUUUUGCAGCGAGCCACAUAAAAACUUUGAUUCUUAGGGUGUGUUUGGUUCACACUAUGAAAAAUUACUAGCAAUAAAAAGAUGUUCUAGAAUCUUAUUGCUAUUCAUCAUAUUGCUAAGAAUGUGGCAUUCCUGUGUUUGGUUUGCCCGGUCAUAUUAUUUAGUCAUAUUAUUUAAGUUUACAAAAAAAUAUAUAAUUAAUUUAUUUAUUUCUUUAAUUAAUUUUAGAUAAUGUUAUCAAAAAUUUCAACAUCUUUGUAGAAAAAAGGAAGAAAGAACAUAGGUUAGAGAGAGUAUAAUUAAAAAAAUAAGAAGAGAAAUAGAGUCGAGAUUAGAGGGAGUGAGAGAAUUGAGAUUUUAGAAAAAGAGGGGGAGAAAGAGCUUAGUUUAGAAAGAGAAAAAGAGUUGAAGUUUAGAAAAAAAUAUGAGAUUAUAGUGUAAAGAAAAAUAAUACCAACUAGCCAGCGGGUAGGGAGGAAGAAAGAGAUUAGACAUAUUAUGAUUAUUCCAAUCCAUUAAUAUAAGGAUACCCACACUCCCUCAAGGGAAUGAGAUUAGUAUUUUGGGAUGAAUUUCAUUCCCAAGUAAAUACAAUAUUACUAACUAAAUUACUUAGUGAGUCUAACCAAAAGCCAUUAUAUUUUUUUAUUUAUAUUGGAUUAGUAGGAAUCUUAAAAAGAUAGCGUGAACCAAACGCACUCUUAGAGAGAUCUUGAGCCUCCAGAGAAAAGAAAUACUACAAGCAUUUAUGCCAUCAAAGAUAAGCCAAUCGUAAGCGCGACGUACCUCAAACUUAUCAUCUUCGUUCCGGCGCCAAGUGGUCGAGUCGUUAGCAUUAGAUAGGGAAGUAGAAAAAUUCAAAUACAAUAUAUAUAUAUAUAUAUAUAUAUAUAUAUAUAUAUAGUUGGACUGGUCUACUAUUAGUAGCAAAAUUUUAUUGUUGCUAUCAGUUUUUUAGCCUUUAGAUCAACUCUUUUCAUUAUUUCUAACCAUUGGAUUAAAUACUAUAACUCAGUGGGGACCACUCAACCCUAGGGGGACCACUCAACUCUAACCGACUAAUAUCAUCCUGACUCUACAAUUUUUCAUCCAAGAGUUAAAAACUUGAUAGCAAAAAGAGCAUUUUAUUAUUAAUAGUAUUCCAGCCUAUAUAUAUAUAUAUAUAUAUAUAUAUAUAUAUAUAGGCUGGAAUACUAUUAAUAGCACCAAUUACUUGCGUGCUAUUAAGUUUCUGCCUUUGGAUAAAAGAUGUCGUUGCGGUUAAAGAUGAUGUGGGUCUCGUAGGGUUUGAGUGAUAGUUAGUGAAUGAUUAAUCAAGACCGGAUGAAAAUGAUAAAAAAAGUAAAUCUAACGAUAGAAAACUUAAUAGCACUAAAUGCUUGCCCUACGAUAGUAUCCCAGCCGGACUCAUAUAUAUAUAUAUAUAUAUAUAUAUAUAUGAAGUUGGGGAGGUGAUUUCAGAAUUGACUAUAUUAGAGGGGGCUUCGUGCAUUUUUGUACCUUUCAUUUCUAGCUUACUGAUUUGAAUCUUCUAAGCGCCCUUUCUUUUCCUCUUUUGUAUGAAUUUUGGGUCAGUUUUUUCUUCUACUUUUCUUUUUCAGUUGUAACGGUGGAGGCGGAAUAUGUGGAUUUGGGGGGUAUAAAUGGAUAUAUGACCUUUUUGGAGAAUUCGCCUAUACUAAUUUUUAUUUAGGUGGGGAUAAAAACAAAAGGGUAGUGUAACGGUUAGAGAGGAGAUAUGAUAUGGGGGAUCAGGGGUAAAGGUGUGGAGAAGAAAAAGUAGAUGAUAGUAUCUUUUUUCCUCUUUUUUUUUUUUUUUUGGCAUUUUUGAACUAUAAUGGAGUUCUACUUCAAUCUUACUUUUUGGAAAAAGAAAACUGUGCGCCUUUUAUUCCCUUUGCAUUUUAUCCACUUUUUGUCAAAAUUCUAACUUUUUGCAUAAUUCUAAAGAUGGCGAUGUUCGCAUUUUUCUUUGUUGUUGGCGCUUAAUCCCUAAUAGUUUUAUGAGUUCCCUAAAGAUUGGUCUCGCUUAAAGUUUAAUAUGAAUUACAAGUUAGAAGAAGUGCAAAUUAUUCAUAUUUGUGAGCGUUCUAAUUUCAAUAGUGUUCGUCGCAUCGUAUAACAUUACCUACCAGUCUCGACAAUAUAAUAUUUGAGACUUGAGAGUAUCUUGUUGUAGCACUGAAAGAAGCUGGGAAAGAAUAAUUAGAUGCGAGAUAAGUAACAUAGUCAACUAAGAUAAGAUAAGUGGGCAUUUGAACUUAGACAAGUCACCUGGUCAACCUGGGACCAGAGUUCAAGUUCGUGCUAGUUUGAACGCCAAGCUGGAUCCUGGCCCAUGGGGUGGUGUUUAUAUCAUGUACUCUUUUUAGCUGAAGCAUUAGUAACUCACUAACUCAUCAUACAUUUCUUUUUCUUUUUCUUUUCUUUUUUUUUGGGUAGAGAACCUUAAAUGUUAAUUUUGUUUUCUAUCUUACUGAAGAAAAGAUGCUUCGUACAUUUUAACUCAUCAUACAUUCUACUUGGUAAUAAAUCUCUAGUCUCUGUGGGUAUUCGUCCCAAAUUAGGUGGGAAUCCAAAUAUUUUUGUAUCCUUAAUAAUUAUUGAAUAUGUUGAGCUGAUUUUUACGAUUUAUCUGUCUCCAUCUAUGUGACGAUCCGACGGUUGGCUCCAUUAAGUGUCAGAAAGAAGAUAAUUGGAUGGGUACCGUAUCGAUAAGUGUACAAAAAAUCUUUGCAUACUAAAUUACAAAAAAAAUCUCUUGACACAUAAGUCGGGCGCUCCCAAAUCUAUGGACCUGCACUAAUGUUUGAGUACAAGUUUUUCGGCCGAUAUAGUUGGCUUGAUUAAAUCAGUCCAUUGUUGUCACAGUCGUGGACUUACCUAUGAACCAAAUCUUAUUUAGUCUCAAUAUAUUCCAAGUUUCACAAUGGAUCGAUACAGCUAAUUUUCCAAGUAAAUAUUAAUAUAAUUAGCCAAAUUAUGCGUGAGACUUUUUACAUGAAAAAGGAAAAGUUGGGGAACUUAUUUGUUAAGUCCAAAAUUCAACUGGAGCAUUUUAUGCCUGAGGUUAGUGGCCCUUUGUCUAAAAGUAAAUGUGUUCUACAUUUUCAAAGUCAAUAAAAAGGUGUAAGUGUCAGAAUCUGUUUUGAUUAAGAGUGUUUAUUGAGCCAAAAGUGUCCUGAACCCUAAUUUGCAUUUAUUAGAGGAUCCCAAGAGCAAAAGUUUGAUCAUAUUCUUUCUUCAUUAAAUACUACUCAAAUCUUACAUCUUGGUCCUCAUUCUUUUCUCUAGAAGGCAUACUUUUUUCCUUUUUUAAAAAAAAAUCUUCUGAAAAUUGGAUCUUUGAUGUAAAUUCCAGCUCUAAUAUUACAUAGAAAGCGGAGUUAGUUGCUUGUUUUAGCGACUUCGCUCAAUUUUCAAAACAUAUUAAUUUUAUACUGAUUAUACAUCAGAAUUUUGACAUGUAUGUAACAUUCAGAAAUUUCGUUUACCUAUCAGCUUAAGCUGUUGUAGUGAUAACUGCGCGAAUCAAUCUUCUUCCUCGUCUUCUUUUUUUUUUUUUGUCUUUUAUGGGAAUAAUAUUUUGUAUGCGGACUCCGACGGAUCUUUGUACAAUCCCACGGGCCCAAUAGUUCAUUUUGACGGGCCCACUAACCCCCUUCAAAGUACAUACGAUGGCCCAAUAUGUCCUGUCUCGGGGCAUCGUCCUGGCCCACAUUGUCCCCCACUUGGGCCCAAAUGGAAGCAUCAUCUUUAAGCACCAAUUCUUUCCCUUUAUAAAGGUCAAAAAACUAAUAAUGAAGCAAUGGAACUUGUCAACAUGGCUUUCCCUUGAUGUGGCAAAUUUUAUAUAUAAUAAUAUAUAUAUAUAUAUAUAUAUAUAUAUAUCUAUUAUAUAUAUAUAUAUAUAUAUAUAUAUAUAUAUAUAAUUCUUUCUUCUUCUUUUUUUUUUAAACUAAUACAAGGAUAUGGGAUGGUGGUGGGGGAGUAAUUACUCUUUACUAAUUCACACAGCACUAUUAACAGGGUAUUCAAUUAAGUUUUUUAGAGAUAGAUAGUACGCUACCCGCUUCGUUUAAACUUUUAAUAAAAAAUAUAGUUAAAAAACUAAUAUAGAAUAAAAACCCUUGGAUGAGUAUGGUAUAAGAUGUGCACCUAGUCUGGUGGUGUAUAUGCAGCCUUGCUUUUUUUUUUUUUUUCUUUUUUUUUUCUUUUUUUUGCUUAUUUUGGUAGUGUAGCUACCUCUAUCGAAAGGAGCAUAACCAUAUUUGAUGGGUGGGGUGGUUGGACCACAGCACGUUUUGGCCCAUCAAAGUUUAGGCCCGGCCCACCAAAUGUGCGAUUUGAUUUGAUUUGAUUUUAUUUGGUGAUAUUAGAAGAAGGGAAUUUUCUAAAUCCAUAGCAGUACAAAACGUACGUAACAAGACAAUUUGUGUUAUCUUGCAAAUAGCAUUAAUUUUGGAUUAUAUUCUGAGAAAAUGAAAAGAAAUGAAAUAUGCUCUUUAGUAAUAGCUGGCCAAUAAGGAUGGAUCAUGUUCUUUUGUUUUUUCCGCAUUUUGUCUCUUUUUUUCUUGAGUUGUACAUGAUCAUAUAAACUACGAGUUUUAUGGCUUGUUUGGUUACUACUAUUGGAAGCACAAGGACCUGAAAGGGAAGUGCAAACAAAAUAAAAUGUGCAGUAACAAUUAAAAGAAAUUUCUUAAUUCAUCCCACUUUAUAGAAAUUUCUCAAAAAAAAAAAAAAAACAAUUAAAAGAAUUUAAAGACUCGAUCUAGAUAGCCAAUGAUCCUCUUUAAUCAAGAUUAUUAACAAUGUGUGUGUGCACGUGCGUGUGUGUGUGUGUGUGUUAAUGGCACUCUUAAUUUGAAACUAACAGACCUCUAAAAGAUACAUUUGAUUUGAAUCUUUCUUUUUUAAAACAUCCCAUCAAAAGAGAGCUUAUUAUCAGCUAAACAAAGCGUAGAGGGAUUAAUACUUUAGAAUGAGAAUGUGUUAUCUCUCUCUCUCUCUCUCUCUCUCUUCUAUUAUGCUUCCUUUAUUUUGAUGGUUCCAAGUCAAUUAAUUGAUGGCCCAUAACUUUCACAUAAAUAAUAAUAAUCGUUGGCCCAUUAUCUAAUUAGAAUAUAACGACAGAUUGAAAGGAAAAGAUGGAGAAUUUUUUUAGUGCGGUUAGUUCAAUCUGAUAGUUAAAAAAAGGAUCUUCACUACCAUUAAACUCAUUCUAGAUGCUUUACCUUUUGAAGUUAAUAAUACAUAAUCAUUUAAUCAUAGGAGAAUUUGACGCGAAAAAAUAACUCAAACUUGUCUAAAUUAUUAGCAGUUAAACUCUAUUUUUUUUUAAAAAAAAGAGAACAAAUUUUCAUGCUAUUUUAAUUAGUCAUUUGACUACAAAAAUGUUGGAACCAUUUAAUCCAAUACAAUUAGUCUCUUAUUCUUAACACCUUUGAUAUGUGGGAACAACUAGGGCAUGGCUAGUGAACCAAUCAACAAUAUAGAAAGAGGCCUUUGUCAGAGGCUUCGGCUGUCUUAUCCCUGUAGCCUAGUUUAUCUGUUCAAUGAAUAAAGUGGGUAGCAUGCUAUCUUUUUUCAAAAAAAAAUAAUAAUAUAGAAAGAGAAAUCGAAGCUCAAAUACCAUGCUAAAGAGGACGAUUUGAAUCAAAUGAGAAAGUAGAGCUAAUCUAUAGCGACGCUCUUUGAAUGUUCAUAUGGGUAGACCAAUUAUUGUCCCUAUUCAAUACAAAACUAAACUAUUAUUCUGACCAUAUAUGCUCGAUUGAUACAUACUUAAUCUCACGCGGUGUAUCUUUAGCUCAAUCUCAAACGAGACGGUGACUACAUAUAUAAGAUAAUUAUAUCCCAGUCGUGGUUUACAACUUGGAAAAAUUCAUAACAAUUGUGCACAUGAUAUUUUUUUUUUCUUUGAGAGAAAGAUAGCAUGUUACCCGCUUCAUUCAAUAAAAAAAUAAAUUAAGCUACGUGAGUGAGACGGUAAGGAUCUCGACGUGUGGCGAAAAAAAAUAAAUAGAGUAAAAAUUAAUAGAUCAGUCAGUCCACUGCAUUAAGAUUCUUCCACAAGUUCGUCAACUGCUUAAUUUUGUAGAUAUCGAUUGUUGGGCCACAUGAUAUUAUUUGUAUUUUUUAUUAUUAUUAUUUAUUGCGGCCUCAAGAAGGCUUCAAUGCACACAUGAACCGGCGUUGACUUUGCCACCCAUUUUGCCACCCAUUCCACACACACCAAAUUGGACCGCGUCAAGUCCACCUAAUUCUUUGGCCUCCGUUUGGUUGGGUUUAAUGAGUGGAAUAACCCCUUAACUCCUAUUUUAUUUUCAAAUACUUUUAAAAAUAGGUAGGGUUAGAUAAUUCCAUCUCAAAUGGGUUAUUCCAGAUUAGCUAACCUCACCUAACCCUAUCAAACCCCAACCAAACACUAUUUUCUAUUCAUAAUAACCCACUAUCCUUCUUAUCCCACCUACUCCUACCAAACACUAUUUUUUACUAUCCUGCACUAACUCUAAUCUCCAACCAAACACAAAAAUACUCUAACCCUAUCUUAACCCUAAACUUAAUUCUAUCCCUGGAAUAACUAGUUUUUCUUUAACCCCGAACCAAACGAUAGCUUGGUGUUUAGACGAGAGGUAGCAUUCUCGAAUUUUGCUACAGUGCACUCAGUUAAUUUAUGCAAACUUUUCUCAGUGAAAUUUUAACGUAAAAGAUAAGAAGCUUUGGAGCUUCUAUUUAUCAUUUAAGCAUUAAAACUUCUACUCAUCAAUCUUAGUAAAAGUUACUAAAAAGUAUUAGAUAAAAAUUAUCUGAAAUUUUUCUAUACAUUCAGCAACGACACUACCACAUAGGCUACAUGACUUGUCAGAUUGAACGUUUAAUAAAUUAUAAAUUUAGUAUUUUUGUUUGGAUGGAAAGUAAAAAAUAAUAUUUUAAAUCAUAAUACAAAAAUUCUAAUAUAGUAUAUCUGAAGUUGUUAAAGGAAGAGCAAGAAAUAUUUUAGCGCAAUUUUUUUUAAUAAUUUUUUCUGCUAUAGUAUUUCAUCAAAUAAUAUUGUAUUCUCCAGCAAAAUCAAAUAGAUAUCGAAGAAAUUACAAGUGAGAUAAAAAGUUAAUACUUUAUAACUUAGAAUGCUAAUCUCAAUAAAUCUUUUUCAUUCAACAUGAUAAGAACCAAGAAAAAAGAAGAGAAGAAAAAAUCAAACAGCUACAAAGAAUGAAUAAUUCUCUGUACAGCAACAAAUAAGAGCCAGAUCUCUGUAUCUAUAUAUGAUCUAACAUUCUAACCUUCCUUUUUUUUGUGAAAAAAAGAAAAAGAAAAAGAAAAGGAAUAAAACAAAUCAACUACUACUCAAAGGCCAAGGAUUAGAUGGAGGGAAAGGGAAAUUCUGUGUCUCUGUGUGUGUGUGUGUGUGUGUGAGAGAGAGAGAGAGAGAGAGAGAGAGAGAUCUAAGCGGGGAUAAGGAGGCGGGGUUUUUUGAAAGCGAGGGGGCUCUGCACCUCCUCCUCCUCCGCCGCCGCGGCCCAUCGCCGCGCGGCGUCGAAUCCGGCGAACUCCGCCGCGGCGGGGAUGUUGAGGUCGAACCCCCGGUGGGUGGUGCUGGCCCCGCCGCCGACGACACCCUCGUAGUGUCGCCUCUUGUGGCCCCCGAGGGCCUGCCCCGUCGGGAACUCCUUCAGGCAGAUCGAGCACCGGUGAACCUUCCCCCCUCCUCCUCCUCCUCCGGCGGAUCCCGAGGCCUCCGCCGCCGAUCCGGCGGACGACGAGGCCCGAUCGUCCGAUCCGACCGGGCGCCGGUGGCUCGUCUUGUGCCCGCCCAGCGCCUGGUACGACCCGAACGAUUUCCCGCACACGGAGCACCUGUACUCCGCCGGCGCCUGCGCCGCCGCGGCGAAGGGGGGAGGUGGCGGAGGGGCCCCGAUCGGUCGCGGGCGAGCAUGAGGAGGCAGAGGGCGAGGUACUCCUCCUCGGUGGGCGCGUAGUCGGGGGAGCGGUGCCGCUUCGACCGCUUCCCCUUCGCCCACCCCUCCACGCUGAGCACGAGCUCCUCGUCCCCGCUCGCCGGGAUCGACGCCUCCAGAGCGUCCACCGCCAUCGGGAUCAGAUCGAUGACGACGAAGAGUAAAUUAAAAAGCUCGAGAGAUCAAAAGAGAGAGGGAGAGAGAGAGAGGAGGGAGGUGGAAUUAAUUAGAAGAGCUAUGUAGCGGUGUGGAGUGGGUAGUGAGGAAGAGUGAGGAGGCGGUGGGGGGUUUUAUACAGGGGAGGGAGAGAGAGAGAUCGGGUCAGGGUUAGCUUGUGUGAGGAGGAGAAAGAGCAGUAACAGCGGUGGUGGGGUUUAGUAGUUGAGGCGGCGUCGUGGGUCAACGUGGACGUGGGAUGGGAAAGGGGAGUGAAGUAGCGAGGAAGGGGGAGAGAGGUGUAGCAAGUUGGGGAACUGCAACGACUUCGUCUCUCUCUCUCUCUCUCUCUCUCUCUCUCCCCCUCGCUCUCUCGUCCGGGUCAAUCCAAUAGGAAAUGGAGAAAUUAUUCCCUGCUCCGUGUGUAUACAUACGCAUAUCUCAAUAUCUCAUACACCACUUCUCUAUUAAAUGCAUUUGAUGAUGAUAGAUUCCAAAUAUCAAAAUAUUUACUAUGUACACGCCACGAAUUAUGAUUCUUUAUAUGUUUUAAAUUGGGUUUGAUUUCGAUUUUAAAAUUUUUCAGCAUAUAUGUACAUAAAAUAUUAAUAAUAGUAAUAAUGCACAGGGUGGACCUAGUGUUGAUCUUAAGUGCGAGGGAUAGGGAUGAGGACGUGGGAUGACGUAAGGGUGAUCGAAGAGCAUUCACAAAUCACAGGUGGCCAAAGAGCGAGUGGCAGGGCGGCGGCGUGCCAUAACUAAUUCGAGGGCAAUUUCGUAAAUUUUACCGCUCCUUUUAAUUUUGGGAUUUGUUCCGCGUGGUAGCGUGAGCCGCGCUCUUCGGUUGGUGGACUUUCCAGUUUCCACAGCGGCAGCCACAGCUACUUCUGAGGAAGCAUCCGAAAGGUGGGCACAGGCACAGCCUACUUGCAUUUGUAUUUUGUACCACGUGUUUCUUAUUUUGCUUAGUAGUCUUUCCAGUUUUCUAUUUUGUUUGGCUCAUAAUAGUUUGGCAGAUGGGCACUUGUUCGAGCAUCAUUUAAUUGGAUGAUAAGAUGAUUGAUUGGGUAAAAAUAAAAUACUUUUAAAAUUUAUCUGAUUGAUUGAUCUGUCAGUCUGCUGGUAGAUCAUCUAAAACGCAAGAAAUUAUAUUAUCUUUCGAAAGGCUAAUACCGAUCCACUGUUGGAAUUGGAUACGAUUAAGUGGUUAGUGACCCGGUGAAAGAAAUCUCUCUUGCCCAAAUGAAUGUUUUCGUAAUGUUUUUUUUUUUUUUUUCGACAAAGACAUACUUUCUCUUCUUUUUAUGAAUAAAACAGAUAGUAUGCUAUCAUUUUUAUCAAAAAAAAAUAUGUUGUUAUAGUAGCAGAAUUUUAUAUGGUAACAAAGUAUAAAUUUUAUUUUAACUAUCAUCUAUUUUGAUUUGACUAUCUAAUUUUUUAAAAUUUUAAUUUUACUAUUUAGCUGCUUAAUUUAUUUAAUUUGAACCAGUUAAUAACUCUUAUUUUUAAAAUUUAAAUGCAUUGUUUAUCUUUUUGAAAUCAAUAAGUAUAUUUUAUGUACAAGUUCAUUAAAAUGAGUAAUUGGCUUAAAUUUUAAUUGGAAUAGUCAUCAAAUAAAUUAAGUCAAGUAAAUUGAAAGAUUUGAGACUAAAAUCAAAAUAUUAAAAGAUUGGAUAGCGGAAUUAAAAUGGUUGAUAGUUUUAUAAGUUUAAUAUAUUUUUACUUUUCUAUAUUAAUAACUUCUAUGUGAAUCAUUUUUUAUUUUUCCAUAUUGGAACGUUACAAACUUUCUGAAAAUAGUAUUUGGUAUGUUUAAGGCGACUUAAGCUUUGAUUGGAAUUGGGGACAAAAAGAAAUUACAAUAAAAAAAUAUUAUGUUUCCUUUUUCGCGCAAUGCGAUGGUUGCCUAUAAUGCAAUAAUAAUGAAGAAACAUAGAGAGAGAUGCAUUUUUAUUCCAACUAUGUUUUAUACAUAGUAAUGUCAACUCUUAUCAGGGGCAACUACGGCUACGGAUCCAAGAGUUAGCUUAAAUUGCUAAUCCGACGGUGGAAUAGACAAUACUUCUCUCUCCUCUUCGUUGGGUUGUACGUGCUAAUUAUAAUUUCAAAACUCGUACUACUAAAAAAAAAAUCAAUUUAUUUAUUAAUAUACAUAUACACAGCAUCAUCAUAUUUUGAUUAAACUGAUCAUCUCCCACAUAAAUAGCAAAAAAUUUGAUGAUUAGUAUUCAAUAUUUUAAAUUCAAUUUAAAUUUUUAAUUAAAUUUAUUUUUUUAAAAAAUAUAUAUAAAGUAGAUAACAUACAAUCUUUUUCUCUUAAAAAAAAAAAAAAGAAAUCUCUCACCGGGUUGAACGUGAUUCGAUACAAUCAAACCUCUCCAACUAAACCAAUAGUCUCGUGUGUGCUUAUCAUCAGUUGCAAUAGCAUACUAAGCUUGUAAGCUGUGCAUCUCUUCUCUGUUCCUUCCCGAGUCCCGCUACCGCAAUUUCCGAUUCUUUUCCCUUCAGUUUCUCAAAUCGCGUCAUUGAUCCACGAUUUCCAGGUAAUUUCGAUCCUCUUUCGAAAACCCUAGAGCUCGCUUGAUUCUCUUUUACCUUUUUACUUUUUUUUUUGAAAUUUUUGGUUUCUUCAAAGCUUGUGCGUCGAAUUGGGUAGGGUUUAGGUGCUCCAGUACAUCACCCCGUUGCUUUUUGAUCCCUAGUGUCCAUUUAAUCAAGGGGAUCGAGUUGUUCGUAGGUGUGAACCGAUCCAAUUUCUCAUUUCUAAGUUCCUUCUCUUUUGCGGCAUAAUUUUCGAAGUGCUGUAGAGUUACCCUUGAGCAUUAGUGGAAAUUGAGAAAAUUUUUAUCAGAUUGAGCAGUUGUGGUAACAAAGUGACCAAAUCGCUGUAUCGGGACAGUGGAGGGACUAACCCUUUAUCUAUUUAUUUAUUUUUUCCAAACUUAUUGCUUGUCUUUAGAUCUUACACACUGUACAAAUUUGCUGAUAUAUCUAGCUUAUAUCGGCAACACACUGCGUACCGAGUCGUUUUAGUUUUAUUAUUUGUAGGUAAGAAUGCUGAAUGUAGUGUUGUGAUGAACUGAACCCCAUAUUCUACGAUGAUAGUUUGAUCAGAAAAUUCAAACUCGCUGUUCUGACAGGCUUGUAAAUGCUCAAGAAUUGAACUUUAAUGUCAUGUGAAUAAUAUGGCGGUAAUCACCCAAUUUUCUGCACAAUUUAGUUUGGUCGCUAUCAGAUUACUGGUACCGGCAUUAUUUAUCUUCUUUAUUAUACAUGUAACAUACAAGAUGAAGAGGGCAGAAAUUGUUGGACGUAUGAUAGUUGCUGUUAGUGCAAGGCUAUGUGUAAGAAGUAGCAUGAUCAGAUUUCUUUGUAUAGCAUAAGCGAACGCUAACUGAGAAAUAUGCAGAGAAGCACCGAAAAAAGUUGAACUGAACACAUUCAUAAUUCAUCUGUGUAGGCAUUGAAGAAUAAGUGUAUGCCUACUCUAUUGUGCUAAUUGGUGAUUUUCUUUUAGAGAAUAUGCUAAUCAUAAACCUAUAAGCUUGCCGUGGCUUUUAAUUGUGACGUUUGAUUGUUGUUAAGUUCCUUUCCAUUCUCUUUUCAAGGCCAGGCCACUUAUGCAUCUAGCGUUAAGAACAAAUUGCCGCCGUUGCAUAUUUAUUUUUGAUUGCUGUGUUCCUAUUUAAUUGUUCUAUGAUGCAAAGACUCUUAAACUACCUCGAAAGUAUAUGGUGUGCAGAUUUUCCAAUUAAAUUUGUUGUUUAUUUAGGGAUCGUAUGCAACACAGUUUUUAACAUAUUUUAGAGAAUUGGUAGAAUUGAUUUCCACCAACUACAUGGAUUUUGUUUCACUAGAAUCUCAAGUGUAUUUCAUAGUUUAACUUCUAUUGACAUGAUUUGAUAGUAAACGAGUGGUUUUGACAUCUACUACAAACAAAGGAAUUUUAGAAUUGGAACAGAGAGAAUACUGACAAGAAACACAGGUUCUCAUGUGCUAGACUGAUUGACUUCGGUUAGAUCAGUCUGUGCAAAAACAGAGUCUAGAGUCAAGGACUUUCGUCCAAGUGCUGCUGCAGUGAGUGCUUAGUGCUGCUGUAAAAACCAUUUGUGAUCUCAUUAUGUAGAUUUUUUCUGGUUGAGUGAAGUUGGGUGUGCUCUACUUUGGAUUUACUUCUAACCAUCUUUGAAUUGUAUGAAGUAUUAGUAGAUAUUCAGGCAAGCAAUUGAGAAAUUAUUGAGGACUUGCUUUAUCUGAUUUCAUAGUAACAAAUAUCAUAGGUAUUAAGGAUGUGACUGGAAUGGGUUUUGUUGGACUUCGGAAAAACUGAACUAGAACCGUUCAACUGAGACUGAAAACCCAAAAUCAAAAUCAAAAUCAGUCAGUUUUGAAAACCCAAAACCAUAACUGAAGCUGUGAAAAAAACCAAAAACCCGAAAUCAUAACCGAAUGGCUUUCUCUUUACAACUUUUCCAAUUAAGCAAAUCUACAUCAGGCAAAAAUCAUAUUGUUGAUAUAUUAAAACUAAAUUAAAGGUGUCAGCAUAACUAUAUUGAUCUAGAGCCAUUAAGCCAAGACCUAACUGCUUAAGAGGGUGUAUAAAUCUUGUUCUACAAGCCAUUAGAUUGAGAGGGUGUUUCUGUGUAUGUAUAUCUAUUCUGGUUUUUCGUGGAUAAGGAUUUCAGAUUUGGGUUUAAGUUGAGGAUUUGCAUAAAAACCAUAAGUGUAUCCGCGCUAACUCAAUUGUGAAUUUCUUCCUGCAUUACCAAAACAUCCACAUUUAGUUUGCUUAUGCCUCUUUCAAGUUCAGUUUCAGAUACAAUUUUGGGUAUGCAUAACCAUGGGGAUCCCUAAUAAAUGUUGCUGAGCUUCUUCUGGACAAUUGCUCUUACAAACAAGCAAAAUUCAUCAUCUUAUUGGCCCACCUAUAUAUCUCUCUGCAUCUACCUUUUUCUCUCGACAACAGUUCUUACUUCUAAUGUUUUAAAGGUUCCCUUUUGUCUGAACCAGAUAAUCUUUUGAUGCAUCCAGAUCCCCAUUUUGUCGCUAGACAUUCAUGAAUGAAAAGUAUUGUUUUGUACAUCCCUUUUCAGGGGACUGAAGCAGCAUUGGCAUCACACUGGCCGGAAUGAAGUUCCAUGAAAUUGAUGAAAACAUAGAUUACACGGCAAAAACCAAAUUCGUAGUUUCACCUUAACAAUAUCACAUGUCAGCCAAUAUAUAUACUGAUCUUUUGUUUUUUAUAUCUUGAUUUUUCAUUUAAUAGGUUUGCCCCGCCUUGCGUUCAGAUUGGAUGCUGGCAAAUGAAACAAAUCAAUUUGAGAGCAGAAUAACUAAGCUUGUUGUACUGAGGAAUUCUACAUUGUGCCUACAAAUUUUAGGAGAUAAUAUCUUUUUCAACAAGGAGAAGCAUAUAGGUUAUAUCAAAUCUAUAGAUGCUGCUGCUGUGAGUAGCAUCACUAACCUUAUAGCUUAUAUCUGUUGGUUCUAAACUCUAGUCAGCACAUCCCAGCCACCUGUUUUUUGGUCAGAUUGUUAAGUUUAAACCUCAUAAAACAUCUUCCUAACCUGAGUUUUUGCACUAAAAAUGUGCGGCUGACUCAUUUUUAACAAUGGCCUCAUUCUUAAGUUUCAAGUAAUAAUUAUCAACAUUUGCUGUACAACAUUCGGUUGAGGACCACAUUUUUUUCUUUUUAGCUAUAUAUUAAAGACUAAAAAAAGAAAACAGGUAGGUUAGUGGCCUUCCUGGUUCUAAUUUUAUGUGCUUGUGAUUGUGACAUUAAUUCCUACUUAUUUAUGAUUGUGAAUGGGAAAUGACUUGUUUAAAGAAGAAUGCGGCUUACCAGCUUGCAAGUAAUUAACAAUAGUUUUCGACUCUUUUCCUCCUCAUGAAGGGCCCAUAUAAGAUACUUUCACAAUGUCAUAUAUCAAUUUGUUUGUUUACAGAAAAGAAAUUAUCCUUGUUAUUUAGUUUUUUUUUUCUUUUUGAGGGAAACAAUAUCCUUAUUAUUUAUUACGUAUUGGCUUUUGAAUUGCAGCUCCUGUUUUGCGUGUUAGUCUUCUCUGACUUCUUUUUAGGUUACUAGAAAUGGAAAUUAUGGAUCUAGUCCCGUCCAACACAUUCAUUUAUUUCAAGGAGAAAAAUUAUGCAUCAGGAGACACAUUUUUAUUGAUUUAAUGAACUCUAUCAUAAUCCUAUUGAGGUCAACAGGGGAAAAUUCUGCAUUCUUUAGUUCUCUAUAUAUUAGAUGCAAUCUUUACUACUAAUGCAAGCUGUUUUAUAUCUUCUUUUUUUUUUUGUUCAGAUUAAUCUUUGUAUCUUUUUGGAUCACAACGUUAGUAUGAUUUCCAUGAUUAAUCACAUAGAUGUUUAAUAGUGUUUGAACAUGUGAUACUUUUAAGUUCCAUAUCAUGUCUUUUAUAUAGGCACAAGAUUGCUGGAUCAGUGUACAUUGCACAAUUAUUAGUUGUGUGAAAAUCUAUUGUUUUGCUGCUACACUUGCUAAGAGAAAUAAUUUGGUUCAGAUCUAUGAGUGCAAUGUUAAGUUUAUUGAGAAAUCUAGCAUCACGUAUGUAGUUGAUAGUUGAUGAGGGAAACGACCUAAUUUUUGUUUGGAUCAAUAAUGUCUUUUAUGUUGAAUAACCCAACGAAACUAACAAAUGCACCCCACUUAUAUGCCCUUCAAACUCCCAGGCUCUUAUCUUUUUUUUAUUUUUUUAAUUAAUUCCAGGCUUUUGCUUUUAUGCCCCUGCAAAAUCAGCUAUCAACAUGUAUGCUAUAUGAUAUUUUAGUUGCUCACAAAAGUACUCUUUAUGUAACUCAUACAGUUUAUAGUUGGUUGUGAAUCGUGAAGUGCCAUUUUUGCACGAAAUGAAGUAUAUGCAUGAAACUGAGUUUUUAUAUAUGAACAUUUAUAUCUUUUAGGGGUAUUUAAUGUGAAGAGAUUAAGUGGUGGGCAUAUGUUUUGUAAAUAUACUACUACUAUAUAUUAUUUAAAUUUUUCCUAGUUGGCUGGAAGCAGACCAUUGGAAAGUUUGGAUGGUAAACAAGUUUACAUGUUAUCUGUUAGGAUUUGGUUAAAUUUGUAAUUGAAUCCUAAUUGGAUUAAGAUUAAUAUUUAAAUCUGUUGGAGAUAAAUUAAGAUUUAAAUAUUAAUUAGAGUAGAAGUCUAAUUGGAUUAGGAUUUGGGUAGCUUUUGAUAUAAGUUAUAAAUAUAUCAUAAGUGCUAUUAUCGUGGUGGUGGUGGUACAGAUUAGCCACACCCAUAUAGCAUGGCGAAGGUGAUCAUGAUUUUGAAUGCACCUAAUGCAUGGGUGCAAGAGGACGUGAAUGGCUUUUGUAGCCAUGGGUCAUUGGUAUAUCUUGUGCUCGGGUGCACAGGAUGAGAGAGAUGUCUUUUGAGACUAUAGAAGACAAGAGAAGGGUAGGAGAGAUUCAAAACGAGGGCUCAGGAUUGUAGCUAUUCUGUUAUAGAAGAGGAAUCGGAUGUAAUCUUCUCUUAUUUAAUGAAUCUUAUUUUACCUGCAUAUUUUUUAUUUUCAUUGUUUUCUCUCUUUUAUAAUUGUAUCAGUUUCUGCUGAGGAAACGAGUUUAUGGUAAAAACCUGAUUCGACGCUUCCGUUGUGAAAUUCCAACAAUCGGUACCGGAUCAACAACAAUCAGUAUCGGAGCAAGUUGCGGAUUCUCGAAAUCCGGUAUCGGGACGAGUACCGGAUUCCCAACGUUAUCAACUGUACAUAUUCAAUAUUUGGUCAUUCUUUUUGCAAAUUUAAUAGUAUAUAGACCUUUAACAAGUUGCAGCAUAUGUUCAGCAAAUGUUGUGCCAAAUUAAAUGAAUGUGAGCUAUGACUUUUAUUGUAGUCUUUAUAUGAUACUUCUCUAGAAAUGUCUAGAAAAUGAUAAAUCAUUUAUAGAGGAAGAUAUAUUAUGUAUACGGCGAGAUUACACAUUGCCGACGAUAUUUUUAGAAAGGCACAUUUUAUUUUAGAACCAUUGCUGUUGAGUUUGAUAUAUUUGCAAAUUGGAUUUAUCAAGUUGCAAAAAAAAUUUGGUUGACCUUCGAAAAAAGUUCUUCCUGUUAAGUUUUUAGUUAUUAAGCAAAUAGUGUAUUAUUUUUGUUUGUUUUUUCUUUUUAGCUGACUUUUGUGAAUUUGAGAUCUAUAAAUUGUUAUUUUAGGGCUUCAAUAAAUGAAAGUUAGUCCAACUUGUAUCAAAUAAGAUAGAUAAUCAGGUGUUCACCAAUGCAUCAAUUUAAUUGAGACAAAUAUUAUUCAGGAACUAGUGGGCUUAUUUUUCUUCAUUUGAGCUGAUGAAAAAGAUUUGCCUUUUGCUAUUCAUUAAAUUGCUGUUUUAUGAUAUUAUUAACUCCAGGAAUUUCUUCUUUUUGUUUUUUAGUAAUACUCAAGUGAAGUUAUGGUGAAAAUACAGUUGCAAUUUAAUAACCAUUAUAAUAAUUAUAUGAAAUGUAUAAAAACUAUUACUUAAAAUAGAAAAAUACAAAAGUACAACUUGGAAGUUUGGUAUUGUAGCAUGCUUGGCCCUUGUUCCUACACACGGGUGCACAUUACAGAUUAAAGGUGAAUUUCAUUCAUUGUUUCUUACAUCAUAAUUCAAUUGCACUUUGAUCAUUCCAGCUAUAAUUCAAUGAGCUUAAGAACUCUAAAAAAACUUUGAUCCGCAAAGCUGUUCUUUGGUUGGCAUUUUAUGGAAAACCUAUCAGUGCAUCUUAAUUUUUUUCAUUAAAAAAAAGUUGUAGCUAGUGGGACAUUCCCAAGUAUCCUUCCUAUAGGGCAAGAAAAGGAAUUUGAUGUACCACAACAUUUUUUUAAAAAUUGCAUUAAGUUUUUGCUACACUAAUUAUUUUAUGAAUUUCAAAGAGAAGUGGAAACCCUAAAAAUAUUAUUCUUUUUGGGAGGUCAUUGUUUUGGGAGGCUCCAAGGGGCAACACUAUCUAGGCCGGCUGGCCUUCCCCUAUUUUGUGCUUAUUUGUGAUACUUGUGAUGAAUUAAUUAAACUACCAAUAUAUACAGUAUUUGUGGUACAUGUGAUGAAUUAAACCACCAAUAUACAAUUUUUAGGCAUGAUUAAGAAUUUCAAUCUAUACUUUCUUUUAAGAUUCUGCAUCAUUUAUAAAAGUAUAUAUGAAGUGCAUUUCAUUAUACUGGUUGGCUUGGUUGAAGCUUGAUCUAUAAAAACGGUAAUUAACAACUGAAAUAUGUCACUGACUGUCCCUAGAGCAAGUGGCAAAAGGUUUGGUGGUUGGUACUCUAGAUCCCAAGUUCGAAUCCUAGUUGAUUCACAUUUCCAGCUAAGUUUAUUUUUAAAUGAAAUAAACGAAGCGGGUAGCGUGCUACCUAUCUCUCUAAAAAAAAACAAACAACUGAAAUAUGUCAAACCUUUUUGGGCAUUAAUACAAUUGCAGAUUAUAAUCUGAACUUUAAUAAAAGGCUAUCCAAGACUGUAUAAAUUAUUCUUUUGUUUCAACCCAAAAUCUACAGCUCUUUCUUCUUCUUCUUUUUCGUGACCGCCUCAAGCUAUUUCUCAAUGGCAGAGCAGCCGUUAUAAAAGGCAGAUGAAAUAAACACUAAACAUACUCUUAUCAUUUCAUUAAUGUACUUUUGUUACAUUCUAAAACUUAAGACAGUUUAUUAUAUCACUGUACUGUACAAGAAACUUAGUAAUGUUAUUAUGUUUGUUACAACAAUUCAAGCUACUUCAGAUCUCUAAUGACUCCAACAUGAAAACAUUUGAGACCUACUGAGGCUCUAAGCACAAUAUUAGGCAACAAUAUAUAACAACUGUGUGUAAAUGAAUAAACUCGAUCCUCCAUGAAUGGGAAUAAUAAAGCAGCACAAUCUGUGGAUAGCUGUCUUAUUCCCUCUUUAAUACUUAAGAAUAAUAAUUAUACUUAAAAAUAAUAAUUAUUCUUACUCUUUGCCACGAUCACACCAACCCCAUAUUUCCUUAUUCCUACCAACUUAUUUCUUUAUAUUAACACUUUAUCCAAUCUCCUCUCAAGUACUCAUACCGUUUUACUUAAUGAUCACCAAAAUCACGCAUGGACUUUGUUGUCCCUCUAUGAUUUCAUCCUUUUUCUUUAAAAGUUGCACUUAUUCGAGUCACGCUAAUCAUGAGCUGAUCCCAUAUUUUUAUUCAAAUCAUUAACCAUACCCUUCGAAUUAAUUACCGAGAUCCCGAACUUGUUCUAUGUCAUUGCUUUUAUUCAUUUCUUUUUGUGAGUUGUCUCGCCAAUUUGUGUCAACUAGCAAUAUUUAUUAAUGAUGGUGAAUAAAAUUAAGUACUAAAAAAAUGUGAUCAUGCUAGAACUUGCAAGUGCUUGUUAGGGAAUUAAUUAAGUUAACUUCCAUGUUGCAAACAUUAAUCUACCAAGUUUGUCAUAUAAAUACUCAUCAAUUGCUUAAGCUAAUGCUUCAUCCACCUAUACUCGAAAGACACUCUUAACAUAGAACAAGUUCUCCCCGCUUCAAUAUCCGAGGCAAUGUCGCGGGAAGAGAUGGAGCUUACAGCGAAUUGGAGCUCAUACAACGGGUCGUCGACCCCCGCAGAAGAGUCGGAAAUUGUGGCGCAGUUCAUUAGCACUUACCCAUUUCAAAAUGAGCAAGAUCAUAGAGACUUGGGCUUUGGAGCUCCACCCAUGUAUUGGCCUGAUCAUCACAAUGCAUCAAACUCAUACUAUUGUAAUGGCAAUGCUAACCCUAAUUUGCACUACUGGUCUCAAGGGGAUAGUAAUAGUAGUAGUGUUAGUACAAGCACUGGCACUUGUUGUUACUUUGUGCCGCAUUCUGAUUACGAAAGCUAUUAUGUCAAUACAAACUCAUCCUCGCCGAUGAUUUUCAACUUGGUCGAAGAGCAACGAAAGAAUCGGUCCCUUCAAGUAGUCCCGAACCCUAGUUUAAGAGAACAAACUGGCGUGAACGCGGAAACAAGUAGCGAUGAUCAUGGAGACUCUAGCAUGAAUAUUGGCCUUUCGGAUCAGAUAACACAUCCCAAGAGAAAGUUCCUUAGUAAUAGAAAUGACAAGGUUGUGGAUCAAAGCAAGUUUGAGAACCCAAUUGAAAGCACCAAAAAGAAGUCCAAGGCAUCAACUAAAGUAAGUGAUUUAUAAUUUUUAUCCCCCACUCAAAUGUGCUUUUGAAUCACUAUCUUGCAUGUAAUGACCCUAACUGGUUUUUUUAUUACUAUCCAGGUGCAAAAGUGUGCGAAGAAGAUGCAAUCAAAGAGGGCGCAAAAGAAUGUGAAAAGUGGUGAUGAGGAAGAGUGCAAUGCCGCCGUGAACGGGCAGAUCAGCUCGAGCUGUUACAGCUCCGAUAACGAAUCGAUUAAUUCACAAGAAAUGAAUGGAGGGGGGAGUGCGAGUUCUAGUUCAAAAGGGUCUCCUGCUCUCAAUCUGAAUGCGAAAACUCGAGCAGGUCGCGGCUCAGCAACAGACCCCCAAAGCCUCUAUGCCAGGGUACUGUACAUUUAUAAACCAGAAUAAUGUGCAUAUAUUGUUGUUAUAUGCUUAGUUUACAUAUAGGAGCAAGAUUAAUCAUGUUCUCAUUUUCUUCUUCUUCUUUUUUUCUUUUUCUUUUUUUUUUUUUAACAGAAAAGAAGGGAAAGGAUCAAUGAGAGGCUGAGGAUACUGCAGAAUCUUGUUCCAAAUGGAACAAAAGUAAGUUUUCAGACGAAGAUCUCUGCGUCUAAUUAUCCACUACAUUACAUAGUUUAAAGAUGAAAUCUAAAUAGAUGGUGUUUUCUUAUAGGUGGACAUUAGCACUAUGCUUGAAGAAGCAGUCCAAUAUGUAAAGUUCUUGCAGCUUCAGAUUAAGGUAAAACUCCGAUUCGAAAUUCUUUGCAUAACCAAGUAGGUGCAACAUGGUUCAACGAUUAAGACUAUUUCUAGGUUAUUUUCUAUCGGAUAGAUUUUAUAUGUUACACAAUAUACAAUCCUAAACCUCCAUAAUUUUACGAGACUGUGGAUGCAAUUUUCCAUUUCUAUAUGGAUUAAAUCACCACUGUUUUCUCUUAAAUUAUCUCUUAUGUCAGUACAUAUAACAGUUCAUCCUCGUACAUUAUUUAGUGGAUUGAAUCACUGUUAUUAUUUUUUAAAUUAUAUCUUCUAUCAAUAUACACGUGGCAGUUCAUCUGAUUUGCACCAUACACGUGAGGCAGAGUGUUCAAAAAUAUUUGCGUUAUUUACUAUCAUAUUUGUCUUUUAAGUAAUAUGAAGCACAACAUUAGAAUUGUAUGAUAAGUAAUUAAUCAAUAAUUGUGUCAUCAAAUUUUCCAGCUGCUGAGCUCGGACGAACUAUGGAUGUACGCCCCAAUUGCCUACAAUGGGAUUAAUAUUGGCCUUGAUCUAAAGAUCUCUCCACCUCAGUGAAAAACACAAGUUGAUAUUAACCAUGCAUGAUCAAAGAGAGAGAGCAUGCAUGGAGAUAUGCUUCUGAGAUUUAUACAUUUCUCCUUUUUUUCUUCGUUUUCUCAGAAAGACUAUACAUUAUUCUUCAAGGAUUUACUACUAUAUAUCUAGUAUUUCGUAGUAUUUUUUAUACGUAUCGAGUAAUUCAGAGCCCUUUCAUUUACCAUUUUCAGAAAGGAGUUGCUAGAGGAAAAAAUUUACACACCAAAAAUCCCUUUUAGAUUGUAUAAGAGGAUGGUUCCAAAUUUUUGGAAACAAGAGAGAGAGAGAGAGGAAUUAAUUAAUGAGGAUAUUUACAUGUAGUAAUUACUUUUUAUUCAAUUUUCAAGACAAUGUAAUACUUUCGAUUAUGCAAUUCUCUGUUGGGGAGUUUAUCAUGACUCGUAGACCCACGUUAAAUUUGGUGCUUUGCAUUUUUAAAAUUUUUGUCAAAGUUUUUAUCCAUGACUUCUCUGCAACAUUAUUUUUUUGAGAAAAAAAUAACAUAUUAUUCACUUCGUUCAUUUUUUUUAAAACUGAAAUUAGCUGAAAGUGUAAAACAACUAGCUUUUAAACCACUAAGUCUUUCGCAAUUUGCGCUAGGGACAAUAUUAUUAAUUAUGCUCCUACCACAGAAUAAUUGUAUCCUCUUUAUGUAAAUUAAAACAUCAAUAGUACUAAAUGGAAAAAAAGGGGGUGAUUCUGCUGUAAAUUAUUAAUCACGAGUUAAGCAAAUGGCUUAUGUGUCCAUUGCAUUAAUUAAGCUAUAAUACGUGCAUAGAACAGAGAAUAAAAAAUAAUAAUACGUGAAUAAGAUACAUGUUACUCUUUCCAAUUUUUUGCUCCUUUCUUUUCUUUUUCAUUAAUUUUUUGCUUUAGUUUUCUCUCUUCAAUAAGACAAUAACACUUUUGAGCAUCUUCUACCACCCAUCCCCAGUAAAAAUUGAUUGGCUAAUGCAUGUGCUUUGCACAUUAGUCUGAGAUUGAUAUUACGACUUUUUUAAUUGAUAAUAUUAUAUAGAAUAUUGUAUGUUCUAUCUUUUUUCUAAUUUCUUUGAAAUAUAAAAUAUCUUCACGGUUGGUGUAUUAAUUAAUUUCUUUAUCAUGCAACUCUCAGCCACAUCUCCCAACUAUAUACCUUUUCCUUUUUUUUAAAGUGCAAUACAAUGUUCUCUCUCAAAAAAUUUAAAAAAAAGUGCAAUACAAUGAUCAAAUUAAGAAUUUGUUAAUAACUUUGGAUGCUAAUUUAUAAGUUUUAUAUACAUCUAAAACACACGCAAACACACGAAUAUAUAUAGAUAUAUAUACAGGCACACUGAUAUUUUUUUUUUUUCUGUAAAGUACAUUGACCAAAGUGUCUUUGACUUUUUUAUACACGGUUGGCCCCUUUUUACGAAUUGGGCCUAAUAAUAAUAUUUGUUAGCGUCAACGGCCUAAAAGUUUUUGAAUCAAGAAAAAAUUCCACUAUGUACGUAAUUGGAAGAAAUAUUUAAAGUUAAUUGAAUUUUUACAAAUUAAACAUGCAUUAAUGCUACUUAUUAGAUUAAUAAAAAAAGGGAAUUUAUUAGAAACGCUACAAAGCAAUUCACAUCUUACGUACGGAAGAAUUAAAUGUUCAUUUCAUAUGCUAAAAUUACAUUCAAACAACAGUAGACAAUAAAAAGUUACAUUAAAAAAUAAUAAUAAUAAUACCAAGAACAUACAAACAGGAAAUGAUCAUAUACUAAAUACUACGAUGCGAUCGACUGCAGUAGACAAAUAAAAGGAACAUACUAAACAGGAAAUUAAUGAUACUAGUUAAUUAAGGAACUCCUUUAUUUUACGUUUUCGCAAUUGCAUCUCUCUCUCUUUACUCUCCAAGGUCGAACGCAGAAACAUGAAAGCUAUCGGAUAGCCCCGUGCUAGUCUUAAAAGUGAUUUUUCCAAUCGUAGCGUCUUCGAUGAACACUUCCACAACGGUGAGCCACAGCAGAAGCUCCCUCACCUUCACCCCCAUCACCUUCUUCAGCUUGCCCUUCUCGACGAAGGCCGUCACCUCCGCGGCGUACGACACCACCUGCUUUAUCUUCUUGAACGUGUGCUCUCUCUUCUUCUUCUGAACUAACCAUACGAACCCGACGGCGCGGUUGUAUCCGAACUCCUCAAUGUCUUCCAAAGGGAAGAGUCCCUUCGGAAGGUUGAGCUCUUCGAGCAGUUCUAUAGACUUCUUCUUGCACAAAGCAUCGCCGCGGACGAUCUCGGCGCCCUCGCGGUAGCUCUCAAUGGUUUGAGAUGCCAUUGCUUUAUGGGUUUUUUUUUCUUUCGAUUUUGUACACAAGAGGAACAAGUAGUUAAAUUAAGGCUGUGGUGGGAGAGAAACGCAAGCACUAGGGGUAUUUAUAUAGAUAGCGUUAUAAUAUGAUUGUAGUGGAACGUAUAUAGUAAGGCAAAUGAUAAUUAAUUACCCGUUUAUUGGCGUGGUCAAAUAGUUUGGGCUAGCAUGUGGGGCCCACAUACCCUUAAAUGGUCAAAUUAGUGGAUCAACGGUCUAAAGUCAAAAAAACCGGUUGUUUUGUUUGUUUAGUUGCCGUUUAGAGCAUUAACGGGUGCAUGAGACUAGAAAUUAUUGCCUGCACCGGAUGCAUGGGCGCACCGCACUCUUUUGGCCGUUCAUCCAUUCUCAUCUCUCGAUUUCCGACUUUCAAUUGAAUACUUGGUUCAAAAAUCAAAACGAGUUGUAGCCGUCGGAUGGUGAAAAUAGAAGGAUAAGAUGGAACAAAUGAUGGAAUUUGAUGUAGUACACGGGACGCGCAAAUACAUGCACUGGAUGUGCUGCAGCAUCCUUAGAUCCAUUUAUCUUGCAUUUGAUUCUUUGAUCUUCACUGUCCAUUGAAUAUGAACUUUUCUUUAUAAUUUAGAAUUUUGAGUAAGCUGUAGCAAUUAUGUUGAUCAUUGACUGAAAAAUAAAGGCUAGAUGGAUGAUAAAAUAUUGCGAAUGCAGGGUGUGAUCAUUCAGUUUAAUCAGUACUUUUUUUAUAACGGACUAGAUGCGUCUGGUGAGCCCUAUCACUUUCGUUUCUUUUCAAACAGUGGUUUUUUAUGACACAAUUACUACAAUAGCAGGCACUAUCAUAUUCAAACAUUUUUCUCCUUGGAUCGAUUUUAGCAUUAUUUUGUGCUAAUGUUAAUGAGUUAAUAUCGUUCUUUCUUUUUAUUAAAUAAAGAAUAAAUUGGCAGAGUACGUUCUUAUUUGCAUACAAAUUAAACAAUGAAAUUGGCAAAACAAUAAAGGAAUAGACCUCAAAUUAUUAUUUUUUCAGAAAAAAAAACUCAUCCUUAAUUUGACCGAGUAUCUUUUGGGAACUAUAUAUAUAUUAUAUAUAUUAAACUAGUUAGUCCUUCAACCGAUAAGUUGACCCGGCUCGGUCCCGUUGGCAAAAUUAAUUAAUUAGCCUAAAAACUAUACCAAGUCAAAACGCCUCACUUCUUUGAAUUCCAAUAAACAAAAUUAUCUCCACAACGAAACUCAUCUUUAUAUAAAUUCAACCCCAUACUCCAUCACAACACAUAACAGUACUUACUCUUGCACGAUCUCCUCUAGAUACUACAUUUUUUUUUCCUUUCCCACUCUCCCAAACUAAGCAUACAUAAAAUGGCAUCUCAAACCAUCGAGAGCUACCGCGAGGGUGCCGAGAUAGUCCGCGGCGAUGCUUUGUGCAAGAAGAAGUCUAUCGAACUGCUCGAAGAGCUUGACCUUCCGAAGGGACUCUUCCCUUUGGAAGACAUUGAGGAGUUUGGAUACAACCGUGCGGUCGGGUUCGUAUGGUUAGUUCAGAAAAAGAAGAGGGAGCACACAUUCAAGAAGAUAAAGCAGGUGGUGUCGUACGCCGCGGAGGUGACGGCCUUCGUCGAGAAGGGCAAGCUGAAGAAGGUGACGGGGGUGAAGGUGAGGGAGCUUCUGCUCUGGCUUACCGUCGUGGAAGUGUUCAUCGAAGAUGCUACGAUUGGAAAAAUCACUUUUAAGACUAGCACAGGACUAUCCGAUAGCUUUCAUGUUUCUGCGUUCGCCCUUGGAGAGUAGAGAGAAAUGAGAAGGAGAGAGAGACACACGAUGAGUUUAAACUUUUAAGUUAGUGCUAUGUGGUGUUACAGGAAGAAUUUAAUAACUUAUAGUUUAUAAUUUUACGUGGGUGUUGUUUACACGUUAAUUGGUUUAGGUGAGUUGUGUCGUCAUGUUCUACUAUACUAUUCCCAAUGUACUGUAAUAUUCAGUUUAUGUAAUAUUUAAUAAAAUUAAUUAUUUUAAUUGAUUAUCCUAGAUGUAGAUGGGCUGAAAAACACUAUGGGGCCAGGAGUCCAACCUGGCCUGAAUCUGUUUGCUCGGUGCAAGCUAGGUUCGGGCUUGAGACUAUAAAUUUAAGUAAUCUUGGACCGAAAAAAGGACAUGUUUUAACUUGUCAGGGUUGUGAGACUAUGAGUAAUACAAGCUCACAACUUACGAGCUUGAGCUGUACAUGUAUUUCGACAUCAGGUUGCGAGGGCGAGAAAAUUGAGUUGCGAUCACUACCGAACUAUGUAAGAGCUCCGUGUUUCGCGUCGUAAGUCAUAUGAACUGUAGAAGCUUCGCAGGUUUCUGUUGUAAAGGCGGCGGAGUUUCCAAACGACGGAGAUAAUAAGGUGGCGCAUUCGUCUGGGUGGCCGACUGCAACUGCAGAGAGGCUAAACAAACAUGCUCAAAAUCCAAAAGUUCAAUCAAACACUUCCAAAAAAUUUAUCAGGCUAUUGGACUUUAUUUAGUGUCGAGCCCAACCCUAUUGCAAGCCCAAGCCCAAGCCCAAGCCCAACCCCGCCCAUGUAUAUUUUCACAAGUGCGCCAAAAUAGUUUCUUUCAAAAUGUAUAUAUAUAUAUAUAUAUUUUUAAAAAAAUCGCACUUGCGAGCACGAAAGCUACAGUUCAACUCAUCAUGCGGACACCUACAAUCUCUACCGUCCAUUCCCAUAACUCAUGAAUCCCCUCUCCGUCGAUCGGACGGUCUCUAGAAUGUCCGUACGCGUCCGCAUGCGCCACUACACUGACAUAGCCAGCUCCGCUUCCCCAUUGAAAAGCCCGAACCCAUGUCCCGGCCAUUCGAACGCUUCGCUCCUCGCGCCUCUUCUUCUACGCCCCCCUCCUCCUCCUUCGCUUCGCUUCGCUCACUCUCAUACUCUCGCUCGCUACUCCCAUGGCUAUGGCGACGGCGACGGCGACGGCGACGACGAAGAAGGAGAAGAAGCGCCACCGCUCCUCCCCCUUCUCCUCCGCCGACGACCUCCUCUCCGCCGCCCCCUCACUCGCCUCCUCCAGCUCCGGUAGAUCCUCCCUCAAAACCCUAAUCUGGUCCCUCCCCCCCUCCUCCCCUCUCCUCCCCCCACUCCCCUCCUCCCUCCACCUCGCCGUCUCCCGCUCCCUCGACUCCUUCACCGCCUCCCUCCGCUCUGCCCCAUCCGCCGCCGCAUCGCCGGGCCGAUCCUCCCGAUCUCCGCCGUCCAAGAGGUGGCGCCGCCCCCUCGCCGCCGCACGCGACGGAGAACCGUCCCCCGAAACCCUAGAUCAACUGGAGAACCUCCGAGCCUAUGCCUAUGUCACCCACCUCUGCGUCGCCCACCCCAGGAAGCCCUUCGCUGCCCCCGAUCUCCUCCCGGCCGUCCGAUCGCUCCACGACGGCCUCGUGCUUUACGAGAUGGACCCCGCGCUCCUCUCCCAGGUCGCCAAUCUCUGCGAGGAGUGGUGGAAGGAGAAUUUGCCCGGAAGGGAGCAAGUGAUCUCUCAGUCUCUUCCUUACUUGCUCUCGAGAUCGCUCACUUUGAGUAAGAAAACGGAUGUGAGGAGGGUUUAUGCCCUAAGAGAGGCAUUCACUUUGUUCGACUAUGUGGACGAGAGCAUAGAGGACAUGCGGCAACUUCUCGUACGAUGCGUCAUUGCACCAGUGUACUUGAAAGUGGAAGAAGGGAGGCGGUUUGUCGCGUUCACAUUAGGGUUAAGUGAACAGCUCGCAAAGGAGGCGCUGGCGUUGAUUAGAUCGCAGAUUCCGUUCGGGAGGAAGUCAGUGUUGGAGGCAUAUGGUGAUGUCCUUUUCAGGGCUUGGAAAGGGUCACAAGGAUUCCUAAAGGAGGAAAUCGAGGGUGGUUUCUUGCAAGGGUUGAUUGAAGGAGCGAUACAUGCGAGGUCUAGCUCGCUUGCCGCAUCUAUAAGGAGAAUAUUGGGUGGGUUCAUUGGUCAGAGAGCGACUGAUGGAGUUGAGAAGCUUCUCUUCCGUCUCGCAGAGCCUGUGCUAUUCCGGUCGCUGCAGGUGUGUUCUUUUUGUUUACUACUUACUGUUUGUUUUCUCAUUACGCAAUGAUGUAAUACACCACACUAUAUGAUUGAUGUAAUGCUCUCUAAUACCAAAUUAGCUUGGGAGGUCUUCAUUUAAAAGCGGAAGCUCUUAAUAUCUGUGUUGAUGCACUUUGAAAACCUCAUAGUAAUCACAAAAGUGGAAACCAAUUAUUCCACAUGAAAGAUUAUGUGUCACUGCUUAAUGUUUUAUUUAGCCAAUUCCUAGUAUUCCAACUUUAUGUUCAAUUCUUUGGUUCCUUUAACAGUUAGUACUGAUAAUUGGCAGGUUGCUAACUCCAAUGUUCGUCACAAUGCGUUGCAUUUACUAUUAGAUUUGUUCCCACUGGAAGAUCCGGAUGUCACAAAGGAAGUAAAGGAUACAUUGCUUGAUAAGCAGUUCUUUUUAUUAGAGAAACUUCUUAUGGAUGAUUGCCCGGAAGUGCGGGCUGUUGCAGUUGAAGGCUUGUUUCGCAUUCUCCAUAUGUUUUGGGAAGUCAUUCCUUCAUCAAGAAUUACAAAAUUUCUAACUAUGAUUAUUGACAGUAUGUCACAUGACUCAUCCAAUGAGGUGAGGUUCUCAACAGUUAAUGGUACUAUCUAUCUGCUCGAAAAUCCACAGAGCCAUGAAAUAAUGAAAGUACUUCUUCCAAGAUUGGGCUUCAUGUUCUUGGAUCCUUCUCUUUCUGUUCGAGCUGCUGUUGUUGAUCUACUUUUAGCUGUUCGUGAUAUUCGGUCAUUGCAAUUUAAUAAGGUAAAUCAACACACUAUUUCUGCCGGCAAAUUUACAUUAUAGUGAAACUAUCUGCUUUACUUUUGAUAGGUUCGUCUUAAGCAGGUGUGUCCUUUUAACCUGUUCAGGUUGACAUGAUAUAAUAAUACUUCUAUUGAUUGGUUAAUUUUUCCAGGUUGUUAGUUUAGAUGUUUUAUUGUCUUCACUUGCAAAUGAUCACCCUAAAGUUGCUCAAAAAAUCACAAGGCUUCUCAUUCCCUCGUACUUCCCUUCAAAGUUGAAUGUCAAGGAGGCAUGCAGCCGUUGUGUUGCAUUGAUAAAAAGGUCCCCUGCUGCCGGUGCAAGGUUUUGUGAAUUUGCUUUGUCUGAGGGAUCAUCCUCAAGGUCCCUCAUGGAACUUCUCAAGAUCUUCAUUUGUUUAGCCCUUGCGCCCGAUGGCCUAAAUUCGGAUCUGAUUGAUGGUCUGAUUAUUGCCUCAGCCAAUAUGUCACAUGGGCUAUUGGAGAAGUCAUCUAAUAUGGAGACUCUAAAAGAGCUCUUUUCAACUGAGAAGUUGAAGUCACUGCUUACUGCAGCACCUUCUGAGCGUGCGCGCUCUGCUCUUUGGAGACUAGUUUCUCUUUUAACUCCAGAUAAUUUGACUGGAUUGCAUCAUCAUUGUAUGGAUAUAAUCCUGAAUUCCAAUGGAUUGUCAGAAAAUUUAGAUCGACAAGGACUGGUACGGGUUGUUCACAAGUUGAUGUUUUCUUCUAACUUGUCCGAUGACUUGUUUGAAGCUCUGACAAAUAUUCUACAAUCUACUGCUUCUAGAUUUAUUGAUAAGUAUGAACUGGACUUACCACAACUUGAUGUUGCAUCUUUCAAGAAGAAGAAAAUUAGAAAAGGAUUAGCAACAUCAGUCAUUCCAAACUCUGAGGAAGAGUCUGAUAUCUCAGCUGCAGCAGCCGCAGCAGCGUGGCAGAUUAAAGAGCUAUUAACCGCUGAAGACACCCGAGAAGCCACCCUCAAAUCGCCAGUCUCAGCUAUAGCAUUUUCUGCUUUGAAGAUAAUUUCCCAUGUGUUUGUUGAAGAGUGUUUGCAAUGGGAACUUUUGGAUAUGGCACCUAUCUCAGCCUACAUGUACUUUUCAAUGUACAUGUCCCUCCAGGAUCUUGAUUCAAGUGGCGCUAAGGAACUUGGUGGUGAUGUAAAUAAUGACUUACAGCAAACAAACUCUUGUCGAGAAGUAAGUUAUUAUACCUCUCCUAUCUUAAAGAGAAAUUUGUCUGUUGCACUUAUUUCUGAUCGAGAAGUAUUCUUUUUAUAACUCUGGUACUCAUGUUAGUUUCUCAAAUCUCAGCUAUAUUUGAGGGAGAUAUAACCUACAAAGUUACAAUAGUUGGUUACUCAUAAGCCUGCUAGAAUAUUUUGUUACUUAUAAGCCUUUGUUUCUUAUGCUAUAGAUUGUUCUUGAAACACUCCAUGCUUAGAUUCUGAAUUACCUCAUGAGAAAAACAAUCCAUAUUUUUCUCUUUUGAAUAGAGCGAAAUCUCAUGGACAGAAGGGAUUUGAUGUUUCUUAUGGUAAAUUAAUAAGAGCUUGCAAUUAUUAUUAGAUUCUGUUUCUAUGCAGACAGUGAUGGAGGAAUCAUUGAUUCACUUACUUGACUGCGCUGAUAAGGUCCUUAGCGAACCUUUUGCUGAGAAAACGAGCGAUUCAUCUUCGAAGUCCAAGUGUCACGAUAAAGGUCCAAAGCACCGGAAAAUCAGACAUAACGAAGCUUUGGAUGGUACUGAAACCUCUUAUCCAUGUAGAUAAGCAGUAAGAUAUUGAAUCUAUUAAUAAGAGCAAAUAUGGAUGUAUCAUCUGGUUAUAAAUGGAAUGGUUAAGCUGAGUACUUUGUGUUGUUGCUCCAUAAUGAAGACAAUAAAUUUGUGCUAAAACCUUUUUCAAUAUCCAUAUCAGUAUCAGAAAUUGCAAAACCAGCUUAAUCAAUUUAGUGGGUGUAGUCAUGUAGUUUAGUUUUUUAAUGUUUUCAUCUUAAUGUUCAUGUAGGUGAUGAGUCCAAAACUGAUGCUCAUGAAGUAAGAGGGAUGCAAAAUUUGUUCCGACUGGCCACAACAAUUCUCAAGUUUAUCGUUGACGCUGCAACAAUGAAGCUUAUCAACCAUGAUCUAUUACGGUGCUUGAAGUUUGCAUCAACUUAUGCCCGACAUGUAGUAUCUGCGAUCGAAAGGCAUAAAGCAUCUUUCGUGGGAGAAGGUUCAAAAGAGAUGCUCACUUUUCUAAAGAGCUCCUUUACCUAUGCUGCCAAGUUACUCCAUUUAGUGCUCACAAGAUCUAGUGAAUCUUCGGCACCACCACCAGGUGAGGCAUUCUAUUUAUCUAAUGAUCUCCUGGAUGUUAUUUCCUCUGUGGAAUCAUAUCUAGGCUCAAAGUUUGCAGUCAAUAUCAUUUCUGUUGCCAAGGAAUGGCUCCCAAUUCUUGUUUUGGGGCUGGGCUGCAACCAAUUAAUUAAGCCAAAUCAGAAGGGAGGAAAUGCAAAGUUACCUGACUUUAUGGGGGUUAAUUUUCCUGUUUGGUUAUCUGUUCUGAGCGAGACGGAGUUACUUGAGUUCAAUGGACUCAACCAAGAUGACCAGGAAAAUCAAAAUAAAGAGGCCAAAAGUUCGGUGUUCAAAAAGCUAGCUGAGAUGAUUGUGGUCCUCUUAAAAAAAGGAAGCCCAAAAAUAUUGGAUGCCGUGGGUGGUGUCUUCAUGGCAGGUCUUGACGUUGGUCUGGAAAGAACAGAUUCUGGCUUGGUCCUGGGUCUGGCUCAUUUUCUCUGUGUGAAGUUGCUGGAUAAGGAUUUUGCGACCCGUGGAGAACUUGAUACAAUAUACAGUUUUCUACAGGAUUUCUAUCUGCGGGUAGAAAGACGUCUUAGAGAUCAUCAUAUCAGCGAGAGCAGCAGUCAACAGUUGGAAAGCGCCAACGCUUUGAUUAGAUCGGUUUUAGAAGGCGCGAGAUGAAAUAUUGAUGGCCGAAUCGAUUAUUCCUUCGAGGCAUUAGGCUUUCUUUUGGAUCAUUUCUAAGUUGGGCAGGACUUGCUGAAUAUGUAUAUCCCCUUUUUGACGAGACGAACUGAGAAGUAUAAUAAGGAAAAAAAAAAAAGAAAAAUCUGGUCAAAGAGAGUUUUUGUAAGUGAAACACUCUUCAUCGUCCGCUCUUUGUGAGGAAGUGCUUGUUUAUGCUAGCAACAGUUUCAUUGCUUUUUUUUAUCAUUCUACUGCAGGAUGCCUCUGCCGUUGAACUUCUGCUGCAGCACUACUGUUAUGUCUAAAGCAGAAAAAGCACGUUUGUUUAAAGUCAUUUGCUUUUCCUGUCUCUUGUACAUAUACUUUCCUUCGAAUGUAAGAUCCUUGUGCUACAUUCUAUACUUUUCCAAUCUCCUUUCUUUUCGCAUCCAAAAUAAUAAACUGCGAGGUAACUUCACAUAUAUUAUACUUCGAAGAUUCUUGUUUAUUAUAUUAUAGAAACUAACUAAUAACGUGUUUAUUCAGAGAUUUUAUACAUCAUUUUAUAUUCGUAAACCAGGCUCUUUCUUCGAGAGGCUUCGUGGAGCCAUAAAUUUUCCAUUGCCGACGUGUAUGUACCAACUCAACCGCUCUAGAAGAAGGCUCGGACCUCUGCACUUGUGAGUAUCCCCUCCCCCUCUCUGUCUCUGCGCCACGUUACUUAGCCACAUAGAUCGGUAGGUUUAAAAAACUAAGUAGAGAGACCCUUUGCUUCGAUCUCCUCUCCCCGCACCAUCCCGCCCCUCUCUAUAUACAAACGAAAAGAGAACCUACUAACCCUCUCCUCAAGAAAAACCUCCCUUCCCCUUUCCCUUUCCCUUUCCCGUUCCCUUCCCACCACCCUUUGAAACCCUAGAUCGAGAUCGACAUAGAGAGCGAAGAAGAAGAAGAAGAAGAAGAAGAAGAAGAGGUCUCUAAUGGCGAGGGAUAGGGAGGAGCAGGGCGCCGAGGGCUCGGGGACUCGGUCCCGGCCCGACGCCUUCCUCAUCGUGUGCCGAACCUUCAGCGUCAUCACCGGCGCCGUCGCCCUCCUCUGCGUCGCCGUCAACGUCCUCUCCGCCGUCCUAUCCUUCAAGAACGGCUACGAUGUAUGCAGCAAAACCCUACCCUCUCCUCCGAUCCCAGUUUCCACUACCUCGUGCCCUAACUCUUUCUCCGUUUAACCUUAUUUUUUUUCCUUUUCCUUUUAAAGAUUUUUGGCGGGAUAUUUCGUUGCUACGUGGUGUUGAUCGCGCUCUUUGUUGCCGUCGCAGAGACCGAGUGGAGUUUGAUUUUCAAAUUUUGCAGGGUUAGUUUAUUUUUGUCCUUUUGUUAGCCCUCUUUUUUUUUUAAAUUUUAUUUCGCCUUUUCUUUUAUUUCUGUAUGAUUUAAAUUUAAGUUUUAUGCGAACUUGAUUUGGCAUUAAUGAUCAGAUACUGGAAUAUUGGCCUGGUAGAGGCAUGCUACAGAUCUUGUAAGUGUUUUUCUCUCUUUUUCUGAGUUUCUUUUCUUAUUUUGUUUCUAAUUCCUUCUGAAUUAACGGGUGUAAAUUUGGUCAAGAACGGGGCACAUUUAAGUUUGGAGGGUUAUUAAUGUUUAAUUGCUUACUUAGUUGAUUUUUUUUUUAUGUUUAAAUUGGUUCCUGUAGUGUUGCUGUGAUGACGAGAGCGUUUCCAGAUUUUGAGAGAAGGGAUCUGAUGUUGCUUCAAGAGAUUGCCUGCUACCUGCUUCUUGCAUGUGGCUUCAUCUAUGUGAUUUCGGUAAGGACGCAAUGAGAUGAAUCUUGGUUAUACAUAUUUCCAUGCUGAUGUACCAAGUUUAUUGUGAAAUGCCUUGGGAUCAAAUUAAUAGGAGAUUUAUUUUGAACUGUUCCGAAAUAAGCACUUACUAAUGUGUUGCUUCAUCGGAAGCAAAUCAGAAAUUUGAUGAACUCAUAAAAUGUUGCUUCAAAUGUAGCAUAAUGUGUUCAGUUUUUUUUUUGUCGUCUUGACGUCUUCAACGCUUAAAGUUUUGCUCUGGAAUUGUGAAUGUAUGCUUGUGAGUGCAAAUGUUCAGGGUGUAUUGUGCAUCGGUUAUUUAAAGCGUAAGCGGCAGCAAAGAGAAACUUCACGAGAGCAAGCGGUCAAAGAUCUAGAGGUAGGCUUUUAGUGUACUGCAAAGUUCUAAUAAAAUAGCCAUUACUCUUACUAAUUUACGAGACAGUGGUUUGUCACCUAUGCGUCGUAGAAUAUUCAGCCAUUCAUCUAAAUAUCUUGUUCUUCAUCAUGUUGUAGCAAUUGGAAAGGCGUAGGGAGGAACUUCAGGCAUUAUUACUUGCCGAAAGGUCCUGAGAGUGACUAGAUGUUCGUACCCAAUAAAGCAAUGCGUAAAUCAUUAGUCCUCUGAUGAUCCUUGAAGAUUUGGUUCAACUACAUGGUCCAAGCCCCGGUUGGUCUAAACAUGUACGUUGUUCAGACAUCUUAUGCAUAUCAAAAUUUUGCUUUUUUUUUUUUUUUUUCUCCCCUGAGAUUCCUCUGCAUUUUUACUAGCCAUGAUAUGUUGCUUUUGUUUCUGAUUUCCUUGAAAGUAAUAUAAUUACAUUAUGCUAUGAAUAGUUAUUUCANAUCUCAAGCAACUGAGAGAAAACUCAAAAGCAAUAUGAAAAUUCAAAUUAUACAAGACUAGAAAAUGGAAAAAGAGCAUGACACUGAAAUAACUAUUCCUCUGCAUUUUUACUAGCCAUGAUAUGUUGCUUUUGUUUCUGAUUUCCUUGAAAGUAAUAUAAUUACAUUAUGCUAUGAAUAGUUAUUUCAGUGUCAUGCUCUUUUUCCAUUUUCUAGUCUUGUAUAAUUUGAAUUUUCAUAUUGCUUUUGAGUUUUCUCUCAGUUGCUUGAGAUGGUUUACUCUUUCUUUCUUGUUUGUUUAUAGAAAUUGUUAGCAGCACCGCUAGCAUAUAAUUUUUAGCCAAGUUUGUGACAUUUGCAUCCCAUGAGAAUUCAGGCGAAUAUCACUAUCUAUCUAGCUGAGACAGUGCUGCUUGAACCUUUAAAAGCUAAGAUGGGUUUUAGGCGGCCUCGAGUUUAUAGUUUGGUUGGUAUUUUAGCUGACGUUGAGGGGGUUUUGGCUUGGCAUGUCAAUUCUUUCCUGGCAACCAAUAAUGACAUGUUGACGAGGGUCGAGAGAAUUUGACUGAAAUUCAUGCUGGGCUGUGUGGUUUCUUGCGACAAAUUAAUUGUUCAUAUGUUUGAUUUUACCUCUCAACUUGUAAUCGUUAUUUACAAUCAGGCCAAAUUGCGAAGUUCAUGUACGUCCGCUCUCUGCACUUCUUUUUUUGUCUGUGAGUUUGUUAUUAUAUCAUUAGAUCUGAGGUGUGCUGAAGGCUGCUGCUUUUCUUGUUUUUAUAUUAUGCUGGACGAUUUUAUAUCUAUUGAUACAGCCACCUGCUCAUGCUCCUUUUACAGGUGGUGCGUUUUCAGUUCGCAGGUGUUUGUCGGUAUCUCGUAGCAGGUGUUUGUCUGUAUCAUAAGCUGUCGUAAUUUGGUGUAUUUGUUGUUUUGAGUCUUUUGUGCAUGUUUGUGUGGAUGUCCCAUUCGUACAUCAAGCUUAUUCAGUAAAUUAGUAAAAUAUUUGCGACUAUUGCGAUGUUUGUAGAAUGACCAGGAAAUGGAUGAGAUAUCUUCAGAUACGUUGUAAUAAAUAAGCACGGUUUUUUGUUGCUAUCGCCUUUUCCUCUGGAAUUAUGGGUCGUUUCGUUUUCAUGACCAGAGUUAUUACUUACCUUGACAACAUUCACUAUAUGGGGUUAAAAGACCAGAGUCACUACCCACCUUGACAACAUUCACUACUAAGGCAAGGUCUAGACAAAAGACGCAUGUUUUAUCGGGGAAUAGGUGUCGGAAUCAUCAGGAAUCACACAGCCAAAUUGGUUUCUGAACGCUUAGUAACGGGGAAAUACAAAUUGAAUAAAAGCACACGAAAUGCUGCCACAGUACAGAAAAUACAGCUUAACUGGCAUCAAGCCUACUACUUUUUUACACAAAUUUAUAUCAUUUCAGCUAUGCUUGGUCGUAACUACAAACCUCUUACUAUGCAACCUUUAAAUACAGCAAACAGCAUUAUACAACAACAGCAGCACACAUAAAUGUCCCUACUCCUAUCUGGAGAGCAAUAUGCAACAUAUAGCUUCUCUGCUCCUACCGUCCAAUAUUUCUGCAUAUCGUAUUCGACUUCGAUGCCCUAAGGGGCGAGGGAGAUGCAUCGCCUCGAGCAUUAUUUCAACGAUACCCUGUACCUUGCAAUUAUCUAGACUACACAGCUGAGUUGAGUAAAACAGAGCUGAGGGAAAGUAGAAGGAAGAACAGGAAGAGGGUAGUGAGAGGAAUCCUACAGACUAUACAACUCAGCCUACUCAAAAGAAUCCUACCAAUAGCCAGCUUCAUAGAUGCAAAACUUCCUUCUCAUAAGGCUUAGGCAAUGCACAGGGGUGAAAAUUCCCGUUACCCAAAUGCAUGGCAGUUGUAGAUGCAAGCUGGUUUCGGUGGGGAGGGGAUAAACUGCGGGGGAAUUCAGGGUUGGAGCGAGGCGACGGGCGAGAUGACGCCGACUCAGAAGUUUCGGGAUAAGAAUGGUUGGUCUCACUGUUACAAUAUAAGAUCCAUUUUGUUCAUAUACUUGAUGAUGAACUAAAAUCACGAAAUGCAGUGUAAUUAGCAAGUAUAGGGAGAGACUACCACUUAGGUUGUUUUCCCUUCAAACAAGGAUCGCUUUUAGAAGACUUUCGGUCCCUCGGGCUGUUCGUGGUAUCCUGUCGCUAUUGAGGGUUAUAUAUAAUUGAUAACGUAUUCUAUUCCAACAUUUCAAAGGGCGAAAAUGGAGAAUAAGAGAGUCCUUACUAGUUUAAUUCCCGCAAAGGCCUGUACCGAGCCAUGAAUAUUGUGGUGGUGAGAGUUUUUAAUAAAUGGAUGGUCCAGCAACUUGCUUGCUUUUGGCCUCUCAGCAGGAUUCCUGCGAAAGCACAGUUGGAGGAAUUCCUUGCCCUCAGAGGACAGCGUCUCAGGAAUCGUGGGGUUCUUAUUCAAUACCUUGAACAACGCUGCGGGCUGCAGGUCAUCAUAUAAAAGAAAAAUAUCAUGCAUACGAUUCCCAAUGGUAGAGGUACACACCAAGAUAUGCUAUUGUUAAAAGGACUACGUAAAGCAGCUAAUUGCUAACAAAAAAACAUAACAGAUAAUAUUUUAUAAAUGCUUCAGAUUGUCCUUUCUUCUAUUCAAAAGGGUGCAAAGGCAAAAUAACUUAAGGGUGUAAACAUUCAAAAGUUCAAGAAGAAAUACAAUUGAACAUUUCACCAGCAGAUUCAACCGAAAUACGACAAUCAUGACGUUGUACAAUAGAAAGUGCACUUAUGUGAACCGACUCUUCUCUCUAGAGAAAAGGAACCAAGGAGCACAGAUUGUUUGCAUUGCUUAUUGAAGGUUGUCGCUAGUAAUUUUUAUGGAGGCAAUUAUAAAAAAUGAGAAAUGAAAGCUCUCUCGAAAGUUAUAAAAAGUCCUAAUGCAUCCAAAUAUAAUAAGUGCCUCACUAAAUUAAGAAAUCCAUCUAAAACAAAUAUCUGAAUCGAGUCCUUCCUAAGUAUGUCACAUUUACAAGAUCACUAAUGGUAAAACAUAUCGUAUUAUAUUUAAAAACAGCAGCAUAUAUCUAGCGACAUGAAAUUCAUCAACGUUAAUGUGCUCUAGCAAGCAAUAUUAGAGGAGAGUGAAGUUACCCCUUCGAGACCGCUCCAAGGAGGUUGUCCGGUAAACAUUUCGAUAAUUGUACAGCCUAAACUCCAAAUGUCAACAGCCAGAUCAUAGCCAAUCUCUUUAUUUAGUGUAGCCUGUAGCACCUGCAAAUAAGGAAUGAUAGUUGCAAAGACUAAGAGGGAAGAUGUAGCUGUUCAAAUAAUCUGUUGUAACGAAAAAAAUGUACGUAUUACAGGACUAGCUUAUUGUUCAAAGAUGUGCUUCAGACUAUUAGUUGGUAAUUGCACAUCAACACAGAACAUUCACAUUGUAGAUGACAUGUUGAAAAGCUAAGCACUUAUAAAGCACAUAUUUAUUGUUCCUCUCUGGAUUUUCCUGUCCUAAUAAUACUUAACAUAGCCUGUGGCUCUUAAGAAUACCUUAAUAAUGAGUAGAAGACAAAUACAAUGGUCAUGGUUGCUUUUAGUAUAGUCAUAAAACAUAUCUGAGAAGACAACAAUAAUACCCGCCAACUUCAGAAAGAAAAGGACCUUAGUGAAGAGUAAAAAUAUGCACUUAAUCAAUCUAAGAGUAAAAAUAUGCACUUAAUCAAUCGAUACAAAAUGUAGGUUCAAUCACCAGUAAUUUGUGAUAUCCACUGUAAAUGGGUAUAAACAUAGUUCUCUUAUGUACAGUAUUCAUUUCGACUUGAACAAGCAAUGUACCAAGAAAAGAUUAGAUUGUGCUCAUUUUGACUUCAACAAGCCAUGUACCAAGCAAAGAUGGAAGAGAGCAGUAAGGUACAGUAAUGGAUCUAGUGUAGAGAUUUGCUAGCUCAAACUCGAUCACUGAAGUAUCUAUAAUUCAUAUUCUCCUACCAUAUAUUAGCGGGCGUACUAACCAUCACACUAAAACCAACAUUCUGACCACAUUGUUUUAGUUCAGUGUGAAAAUUAACUAGUAACAUUUGUCUAAUAAUCAUGAUAAGCAUAAUAAAGAAGUACCUCUGGUGCCAUCCAAUAUGGCGUUCCCUUCAACGAUAGAUUAGGUGCAGCUCCACUUAACUGAUGAUCAAUAAGAAUCAAAGUUAAAAAUGCUCCUCAUAAUGUCACAGAAAGAUGUACAAAUGCAAACAGCAAACAAAUUUAUUCUACCUCAGUUUCAUACAAUUUGACAAACGCAGAAAGUGCCAAGUAGAAAGCACUUCCAAAUACAAAAUGGUGCAAAAGACACUUGAGUUAUCGAUGAGAUGCACGCCUUGGCUACAGUCAUCAGCCCAUUCAACAAAAGUAGCAUAAAUAGCUCACAUCUAAUCAAAGCAAUACAUGCUAAGUCAAGCAUAUUUACGCCCAUUUAAAGCUCAAUGUGUUCCAAAGAAAAUUGUGGUGGAAUGCCUGCGGAUGAGGUUUGAUGUUUCCAAAACAAAUAUUGGAGACAUGAGGAUGAUCUUAGAGUAUUGUCUUGACAGCCGUAAACUUGCAAGAAAAAAUAAUUACGGUUUAAGUUGACUCUUUAAUUAAUAAUAGAUUGAGUCAAUUAGGUUAUGAACUUAAUUGGUUUUCAAUUCCACUUUCUCAGGAAUUUUUAGCAUGAUCCUCAGGCACUUUUCACACAGUUAUCAAAGCUGCUCUAUUUGCGUAAAAGUACUAAAAUCGUGUUGCUAUCCAGGAUAGAUACGAAGCAAACAACCAACUGAAACUUUUUCUUGUCAAGAGACGUAUAGGCCUCAAGAUGAAAUUGGAUAGGAUAGUUUACCUAAAAGAGAAUGACGCAGACUUUACAUACGUAAAAGAGUUCUAAAUAACAAAGUCCACCAAGUUUUGAGGUCAGGCAAGAGCAACAGGGAGCUUGCUCGACGUGCUUUAAGGUGAGAAUAUUGAACUGGCCACAGGGCCUUUCCUUUCUUUGCUGUUUCUUCCGAUUCUCACCAGCUAACAUAUAUACUACCAGUAAACAUGCACCAGAAGACCACAAAGAAUACAUCAUAUAUUUUAAAACAAAGAUAGGGAAUAGUAAGAUGCGAUACUCACAUGUUUUGCCAUCCCAAAAUCAGCUAGCUUAACAACUCCAUGUACAUCAACUAGCAGAUUUGCUCCCUUUAUGUCCCUGAAAUAAUUACACCUCCCAAUUCAGUUCUAAUAUUGUAACUUAUAAUACAAUAUUACUUUACAGAAUAUCUGGUUAUGACCAUAUAUAUUCAUAACAACGCAGGCGGGCACGUGCGCAUGCACACACACAAUCAGAGAGAGGAAAAGGAACAACAGAGAUAAUGUAUCAAAACAUAGGGUUCCUAACAUUGAGCUUUAAGAUCUGAAUGCCAGCAUUGCUUCACGACUUCAACAAACAUAAGAAGUUCCAAAGAUCUUUCUUUUUCCAGAUUUAUUUCUGUAAUUAUUAAAAUUGAUAAUCGCGACACAAGAACAAGGGUAGUCUAAUAUCAAGACUCGACUGAAAUUGUUCGAGUUUUGGAACCACUCGUGGUUUUAGUCAUUUCUGUGAUUUCAUCAUUUCAACAGUUCAUGUUUUCAUCAACUUCAGCAAUUUCACGAUGUUCUGGUUAGAUUCAACUAGUACCAAUAACUUUCAUCCAUUGGAUCAGUCUAAUCUUUGGACAAAAGUUCAAUAAAGUGCUCCUUAUAAAAUUUAUUAUAAGGAGGGUUGGAUGCCCUUUAUGCAACCCCUCUAAAUCUCAUCCAUCAAUCCACCCCCUCAGUUCAAGUAAAAGUAAGAGUUGAUGUUGAGUUGAUGGUUGAGAUUUAAAGGAGGGGAUGGAUGCAGGGCAUCCAACCUCUCCGUAUAAUAAAUUCUAUUAAGGAGCUCCUUGUAGAUUUUUUUUUUAUAUAUCUUUCAUUAUCCAAUCAACCAAAACAAAAUACAUAUAUACAUUGGAACUCCAAUUUCUACAAAUUUAAGUAGUUGAAAAGCUUUUGGCAUUUUUCCAGUCAAAAUCCAAAUUCAAACCCCAAAGUUAAAGCAGUGAACAAAGCUAUAGAAGAGCAUAUCACAUCUUAGGUCAAAAUAUUGAAAGAAUGUAAGAAAUACUAAUAAAAAGUUUAAGGUUAUCUAAACUAAUGGUCAUUAAAGCAAAGAAAAAGUAUCAUUUUCAUAAUAAUACAAAAAGCAGAUACAUACCUAUGCAUUAUGUCUUUGCUAUGCAAGUAAGCUAAUCCAUUAAGAAUAUGACGGGUAAAAUUUCGAAUAACUGAUUCUGUCAUAGCUCCAAAAUGCUGACGCACAUAUUUGUUUAUGGAGCCAGGGUGAACAUACUCUAGAUAUAUGUAAAACCGAUCCUCAAUCUGUAAUUGAAAAAAACCAAGUCUAUUGAGUUUAUACAUCAGAAACAUCAAACUUCCAUUGUAGCAGCUACAAAGAAAACUAACCAAUUCACUGCCAUAAUACUGCACAAUAUUUGGAUGCUUAAAUUGACUGAGAAACUUUAUCUCCUGAACCAAAAAAAAGGUCACACAAAAAAAGAAAAAAACAAUAUUAGACAACAAAUGUUGCUUCAAAAGGCAGGAAAAGGUAAACUACUAUUAACAUUUCAGACAAAAUUAACAGAAUGAAGGAAAUCAGAAGUAAAAGCAGGCACUACAACCAUGAAAUAAGGCAUUAGAAGAAACAUGUUGGAAAAAAAGAUGUUGACAUGUCAAGCAUACAACUGUUAGAUGUUGUAAUCACAAGAAGUUCAAAGAAAUGGCCCCCGUCCAUGCAACUUUUACAGCGUCAUAUAAAACAUAAUGUUGUGAACCAAAACAGAGUAAAUGAAUAAUUUUAAAAAUAGAAACUAAGAAUUAGACAGCGCAAAUUACGUUAUAUUAUUAAUCUCUUGCUUGCUAAUCAACUAACUGUCCUAUUAACUACUAUCUAUCACUUGAAAACUAAGAAAUUAUCAAACUUCCCAUUUCAUUUCUAAAGAAUUGCUCCAAUAAAACUACUCAGGCCUAUUUUAGUUUGUAAGAACUUUGCCAACAGGCCAUGCUUUCAGCCGGUCAAAAGCUUUUGAUCACCAUGAAAGCAUAUUGAAACUCGCUACAGAGAUGACUGAAAUGAGAUAGAGAAAGAACCUGCUCUAACUGCUUUAAACAUUCUGCUGAUUUAGCGUCAUCUGGAAUUAUAUUAACUUCCUUCAUUGCACAUAAAGCUCCAGUAUGCCUAUUUCAGAACAUUAUGUGGUCAUUUUCAAGCAACCAUAGAAGGGGCUUACCAGUGAAAAAUAAUCAAGUAGGAUAACUCUAUAUACCUAUUGGUGGCCUCAAAAACAUUCCCAUAUGUACCGCUUCCUAUAAGCUUUCCUUUCUGCCACUGACCUGUCAUUGGAGAGACCUCGGUUUUGUGAGUAGGCUGAUGAGCAAAACCUGACUGCAUAGGACCCGGAGAAGCUCCUGGAGGGAGGGGCAGUGGAUGAACAUUGACAUUCCCAUUAUUACUAUCAUGCCGUCCGUUUGAACUCUCUGGAAACAGCUUCGAAUGCAGAGGCGACGAAGGGGCGCUAGGGUUUCUAGAUCGUGUCACAGGGCUUCUCAACGAUGGACUAUAACGGGGUGAUGGCUCAGGACUGCCCAUAAACUUUUCAGGGGACAUAUGGGGAGAGAGUAGUGUUGUAGUGUCGGUCGAUGGGAAGUCUGGAGCUGACCAAACUUGAUGAUGUUGAGUAGUCAUAGCAGAUGUUGACAAGUCCACAUUACUUGAUCGCCUUGGACUGCGCACAGGGCUAGAAAUCCCACUGGCAGGAGCACUUUUAGCGGGUAUAUUCAGUCUGAAGUUCACACUGUCAACCGAACUCGUAUCUUGGAACACCUUCCUAUGAUGACUAUUUCCAUUAAUUGGAAAGUCACUGCGACAGCGUUCUGGCCUUUUGUGAGCAAUCUGGUGCGGCAACUUACUGCAGUUAGAUGUACAAAUCAAAUCGAGUUAUUUUAUUAGUUCCAAGGAAUCAUUCAGAAAUAUAAGUGAACACAUAAGAAACAAAAAAGUAUGUCGUCAUGCGCAAUAACCAGUCAAUGCAAGAUUUCAGAAGGCAUGAUCAGUGCACACUUACCUUGUUGAAGGGUAUAGUAGGUAUUGCUUAACCUUUGAAAAAAUACUGCCAAAAGUUUUUUUUUGUCAAUCUAAUCGUAUUUUUUUUUAUGUACAAGCUAUAGUAUUCAGCAGCAGACGCAACACUUGUUGCACGUUGCUUAAUUCAGAUGGGCAUAGAUGCACCGUAGUGAAGAGAAAUCCCUAUGUGGAUUAGCCAGACACAGUACAAAUCACCACACCAACACCAAAGAUUUCAACCACAGAUACGUGAGAUACGGCAAGCUAGCAUAAUAAAGGAACAGAGUAAGAGUUACAGCAUUAAAUUAAGAUCUAACUCGCAUCAAAAUCCCACCUACUUCUUGUACCGACAUUCAUAUAUAAAUUCUUCACCAUUAGCAUAAACCUCUAAUAAAUGUUGUAUUUGCUACAGAUCAGAAUUGUAUUACCUAUUCAUGAUUGCACAAGUACACAGCAAAGGCACAGAAGAUCAUGAAUAUAAGUAAAACCCUUUUAAAACUACUCACCUCUCAGUUGAAAAAAAUGAAGUGACCCUGUGGCCUACGGGAUCCGCGGCAGAUGAGAAAUCAACAGUGGAACUCCCCUCCUCGCCAUCUCCUCCGCCAGGCGUUCCUCUCGGCGAGGGCAGUGGGCAACUAGCCGCACGCGAAGGACUCGAAGCAGAAGCCCCGGUCCCUAACCCUAACCCUAACCCUAAGCCAAAUUCUCUACGCGGGGAGGCCGCGGCGGCCUCAUCCGGUAAGGGCAGGGGCUGCGGCAGCUGCGGGAAUGAGGACGAAAGCCUCGGUGGCACGACGUCGAGGUUGCUGGGGGAGCGGGAGACCGGCGUCGAGUUGGCAGAUCCGCCACCGCCACCGCCACCGCCCCCGACAGCGGCGGGGGCGGCGGCGGCGGCGGAGGGAGCGGGAGAAGGAGGAGAUGGGAUNGGCGGAGCUUGCGCUGGCGCGUGAGGCGGGGCUGGGCCUGGGGCUGCGAGUCGCGUCGGUACCAGAGGAAGUUGUCGCCUCUCCGGGCGCGGCGGGGCGAGGCGGGGGACCCUGCGGCCGAGGAGGAGGAGGACCUGGGGGAGGGGGAGGAAGAGGACGGGGAGCUACCGCUCUUCCACGGCCAAGGCAUGUCGCCGCCCCCGGUGGAGGACGCACAUGUUACGAAGGGGAGGCAACCCUAUACCUAGAGGCGUCCGAGGAGGAGGAGUAGUAGGAAGGAAGGAGAUGGGAAUUUAAAGGAAACCCUAACCCUAACCCUAGAUAGGAGUCGUCGUUGGCCAUGGGAGGCGGGGUGAGAGGAGGAGGGAGACGACCAACGCGCGUUCGAGGCGUAUAAGAACGGGGUCUUCUCGAUCCCCGCACGAGUCAAUUCGGAGAGCUUUUUCUUUUUCUCUCUCGCCCCCCUCGGCGUAGGCCGCCACGAGGGGGAUGGGUUUGUUUGUUUAUUCCGGUAAAUUGCGCCAUUGGUCCACAGAGUUUUGAUAAAAUUACUGCCUACACCGUGUGUAUAAGCGCUCUCCAUGAACCUCAUCAAAGUUUUUAUUAGGACCAUUGUAAUCCAAUGAUUCGACCCAACUUAUAAAGUCGUUCGAUUCAAUCUUUUAAACUAAAUAAGUAAAAAAUUAUUGUAAAUUGUUUGAAUUGGUGAUUCAACUAUCGAUCGCUGAACCAGUCUGGUUUUAAUCUAAUCAGCCGAUUUCCUUUUAUCAAGUUGUUGGAUUGUUGGCGCUAACUAUUAAUCCCAAAAGCUCGAGCUGUUAGAAAUACGCAACCAAUUUACUUAAAACUUACAGAUACAGCGCUCACGUGUCACGAUUGUGACUCGGCCCAACCAGCCUUAUGCCACUUCGAACAUGACUCCGUCUAACCUAGCCUCACGCAAUUUCGAACGUAACUCGGCCCACUUUGCCUCCCGCCACAGGGUAAGAUGUUGACCCAUUUAAGCCAACACAAGCCAUCGAAAGAACCAAUAUAUUAAAAAUAUUACAAUUAGAAUUUAUCAGUUAAGCAUCAAACAAUUAGAAAAAAAUUACUUAUAGAAAAAGACUCACUAUUUGAUCUGUAUUGGAGUGAAAUAAAAAAUAAUAUUGAAUUGUAUCGGAAUGAAAAAUAUAAUAAUGAAUCAUCAAAAAAAAUAUUUAAUUUAUUAUUGAAAUGAAAUCGUAAUGGACAAUUGAAAUUUUUAAGAUUUUGAGAGAGUAUUUUGACUAAUAAAAGGGAGAGCAACGAAGGAUGGAGGAGAGGGAGGUGUUUGCGAGGAAGGCAUUCGAGCAAUUUAUUCAAAAAUGAGUCAAUUUAAAAUUUAAAACUGAAUUGAACCAUAAAUGGAUUGCGUUAAUUUCAUUCCAUAGUGAAAUAGAAAUUAAAAUUCGAUUUCUAUGAAACAAACAACAACUAUCAAAAUCAGUAAACUUUAUUCCAAUUUAAAAUUUUAAGCAAACCCUAAAUAUAUUUUGUGGAUUAGAUUUGAAUUUUGAAAUCUCUUGGAGCUUUAACAGUACAGUGUAGGGAAAGUACUUAUAGACCCAAUGCAGGCCAUAAUUUCUUCAAAAUUGUUACAUUUUUUUAUCUAAUUUUGGGUGACAUAUAUUAGCCCCUACACUAUUCCCUUAUUAUGGCGACUGAACUAUUCUACUUUUAUUUAAUUACUUUCGCUUUCAGAUUUUUUUUUUUUUGUGUGGUAUAUUUUAAUUUAUUAUUUUGUAGUUUUUUUUUUAUUUUGUUGUACACUAAUUUGUAUCUUUUUUGUGUACUAAAAAUGAAAUAUUGGGUUAUUAUACAAAAUAAACCGCUGAAGCGAGGUGAAUUUUGAUUGACACAAUAACAGCAUUAUAAUAACAAAAAUUUAAAAUAAAUUUAUUAUUUCAUAAACAAUAACCGAGAAAUAUCUGUAAUAUAUAUAUAUAUACUAAUAUUAUAUAUUUAUAAUUAUAUAUAUAUAAUAUAUUAAUAUUAUAAUAUAUAUAGUCCGGCUACUAUACUAUCGAUAGUACCAAGCCCUUGGUACUAUUGAUUUUUCUACCGUUUGAUUUACCUUUGAUCAUAUUCCACCCGUUAGAUUAUACUAUUAAACCAACCACACUAACCCUAGGGACCACUAUCAAUUUAACCAGGGACCAUAUCAUCCACGCACAUUUUUUCAUCCAACGGCCGAAAACUCAAUAGUACCAAAGGUUUGGUACUAUUGAAUAGUAUAGUAGCAUAAUCUAUAUAUUAUUAUAUAUAAUAUAUAUAUACUAUAUUAUAUAUAUAUUAUAGUGCGGCUAGGAUUCUUAUGGAAGUACGGAGCCCUCCGUACUUCCACUUUGUUUUCGAUGUUCGGACUUUCAAAUCGACGAUCGGUUCCGUUAGACUUGAUCUAGAGUAUUUGAAGUAUCUAGAAAAUAAAUUUUGCGAUUUUCGAUAUCAUUUGCCUAGUGAUCGAAGUGGCUCAAAAUCAACGGCUGAAAAUAAAAAUCUUACAAAAUAUGAUGAUAUGACAUUAAAUUUUAGAUCAAAGUUAUUGAUCUUGUUUUAUAUGGUAUAAAGAAUCUUCUAUCAAAAUUUCAUGUGAUUUGGAUAUUUCUACACCGUUAAACUUGCAACCGGCUUACCAUGGUCAUUAAAAUUAUUGAUUUUGAGCCCCUUCGAUCACUAGGCAAAUGAUAUCGAAAAAUUACAAAAUUUAUUUUCUAAGUAAUUCAAAUACUCUAGAUCAACUCUAACGGAGCCGAUCGUCGAUUCGAAAGUUCGAACAUCGAAAACAAGUUGAAAGCACGGAGGGCUCCGUUCUUCCAUAAGCAUACCAGCCCACUCUCUCUCUCUCUCUCUCUCUCUGUCUCUCUAUAUAUAUAUAUAUAUAUAUAUAUAUAUGUAUAUAUAUAUAUAUAGUAGUUCUUAUGUGCUAUUAGGAGCACGAAGGUCUCCAUGCUCCUAAGCUGUUUUCGAUGAUGAAGAUUCCAAAUCGACGAUCGGAUCCGUUAGACUUAAUUUAGCGUAUUUGAACUAUUUAGAAAAUAAAUUUUACGAUUUUUCGGUAUUAUUUACCCAGCGAUCAAAAGGGUUCAAAAUCAAAAGCUGAAAAUAAAAAUCUCACAAAAAGCGGUGAUAUAGCAUUGAAAUUUCGAUCAGAUAUAUUGAUCUUACUGUAAAUAGUAUAAAGAAUUUUCUAUCUAAAUUUCAUUUGAUUUAAAUAUUUUUAUACGGUUAAACUUGCAAACGGUAUACAUCAAUCAUUAAAAAUUAUUAUUUUUGAACCCUUUCGACCGUUGAGUAAAUGAUAUCGAAAAAUCGUAAAAUUAAUUUUCUAGAUAGUUCAAAUACACUAGAUCAAGUCUAACGGAAUAGAUCGUCGAUUCGAACGCUCCAUCAUCAAAAAUGGCUUAGGAGUACGAAGGCCUCCGUUAUCUUAAUAGCACACAAGACCUAAUAUAGAGAGAGAGAGAGAGAUAGAGAGAGAGAUAAAGACCGAGAUAUAUAUAGAGAGAGAGAGAGUGGGCUGGAAUGCUAUCGAUAACAAACGGAUUCCGUUGCCACCCAUUUAUUUUUGAUGAUGGAGCUUUCAAAUCGACGAUCGGCAUCGUUGAAUAUGAUCUAUACUACUUGAAAUAUUUAGAAACCAAAUUUCAAUUCUUUUUAGCAUCAUUGACCUAAUGAUCAAAGAAUUUCAAAAUUUAUAAUUUUAAUGACAGAUAUGAGACAUUUUCUCGUUUAAUAGUGUAAAGCUAUCCAAAUCAUUUGAAUUUUGGUUAGAAAAUUUUUUAAACUAUUUAAAACAAGAUCUAUACUCUCGAUCCUAAUUAUAAAAUUCUUAUCAUCACUUUUUAGAGGAUAUUCAUUUUCAACCGUUCAUUUUUUCGCCCACUUGAUGGACGAGAGAACAAUAUCGAAAAAUUUCUAUAUACUUUAAAUGGUAUAGAUCAUUUUCAACAGUGCCGAUCGUCGAUUUGGAAGGGUGAUUCUCCUCUCUUACGAAAGAAAUAGGUGGCAACGGAGUCUGUUUGCUACCGAUAGUAUUCCAGCUUAACUCUCUCUCUCUCUCUCUACAUAUAUAGAAUUAUGCUACUAUACUUUCAAUAGUACCAAGCACUUUGUGCUAUCGAGUUUUCGACUAUUGGAUGAAAGGAUGUGCGGUUAGGAUGAUAGUGGUCCCAUAGAGUUGAGUGGGUGGUUGAUUGAAUAAUAUAAUCUAAUGGGUAGAAAUGAUCAAAAGGUACAUCUAACAGCAGAAAAUUUGAUAGUACCAAGAGCUUGGUACUAUCAAUAGUAUAGUAGUCGAUAUAUAUAUAUAUAUAUAUAGUCCGGCUAUGGUACUUGUAAAAGUACCAAGUAUUUGGUGCUUGUAAAUUUUUUACCGUUAGAUCUACGCCUUUGAUCAUUUUCACCCGUUAGAUUAUACUAUUCAACCAACCACCCACUUAACCCUAGGGGGCCCACAUCAUCCUAACCGCAUAUCCCUUAAUCCAAGGGCUAAAAACUUACAAGCACCAAUGACUUGGUACUUUUAAAAGCAUAAGAGCUCAAUUCUAUUAUUAUAUAUAUAUAUAAUAUAGUAGGGCUACUAUACUAUUAUGAGUAUUGGCUUCGAUACUCAUAGUUAUUUUCGUGAUGGAGCUUCUGAAUUGACGAUCACUGUUUAAAUAUGAUCUAGAGUAUUUGAAACUUCUAGAAAAUAAAUUUCGUAAUUUUUCAAAUCAUAAUAAAGUCAUCAAGCGCGCAUAAAAUGAACGGUCAAAAUCGAACGAUAUCUUAAAAAUGGAUGAUCGGAUCCUUCAAUUUAAGAUCGAAGUUAUUGAUCUUUAUCUAGGUAGUGAAUAAAAUUUUCUAUCAAAAAUUCAACUAUUCGGAUUCUUUUGCACCGUUAAACUAGCAAGUUAUUUCUAUCGGCCGUUAAAAAAUGUCAAUUUUGUGAGCUUUGAUCGUAAGAUAAAUGAUGUCGAAAAAUAUGAAAUUUGAUUUCUAGAUGUUUCAAAUGCUCUAGAUAACGUUUAACGGUGUGGAUCGUCGAUUUGGAAAGCUCUAUCAUCGAAAACAACUUAUGAGUACGAGGGCGAUCGUACUCAUAAUAGUAUAGAGCGCCAUCUAUAUUAUAUAUAUAUAUAUAUAUAUAUAUAUAUAUAUAUAUAUAUAUAUAUAUAAAGAGAGAGAGAGAGAGAAAGAGAGAGUUGAGCUGGAAUGCUUUUGAUAGCAAACGGGCUCCAUUGCCACCUAUUUGUUUUCGAUGAUGGAGCUUCCAAAUCGACGAUCGGUACUGUUGAACAUAAUUUAUACUACUUGAAAUAUAUAGAAAUCAAAUUUUAAAUUUUUUCGACAUUAUUGGCCUGAUGGUCAAAGUAUUUUAAAAUCUGUCAUUUUAAUAGUCGAUAUGAUCGGCUCCUUUAGACUUGAUCUAACUUAUUUGAAAUAUUUAGAAAAUAAAUUUUACAAUUUUUCGAUAUCAUUUAUCUAGCGAUCGAAAGAGUUCAAAAUUAACGGUUGAAAGUAAAAAUCUCACAAAAAGUGGUAAUAUAGCGUUAAAAUUUUCAAUCAGAGAUAUUGAUAUUUCAGUAAAUAGUAUAAAAAUUUUUAAUCAUAAUUUCAUCUUAUUUGAAUGCUUCUACACCGCUAAACUUGCAAACGAUAUAUAUUAACCAUUAAAAAUGGUUGAUUUUGAAUCCAUUCGAUCGCCAGAUAAAUGAUAUCGAAAAAUCACAAAAUUUAUUUUCUAAAUACUUCAAAUAUGGUAGAUCAAGUCUAACGAAAUCGAUCGUCAAUUCGAAAGCUCUAUCAUUAGAAACAACUUAGGAGUACGAAAACCUCCAUACUUCUAAUAGUACACAAGACCUAUUCUCUCUCUCUCUCUCUCUCUCUCUCUAUAUAUAUAUAUAAUAUAAUAUAAUAUAUUUGCACUGUCCCAAAGUCACCCAAUGAUUAUGGGUCCUUGUUGUGCGGAUCCCACCAAUUGGAACCUGGGCUAAUAUGGUAAUUCUUACGUAGUAACGUACCCAAUGUAUUAUUAAUUUAAUUGUACUUAUUUACAUAUUAUAUUAUAUAUUAUUAUAUACAUCAUUAAUGCUUUAACUUUUGAUGUUCCCCUCGUGUAUCACAUACGAAACUUUGAAAACUCUUUUAGAGAGAAUAAUGUUUUAUUUAAUUAAAAUUAAAAAUCUCCUUUAAGUGCUAGUAAUGAGUCAUCUCAAAAAAAGAAAACCUUUAUUCCUAGAGAUUUUAUUUGAAACUGUGCAUAAGUAUGUUGCAUACAAUUAAAAAAUAUAUUUGUAUGUACUUCGUUUCAGCUGCUUCAACCUAAUAGGAUUAGAUCGUUUUCAGUAAUAAAUAAACUUAAUUAGUAUUAAAUUUUUAUAAAAGUUAAGGCAUUAAUUAGCUGCAACGCUAACUUCUUGCCUAAUAUAUUUUGGUAUUCAUAACCUUUGCAGUUCCUCGUUGGUUCAUUGACUUAUAUCUAGACCUAGACCUGACAAACGGAUGGGUUGGAUAACCCGCCAGCGGAUCAUUAUACCCGUGGAUUAUUUGGGUAUGGAUAAAAUUUAUCCGUAAAUUUUUGNUCAUAACAUAUAAUAAAAAUAUUUAAAGUUUUAAAGCAAAAAAUUUCACAAAAAAGUAACACGAUAAAGAAUUAGGGUUAAAAUUUUUAGGAUAAAUAAAUAAAUAAAUAAAUAAAUAAAUAAAUAUAUUAAUUAAAAAAAUAUAUUUUGUAAUUAAAAUAUAUAUGUGUGGGUACCCGUGGGUACCCGCGGAUUACCCAAAAUGCCUAUAGCUUAAUGGGUACCUAUCCGUUUUAUCCAUAAUUUUUUGGGUUGAAAAAGUUGGUACUCAUAUCCGCAAAUUUACGAAUAACCCGCAGGCACCCGCAGGUUUGGGACGAGAUUGCCAGGUCUACUUAUACCUACUUUUUUUUUUAUAAAAAAAAAACACUUUGAGAGCAUCCCAUUGAUUGAGAUAUUUCUUUGAAAUGGUCAAAAAAGCCGAUGUGUAUAAAGUAGACCGAGUGAAUAAUACACGUGGCUGGCUAAAGAUCCCGUUAAAAUCAACAAAGCAACAAAUUCCUCACUUAUGCAGGAUGACCCGACCCGACCAAUCAGCAACUUUGGAAAUUAAAGAUUUCCGUUAAAAUUAAAAUCUUUGUCUGGCUGCUACUCCAUAAGAGGUUGCUCACAGUUGACCGAUUGACCAAUCGGGGGAUCAAAGUCGAACCUUAUUGCGUCUUCUGUGCAUUUUCCUUCGAAAGUUGUGAUCACCUUCUUAGCAAUUGUAUUUUCGCCCGCUUUCUUCUUCUUCUCCGAUUGGCCAAGGUACCUAGCAGCGCUUCGAGCAUGGACGUCCGAGAUCUCUGAAACUUACUUUCAUAUAUCUCUGGAACUUACUUUCAUAUAUCCCUGAUGCCGCUUCAAGAGCUAAAUGAUUAACCAAGCUAGCGGCUACUUGAUGGGUUGUCUAGACCGAAUGAAACAGCUUUGUCUUCACUUCGAUUCCUCUGAACGUCGUUAGAGCCUCAAACAGAGUCUUCUCUCUGUCUAACUCUUGGAUCUCGCUCCUGUAACACUUCAACUUUUGGUUUUCUCUCUCUCCCCUUUAUCUCGCUCUGAUCUCUCCCCUUUCUUUUGCUUUGUUGCUUUGUUUCCUUUUAUUUACCUUUCUUCCGUUUUUUUCGUCAAGGAAGUCUAAGCUACUUCUAUCUAGGGGUGGAAACGAGCCGAGCUCGAGCGAGCUUACCUCGGCUCAAAUUCGGCUUGAAAUUAAUUUCGAGCCUAAAUUUAAGCUCAAGCUUGGAUUGAAAUUAAUUCGAGCCGAGCUCGAGCGAGCCUAAUUUCAAGUCGAGCGAGCUCGAGUCCUAAACGAGCCGCUUGAAAUUCUCAACAUUAUACGAUCAAUAGUUUAAUUUGUAUAGAACAUUAUCUAUAAUUUGAUAUAAAAAUAUGUCUAAUAAUUCAAAGUACAAAAUAAUUAUAUGAAAUAUAGUAUUAUAAUAUGAAAAAAAAUAAUUUAUGAGUUGAAUAUCUAAUUUUUUCAGUCUCACAUGUCUUUUCUUCCGCCUUCAAUCUCUAUAUUAUUCAUUUUUAUUUAUGCAGUCAAAAAUAAAUAAAUUAUAUAGAUAAAUAUUGGAAUUAACUAUAACCAUCUAUAUAAUAAAUUUAAAAUUUUAUGAAUAAAAAUUUUUUCUUUAAAAUAUUUGUUAUAGUUUUUCAAGCAUUAACAAUUAAUGUAAGGGUAGCAACGGCGGGAUAUGAUGUUACUUGGUAACUAGAGGGCUUCCGGCUUGGCCACUCUAGGUGUGAAAGCGAAAAAAGAAAGAGAGAAACUACUUGAAAAUUCAGACGCUCUGUGAAGAAAGAAAGAAAGAAGAAAGAAAAAAUAUAAAUUUAGUAAAAUUUAUGCUCUUUUAUUGUCUAUUGGCGUUUAUUUUUAUGGCAAAAUAUUGGGCCCAAUUUUAUAACUAAAACUCGAUUAGUUCAGCUCAGCUAUAUAUAUAUAAAUAUAUUAUAUUUAUAUUUUAAUAUAUAGGAUUACAUAUAUAUAUAUAUAAUAAUAUUAUUAUAUAUAUAUAUAUAUUUAGUUGUAGAACUACUAUAGCCUAUCGAAAAUAUAGAGAAUUUGAUGUUUUUUGAAUUUUUGAGCUUUUGACUUAAAAAUGUAUGGUUUGGGAUGAUUGCGGGUCUCCUUAAGGAUUGAAAUGAAUAGCUUUAGGAUGGGUCCUACAGGUAUAUAAUGUAAUCCAAGUUAAGAACGAUUAAAGAUUGAUUAAGAAUCAAAAUCGAAAGCAUCAGAUCUCUAUUACUUUCGUAGAAUGUAGUUACAUGACUACUAUUAUAUAUAUAUUAUAUAUAUAUAUAGAUAUGCAUUUUGAGCAUACUUCGAACGAGCGAGUAAUAUCAAGCUCGGCUUGAAAUGAAUUUCGAGCCUUUUAUUUUGUUCAAGCUCGGCUCAUUUAAUUUCGAGUCGAGCUCGAGCGAGCCGAAUAUCGAGCCGAACACAAGUCGAACGCGAGCCAGCUCGCUCAUUUGCCGGCCCUACUUCUAUCUUGUACGCUUAGUUCAUUUCUCUUAUUGAAUGAAGCAGGUAUCGUCCUACCUUUCUCUCAAAAAAAGAAUAAUACACGUGGCAGUAUGUAAUUUGCUGGGGAUGCUAUAAUAUGUCCCAACUUAAUUUUCCUUGAGCGGACGAAAAUGCUACGGGCGACUCAGAAUGAGUGCGUGGUAUUAUUAGUGAUUUAUUUUUUCAAAAUUAAUAAUUAAAAUUAAAAAAAAUUAUCAAAUAUUAUAAAAAUCGUAAUUAGUUUCAUGUAAAUUUGUCCCAUCAACUAUCUUUUCUAAUACUCUGAAACACAUGGACAGCAAAAAUAUUUUUAAGAAUAUGAUAUUUGACACAUUAAACAUCUUCUAAUAUGGUAAAUAAGAGAAGCUUUAAAUAUCGUACGACAUGGAGUCGUAGGAUUUUUAAAAAUAUUGCUUAAUCGAGCCGUUUUAAUAGAAGAAGUAUUAUAAAAAUACAGCUUAAGUACAGCAUUUAUAAAUAAUUUAUUUAGUUUAUUGGUUGCAUGUAAUUGAAAGAUUUAUUUAUACAAUUUUAUAAUUAUAUACAUUUAUGGUGGUGAGAUUAUCUCUAACGUAGAAAAGAGAAUUAUUUUAUAUUUAAAAAAUGAUUAGUGAGAUAAGCUUUUUUUGGUUUCAAACUAUUAUCUUGAAUUGUUAUAGCUGAAAUUGUAGCCAGUUUCGGUACAAUUAUAUGUAUGUGGAACUGUAAUAUUUGAAUUUAAAUAUAUCAAAUCAAACAUCAAAUUUUAAUUUGUAUGUAGUUAUAAAAUUAUAGCAGGCAAACAGUCUUUGAGUGGGCAAAGUUUGCGGAGCUUCGCUACAUGCGAUUGCUAAGAUGGUUUUGAAUUUGUAUUAAAACCUCCUAAGAUCGAGCUAAAAUGUUGAUACCGCACAUAUAUAUAUAUAUAUAUAUAUAUAUAAAACUUAUAUUUUACAAAAAUUCACUUAUUAUUCGUACUCCGGUGUACACUUUGAGGUACCCCUAACAUUGCCUUGUUAUACUACCAAUGUGAGUUGGGGUAACUCAGGAGCGUGGGUCCGGGUCCCACAAGACCGAGUCAAACGAACCCGACUCGUUCGCCGCGUUGAACGAGUCGCUCUUCCAAGUUCUCAGUGGACGAAUCGCGAGCGUAAGUCACAACCCCCCAGCAAAUACAAGUCCAAGCACUUUAAUACUCACAACUAGGUUUUAGUGCAAUAUAUAUAUAUAUAUAUGUAUAUAUUUAAUUUUUUUGACUCAUUAUUGUAAAAUUAGAUUGGACUUGGUAAAGAUGCAUCUUUUAUUUCUUAAUUUAAAACAGUUCUUAAUUAUCAACAACGUAGAAAGAUGUUGUAGCCUCCACGUGAAGUUCUAAUUAUAAUCUCGGGUUAACAAGUGGGUAUUGGGAGUUUCGAUCAAAAGUACAUGUAAUCUUAGUUUUUAUUCUACGUGAUUGAGUGUCUCUUUUGUUCUCUUUCUAAAUUAACUUUUGUAGGACACGUACAAAUAUUUUUUUUGAGGAAAAGAUAGCUCGCUACCUGCUUUAUUCAUAAGAAAAAUAAAUUAAGCUACAUGAGUGAGACAACACGGUCUCGAAAACACGUACAAAUAUUUGGGUGGUUAGCGGUGAGAUUUAGGUUUUUGAUGUGGACACCGCGUCACGUCCGAUUCAGUAUAUACCAAUUGUGACGAAGUUUUAAGUGCCUUUUCAAUCUGCUCUACCAAAUAGUGCUUUUUUUUUUCUUUUUUUUCUUUUUUUUGAGAGAGAGAUAGGUAUAGCAGGCUACCCGCUUCGUUUAUUUCAUUUAGAAAUAAACUUAGUUGGAAAUGUGAAUCAAUUAGGAUUCGAACUUGGGUCUCAAGUACCAACUACCAAGCACUUUGCCACUUACUAUAGGGACGGUCGGUUGCUUUUAGUUGUUAGUAAGAGAACAUCUAGAUGGUAUGUUUGCUUUCACAUAACUCGACUUAGACCGACUCGAUGAACUCACCAAUCAGGCGUUUGGACAAGGUGUCAGAAAGUCGAGAGAUCACCUCCAACAAGUACAGCAUGUCGAGAAGAAGCUCAAUAUGUCUAUGACUUCGUUUGGAAUUGUGGAGAGAUUGUGUUACAUGUCGUGAGAAAGUACGAUACAAAAAUGUCUUAUUAGUUUUCAUACGUAAUAUUACGUUUCGCAUAUCGCGAUGAGUCAGUUACGAUAUAUUUUCUGUGGUCUCACCGAAAAACGCAGGAACAUAUAUUUCUACAUGCUUUUACCUCAAAUCAAUUUUAUCUAAUAGCGUGAAAUGAACCUCAAUACCACACUAAGCCUAUAACUCGGGCACUUCAUGCAGGUGGAUGUGAAAUCAAGAUCCCCGAGGUGACAAGCUACGCAUACUCAGUUUCCAGUUUACCAAACAAACCCUGAGCUAUCUCAUUCACAACUUGAGAAACCUAGCAAAAUUGAAAAAGAUCCUAUGGGCUGGCCCAGAUUAUUCGACCCAUUAGUUAAUUAAGUAGGCUGGGCCUUUACAUUCUUCUCGUUCGAUGGGCUUUGAUGCUAAAUUCGUAUACUAUAUGUUCUUUUUUCUUUUAAUUACAUUCGUAAAAAACUGUUUUAUAUCUACAACAUGUGAUGUGGACUUUCAUUUUUGUUCUGUAAGUUAGGCCAGUAUCCUGUUCUGUGAUGGGAGGUCGAGUGGGUCGAGUCAUGUUUGAAAUGACGUGAGGCGAGUUUGAUCGGAUCAUAUUCGUAGUGGGGUGAGGCUGAAUGAGCUGAGUCACAAUCGAAACCCAUAAACAUUGUGUUUGUACACUUUAAAGGAAUUGAUUGUAUAUUUUUAAUAGCUCAAGUUUUGAGGAUUAGUGGUUAACGCCAACGAUCCGACAAGUGGUAUAUAAUUAGAGUAUUUUGUUGCUAGAAAAAUAAAUAUUUCAUAUCAUUAUGUUGUUGGUAUACUUUUAUUUUUUAUGACCAUAUCACAUGGAUAAAUUUUGGACAUGCCCCGAACCACGGUACUUAAAUUUUUGGAUAUACUCGGCCUUUUCCUUUAACAAACUCACAAUGUUUUUCCGUCUAUAUUUCAUGUCUCGUGCUUUAAAUUAGAUGAAUCGUAAAAGAGAAUAACCGAAGCACCUUUUUGCAGUACUUUUGAUUACGUCGAAAUAAAACAAAGUAAUCCAAGAUUGAGAAAUUUUCUUAUGUGCGCGCGUGCGCAUGCGCACCUCUAAUGUGAGACUAUAUGAUCCGUCGUUCAUACUGUUUUAAUAUUUGAGUUGAUAGAAGAUGAAAAAGGAGGUAUCGUGAGAACGGUCUCUUUUAAAUUCGUGUUGGAGGGUUUGGAAUUGUUUGGGAGUGUUUUGUGGUGUGGUUUAUGCGCCGUGUUAGGUAAAAUAAGACUCAGACCAAGUCACAAAAGGAAAACAAACAAAUCCAAUCCUUGGAGAUUCACUAAGAUUUUAAAAGCAACAUCUCAUAUCUAAAGCAAUAUCUUGUUGAUGUCAUGAUGUGGGCUCACUAUUUAUAUGGAUCUCAAAUGACCCUCUCUCUCUCUCUCUCUCUCUCUCUCUCUCUUCUUUUCUUUUUCUUUUCCUUAUUUUUUUUCUUUUUUGCAUGAAAUCUCAUACAUUUACUAUCUCAUAUAAAAGCCUGAAAUUUUUACCAUGAGAAAAAAUAAAAUAAGUUAGCAAUCUAACUUUGAACCUUUUUGGACUAAUAUAUUAAAUAUUAUCUUAAGUAACUCUAUUUGAAAAAAAGCUUAAAAUAAAAAAAACAUCUCGUACUCAAGAGAAUAAGAUGGUGUUCAUAAUAAUAUAUUGUGGAGUAGUUAUCCGAAAAAAAGACACGAGAAAGAAACUGAGGCGGCCACAAUGCAUGUGGGAGUACUACACAUUCUACUAGCAAACAAUUUAGUGGAAUCCAAUUAUGGGACUAAAAUUUGUCCCGAGAUUAGCUCCGUUCCAAUUCAUGAUUCCCUUUCGAUGUGAUUGAGUUAUUUAGUUUUCUUAUAUGUUCCAUCUUGUUCUUAUUUUUGAGAAAGUUACUCUAACUAAAAAUAUAGACUAUAAAUGUUAAAACAUAUGAAACAAUUAAUCACUGUGCUAUGAUAAUUUUAACUGCCAAAUAUUUUUAAAAUUUAUAUACGACAUUCGUUUGUACGUCUAAAUUCAAAACAUUUUUUUAGGCCAAAACGUAAACUCAACACGGAAUUCAAAUUCAAAACCUUCUACUGUGACGUCCCAUUAACUUGCCAAAAAAAUGUUAUUUUUAAGUAUUAUAUUAAAAAAUAAAGAAGGAAAAAUUCGAAAAGUAAGAACACUUCACCACAAAAUUAAUAAUCAAAAAACAUCCACCAAGGAGUAGAAAAUUUAUGUGAAAUUCAGUUAUCAAGGAUAUAAUUCAACAACAGGUCAUGCUCAAGAACAUCAACAGUCAACAUAAAAGGGAAAAAUGGCACCUCUAUUGAGUGAUGAUCAAUAGCUCUGCCAAAUAACCCAUUAGUUCCAAUUUAAAGUUAAAGGAAAAAUAAAUAAAUAAAAGAAGAAUUAAAAACAAGCAAUCGGAGAAUACCGAAGGGGAAAAAUUGAGACUGCCCAAAAUCCUAACAGAGAGGAGUUUAAAUUUAAUCCCUACUCUCCUCAGAAACUUCUAAGGAUCCCUCUUUUUUUUUUGUUUUCAACUCCCUCUCUUUUACUUUAUUUUAUCCCCCAACCCAUCAGUUUUUCUCCUGCAUACUAUACUAGAAGAAGAGGAAGAUCUCUUCUAGUUCUCUCUCUCUCUCUCUCUCUAUACAUCUAAAUUCUAUAUGUCAAUCUCUCUCUCUCUAUAUAUAACUUUGUUAAGUACAUUCCUGAGUCGCUUCUUAUCAGAUCAAUCUUAAAGUAACAUAGUACCGAAACCAUGUAACCCAGAAGAUCAAUCUGAUACGAAACAACCCAGGAAUAGUCUCAACACGCGCAAUAUCGCACUCUCGUCCCUCUUCUUAUUUCCAGCUGUAGCUCUCUGAUCUCCCAUCUUCUUCCUCGCAGCUGUCCCCAUUGGUGGUGGUGGUCAUGGAGAGGGCUCUGCCAUGGCUGUUGAAUUGGAGCGGCCCUUGCGGAGAUCCGGAUUGAGAAGUGCUUUGCUGAGAAGCUGUGUCUUGGUCUUGCUGCUGCUGCUGCUGCUGCUGCUGCUGCUGCUGCUGCAUCCACAAUCCGCCCAUCACCACAACUUGUGGGUUCGGAUUGGGCGCGGUAUUCGGCAUCCGUCUAGUGUGCAGUCGAUAUUUCUGAUUAAUAAACAAGAAUAUAUUUGAGUUAUAGAUGAUUUGAAAGAUUUUAAAUUUGAGUUCCAAAGGUUUUAAAUUUGAAAGAUUUGAGGGGGAUCAUGUGAUACCCACCUGGAGAUGGCUCUUGACUUCAUCAUUUGUGAGGCCAUCCACCUUCAUUAGUUCUCUGAUUUGCUUUGGAGUAGCAACUGUGAUCCAAGAUGAAGUAGAAUAAUUAGAUCAAAAAAAAAAAAAGAAUGUUACAAGUACUUUUUAAAUAUAUAUAUAUAUAUAUAUAUUAAAAAAAAAUGAAAUGAUUCUAAUCUAAGUCCUAUUUGAGAUUCCCUUCCAUUUUUUUUUCCCAUAAAACAUUAAAAAAAAACCAUAAAAUUAUAAGUGAAAAGGCACACACAUAAUAAUGUUCCAAUUAAAUCACUGUAAUCCAUGAAUAUGUUGGCCAAAAAUUACAAUUCAGUCCAUUUACAAGUUCAAAAUUUCUAAAACUGGCUCCCUGGUAUCUUAUUUUAUUGAUUUGAUAGAACAGAACAUGUCCCAAAAAUAUUCUCAAUCAACAGAGACUACUCAAAACUUUCGAGUAAAAAUUCAAACAAAAGAGGGUCUCCUUUUGCAGUAUAAUACCAAUAAUAACGAGUUUUAAAUUUACAAUUCGGUCCUCACCUUGUGCGCCACCGAGGUGUUCCAAGGCCAUCACAAAGCGCCGGCGGACCUCUUCCGACAACCCUAGCCCUCCCCCCGUCGCCGGCGACGGCGAUCGUCGGCGGCGAGCUCCUCAUCGCCGGCGACAGCAGGGACAGGUCCGGCAACCCCACCGCCGCGAUCGCCGCCUCCUCCUUCUUCGCCGCUACCGGCGGCGGCGGCGGCGGCGGCGGCGCCGUCACGCCCUUAAACGGCGUGAACGCUCCGGCGCCGUUAACGUUGAUUUCCACCGACGCGCUCUUCCUCUUCUCCUGCGACCAAAACCCACACAACAGAUUUAACCCCCCAAAAUAAUAAUAGUAACAAAAAAAAAAAAAGAGUAAAAAUUAAUUUUGUCACGGCCCCUUACCUCUUGUGACAUUUUUUUCUCGGAAACAUUAUUGGUAUGAGCAUUAUUAUUGCUACAAUUAUCGCUCCAUAGCUGGGCCGAGCUCAUCCAGCUCAUCUUAUCCCUCCGAUCCGUUUCCUCCUCCUCUUCUAAUUUUCUCUUCUUCGUCUCCACGCGACAUUUCUCUACCUCGCGCUUCAACCCUUCGAUCACUAAACGAUCACAAACAAACAAAAACAAAACAAAAACGAAAAGAAAACAUUCAUAAAUAACGCACGGACGAAGAUCAACAAUUUCUUUCGAAUCAGGGAACGCAAAAUUUUAUCUUGAAAUAAAAUUCGCACCGUCGCCGAUGAGGUGCAUGCACAGCGGGAGCUCGCGCUUGAACACCUCGAUCUUCGCCUUCUCCUCUUCGAGAACCUUCACGAACUCCUCCAUCUUCGUCGCCUUUCCGUCUCCGCCCUCCACCGCCGCCUCCUUCAGAAACCCAUUGACGCUUUUCAUGGUGCAAAGCUUCAAAUCCAAGCCCAUCAUCAUCUCCCCCUCCCCCAAUCCCAUCUCCUCCUCCUCGUAAAGCUCUCACCUUCUAAAUCGGUAAAACGGAGAAAAUCCAAGACAAAUACAUGGAAAAAUGAGAUGGGUGUCCUCAAAUAUAUACAUAUAUAUAUUUAUAUACACAGACGCGCACACACAAAAACCAGUGUGGAGGAAAUGAGAAAGGGGAAUCGAUCGAACCGAACCGCGCGGGUUUUUUUGGUGGUGAAUGAACCGGGCGGUUCUUUCGAACCGGUGGGCGAGCAAGGGUAAAAUUGGAAAGAGGACGCGGGGACGAUUCGUCGCGUACGAAAUCUCGAAGCCCCUCUCGCGCUGCCAAAAAAACCGCGGUCGAGAUACCGCUUCCAACGGUGGUGCCCCGACUCCAAAACUCCGAAUCUUUCUUAAUUAAAUUAUUAUUAUUAUUUUAUUACAGUCAAAAAUGCAUGGAGAUUCUCUCGAGUAUACCUUAUUCUACAAUAGUCCUAUGCACCACAAACUUUUCUUUCUCAGAUUUUUUUUAAAUUUUUUUUAAGAAUUACAUCAUUUUGACUACAAUCAAAUUAGCCAAUAAUUUUGUUAAAUUUAAUAGAUGGAAUUAUUUUACAACAAAUAAAUAUUAAAUAAUAUUGAUUUAUUCUGUAUAAUAUGUGAAGGUUGAAAUUAGUAUUAUAAUUCUAAAUAUUCAAUUACACUUUUUAUCUAUUAAAUAUUAAAUAAAUACUGAAUCUUAAUAAAAGUUCACGGUCUAUUUCAGAAUCAUUGUAAAUUUAAUUUACUAUAUUAUUAUAGUAAUUAAUAGUAAUAAUUUACUUUUUUAUCCGAAAUUUUUUAAAAAUAAUUUUUUAAUUGAUAUUAUUUAGUGUUAUCGGCGUGUCUCGGGUCGCCUCGCCAUCCGAGAUUCUUCGGAAGAGUAGGUGGGGCGUAGGUAUCCACGAUAAUAAAGCGGAGUUGAUUCGUUUCUUACCCAUUUUGUCCUCGCCCUUCCCAAGUAAAUAGAUGAUAAUAUUUUGCUAUUUUCACCCCCAAUUUUUGUUAGAAUCUACUCCGGCUCGCAAAGAAGAAAUAGUCAAAAAAAAAAAAAAUUUAAAAAAAUUUUUUCCAAAAUUUUUUAAAAUUAUUAUUAUUAUUAUUAUUAUUAGUGUGAGAGUGAUUACUCAGAAGAUAUGCUUGACUAUUCAUGAUAGAAAGUUGUCAGAAUAUCUUUAGCCAAAUACACUUACGUGAGAAGCAAUAAUUGCUUCAGUAUAUGUUGCAUUCGUAGUUUAUUAAAAGACAUAUCUUGAGAUUCUCCGACGCUAGAAACGCUUCACUAUCUUCUUUUUUUUUUGAAAAUCUGUAACGUAUAUGCAAUUUAGUUAAAGAAUCACAAGACUUAAUUGUUUCAAUGUAUAUUUUCUCUAUAGUUGAUCGAGAGGCCAUCUUUUGAAAUAUACGCCUAUACAAUUUCACUACACAUUAAGUUUACAAACUUAAUUUAGUUAUUUACUUGUUAGAACUACUUUAAAUUUCUAUAAUUUAAAUUUAAAUAACUAAAUUAAAUUUGUAAAUUUAAUAUGCCUUUUCUUUUCCAUUAACAUUUAAUUUAUCUAUAAUUAUCAUCAUGCUUUAUUUGUGAGUAAACUGAAAAUACAAGAUACGUUAGUCAUUUUGUUGAUUUUUCCAACUUGUCAAAAACAAAUACAAAUACUUUGAAUUUCGAAUGCUUGUGUAAUAAGUUGGAAGAAAUUAUAAGAUUGCUUAUUUUAAAUAAACAUUUUCAAUUUGAUUUUGACAAUAAAAUGUUCCGCUAUAUAUACUAGGUGCAACCGUUUGUUAAGGAGCGGUGGUGUAAUUGUGAGGGGUCUAUUUAUCAUGGUCUCAUUAAUUUUGGAUUUGGCAAAGUAAAUAAUUUUCAAAAAUGUAUACGGAAUUGUAUGGAACUUUUUUUAUUUUUAUUUUUUUACUGACCUUGCUUUGUAGAUUCUAUUCUACGUUUGUUUCGUACGUCCAAAAUGUCACGUUAUUAGUUAGUAAUCACUACACGACAAAAAUAUGUUCUUAUCCUUUAAUGUGGAUAUAUAUUUUAUACAACUGAGGUUGUACUAAAUUUAUGCAAACUACUAACAAUUUGAUUGGUCUAUAAAUUUUUUGAUGCAACAUAGAAGUGAAUGUUUCGAAACCAACCAAAUUUUACUCUUAUUUUAUAUUUACAAUUCAAAUGUAUCAAUCAAAUAGUCAAUUUGUUAUAAUCAAUCACGCAGUCUCAAUUGUUUAUCAAGUCUCUUAAUUACUAUCAAUACAUGAAAAAAAAAAGAAAAAACUUCAAAAAACUCCCGUGGUUUCGUAGUUUCUCACUUUGCCCCCCUGUGGUUUAAAAUGUAUCAAUUUACCUCCCUGUGGUUUCGUUUUUAUCUUUUCGGUAGCUUUUUCCUUAAUAUUUUAUUAAAUUAUAUACAAAAAACUUCAGAUAUCCAUCUAGAUUUAUUAAAUAUUCACUUUAGUACCCUUUAAUUUUAACUUUAUCAUUGAUUUAAGAAAAAAAAAUUGAUAAGAAAAAGAGAAAAAAGAAACCACAGGAGGGCAAAUUGAUACAUUUUAAAUCACAGGAGGGCAAAGUGAGAAACUACGAAGCCACAGAGGGGGUUUUUGAAGUUUUUCCAAAAAAAUAUCGUAUAAUUUUCUAAUACAAUCCACAUUUAUUGUUUGAAUUUUAGGUUUGACAAAGGUUUAGAUGAUGAUAUUUGAUUUUCUUCAUUGCAAGUUAACAGUUACUUGCUGACACAGUCUAUGCAUCUCGAUAGAAGUUAGUGAAAACUAUGUAACUCAUAGCAGCGAUCGAAUUGGUUAUUAAAAUAACAAAUUUUAAAGUUUAAAUAACGAAUAGCUUGUAAUUUUUUUUUUCUCACAAUUGAAGGAAAUAGCCGAGUGCUACUUCAUAGGUGGGCAUCUUAACCAGAUGUCAUUAAGACAGUUUAGUGAAUCAUCUGAUCCAUAUUGUACCUGAAUGGUGAUCGAAACAUGCUAUAGAUGCGUCCACUUUCGGAUAUAUAUAAAACAACAUUAUCGUCUAAAUUAAGAUCAAAUUUUUCACACUAAUUUUUAAAUUGUUCAAUGAAUUUAGAAAGAGCUGAGUAAGCAUUUGGAACAGCAAAACUGAUUGAGAUUGAUGUAAUGGGCAAUGAAUUUCAUAGAGCUGAGUUGAGCAUGUACAAAAUAAUAGAUUGAAUGAGACUGAUCUACACUGCAUAUUUAGAGAAACCAAGUUAAGCAUGAAUGAGACGAUAAAAAUGAUUGAGACGCUGAUCAUUCAUGUUUCUUUUUUGUUUUUUCUGAAGUUUUCUGAAAAAUAGUGAACGCAUCGUUUUUGCGCUGUUAAUUGAUAGGAUUCUUUUGAUCCAACGGCCACGGUUAAUUUCUUCCACACCAUGCUUGGGACCAUCGAGAAAACGAAAAAGUGAUCUACUGUGUCAAACUUGCGCCACAUCAUCAAUAACAAGUUAAUAAUAUCUCUCUUUUUUAAUAAAAAAUAAAACAAAAAUAUUUUUUUUAUAAUUAUGGUGGAACAAAUAAAUUUAAAAAGAACUAUUUGAUUAGUGGAAGGUACCACAUUAUUUAUAUGGCUGUUGUAUUUUAAAAUUUUUUUGAAAAAAAAGGGACGGCUCUGAGGUAACGUCAUGUGAUUUGGACGGCUGGUGAUUCAGAUUCCGCCCAUGGUACGCUUUUUAAAGUCCACCGCAAAUGUUUUUCGCGGCCGUAACGUUUCUUUGAUUAGAUUAUUAUUAUUACAUAAAAUAUUAUAUAUAUAUAUAUACUGAAAAAAAAAAAAAUUGAGAUGCUCUUUGGGCCCUUGGACGCGAAGGAACCGCCAUUAAUAAAAAGAUUCCCCAGAGCAACCCCCGUGGAUGGCAAUUUCGUAAAUAAGUGGGAAGAUGGAGGGUAAUUGUGGAAGGGCGUUGUCCCCCGCGUGUACGUUUCCCUCGCUCUUACAUGCGAUUCCAUGGAGCCUCUCCGAGAGCGCCCGCCGCGUACGAGCGUACUCCGCGGGGACCAGUAGCACGUCGACACGUGUCCCAUCUCGCGGAAUCUUCUAGUCACGCGACUAUACUUGCAAAAAUCCCCCAACCCCCCCCUCUCUCUCUCUCUCUCAGGCUUUUUUUUUUCUUAUAUUAAUUUUUAUUAUUAGACAAAAAUUUUGAAAUAUAUUUAUAAUUUAAAGUGUAUUAAUUUAGUAUUAUUUAGUUUUAUUUUUAUUUUCAUUAUUUUUUUACUAUUUUUUAAAAUCAAGAUAAAGUUAAUACUAAAAAGAUAUUAAAGUGAAUAUUCGAUAAACAUAAAUACAGUAUCUGAAGUUUUUUUUAUAUAUAAUUUAAUAAAAUAUUAACGGAGGAGCUGACGAAAAGAAAAAAUAAAAUAAAAUCACAGAGUACUAAAUUGAUACACUUUAAUUAAACCACAUGGUUCUCAAGUGAGAAAGUGCGAAACUGUAUGGGUGGUAUUUGAAGUUUAACUUUAAAUCUAGGCUUUAAAUUGUUUGAAUAUAAGAAUAUAAAUAUAUUAUUUUUUUAUAAUUUAAAUAAACUAUAACAUCGUUUGAGGUUUAGUGUCAUACAAAUUCAAACAAAUAAUGAUAAUAUCAUAAUUUAACGUUAACUUUAAAAGGAUAAUAAAGUAUGCAUUAUUCUAUGUAAAACCGAUUUAUAAAUAUCAUCGGAGAUUUUCGAAGCAUUGCUGAGACAUCUCAUGAUACAAUUCAAAUACGAUUUUCUUUGCCUAAUAUUUAGUAAUUAUCCAAUAAUUAAUUAUGUUGAUGCUCCAACAAGAUUACGAACAAAGUGUUAAUAUCAACUUUAAAUUAUUAUCUAUUGGAUUAAUCUUUUAGAUAGCAUUUUCUGAGGUUCAUAACUAUAUAUAUGUCAAAGCAAUAUUUUACAACCCCUUAAUAUUUUCAAAAAAAGAAAAAAAAGAGAUUAUUUUGGGGAGUUACCAACUUUAACUUCUUUCUCCCUCACACUCCCUAUCCCUCAUCUUCUAAGGCUUUUAAAAAAAGUCAUGGUUCUCAUUGAUAUGCUAAGGCCUUAUCAUCCACGUGUUACACGGCAUCUCGAUAACAUUAAUUAUUAAACUUUGUAUUUAUGAAUUAUGAGGAUGAUAGUUAAGAUAAUAACACAGCAUCUCGAUGUGUGGUUAAUUAUGAUAAUAAUGGUCCCCAGUUCCCCACUUAGAAUAAUAAUAGUCCGCUAGGGUUGAGUGGGUAGUUGGUUGAAUAGUAUGAUCUAACGGGUGGAAACGAUCAAUAGAAUAAAUUUAAGGGCCGAAAACUUAUGAGUAUAAAAGAGUCAAUACUCAUAAAAGUAUGGUAGCCGAACUCUAUAACUAGGAUCAAGACUCUUCCAUGCAUGAUUGCUAUACAAAAAUAAAACGUGUUUGGUACUCCACAUAAAAGGUUUUCGCAUAAUAAUGGUGACAUGAUAGGUUUUUUAACGUCUCUGUUCAUGUGUAUUAUAAAGAUUGAUUAGAUACUAAAAAUUUUGUAGCAUAUUUAAAUGUCGAAUUAAGUGUGGGAUUUGGGUUUUGAGAUUGAGAGGAUUAAAUGAGGAGUGAAUCUGAUCACAUCAUAUUAUUCAAAAAAUUAUUCUUGUUGAAUUGGAGCAAGAAUAAUGUUUGCCCCAAACUUUGUUGAGACCGUCCAAAUGGUAGCUAUCAAUCAUGCGUGGCGCACAAAUUAUUUCAAUAAAUUUCCAGAUGCUCUGUUAGCACAUCAGCGAUGCUUCAGAACGCAUCAGAAGCGCUUAAAGUAAUACUUUUCUAAUAUUUGUCGUGAUAUUUUUGAGAUGAUAGGAAGAAAAGGAAUACGGAUGCUUUGGAGUAGCUAGCUAAAUGACGAACUUAUCUAGUCGCCUCAGAUUUUUUUCCCUUAUUUUUUUACUUAAUUUGUUCUUCAAAUUUGGACAAGCAAUAAGUUUAAACAUAAAAGUCCUUAAUGAUACAUAUCUCGGGAAAAAAAAAGUACUUAAUGGUACCUUUUUUUGUUUGAUGGUGCUAGUAACCCAGUGGUAAAUAAUUAUUCUUCUUUUGUUUAUACAAUCCAAAGCACAAGAGUUACAUCUAUAUAACAAAGUAUAUAUUCAAUGUGAAACCACAUGUAUCUAUUUUAUAUACAUUAUCAACCAUCAUCUUAUUUAUUACCAUUCAAAGGAAAUAAUUGAAUACAUUAAUUGGUGGUAUUAUGACUAGUGCUACAUCCCUAAAUUUGUUUGGUAUUACUUUGAAUGACUUUAGUUGUUCAACCUGUGAAUUCUAGAAUGGUCUCAAACCUAGCUUAAUUUAUUGGGUGGUUGAUCAGAUUCUUUCACUUUGUGGAUGAAUCAGGAUCAUGUAUAUGUAUAUUUUAAUUUAAUUUGACUAAACCACUUGACCACAGGGUAUUCACAUUAAAAUGUUGACUACUAAUAAAUUUACAAGUGUGGAAGCGUGAGAUUUUGAAAUAUAUAUAUANUAGCACGGAGCACUCCGUACUACCAAGUUGUUUUCGAUGAUGCGGCUUCCAAAUCGACGAUCGGCUCCGUUAGACUUGAUCUACACUAUUGAAAAUAUUUAGAAACUAAAUUUCAUAAUUUUUCGAUAUCAUUUACCUAUCAAACAAGUAGUCUAAAAUUGAACGGCUAAAAAUAAAAAUUUCAUAUAUAUAUAUUCAAAGAUAAGAAGAUUCCAACAGUCAUUUAAAAGGAGGAUAUAAUUAAUUACCAUAGAUUUAAAUAAAUAUAUAUAAAUUGGAAUACUUAGUUCUCCAUUGAGAAGCCACGUUGGGGUUUCAAUAUUGUAUAAGGAUCCCCAAAUUUUGUACACUUUAAACAGGGAUCUAACAUGUUACUCUUAUUGGUUUUCCUAUCUUUAGCUGGUAAGUGAAUCGAGCCGUAAAUAUGAGAUCGGAUCUUAUUAUAUAUAAGAGAAUCCGAAGUCCACUUCUCUGGAGAGAGAAAAAAAAAAAAAAAAAAAACACAGAGAAUCCGAAGUUUUUCUUAAAAACUAUAUUAAAUGCAUUUAGUAGUUCUUUGGAGCCUAUCAUACAAUCAAUGUUCACCUACGAUGAUUGGCAUUGGAUGCGAAGAUUCUUGUUCUUCGAAUAAUGCUAUUGGAGAAAUUGACUUCUUUUGGACUGUACGCUUCCAAUUAAGUAUCGUACGAUUUUAUGUAAAUAACUUUUAUGAUAUACAUUUUUUUUCCCUUCUUCUUCUUCUUCUUCUGAAGUUGCUCGUAAACCUCUUACCCCAAAAAUAAAGGAUUGGGUCUUAGUUAAUAAUACGAUUUUUACUGUUCAGAUUCUACUCUUAUCUACUUCUGAAAACGAGUACAGAGACAAUAUUCUUGCUGCCAAAAUGUUAGUUUGUUUGGAGGCUAUCAUCUUCAUACAAAGCAAGGGGUGGGUUGGGCUCAUCCAACCAUGCAUGAUUGGGCAUUGGAUGCUUUAGAUUCUUUCCCCCAAAACCCUAGAAACCAAUGGCUGAGGAUCGAGGAGUGAUGGGAAUAAUUAAAUAACAACAAAUGCUCAACCAACUUCACCAGAUUCUGUGGCUGUUCGUUUGUCGCGUCCAUGUGAGUCCAGAUGUAAUGGUGGGGCCAAACGCUUAUUAAAAAAAAAAAAAAAAAAAGAAGAAGUUCUCUGAUCAAAUUUAUGUGCUCUCACUGCAGCAACUUUAAUUAUGCUCUCCCUUAAGUUCUUGGCCUUAUCGUUUAGGGAAGGGAUCUUAUAUAUCAAUCUCUCUCUUUAUCUCUUCCUUGUUCCAUUUUUUCGGUCUUUUUGAUGCGGCGAAAAAAAAAAAAAAAAAAAACGAUGUAUGUAGACUCCAUCAACUGCAAUCUACUUUAUAAUAGACAUGUUUUCCUUUUUGUUGUAAACAGAACGAUUUUUUAUACCAAAAAAAGGAAUAUCAUAAACACAUUACGAAUAUUUUCAACUAUCAAAACAAAUAUAUACCCUCUGUCCCGAAUAAGGAAUAUGACGAUAAGUCGACAUGCUCAAAAAGCAACGCUCUGAUAGUAGUAGAACAUGAAUUCAAAUCCUUAAUUUUAUAAAUAAAUAAGAGUAUACGUGUAUACGUAUAAUUUACAGAUACAUUGAUAAAAGAAAUUGAUAAAGUAAAUAUUAAAGAGUCAAUUUUUCGCCAAGAUAGAUUCCACCACUCUCUCUCUAUUCUCUCUCUCUCUCUAAAAAGUAGGAAAUGUGGAAAAUAGACUUCAUGGGCCAUCAUGUUCUGACUUCAUGAGCUUCUCAUCUUUUCGUAGAAAGGGGGAGCCUACUUUCACAGCAAGAAAAGUGCCUCUUAUCAUCAUCAUUAUUAAUUAUUAUUUUUAUUAUUUUUGGGGACCAUCCUCAACAAACAAUAAGCAUCACAAAUUUAGAUAAAAAUUAGAAAGGUUGUUAACCACUCUUUUAACAAAAAGAUAUAACACAAUAAUACAUUGUUUAUUAUAUAAUAAUGCUUCUUACUUGGUGUUUUAAUGGAUCUGAUUUGAUUUGACCUGUUUGGCACACUUCAGAACUAGUUUUGAAGGUAGAAAUUUCGUUGAUCUUUUUACGCGUAAGAGCUACUAAUCUCUCCUCUAAAAAUUAAAAUAAAAUAAGAUGCAAUCCCUUUCAAAAGAGAUCUUCACAAGUCAAUUGUGGAAUCAUAUUUUACCUAGAAUAAUUUUUUAAAAAAAAAAAAUUUCUAAGAAUAAUAAAAUAUUUUAUUUUUUUUCAAAUAAAAAAAUGGUGUGAUUCGUUUCAUACCACUUGUGACUUGACCACUGACCAAACCCCAACACCUCUCAUAAUCCGCCCCAUUUGCAAUGUGGCCGUACCGCACCCGAUAAGGUAAAUUGACUUUACGCCCCCCUACAAACACUAAAAUAAUAAAAAAAGCCCUCCUCUAUCAAGAUUCUUCAUUGGACUUUAUUAUUAAAUUAAAGACCCCACUUUACCUUAUUAUUAUUAUUAUUAUUUUCUAAUAUGUAAUCCAUCUCACUUUAUUAAUUAUAAUAACAACUAGUUAGUUUUAGAAAGAGCAAAGUGAUGGUUAAUAUCAAUUUUGAUUUGUUUGUGACUUUAGAUAAUAAUAAUACUAAUUUUGUGUGGCAUAAAAAAUAAUUUUUUCUGUUGUAAUUAGAUUAUAGAAUUGUGAAUUCAGCGAUCUUUCGACAGUUCUAAUCUAAUUGAAUUUUUAUCUAUAAUAUGUUUUAUUUAUAUGUGCUUAAAUAUAGAAAAAAAAAGUUACAUUACAUACCAUAAUUCUUGGCAUGGUAUUAUUGUUCAUUACUAAUUUGCUAAAUUUUUUUUUUUAAAAAAAAAAGGGAAAAGGGAGUGAUUAAUAUAAGCCUCAAACACAAAUAGAACGAUGAGAUGCGAUUCCUCAUCAAAUUUAAAUUAGCCGAGAAUAUCUUACCACAUAGGGAAUAAAAUAAUCGAUUCCCGAGGGGCUUUUUUGAAAAAAAAAAAGUUUUCCCCCAUGGAAAAAAAGAGGAGGAGAUUCCGAGUUUUGGGGGGGAAACCGUGCGUCCGCAUAAAGGGAGGCGUGGGGGUGGUGGUGGUGGGACCCACGCCCACGUGGCGGUGUCGGCCGUGGUGUUUGUGGAUGAUGACGUGGACGCCACGCGAAUCGGUUCGCCGCAUCGGGGCGCGACCGCGCCAGCCGCGUCGUAACGUGUCGUCGUCGUCACCUCCAUUUUUCUAUAGGAUAUUUUGAAAUAGGCCCCUUCAACUUUUAAUUGAAUUUUGGAUAAACUUUAAUAAGUUGCUCCCCAGUAUUUUAAUUCAUUUUCACUUUUCCAUUCUUUGAUGCAAAAAAUUACAUUUCAACUACUCUAUUAUCUUUUUUUUUUUUUUUGGUAUUCUGCGAUUUAAAAAAUCAUACCAACUAUUCUGUGGUUGUCAAAAAAUUUUACUUCGCUAUUCUUUUUAAUAAUAGAUGUUUUGGAUAAAAAUAAAAGUGAAAAUGAGCUAAAACUACGGCAGAGCGAAUUGAAGUUUAUCCUAUUAAUUUUUUGGUGGAUGCCUCUAGAACUUUAAUUUCCUAAUUUAAUUUUUACAGUUAAUUAAUAUAAAAUUUUUGUCAAACUUUAUAAAUCGAUUAGCUAUGAGUUGUUAAUUGAUUUAAUUUUGUUUUCUAUAAAAUAUUUUGGAUAAAAUUAUCAAUUAAUUUAGUUUUUUCUAAAUUUAUUUAUUUAAUUCCGAAAAGAUUAAAAUCUGAAGAGAUGCCAAUAAAUAAAAAAGUUGAGUGGUCUCCAUGUUUUUUGUUCAAACUAGGAAAAAAGAUAGGGCAAAAUGAUUUUAAUUAAAUAAAUUAGAAAUUUAGUUUGACAUUUAUAUUAAAUUUAAUAAUUUAAACUAUUUCAUAAUAAAUAAAAAAUUUACUUGAUUAAUUAUUAAUAACUAAUUGACCAGAGAAUUUACUAAGAUUCUUAUCUUAAUAAUUUAAAAUUUUAAACUAAAAAUUUAGAAGUUCAAGGAGAUGUCAAUAAUAUAAAAAUAAAAAUAAAUAAACACAAAGUUGAGGUGUGUGUUUGGAGAUAACCUUUGAUUGUUAUUUUAUUUUAUUUAAUUAUUCUCUUUUGUGGGCCCCGCAUCAAUCUAAUCCCCGGGAUUCUCUCUUUGUUGCUCCCCCCACCUUUUAAUAAGGUGGGCCCCACUCUCUACUGUACUCAUUUAAUUUCUCAUAUUUUUAUUUUUUUAUUUAUCUCUUUGUGAGAAUUCACUCAUAGGAAAAGUAAAGGCACAAAAAAAAAAAAAAAAAAAAAAAAUUCUCAAAUUUUGAAAUGGUGGCUCUUAAAUUCCUUUUAAAAAAUUUCUCACUUUUGUUUUAUUUUGAUUUUUUUUUUUCUGGUAUAAUCUUAGGAACUAGACCAUCGAACGAAGACAAAAAUAAAUCGGUUUCAUUGAUUCCGAUCAAGUCAGAGAGAUGUGGUUCAUGCCAAAUUGCAAGGCUAUCCAUCAUUACUUCCACAAUAUACCCUAAUUAUAAGAUGCUAGGGUCUAUAAGCUUUAGGAUAAGUUGGCAUGAUCACCAAAGAUAAGAUAGGAUUCCCUUUCCCCUAAUCUCCUCACACAUACAAAGGAUAUAAUAUAUAUAUAUAUAUAUAUAUAUAUGUUGUUUGAAAGAGAGGUUGAUGUCACUCAUCAACCACACUAUCAAAGAAAGGGGGCAUCUUUUUACACUUGUUUUCUCCUUAUCCAAAAGGAGAAUAUGGGAAAUGUCCAAGGUAAUAAGGACAUGCUUUUGUGUGGUCUAGUAGGGAAUAAGAGAUAGGUGCCUUCCAACAAGAGGGAAUCCAACAUACAUCAUGGGAAUUUCCCACCAUCUCCCUUAUUAGAGAAUAGAGAGGUUGGAUUCUUUUAUUUAUUUAUUUAUUAUUAUUAUUAUUAUUUUUCUUUUGGUUGAAAAUUUUUUUGAGGAGUUGGAUUCUAAAGUAAGCAAGGCACUUUAAAUGUGGGUUAAGGAAUCCUCCCAUCCCACCACCUAAAAGAAGCAAUGCAAAACCAGGUGCCCCCCUCCUAACAAAGAAAAAAAAGAAAAAAAAAACCUAUAUGAUAGAAAGGGACGGGAACGUCUCCUGCACUUUCAAAAAUAAAGAGACAUUCGUACUUUUAAGUUAUUUUAAAUAAUGAGAUAUCCGAUUCGACGAUCAACUCUGUUAGAUGUGAUCUACACUAUUAGAACUAUUUAGAAACUAAAUUUCAUAAUUUUUCGACAUCAUUAGGUCUAAUUUGAUGUCUCAUCAUCUAAAAUAACUUAUAAGUACGGGAACCUUUGUGCUGUCGAAAGCAUAGGAGCCUAGCUCAAAAGGGACUAUAGCCACAAACAAGUGUAAUGAUUGCUUUAUGGAUUCCUUGAUUAAUUUAAUCCCACAUGCUUAGAAAGGAUAAUAUAACCAAUAGCUUGAAGGAUUAUGAUCAUAGCGAGGAGUUUAUAUAUCUUCUUAAUGUAGUUUGGAUUGACCUAAUCAAAAUUUUUUAAAGUCAUCCCGUAACAUCUCCUUACUCAGUUGCGGUCUUAAGUUUUUUUUUCAAGAUUAAUUAAACUUAUCUUGAGCUGUCAGCACAGUUUGUACGAAUUUUUUUUGAAUAUUCAUAUUUUAAUUACUUUUUGUGUUGGCACAAUGUGUGCCUUCUUUGGAUUCCUUGAUUAAUUUAAUCCCACAUGUCUGCAAACGAGGAUAUAACCAGUAACUUAAAGGAUCAUGAUCUAUCUAAGGAGUUUCUCAUAUUAGUAUGGCUAUGAGAGCGAAUAGAAGUUUCUUUAAAUCUAUACUGUAAUAUCUCCCCUUAUGAAAAUGUAGAGUUUUACUUAUUAAUAAGGCAAUUAGAUUCAUCACCAACUACUGGCGCACUUCGUACGAAUACUUUGUUUUUUUUUUUUUUUUGAAAAUGAUAUAAAAAAUAAUAUAAAUACUAUUGUUGUUGUAGUACAAUGAGAGAUAGAGAGAGAGAGAUAUGAUUCCCAUCCACAUUCUCCAUUAACUUUACAGAGAGACACUUCUAAAGUGGAUGAGCAGUAGUUGGCAUUGUAUUAUCUGCCCAAAAGUGUAAACAUUCAAGUACUAUUUGGAACAGAAACCUUAUAAAGGCUAUAGAAUCAAUUGCAAAAAACCAUGACCCCUAUUAUUGUCUCUUCCUCAAAUGAUACUCAAAUAAAAAUUAUCAAAAACCCUUUCUUUAAGUGCAGGAGACCUCUCCUUCCAUUGUUCACAAUUUUGGACUGCAAUUAUAACAUAAUUGAAACUACCAUACCUCUCCAUUUUCUUUUCCACACUGCUCUUAACCAAAAUUAAAGAGCUCAAAUGCACUAGAGAAUAAGUUUAUGGACCUUGUCCUCUGCAUCAAACCAAACAAAAAAAAAAAAAAGGAUAUAAUUAAGCAUAUGAAAUGCGCUAUAAUCCUUAGCACAGGAUCUGUAUUGUAUUUUAAUUGAUACAUUAUAUAUGUGAAAUGGUGGAUCAGAUCAACGCACAUACUUGUUUGAAAACCAGUAUCUGGUCAAAUAAACCUUUCACUGUAAAUAUUAAGUUGGCACAAUUGCACAAACUGUUGUCUCGAAGCUUUGGUCCUCUUCCUAUUUUAUUUAAUUUAAAUUGAUGGUUAAAGAAGGGCAUUAAAAGGAGCAUUCCACUAGCUUAUAACUAUUUGUAAUGAGAAUUUAGUGGGUUAGAAAACAAAACUAGUCAUUUAGAAGACUAGGUUGGUUGUAUCAUGGCAUGUUUCAAGCUUACUUCAGAUCAUGAGGCUAAAUAAUUAAAUUAUAGAUGGUUAAUCUCUACUGAUCAACAACCUCUAGUUAAUCGAUUUCUUCCGUCCUUCAAUGGACAACAACAAUCGAUUGAAUGAUCGAUGGACGAUCGUGUUGUACGUAGUAACAACAUAAAUUCAAAUCCUAAAUUCCAAACCCUAAUUAACGAACCGAAUCGGUUCAGAAGUCCACAUCCAAAAUACUAUUUUUACCUCCAAUCAAAUAGGAAGUUGCAUUAAUAAUGGCACACUGAUUUUUAAUUUAUUAGAACAAGUAAUAAUGCAUUAUUUUACUAUGAAAAUUCUUAAGAGAAGCAUGAAUACACCAGCUACAUCAAAAGGAUAUAUAGUGAAGGCAAAUCCUCUCUACUACAGCAUAAAUAAACUUUUCUUUGGGACUAAUUCUAAGCCAUAUAUAUCUAUGACUUAAUAAGAUCCAAAUCAAUCUUAAUGUUUUAACAUUUUUUUUAUUUAUUAAAUUAAAAAAAAAUGUGCUCAUUGAUAUCCUCUCCCACCAAAUAGAAUCCAAUAUAUGCAAAAUUUAAGUAGAUGUCAAACACACAUCACUAAUAAAGAACAUGCAUGGUCAGUAUGAAUGCAUGCUGCAGAAUAUUCUACUGAAAAAUGCUUACAUUGGUCACAUAUAUACUAGUUCAAUAUUUUCAUAUAGUUGAGAAUUUCAAACAUUAUUAUUUUUUUAUGAACUUAUGCUCUCUCUCUCUCUCUCUCUCUCUCUCUCUCUCUCUCUCUAUGCAUAUUAACUAGUCAAACACUAAAUAACUUCUUUUUAAAGAAAAAAAAUUGAAAUUGAAACAUUUAUAACUUCAACAUCACAUAGUGAAUACAAAGAGGAACAUUUAAAACCUAGAGAAGGAAGAGAAAGAUACAUAAGAAGACCAGCAUAAUGCAUUAGAGGGAACAUCAAAAGAAAAUUAGAAAUCAUGCAUAGAUUUAAUCACACCAACAACAGUAACAGAAAAUCAUGUAACGAAAUAGAUAAAAAAAAAAUAGAGAUCAAACCAAAUAAAAAUGCUAAAGGUUUAGAAAUGACUCUGUAGGACAUCAUCAAAAAAUCAAUCUGACUUAAAAUAUUAACAAAAGAUAUAAAAAAAUACACUACAAGAAAAGUAAUAUUUAAGAAUCUUUUUUAAUAUAUUUAACGAUACUAAUUAAGAGCCUCCUAAUAUCGUCUAGCGUCACAUUUGAAAGUGUUAGCAAAUAAAAAAUCGCCAUAUAUAUAUAUAUAUUACUAACGUUAAUGCCAAAAGUCGGUAAAAUAUAUUAUGAUAUUUUAAAGCGUUGGAAUUUUUCAAAAAUUUUUAAAAUCUUGACGUUUUAAAUUAAGCGUCGAAAAAUUAAAAAUAAUAGUAAAAUCUAUUAUUUAAUAAAUUGGUUUGAGAAGCGUCGAUAUUUACUAUAUUUUGGGGUCGCUUCUACCAAACAUCGUCUAAAAAACGUUUUUAUACUAAAAUUUUUCUUGUUGUGCUAUAGUUUUAAUUGUAUUACUUAUUACUUAACUGGAUCUUGAUCUGAUUAAACAAUAUCAAAGGGAAAUAGGGAAAAAAGAAAAUUUGGAUUGUGUUGAAGCAUGUUCCUUGUACAUGGAAUGAGGAUCAAUGGUGGUGGGAGGUACUAUGCAAACUUUUUCAACUUUUUGACUUUUGGAGGAAGCAGAAGCCGUUUAAAAUCUCAGCAGAGGAAGCGGAUCAGCCUCCUCCUCAUCCUUAUCCACACACAUUAUCACUUUUUUUUUUCUUUUUCUUUUUCUUUUUUUUUUUUUAAUUGACUUGUAGCCUCCUCAACUUUUAUUUGGUGGUCUCUUUGAGGACACAUCCCCCCCACAAUUUCCCCCUCUACCCCACCCUAAUCAUUACCUAACAUUAAAUUUGUGAACAAUUCCAUCAUUUUAUUAAUUCAUUAAAACCUUGAUUAAUUGGUUGGGUUCCAUCAAUUUCAUUUCAUUAAUGAGCGAUGGCGGUGAUUUGGCAGUGAUCCAACGGUCGGCUCAAAGACAGAAUCCAACGGAGGAAAUAGCUUCCACGUUUUGAUAGAAGCAACUCAUCGUGAUUGAACAGUGUGCAGGAUUUUUUUGAUUAGAUUGUAGAAGCUUUACAUUAUCAUCUAUUUUUGUUGAAUUUUUAUUUGAAUCUUCAAAAGAUGCGCUUUGGAUAGAGCUAUGCGCUAAAAUUAAUCGAGAGGCCAACAAACUAGUAUUAGAUUUUUCUUUUUCUUUUUUUUUCACUUUAUAGUUAAAAGACUUAGAUUUUAUCAAAAUACAUGAUUUUUAGAAAAUUAUGAUCUAAAAACUGAUCCAAACAAUUUUUUUAAAAAAAGAUUAAAUUCUUUGAUACUAGAUGCAUUUUAUGUCAAAAAUAUAUUUUUUGGUAAAAAAAAAGCAACUUUUUAUAUCAUUAAAUUCAGCUACAAACCUCAAAAUUCAAAUGACUUUAAAAAACAAAUUAAUGUAGCCUUGUCGAAAUUUCUCUUCAAUUUCACUACACUUUAUGUGCACGAGGACUUAUAGCUCUUCUUUUUUUUCUUUUUUUUCUUUUUUUUAAGUUAAUAACACAUACGAUUCAAUUUUAAAACGCAAAAAUAAUAAAAUAGAGGUGUGGAUUCUGUCGAAUGCAUGAUGUUUUUACGAACGCAAAGUGCCAAAGUUACAACAAGAAGGACAAGAUAAUAAAAAGCUCAAACUUUAUUCCCACUUUGAGAGAGAGGCUGUUCCCAUCCACUAACCAUCACACAAAAGAAAUGGCCUGUUUUUACUCACAGCAAAAUUAAAAAUUUAGAACUUUUACUGUAAAAAAAGAAAAAAAGAAAAAAAAAAAAAAGAAAGCAAAUCAUAAACCCCAAAAUAAGAAGUUCUAGUUAAACAAGUUUUGGAAAAGCAAUAAUUCUCCGCAAACUUGUUUUAUAUUGAGAAAAAAUAAAUGCAACUAUGUAAGUGACUUUCUCCAAGUAUAUAUAUAUAUAUAUAUAUAGAUUCUUCUGAAACGGAGAAAGGAUUCACAUGUAACAACUCUACAAUUUUAAGUUAAAAAAAAGGGUCAUCAUGUUGCAUCUUAAUCCUUAAAUUAGAAUGGAAGAGUAGAUCAUGAAGAUGCCCAUAAAAUAAACAAGCAUUUUUUGGUGCCAAAAUUAUCCUCAGUUGAAUGGCCAUUUCUCAAAGCCCUAUAUACACGUGUGUGGCUGCAACAAAGGCAACAGGUCACAGCAAAGAGGAUUCAGAAGAGAUUUUUGGAGAGGCCCAAAAUUUUGGUGCAUGUUAUUGUUGUAGUGGAAUCUAAUAAUAUAAAAAUAAAAAAUCCAUGCCAUAUAUAUAUAUAUAUAUAUAUUUUGUAGCAAAUGCUUACGAGUUGUCUCUCUCUCCUAUUGCUUGUGAGGGGGUAAUAACAAUGCAAUAUAUCCCUAUCUCACUCUACGUCCAUUUUUUUAUUCUCGUGUGGGAUUCUUAUACAAGAACCCCACCCUUCACAUGGGCUUGGGCCCCAUCAUAAGUUCCUCCUGUUGAAUUAUACAUUUAUACACCCCCAAUUAUCUGAUGAUACAAAACUAGUAGUAAUUGUAUAGCAUAAUGUUGGGAAAAAAGAAAGAGAGAGAAAGAGAAAAGGAAAGCGACCUCAAAAGCCCAAGCAGGAACUUGAAAAAUCUAAUAGAUCACCCCCACAAAAAAAAAAAGAAGAUAUGCUUCAAACUAAAAGGCUGUUUUUUUUUUCUUUCUUUUUUUUUUUUUUUUUACCCUUUAUUGAGACUUAUAAUUGGAGCAGAAAAAAUGGAUACAGAUAUUUUGCUGCUGUAUUUUUCCAUCUAUUUUACAAGAGCAGGUUUGUACACAACAAUUAUUAGCUUCUCUGAACGGUGGCUUCUUUGUCUCCUACUGUUUCAAAAAGGCACUUCUCAUUGAAAUCGCCAUUACUUGUUUGUCAAAAGAGCACCUUCUUUUUACACCUUGUAAACCAUCGAGUGCUGUAACUUUACCUUCAAAAUAUAAAAUUAUUUUUUCAGAAGAAAUUGCUGUUCAUGAAAACCAUAUUUUUUUCACAAUUUCUGUUUUCUGAAUAAAAAAAUUCAGGAAACAAAAAUACUUCUUUUUUUUUAUAUAUAUAUAAAAUCUGAAGAACUUUUCGACAAGAAAAGUAAGAACUCUACAGAUGAAAAAAUAUCUUCCAGCCAGAAAACUAUUUUCUGAAACCAAACACCCUCUUCGACCAUACAAAUGCAAAAACAGAGAGCCGCUGUUCACAACCUUUCUCAUUUCAUCCCUAGUCACACCUUAAUAUUACAAAUAUGGGAAAACUUCAAAUACCGCUCCUGUGGUUUGAUACUUUCUCACUUUAGUACCACGUGGUUUCACACUUUCUCAUUUUAAUAUCCUGUUGUUUCGCACUUUCUCACUUUAGUACCCUGUGAUUUCAAGUGUAUCAAGUUAGUACCAUGUGGUUUCGCACUUUCUCACUUUAGUACCCUGUGGUUUCAAGUGUAUUAAGUUAGUACCACGUGGUUUCGCACUUUCUCACUUUAGUACCCUGUAGUUUAAUAUUUUGUUAAAUUAUAUACCCCAAAAUGGAUAAUAAAAAUAGAAAAUUAAAAUCACAGUGUACUAACUUGAUACAAAAAUAAAACCAGAGGGUACUAACUUGAUACACCUGAAACCAUAGGAUAUUAAAGUGAGAAAGUGCGAAACCAUAGGAUAUUAACUUGAUACACUGUGGUUUCUUUAAACCACAGGAUCCUAAAGUGAGAAAAUGCGAAACCACAGGGGGGUAUUUGAAGUUUCCCCUAAAAAAAAAAAAAAGAAACAGCAUUUUAACCUGGAUAGAAAAUUUUAAUCCUCACAAUAUGCUUCCAUAAAACUACUCUUCAUUGCAAAUAAUGAGAAAGUAGAUGCCCCCCUAAAGCAUAUCCUUCUUUUGCUUCUUAGCAAGCAAUAAUGCAGAUAAAGAUUUGAAGCUAACUAAAAAUCACCUUGUCAGUCACUUCAUUCAGGAAAGAAAGUAAAUUCUUCAAAUAGCGAAAACUAGACCAAAAGUAAAUACUUCACCCUUAGGAAAACAGCAGAAAUAUAAUUUCAUUUCGAUACUUCGUGCUUCACAAGGAUAGGGAUCGGCAAAAUAGCUUACUAUCAGUAAUUCCAUAUUACACUGCAAACCAAAAUUUGGCCAUUUCCUUGGGUUUGAUAGAAAAUACCAGAAAGGCCUGAGUCACCGCUUAGUCUUGAUAAAAUGAGAAGCUAGCAACUUCGAAACCCCAAAGCCAUUGAACGAAUCGACUUUGAAAAGCUCCUUUAGCUUCUCAUCGCAUAUAAUUGUCCUCUUAUUGCUAGGAUCCUAGCACAAAUAAAUUAAUGGCUUAAGCUAAAACGUGUCAUGGAGUUGAGAACAUUAGCCUAAUUAGCCUAAUUAGCAAAGAUGAGCAAUAUAUUGAACAUUAAGUUACAAAUAUAAGGCAUCAAAUCUUAUGAUGUACUGAUAAAUCAUCUGUGUUAGUGCAUUUGUAAAGAAAGACAUAUUGGGGCAACUCUUUAAAGAUAAUGCUGCACGCUGAAUUUUGACCAGUUAUAUUGCGUACGUGAAUAGGUAUUCCAGGUAUAUGCAUAAAUAACGGUUCGUAGCGUAGGAUGACGAUAUUCCAUUCAUUUGGCACAUUCCACUCUUUAAAUUAUUAGGACUCGCUGCAAACUUCCAUUCAACUAUCAGGUAACAAGUACUUAAUAAAAGUGCGACUUCUACACAGAGUUCACAAUCGGGUUUUGUUUUGUCGACAAACUCUGGUAGGUUAUUCGCCAACUGGCCUAUUGUCUAGGAGAAUGUAGUACUUAAAGGCAAAUAAAUUAGCUCCAGCAGUAGAUAUGCAACCAAAGUUUCUGAACAUCAAAUGCAAUUCAGAGCACACGUAAAAUCAUAAUAGAACAACAAUUAACGUACCAAAAUUAAUGUUUGAGAAAUUUGAGAGGAAUGCAAGGCCCAAGAUUUUAGAAUAAAUAAUUGCUAUCACCCGCACACUUGUCUAAAGCUAUUUCAUCUGCCAAUGACUAUUGGGAAAACAGCUCCUCAGUUUCCAUCAAGUAAAUUAUUGAAAGAAGUAAUUAAAUUUUUUGAAAGAAAACCACCAAUCAAGUGCAACUAUGCAUUAUCAGAGAAAUGAAGAGAACAACACAGUACCUGAAGAUUGUUCUGUUUAAUGUAGUCCCACAUCCUCUUCACAACGUCAGAUCGUGACAAUGUAUUCUCGCCAGUACCAAUAAACUUCACCAGUUCAUCUGAGAGUGGAAGGGGUGCGAGAAGGCCAGAAGAUCCUCCUUUGUGCCUUUUUCCUGUCCAGGACAUUUUUGAGAAUAAAAAGAGAUAUAAUGCUAAGGCAUAUUAAUGACCUGAGACAAUAUAUAUUGAUCUCUAACCUUCGUUCUUAUCUUUCUUUUGCUUCUUAUCCUUUGUCUUAGACCUCACAGGAGAUACAGAUCCUGCUUAAUAAUAGUAUUGAAAUAGUAAAAGUUAGGAUUAAAUCUACCAAAGCUAGAUAGGUGAGCUUACUUAGUCUCUUGAUGAGGCAACAAGUUGUCUCCUAACCUUCCUUAUCUUUUUGUCGCUGCUUGUCUUUCGGCGUUGACCUUGCUGAAGAUACAUGACCAGCUACAUUACAAAAGGAGAUACUCCAAACAUGAGAACUAGAUCUAACAAAAGAUGGAUGAGCAGAAGAACUUGGCCUCUUGAUAAGGCAACAAGAGAGCUGCAGGGUAUAAGAUACAAUAUCUUUUUUAUUGAUGAGCAUUUCUUUAAGAUCCUUAGGCAUGAGGGGUGCAGACAAUGCAUAAGCAUUGAUAGUUUAACCCUUGAGUAGAUUGGACUCCGUGCUAGCAUUUUCCAUCAGAUGAACUCAAAUCAAGAAAAUAAGAUCUUUGCCAUAUUGAGAAAAUUACAGGAAAUAUGUAACACAGAAUGCAGUGGAUAUUAGCAUCUUGGAUCCAACCAAAAAAGCAGAUCCGCGACUUAGUCAAAAUAAUAAAAGAGGUGAUGAUAUUUGUCUAACCAUAAACAACUAAAUCAAAAAUUGGAAGGCUGAGCUUAUCUAGAUAUUCCUCCAGCAUAACAUAACCCCUGCUUCCAGCUCCCCAGCCCCAGACUUUUCUAGUUGGUUAUCUGGGUGUCUCCAGGUCAAACAAGAAACUUGACACACACAUGAACUCAUGCGAAACACAUUCUGUAUAACAUAACAUAACCCCUGCUUCCAGCUCUCCAGCCCCAGCUUUUUCUAGUUGGUUAUCUGGGUGUCUCAAGGUCAAACAAGAAACUUGACACACACAUGAACUCAUGCGACUUCUUAAUUAGCAUGAUUUUUUUUUUCCUCCAGGAUCCUCCAAACCAGAAAGUUAUUUGUCGACAAGCGAAAUAUUAGCAAACAAAAAUGAGCAAAAUCUGGCUGCUGAUGAGUCAGACGAGGAAUUUGAAUCUUGAACAGGAAAGACAAUUGAAAUCUAGAACGAGGAAACUAAUAUCGAAUAUCUAAUAUCACAUAGAUAUAGUUAUUGCUGGAAAUAAAGAAAUGAGGGCAUCUUUUCAAUAUCAGUGUCCACAUGUUUACACACCGUGCAACUAGAGAGGGGCCUACUUACAGCCUAUUUGGCCCUGCUAUAGGGUGUAGGGAGUACUGUUAUUUGAUGAAGUGUUAUUUGCAUAGUGGUAAUAGCUUAAUGGCUUCUCUUUGCAGUAGAAUAACUUGACGUUUCUAAUUUGGGGGCUCAUAAUCUUGUUUCAGCUCCAUGCCACAGCAGAAGCACUAGAGUGUUUUGUUUAACAGACAUUUUAUUAGAGAUGGGUGUUGUAGAGAGCAAAAGCAGAAGAGGGGCCAAACAGGCUUGUAAUGUGUUCAUACCAUGAAUGAUUGCAGUGCUCUCAUGUUUUCAUUUAAGGCUCGGCCCCUGGCAGUGCCUUGCUAUUCUGACAGAACUUACCAAUUCAUUUUGACAUACAUCAUGGUGCAUUGAUUGUUAUACCAUGAUAAAUGGUGCAUUGAUUGUUAUACCAUGAUAAAUGGUUCUAGAGACAAACCAUUCUUGGUCCAUCAGAAUGUACUAAAGAUAAAAAGCCUGUGCAAAAAUCUUUCGUACAGAUACUGAAGAUAAAAAGCCUGUGCAAAAAUCUUUCGUACAGAAAGCUCUGAGAAUAUCUUGAAGAAGAUGGCAUGAAGAUUAGAUUGAAUUCAGAAAACAAGAUACUGCACUCACCAAAGGUUAGAACAUUGAAUCUGCAUCAUUUUUCACCCCCACAAGCAUGUCAAAAACAUCCUCAAACCCUCAUGCCAUUACCUAUUUCCUUUCCCUUAUAACCAUAACACCUUCUUAAAUGAAAACAUGGGGACAUAUUUACUCUGAAUUAUGAAACAUACUCCAAAAAUGCUUCUCCAUCACGUGAGGAUUAAGGUCAAUAGUAAGAAGAAGUCAUAACAAUUGGAAGCAUCAAAGAGAAACAUAUAACUAGGUUAAAAUAUACUACAUGAUACCAUAAUCAAGAACAGAUUAGUUGAAAAAACUAUCCUAUUUUAAAGGAAUACGUGUUAAGUUGAUUGGUUUAUCUGCUAACAAGACCCUUUCUUAGGUAAAUCUUCGCUAACUAAAACUUCAAGUAAAGAAUCUAAAAUUGCUUGCAACAUCGCCGGAUCAAGUGAGCAACCACAUUUAUUUUUCCUUCAGAAAAAAAAACUUUCCAUUAUCAUGGUCCCAACAUCAGCACAGUUAGUACAAAGUUUCUAAUCAUAAAUGGCAUCACACCAAAAUGUAAGAAUAGAGAAAAAAACUGUUAACACCAAAUUCUAGGAACAUUAUCAGAACUAUUUGGGUAAACAUUUUUUAAUACCAAAUUAUGAAUCUAAUAUGUGAUGCCUCAAUCUGUAGACAAAACAUUCAUCCAUGUUUGCUAUUGGUAAAGCAAAGGAAAAUAACAAUACCCUAACUAGUUAGACUAAGUUCAUCGAGAGAAUUACCAUCUUCCAGUGGCCAGAUAUGCUUUGUCAAAGCCUUAUUCAUUUGAAACAUGUCAAUGGUGUUAACAUUAAAAAGGCUCCGAAGUCUCUCAUCACAUAUAAUCUUUCUCCUAUUAUUCGGGUCUUGCAAAUUGUUUUCUCGGAUAUACGCCCAAAGCUUCUUGACAACCUGAAACCAUUAAAGAAUAUCAAUCAAGGACGCGAUUGCCAAUACACAAAGCUCCCUCCUAGUCCUUUCUUAAGGUGAACUAAUACUAAAUGAUAUAAAAGUCUAACAAGAAACAUUACUUCGGUUCUCGCUAACUCAGAUUCACCAACAAAAUCUUGUAGUUCCGGGGAAAGGCUGCACAAUUUGGUAAAGCCGCCACCCCUUCGCUUGGACUCCUCAUUGACUCUGUUCAACCUUAUAAUAUCGGGGAGGUGCACAAAGUCAAUAAUUUAUCGAAACUUAGGAAUGUUAGAAAGGCAUAAACUUUCUCAUCUUCUAAGCAAGUAUUCUAAUGGUAGUUUGAGUACGGCCAAAGGAAUGCAUCGAUUAGCUAUUCUUACUUAAAAGAUUCCCCUUUUUUUUCAAUAAUGCACAGGUUACAGUAUUACAAUUAAUAGAACAAUACUGAAACAGGAAAAAAAAAAAUAUUUUUGUCAACCUCAAAAAGGAUUAAACACAAAAAAUAAGCCUAAUUUCUGAAAAUCCUAAAUCACGAUAGCCUCUUGUUGCAUUAUGAAUCAUUCCGAUGAUGCGACCUUCUAUAAUUCACUUAAAGCAGCAAUAUUAACCCUAGCAGGAGCGAUUAUAGUUAUUGCACAGAAUACAAAAACCCUAAUUUUAAUCGAACUAUCUCAAUGGGGUCACAUAGCAACCUAAAAAUGGAAACAUAGCUAAGAAAAUAGCAGCUUAAUGAAACCUCACCUCCUCUUUCUACUUCCUCCGCCACCACCGCUCACCUCUUCAUCCUCCUCCUCCUCCUCCUCCUCCUCCUCCUCCUCUUCCUCUCCGCUCCUUUCUCCUCCCCCCUGCUGCUCCUCCUCCUCCUCCGCCCCCGCCUCGUCCUCCUCCUUCGCAGCCUCCGCUGCGUCGUGUUCGUCGUUGCCGUGGUGGAGCUCGGAGUGGAGGAAGAGGUCGACCUGCUCGCGGAUGAAGGCCUUCUUGUGGGAGAGGUCGAGGGCGAAGUGCUCCUCGAGGCUGCGGCGGACGAUGGCGGUGGUGGUGGUGGAGAGGUCGGAGGAGCGGAGGAGCUCCCGGAGACGCCGCGCGAGCUCCUCGUCCGUCACCAUCGUCGUCCCCCUCACCCCUUCUCCUCCUCUCUCCUCUCUCCCUCUCUCCCUCUCUCUCUCUCUCUCUCUCUCUCCCCUUUCGCUCUCGUUUGUUUCGCCUCCCCCCACUGCGUCCGUCGCCCUUUUAGAUGGAUCUUUUUUGGGCUCCCACCCCUUUCGGUUUGUACGGUUCUGGGCCCAUAUGGGCUUUAUUGGGCCUUUAUUAGGCCUUUGAUCCUUUUUUAAGCGAACGGUUUAUGUUCCACACACUGAUCCAAACCCGAUUUACUGGGCCUGCUCUCUUUUUUUGAUUUGUCGGUUACAGGGUUUUAUGAAUUCCUUUUGAAUUAUUCAACAGAAACUUAAAUCUCCGACCUUAAAAAUUUUAAAGUUCUGAAUCUAAAAAUAUUAAUGAUACUUUUUUUAAAAAAGUGUUUAUUAAAUAUACCUGUAUUUUCAUAAUUUACAUUUUCGUACCAAUUAAUUAUUAUUAUUUUUUUGUUUAUUUUGCAUUCAUAGCAUUGUACAGAGGCAAAAAGGCUGCGACAUGCAGCAACGUUUUGUGGGGGAGAGAAUCCAAUUCAUUCAAGCACGCUUUCCAAAGGCUGCUGCGCCCCCUCCACCACGACAUGGAAUCUUCAAGCAUUAAUUUUUUUUAUUUUUUAUAUUUUAUUUAUUUCCUCCUCUUCAAUGUUUGAUUGUCUCUUCUUUUAUUAGGCUAGUUCAGUUCUUUUUCUUUUAUGUAUGAAACGAAUAGUAUAUUUUUUUUUUCUAUUAAAAAAAAUAUUUACAUUACCCUUUCUUGUUCUCAUCUCCUCCUAUAUCCCAAAACAAAAUCAGUUGUAUAAAUAUGGUCAAAAUUAUUGCACUUAAGCUGGUUUAGCAAGUGGUUAAUUGGAAAACAGGUAGAGGUCCACUUGCAUGUUUAUUAAGUGAGACUCCAUUUUAAUUCUUAUUUUAGAAGUGUUAUUCUUAGAUAGGAUUCUCGGUUCGGGGCCUACAAAAUUGUUAAGUUUACCUAUUUUAGCGAGAACGAUUUUAUGCCCAUUGUUAUAUAUCUAUAAAUCAAACCAAAUGAAAAGGUAACGUAUGCAUCUUAAGGAACAAAAAAUUUAUAAGGAUUUAAUCCAUCAUUCAUCAUGCGGACUACACAAAUCUCAAAAUAUGAGUCUUAUAAUAAGGAUUAUUUCUAUAAAAUUUUCGUCCCAUCUUAAUUGCUAUAUAAUUUUUUUUUUCGUUCAAAAUUGCACAUAGGAGAAGAACUGUGCAAUAACUAUAUAUUGACCAUGAUUAAUACAAACCGCAAUCUAAACACACAUUUAACUACUAACCAUAGAGGGAAAAACACAUCCAACCACAGAAAUUACAUCUAAGUAACAAAAGAUAAAAGGGCCGUGUGCGCAAAUUCGUGCCUUAUCGAAUCUCCAAACAAGAUGAACUAGCUAGAACACUUUUUUUUAACAUAGAACAACAUAUACACUACAAUAACAACAAAUAAUUGAUUCAAAAUAUACAUAUUCUAAGGGAAUGUAGAAGAGCCACUGAUAGUAGUCGGCAGAUGAGGCCAAGUGAAUGCCGAAUUCAAGCAAUACCCAAACUCACUUUCCAUGAGAGGAACCGAUUCUGAGAUAGAAGAAGCACUUCUAGUAGUAGUAGCCACCAACAAACUACCACUACUACUAUUACUAGUAGUAAUAUCGGAAGCAGAGGCAGAGGCAGAAGCAGAAGCAGAAGCAGAAGCAGAAGUGAAAGCGAAGCAAUCCACAAUGCUGGUAACUGUGUUUAAGUGAUCCUUGUAGUAAUAGUUUGGCACUUCACUCAGCAAGGAAUUGAUCGGGCUAAUGCUGGGCCCAAGCCUCGGGUUUGGGCCGCAAUUGGGCCAUAACAGGGCCAUCAAGUGGUGGGCCGACGUCCUACAGUACGGCAUAGCCCGCAUUGCGGUUGGGCUCACCAUUGAUGGACCUCCAGAUAGGAUCAGGUUGGUGGAUUUGCGCUUGGACCUGCGGGAGGUGCCGCCGAUGGGGACGUUGCGGAGGGCGCCGCCUUGGGUCCAGUAGCGGCGGCAGGUCCUGCAGAAGUGGCGCGGCUGCGCGCGGCUGUGGUUGUUGAAGUAGCAGAACUUUGUGUUCGGGGAGUUGCACCGUGGGCAUCGCAGAGAUCCCGAGUGCAACAAAGAUGACGACGACGACAAUGCAGCAGCAACAGCAGUAGCAGAAGAAGAGUUGUUCACUAGUUGGCCUACAGAUGGAUUCGUGGACGUGUUACUCUUCUUUGUAACUACUCCACCGGCCGUUACUUCUUCUAUCAUCUUUGCUAACUCCUUAUGGGCUACAAAAUGAAUUACAAGAAGUGGAAAAGGAGAGAAGGAGAACAGGAGAAGAAGGGAAGUUAAAAAAGAAAGGAUGUGUGAGAUUUGAGAGGUGGGAAUGGGCAAGGGAAGUGAGAGUUGGAGUGUGGCUUAUUUGAGUGGUGGGGCUAUAUAUAGCCAGGUGAUGUGAUUUAUAUUUAUUUAGAUACGAAGAAAAAGUUUAUAAAAGUAACGUGCGUUUCGGUGACUCUUUUGCGACUCUUUAUAGUGGCUAAUGUGUCGGUUUAGUGACUCUAUUAGCUUAAACUCCACUAUUUAUUUCGCAUUUUUGGGCCAAAUAAGGGACCACAAUGUCAUAAGCACUUUAGACAUUGGAGUCUAGAGAGUGAACACUGCACAAAAGAGGGGGGCCCUUUUGAUGCUUUUUUUCCGAACAUCUGUUCAUCAGUGUAACAUGAAACAGAACUUUACAGCUAAGUAAAAUCCUCAUCAAUUUAUCUAGUUAUUUCUAUGUUAUUAAGACAAAGUUAGGAGCACUUUGGGCCACCAAUUUUGAAACCAAUGUAAUAUAGAAACCCGUGGAUGGAACCCAUAUUCUAGAGCCCGAAUUGAUGUAGGUAGGGCCAAUUUGAGAUCAUGACUCCUAAUUCAAUACUAUUGAAGGGAAUGAUAACUUUUCUUUUUUCAAAAAAAAAAAAAAUUUGAAACUAGGAGGUAUGUAUUCAAUCUUGCAGUCAAUGAUAGGUCACAGCCAAAAACCCAUUUGUCAUUACAAUUACAGAGUUUUGAACUUUUCGAAAAAGUUCAUAAAAUAAGGUUCCCAAUUGGCCAAUCAAACAUUUAAAUCGACCACGAGAAUCCACAGCUUAUGACUCAUUCAUGAGGUGACCCCUUGACCAUCGGUGUUGGAAAUUGACCAUCUUAAGCUCUGGUUUUCUUUUUUUGGUUGGUGAGGUUUCAACUUUCAAUCAUCGAGCUCAAUAAUUUAUCAGAAAAGUUAUUAUCAACAUGGCCCUCCUCUUAAGUGUGGAAGGAAUAGCACAUCUCAUCUCAUAAGAUACGCUAUUGUCCCAUCGACCAUUUGUUGACAUGCAUGUUAUGUGACAUUUUAGAUUGUAUGCAUUGAUAAAUCAAAACAUUAUAUUAUAUGUGUAAGCAUAUCACUAUAUCAGCAGCAUUGUAAGAUUAAGAUUUUGAAUAUAUGUAGCAUUACCUCGAGGUGUAACGAAAUAUACACGAAGCCUGAAACUGUUGGUGUUUCCACGGGCGGCUGCGCCGACAGCCUUGGUUUGGUCAUCUGAGCCGCAAGUGCAGACCAAAGCAGGAGACCCCUGGCGUGCCGGCAGAUGAAAACGACACCACAUGCCAACUCCACCACUCCUCACAACUUCCCAUUAUCAGUACUAGUACUGCUGAAGAGAUCAGAUGCUUCUUCAGGACCGACUAGUUCAAAGCCACAACAAAGUUUGUACUAGUAAGUAAAGCUAUCUCUAUUGAGAGAGAAACUGAAAAGAGAAAGAAAGGAGGCACACUGAAGUACACCUCGAAACAUGGGCUCCCUUCGCUCUUUGUCGGCCACUCCACGGGAUGAAUCAGCGCUGUCUAUCGCGAUUGCACCUAAUAUGUACCCCGGUACAGGACUCUGAUUAUCAGAGAGAUUCCUUUCUUCAAUGUUCCCUCAGUCACUUCCUAAGUUCUAUGGUUAUUUACUUAGCUUGAUAAAAAAAAAAUUGCUGAUUCAUUUUAUUUAUUAUAAUUACUGCUUUAUUCAUAAACUGUCUACCACAUCAACAGUGAAAUCGCCAUUUAUACACUCCAUUUCUUAUCAAACAGAUGAGUGUAUCAAUCUAUUUCAAUUUCAAUAUUUUAUGUGAAAGUGAUCUGCAUUGACAAUAAAAAGAAAAUGGAAGGACGAAUCAUUUGCGGUGCAACAUAAGGUUGAAAUGUCAUGUGAGAAUCCCCUCUGUUAAAAAACACUAAUUUAACAAAUGUAUGCCACUUAGUAUGAUUCAAUACAAUCUAAUUAAUACAGGAUAUAACUCGAGCCUAAAAGCUGCAGCAGAAUCACACGAAACAUCAUUAACUUCUUAACCUCAAGUACAGAUCAGAGAAAUUCACCACUUAAUUAUCAUUCACAAAGCUUAAUCUAUAUGCUAGCUUCACAUAAAUAAACCUUGAAUUAAUGUUAAGUUCUCCACCUGACCUUCAUGAAAGAGACUUGGUAAGCAAUAAAAGCAAUCAAAAAGUUUCCAGUACAGAAAAAGUUCAGCUAUAGCUUCACACAGACUUUCUAACACUACUUAGAUCGACGCAAAGGCAACUCUAGAGUAUCAGUUUGACGAACAGCAACCUCUGUUAUCAGAUGGUGAUUACAAACAGCCGUGCCACAGAGCCCAUUCCACAACAGAUCCAAACUCAAAACAAAGAGAGUGCAGAAUUAAAAUCCAGGCCUAAAGACAUUCUCAUGUACUUCCACUGGCUAACAAUUAGAACCCACAAUGUGCUCGCACACUCGAACCGGUUCCCUGCUCCUUCCAAAUCUGGCUACAACCAAAAUUUGCCGCCCUUAUUGGAAUUACAUAUUACGGCCUAGCCCAUAAAAAGAAAUUAGUAUUUUAGAGACUGGUUCUCAAAAGUAUGCUUGGUCUUCAGUAAAAAAGAAUGAAUAAAACAUCGAGCUUCGCAGAUAAAAGGUAUCAUAACACUAGAGGUACUUCAUAUACUUUUUCUGAUGAACCAUUGAAAGCUGAAAUAGUUCAAAUCGAAGUAGAAGAUGGUUUUACCAACUUAACCAUUUGAAUUAGUAUUCACUAGUCAAUGCAUGAUGAUUUGGUUGUCUGAAUCAUAAACUUAAACUAAUCUGGACCUGUGGGUUCCAACUAGGUUUUUCAUGGACAAGGUUUCAUGGAUCGGUCUUUUCUUUUUUCUUUUUUUUUCCCCCAAGAGUAGACAGGUCGGUCAACUGGGUCUGGCAACAAUUUACCAUUCCUAAUUCUUUUUUCAGCAAAAUCAUGGUAGUACGAUUGUUUCUCAACUGAAACAACUACAACAAGUAUGAUGAUCACCGAAUAAAAUAAAAGUGUGAUCUCUAGGAUAUUAUACAUUUCCAAUUAAAAGUGGUUCGCAGGAAUUUUCAAUCAGGCAAAGCCAUUCUCAUGAAUAAUCUCAAAAGCUCAAACAAGAAUUCAUAAACCUACAUUCUACUCAAAGAUGAGUUGAAUUACUAUAAAACACAGACUUCACGAAAUGGAUCAAAACCAGAAUACCUGCUUCAUAUAUCUUACAAUGAAGGUUACCUUCUAUUCUAGGCAAUUCUCUAUGAAACUAUAGUUACUCCGUUGUCGCUUUCUCGUGCCACCUUUUAUACCACAUGAAAGCAAGCCAAGCAGUCCUCCAAAGCCCGCCAUUAGCAAAGUGAGGAAUACACAACCGGCCCAAAUAUGGGUAAUACGGACCAGGCAAUUUAAUCAAUAGAAAAAAGGCCGCAAUCAGAACCAAAUGCCAGGGAUCAUCUGCUUCCUGAUAACAGCAACUCCCAUACCGUAAGUGCCAUAUGACUAUAAGGAAAUUGAUAUUGGCAUAGCACUAUAUACUAUUGACAAAUAAAAAAAAAACUAAAUUUUGGUUCAACAUGACGCAUUUGUCCUAGCAAUAUCAUAUUCAUUUUUUGAUAGCCACAGUUCAGAUUCAUUGAACCUGAUAAUAUUCGGGCAGUGUGUUUUCAGCUACGUUAUCGUAAAAGCUAUGUAAGACGCAUAUAACAUCUGACCUUGAGAUCGGAAGAGAGGUCGAUAGCAGCGUGAUUAGCGACCCCAGCAACAACAAACCCAGCAAGGAAUGGGAUUGGAAUGAAUCCCAUCUUCCUCUCAUGCGCACAAUAUGACAUCUCACUAAGAGAUGAGAUGGCCAAAAGAGGAAUCGCUAGAUACUUAGCGACAACAAGAGCGAGCCCGAAUGCGAGAUUCUGAAAUAUACCCAAAAAUCUCAUCCACGGGAAACUUUUUACUGGUUGGGGCAAACCGUCGAACACCUUGCGGGCGUUCUCAAUCCAACCCAAAACCAGCCUCUCAUGGCCAUCGGAUUCUCCAGAGGUUGCGUUGGGCCUAGAGAUGGGGAACCCAUUUAGGGUUCUUCGCGGUGGUCGAAGUGAUAGUGACCAUGGCCCCUGUGAGAAGUGUGAAAGGGAGAUACCAAGUGGGUUCCUAUAGAGAGGGGCGUUGGUUCCAUUGGAGGAGGGAGAGGAGGAGGAGGAGGAGCUCGCCGUGAGUUUAGGCGCCGAGGUUGGGAAUGGCGAUUUGGGCGGGGUGGAGAGAGGAGGAAGAGGAGCGUGACGGAGAAGAAGGGUCGACAUACCCUUACAAAGGAAAAGAGUACGAAAAUAAAAAGAAAUUAAAUUAGGAAAAGAGCAUGUAUAAACCCAGUGAAACGAAAUUAUUGCAUGGACCAUGUCCACCACGUCAGCAUAGGUCGCUUAAGCAAUUUAGGGGCCCUUUGAUUGCAUAUAAUUAGAAAUACAAAUACACUAUAGACCUAUAGUAUAAGAUAGAAAUAUAACAGUAUGAUUUAUUUGAUUUAAUAUAGUAAAAAAUGUUGUAGGUAGAAAUAAUUUGUUUGGUUGUAUGGAACUGUAUUUUUAAGAUUUUAUCACUUUAUAUAUAUGGUGGUGAGAUUAUCUCCAAUAUAAAAAAAAUAAAUAAAUUUAUUUAAAAAGUGAUUAGAGAGGUGCUUAUCUUGUCAUUAAAAGUUAUUCUCCAAUUACUCUAUUUAGAAUUGUGACCAAUACAAUUAUCGAAUUCAAAUGCAUCAAAUUAAAUACCGAAUUUAAAUUUGCGUGUACAACUGCAAUUAUACACAACUGAAUAACCCUUUAGAGAGAGAAUCCAAUCAAUUAUUAUUGUACAUGAUAGACAUGAAUAAAAUGUCUUUGUGACACUUUCCAUGUAUAUCUAUAUUUUUUUUCUUUAUCCCAUCCUCUUUGGAUAUUCUUAAUAAAUUUUACUUUAAAAUAAAGCUUAAAAAUAUUUUAUAUUUAAAAGUUAGUAAAUAUUUUGUAUACAGAUAAAAAUUUAAUUAANGAGAGCGAUUAUUCUGAAACUAUUUUGUUUGUAAAACUGCUUCCCAAAAAUUUCUUGUUGUUUGCAAAUAAUUAUUUUUAAUACUAAAUUUUACUUUAAAAUAAAGCUUAAAAAUAUUUUAUAUUUAAAAGUUAGUAAAUAUUUUGUAUACAGAUAAAAAUUUAAUUAAAUAUUUCCACCUAUAUAUAAUACAAAAAUAUUUUUUAUACUAUUUAAAUUUAAAUUUAGUAUUUUUAUCUUUCAAAUGCUUAAUAAAUUCCUCUGAUGUAUAUAUAUAUAUAUAUAUAUAUGUGUCCUGUAUGAAUUAUCUAUAGAGAUAGAGUAUGUUGGACUAGAGGUGGAUGGUUUAAUUGGAUAGUCCACAGCUAAUAUGGUACAAUUGGCCCACUCAAAUAUUUUCUCCAAACAAAAAGGGUUCUUUUGAUUGGCCCAUCUAUUACCCUAUUUGGUUAAACCUGAGUUGCUCUAGUCACUAGAUUGUUAUGCCUUAUAUAUGCUGAGUUUAGGCAGAGAUUGCAGAAUCAGAAAUGUUUAUGUAUACUAGUUAAACACCCGCGCUGGAAAAAAAAAUUACAGUAAAUAUACAAUAAUAAUUAAUAAAUAAUAACAAAAAAUAUUAAAAAAUAAAAAAUAUUUAUAUAUUAGCCUCUUUCUCCUUCACUGCACCGCCAAUCCCGCCGCGCCGUACGCGAAUCCCAAAGAUCGCGAGGGUACAACCAUCCCCUGAUCGGAUCCCAACAAUCCUGUGAAGCCCGCCGAUCUGCCAGAAAUCCACCCCGUACACAGAUCCCGCGAAUCCCGCACCCCAAAUCUCACCGGCGCACCGUCUUGCUACUCCGUGCCACUCGCUGAGCCGGAGAUCCCACAAAUCCCGCCAUCCCGUACGCAAAUUCCGGAGAUCGCGCCAUUGCCGUAUGCAGAUCCCCCUGAUCCGGCCGCAAAUCACAUCCCCGUCUUGUCGCCGUCGGUCGCCGGCAGGGAGCCCGGUUUGGGGUCCUUCGAAGGCCUGUAAAGAGAGGAGCGAGCGGAAGGGGGAAGGGGGGAGGCACAGACAACCCAUCCACACACAGACUGUGAGCAAAUAAAAAAAAAAUUUAAAAAAAAAGAGAGAAGAAUAACUGUACUCCUUCUUCUCCCUUCCCUGUUCGUCGCCGCCCGAGGCCGCGUCCAUCACGUCCGCCGCUGCCACCAAUAUCACUCCGUCGACGUUGCCCAACGCCGCCCCAAGUCGGCGCCGUCCACUUCUGUGCCCGCCGCCGACAUCGCCCAACGUUGCUGAAGCCGCCGUUGGCGCUUGAUCCACCAUUGUGCCAGCCGUUAACACCGCCGGUCCGCCGCUGUGUCCACCCUCCCCUCGGCAGCGGACAUCUCCGCCGUCGACGCCCCCGCGGCCCUCGCCGCGGCCUCCGUGGCUGCUGCUGCCGCCGCUGCGUGCAGACAUCUCCGCCCUCGACGCCCCCGCGGCCCUCGCUGCGGCCUCCAUGCCGCUGCGCUCGGAGUGCCACCGCUGCGCUCUCCCUUGCCGACCCAGGGCGGCGGCGAGAGAGAGAGAGAGAGGGGGCUAAGAUAGAGAGGAGAAAGGAAGAGAGAGAGAGUAUGGGAGAGGAGGAAAGAGAUAGAAACAGGGAGCCAGUUGGAUGAGAGAAAAGAGAGAGGAUUAGAGAGAGAGAGAGAGAGAUAGAGAGAGGGGGGGAGGGGGCUAAACCUCGGGAAUAAGGAGAUGUCUUGGAAAGGAGAGACGCCUCGGGAAGGAGAGAUGCCUCGAGAAGGAGCCAAGGUUCUUAGAAAGAAGAGACGCCUUGGAAUAGGGAAGAGAGAGAAAGGAAAAAUAGCAAAAUUAGGUUUUAGACUAGACAGAAAGACAAAAAAAUAGAUGUGGAGGCCUAAAAUUAUGCCACGUCUAUUGUUACAACCAUCAAAUUAUGUAUUUGGUUCUUGGGAAGGAGAUGCGCCUCGGAAUAGGGAGGAGAGAGAAAGGAAAAAUAGAAAAAUUAGAUUUUAGGCUAGACAGAAGAGACAAAAAAAACAGACGUGGAAGCUUAAAAUUAUGCCACGUCUAUUGUUACAACCAUUAAAUUAUGUAUUUGUAUGGAUUAUGUUGAAGGUGAUGGAAAAGGUCUGCUGUGACAACUACCUAACUAUGUAGGCAAUAAUGCUUAGAACUGAUGAUUUUUCAAUGUAAAUGAACUUAAUUAUGAUUCAACAUCCAAAGCCUAGAUUAAUAUAGAAGAUUCUGGCACUUUACAGUCAUUAUAACUCCAUGAAAUCAUAAAUCCAAGUAAUAAUUAAGAAGAGUAGUACUUCUGAUAAGGGUCUUCAUAGUUGGUAUAUGUGAAUAUUAGACAUAAUAUCCAGUGCUCUUUGUUUGACUGUUUAGCAGAAAAGCAAAUAAUGUAAUUCAAGAGGAAAUAAAAACCAAAAAAAAAACGAAAAAGAAAUGUAAGGCCCCGUUUGGUUGAGGGGAUAAGCGGGGAUAACGAAAGUUAUCCCCGCUAUUCCGCCAAACAGAAUCAUUUUUUACCGGGAUAUUUUAUUCCGGUCAAAGCUUGCUAUUCCCGGUUAUCCCGGAAUAGCAAGCUUUUUACUAUUCCACCAUUUUGGUGGAAUAGUGCUAUUCCCAUGCUUAAUUUCAAACUUAAUUAAAAUUAUAAAAUAAAUUAAAACUAAAUUAUAUAAAUAUAAUAUAUUAUAUAUUAUAAUACAUUAUUUUUAUUAUAAAAUUAUUAAUUGUGCUAUAUUAAUACAUAUUAUUUAUAUUUAAAUAUUAUAAUAAAUUUUAUAAUAAAUUAUAUUUAAAUAUUAAAAUAAAUUAAAAUUUAAAAUUUAAAUAAAUUUAAAAUUUAAAAUAUUAUAAUAAAUUAUAUUUAAAAUUUAAAAUUUGUAAUCUCAAAAUUAAAGUUUAUAAUUUUAAAUUCCACAUUUUAAAUUUUAAAUUUAAAUUUUAAAAUUUUAAAUUUUUGAAAUUUUAAAUUUGAUUUUAUUUUUUUUCAAAUUUAAAUUUGAUCUUAAAUUUAAAGUUAGAAAUUUAAAAUUUAAAUUUUGAAUUUAAAAUUUGAGAUUUUAAAUUUUAAAUUUUAAUUUCAAAAUUUGAAAUUUAAAAAUUAAAAUUUUAAAUUUUAAAAUAUAAAUAUAAAAUAUAAAAAUUUAAAUUCUAAUAUAAAUAAAAAAGUGAUAAUAUUAUUAAUUUUUAUUUAUAACUACCCGCUUUAAAUCUUAUUCCAUCUUAUCUAACCAGACGUUAUUUUUCUUAUUCCCAGGAAUAACCCAAUUUUCAUCCAAACGCAAAAUUGAUCUAAUUCCCGCUUAUACCUCAAUUUAUACCUAUUCCUGGAAUACCCACUUUUUGCUUAUCCCCGAACCAAACGAUACCUAAGAGUAUAAAGAAGCAAAAAGACCCCAAUAGUUCUUUUUUUUUUUUUUCUAACCAGUAUUUUCGAAUCAAGUACUCAGAAAACCAAUUCCAUGCAGAAAUCAACGUAAAUUGCGCUACCGUACUUCAAUCUGCUUCUCCAAGUGCUGCAAAUGCUAAUUUAAGAGGGUAUUUGGAUUGAUUAAAUCGUAAUUUGGUUACGGCUCAUGUUUAGUAAGAGUAUAAACAUUAGUUUUGCCAUCCUAAUCCCACCAAGGAUCAAUAUGACUUACAGCCGAAUUACGAUUACGUCAAUCAAUCGGCAAACGCCUGGAGAAGAUUUACAGGACAACCAACACGGUGAAAUUUCCGAAACAUUCUCGGCAAGGAGACGACUUGCGAUCGAAGAGGAGACGUCGGGCUCGCCGCGCGGUACUCGCGCGGAGUGACGCCGCACCACCUGAAGCUCUCGAUGCUCGGAGCGGAGAUCGCGAGCGUCAUCUCCACGUUUACGGCGAAGGCGUUCGUUACGCUCAGCCGUUUGAGCCGGCCGGCGGUGAUGCGGAGAUCCUGCAGUUUACAGCGAUGGAAGUUCGCGAGGGAGAGUUCCUCCAGGAGGGGGCAAUUCACGUCGAGCGAGGGCAGCGGCUGGCACCGCUUCAGCAAGCACGAGCGGAGGCGGGGGCAGGCGGAGGAGACGAAGUCGGCGGCGACGGAGGGGUAGAACCGGAGGCCGACAAGUUCCAAGGUGUCGAGAGAGGGCAGCCGCGCAGAGACAGGCCAGUUGACGGGCAGUGCAUAGCUGGAUGUGGUGAGGCGGAGAAUUCUCAGCGAUGCGAGGUGGAACAGGUCAGCGUUGCGGAGCCAGCGGCUGACGGUGAGGUGGGAGCAGUUGUGGCGGAGGGCGAGGCGGAAGGAGAGGAGGGCGUUGGCGAAGCCGCAGCGGGGGACGUCGAAGUCGUCGAAGUCGAGGUGGAGGGCGGAGGCCCAGAGGUAGCGCCACCGCCGCGAGAGGAGGGCGGUCGCUACGACCGAUUUAGUCGGCAGGUAGGAGAGGAUACGCUCCAGGAGAUGGCACGGGAGAGACGACAGCCCAUCCAUUGUGGCUUUUUUUUCUCCGUUGUUGUCGUCGUCGUCGUCGUCGCGCUCCUCACGAUCAUCUUCAUCUACUUCUCCGUGAUUUUUUUCGUUUUCGUCUUCUUCGGCAUCUUCGACAUUAUCUUUUCCUUCUUCUUCUUCUUCUUCAAUUUUUAGUUUCUUCCUCGGCGAAGGAUUAUGAUCAUGAUCAUGGGCAGGACGAGGACCAGUUGUUUCCAUGGGCGGAAAAGUAGAGAGAAACAAACGCGCUCGAUCUCCUCGUUAGGGUUCUUCCAUAUAUAUUGUAGGAUGUAUAAGAGCAUGUGUGCAGAUUUAAUCCUAGCCGUUUAUCUCAAAUCUUACGACUGGUGCAGUUCUUUUGUUAGGAUCUAAAAUUUAGUGUCGAUUAAUUAAAUAAUAAUAUAGUUUAAGAGAUAAACAACAUAGGGUCAUUAUCUCAAUGCAUGUUCAUUUUCUAAAUACUUUAAAUUUUUAGAUCAAAUCUUGUACUCUCUCUCUCUCUCUCUCUCUCUCUCUCUACGUAUCAUAAAUGCAAAAUUUCUCAAACUUCAAUUAGGGACCGUUUGGUUAUAUGUAAUUAUAAAUACAGUCAUGCAGUUGGAAAUACAACAGUUAUAAUUAUAUAAAUUUUGUUUGGUUGAAUGUAGUAGAAAACAUUGCAAGUAUAAAUAAUUUGUUUGGUUGCAUGCAGUUGAUAAAUAAUUUUUAAAAUUUUAUUAUUUUAUAUAUAUGAUGGUGAGAUUACCUCCAAUGUAAAAAGAAAAAAUAAUUUUUUUUUGAAAAAUAUUAAGGAGGUAAGCAUACCUUUUAUUAAAAGUUACUCUCUCCAACUGUUGUAGUUGGAACUACGGCUAAUUUGGGCGUAGUUUGAACUGCUGCAGUUGGGCCUCCUCCUGCAGUUCCUACUGCAGCAGUUGAAAUUAAAUACAUCAAAUCAAACACGAAAUUUAUAUUUACAUACAGUUACAACUGCAAUACAGCUGUAACUACAUGCAACCAAAGAGUCCCUUAGUGAUCUACAAUUAAGAAGAGUGUAUUGCUUUCAUCCUAAGUAAAGGAUAAUUAUUAUUUUGACAAGUGACAGGAUUUUUAAAUAUUAUAUUGUCACAUUUGCUAGACCAUAUAAUUAUUGUUAGAGCAAUGCUAAUUAUUGUUAACUAAUUUGAUAGUAUUGAAGAAACAAUGAUUUUAAAAAUUCCCCAACUCUAAAAAUAACAUCAUUUUAAUUCAAAUAAACUCCCUCAUAGUUAUACAUAAUCUGAGAAAAUCUCUAUCAUUAUUUUUCACAAUCAUUUUACAGAAUAAAUUACUAUAUUAUAACUUGUAUUGGAAUUAAUAGUCAACUAAUUAUAAGUCACUUAUUGUACGGUAGGCCAUUUACAUCAUGUAAGCUACAAAUUAAAAUCAUUCCAAUAGUAUCCAGCUGUGGAAUAAAAUAAAUGAGACGUGUAAAGAUGAACUUAAUUACGCUAGCUUAAGAUUUAAGCUAUUUUAUUCUUUUUGCAUAUAUAUUGUAAAAAAAGCCUUUAAUUGAUGCUAACAUUGUAACUAAUUUGUUUCAAUAUGAUCUAGUGUAGGUGAAAGGAUAAUUAUACAAUUAAAUGGUGGUUUUAGCCACGUAGUUGUAAACUUUAACUACAUUCUAUUUUGAAACUGCACCAUAAACUUUACUUUGAGUGAUUUAAGUUAAAUAAUUUAGGAAUUUACUUAACCUUGCAAUAAAUUCCCAAAUUUUAAUAAUUUUAAUUUUUUAAUAAAUAUAAAUAAUAAAAUUAGAAAAUCUGAAAAAGGUUAAAUUUAACCAACUAGAAUAAAUCUAAGUCCAAACCCAAUAAAAACUAAAAAGGGAAGGGAAAGGUGAUAGGGUCUAUAUGUAACUCAAUAGAACUGUUUAAAUUAAUUCCAAGUCCUCUACGCGAGUAGCUAUUCUUAUUCCGUUUAAUUCUUAUUAUUAUUAUUCUUAUUCUUAUUCCCCAGUUCGGGGAUAAGUUACCUCGUACGGUAAAAUAUCUCUGAUUAAAUCGAUCAAUCGAUCGCUCUAGAGCUCUCGCGAUCGAUCUCGUUACCAUUUUCGAUCUCUCUAUUUUUACACGUAAAUUUUCUGCGAAUAAUACCUUAUUAUUCAGGUUUUUAUUCGCCUUUUUUGAGGGCUCAUGCGUGAGUGAGACGCCAUGAAUUGCGAAGUGUGCGAACUCAAAGAAGUGGUUUGUGUUUUGAUUUUUUUUUCCCUUCAAUUAAUUGCUUUUUUUUUUUUUUUUUAGUUUUGUGGGUCUUAUGUUCUGUGAAAUUUAGGAGUUAAAACAAAAAAAAAAAAAAUCAUUUUUACCCAAUAUUGGGGAUUGUUUUUAUAGUAAUAGGAGCAUUAUUCCAAUUAUAGUAUUGUGUAUAAAGAGAAAUGAUAGAGAUUUUUAAUUGCAGGAGGUGGAGCACUAUGAGAUUCGAGAAGUUUUGCGAUGUGAGUAUACUUCUUUUAGUUGUUUUUCAUUCCAUAAUUUUUUUUUUUUUUGAACUGAAAUUAGAAGAAUAUAUAGGUGCUUUUCAUAUUUCUUCUGCAAUGAAGGGGCAUUACAAGAUGUUCUACUUAAGAAUUUUCCUGCAGAGAUAAAUCGAUUUCCGGAGAAUGAUAUCAACAUAACUUGAAAAGUAAAUAAUAACAUCGAUUUGAUCUCCGCAAAAAGUAUAAGACUAUAGAAAAUGAAAUUGUAUGGUGUGUACCAGAAGCUUAAUUGAACUUCCUUUUCCCUGUUUGGAGCUCUUCAUUAGGCCUCAAAAAUGUUUUACGAAAUUAAAUGGGUUAAUUUGGUUCUGGGAUGUUUGCUUUGCAUUGGUGUUGUGUUAAUUACUGGAUUUUCUUACAAAGGCUCCGGCUUUGGUAAAAUUGGCUUAUGUUUCAUAUGAAAUGCGACUCAUUUUCUCUGAUGUUGGGUGGUUAGUAAUUUUAAUGUGCGGUUUUGCCAUUUGCUAGUUUCACACCUCACUGCAGUUCUUAGUUAACAUUGUUACGGAAUUUUGUAGUUGUACGGGCCAAUCUUGCAUUUCAGAUGCAGUUUCUAAGUACCAAGUCAUCUCAAAGUAUUCAAACAGCAGCCCCGACAGACUAAUCAUAUGGAUACACGUCCAAUACCCGUAGUGUAGAUUCAGAUAUAGCAUGAGAAAUCCGAUUUAGUUACAUGUUUUAAUCAGAUCUUUUUUGUGCUUCUGAUUGAUAUUUGGAAAAAAAUUCACAUCCUUACACCCUAAGAUAUCGAGUCUAUGAAGAGAGUAAAUUGGAAAGAAGAGGGUAAAAGAAGUACUUCUUGUGUCUCUUAUUGGCUAGUUUGUUGACAAUUGAAAUCGCUUUUUGACAAUACGUGCUAAGCUCUAAUGAACCUGAAUCCUACUAUCGACUACAGAAUAGUAGUUGCAUUUCGCAGGGGGGAAAAAGUACGUGUAUAGUUGAUCCCAGUGCUGGUCUUUUGGCGACUUAGACUUUCUUGGUUUAUUUUUGCUGCGAAAAAAAUGGUAAUAUGUUCUCACUUUCUAUUGCUGCAGGCAUACUGCAUACAAUUCUAUUUCACAGAGCUUUGGGUCUUGUUCGACCAAAAGACGUCGACUGUGAACUUUUUGAAAUAACUUAUGUAAGUAUUGCUGAACACAAAGAAGUAUCCAGUGGUCUCCGUCUAGAUACACUGACUAUGAGGUGUUGAGGCAGUAAAAUUGAAUUGCCAAGAAGCAUUAUUGUGCUGAAUUCUCUACUGCGCAGGUUCAAUGCGGAGAUCCAGAGAUAGAGAAGAAAAUAGAAGAUAAGAUUGAUGAGUUCAUUAAUAAGGUUGACAAACAUCCGAACAGAAGAAGCCAGGUUUAUUAUUUUCUUCUGUCGGAAUUACUAAGAUGAGUGCAACUUUUUUAUUCUUUUACGUGUAGAGAUGCUAUAUGCAGCAUUUUGCAUUUGGCUUUAUGUAGAAUGUAAUUAUGUGGAUUUCCGCGGACCAAAUUAAACUUUUACUGUAAUGUAUUUAUCAUGCAGAUUUGUUUAUCUUUCUACGACACCAAGAAUAAGCAACCCUCAUGGUUCAUUAGCAAAGUAGAGCGACUGUACUGGGAAACAUGGUGCAUCAAUUUGCAUGUCCUUAACCCAAAAUCACUUCCCAAGUCUCACCAGAAUAAAGUAAUAGACGCUGGAGGUCGAUUUUUCUCUUUUUUUACCCUUGAUUUUGUUUACUAGUACGUCUCACUUGCCCAUUUGUUUGAUACAUGUACUAUCAAUUGAUUUCAGCAUGUGCUUUCGAGGAGACUGAGUCGCACCGUGCUGCGUUGGAAUCGUCACUCCGUGAAGUUUUAUUUCAAAUUAUAAAAUUUGCCAAUGAGAAGAAGGAUCACUUGCCUCCUAUACCUUCCAAUAAAGAGGGCGCAUCAUUUCCAUACGAAAUCACAAUAGUGAGGUCCGUCUCUGUUCAAUCUCUUUUUCCGGUCAAUCCCUUUGGAUCAGUUAUCGAUGAGACCUCGCACCUAAUCAUUUGACUCUUUUUCCUUUUCAUAUAAUUUGCUGCGUAGUUCGUCAGAAUCUUCUUUCGGGUGGCACGCUGAUGUUUUCAAGAGAAUGUUGCAGACGGGGCAUCCGACAAUGAUCGGCUGAACAUAUACUUAGCCUUUCAAAAGGUGCUCUCAAUAUCUUCUGAUAAAAGUUACACAUAAAGAGCCUACGAGCCUUGUGUAUACUGGAUAGAUAUAACAGUGGAGAAUUAAUAGAAGUACAUUAUAUUUAUUAUCUACACAUGAAAUGAAUGAUGAAAUUUGAACCAACGAGUCUGAUAGUUCUACUCAUGCUCUUUACUUUUAUAUUCAUCUGCGCGUGUGGUUUUAAAAUGAAUGUAGUGUCCCUUUAUUUUCCGUGCCAAUUUUGUGAGAUAACAUAUUCUGUUUCUGCAGUUUGUGCUCGCGCUGACUUUUGAAAUUUUUUUUAGAGACAAAUAAACUUCUCGAGUUUCUCUGAUGUUUCUUACUGAAUCUAUGAGCAAGUUUAGAGCUGGUUAUUAUCAUGUGGUACUACUUGUUUCUGCUGCGGCGAAUUUGGUCAGUAAGAGCCUUCAUCCCCCUUUUUCGAGUACAAUUGCUUCUUUAGUCUUCUGUGCCCGGCUUAUUGGAACAGCUUCUCUACUCUGAAAACUGAAACUGCGUCGUUCAAUUAUUAGAGUUUUUGACUGAUGCAUGAAGUUAGAGUGACAUUCUUUGCCGCAAAACCGUGACCACAGAAGAAAAUUGCAGCAAUGUGAUGCUUUGUUCAGGAAGAUCUCUUUUGCUUUCCAAGCCUUAAAGUCUAAGAACGCAUAUCUAGAACAAAAAUUUUGACCAGGUUUUUAAUAAUUGUUCGAAGAUGGGAAGCUAAUCUCUCUUGUUUGAGUAGAUUCCAUUCACGUCUUUUUUUUUUUUUUUAAUUUCCUGAUUGUAAGACGUGGAGUGCACUGAUAAAACAGCUUCAGACUCUCAAAAACUUCCGAGGAUUAUCUGUCCAAUUUUAUUAUUUAAUUUGAGUCAACAAUAUCAAAAUUUAGAAUUAUUAUUUAACUACAAUAAAAUCAAAGUUGAAUAAACAAUUUUGUAUUAGAUUGCAUUGGAUUACAAAAAAUUUUAAUUUAAUUCAGUUUACCCAAAAGAUCUAUUCAGGAGAUGAAAUACGAUACCAAACCAAUUCAAUGAGUAUAUUUAACAAAAUAAAUUAAAUUAUAAAAUUUAAAGAGUCCAACUACUAUGCUAUCGAUAACACCAAGUACUUUUUGCUAUUAAGUUUUCUGUUGUUAAAUUUAUUUUUUUUUAAUCAUUUUCAUUCUUAAAAUCAUACUAUUUCACCGACCAUUUAUUAAACCUAGACAAUCAUUGUCAUGCUAACUGCGCAUUCCUUCGUCUAAGGGCCGAAAACUUAAUAGCACAUGAGUAAGUGCUAUUAAUAAUAUUCUAGCUGAGUUCUAAUUUAAAUUAUCUAAAUAUAUUUUUUUUAUGAAUAGUGUUAAUUAUAAUCAUACUCGUUAGAUAAGUUUGAAUUUAAUUUAGAUUAAACUACAUUAAGAUCAAAUCAAAUCCCAAAAAAAGUAAAUUAAUUUACUACAAUAUUAAUUUCAUUUAAAUAUAUAUAUAUAUAUAUAUAUACUAGAUUAAUUCACGAUCUUAUCCUCUCCGGCGGAGCACCAGAACUCGGUGCGGUCACCGCCUCUUCUCUCUCUGUCAGUCUCUGUGCGUUACGUCCCCAAAUAUAUCUCCACUACGACGCCAACGGAGUUGUUAGAGAGAGAGAGCGUUAAUGGCAUUUAUUCGCCCUAUUCCCCUCCUUAUUCUCCUCUUAUUCCUCCGCUUAUUCACCUACCCUUCUCUCGCCCUAAUCUACGUCUCCACCCCCAACUCCACCUUCCUCCCCCUCUCCCCCUCCUCCUCCUCCGCCUCCGAUGACUCCUCCGCUUCGUUGUUGCUCCGUGAGAUCGUCGACGCGAUCGCGGCGAAGGAGCGGUGGGACGCGAAAGACGGGGUUAGGGUUGCGGAUCUCGACCGCGGCGGGGUCAGGGUGCGGAGCGCGCGGAGGUACGAGGUGCGGGGGAGGGCGGGGAGGACGACGGUGGCGGCGACGUUCUCCGACGAGGCGGCGGGGUGGAGAAGGGCUCGGGAAGGGGGCGACGGCGUUGUGGUGGUGGAGGAGGGGGAGGAUUUGGUCGGAGGGGACGGCGCGGUGGGGUUGGGUUUGGGAGCGGCGAUUAGGGAUUUCGAACUGGUGGGGCCGUUCGAUUUGAGGGUCGGUGGAGGAGAUCAUGAUGAGAUCGCGCUUCAUUAUCCCCUGGUAAGUGGUCUCUUUCGUUCUCUAUUGGAUUUGGUGUGUUGUAGUGGGAAGAAGAGAACUACGUAAACGAGCACUUUAGUUGUUUUUGGUACUUUUAUUACGAGUACUUUAGUUGUUUUUGGUACUUUUAUUACGAGUAAAAUUAGCUGUUAAUUGAAGGUUUCUUUUAUUAUUCAUGAUAAUUUAGUGAGAAUUUGUGGUGAUUAAUGUGCAUGAAUCUUAGAUUCCUUUUUUGCAGGGUAAAUCAGUUGGUUUUUUGAUAAUUAUGUAUGGUAGUAAUUAGCUAUUAAUUGAGUGUUUCUUCUAUAACUCACUUUGGGUUUAUUAUCACUCUCGCUUAAACACUAAUUCAUUGGAAGAAAUUUAUUACAAGUUUGUUUGUUAGACAAAUGACUUUCUCUUCGGUUGCUAAACUCUGGAAAAAAAAGAGAAUUUGUCAGUGUGAUGGAGAUCCAAACUUGGUCAAAUUGAAAAGGUCAUAAGAAAUUAUUGAAAUAACUGGACAUUAUUAUGAGACAGUGAGACUGAGAAUGAGGGAUUUUCUUGGAUAGUUUUUCUAUUAACUAAUUAGAUGAGUGGUGAGGAAGUUUGGAGGAAUGAAAAAGGAAAGAACUUGCAAUAAGUUUUUAAUUUGACAAACUUUUGUUGCUGAUAAUUUUCAAAGUUUGUGGUUGGUUCGAUGGACAUGUAGUUACUUAUGUAAUUUUGAAAAGUAGGAGGCCUAAAGCUAGUUUACACAUCUUCAUUAUUUUUGUUGGUAACAUUCUUUGUUUGUUGUUAAAAGUGUUUUUACUGCACAAAUACUUAAACAGCUGAUUAUUGCUUUGUUGCUAAAAGUGUUUUUACUGCACUUCAUUAUUUUUGUUGGUGACAUUCUUUUUUUGUUGUUAAAAGUGUUUUUACUGCACAGAUACUUAAACCACUGAUUAUUGCUAUGUUGUUAAAAGUGUUUUUACUGCACAGACACUUAAACAACUGAUUAUUGCUUUCUUUGGUUGGAUAUGCUGAUAUAUAUUUAUUGGCGUCUUUUACGUUCUUCCAUCCUCAUCAAUGAGUUUUAUAUUAUGUAAACUUCACUAAAAGACCAAAUUGAAGAGUUGAAAUGUAUCUAUAUUUUAAAUAAAUAGCUGUGCAAGCUUUCAUUCUAGUUCGUGUUGUUGUAUUUCUUCCGGUAGUUGGAUCAUUUCAAGAUUUAGCCUUGUUCUUCUUUUGAUUCUUCACUCAUCUUCUUCACGUGUGUAGUUGAGUAAUUGCCUGUUUCCUAUACCUUCUAUAUUUCCCGCAAUUUCUAUCAUCAGAAAAAAAAAAAAAAUUAUUAUGGUGACAAUUCUGCAGUAUCUGAAGAUAAUAUAACGUGUUUUGCAGCUGAAUACCACCAAUGUAGGUUUGAAGCGUUUACUCGUCGGUGAAGGCAUCAAAAUAAAGGUUGCAGGUGCCCAACAAGUCUCGUUCUCUCACCCUUACGAUAUUGGUCUAUCAAUGAAUGGCAUCUUGGCUCCUCAUGAUGUAGGUCAUUGCCAUAUUUGGCCCCUCAGUUAUCCCGCAUGCGCCCUAUUACUGUCCAUAGAUAUUGUAGGAUCAAUUAGGGUUUUUGUACAAAGCACCCAUACCUCUCGAUACAAGUCGAGUGACACCAUUGAGUUAUUACCUAAGAAAUGUUACAAUAAAAGACCAAGCAGUGAGAUUUCUUCAUGCUUGUUCUGCUCAGCUAGUUCCAGAUUGAGUUUGUUUGGCAGCGUCUUGAUAAAGGUGCUAAGAAAAAGAACUUUUGAGAAUAAUAAACCGAUUCGGUUCCUAAAAGCUAAAGUAACGGCUGCCGCUGAAGUUAAAUUCCGUAUAGAGCUGGAGAAAAGGCUUACAGAGAAUGAUAGGGCUUGGAAGAAGAUCCCGGCGUGGAAAACAAAACCUAGGGUUGACCGCGUGUGGCUUGAGGUGGUGGCUAGAGUUGAAGAAGGGGGGCGGUUGAAGGCUGUGCUACUAAAGAAGCUCGGCAGAAGCUUCUCUAUAGAUGAUUCUGUUGCCUGGAGCAACAUGAUGUCUAAUGUUUCUUUCACGCAGUUCCCGUCUUUCGUCGUACAUCCAAAAGCAUUGACACUGGACGUGAAAUGGUAACUAUAUAAUCAUAUAUUUAUCUUGUAUUUUAAAGGUAAGUUUACAUGCAUAUAUUAAUCUCUUUUUUUGGCUGUAUCGGUAACUUUUGAGGUUUGUUGCUUUUCUAAAGGCUCUCUUGUCUAGAUGAAAGUAUUUUAGCCAAUGCUUGGAGGUUUGUAAAUUUGCCUUGUAUAUCAAGGUAGGACUUAUUGGAGCUCUUCUUUUAAUCUUUUCGAAUUUUAUGUGAAUUGAUAUCAUUAUUUCUCUCUCUUCUUAUAAUUUAUCUAUCAGAGAAAAUGUGGUUGGUAUUGGUACUAUUAUCAUCUCGUCUGAGCAAGUUGGACUUUUAUUUAUUCUGUGGACAUGCAUCGACUUUAGCAGAUGUAUUAAAAUUUAGGCAACUUAAUGAUCUUGUAUUUCUGUUAUGCCUAAAACACAGCUUUUAUCAUCGUUGCUUUCUAGGGAGAGUAGUUGAUAGUUGUAGCCGUAUGCAAUAUUGCUGUCCAUACGAGAGAGAGAGGUAUUGACAUAUGUUGAAUCACUAAGUUGUUACUCAUCACAAGGUAACCUAAAAUAGAAUAGAAAAGCCCAUCCACAGCACAUCCAAAAAACCUCACACACAACGCAUCCAAUCACAUGGAAUAUCUUUAAAACAAGUGGAAAAAAUAAAAACAAAAUCAGCUCACAUACGUGCAAUGUUGAUCCAUCAAUAAUAGAGGAGUCAUCAGAGAUUAUUUUAUUACAAAAUAAAGAAACAUUUGGAGGGACCUUUAGAGCUAUGCAUACGUUCUUUUUCUACAAAUAGGCUUCAAAUUUAGAAUCUCGCGUAUCAAACAUCAAGCUUUUUGUUACUUGUAUUAGAAACGAUUCAUGCCAUACUGCCAAUGUUGAAGGCAUUAAAAGAGAAUGAUCAGUUUGCAAACUUCUUUAUUUGACCGUCAUAUUGAUUCAGCAAUAUCUGGAUAACAGGGUGAACAAAAAUUCAGAAACAAAAAUGGUAUAGCUAAACUACAGAACGUGCUGAAAAGUUUAAUACUGCAUCCAUAAAAUUAUCCAAAUAAUGUGAUGCUAUCAAACUGAAAUUCCUAAAUAAAAGAAUAGGUGAAGGUACAAAGUUCACAUUAAUUUUUUUGAUGUGCAUGUUGACAUUUCUAAAUCUUUAAAAAUGCAAAGGGACAGAAUUAACCAUAUGGUCCUGAAUACAUGAAAGAGAGCAGCAGUUUGAAUUCUGAAGUCGCUUAUUAUUUAGAAUUUUUUGAGAGCGGGAAGGUACCAUGGCUAGCCUCAAAGCAGGCUUUCAAUAUAGAGUAUUAUCUAAUCACUGUGCUGAAUAAUAAACAUGAAAUCGAGGCUUGAAAGGCUUAAAUUACAGCUUAGGCUUUACGAAGUUUAUUUGACCCACAGAUACAAUUACAUGUAUAAGAUUGCUCGAUCUAAUCAAACUUGAUAACUUAAUCUCCAAAAGGCAAAUUUUACAUUUCACUACAUAUCGAGAAUAUUUAUGUUUCACUAACAAAGUUUAACAGAUCCUAUGAUGUUCCAGGAACUAAAAAAUGCCAAAUGUUUACUAAAGCCUAGUUUGGUAAUGUGGUGACUAAAUAUACCAGUUUAAUAUUUUGGAUGGGCCAAAAAACAAAAAAAAUCCGAAAGCGCAUCCAAUCUCCCUUCUUUUAUGCUGGCAUGUAUCUUAGUGGUGCUUUUAGUCGUCACAUAACCAAACCAGGCCUAAGAAUCAUAAAAUAAACUAUAGUUGAAGAUACACUAAAUUUUACACCUACAUCAUCAGGCUGUUCAUGUUUUGGUUAAGCACAUUGAAACACACAUACCUGUACAUCAUCUGAAACAACUUGGAAGUAUGCAUAAUGAAAUAUGCUAUUGCAUACUGGCUUCAAGAGAAUGUCCAUUCCGCCAAGAGGACUGGUGGCAGAAUUAUAUGUUGAAUACAUUAUCUCGCUUGAUCAGGACAUGUACUAAAGGAUUGUGAUACAGAAUAGUUAUUGGAUAAGUUAGACGAAUAAGGCCCUUGCAACUCAUCCCCUAUUAUAACCAAUGAAGAGCAAGCAAACCUUCGCCAAUCUCCACAAAAAGGUAUCAGGCAUCUAUUUUCUGGAUGUUAUCUCCUGUUGCUUGCAAAACGCCUGAAACCUGGAAAAGCUGCUAAAAUCAAAGUAAUUAAGCGUGCUCACUCCAGGAGCUGUUCAACUUAAAUUAGGCUCUUGAUAUAUUCAAAUAUAUAGUUAUUCAUGCAGCAUUGAAUAGCUAGCAGAAAGAACAGAUAGGAUAUUCAAGUAAAAUGUGUCACUGAACCUUUAAAUUUCCAGCAUGCAUUGCAACUUUACAACAUGAUACCUAUUUUAUACAACACGAUACCUAUUUUAUAACUGGAAUCUGCAAUUGCAAAUAUGCAUCUCCACAUUAUCAUCAACAUUCAGUGAAAAUAGGGCACCGACUUUCCGGCGGAACUCGUUCAUCUUUUAAGCAGUAUAGGUUGGUGUACACAACAAUGAGCUUAAGGGGAAAAAAAAAAAGUACACAACGAUGCAUAUCUUUUCUCAUUUUGUUCAGUUUUCAUUCAUUUAAAAUGGUCAUACCAAGAUGCCACAGAUAAGUUUGAGAAAAUGUUGUAAAUAUCCAGAAGAUGAAAAUGUAAAAGAUGAGAAUGGCAAACCUUCUAAGGAGGGGUUUUGGAUUGUAAGGAAACAAAUCCUUGCGAUGAAGAUCUUCCAGAGUCUUCUUUAACGAAAGAAUACAUUCUUUGGCAUUUCCAAAAGGGUGCAGAUUGACACUAUUACUUAGGCUGCGAGAUUUGUGCUUUCGUGGUAUAUACUCAUCAGUCACAAAAGAAACUGAUGAUGAUGGUUGUUCUUCCCCCCUUAAAUUAUCUUCAUCUGUAGAGAUCCUUUGUCUCUUGUGAUAUGAUUCAUUGAUUAAAUUUUUGGGAAUUGUAUAAUCAACAAAGAUUUGCCAAGAUUGAAAAAUUACUCGUAAGCACCUACAAACAGAAAAUCAUGAGGGUGCCGCAACCUUAAAUUGUAUAAACAGAAAAUAAAAAGAUAAGUGCAUAAAAAUGCUUUUACAUAAGAAAACCCCUGUGAUUAUGGCUUUAUGUUUUGAACCAAUUCGAAAGUUUUUGUUUAAUAUCAAUCCAUAUUUAUAAGCUUUCUUCCAAUAUAUAGAGUUUUCAGAAUUCAUAACAACACAAACAGAGGAAGAUAUAAGCAAAACAAACGUACCUUAACAGAUAUUGCACACAAUUAACACCGAUGUCUUUAGAAAUAAGAUAAUCAACAAGCACCAAGUGGUCAUAGUGUAACUGCAAUGUCGAAAAAAUAUUAGUAGCAUGCUUGACGCUGGAUUCUAGAUAAAGGAGAUGCUGAGAAAAAUGGAAAAGGCAGAUAAUGGGACAAUGGAGGAAGAAACAACGUGUGUAAUAAGAAUGAUGCGCGAAUUUUCUCCUUGCAUGUGUUGUAUAGACUAUGACUAGUUCAAAUUUCUAUAGGCUGCCUUAACUAGAACCCAGCAAUAUGUAUUAGUUUGAGCAAGAAACAACUUAUCUGAAAUAAAAUGAAAAAAAAAAAUGAUAGCAGUGUUUCUCACAGAUUCCAUGAGGAUGGUAGUAGAACCAGUGAUGCACUGCAUUUUUUUUUUUUCAAUACACUGCAUUUGACAAGUACAUGUAGUAAGAAAGCUGGAGAUAAAGCUCCAUGGUACUACAUUUGGGCAAUAAUGACUAAUAAUGUUGUCUUCAGCCAUGAGCAAGCAAUGGAAUUUCUCCAGAGUCUAAAGAAACUAUAUUCACUUUAGGUAUGUCCAGGCAUCUCCUAGACUGACUAAUGUUUUUAUUGACACUAUAAAUACAACAAACCAUGCCAAUUAAGCACAAUAAACGAACUUGUAGAAUAAGCUUUUCAAAAUUUCCAGAUGAGGGAAUACUUGACAGCACAAAUACGCAUUCUACUUUCCUUGAUUAUGAAUUUAUGUGCUUCAAAUCGUCACAUGUAGAGGAACAAGAAAAGCAAAAGUAAAGAAAUAAUUGCUUAAUGUGCCAUUCACACACUCACCAAUAAAAGCAGCAGAUGGAAAAGGUGAACAGGAUUAAAAAUACUUGAAAAUGCACAUCUAAUUGUCUCCGCAGGAGACAAUUCCUUUUCAUCGCUCUCUCUGCAAUUUUCCAGAGGUAAAAUCAAAAUAUCAUUGUUCGCAUCCAUGUAUUCUUUAAUGUUAGUAUGAUAUUAUUUCAUGCUGCUUACCCUUGCAAGGCAAUAAAUGGAACAUCCAAAAGCUGUAAUAACAUGUCAAAAAGCAUAUCAUCCUGCAGUUUAAGGAGUAUCAAUCAAGCUAAAUACCAAGCAAGCACAGCUGCACAACUAUUACUGUAGCCUUACUACAGAAUAUGAGAUGAGGACAUUGGUAGAAUGCAAACUUUUUUGUUAAUAAAAUGAUGACCAUCCAAUAGUUGGGACAAUUGUUUUAUUUUUCUUUUUUUGAGAGAAAGGUAGUUGGGACAAUUGUUAGUAUGAAAAGAUUGAAUAUCGGUGUUGCUAAGCAAAAGCCUCCUCUCUCCAGGAAUAUAACAAGCACAAGUUAGGUUUACAUGAUUCUACAAGUCAAAUAGCAGCAAGGAAGACAAAGGAACCUACUAACAAGUCAAUGCUAAUGAAACCUAUCAACAACAAGGAUGACCUGUAAUACAAGAUUAUUAAAACAUUUGAGGCCCGAGACUUGUAAGCAUUACUGAAAAGGUCAUGACUUUCAUAGUUGACCAAUAGCAGCUAGCAAGGAAGUUUCAUUACAGAAUCAUCUGAAGACUCGUAUGCAAGACAAGCAACUAAAGAAAAUCACAAAUUUCAGUCAAGAAAUAUAUGUUAAGGAAGUUGGCUGUAUAGCAGAUGAAUGAUUAUAGUAAAAGAAAUAAUUUAAUGAUAGCUUGCAAAAGAAAGCAUUUGAAGUACAAACAGAUCUUUGGGUAAUGCAGUUUCAGCAGCGACAGCCACUAAAAAGAAAUAAAGAAAUACACAGGCUUUAUUAAAGCAUACCUCCUCCAUAUAAAGUUGCAGGAAGGACAAAGCAAACGAUGUAGAUGAUUUUAAUAAAUAUACACGAUCAAACAUCUCUAUGUGACCACACCUUUGAAGCCAUUCAGAAAUUUCUAAUAGACCAAUAUGGCAACAAUGAUCACCGCACACUGGCAGCUUAUAAUUCAAUAGAGAAGGCUCUUCUGCACAUGAACAUUGCUGACUAUUUUCACCACUAAUGUGGAUCAACACGAAGCAUAAUUUGAAAAAUAGAAAUAUGACUUGUCUCUGUAGGUGUUGCGUACAUGGAAUUUGCAAAUUAACUGCAUCAGAAAAGCUAGACCAAAAUGGAGAUUCUUCCAGAGAGAUUUCGCAUUCAACAUCGGAAUGUGAGACAGAUUUGUAUAGAAGAUCUUGAAAAUGUUGUUUGAGUAAUUGUAGCCAUAAAGCAAGCUGAGAUGAUUGCCACUGCAUGAGGAAGCUAAGCCUAAUCAUAAGCAUCUGCAGAAAACACAAAUCACUGUCCAAUCAGGUUUGUGCAAUCUUACAGUACACUAGUAUAAUAAAGGUUAAUGCCAUUAAGUUUCAAGACUUAAUAGUUCCACGUAACAAGUCAUUAACUUUUUAAGUGAAAAUUAGAAAUUACAUGAUAGUAACAAAUGCUUGCAUGACGUUAAGAAACAGCUUGUCUUUCAGAAUAAGGAUUACCAGCAUUUUAUGUCUGAGAUAUUGAGAAAUGAGUUUGUUAUCAGCUUCCAGCUGAUUGCAGAAGUAAGACAAAAGCUUGGGAACAAGAUCGCAUAGUUUGCAAAACAAAUCUUGCCUUUCCAGUAAAUCAUUUUCCACACCUUCUAAAUCAUUUUGCCCAACUAGGGAGCAGAACAGCUGAAGUAGAGUCCCAGGAAGGAUAGCUUCCAACCCUGACAAGCCAUUAUUUUUCUCACCAACAUUAAUCUUGCUUAAACAAUCCCAUGGCAUAUUUUGAACGAAAGGUGUUGCAAGGUCUAUGUACUUUUCUAAAAGCUCAUUGUUAUCAAGUUUAAGAAACUUCAGAAUGUUACGAAGAAGUCGCAAGAGUCCAGCAACCAUUUGCCAGCUCAAGUUUGCUCUUCUUAACUGCAAAAGUGCAAUGAAGCUUCUCGAGUCGGUACUCAAAUUCUCAAUUUCAUAUAACUUAUCAGUUGCUGUACACGAUGAUGAGUUACGACAAAUAUUUGAUAUUGCUGUCUCUAGGGUGAUCCAUAUAAAUUGAACAAACAUAAUCCAAAUGCUUCCCUGAAACAAGGAUCACCCAAAAGAAAUAAACUGUUAGAAUAUCAAUUUAUAAACUAUAGGCACCUAAUAAUACUGAAUAAUCAGAUAAGAAACUACAUACGAAACUAAUUAGGGUAUUUGAGAUGGCAAAAAGAGUAUUUCCAGCCAAAUGUUGAACAUAUCCAUUGUCAAAACCAAGGAAAGCAACCUGAAAAAUGAAAGUAAGAGAAUAAGUUAAGCCCAAAGCCAUCAUACUAGUGAAAUUACAACUGCAGGGCUAUCAAUGGCCAUGAGAAGAAUCAAUAAAUUCAAGAAUACACGAGGGAAAAUGAUAUCUAAGCUUCAACAAUGCCAAAUAGUACAGUCAAAAGCAGAGAAUCUGAUAUUCCAGGGAACACUUUAACAUAUAACUGAAGAAACAUUGACAACAUGCGACAGUUUUAUUCAAGAAUAUUUAUGAAAGUGGCCGAAACGUUUAUCAAUUAUUAUGUGGGGCUGGUCAAUAUGUUGAUGCAUGUUGAUAAUUGAUUAAUAUGAAAAAAAAAGUCAUUUUGUGUUUCUUCCGAAUUAAUGUGGCAGGAAGCAAUUAUUAGCCAAUGAUAAAGGAGAAAUUUCUGUUCACGGCAAUAAUAAAUGAGAAAUUUGUUUAUCUUGGUGGAAAGCAAUAUUAAAGGAGAAUUUUCUAUCCACAGCGUCAACUUACCAUAAUGGAAACAAUAUUAGUCAAGCAUUUGCAGUCACCAUCGAAAGGUUGCUCCAAGAACACCGGACAACUGUGAACAACAAUAGCAUUCGCCAAACUUUCCUAUAGUAUCAAAAGAGAAAAAGGAGAAACAGGAGAAUUAAUCUUUGCUAUUCCUCAGACAUUUAAAAGGGAAUUUGUCAGGAGUUCAGAAAUCAAAGAUUUGUAACUGGCAUCUAGUACGCCAAAUGGGAGAGUAUUGCCUAUGAUUGGCCUGAGAUGCUAAAUCUCAAUAGUCAAGUACCAACUCAUUUUGGGCAUAUAAUGUCGAGCGUUAAAGCAUCAUAUAUUCUCGUUCUAACUUGAAGCCUGGAGAGAACUGCAGUCGUUGAUCCAAUAUAUGACUCCAUUCAAAAGUUGCAUAGAAGGUCGACUUACACAUAGAAGCUCAUAAUUCACACCACCACUCGUAAAUUCCACUCUAACGAAAUAUAACAAGCAGUAGCUUAUGUUCUCCUCUUCCAGAAGAAUUAAUGGCACUUCAUAUAUCUUUUACUACUUAAUCAUCUGUGCAAGUAUCUAACAUCGAACAUCGCCCUUUCCAAUAAACACUAUUAACUCAAACUUUUAGCACCAAAUUGUACAAACUAGACUAUCAAAACCUAGAAAACGCCCCGAUAUAUGGAAUAAGAGUAAUACCUGAUCUAAUUUCGGGUCGAGAUCAUUCCACCAUUGCCGGAUUUCUUUGGAGACCUAAGACCAAACAAACACACGAUCAGAGGGGAAGCAAAAACCCUAGAGAGAAAGAGGAGGAGAGACGAUGAUUACUCGCGAAAGAGAUAGAAGGAGCUGCUUCUCAGAUUCCUUGUUGAGUGGAGAGGGCUCUGACUCCUGCGAGAAAGUGAGUUCAUGGCGAUUGAGUGAGAGAAACAACGAGAUCGAAGAGGAAGGGAGAGAGCAGGGGAGGAGGAGGUGGGGAUUAGGGCACGGACGAUGAAGGGGAGGAGGGAGCUUGUGAUGAGAUCGCAGAGGCGAGAGAAGCGCGCCAUUUUUUUUUUUCUUUUUUUUUGGAAGACGAGCGGCCGCCUCCGUCGACAUGCCUUCCCUUUUAUAUGUGCGGUAACUGGUCGACGAACGGCGUGAACUAACGGCGUUACUUGCCGUUACUUUGCGUUGAAGUGGAAGAACGGAUACUUACACAAAUAUUUAUCAACAUAUUACAGUUAAUCAGAAAAGUCCUUGGAAAAAUCUAAAAUAUUUUUUAUAUCCUUAAAUGUUUGUAAAUUACAGCUCCCGGUUAUCUUAGAGAAGAACGAGAACAUUCAGAGCUAGAAACAUGGGUACUUACAUAGAGAAGAACGAGAACACUCACAGCUAGAAACACGAUAAAAAAACCUUCCGUAUCAGUAUCCGGCUAGUUCAUCCUUUUGACUACAAUUCACGUGGCAUACCCACAGAAGCGAGCACAACAAACAAGUACAGGAUUAAAAGGAAAGUAAAAUGACUCUCAGCAUCCAUCCAUCCCAGCAUGCAAUUUCAAACUUGAUAGAUGACAUAAAAAGAGAGUUACAACCACAACAGUAGAGCCGACGGAUCCACCUACAAUUUAAGAAAGAAUUGAAAUCGAUGCACAUUCACAAAUUACGGAGCUCCCACAAUUCCCCAUUCAAAGUUUCAGACAAACUGAGGACAAAAGAGAACAACAAAUUCUAUCUUAUAGUUUUACAGAGUGAUUUGCAUGCAUCAAAAUCUUAAGAAAGUGAGAGCAAAUACAAGUUCAUUCAUUCGUUCUUUGUCCCUGCCUUGCCUAGGUUAUCUGCCUCUUCUAAGAGGCCUGUGUAUUCCACGGAGAGCCAACCACCACAAGCUUUCACGAGCAUCAUUCCUCUAGAAUCACACCGACAAUGUCCUGUGCUCGCUGUCCUUUCAGGUUUGUUUCCAAGGAAACCAUAUUUAGAGUAACAAGCAAACUCAAGCGAAACAAUAGAUGCUGCACCAUGAGUACGCUGCAGCAAUACACUUUGAGAACCAUCAGAACAUAUAUGUAAACCACAAAGCAAACUUCAUAAUCAAGUAUUAAUAUGCUCCUUCAUAGGGUAAUGAAGGGACAGAGGGUGCAUUUGCUUAAGCAAUCUUCCGCCAAACAGGGCGGUGCGAAACAGAAUGAAGAGACAUCUGGGUAUUUGCAGAAAUUUGUUCAGUGAAUGAACAAUAUAUAACAGAGAGAAAGAAGCUCAUUGACAAAAAAAAGAAGUCAUGUCUAGUCUGCAGCUGGUGUUCCCAAUCAGAAGGGGUGUCAAGAAACCCCCUGCGCGUAGUGUACGGCACUUGGUUCAUAGAUUGUAUCUGAUAUUUUUGAUGGGGGCCAGUACCGAAGCACCGAUCGUCCAAGAAUGUUCUUAACCGGGAGAGGUCCCCUGUAAUAACAAGGAAAACAACUAAUUAGAUCCCAGUUGUACCUCAUGGGUCAAGCAGCUAAAUUUUCAAAAUACAUGGAGAAGCAAAAAUAAUCCAAAGUUGGGCAUCAAGGCCUACCAGUUAUGAGAGUCGAAGCUGUUGUUCCUAUUAUCCCCCAAGACAAAGACAUAACCUUCAGGAACAAGCUGCAUGUCCAACAGCGGAAACUAAUCAAUACAUCAUAAAAAUUGAUGGAAAACACCUAGCAUCUGCAGCAUUCUUACUAACAACACAGGCUCAUAUUUAAAAGCAUCAAAACAUUUGCAAUGGUUGGAAAACUAGACGUUAAGGGAUAAAUUGCGGUAUAAACUCUUAUAUCCAGAGCUACAUGAACAGGAGAAAGAAUAUUUCUAGAUAGCCCAGGCUUCAACAAUAUAUAUGUAUUAAAACCAAAUGCAAUCCCAAAUUAUACAGAGUAUGAAUAUGCCUAUAUGUCAGGUAUUUUAGUUGUUAUCUCCAAAAUUCGAGCAAUUUGAUUAACUCUUAACUAAUCAGGCAAAUUGUAAAUUAGCUAAAAAAUCAAACUAGAAUGAAGAUGACAUACCACUGGUUUCAUCUUGUAGUUAAGCGGCUCCAAUACGAAUUCUUCAUAUUGGAUAACACCGUUCACCAGCAAUUUACCAUCACAGACCUAUCAUGUCGGAUAACACACCAAAAAUUUACUUACAGUUUGAACACAAACAGCAACUUUACAGGAAAAUGCAACUGAAGAGUGUGAAAAGGCUUACUGAAAGAAUAAAAGCUUACUUCAACAUAGUCCCCAGCUUUGGCCACAACUCUUUUAAUGAAAACAUCACCUGAACUGUAACCCAGCUCCUGCGAAGAUGUGAGCGCAAGUCAGAUAUUAAGCAGGUUAUAGCAAAUAGCUCCACUCAGUGCUAUAAAUGGACAAUGUUUAACAGAAAAGAAUAUAUAAAUAAAAGAAUGAAUGACAUUAUACCUGAAGAACUGGAGGAGCCCUGAAAAUAACGAUGUCCGUGACCUCGGGCUCUCUGAAUAAAUAAGACACCUGCAGUUUUAGGAAAAACAGCAACAAAUCAGAUUAGUCAGAUGUAAAAUUAAGCACAAAAUUAAGAUCAAAGCAUAGAUACUCAUACUACAAUGCAACAGGGCAGAGAAAUUAAGCAGGAAAUCUUACCUUCUCUGCUAAUAUCCUGUCCCCAACAUCAAAUGUCGGGUACAUAGACCGAGAAGGGAUCGAUCUCGGCUCUGCCAUGCAUGAUCCAUACAGCAGCGGCACCGUCACCGCAGCAAAAACAGUCUUCGCAUCAUCCGAGCAAGAAUUCACCCACCGCGAGAGCCAGCCGUUCUUCUCGCUCGGCUUGCUCAUCUCAGCCACGCCACUCAUCAUUUUCGAACUCACCACCGUGCUCGAGCUCUCCUUAGCUUGGCACACAGGAGGAGCAACACUUUUCCCCCUGUCCCGGGGAACCGCAGAGGCUGUCCCUCCCUUAUCCACCAGGCUGCUUCCGGAAGACCCCGGAAGGAACUCACUGCAGGGGAACCACUUGCUCGCCUGCAAGAACGGGAGCAGCGACGAGGGCUUAAACCCUAGCGUAACCGAAGACGAGAUCCCCAUCGCUCCGACUCCAGCAGCUGACCCGGAGCCAGACACCAUGGCAGAGAGCAAUCCGGCGGCGAGCGUCGACCGAUCGCCCUUCGCGGACGGAUCUCCAGCGAUCGAGGCAAAGGAUCGUGAUGCCGAGCGAUCUGUAGAGAACAAAAUGGAGGAGGAGGACAACGAAGAAGAAGAGGAUCUGGACAACGCCUUCGCACGAUGUUCUCCGGCGAGCGCAAAGAACCCAGAGGCCGGAUUCUUCGACCAAUCGCGAGCCCUAGAUCGAUCGUCGUCCCGGCGAUCGGAGGGGCUGUGGUUGUCGGAUCGGAGGCCGGCGAAGAAGGCGAAGGGCCGGCCGGCAUCGUGGAAGAAGCGGCGAGGCUCUGGGCCAAGUAGCCGGAGUAGGAGAUGGUGAUCCGGAUCGCCAUAACCACGAGGUUGAGGCACCAGCGGAGGAUCGGAUGCAGCGAGGAAGACGAAGAACGCCGAGAGAACCGAGGGGAAGCCCCAGAGAUCACAGGUCGUAGGCCAUUUCCGCGGAGUUUCGCGCCAAAUCGGGAUCGGAAGCGGGAAAUUGAAGGGUUUCGCGGCGAUCUAGGGUUCCGGGGACGCCGAGAUAGAGAGGAUUAGCGUUCGCAGAGGAGGGGUGGAGCGAUUGAUGGAUUUAGGGCUAGGGUUUGGUGGGAGGGUUUCGAUCCUGAGCUUCUCUCGCGAGGAGAGAAGCUCAGAAGAACGGGAUGGCGAAGACAACGACAACGGAGAGAGGAUGGAAACAGAGAGGAAGUGGGAGGAGAGUAGGGUUUUAUUAGACUGAGAUUAUUUGAAUGCCACCGAAUUUACAGGUAUUUACAAUAUAACCAGCUGUGAUGAGUCGCUUAAUGGGUAUUUCGUUUAUUGUUUCUAAGUUGUAUUAUUUUUUUUAACUUUCUUUCCUUGUUUUUUUUUUUUUAGUUGUUUUAAUAAGUUCAACUAAUUCUCAAAAAGUGUUCAAUAAUCUAAAAAUUAAUUUUAAAAUAUAUAAUAAUUUAAUAAUUAUUAAGCUAGUGUGGUAGUUAUUAUUCAAAUUAUCAUUAAUAAAGUAAAAACUAAAUUUUUAUAUUUACUUUUUAUAAUAAAACGGAAGGCUUUGUUUUUUAGAUAAUGUAGUAGCUUAUGUGCUAUGGGACAAUUUAUAAUAAAAAAAUUUACGAAUAAUUUUGAUGAUAUGCUAAUAUUUCUAAAAAUAAUUAGCAAACUAGUUACAUUAAAUAAUUAAUUUAUAUAUUUUACUAAAAUUUAGCAUUUUAGAUUUUAAUAGUACAUACAAAAUUCAAUUUGAAAUUGCUAAAAAAUUACGCAAUAUAUAAUAAAAAAUAAGAUGAAAAAAGUAUUAUCACAUUUUGCAUGUUGUAAUAAAAAAGUUACACUAUAUUUUUCGUGAUGUUAAACAUCUACAUGCUUUUAUCUCGGCUACCUUUAGUCCAUUGGUAUUUUUGGUAAGCUACCAAAUAGACGAACUAUUCUCAUAACCGAGGGUUGUUUCCGUAAUUAGGAGCAUCUUCAAGGGCAAUUCUCUUUUCUCUGGUUCCUUCACUACUAAGCCGCCGUAGGUUGCUUCGUGGCAACCUCCGUUAGAAGGCGAACGUGGGCCGUACAAUGGAGACCGGUGACUCCAACUGUUGAGGAAGUUGACUAGGCCCAAUAAGAUCACUCCUUGGCCCAAAUAGGCUUUCCCCCUUUUUUUUUUCCAAUUAUUUGAAAAAGCUGUAAUUACGAAAAUCAGAUGACUAAUUUAAUAAAAAUUUACAAAUGUUUGGAAAAAUGGAAAUAUGUUGAAAUUGAUUUUUUUUUUUUUUUUUAACUUUUGUUUUCCAACCCAGUUAUGUUAGUCGUGGUGUUCACCUCUUAUGCUGGGUCAAAUUAGAAUAUGCAGAUAAUAAUAAGGGCUCCUUGGGUCGGUCCACCACGUGUCAGCAAUACUGCAAAUAAUUGGACGAGCGAUAUUGGUCCAAAGAUGACGUGGUGAACUCGGUCCAGGGAAUAGUUUAUCGUAACAGAGUGUUGGGCCGAGGUAACUCGGCCCAGUAGAUGAGGAAGAUCGUAGAAGCAGAGCGAAAACGCCGUUACGGUUAACGACAUUUGGACACGAGCGAUUUUGAUUGGUUGGGGCACUUUGAUGACGUUAGCGCUGACGAGACAGAGAAGAGUUGACUUGGUCAAACAAAUAUAAAAUAAUAAAAGUAAUAGGGGGUUUGUGGGUUUGACUAAUAAAAUAGCUUGAUUGAAUGUGAUACCAAAUUGGAGGAUUUUUUUUAAUUAAAAAAUAGCAAUGAUAAAUUUUAUAAAUUAUUUUUUUUAGUGGGUUAAAUGCUUAGGUCAUAAGAUUGAUUAUCUUAAUGCUUAAUUUGAUCAUGUGCUUCAACUACAUUUGGGAUGCAACUUUUACAUUCCUUUUCGGAAAAAAAAAAGGAAAAGGAAAUGUGUAAUAUUGUGGCAAAGGUUUACCAAUUUACAUCUUUUAUCUUCUCCAAUAAACAUAGCUAAAAUCGGUUUGAUGUAUCGUGAAACUAUAUAUGUGUAGAUGCAAAAAUUUAUCUUAUGAUCCUCUUUUAUCAUCGUAAUUAACCAUAAACAGAUGACAUUUAAUAAAUCAAUUGGAUCUAAUUCCUUUAAUCAUUCAUUCAUAAGAUAAGAUUGAAGAUUCAUUGUAUCUAGAUUGAAGAUUCUUUGUAUUUGAUCUGUGCAUAAAAAAUUUACAUAUGAUACUACCAUUAUCAGGUGUUUUUGACCAACUCCUUUCUCUUCCACGGAGGAGCAUCUAACAAUUCAAAGAUGAUUGGGUUUGCUGGAGAAUUAAAUGUCUAAACUGCUGGUCCCCUUACUUUUCAUCAUAAAUCUGCGAAAUUUGGCAGAUACUUUCCUCUAACCACUUUCUUCGGAGAUAGUUUUAUAUACAAUUAACAACGUCAAAGAAAAAGACAAUUAAAAAAAGUAAGAGACAACUUUGAACAGUACAUUAUACAACAACACACAUUUUACAGCAUAAUUCAACUUUCAGAAAUACUCGCACUUAUAGCUGCUACCGAUACUGUUCUAGAAAGAAAACCACGUUGCGAGGAACCUACAGCGCACACGCAAUUUAUGUACAAAAAUUUCACACAUUAAGCUCUUAUGAAACAACUUAAUAUGUUUCAUGAUCAGGCGCCGGCGUAUACCACGCAGGAUGGCGCCCUUUGCUUCUCAGUAGCCUGGUGAACGGAGAGUCGGGCAUGCGAGCCUUCUCUUCUUCUUCGAGCUCGUCUUUGGUUUUCGGUAGCCCGUCGGGUAUCGGAAAAGGUCUUUCCCUUUGUGCCUCUGAAGUCGACAAAGCUGGUUUUUGCGCUUCUUUCUCUUUCUUCUUUUGCAUUGCGGUGAUUCCAUGAAGACAAUCGAUUAGAGACUUUAUCCCGCCAGCUUGUCUGAUGAAUUUCUCAACGUCCUCUCUAGGCAGUUCUUUCUGCAUUUAACACCGAGAAUACCAAGAAUGAAGCCAUGGCAUUGAGGAGUUCAAAUUCGAUAACCUCUUUUAAGUGGUAAGGGGUUUUAUUUACAUGCAUACACCUACUGAAUCUCGAUUCCUUGCAGUUUCUUACAUAUACAUUUUAACCUAAGUUGGGGAGUAAGCCAAUACGUGGGGAAAGUUGGUUUUGCAUCAAAAUAAGGACAAUUAGAGUGGGGCAUUUCAUAAGCACGUUAUGUGUAAGAAUUGUUUUUUUAAGGGCGCACAUAAAAAUUCAAAAUUUGCAGGGUCUUACUAUAGUACAUCAAUAUGCAGGAUUAUACAUGUAAAUAUGUCCAAACUAUGCAUUUACAUGGUUCGCGUACAUUAAAGCAGGACGUGAAAAAAAAACAAAAAAUAUUACGUACUUGGAGAUCUUUAAGUGCAAAAUAGGCCCUCCAGCAGUUAUAGGAUUCGUCGCCCUCGAGUGUCGAGCAGUAAUCUGCAAAAGAAAGAAUCGAUAGUAUAAGUUGGUCGAUAAAUACUUUCAGAUAAACAGUGAAUCACAAUGUAAACCAUGCGGUAAGAAUGUUCGACUUUGACAUUUAAUUGGCCUUAAUGUUAAUAUAUCAUCAAAUUUAGCAUCUAUUUUCCAAGCAUUAGCUCUCGCGGAAAAAGCAGAGAGCCUAAAUAUUGGGAUUACUUGAGCAACUUAACUGAAAAAAAAAAUAAAAUAAAACUCCAGAAACUUCGGGUGUUUUCAACACAGAUGUAGAUCUCAUUGAAUGUUUCAAUUACAGGGCCUUUACAUUUCUCAGCUCUACAUUGGAACAAUUUGAUGCCCAUCUAUACAACAUAGUAUGCAUCCGCGCACAAAUGCAUGCAUCAAUAAGAGUGUUCUUUCGAGGAAUGGGGAUAUUGAACCAUUGAAUGAUCUACGAAACUAAUCAAAUAUCAUUAAUUUUAUCGUUUCAUAACACUCUUUUGGGAACUUUUGAUGAAAAUAAAUUGUGAAAAAAAAAAAUAUGGACUAUGCCAGUCUCAACAUUUAAGGGCUUUGGUGAGUUUAGAAGACAACUAAAUAAUUGAACAGAGAGAGCAUUCAAAAUCCUCCAUGUAAAUCACAUAAUAUUUAUAAUAAUGUCUCUAAGAUUAGAUUAAUCAGCCAAAUUAACAAACAAAAAUACAUCUUAAUCAACAAAUUCUUUCUUAUUUUCACAUCCAUAUCCAUCAUCAACUCAUUUUUCUACGAACCUAACGCCAAAUUAACAGAUCAAAUCCUUAAAAAACACAAAAAUUAGUACAAAAGAUGGGAGGAAAAAAAAAGAGAUCAGACCUGUGAGAUCGUUCUCGGUUUUUUGUAAGAAAGGGGGAUCCCUAAUCCCGCGAUCGAUGCGGCUUCUACUGAAGGGCUCGAGCUUGGGGAUGGAGCCACCGCUCCUCCCCUGGGCCCCGCAAACCACGCUCGACCACUUACGUCGCGACACGUCAACACCUCCGGCGGCGGCGGAGUAGUGCGACGAUGGAGUUGGGGAUCGGAGCACGAUCGAUCCGAGCAUUUCGCCUCUUCCUCUUCCUUCGAUCGAAACCCUAGGUUUCCUCUGUGGUGACACUACGACGACGACGACGACGACGACGAAGAAGAAGAAAAGGAGAGGGUUUCUAUAUACGGUUUUGGAUAAGAUCACAAAGAUAUUAAAUUCUACAAAAUUAUUAAAUUACUACAUUUAGAUAUUUAAGAUCUCGAAAGAGACCGAGCAUGUCUACUACGAGAAGGAACUCAUCAAGGACUUUCCACGUGGCGUAUAUAUGUUGGUGGGUUUUUUCGUGGGUACAAAUCUGUUUUGGUUCGUGAUAUAAAAACGAGGAGAACUUUGGGCGUUUUCACUACUAGUUUUCUAAGCGGUAGUGGAACCUCCCGAGUUAGCACAGCGUAUGGCCGCAUAAAAAUCUCUAUGAAAGAGCGGUGAUGGGACACGGUAGGGCGUAACGGACGGCUGGAUGGAUGGGUCGCAGAGAAAAUCUAUGGAUAUUCCAGAGGACUCGAAGAGUCUAGUAGUUUAGAUAUUUUUGUGAAUAGUAGAAAGAGUUGGGCUAAGGCCCAAUGGCCCCAAAUUUUUUGAUAUCUAAUUAAAUUGGGCUUUAAUUAGGUUCGAGUCAAACAUGUUUGCUACAAAAAUUUAAUUUUGGGCUAAACAGGCCCAAUAUUGGUAUCGAGAGUCGCAUGACGCUAUUAGGCCGAAAGAGAAUGAGUUGGGGAUGAUGUCUUAGCUUUUCGAUAGAACUGCAGAAAUCAUAUCAUAAGUUCGUAAUCAGACCGGUGUAAUCUGGACUCUGGAGAGAUGUGUUGUUAUUUACGAAAAUAAACAGCAUAUUUUUCACUCUUAUUUUCUCUUCGCACAUAAAGCUUUUUCGUUACUUAAUUGAUCACAUAUCACACUUGUGAACAUGGUAAUGGUGCAAUGAGAGAGCUUAUUCCAAUUUCAUUGUUUUUGAGCAUGAUGUAUACUAUUUUUUGUUCAUAAGUGUGAAACAAAUCACCCAUUCCCUUUCUUUUUGUUGUGCCAUAUCUAUCUAUUAUUAUUUUAAUUAACCUUCUAUUUGAUUCAAAGUAAGAGAAAUUAUGGGUAGGUUCUCAAUCUAUAGUGCACAUAAUAGUUUUUUUUAAGAUCUAGAAAUGCUUUUCUAGAGUGAGUGGGACUUUGUAGAGCACUCCACAUGUACAAAGCCAAAUAGAUAUGCUUUUGAGCACACAAAACAAUCCUCUUGAGAAGCCCAGCCAAGCCACUUUGUGUCUAAAAUAGACUAGGCAUUGGGCAAGUAGGCCACACCUUUUUAACUUAAUCUUUAUGUUAAUGCCCUAAUAAUACCAAGGUCCAAGAUCCUAAAGUUAUGAGAGUGAAAUGACAAAUCUACCCUUUCUCUUUUCCAUUAUUUUGUGCUACUGUGGAUACCUCAGAUAGUGAGUGAUUCAACUUUUCAAAUCUUAGAUGUAGCAGCACAUUUUAGAGUAUAUUUUGAGAUAUAUAUUAUAUAUAACUGCAUUGUAUAGAUGUGCCAGCCCAGAAGAUCACUGCAAAACUCGCUAAUGAAUUAUUUGCUCACCUUAUUAGUGUCCUUUUUAAUAUUAUUAUAGCAAAGCAAAGCUGUAGCUUAUGAGUUGUAUGACCCACCCAAUUAGAGAGUUGUCCAAUUAGGAAUCAACCUUUAUACACUAUAACCCCUUAUAGUGGUAUAUCAACACUUAUUAAAGAAAAAGAAUAGCAGGUGUGACACAAAGGGCUUUAAAAAAAACCAGAAAGAAGAGUGCCAAUGGGACUAGGACCCAAAGUGCUUUUAGAUGGGGUCUUAUCUCCACUUACAAAGAGCUAGAUCAUGCUUCUUUUUGAUUGAUUUGUAAAGCACUUUAUGUUUCCAAUAUGUACCUCCGACUCUGAUGUGCUUCGCAUUGCUUAUUUUGCAAAUUCCUAUCUGAAUAAAAUUGUUUGAAGAAGCAGUAACUAGUAAUUGUGAUUUAGUCAAAAUCGUAGAACAACCACUUAACCCAUAUACAAGAGCAGAAAUUUUGAUUUAAACUAAUGCUGUCAAUGGACACGAUAACCUUAAAACCAAUAACCGACUGUCCCUAGAGCAAGUGGCAAAGGACUUGAUGGUUGGUACUCGAAACCCAAGUUCGAAUCCUAGUUGAUUCACAUUUCCAGCGAAGUUUAUUUCUAAAUGAAAUAAACGAAGCGGGUAGCGUGCUACCUAAUCUCUCUCGAAAAAAAAAAAAAAACCCUUAAAACCAAUAUUUGAGAAUUCGAUCCAAAACAUAAUAAUUUCUUUUUGCUUAUUGCGCAUGACUCCGAAUACUCUACUGAUUGGAUUCAGAACUGACAUCUCUAACUAGAACUGCAACUAAACAAAGCCGUCCUCGAUUCGAUCGGACGAUCUCGAAGUAUGGUACACCCUUAAGAGUCAAAAGAGGGUGUUUUGGUCUCUUAUUUAAGAGGACAACAUAACUGGGAAACCCUAGAACUGGGUAUUGAGACCCUAACAAUAUAUGACUACUAAUAACACAUUAAUUAUAUUUAAUCCAAAUUCAACGCAUCAAACCAUACGCUUACGCCACCCUUUUUUUAGCUUAAAAAAUGAUGAGGCAUUAAAUAAAGUGUUUGUUCAUAGUAAAGCCACAAAGAAGAGCUCUACAAACUAUGAUCAAACACAUAAAAACAAACUUAAUUAAUUAAAACAUUUUAAAUUUAUUAAUGAAGCUCGAGAUUAAUAAAGGACUAGUAACCGAGAGAAAAAUACCCCUUAGUUUUUUUUUUUUUUUUUUUUUUUUUUUUUCUAAGAACAUGCUCUCAUUGGAGAUUCCCCAAAAAGCCCACCCAAUGCAUUAAUUCGUUGGUUUUUUUUUUGAAAUAGAGUGAGGCGUUGAGCAGGAAAAUGACCACUAGGGGUAGUUGUCCGAAUAUUAAAGCUUUGACAACUCCAUUUGUUGCACACUUGUCCACGCAAGAGGUGGUAUAUUUAAGAAGAGCAUCUUGAUUAAUUUUCGUGACUUAAGAUGAUGCAACAUUUUUUUAGCCCUAACAUUGAACCAUGUUCGCAAAUCACAGAUGAGGAUAAUUUUAUAAAUACCUGUAAUAUCCGAAAUUUUUUUUUUUCUGUAACUCUGCUAAGACACAACUUCUAGAACUUUUCGAUAUUUUGUAUUCGACUAUGAUCAUAUCAGCUAUUUAGCUAUAUAAAUUUUUACAUAUAAUUUACUAUGAAUAUUCUGCUAAAUAAUUUUAUGUUAGAUCGACUUGCUGUAUAUAUAACGCCUAUGUUUUGAGUCAAUUUUAGAAAAGUUAUGAAAACUUAGAGAUGUAUAAAACACCCAUUUUGGCAACACGGAAAGUUACACAUGAAAAUUUAGAAUUUCUAAAACAAUUUUUUUUUCCUCUUACAACAUGGAUAAGCUCAUGAAGAUGCCAUGGAUUAAAAUAUAUGUAGUAGGUGUGCAUGGUAAUAAAAUGUAUCUAAGUUUUGACCACAAUAAAUUAACUCUUUCUAUAUUACCAUCCAAGAUCAUAUGCUUCUAUUAGAAGAUCUCCAUGCUCACUCGUUACUACUUAACAAGUACUAAAACCAUGAUUUGACUAAUCGAAAAUUGCGUAAUAGAUUGUUUAUGUUCUCUUGUUUGUAGAGAUAAGAAUAUAAAACAAAAGGAAUCUUUAACUAAUUAAUUAAUCUGCAGCUAACAUCUAACCCUAAUACCCUAUAUAUAGUAUUAAUUGUUCUCAUUUUUAAGCCAAAAAAAAAUACUUCGAAGUAUAUAAUAAUUAGAAUGCAGUGGUUUAAUUGAAGAGGAUGAGAAUAAAGUAGGUACUAAUUCUUUUUCUUAAUUAUGUUGUUAUUUGAGGAUUGGAAUGCACUAACACAUUGUCAAAACAGGAUGAAAUUGAAUUAAAAGAAUUUGAUGAAACUAAAAAAAUUAAACAAAAUCAAAUUAAAACAAACCUACAUUAAAAAGAUGUAUCCAAUAUGGGAUUAUAUUCUCGACAACGGAGAAGCUACGCAUCGAUGGCCAUCAAAAUUUUAUUUUGGUGAUGUUUCUACGGUAAUGUUACUACCACCAUGCAUUUUAAUUAAAGUGAAAUUUUCGUAAAUUAUUUACUUUUUAAUUUUUUUUUUUAAAAAAAAUUGAUGUGAUUGGACAACUUAUUUUCAAAUUACACCUAGGAUUUGGUAGUAUGUGGCGAGUUAAGGUCCAUCCAAACUUUUGUCACGGGUUUGGAAAAGCUUUAUCUGUAGAACUUAACUAAUAAACGUGUUAUUUAUAAACAAAUACAUCCAAAAUAGCAUGCGCUGACCUUUUUUUAAAAAAAAAAAAAAAAAAAAAUCUUCUCCCAAGUCCUAGUUAAUGCGGGAAAAAAAGACAAAAAAAAAAUCUCAACAUAUUCUUCAAAAGAGUCAAAAAUACCGAUAAUACCAACAUAUUUAUUAUCCUUCAAUGUUCUCCUUUAAUUUAAGUUAUUAUAUAUUAAGUUUUACUGAAUAAAACCAAACACCAUCCUAAUACUAUUUGCUAUUUUGCUUAUUACUGUAAUUAACUUACAUUUGAGACAUAGUUGCAUCUAAUUUAGUAGUGAUUUUGACCUAAUCUACUUCUCAGGCACCGACUUAUGGCAAAACUAUUAAUUAGUGUUGUCAAAACAAUGAUUUUUAUUGCUUCGGCGAUAACGAUUUUUAUCAAUAAUUGAGAUACAAUAUUUUUUUUCGAGAAAUAGGUAGCUAGCUACCUGCUUCAUUCAUUAGGUAAAAUGAACUAAGCGUACAAUUUGGAAGCAGCCAGGGCCUCCCAAAAAAACAGGCAAGGAGCGAAAAACAAAACAAAACAAAAGAGAGAAAGGAGGGGUGUUAAUAAGGAGAGUAGGGAUAGGAGCUGAAGCCCAGUUGGCACAUCACCGAAAAGAGUUCCAGUCGUUUAGCAAAAGUUUGACACGUUCCAGAGACCGGGUAGCGUUGUGCGUGCUUCCUCGAAAGAUGACGUUGUUUCUAUCUGUCCAGAUCACCCACCAAGUCGCGGCCAAGAGGGACAGGCCUUGUGUCCUCGAAGAGUGAACCGGGAAUUGAGAUACAAUAUUAUUAAAGGAAGAGCUAUAUAUGAAGUGUUAUAGAGCCAGUGUUUUGCUGGGGAAAGUUGCUACAUAAGUGUUGCUAAGUAGAGAUUGUUCCGAUUAACACCAAAAUUUUUUUCAUUAGAGUUUUUAGUAGUUUCUCUCUCUUAUUUAUAGGGUUAAAAAAAUAUUUUAAACUAUCAUCAUAGCAAAAGUUACUAUUGUGCGUAGAUUUUGAGCUCAAAUUUGUACUUAGACAUAACUUUAUAUUGAGGUUAACAUAUGCAAUUUGCUAUCUUUUUUGUACAAACUAGAAGAACCACUCAUUGGGUUUGUUGUUCCACUAAUUUUUCCUGAAAUGUUCACUAAUUCCUUGGGGAAUUUUAUUGAAUUCAAUGCUCUUUAAUAUGUUAAAAUACAUCAAUCCCUUUGCAAACUCAGAAAAUUCCAAACGUGGUCAAUAACAACAGCACAUUAUUAGUUGGUCUCUGACUAUAUGUUAGAUUCAAUCAUGCAACUUCACUUUCAAAUAAUAAAAAAGAUUGCUCAUUCUCAAAGAAAUUUGGGGUUUCCUCUACGCGUGAAAUCAUAUUUCUUAGCACUAAAACAAAGAUACGAAAGAUACAACAAUAUCAAUGCAGUCGUGUUCAGCCAUUACCCUUGCAAGUGAUUAUGAUCUGACUUUUCCAAAGUUAAGGAUUCGAGUUUUACCGAUAGAGGUACGCUCACAAGAACGAAACAAUAAUCGUGCAAUCUACAAUUGUUUUGGUUUAGAGGCGCCGGUUUCGAAUUGGAGUUAUAUUUGGAUUUGCAUUAUCAGAUCGUGUUUGGAAGAAGCAUAAUUUCAAAAAGGACUAAAUGGGCAUUGACUUUGGGCCAAAAGCCAACCUGGGAAGAGGCCCACCAAAGACAAUAUCACGAACCCACCCAAGUACUUGUACAUGGGAGGGUGACGUGGCAAGCAGGGAGUGGUUUACAGUAUACACAUACACACACAAAACAAAUAAAAUAAAAUUUAAAAAAAAAGAAAGAGAAAAAUGCUGCUUAUAUAUAGAGCAACUUCUUAUAUAGGUCCUUUACUAAGCUUAUAAUCUCUGAGUAGUCCUUUUCCUCGUUGUACCAUUUUGGCCUUUAUUUGCUCAGAAACAAGAGUACCUUUUCAAUGAAGGAGAGUGGACACAAUAUAAUAAUAUACCUGUACAAAAUUCCAAGAUUGCAUAUUUAAUUUUGUAAAAUUAUUAUUAGCAACAAAUAUUUUCCCAAAUUCUUUCAAAAUCUCUCUCUCUCUUGGGUUUACUUGCUGUAUAAUUUAAAGGAAAUUUACUCUUAAAAAAAAAAGUAUUAUUAGAAUUUGUUUACAUUAUCUGUUAUCUGUGAAUAAAAAUUUAUCAUAUUUUUUUACAAGAAGAAAAUAUAUUAGAAGUUUAAAGAAUAAUUAUAACACUGAUGUUUAGAAAGCGUUUGGCCAGGGACAAAACUAGGAUUCAAUCUUGAGGGGGGCCAAAAUAUAUUUAAAUAGAAACUUUAGUAAUAAAUAAUAAACAAAAUUUUUUCUAAUUAAAAAUUUUUUAUUAAAAAAUUAUUAAUUAAAUAAAUAAUGUAAAAGCAUGAACUUUAUGUUUUUUAUUUUCAUAUGUUUAACUUCUAACUAUUUUUUUUAUAUUAUUACAUUAAAAUAACUUAGAAAUUUUACUAAAUCUAACAGUAAUUUCUUAGUUUUUUAGUAAAUAAAAUUAACAUAGCUAUAAAAUUUAGUGCAAUUAUUGAUUUAGUCAAAUAAAAAACAUAAAGUUCAUACUUUUNAAAUAAAAAUUUUAAAAAAUUAUUAAAUAAAAUUUUUAGAGUAGAAAAAUAUAUUAUAUAAUACUCUAUAAGUAAGAAGCUUUUAAUAUAUUUUCAUCCAUAAAAAGAGUAUACCGAUUAGGAUAAAGAGUGAGAGAGUUAUAUUGGUACCAUAAUAUUAAGUAAAUAUUGAAAAGUUAGGGGGGCCAAAACUAUCCAUAUUUCAAAAAAAAAAAAGGGAAAACUUCAAAAAACCCCCUUGUGGUUUUAAUUUUUUUCACUUUAGUACCCUGUGGUUUAAAAUGUAUCAAGUUAGUACCUUGUGGUUUCUCACUUUAUCACUUUAGUACCCUGUGGUUUAAAGUGUAUCAAGUUAGUACCCUGUGGUUUUGCAUUUUAUCACUUUAGUACUCUGUGGUUUUGAUUUUGUAUCAAAUUAGUACCCUGUGGUUUUUUAAACUAUAGGGUACUAAAGUGAUAAAGUGUGAAACUACAGGGUACUAAAGUGAUAAAGUACAAAACCACAUGGUACUAAAUUGAUACACUUUAAACCAUAGGGUAUUAAAGUGAUAAAGUAAGAAACCACAGGGUACUAACUUGAUACACUUUAAACCACAGGGUACUAAAAUGAAAAAGUGUGAAACCACAGAGGGGGUUUUUGAAGUUUUCUCAAAAAAAAACUUUGAAUAACCAUUAAACAAAUAUUGAAAAGUUGAGGGGGGUCAUGGCCACCUUGGGCCUCUAUUUGCUGCGUUUGGUUGUUAAUUUGAAAAAUAUUUUUUUUGCUUAAAUGAUAUAUUUUUAUCCGUUUGAUUUUUAAAACAGUAAUUUUUUAAUUUUUUUAAAAAAUUUUAUAUAAAAUAAUGUUUAUGAAAUUAAUUUUUCCUAAUU